CUUCCGGUUCCUCCCUUUGAUCGUCGAUCCCCACAUGGCGAAGACGAAGCGAUCGCCGACCUCCUCCUCCUCCUCCUCUCGUCGAUGCGAAACCCUAGGCGACGAUGCCGAUCGCACCAGCCACCUUGCCCCCGACUCGCUGAUCCACCACAUCUUCUCGUUCCUCGACCUCGCACUCAUUGUCCGCGCGUGCGUUUUUGUCGAAGCGGUGGCGAUCCGUCUGGAACGCCUCCCCGUUCCGUGGACGGCGUCUUGAUCCUGUAGGCGUCGCCCACGGUGAGGAAGCUCCACAUUGACGCCGAUUUUCUCGACCGUUGCGCGCCUGAGCUCAGUCCGUGGCUUCGCUUUGCUGUCGACCGCCGUGUCCAGGACCUCUCAGUCGAUGCCACUAAGAGGUUGUGCGAGAUGGCUGGCCAUUUCGCGGUACCGCGGCUCCUUUUAUGGAUGCUCUUCGUUGGUGAACCUGCAGUCAGGGCUCUGUUGCUUCUCGUUGAGUAGAAGUAUCGCUUGGAUUAAUCUUAGGUCCCUGUCCGUCUGUGACUCGGAGGUGAUGCAUGAGAUGUCGAAUGGCAGCCCUGUUCUCGAGGACCUUAGUUUGGAAGGAUGCUACGGUUUAAAGCGAACCAUCAAGCUUUGUUCGAGAGCUUUGAGGGAAAUUGCGGUCAAUGGCUGCUUUCGGUAUGCACUUGAUGAGGGUUUCCCCUUGGAGAUUUCAAGUCCUCUGUUGCUGUUUGAGAGGAUUUUCUGGUAUGAUGAGGCAGCUAGUAACGGAAGUCUCAAUCCUUGAUUGAAGCGGCGUUGAACUUUUCUUUACAAGAGGUGAGGAUUUUGGAAGGCCAAUCUGAUUGUUUUGUUCACAAUUGGUUCGAGUCUUACAGAGGGUAUUGCAACCUGGUUGAGGGACUGCUUCAGAAGCUGCAGAACGCGACUAAGCUUUGAUUGGUAGUUGGUGCCUUCAGGUGAGCAGAUUGUUUUUGAUUUCAAAUUUAACUCGUUUGGUUCAUACCUAUGGAUAAUUCAUUGUUCCCUCUUCCUCGAGUUAAGGAAAUUCAUUCCAAACUUUAGCACCAGGAAUCUGGUUUACAUCGUUUGCUACUCUGCCUGAUGACCACCGGUGCAAAUACCCAUCAUGCCUUUAGAAUAACUACCGAAAGACCAAAGAAAGGGCAGCUGGUUUGGGGUCAUUCUUUUUCCUGCUCAGUAGUGCAUAACCAUCAUUCCAAUGAUCGUAGUAAAUUAUUAAUGAAAAGUACUUGUGUCCUGAUUUUAAAAAGACCGAAAAGCAAUUGUUGACUAGAAUUAGUAUAAAAGUUCUACUAUUUCAACACUCAAAAGCUUUAGUCACUCAAUUUGUCACAUAGGUGGGAACCAAAAGUGUUCUCAAAGCAUAUACUUGCUGGGUUUUUUAAACUGUAUUUGGAAGGAAGAAUAAACUGUCUUAUUCUUUUGCCUUUCAAUUGUUGAAUGUGCUUAGGUUUUACCACUCGCGGCAGAGGUACAAGGUGUGCCAUUUUCUUUGCCCAAUUGCAAGUCUCUGACUCUACAUACACGAGUAGAGAAUGGGAUUUUCCUGGUAUAACAAAGCUGUACCUUUUAACAGGGUGAAUUGUCUAGUUCUAGUUAAAAGAGAAAAAGAAGACAUUAGAUCUCAUUUUUUUCUUCCUACUGUAUCAUUGACGCACGUGUGCACCUUAUAACAGGAGUUUAGCAUAAAACUCACCAAUUGGGGCUUGGUCGAGUAUUUGUAUUCGGUCGAGCGUUAAGAGCUUGGGUGGUGAUGGCAAAUGGCUUGGUCAGAUUCAAGCUUGGCCCAUCGUCUCCAUUUAAGCAUGCGUGAAUUUUUGUUAUUGAUCAUGAGAUGCGAUUUGAAUAAUUCAUUAGCAUUUUUUUUAUCCAAAAGUAAAUGAGGAUGAUCACAUUGCUUUUUCCAAAUUACGUGUCAAUAACUAAUCCACCACUUUGGGGCGUUGUUUGGCAAGGCUACAAAGUCUGGCCCAGCCUAGUUGAUCCCGUGGCGGCCCUUUACGGUCCAAUUCCCAUCUCUCUCUUCCUUCCUUAUUUUGACUCUCGCCUGUUCCCCUUCUGAAACUUUCUCCGUGAAUUUUCAGGCUUCAAUGGACCUCGCUCCCGCUCUUCCCUUCUUCUCUUGGAACUUGAAGACAGUACAGUUUUACUACAUGACGUCGAAGUAAGUUUUCUAUGUUGUUACUUGAACUAAGUUUUCUAUGUUGCUACUUGAAUGUUACCCUCAUUACUUCUCAACUAGAUAUUCCUCCUGAAACAUUCAUUUAUCAUCAGAACGUGUUUUUCUCUAGUCUCUCUUGGGAAAUAUUCUGAAUUGCUCAAAAUCUGCAUGAUGCAAUGCAAACGACAAACUUGCUAACUGAACAUUCAGCUGCUAAUAGAAAACGCACUUCAUUUUUAUUGGCCAUGUCCCUCAAUGUCAAGUUAACAAUGGAUUGGCAGAUAGGUCAAUCUGAGUAGGAUAAGAUUAACAAAAAAAUUUAUUAGAAAAUUCUAUUUGAACAUGACCCAUUUGUUAAAUAGGCAAGAGGUGUAUAACCCGUUUAACUAAUUUGAUUGAAUUGAAUUGAAUGGGUCAUUCCCAUCCUAACAUGACCAACGUGACAUAUGUACCAUAUGCGUAUCUUCAUCAACGUCGAAUAAGUUUGAAAAGGGACUAGCCAUAAGCUUACAAAAUCCUAGGUUUACAUGAAAUGUUUUAUUUAUAUGGUGUGAUCAAAUCGUAAUAUGUAACGACUAAGGAAACCAAAUUCGUGUAUGUUUUUUAUUAGAGAACUUACUGAACUAAAUAUAAACAGAUCAUGAUAGAUCAGGUUGUUGAUCAAGUUGGCUCUAUUGUUUACUUAUAUAGAUUACAUGAGUCAAUCUGUCUUUUGUGGUUUGAACUUUGAACAUGGAACGAUAUUCGUUUAUUAAUUAACUGUUAAGUAGGUAGCCUCACCUAAGUGGUCACAUGGAAAUGUGAGUCAUGAAUACAAAAAUUAAAUCUUUAGAUUGUGGAUUGUGAUUUUCAUCCAAUGGAAUCAUAAAAUCUGAUAUAAUGUUUGAGAUCGGUAUUCCAUGACAUAUGUAAGUUAAUUGUUAGAUAAUAACUAAACACAAAGAUGCUUAAAAUUCAACUAAUUUUAUUAUCUCCAGACAUGAAAUAUUGCUACAAAUUAUAUUUCUUUUGCCCAAUGAGUACCCAUUUGACUGCAAGGAUGCAAAGAUCUUAUACAUAGUAUUGUAAUUGGAUUCCCAUUCAUAGAAUUGAGUAUGAGACAAUCAAAACAUCCACUAAGCCUGAUGCAGCCAACAAAAUCAUGCAGGAUGGCUACCAAGUUUUUGGUGAAGAUUGACUUUGAAACUCAAACAAGGAUCAAGAUUCUUCUUGAAGUUUAAUCACUAAAAUUAUCAACUAGGAUUUGAAUAUUAUUAGAAUUUUACGAAGUUUCCUUUUCUUUCUUUUUUUAAGCUUGCGUAGUAGGAUCUUACAUAUACUCCAAUAAUGUUUCUUGUUAUUGAACUUGGCAAGUGUUUGCUUUGCAGAUUGUGUUAUGCAAUUCAUCUUUGGCGUGACGCUUAAGAAACCCUGGGUGUGUUGCUUGGGCAAUUUUGCAUGUGAUGCUUAAAUAUUUAUUCUUUAUUGUGGGACUCAGUCCUACAUCAAAGCCAUGAAAUGUUUUUGACGUUACAUUGUUUGAUGCAUGAGUUAAAUUAUGAAUCAAGGAAAUUGAUUGACUCAUAUCUAAUCAGUGAAAUCAGCAGUGAGUUAUUUUAAUCACAUAUCUUACAGAAUUAGUAUGCUCAUUUAAUAGAUUUAUAUACUUUAGGAGUUGAAUCUUAUUGAUGUGCUCAAUUGCAUUCUCGUGUAGGACAAGAUUUUUACUUCACUGCUAAUGUUGUCAUCAAUGGUUGAAACUAUUUCAAUUGUCAACGACAAAUUACAAAAUAGUGUGUACUGGGGUCCAGCUUGUGGUUAGAAUCUAUGGUCUAGGUGGAUGGUGUCGUACUGAAGCAUUCAUCCAUGAGAUGCUCAUUUUCAUGAAAAUUAAUAGCUUCUUUCAAUUGUUAGUAAAUUUGUUCAGUUCAGUCAAAUUAGGAAGGUAAUAAUUUAGGUGACCCUUAAAUGAUGGGAUUUGUGUGUGCCUCAAUUAUGCUCGUGGGUGGAAAAGUUUGUAAAUAACUAGUUAUGUUUUUUAUCAAGCUAUAGCAGCUUGGUCAUGAGGAUGCUGCAAUUCUGUUUCUUUGAGAUUUCUACCAGUUUAAUACUAAUCAUCCACUUCAUGGAUUACAGUCAAUCAAUAGAGAUGGAUCCAAAAUUUGAUUCAAAUCCAAUAUUGCACCUAUGGAUCCACAAGAAUUGCUGAGAAGAGAAGUUUAUAUAUAAUGAAUGCUACUUACCAAAGUAGCUGUCUUUAUGGAACUAUAAAUGUGCAGGGUGCUGCUUUUGACAUGCUAGUGCUUGCAGCAGUUAUGCACACUGUGGUAUAAUCAUUCUAACAGGGUAUAAAUAUGAAGCAGAAUGGAAAACUGUUGAGAAGCUUGAAGUAUGGCAGUUGGGGUGUGUCUCAACUGGGAGGAGGAUGCCCAAGUGAAUGGAAUAUGGCAUCUUUUAAGUUAAAACUUGGUACGAUUUCGUGAUCUUUAUUACCAAUAGCAGAUAUCUUAUAGCUCACACCUUUCAUAAUGCUUCGCUUGCAGUUAAGUAGUUACUUUAGUGUGUUGUUCUUAAAUACUUCUUUUUCAAACUUAGAAUCUUAUUUCACAGUCCAACAGCUUUAGUAUGGAUUUAUGGAAGAUUUUUUGGAAGUGUGUGUUUGGCGUCAUCUGUAACUUGUUGAUUUAUUUGACUCUUUAGCUUUGAUCUCAUAUUUUUUCAUCUUUUUAUUUUCCAACUGGAAAGUAAUUAUUCAUUUGUUUUAUAGAAUGCUUCUGGUAACUCUUUGGCAUUUGAAGAUCACACUACUCAAUUCUUCCCUCCAGCUCCAAGAGUUCCUCAAAUGCCUGGACUAGUACCUGAAGAUGCUGGUUUAACUUACAAGGUUCAAGAUUCAUUUGUAGAGCUCUCAAAUUCUUCAAAGCAAUGUUUGCAUAUCCUUUGCAGUGGAGAUAAAGAUGGGGUUUUGUGCUUCAGUAUAUUUGGUGUCUUUCCAAUCGAAAAUAUUGUCAGUGUCCUGUCAGUUCAAAUCAAAUAUUUAGCUAUAUGGUCUAUCAUAUUCAAUAAAUGAGUCCUUUCCUUGUUCUUGCUUCUCAUACAUCAGUUUUUCUUAAUAAAGGGAUUUGAUGGUAGACUGACAGCAAAUCAGUAUUGCCUGGGAAGUAAUGGGCUGGUUAAGUAAACAACUAUUCCUAGGCAAGGUUAUGCUUGUAAAAGUUCUAGAUGUUUAUGCCAUUUCCUAGGCUAGAUUUCAAUUAUGUUGGUCACUUCAGAGAUGACACUUACAACUUCAAUACCGAACACUUAUCUUACUCUUUUUGUUGUUUGGCCUGAGGUUGGCCUGCCUUGCAUACUCCAGACUAUUGGGUUUUUGCUCUAUUCUCGGAAGAUUGAGAGAGCCUAUGAUGAUCUUCCCCUACCCAGCAAGUAUAAUCCAGGCCAAGGACAUCGCAAAAGCCCUAGUCUAGACUUCAAGAGAAAAUUUACUUGAAUGGCCAUGAUGUUUGUCAAACUUCUGCACGAUAUGACGUUGGAAAAACAAGUGUGAAAAAAUGAAGAUCGUAAAUAUAAACUUAAAGCAAUAUUUACGGAACUAAGUAGCAUGCAUAUAAUGAAUUAAUAAUAUGAUAAAAACGUAAAAUCAUGACAUUGCCUUUUAAUAACAAUACCGUGUUUAAUUUGAUAAAAUUGUGUUUGUUGUUAUCAGAGGUCAACUUUAUUGCAUCAUUAAUAGGCUGAAUAUGUUAGUAUCGCAACAGUUGACAUGGUAAAUACACCUAAUACUUUUCUAUUAGAGUGGUAAAAAUGCAUAGGUUGAUAUAUUACAUUCAUGUUUGAUGCCUCUUAUAUUGGACGCAUUUGAGUCAAAGUACUCUCAACUUACGAGCUAGAGUUGAUUAGCUUCAAAGAAUAGUGCAAUUAAGCUCUUGAAUUAAUGUGAUAAUUUAGCACUUAUAAAGUAUUGCAAAUCAAUAGUAUAAACAGGUGAAGUCCAUGCAGGAUUAGCAUGCUAGGUGUAUUUUGGAUGGUAAAUAAAACCUAUUUUAUAUUUAUUUUUUUGGUAAAUAAAAUGGUGGCUAAAGUAUGCAACUACUUUGGGGAUUGAGCAUCAAGGAUUUCUUCCCUUCCAACAAGUAGGAUUCGAACCCUUGCCCAUCGGCAGGUGAAGUCCGUGCGGGAUUAGCAUGCUACCACUAGACCAACCCUUUGUUGGUUUAUUUUACAUUUUCAUUAAAAUAGCUACCCUCAUUAUUUUAAGAGGAACCGCAUGCAUUUAUGUUAAAGUGUUAUUUAAAAUGCAGUUUAAUAUAAAUGAAUUAACAUUCACGUAUUAGUUCCAUUCAAUAUAUAAUAUUGAAUUAACACACAUUACAAUUUAGGUGUUGAAGGAAUAUUGCAAGUGCUAAACUAAACCAAGCAAAAAAAAAAAUUGGAAAAAAUUGAAAAUUUUAAUUUAUUAAUUUGGCUUUGGGUUGAUUAAGAAAUUGUGACAUCAAUAAAUUUGAGUAACUUCGUAAUUAAGUAGAGAAAGAAUUGGUGGGCUAGCCACUCCUUUGCAAUAAGAAGUGGACAAAAACUUGGUAGGGAAGAGCGGUAGCCUCAAGAAGGAAAAGGAUUCUUGGGCCGAGCCACCGGGAGUGGGGGUAGAAAUAAACUCAUCACAUGCAAUCUAAUUACAAAUAUGCCCCUGGAUGAUAAAAAGAGGUGAAGCUCCUCCACCUUUUCUUUCCUCUUUUUAUACGGUCCUAAUUCUUUAAAAAUUCUCAAAUUUUAGGUUCAAUUUUAAUUUUAUCCCGAUUUUUUUUUGUUUCAAAAACCCUCAACUUAAAACCAAAUGCUAUAUUAACCCUCAAUUUUUUUCUUCUAAAAAAGUUUUUCAAAUUUUAUAUCCAGUCCCAAAUUUGUUUUGAAUGGUAGCAAAAACCUUGAGGACAAGAUCAAGAGAGUAAUUUCCAUUUUGACAAGGGCGGAAUCUCGACAUUCAGAGAUCGAAAUUAACGGCCAAAGAAGACAAGAAAAUCUAGGCAUGAAAAAGCAGAGGAUUCUUUCCCGAGUGGGUGGGGCAUUUUUCCGCAUACCAUAAUUGCCAAGGGGAGCUCGAAAAAGAAAAAAGAUGAAGCUUUUCUUUUGGGCCAAGAAAAGGAGAUAGAGAGAGAGAGAGAGAGAGGUUAUGGUCAGCAAAAGAGAGAAAGCUUUUACAAAGAAAAACUGAUAAAGUGGCCUGCAAUGGAAAAGAAAGACAAGGAAGGACAGAGGAGGUGAAAAGAAAAAAUGAAGAGAGAGAGAGAGAGAGAGAGAGAGAGAGAGAGAGUUAUCAGGACACGCGUGAAAAAACAAGGAGCAAAAAGUUGCAUUCACAUUGAAAAUCUACUUUUGCAGCAUCUGCAUUUCCUUUAAAGUUCACUUUUCCUGUGCAUUGAAACUUCCACCGGUUGCAGGCGACGAUCAUAAAUGCAUGUCUAAUGGUUCGGUCAAUGAAUUGCUAAUUUAUAUUCACUUCGGCAAAUUCAAAUUAUUGAUGCAUAUCAACUAAUUAGAUUAGAUAAAUCAAAUCAAUAAAAAAAAAUUAUACAUAUAUAUAUAAGAAGUAAAGUAAAAGUAAAAACAUAUUUUGAUUUAUUUAUGAGAUUUGAAGGAGAAAUUAAGACGGAAUCUGAAUAAAAAAUAAAUUAUUUUGAUUGUGUUACAGUACUAAAUGAAUAUAUAUUUAUAUAUACACACGUAUAUUUAUGCAUGUUAAUAUUUUUUUAUGAUCCUCAACACGUAUUGAUAACAUAAUUUUUUAGAAUAACCUAUCAUUAAUAAUACAACAUUUCAGUAUAAAAGUGAAGAUUAUAGGUAACAUAUAUCAGGCUCAAAGUAAGAGGGAUAACUUCCUAAGUGUGAUAAAGAGCUGAAAUAUAUUNNNNNNNNNNNNNNNNNNNNNNNNNNNNNNNNNNNNNNNNNNNNNNNNNNNNNNNNNNNNNNNNNNNNNNNNNNNNNNNNNNNNNNNNNNNNNNNNNNNNNNNNNNNNNNNNNNAACUGGUACACCUAUGACAAAUUUACCCCGAUUGAUUAUAAAAAAGCAUAAACUGGUACAUUUAUGACAAAUUUACCCCACACUAAUUUAUUCGACCGCAAAAAGCCCAAAACUGAUAAAUUUGUAAUAAAUAUACCAUUCACUAAAUUAGAUUAAUACCACAAAAAAAAAAUCACACAAAUUGUAAACUAUGACAAACAAAGUGUAAUAUCCUAAAUUGGUAUACCGGUCAAUUUUCACGUGUUAUUUAACUUAAUAAUUUGACGGUAAAAUUUAACGAAAACUAGCAUAAGGUAAAUUUGUCACAAUUGUAUCAGUUUAUGGUAAAUUUAUCAAAGGUAUAUCAAUUUAGGGCUUUUGGAAGUCAAAAAAAUAGUUUUGGGUAAAAUUGUCAUAAGUGUACCAGUUUGAAGUUUUUUAGGGUAUUAAUCCAAAUAUAUUUAACCAAAAACACAUUUUCUGAUGGAAAAUAAAUUAACAAAAGAAAGAGGAAAGUUGGACGGUGCAAGCGGUGGACUAAUAAGAGUGCCCUCGUCAUUGUCCUGACACUUUGUAUGUUUUCAUCUACUGUGAGCACUUGUGUGGAAAAUAUUGGACCGGACGAAUCUCUCUCUCCACUUUUAAUUUUCUCCAGCAAAUCCAUGUCGCGGGCAUGUGAGGGAAGCAGCGCAAAGGAACAUGAAAGAGUCAUCAUGGUGUUGAAAAGUCUACUUGGAAAAGAAGUUAGAUAAGAGGAAAGACAAAAAGUACGGAGUAGUUAUUUUCAAAGUGAUCUCCACCUUCAAAGAUGUGUAGCAAGGGCUAUGAAAGUAUUUAUCUUCGUACCGAUUCCUAUUCAACAUAANNNNNNNNNNNNNNNNNNNNNNNNNNNNNNNNNNNNNNNNNNNNNNNNNNNNNNNNNNNNNNNNNNNNNNNNNNNNNNNNNNNNNNNNNNNNNNNNNNNNNNNNNNNNNNNNNNNNNNNNNNNNNNNNNNNNNNNNCCAUCGUAUUCAAAUUACUAACAAAAUUAAGGUAGAUGUGUGUAAAAAAGUUAUGUACCAUUGGAAGUCCUUUUGGUCUAUUCUUCAUUAUAGACUAUAUUUAUUAUGGGUCUAAUUCCAAUGCCAUUGGCUGCUUAAUAGGAUUAAGGUAAAAUUUUAAUUGGGAUCAAGAGUUUAAAUAUAUUCGACAAAGGUAAUUUUUCUGAUGAAAAAUAAAUUAAAAAAAGAAAAGGAAAGUUUUUAUUUGGGUCCUAAAAAUAAAGUUCAAUGGUGCAGCAAUUGUCUUGUUGCUUUGUACGUUUUCAUCAAUUAUGACCAUUUUCCACGGAUAUCAAUAAAGUAGUUGUCUUUUAUUUUUUAUUUUACUUUUUUCAAUUGCUUUUGCAUCGAAACUUGCUCACAUGUUAUUUUCUUCUGAGGCAGGAUCGCCUUGGAUUCUCCUGUCCAUCAAAACUUCCCCACCGUGAAGGCAACGACUAUAAAUGCACCCCAUCAAAACUUCCCCACCAUGAAGGCAAAGACUAAAAAUGCACGGUCGGUGGUCCCAGUCAACGAAUUAGUAAUUGAUAUCUACCUCCGCAAGUUUGAAUUAUUGCUAUGCGCCAAUUGAUUGAAUUAGAUAAAUCAAAUUAAUAAAAAAAAAUAUAAAAUAAAGUAAGAGCAUAAGCGAAAAGGUAUUUUGAUUAAUUUAUGAAAUUUGAAGAAAAAAUUAAGGCAAAACCAUAGCAGAAGAAAUUCUUCUUAUUAUGCUUGGGUACAAAAUUUAAUCCCUCUCACUUUAAGCUUGUGGGGUAUGGUCACCGUGAGUGAGAGUAGAAAUAAAUUUAUCAUAUGCUCUCUCAUUCCAAAUAUGCCCCCGGAUGAUAAAAAUAUACUUUUUCUUUUCUCUUUUUAUGCAGUCCUAAAUCUUUAAGUUCAAUCUUAAUUUUAUUCCGAUUUUUUUUUUUGUUUCAAAACACCCUCGACUUUGAACUCAAUGGGUAUAUCCUAUGAAGCACGCUCCGUGCUUCCGUGUCGUGUCCCGACACGUGUCGGAGCGUGUCGGACACGUCGACACGCUCGGACACGUUCGGACCUGCGUUGACCGCGAGUCCGACUUUUCGACACGCGGUCCACUUUUCUCGACACUCGUCGACUCGCGUGUCCGGAAGCCUGGCGGAGGGUGGAGCCAGGGAAGUCGAGGGAGAAGAGCCUUAGCGAUGGCUAUAAGACGCUUAAGAAAGAGCCGAACAGGGAGAAAUAAACUCCCUGGCGGAUAGAACUAAGCCACGCAAUCGGACACAUGCGACGGGAGAGAAAAUCGAGCGUCCACUGUGUGGCGAUGNNNNNNNNNNNNNNNNNNNNNNNNNNNNNNNNNNNNNNNNNNNNNNNNNNNNNNNNNNNNNNNNNNNNNNNNNNNNNNNNNNNNNNNNNNNNNNNNNNNNNNNNNNNNNNNNNNNNNNNNNNNNNNNNNNNNNNNNNNNNNNNNNNNNNNNNNNNNNNNNNNNNNNNNNNNNNNNNNNNNNNNNNNNNNNNNNNNNNNNNNNNNNNNNNNNNNNNNNNNNNNNNNNNNNNNNNNNNNNNNNNNNNNNNNNNNNNNNNNNNNNNNNNNNNNNNNNNNNNNNNNNNNNNNNNNNNNNNNNNNNNNNNNNNNNNNNNNNNNNNNNNNNNNNNNNNNNNNNNNNNNNNNNNNNNNNNNNNNNNNNNNNNNNNNNNNNNNNNNNNNNNNNNNNNNNNNNNNNNNNNNNNNNNNNNNNNNNNNNNNNNNNNNNNNNNNNNNNNNNNNNNNNNNNNNNNNNNNNNNNNNNNNNNNNNNNNNNNNNNNNNNNNNNNNNNNNNNNNNNNNNNNNNNNNNNNNNNNNNNNNNNNNNNNNNNNNNNNNNNNNNNNNNNNNNNNNNNNNNNNNNNNNNNNNNNNNNNNNNNNNNNNNNNNNNNNNNNNNNNNNNNNNNNNNNNNNNNNNNNNNNNNNNNNNNNNNNNNNNNNNNNNNNNNNNNNNNNNNNNNNNNNNNNNNNNNNNNNNNNNNNNNNNNNNNNNNNNNNNNNNNNNNNNNNNNNNNNNNNNNNNNNNNNNNNNNNNNNNNNNNNNNNNNNNNNNNNNNNNNNNNNNNNNNNNNNNNNNNNNNNNNNNNNNNNNNNNNNNNNNNNNNNNNNNNNNNNNNNNNNNNNNNNNNNNNNNNNNNNNNNNNNNNNNNNNNNNNNNNNNNNNNNNNNNNNNNNNNNNNNNNNNNNNNNNNNNNNNNNNNNNNNNNNNNNNNNNNNNNNNNNNNNNNNNNNNNNNNNNNNNNNNNNNNNNNNNNNNNNNNNNNNNNNNNNNNNNNNNNNNNNNNNNNNNNNNNNNNNNNNNNNNNNNNNNNNNNNNNNNNNNNNNNNNNNNNNNNNNNNNNNNNNNNNNNNNNNNNNNNNNNNNNNNNNNNNNNNNNNNNNNNNNNNNNNNNNNNNNNNNNNNNNNNNNNNNNNNNNNNNNNNNNNNNNNNNNNNNNNNNNNNNNNNNNNNNNNNNNNNNNNNNNNNNNNNNNNNNNNNNNNNNNNNNNNNNNNNNNNNNNNNNNNNNNNNNNNNNNNNNNNNNNNNNNNNNNNNNNNNNNNNNNNNNNNNNNNNNNNNNNNNNNNNNNNNNNNNNNNNNNNNNNNNNNNNNNNNNNNNNNNNNNNNNNNNNNNNNNNNNNNNNNNNNNNNNNNNNNNNNNNNNNNNNNNNNNNNNNNNNNNNNNNNNNNNNNNNNNNNNNNNNNNNNNNNNNNNNNNNNNNNNNNNNNNNNNNNNNNNNNNNNNNNNNNNNNNNNNNNNNNNNNNNNNNNNNNNNNNNNNNNNNNNNNNNNNNNNNNNNNNNNNNNNNNNNNNNNNNNNNNNNNNNNNNNNNNNNNNNNNNNNNNNNNNNNNNNNNNNNNNNNNNNNNNNNNNNNNNNNNNNNNNNNNNNNNNNNNNNNNNNNNNNNNNNNNNNNNNNNNNNNNNNNNNNNNNNNNNNNNNNNNNNNNNNNNNNNNNNNNNNNNNNNNNNNNNNNNNNNNNNNNNNNNNNNNNNNNNNNNNNNNNNNNNNNNNNNNNNNNNNNNNNNNNNNNNNNNNNNNNNNNNNNNNNNNNNNNNNNNNNNNNNNNNNNNNNNNNNNNNNNNNNNNNNNNNNNNNNNNNNNNNNNNNNNNNNNNNNNNNNNNNNNNNNNNNNNNNNNNNNNNNNNNNNNNNNNNNNNNNNNNNNNNNNNNNNNNNNNNNNNNNNNNNNNNNNNNNNNNNNNNNNNNNNNNNNNNNNNNNNNNNNNNNNNNNNNNNNNNNNNNNNNNNNNNNNNNNNNNNNNNNNNNNNNNNNNNNNNNNNNNNNNNNNNNNNNNNNNNNNNNNNNNNNNNNNNNNNNNNNNNNNNNNNNNNNNNNNNNNNNNNNNNNNNNNNNNNNNNNNNNNNNNNNNNNNNNNNNNNNNNNNNNNNNNNNNNNNNNNNNNNNNNNNNNNNNNNNNNNNNNNNNNNNNNNNNNNNNNNNNNNNNNNNNNNNNNNNNNNNNNNNNNNNNNNNNNNNNNNNNNNNNNNNNNNNNNNNNNNNNNNNNNNNNNNNNNNNNNNNNNNNNNNNNNNNNNNNNNNNNNNNNNNNNNNNNNNNNNNNNNNNNNNNNNNNNNNNNNNNNNNNNNNNNNNNNNNNNNNNNNNNNNNNNNNNNNNNNNNNNNNNNNNNNNNNNNNNNNNNNNNNNNNNNNNNNNNNNNNNNNNNNNNNNNNNNNNNNNNNNNNNNNNNNNNNNNNNNNNNNNNNNNNNNNNNNNNNNNNNNNNNNNNNNNNNNNNNNNNNNNNNNNNNNNNNNNNNNNNNNNNNNNNNNNNNNNNNNNNNNNNNNNNNNNNNNNNNNNNNNNNNNNNNNNNNNNNNNNNNNNNNNNNNNNNNNNNNNNNNNNNNNNNNNNNNNNNNNNNNNNNNNNNNNNNNNNNNNNNNNNNNNNNNNNNNNNNNNNNNNNNNNNNNNNNNNNNNNNNNNNNNNNNNNNNNNNNNNNNNNNNNNNNNNNNNNNNNNNNNNNNNNNNNNNNNNNNNNNNNNNNNNNNNNNNNNNNNNNNNNNNNNNNNNNNNNNNNNNNNNNNNNNNNNNNNGCAUAACUUUUAAUUGUCAGACUUUAGAGUAUGUCGUUUAGUUCAAACACAGUGUGCAGAAGAUGAAGAUGGCUUGUAUUGACCAUUUACUGUGUAAAACCUUUUCUUUUGUAAACUUUUAACUUUGAUGGUUCAGCAGAUAAAUGCUAUUUUUAUCCCUCACGAGUGUGUGUCAGUUUUCUCAAUAAGAGAUGAUAUUUGACAUAUGGGGUUAAGAUACUCAAGUAUUGUUAUUUACUUAGCAGCCUGCUGUAGAAAUUAUUGGCUUUAGAAUGGGUGAGCUCAGGGGUCUUUCAAGAUGGUGUUCUCAUUACCUAGGUAUUGGUUUGGAUGAGACACUGGUGGAUAAUGCAGUAGAAAAUGCUGGAAUGCUGCGUGUAAAGGUUGAGCAAUUCAUAAGGGUGCUCUCAUAAGUCGUGAAGCCGGUAUGCCGGUUACAAUCUUUCUUGUGAUUUCUCUACCUUUCUAGAUAUCUUCUGUUUGCAACCAUUGUAAUAUCUUGCCUUUCUCUCAUAAUGUGUGGUAUCAUGUCUUUAGUGAUACUAAAUUACUAAAUUUUAGACAUGAAGUUGAACUAUUUUUGGAUAAGAAUGAUAAGGGGUGCUUAGAAUGACAUAUAUACCUUUAAUCUGAAACUACAUAUAUUAUCCAGAGAUCCACAUGUGCACAGUACAAAUGCUUUUUCAUGCUAAUCAUUCUCUGUCUGGCUCUGCAGGAUGACUUUGAAUUUGCUUCAAAUUUUAUUUCCUUCCAAAUACUUGACAAUUCUUUUGUAGAUGUAACAAAUUGUGUAGCGGUAGUGAGGGCAGUGACGAAUGAAUGUGAAGCAGGGAAGACCUUUGGAAGGAUCUUGUUGUGCAUCCCUCCUGGUCAUUGUUUUGUGGAUUUGGCUCUAUUUGAGGUAAAAGCUCAGUAUAUCAUAUUUUAAAGCCCAAAUUUGCAAAUGUGGCUAAUACAUUCUGUUGUAAACAGGAAGAUCAAAGUGCUAUGUUGCUAAAUAAGAUGAAUGAUAUUUGUGAAGGCUUGGGAGAUGCUAGAAUGAUGAUCUUGCAGGCAGUGACCUUCCAUUUGUGCAUAUUGCAGGAACCACUUGUACAAAUAACUGAGAGUUGUACCAAUUGAAGGUAACUCAUGGAUUCGAAGCUUGCAUAUUGAUUUCUUACUCAUGGUAUCCUGAGUUCUAUUCUGAUCAUGUCAAUUCACAAUUUAAGAAAUUGAUGGCAAAAGGAAAAACCUAGCAUAUUCUGCUUUUCUGUUGACUCCUGUUCUUUUCAAAAUUUUAGGAAGUGCUUCUGGUUGGAUGGGGAACCAGGCCUGUCCAGUUAAAUUUCCCAGCAGAAAUAGUAUUGCUCAAGAACUGGUGGUAUUAACCCUGUUUAACCAAUAACCAGGGGUCCUUGUCAACUGGUACCUAGCAAACCUAUCAAAAAGUCUGGACCAAUUUUGGACCUUAAAAAAAAUUGAAGGAGAAGUGUUGGAGUUGGCUUUGGGUUUGGAACUCCAACUUCUUUUAAUUAACAAGUGUUCCAACCAGUGUCAGUAACAAAUUUAUCUCGUUGGCUGGGUGUUGGAAUUGAAUUAAUCCUGUCCAUGCUCCUUACUACAUUUCCACUUAGAACCUACUCUUAGAGUGUAAAUGUGACUAGCAUAGGUACAUUGUGCGCCUUUAAUGGACCACUUCGUGUUUGUUCCUACAGAUUGAAGAAAUGCAAAAGUAUGCUCCAAAGAAAAUAUUUUUUGGUUGAGAGUAAAUACUAAAUAUUAGGUUUUCCCUAAUUUCAAAUCAAUUGAGAGACAAAGUGUGAAAAGGGUGAAUCUAUAGUCGCAGACAAAUAUAGAAAGAAUAAUCAUUCUCUUAUGGUAGGUGCAUAGCAGUUUGAGUUACUGACUGAGAACCACUAUUUACAAGUUCAUGAUGAUCGAUACUAUCAUGAUAGCAAGAUACUGUUGAGCAUUCCUGGUUUACAUGCAUGACAUAGCCUAUUUAGGCACACAAGGCUUGCUUCUCGCCUGUGUUUUAGCAUAAUGCAGGUGUUGCAUUUAUACUUUUACCCAACAAAGGUAUCUAAACAUCACGUCAGUUAUGGCCAUAUAUUCAAGGAACACUGGACAGAAAUCAAGUCAAUGUUUCUUUUGGCGACGGCAAGUACAGGCGUGGCUUGUGUUUUAGCCAUGAGAACGUAGGCCCUGGUCUACAUACUGGAUGAGGAUGAAGAAGAAAUCUCUGAUUCAUAAUGGUUGUCUGUUCAAGAAUUUGUGGUGGUUAUGCUGGUGUUGCUCCUGUUGGUGGACCUCUAAUACUUGAAGCUGCAAACACUGUGUGAGAAGCAAUGCAUGUGGGCUUUCUGACUGAAGCUCUUCGACUCCACCCUUCUUGGAGAGUCUUAAUCUAUACCUGCCAUGUGCCCUUUCUGCUAGGCAAGCAUUUGUCAAAGAGAAAGAUGGAGUAAAAGUGAACUAUUUAUCUAUUGAGUUAGAUAGAACUGACCGAAAGAUGUUGAGCCAUGGCUUCUAUCCGGUGGUAACUGUCUUCAUGGCAUUGCUGUAAGCUCUGAGACGUGCUCGAUAGUGCCAAGCUUUUGCUUCAUCUAUACAUAUUCAUUAUUUUCAUGUGUAAGAGAACCAAAUGUUUGGUUUGAAUUAUCUAUACUUUGGGUUGAAUGGUUCGGGCAAUGUACUUGACUAACAAAGUCUACAUUUGACUAGCCAGAUAUAUGGUUUCAAGGUGACAAUAAAGAACAUAGGCUAUAUUCCAAUCUCAGAUAUUUGGAGUCCUCAAAUAGAUGGUAGGUUUAGAUCAUGAGAUUUUGUAUACAAUAUCAUUAAUGGACUUGGUAUCCUUAAUAAAGAGCAUCACGAGGUCUUUUAAUUCAAUGAUGUUCAUUCAAGAAUCUAAAAUUGUUUAAUUGUAUUAUUGUUUCUCUUGAAAUUAUUGCCAAUCUCCAGGAGAAAGUACGUAUGAAUGUAACAUGCGCAUUUGUGAUACUUCUUUUCUUUGGUUUAUUAUUUGUUGUGAUGAUACCUUUAUGUGAACCUUAGUUGAAUUUACUCUAAAAUUAAAUCCUCCUUUAUUUGUAGCCCUUUGUCGCGACCUCCCUGAAGCGGGUCGGAUCACCUAAGGGUUUGGCUAAUAGAUUGUUAAGCCUAGACUUAACUCGGGCUCUCCCAAGCCCAUACCAAUUCGCGACUUAGGUUCAAGUUCUUAAUAUGCAAAUGAUUUUUAUCAUGGAGUCGCCACUAAUCUAUUUUGGGUGGGUCGAUUAGAAACCCAAGUAAAGUAAUGGGAGAAUUACUUCACUCCUACGAACCAGAGAUUAAAUGAGUUCGGGGACUUGAUUACACUAGAUUUCUCUAACGCCCUUUCGGUACCUUUUCUUUUUUUUAUUUGAAAAAAUAUUUUGCAGGCAGCUUGAAUUGAUUUUAAUUUAUCAUCCUAAUAUGUGAGGUGAUCAUGCAGAUGCGCAAACCACCAAUUUAACACUCAAGAAAGCGAUGAAUAAAUUGCAGGACUUACCUCAUAGCAACGAAAGCAUCUGCAUCGUUAGAUCAGAAUUCACAUCAACAGACCUAGACAUGAUUUCUAAUUAACAAGCAAUUUCCCCUUUUUUUUUGGUUUUUACUUAUUUAAUGAGAAUCAUGCAAUAUGCAAUGCAUGCUACUAAUCUAACAUGGAAUGGCAAGACAAUGUUUUCUAAACUACAUGACGUGAGUAAAAAAAAAAAAAUAUAUAUAUAUAUAUAUAUAUAUAUGUUUUCUUAAUGAACAUGCAAUAAUUAAAUAUGCAAAUCAAAAUGACCUAAUUGUAAUUACGGGCAAACUGGUAGGUUGUGAGCCUNNNNNNNNNNNNNNNNNNNNNNNNNNNNNNNNNNNNNNNNNNNNNNNNNNNNNNNNNNNNNNNNNNNNNNNNNNNNNNNNNNNNNNNNNNNNNNNNNNNNNNNNNUUCGAAAUUAAGACAAAUGCAAAAAAAAAAAAAAAAAAAACCUAGCUAAAUUAAAAUUCCCUCCAAUUUAAACUUAGGAUUAAGUCAUGCUAAAUCCUAAUUUAAACUAAGACGUUAUUUUAAUCUAGCAAUUUCUAACCUAAGAUGCAAAUUGAUCUAAACUUAAAAUGAGACAUGCAAUUCUAUUCUAAAAUGCAUGAUGAUUUUUGUUCUGAAAAUUCGUAAUUUUAAAAAAUUUGCACACAAUUAAACAUGCAACCUAAAAAAACUAGCACCCUAAAUUAAUUAAUUUUUUUGGGGAUUUUUUUUAUAAAAAUUUGAAGUAAAAGUCUAAUUCUAGAUUGACACAUGCAAUUCUAAAAACUAAUAUCCUAAAUGCAUUUUUUGCAUUUUUUUAUUUUUUAAAAAGACAAAAUAACUAAAUAUGCUAACCCUAGCCGUAAUCUAACUCGCAUUUUUUUGAAUUUUUUAUGCAAAAACAAAAGUUAAUUCAAAUAACCCGAUAUCCAAUCCAAUCAAGAUAAGAUUAAUACCCAAAAUUGACGAACCAUAUCUCGUGCAUGAGAUCAGGUUAGUCAAUUUUAAAUUAAAUCGCGAAUCGAAUCUCGGGCAUGAGAUUGGAUUGUCGAUUUUCGUACGACAUCGUGAGUCAGAUUUCGGGCGCGAAAAUCGGACUCCUAAUCCCUAAUUUGAGGGGUUAUUUCACAUUCGAAUUUCAAUCAUGCAUUAAUGAAUAAUCACACUAAGAAACUAUAUGAAAACAAACUAUAAACUAUAUAAAAAAGGAUAAAAUAAUAAUAAAAAACUACCUAAUUUGCUUUUCCUUUUUUUUCUUUUUGUUUUGCUUCCACGCACGGCUUGGCUGCUACAAUCAAUUGAGAGGGGCAACACCGGUCGGAGCUCUGGCAGGGGGAAGACGUCGGAGUUCCGGCGAGGGCGGAAUGGCGGCGUUGGCAGCAGCGGACUCGAGCAAAACAGUAGCGACACUUGGGCGGAAGUCUCGGAUGAGACUCGGAUCUGCACAACAGCGGCUUCGUCGGGCGGAGCAGAGUCGCUGGGCUGGCAGUGGCGCGGGAUUGCAGCGGCAGCUGCAUCUGGAACUCGCUGGAAGGAGGAAGGUAGCGGUGGGGGGUUGUUGCAGCGUCGACACUCGGAGCUCACCAGCAGGAGGGAGACGAUGGCACGGUGACGGUGGUGCAGGCGGAGCAGGGCGUCGAGCUGAGGCGUUGGGUGGUGAGCAGGAUGGAGCUCGGGGGUUGCUGGUGCGGGUGGUCAGAGGCGCGACUGUGGGUGUGGGCUGGAGGGUGCUCGCGGCGUCAACAGGAGGUGCAGGCACUAGCUGCGGGUGCAGGCAUCAGGGACAGUGGCGCGCAGGGCAGAGGGGCGGCGACGGGCUCGGAACUCGCUGGAAGGAGGGAGGUUGCUGGGGCGGUGACGGGCCACUGCGGGCGCCGAGCGGGUUGCACCGGCGAGAGAGUUCGGGGCUUCGGCGGUAAUGGGCAGCUGCAGAAGUCGAGUUGCAGGUGCUGCUCGAAGCUUCGAUCUGCAGGGGGUCUAGCCGUCGGGUGAAAGCACAGCGACGGGUGAGCGGAGGCACGGCGACUAGCGGCGACGAACAGGCCUGCUGCUGCAGGGUCGGCGACAGUGCUCGCCGAUAGGAGGGAAGUGGCCACCAAACCGCAGCUGCGAGGAGCGGGGCUUGAAGAAGACGACCUCUCCUCUCUCUUUUUUUUUUUUUUCUCUACCUCUCACGUCCACUCCCCCCUCUCUCUCUCUCUACUUUUUAGUGUACUUUCUCUGUUUCUCUUCUUUUUUAAAUCUCCUCCCCCUGACUUCAUAUUUUCUUUUGCAGGUUCUCUGCACACGUUCCUUUCCUUUACUCGUCUGACCGAAAGAGAAGAGGAGAGAAGCCCUUCACGAUGAAAACUUUUUUCUUUUUCGCUCCCCUCACAUACCUCCGAAAUGAAUUUUCUUUCUUCCCCCCCCCGGUCGACGCGGCUUCUUGUGGUCUUAUUUAUCCUUGCCUCUUGAAGAUAGCCAACUUUAUCGUGACAAGAUGCAGCCGCAACUUUUCCAGAAUUUAAGCUGAACUUUGCCCCCUUUUUUUAUCUUCUCCAGACCUUUCCUUCGGCCACCACUCCACUCUUCAGGAAAUCUUCUUGCAGGCGCCUGUAGGAUUGUUACAUCCCCCAUUUCGUGCGUGAAUGUACAUGCAUUAAUGAGGAGGUUUCUUCUACGGUGAAUUUUCAUUGUGCCAUCAAAGCUGACAUAUUAUAUAAUAUUAUGGGCAUAUUAUAAUAACACAAUAUGGGCAUAUUAUAUAAUAUAUUGUGGGCUGCUUUUGCUUCUUUGAAGAUUUCUCCCGAAUCUGCACGUCCACCGAAUUUGUGUAUGCAUGUGCAUGCAUUGAUGAGGAAUAGACAAUGGACGUGCGAGAGCUUCUUUCCUCAUUUUUUCUUAUGCGUGUUCAGACCAGCGAAAGAGGGACCAUCCUUUUAUGCACGCAAUCGACCGCUAGCCCCUGCUUCUUGUUGUCCUCUUAGUACCGAUGCAAAUGCGACUACAUGAAAUGCAAUUUUACUAUACGCAAUUUUUACUCCCUAAUUUUCUAUGCAAUUAAUUACUACAUGAUUAGUCAAAAUUUAGGUGUCAACAGCUGCCCCUCUUUGAAGGUGAGCUCGCAGAGGUUGCAUUCAAAGACAAUAUGAUACCUAAAUUUUGACCAUGAACAUGCAAUGGAUGAUAUUUUGGCGGGACUAUGGAUCCCUUUUUGUUUUUUGUUUUUUUUUUUUUUUGAAAUGCAGUUUAUAUGAUGCAUGGAAAUGCUAAUGCCAGUGAUAAAAGGAACUUACCUGGAAUAACUUACCUUCGGGGAGGGUAGAGUAACUUGAGAUAGUUGGUGUUACAUGUCCAGGACCUAUACCAUUCUAUGGUCGCCUAAACGGAGAACAAUUUUGAGACAUCCAGAUCUAGCCUGAGAUGUCAAGAAUUUGGGAACUUAACCAAUAGACUCUCAAUGUUAGGUGAGAUGAAUAUUAGAUUAAGAGGGUUCGAAAUACCUAGAUCCAUACUAAGGUAUAACGAGAAUGAGCAGAAAGCAUUCAUAUCCAGAAUGAAAUGCUUAAUGAACAGUUUUGAGACAUCCAGAUCCAGACUGAGAUGUCAAAAUUUUGGAAACUUAACCAAUAAACACUCAAUGUUAGGUGAGAUGAAUAUUGGAUUAAGAAGAUUCGAAAUACCUAGAUACAAACUAAGGUAUAACGAAAAAGAUCGAAAAACAUUCACAUCCAAAGUGAAAUGUUUAACGAAGAGUUUUGAGACAUCCAGAUCCAGAUUGAGAUGUCAAGAUUUUUGGGACUUAACCAAUAGACGCUCAAUGUUAGUGAGAUGAAUAUUGGAUUAAGAUGAUUCGAAAUACCCUAGAUCCAGACAGGUAUGACGAGAAAGAUCGAAAACAUUCCACAUCCCGAGUGAAAUGCUUAACGAAGAGUUUCGAGACAUCCAGAUCCAGACUGAGAUGUCAAGAAUUGGGAACUUACCAUAGACACUCAAUUGUAGGUGAGAUGGAUAUUGGGAUUAANNNNNNNNNNNNNNNNNNNNNNNNNNNNNNNNNNNNNNNNNNNNNNNNNNNNNNNNNNNNNNNNNNNNNNNNNNNNNNNNNNNNNNNNNNNNNNNNNNNNNNNNNNNNNNNNNNNNNNNNNNNNNNNNNNNNNNNNNNNNNNNNNNNNNNNNNNNNNNNNNNNNNNNNNNNNNNNNNNNNNNNNNNNNNNNNNNNNNNNNNNNNNNNNNNNNNNNNNNNNNNNNNNNNNNNNNNNNNNNNNNNNNNNNNNNNNNNNNNNNNNNNNNNNNNNNNNNNNNNNNNNNNNNNNNNNNNNNNNNNNNNNNNNNNNNNNNNNNNNNNNNNNNNNNNNNNNNNNNNNNNNNNNNNNNNNNNNNNNNNNNNNNNNNNNNNNNNNNNNNNNNNNNNNNNNNNNNNNNNNNNNNNNNNNNNNNNNNNNNNNNNNNNNNNNNNNNNNNNNNNNNNNNNNNNNNNNNNNNNNNNNNNNNNNNNNNNNNNNNNNNNNNNNNNNNNNNNNNNNNNNNNNNNNNNNNNNNNNNNNNNNNNNNNNNNNNNNNNNNNNNNNNNNNNNNNNNNNNNNNNNNNNNNNNNNNNNNNNNNNNNNNNNNNNNNNNNNNNNNNNNNNNNNNNNNNNNNNNNNNNNNNNNNNNNNNNNNNNNNNNNNNNNUGACAUGGAUUUUCAAGAAUAUCAAAUGAGAAACUUUCAGUUAGAAAGGACUUUCACUCACUCUCAUUAAGAAGGCUAUUUUGUCCCGACCAUUAAUGUCAGAUCACAGGAAUCACUCAAUCUUACUUUCAUCAUGUCAACAAGGGUUCGAGUACUCUCGCAAGCAGUACGACCUUAUCAAUCUAAGAGGUCUUUAAUAGGGACCGUAAUGUGGGCUUGGUCAAUGGCUUAACAAAGGGACUCUUUGAGUCAAGGCUAUUGAAAGAACAACUUCGCAAUCAUCUUCGGGUUUACAAGUCAAGAACCCUGCAAAAUGAGAAAGAAAUAAUCUUGCCCACACUUCUUCGAGCAAUGAUUAAGACAUAUGAAUUCCUACGUUAAUUUCGGUGCCUUAAUCUGAAGAGACUUUGUAAGGGACAUAACAUAGGUUAAGUUCAUGGGUUGAGAAGUAAAUGGAUCAUUAGGCUCAAAAUGUGUGUAUGGGGAUGAGAAUUGGUGAUCAUCUUGGCAUUGUCACCGGUCUUCUUUUUCACCAUUGGGAUUUUCCUCAUAGGUACUAUAAAAACUUGGCAUUUGGGUUCUUUGAGUACCACUCCAUUGGGAAUACACCCUUUUACAACUAAUAAUCAUUUAUCUUGACUCUUUCUUUCAUUUUCUAUGGGCAUUGUCCUUGCUUUUACCAGGCACACUGCUUUUUCAUGCCCCUUUUGUUUUGUUUUGUUUUGUUUUGUUUUUUUUAGUAACCACGUAAUGCUUUAACAUUUGGGUUCUUGAGGAGUUUUCAUUUUUUUGUCAGCACUCGGGAUUUUGUUGCUUGAACAUUUGCCUUUUGCCUUGCCCCGGUGUGGGGGAUGAUCACCAAUUGGGUUUAAAUGAAGCGAAUUUUUAGGCUCAAGGGGCUACGCAAUGGAUAAAGUGUGUAAGAUAGAGAAAGAACUGCUCUUCAUCAUCCUAAGGCACUUGAAUUAUCGUAUGAAUUCAAUGUAAUAGCAAUACCUGAAGAUUGAUGCAAGUGAGAGCAAUAAUAUUCCUAUCAAAUUCCUCACCUCAUGAUGUCGUCUUACCUCCAGCUUGCCCCAAUGCGGGGUGGUUCUUGACAGGGGUAAAUUAAAACUAUUCACAUGCGUGGGCUCAAAAGGGUUUAAACAAUGGAUGAUCGCAUAGUGUUUGGGAUAGAGAAUGAACCGUCUCUCAUCAUUUCGAUCAUCGUACCUUUUGCGAGAAAACUCUUUACCUUAGAAACAUGGAAUUUCCUACACUCAUCUCACCAGUAUGUGAGUAAGGGACUGUGUAUAGGAUAAGGCUUGCCUUUCAUCAUCCUGAUAUGUCUCAUUUAGCAUGUUCAAGUCAUUCCACAUCAUUCAUUAACUUGAUCGAUGGUGACAAUCCUCAGUGGAAUUGGUAAUUAAACAGGUAAAACUAUCACGCAAAAUUCUCCUUUGAAAGGUCACAAGUACUUCAUGAACUCAUCAGCUUUGAACACAAAGAGUUUGCAACUCAAGAAAGAAAAAGGAUUGGUAAAAAAAAUUUGUUUUUUUUUGUUUUUUUUUUUUGUGUGGCAAACUUGUUGCCAUUUCCAGGGAUCGAACCCUGGUCGCUCUCGGACCUUUUCAUUCCCCAUGCCACCAGGCCGAGGCGUUGGUGGUGUCCUCAGGGCAUUUCUUUUUUUAUUUAAUUGAACUGACACUGGGUCAACACGUCUGAUAUACCGAAUCAAAUGAAUUCGAUAUGUGUGUGGAACAGGGCCUACUUCUCAUCUCAUUCAAUCCAUUCCCACACAAUUCAACGAAGAAAUGAUUACCUUCAAUUCACAACAAAUUCUUUCAAGGGUAAUACUUCUUCACAGCAUCAGAGUUGACAGGAUUAGAAAAUUCACGACCAUCCAUUUCUGUAAGGAUUAAGGCACCUCCAGGGAGUACCCUCUUCACCAUAUACGGGCCGCUAUAAUUUGAGCAAAUUUGCGUCCGGGAUCAGGAAAAAUCGGCAACACCUUUCUUAGAACUAGAUCAUUCACUUCGAAGUGUCUCGGCCGUACCUUCCUAUUGAAAGACUUGGCUACUCUUUGUUGAUACAUCUGACCAUGGCAAAGAGCUUUUAACCUUUUCUCAUCAAUCAGAGUCAACUGCUCGAACCUUUGUUGUGUCCAUUCUGCUUCGGACAAUUCCACUUGGGAUAAGACUCUCAAAGAGGGGAUUUCUACUUCCACAGGCAAGACCGCCUCCAUGCCAUAAACCAAGGAGAAAGGGGUUGCCCCAGUGGAUGUUCGGAUCGAUGUCCGAUACGCCAUUAGAGCAAAAGGUAACCUGUCAUGCCAAUCUCGAUAAUUUUCGACUGUCUUAGCUAGAAUCUUCUUGAUGUUCUUAUUAGCUGCCUCAACAGCUCCAUUCAUUUGUGGGUGGUAAGGUGAUGAAUUCAAAUGCUUGAUUUUGAACUCACUGAACAACUCAUCCACGAACUUGUUAUUCAGAUUUGUCCCAUUGUCAGUGACAAUUGCUUCGGGGACACCAUAACGGGCAAUUAUGUCACGCCUAAUAAACUUCACAACAUUUCGGGCCGUGACAUUAACAUAUGAUGCGGCUUCAAUCCAUUUUGAAAAAUAAUCUAUUGCCACCAGUAUGAAUCGGUGCCCAUUUGAAGCUUUGGGAUUUAUUGGGCCAAUCACAUCGAUCCCCCACAUUGAGAAAGGCCAUGGUUCAGAUAGCUGGUGUAACUCAGUUGGAGGAACAUUUAUUUUAUCUCCAUGAAUUUGGCAACGAUGGCAACUUCUAACAUGCUGUAUGCAGUCACUUUUCAGUGCAAGCCAAUAGUAACCUAGUCUCAUGAUCUUCUUGGCUAACAUGUGCCCAUUCAUGUGUGGGCCACAAACUCCUUCAUGCACUUCUUGCAUGAUUUGGGUGGCUUCUGCUUCAUCUACGCAUCUCAAUAAAACUGAAUCAUAAGAUCUCUUGUAUAAAUUCUUACCACUGACGAAGAACUUUGAGGCCAUCUUCAUUAUGUACAUUCUAUCGGCCGAAGUGCUUCCUUCAGGAAAUUCCUGCUUUUGAAUAUAGCUCAUGAUGUCGCAAUACCAUGACUUCUCAUCAAGCUUUCCAUUCACGACCAUACAAUAAGAAGGUUUGGCUAGAACCUCGAUUUUCAAAGGUUCAACUUCUAAACCAUCAGUAACCUGCAACAUAGAUGACAACGUUGCCAAGGCAUCGGCGAACUGAUUAUGAGAUCUGGCCAAGUAGUCAAACGAGAUUUCAUCGAACUCCUUCACCAACUCUUCGAGGUACUUAUGAUACGGCAGUAAUUUGGCAUCCCUGGUCUUCCAUUCACCUACAGUCUGGAGUAUGAUCAGUGCAGAAUCUCCAUAUACUUUCGAUUUGGCCACUCCCAUUUCAAUUGCGGCCUGAAGUCCGAGAAUACAAGCUUCGUAUUCAGCAAUAUUGUUGGUGCAUGGAAAUAUUAAUUUUGCGGCUACUGGGUGAUGUUGUCCGUCUAGGGAUAUUAGUACUGCCCCAGUAUCAGAACCGGACAAGUUCACAGCUCCAUCAAAGAACAUAGACCAUGCAUCUUCGCUUAUGGCCAAAAUACAAUCAUCCAAAGGACAAUCAUCAUCAUUCAAGUUUCUAGGAUUCUCAACCAGUAUAUUAACAAUUACUCGGCCUUUAACUGAUUUUUGUGGCAUGAACUGCACGUCGAAUUUCGAAAUCAAGACCUACCAUUUGGCUAGCUUACCCACCAGAGCUGGUUGAUUAAAUAAAUACUUGAUGGGAUCGUUCUCAGUUAUGAGAAACGUUUGGUAAUGCAAGGUGUACUGUCGCAGUCUAUGCAAUACCCAUACUAACGCAGCACAAGUUUUUUCAGCAUCAGAAUAUUUUAGCUCCGAGACAGUGAACUUUUUACUGAGGUAAUAAAUGGCUCGUUCCUUCUGAUCCACGGGACUUUUAUGAGCUAACAUCGCGCCGAGUGACUCACUAUGGAUUGUGAGGUACAAAAUCAAAGGAUGCCCUAAUAUUGGUGGAACAAGAACUGGUGGAUUCAUCAAAUAUUGCUUCAGCUUAUCGAACGCCUCUCGACAUUCAUCAUUCCACUCAACUCGUACGUUUUUCCUCAAGAGUUUGAAGAAUGGUUUAGCGGUCUCCAAGAGUUGGGAAAUGAAUCGUGCAAUGUAAUUCAGUCUCCCUAGGAGACUCCGGACCUCCUUCACUGUCGAUGGAGGUUGCAGCUCACAUAUUGCCUGGGCUUUAGAUGGGUCAAUUUCGAUCCCUUUGCUACUCACCAUAAACCCAAGUAAUUUUCUUGAUGCUGCCCCGAACACGCACUUGGCAAGGUUUAAACGGAGUUUGAAUUCACGAAGCCGAUCAAAUAACUUCUUGAGGGUUUCAACAUGACUUUUCCCAGGCCGGGUUUUUGCAAUCAUAUCGUCAACAUAUACCUCGAUUUCUUCAUGCAUCAUGUCAUGGAACAAUGUAACCAUGGCUCGUUGGUAAGUUGCCCCUGCAUUUUUGAGUCCGAAUGACAUGACCUUAUAAUGAAAGGUUCCCCACGGGGUGAUAAAUGUUGUCUUCUCUUUGUCUUCCUCCUUCAUUCUUAUCUGGUUGUAGCCAGAACAACCAUCCAUGAAAGAGAAUAAUUCAAAUCCAGCAGUACUAUCCACGAGAACAUCGAUAUGUGGCAAUGGGAAGUCGUCCUUUGGGCUGGCCUUGUUCAAAUCCCGGUAAUCAACACACACUAUGUUGGCCACUCAUUCGGGGUAUUGCGAGACUUCUAUGAACCCCACUUUGAGGAGUUUCAUUACUUCCUCUUCUAUCUUCUUCGAGAGCUCUGGUUUAGUCCUCCGAGGCUUCUGCUUUUUAGGAUGCACGUCUGGAUUAGUGGGCAAACAAUGUUCCACAAUCGACGGAUCUAAACCCGGCAUAUCAGCAUAUGUCCAAGCAAAGAAAUCCUGAUAUUCUUUUAGCAACAGAAUCAGGUGCUCGGCCUCAUCUUGGGGAAGAUUUGCCCCAAUCUUUCUCUCUUUGGGCUCCUCGGUAUCACUCAGAUUGAUAGUGACGGUUUGCUCGGAGGUGAGAACUUUGGGUUUUUCAUGUUGCUCCCAACUUUGUUGUACUCCAAUGGAGUUACCAUUUGGAUCGUCAGGGUCAUCACCGUCAUCGCUCAUGACAUUGGAUUGGACCAUUUUCACCUUUUUGCCCAUCAUAAGGCUGCUCCUGAAACAUAAAAUGGAUAGUUCAAAAAGACAAAUAGGGCUAAAAGGCAUGAAUUUCUUUUCUAUUUUUUCGAAUUUUCCUUCGUUUUGAAUUUUUUUUUUUGAUUUUUUUCCGAAUUUUUAUUUUAUUUAAAGAAUUUUGGCAAAACAUUUUGGAAAAACUUUUUGACACGAGGAAGCAUGAUGAAGCCCAGGCCUCAGAAUUCUCCUUGGAUUUUUCUUUUCUUUCAUCGGUUGGAUAUCAUCAACGGGCUGGUUUGGUAUACCCCAUCAUGCCCUCAAAAUAAAACUUGUAAUUGUAAUUAAUAUUCAUCAACCAAAUUACAUUUAUUGGAUUGAAAAGUACGGCAAUCAAAGUGAAAUGACACCCUAACAAUCAAACCCUAGCAAACAUCCACUCUUGACAAACGAUAUGCAAAAUACGAUAAGCAAACCCUAGAAACAUCAAAUCCUAAAAGCGAUAAGAUUCCCACGCAGGGGAGUGCAGAAAAGUAAACAUGUUACUCUUGUGGGCUAGCACCCAUUUCCUCCGAUGGUUCUUCAUCAAUGGCACCUAUAAGGAGAUCAUCGAAUAGAGUCGUGAUCCCUUCCAUCCCAUCAUCUGGAUCCUCUGUCUUUGAAGUUGUCGGGUCAUCCAUGCUACUCCAUCCAUCGGACACGAUACCACGGGUGGCGAUCACUCCUCCUUCAUCAUGCAUCAUUCUAGCAGGGCCGGGAAUGUCUCGCGAAUAUCGAGGAGUAAUGAGUUUUUUCUCUCUUGUUCAUGUCCUCCACCUUUUCCAUGGUACCCUAAUCCGGCGGAACGAGACCUUCGAGGGGCUUCAAUAGGGUUCCGGAUACCCUGUUCUUUUUUACCGAGUCCACGGCCAGGAAUAAAGCCAUUUCCAACCAUUACUCUUGCUACCAUAACUGCUGCAUUUGACACAUCAGGGAUGGGUGCUGUCGAUCCUCGAGAUGCAUGAAUAGUGGAUACGAGCUCAAAUGAUUGGUAACUUAAUUCCUCCCUAUGUUCCGACUCGACAUAGGGGAUAACUGUCUCAUGAUAGAUCCGAUGAUCCUCCUCGCCAUGAACAAUGACUAGCUUUCCUUUGACAACAAAUUUCAUGCUUUGGUGGAGACUUGAUGGCACAGCUCCAGUAGUAUGAAUCCAGGGGCGACCUAAUAGGAAAUUGAAUGCGGUAGGAAUGUCCAUCACCUGGAAAAGGACGUUGAACAUCACCGGCCCUAUUUGCAGAUCAAGGUGGGUCUCCCCUAUCACCUCCUUUCUCGUACCAUCAAAAGCUCGGACGGAGGUCUUUGUAGCACUUAUUUUUGAAUGAUCUAUUUUCAGGCGGUGAAGAGUCGCCAAUGGAUAGAUAUUCAAGGCAGACCCAUUAUCAAUGAGUACUCGAGCCACAUGGGAAGCCUUACACUUGAUGGAUAUAUAUAAUGCCUUAGUAUGUCCCCUCCCCUCAAGAGGGAAUUCUUCAUCAGAAAAUGCUAUUAAAUCCUUAAGAAGAAUUGAUCCUACAAAUUCCUCCAACUUGUUUACCUCGAUCGUCUCUGGUACAUGAACUUCGCUUAGAACCUUCAUUAGAGACUUUUGAUGUGUAGGAGAUGUUUGCAAGAGUUCGAGUAAAGAGAUCUGAGCAGGCAAUUUCCGCAACUGGUCGACCACGUUAUACUCACUUGCUUUGAUUAUAGCCAGAAAUUCUUUGGCCUCUUCGUCAGUAACUGGCUUUGCAGGUUGGGCAUUAGCUUGAGCAUAAGUCCGACCAGACCUGGUAAUCAGGUCAACAUCUAGCUCGUAUGACCAUGGGACUGCUUUGUUAUCCUUGUACUCAUACAGCUGGGGCAUUUCAAUAAUUAUUUCUUCAUCGGUUGAAGACACUUCCACUAUCAGUCCUUCAUGGUCAGAGGCAUCCUCAAGUGGGGGCAUGUCCUCGAUCAAUGGAUCUGGUUUACUCUUUUCGGCACUUAGCUUAGCAAAUUCUUUCUCCCAAUCAAUGAUGACUUCGGAGAUAGUUGACACUAUUCCAGCUUGGUCAGCAUACACGAUUACGCUAGCCUUAACCAUUUCUUGAACCCUUUCCCUCAUGGUAGACAAGGGAGGAUUCUCAUCUGUCGGAUAGUAACCAACUCUAACUAAUCCGCUAUAGAUAUCUUUGACAGAUACCUUCAAGUUCAUCUUUUUGCUAGCAUUGAACUCGAAGAUUGCAUUCACGUUUCCCUGAUGUUCCGGCAACGGAUUCUUCUUGACAUUCGGUUGGGUGGUACGGAAAGAAAAUGCCUUAGUAUCCAACAAAUUUUGGAUCUUGUGCUUCAAAGUCAAACAUUCAUCAGUUGAAUGGCCGACCUCUCCCAUAUGAUACUCACAUUUUUUGGAGGGGUCAUAGUUGGAGAACUUUUCAGCAUUGGGCCGCUUUGGUUUGUGGGAGAUCAAUCCCUUGUUUCGGAGUAUCGGCAAGACCUGAGAUAGAGGGCCAAGAAGAGGAGAGAACUGCCUUUUGGUGAAUUGCCACUGUGCAAGCACUUGGCCUCCACCUUGCUGAUUCCCGAGGACACGAACCAUCGGAGGCUUACUAGGGGCUGGGUGUACAUAUGCAACAUUGACUUCAGUGGUUGGUUUUUUAUCUUUCUUCAUGGUGAACCUUUUGCCUUGAUGAGUCGGUUCAUUGAACCAUCCAUCCCUUAGCCCCAUCUCGAUUUGUUCACCCACUGGGAUAAGUUGGUUGAAGUUCUCAACGUAUGUGCUAGCCAUCCGGUUACGGAACUCAUACGGGAGAGUUUUGACGAACAACUUCAUUAACUCCUUGUUUGUAGGCCCAGGAGUGAUUUGAGCCGCCAAGUUUCGCCACCUUACAGCGUACUCCUUAAAUGACUCACUUUUCUUCUUCUCCAUCCACUCAAGAUCCUCUCGGGAAGAAGCAAUGUCCAUGUUGAACUUAUAUUGCUUUAGGAAAGCGUCAGCCACUUCAUUCCAGGUGUCUGAGAAGGUUUACAUUCUUCAUUAUUACCAGUUGAGUGCGGGCCCCGUCAAGCUUGCAUGAAACGAUUGGAUCAUGAGAGGCUCGUUCUUGACGUAUUGGGCCAUGCGUACGUGGUACAUCUGCAAAUGAGCUUUUGGGCAGGAAGUACCAUCGUAUUUCUCGAACUCCGGCAUCUUAAACUUCUUCGGUACUUUGACUUUCUCAUAAACCGACAAGUCAAACGGGAGUGAAUUCCGCGAUUCUUGCAAUUGUUUCAAUUUCUCUUCAAGUUUGGCGAAGCAUUCAUCUUGCUCCGCCUUAGGGGCAUUGUUAGCCUUUUCAGCUGUGACGAAUAGUGGGUCAUCCUCCAGUUCCGGCAUGUCAUCAUCACCCAUUUGGGCUUUGUUCGUCUACUUUGGGACUACUAUCUCGGGGAGAGCGGGUGCAAGAGUCUGAUUCACUUGGAGGGAUUGCAUUUGAUCUGUCAUAAGUUGCAUAGAGGUGAGCAACUGCUGGAGUUGAUUUUCCACAGCGGUCAUACGAUCACGCAUUUCAAUUUGGUCGGCCAUUUUUGCUCUUGAUCUUGUAAUGAUGGGCGAACGUGGAGGAUCCGUUAUCACCUAAUUUGAAGAAACGGACAAAAAUAAGUAUCUCAUAUGAAAUACACCGGUCCAUGGCAAUGGUCUAAAACUUUUAUUCAUUAAUGGAGUUUUUGACAAUCCUAACAAAAUAGAAGCAAGAUUAAUUCAAGCACUUCAUUAAUAAAAUAGAAGCUUAAAAUGCCCUAAACAAACGAACUAGAAAAGUAAAUGACUCAACUUCCUAAACAUUAAUCUAGAAAUGAAACAACAAGAUUGACUCAAACACUUCAUCUAGCUUGAUCAAUAUACACUCGGGACACCACUCGGCGCAAUCGCUUAUUCUCCUCUUGAGCUUUUUCAGCAACCCUUUUGAGGCGUUUAUUCUCAGCGCGGUUGGUGAUCUUCAGCGGCACCUCUGGUAUCUUUGGAAGUAACUCCUCUGGAAUCUUGUGUUGUUGAAUGUACUUAAUUGAGGCAUAGUACUUCAUUUCAUUGCCCUUCAACUCCUCCUCGGGCCACUUGAGUUUUCGUGGCUGGCACAUAUCCCACAUUGAUUUAAUUGUGAGAAUGGAAUCUUCAUGGCCUCGGUCUCCCCCAAUGAAGCUGACUCGGAGUGGAUCUGCUUGCAAUGCCGGGGGAAGCUUUUGCACAACUCGAUACUGACGGGUUACUCUAGUUGGAUAGUACUUCGUUGCUCCAGUGAAUCCCAGUAGAGGGAUUGGGCCAACACCUCCACAUGAAAGUCUUGCCACACGAACUUGGAACCACUUAGCAUGCCAUAGGAAACCCUUGGAAGUUGGUCUUUUCAUGAAAGCUAGCCACCUAGAAUAAUGAUAAUCCGGUGCAUGUUUUUAGUUGUUCUCAAAUCUCAUAAUAGGGUGAUUAGAGUUAUUAACAUCAAGUAUAGUCAUUGAACCACCAAACCCUUUUAUAUGAGAAAGAAACCAAAUUUGUAAAAGCUUAGGAGAGGAAUGGAAAGUCUUAUCACUGCUUCCUUUAAAUCGGGUGAGGGAAAGAAAGGUUUCAACCAUAAUAGCGUUUACGAAAUUUUUUCCUCCCAACACUUGUUCAACUAAGUGAGCCAUCAAAGGGUUAAUAGCAUUCUUGCAAUGAGGAAAAAGUAUAAACCCAAAGAAGGCUAAAAGGAAAACCCUUCGCAUUUGAAAUGAAUUGCCAUUUUCAAAACAUUCUUUUAGAAAAGAUAAAUGACAUGUGUUGCGGUGAGUUUUUAAAACCUUUCUUAUGUUGUCCUCCUUAAUUCUCAGAAAAUUGAAUAAGGCUACAACGGGGUCUAUUCCGAUAGAUGGGCUAAUUAAUUCAGCUUUCAAAGGUUUCCCAAUGGCAAUGCUAUACUCUUCCAAGGUGGGCGUGAGUUCAUGCUUACCGCCGAAGAUGAAAGUAGAAGUCUCGGGGCACCAACAAUGAGCAAGUGCUUGGAUGAGGCCGCCAUGAAUGUUGAUACGCAGCAAUGGAAGUAGCCGACUAAUGUGUGACUCUACAAAUUGACGGCCAGCUUGGUCUAACUUGUCCCACCAUGCGCUAAGCUCUUCCUUUGGAGGGAGAAUAAUUCGAAUGUCCGGUAUUCCCAUUGUAUAUUGAUCUAAGACUCAGGACAAUCCUAAUGCCAUGGACCGACAAAAUGAUAUAAUAAAGUAAGUAGAUUGCAAGAGUGCGAAUUUAGAAGACUUACUUUACCAAUAAACAAAGGGCAAUCACAUAGACAUGCGCAUGGUAAGUGGCUCGAUUUCUAGUCUAUCAGGCUUAACAAAGUGAAGCCACAAGAAUGAUCAGACUAGCCGUGGGUGUGCGAACUAAGUCGGGUCCUCAUGACUUCGGCUUGGUCAAAGAGCCGACCUGGGUUGCGGGCAUGCGAACCAAGGUGGGUACUCUUGACGCCAGAAAAGAAACUUCGGGAUUGAGAUGGGCGACUCGUACCGCGGGCAUGCGGUCGAAGUGGUAUCCAUCUCAAUACCAUCCUAGAUGAUCCUAUGCGGCCCAGGUCCGGCGGCGGGUUGUGUGUGCAAUAGUGUAGUGUAAAUGCAUAGGCAUACAUAACAGUUUAUAUCAAACAACGCUUCAUUCAUGAAAAUAAACCAUACAUUCCUACACCUCCCUGCAAAACAAAGGUCAACAAACACUUCCCCUUAUACCUCCCAUCCUGCAAAAACAUUUAACACCUAAAUGUUAGGGGCGUACCUGGAAUCCUCGCUGCCAAACAAAAACAUUUUUCAAAAGAAAAUAAAAAUUGAUCUAAGUCCACUAAGAGUUUUAACUCAAGUCCCCAGUGGAGUCGCCAAGCUAUCGCGACCUCCCCGAAGCGGGUCGGACCACCUAAGGGUUUGGCUAAUGGAUUGUUAAGCCUAGACUUAACUCGCGCUCUCCCAAGCCCAUACCAAUUCGCGACUUAGGUUCAAGUUCUUAAUAUGCAAAUGAUUUUUAUCAUGGAGUCGCCACUAAUCUAUUUUGGGUGGGUCGAUUAGAAACCCAGGUAAAGUAAUGGGAGAAUUACUUCACUCCUACGAACCAAAGAUUAAAUGAAUUCGGGGACUUGAUUACGCUAGAUUUCUCUAACGCCCUUUCGGUACCUUUUCUUUUUUUUUUAUUUGAAAAAAUAUUUUGCAGGCAGCUUGAAUUGAUUUUAAUUUAUCAUCCUAAUAUGUGAGGUGAUCAUGCAGAUGCGCAAACCACCAAUUUAACACCCAAGAAAGCGAUGAAUAAAUUGCAGGACUUACCUCAUAGCAACGAAAGCAUCUGCAUUGUUAGAUCAGAAUUCACAUCAACAGACCUAGAUAUGAUUUCUAAUUAACAAGCAAUUUCCCCUUUUUUUUUGUUUUUACUUAUUUAAUGAGAAUCAUGCAAUAUGCAAUGCAUGCUACUAAUCUAACAUGGAAUGGCAUGACAAUGUUUUCUAAACUACAUGACGUGAGUAAUAUAUAUAUAUAUAUAUAUAUAUAUAUAUAUAUAUAUGUUUUCUUAAUGAACAUGCAAUAAUUAAAUAUGCAAAUCAAAAUGACCUAAUUGUAAUGACGGGCAAUUUUUUUAUUAUAUGAGCCUAAUUCUACAUGACGUGCACAUGAUAUUUCUAUUCCUAAAAAUGUAAUUUAUCCUAAAAAUUGAAACUAAUUUAUCUAAAGACAAGUUUUUGAAUUUUUCAUGAUAUUCGAAAUUAAGACAAAUGCAAAAAAAAAAAAAAAACCUGGCUAAAUUAAAAGUCCCUCCAUUUUAAACUUAGGAUUAAGUCAUGCUAAAUCCUAAUUUAAACUAAGACGUUAUUUUAAUCUAGCAAUUUCUAACCUAAGAUGCAAAUUGAUCUAAACUUAAAAUGAGACAUGCAAUUCUAUUCUAAAAUGCAUGAUGAUUUUUGUUCUGAAAAUUCGUAAUUUUAAAAAAUUUGCACACAAUUAAACAUGCAACCUAAAAAAACUAGCACCCUAAAUUAAUUAAUUUUUUUGGGGAUUUUUUUUAUAAAAAUUUGAAGUAAAAGUCUAAUUCUAGAUUGACACGUGCAAUUCUAAAAACUAAUAUCCUAAAUGCAUUUUUUGCAUUUUUUUAUUUUUUAAAAAGACAAAAUAACUAAAUAUGCUAGCCCUAGCCGUAAUCUAACUCGCAUUUUUUUGAAUUUUUUAUGCAAAAACAAAAGUUAAUUCAAAUAACCCGAUAUCCAAUCCAAUCAAGAUAAGAUUAAUACCCAAAAUUGACGAACCAUAUCUCGUGCAUGAGAUCGGGUUAGUCAAUUUUAAAUUAAAUCGCGAAUCGAAUCUCGGGCAUGAGAUUGGAUUGUUGAUUUUCGUACGAGAUCGUGAGUCGGAUUUCGGGCGCGAAAAUCGGACUCCUAAUCCCUAAUUUGAGGGGUUAUUUCACAUUCGAAUUUCAAUCAUGCAUUAAUGAAUAAUCACACUAAGAAACUAUAUAAAAAAACAAACUAUAAACUAUAUAAAAAAGGAUAAAAUAAUAAUAAAAAAACUACCUAAUUCGCUUUUCCUUUUUUUUCUUUUUGUUUUGCUUCCACAUACGGCUUGGCUGCUACAAUCAAUUGAGAGGGGCAACACCGGUCGGAGCUCUGGCAGGGGAAGACGUCGAGUUCUGUGAGGGCGGACCGGCGCGUUGCAGCAGCAGACUCAGUGAAACAGUAGCGACNNNNNNNNNNNNNNNNNNNNNNNNNNNNNNNNNNNNNNNNNNNNNNNNNNNNNNNNNNNNNNNNNNNNNNNNNNNNNNNNNNNNNNNNNNNNNNNNNNNNUUUUAAAUCUCCUCCCCCUGACUUCAUAUUUUCUUUUAUAGGUUCUCUGCACACGUUCCUUUCCUUUACUCGUCUGACCGAAAGAGAAGAGGAGAGAAGCCCUUCACGAUGAAAACUUUUUUCUUUUUCGCUCCCCUCACAGACCUCCGAAAUGAAUUUUCUUUCUUCCCCCCCGGUCGACACGGCUUCUUGUGGUCUUAUUUAUCCUUGCCUCUUGAAGAUAGCCAACUUUAUCGUGACAAGAUGCAGCCGCAACUUUUCCAGAAUUUAAGCUGAACUUUGCCCCCUUUUUUUAUCUUCUCCAGACCUUUCUUUCAGCCACCACUCCACCCUUCAGGAAAUCUUCUUGCAGGCGCCUGAUUUUUACAUCCCCCAUUUCGUGCGUGAAUGUACAUGCAUUAAUGAGGAGGUUUCUUCUACGGUGAAUUUUCAUUGUGCCAUAAAAGCUGACAUAUUAUAUAAUAUUAUGGGCAUAUUAUAAUAAUACAAUAUGGGCAUAUUAUAUAAUAUAUUGUGGGCUGCUUUUGCUUCUUUGAAGAUUUCUCCCGAAUCUACACGUCCACCGAAUUUGUGUAUGCAUGUGCAUGCAUUGAUGAGGAAUAGACAAUGGACGUGCGAGAGCUUCUUUCCUCAUUUUUUCUUAUGCUUGUUCAAACCAGCGAAAGAGGGACCAUCCUUUUAUGCACGCAAUCGACCGCUAGCCCCUGCUUCUUGUUGUCCUCUUAGUACCGAUGCAAAUGCGACUACAUGAAAUGCAAUUUUACUAUACGCAAUUUUUACCUCCUAAUUUUCUAUGCAAUUAAUUACUACAUGAUUAGUCAAAAUUUAGGUGUCAACACCCUUCCAAGUCUUUACGUGUUCAAUGUAUUCUUCCCAAGGCAAGUGCAGAAAUAGUGACAUUUAACAUUAAUUAUAAGAUGGGAACAUAACAUUACCAACAAAAUGAAUGAUUGUUAUCAGGUUCACUGCCAGUGCAAAUCCCAUGUAAACUUGAAAUUCCGGGAGUCGUUUUACACAAGCUCGUUUUGGAGAAAUUGCAGUUAAAAGCUUCGAGGACCGGUAGCGUUUGCGUUUGGCAGGAAGAUGCGAAGUUGGGGCCAGUUCAGUCUUCGAAGGUUGCUGAGGGUUGCUGCCGGAUGCUGCCUGGUCUCCUUUCUCCUUUCUUUUGUGGUGCCGCUGGUUGGCUGACUUGUUGCUGUUUUCUGGCUGGUUCGUGCCGCCGUGUUGGCUGGUUCUUGCUGCUUUUGCUGUUUGUUGCCACUGUUUUGGCCUCUUUUUGUUUCUUUCUUGGCACCCAUCCACUCGCUCUGAUUAUUUGUCAUUUUGAGUGUAUGUUGCUGGUGCUGGGAAUCCCCUUUUGUAUAGUUUGGUUAAAGUCAAUAUACUUCUUACUUUUACCAAAAAAAAAGCUUCGAGGACCGAGAAAAUAAGAAGAGAAGACCAGGAGAACAGGUACGACUAAGGGAGAAGCUUUACUAUUGAUAGGACUGUCGGAGAAGACAACUUGUGUCUAUCGCACCAGACACCUUCGGCUAAGCCUUCCACUUAUAGCUGUUGUGGACCAUUUUAAAAUUUACUUCUGCUAUCAUCUCAGCAACCGUCCGAAUGAAUUGGAGAAUAUCAUGUCUUAACAGUGUGUUCCAAAAAGUAGCUCUAUUGUAUGUGGAUAAGCAACAAACUGCCAUGACUUAAUACAUAGGGCGAUGGGCAUGGUUGCAAUUCCGAUGCAUAAUGAGCGCAGAAUCCAAGUACACUCCUUGAAUUGUAUACGUUGCAUUCUUUACAUGUGAAAAAUCGCAGCACUUCUGAAGAAAGAUGUUAAAAGAUCUGAAGUAGACAGAUACUCUUUGAUAAGAAAAUUAGUCACUUCAUAAGGUAACAAAGUUGUUCUAUAAAUAAACAAGUAACUUUAUCAAUGAUCACGAGGUCAAACACAGAUAAGUACUUAAUAUGCCCUCAUAUAAGGAAAUGUACCAUCGAUUUCAUCAUACAAUAAACAGAGAAUCAUCUUACCUAAUUGAUAGUAAGAAAAUUCAAAUCAAGCUUGAACUACAAUCAGUGGUUCAUCUAAUUGCACAAUUCUGACACUUAUCUUCCUAAUGAAGAAACCCCACUGCAUCAUUGCCUUUAUCUUGAGCUAGCCAUUAACACCUUUGCUUUGUACCUCUAACAAAACCUUUGUCAUACGGUGGGUUUUGACUAAACACACCAGCCAGCCAGUUCUUCAAACCAUCAUCUGAAAUGGUUGAUGUACAUCUUCCACCACUUGAUAGCCUUCAGAUAGAGGAGGUAUACUACUAGAUUGGAAGCUUGAUUCUUAGGCAUUGGGGAUAUAGUGGGGAGAACAUUUUCAAUUAUUGUAUACUCCAUUUAGCUCAAAGAAUCAAUCGUUUGCGCAUUGUAAAUUAAUACCAUGGGACUGUACUAGCAAUUCGACCGUAGCAAUACCAUUUUCUUCUGGAGAAAUCGAAACAUUCCAACGGUCUAUAGGUAUGUGCUGUUGUGCAGCAAGAUGGGCACUUUUAUCAUUUGAAACCUCCAUGGCAUUUCCAAAAUUGGGAUAUUGUGACUGUGCUGGCAAUGCCAAAGCGGUUACACCAUUGUGUCCUGUAGAAAAAACUAGAACAUUAAUGUGGUUAGUGAACAUAGACCGCCGUGAGCAUAGUUCUCGAUCUUAUAAAAAAAAAUCUGGAAUAAAUGGUUCUGAUAUCAUGUAAAAGUGUUAUUGAUUUUUUUCCUAAUCCUGCAUAUCUCUUAUAAUUUUUAUUGCUGUCGGUUUUUGUUAUUAAGUGCCUCAAUUUCUCACAUAUAAGUUGAACCAACCAAUUUUCUUUUCUAAUAUGAUCUUCCAAUCAACUAUUGAUGAAAAUGCAUAUAUAAACAUGUUGUUGUUUGCUUAUUACAUCUUUUCAUAUCUACUUAGUGGUAAAAAUGUCUUGUCAAUAUCCACUUGGCAUCGCCUAAGUGAAGGUGAGUUUAAGCUAUUCAAAGUGCUUGACAUCCUUUCAAGCCAAAUGAGACACUAUUAGAGGUUCAACACACAAUAUUAGGGGAAAUUACCGAGAAAGGCCUUAACUUAUUGUGAUAGUAUCAAUUUAGUCCUAAACUUUUAAUUUGAUCAAUUUUAUUCUAUUUUUUUUGAGAAUUUGUCAAUGCAAUCCAUCCAACUAAUUUUGAUAAAAAAAAUCGCUGAUGUGGAUAAUUUUUACAAUUUUUUAAUAAUUUUUCUGACAUUUUCCUUCUUUCUUUUUUUUUUCCUUUUUUUUUUUUUUUGGGUCAGUGGAUGGUUGCCAACCGUCUAGCCACGUUUCAUCUCGAACUUUGAAUAGUUUAACAAGCAUAGCGCGCCUAAGAGAGGGAGGGAGUAGUAAUGGAAGUAGGGGUGUCAACAGUUCGGUUCGGUUUUUAGUUUUGGUUUUCGGUUUUUUUUUUUUUUUAAUGAAAUCUCCAAGCAACCCCCCAAGUAUUUUGUAAAAGAACCACUCUUUUCCUUUUUGAGCUCUAUAAACUAACUUUGGAAACAAUUUCGUCAUAUGACUAUAUCAAUUGAAGCAAACAACGCCCAACAACUUCAAGCUUCACGAGCAGAUGACUUGUUAAACAGCAGUCACACUCAUCAGAUCAGAUAUAAAAUCAUCUCAUACAUUGCCAAAAGUAAAGAGGAAAAAAAGGAUUAUAUUUGAAAUCAUUGCAUAGAGUUCCUACCAGUCAUCAAUGAAAAUUCUCCACCCAAAUGCUUAUACAAGUACUGAAAAGGACUAAACCGUGUAACAAGAUUCAGUUCACAAUAAAGAAGUUUUGCAUUUCUUCAAGCCAGUUGCAGCUGAUGUGGAGCGUGGAUUCUAUAAUUAUAUGAAGUGCAGUUGAAAUAUUCAGGAGUGAAGUGACAGGUCCAAUAUCAACAGGACUCACCGUGUUUAUUCUGACAAACAAAGUUCCCAUGACACCAUCAAAACAUUCUUGUGCCAAAGAAGCAAUUCAUAUUCUCUGCUCAUUAUGGAAUUAUCACCACAAAGCAACAAAUCUGGUCACUCAGUUCAAAUAUCACUUCUUUUAACAGUAAGAACCACGACCAAGUGAUGCAAAAGCUAUUCUCGCAUUCCAUUGUUAAGGUCCCAUGUAUGUAAGAAUGCAGAACGCAUGAUCAGCAAGCCUCCACAACAUUUUUUUGGCUCUAAGCUGUUGCUGUUCUCUCUUAUUGGUUCAGGAUACCACUAAAUGGGAAAUCACCUGAUUGUUCCACUUCAGAGGAUCAAUGUACAAACUGACCGAAACCAGAGCAGCACCUGUGGACAAUGCAUUACUGGAAUUUCUUGGUUUUCUUUGACCAUCCAGAGCAACCAAAUUUCCAACCAAAGUACAGGAUGAUUGAGCAAGACCCAACAUAUGGGAUAUACACCGAGAAUCCUAACCAAGAUGAGAUCUUUCUACUCAUUCAUUUCCUAACAAGCCCUUCCUUCUCCAAAUUAAUGCCGGUCAGUCAUUAAGUCCAUGUAAUGCUACAGACUCCGACAAUCAUACACAAGAGAACAGUCCCCCAAAACACUAAAAAAAGAAACCAAUCCGAUUCAAACCGAAACAUGAUCUUGCCAGGGUAAUGUGCAAAACAGAUAUCGUCACAACAAACAGCUCAUUCAAAUGAGCCCUCACAAGAUAACUUACUCCAAGAAGAGAGAAUUUCCCCAGAAAGAGAAAAGGGAAAAAUCGCACCUUCAAAGAGGCAAAUCGCUUUCGGGUUCCGAAACCAAGACCCGCAACGCCCACCCACCGUGGGAGCAAUGGCAGAAGCAUCGGACCACCUGUGGAGCUUAUGAGGAGGAGGGCAGAGGGCACCACGCUGGCGCGAAGAGGACGGCGUCAGAGACGAAGAAGAAGGAGAAGAAGAGAAACGCAAUGAAGACAGUCGAACCACAUCCACCAUCGAAGCCCCCAAGACUCGACCAAAAGCCAAAACCCAGAAGAGCGGAGCCGACUUUCUUCCCCCUCGGAGCUUCUGGGCACCGAGAAAAAGGGCCAAAAACGCAGCUUUACCAAAGAAAGAGGGCGAGGGGAGACAUGGGAACGGAGGGUCGCCGUCGCCGUCGCCAUUGCACCUCCAACCGAUCAAGACGAGACACGAGAGGAGAGGAGACGGGAGUCGGGAGAGAAAAACCGAAUUCACCGGUUUGUGGUUCAGUUCGGUUCGAUUAAUUAUUAAAAACCGAACCAAUAAAAAAAUGUUAACUUUUUAUAAAAAUCGAAUCGAAAAUCAAACCGCACUGAAAGAAUGGAAUUUUUCAAUUCGGUUCUAUUUUCGAUUCGGUCCUGACAAUCCUAUCCUCCGGCGCUCGGAGGGUUUUGCCAUGAAAAUUGAAAUUCUAGGGCUUCUUCGGUGCGGCCGCUUUACUUUAUAUCGUUUUAUUUAAAAAUAAUAUAUUUUUUCUUUUCUUUUUUAAUCUUCGUCAUAACUUUGCUCCAUGACCAACCUAUAUGGUCUAUACUCAACAAAAUUAUGUAGUUUUAUUUUAAAUUAUUAUCAGCCGAGGACUUGUGAGCUGAGUAAGACAAAGGCAAAGAACAAUGAACGUCACUUGGCCCUUUUUAUUUAUAUAAUUCUAUUUUAAAUUAUUAUCUUUUUUCUUUUUUUUUCUUUUUUUUUUAAAUUCAUCAUAACAGCGUUUUAUGACCCUUCUAAGCGUAGAUGAUCCCAAUUGUUAAAAUAAAUUGGGAGGAUCAAAAUUAAACUUAAGUAAUUGACAAAAUUUAUGCUAUGCAAUAAGUAACCCACUCAACAUUUCUUUCUCUCAAACUAAAAUAUAGAUGCAAGUUCAACAACAUAGUAAGAUAAAAAUAUCCCUAAUUUCAUAUCUUCCCAAUUCUCUUUCCACCAUUGACUCUAUCACGCAUAUCUCCGCACUUGCCACGGAGCCCUCUCAACCUCCGACCAUACUUUGUAGUCGCAUCACUCCAACUGGGGCCGGCACUUUUUGACAUGAUGCAUUUACAUUGGCAUCAAAGUAAGCGUGCUUCGUUGAAACUUAAUCAAUAUUGUGUCAUGAAGGGGAAGGGUAACAUGUUUAAACGCGCAAAGUACACAGGUGGUCACGGAUUGAGCCUUUCAAUGCUUUUAUCACAAUCGUAGACUGGUUUAAUUGAACAACUUAAUAUUUAUGCUGGUGGAUAUCACAUGCUUAAAUACAUUUUAGACGUGUAAAUAAAACGUUUGGUUAUAUUUUUGUGCAUGUAAAAGGAAUUAAUAUCUUAAACUUGUUAAGCAUGCCGUUGUGUGUGUAAGACAUCUAAUAAACUCAUCGCAUUUGGACUUCAGUGAUAUGUCACUAAAGAUAAACAUCUCAUAUUGAGGUCAAACUAAAUUCGAUAUGACAAGGAAGAACAGAAAAGACAGGAAAGGAGAAAAAGCAAAUGAUAAAUUUUAUACUUCUCCACUCUCCUAGCUCGCGCAUUAAGCACCUUUACAUAGAGUACCUUUUCUCUACGACAACUGAAAAGUGGCAAUAAAAUUACUCCAUUAAAGGAACCAAAUGGCCAAUUCGGCUAUGCAAAUUCUGUGGUACGGAGGCAAAACUUUCUUCCUGAUUCUCGAAUCCCAUUUACUCUCCACUAAAGGCUCUGAGAAAGAAACCAGUGUUGCAGUUCAGAGGCUAUCUGCCAAAGAGAGCAAGUUGACAAUUCCUUAACAAAGACCAUUUCUAUUGGUUAGGUUGUCACAAGGAAACAUCUGUUAAGCCAGAAAGCGUAUUACUUGCUGCGAUUAUGUCUUUGUGCAAUUACAUAACGAAAGCUUUCACACUGUUAGCUGCGGAAUCAAAAGCGAAGCUUCAGAUUGAGAGAUCGUUCUCAUCACCUGCAAAAGACGAUAAUACAACGUAAACCAAUGGCAUGCAUAGAUGGCUCACGAUAGAUAUCUACUCUAAUCUGUGUAACCGAACAUGCAACAAUUUGAUCCAAGUGCAUCAUCAAAGGAACGCAGAAUAGACUCUGGCUGUUGAAACUCGCAACAAAAACUUCAAGAUGGCCUAAUCUUAGCUUGCCGAAGAACUUGGGGAAAAAAAAGGAUAUCCUUUUGCCAUGAAAGUUGCAAGAUUGGUCCCCAGAAGACCCUCCAGUAGCACUUUGGAAAAGACGACAGAAAAAACCCUAUGCAGGAUCUCCUAGAGCCAAUUAUUCGAUUGAAUUAGCNNNNNNNNNNNNNNNNNNNNNNNNNNNNNNNNNNNNNNNNNNNNNNNNNNNNNNNNNNNNNNNNNNNNNNNNNNNNNNNNNNNNNNNNNNNNNNNNNNNNNNNNNNNNNNNNNNNNNNNNNNNNNNNNNNNNNNNNNNNNNNNNNNNNNNNNNNNNNNNNNNNNNNNNNNNNNNNNNNNNNNNNNNNNNNNNNNNNNNNNNNNNNNNNNNNNNNNNNNNNNNNNNNNNNNNNNNNNNNNNNNNNNNNNNNNNNNNNNNNNNNNNNNNNNNNNNNNNNNNNNNNNNNNNNNNNNNNNNNNNNNNNNNNNNNNNNNNNNNNNNNNNNNNNNNNNNNNNNNNNNNNNNNNNNNNNNNNNNNNNNNNNNNNNNNNNNNNNNNNNNNNNNNNNNNNNNNNNNNNNNNNNNNNNNNNNNNNNNNNNNNNNNNNNNNNNNNNNNNNNNNNNNNNNNNNNNNNNNNNNNNNNNNNNNNNNNNNNNNNNNNNNNNNNNNNNNNNNNNNNNNNNNNNNNNNNNNNNNNNNNNNNNNNNNNNNNNNNNNNNNNNNNNNNNNNNNNNNNNNNNNNNNNNNNNNNNNNNNNNNNNNNNNNNNNNNNNNNNNNNNNNNNNNNNNNNNNNNNNNNNNNNNNNNNNNNNNNNNNNNNNNNNNUCUACUUUCUCAUCUAAUGACCCAUUAAUUCAGGAAAAUAUGUUUUUAAGUUGGAUGGAACGAGGAGCUUGGCUAUCACUAGAAAACAUUACUCACUUGUAGACAACAUCAACAGCGUUGCAAACAUCCCAGCACAUAAUAAAAGUGUCCUACAUAGAAAUUUAAGAAGACACAUUGUCAGAGACAUGCCUAAAAUAAUGCAUGUUCACCAUGAUUCCUGAUUGCUAAGUCCAUCCCAAAACACAGUGGUUUACGCAGAAAUUGAGAACAUAGACUGUAUUUGAUCAUAGAAUAAAGACAGAAUUGAUAUCAAAAUAUUCGAGCAUUCUAUUUGGAGAGAGACUGGAUAUAACAAUUAGAUAUGUUCUCCUAUCUUAUCCGGCUUCACCAAUUAACACACAUCCCAUGUUAGUGAGUGCCUUGUUACCUGUUAGGUCACAGUGUCUGCAUAGAAGAGGGCUGGAUCAUGCUCUCUAUCCCUCUCUCCCCCUCUCUCUCUCUCCCUCUCUCCUCUUCUUUCUCUCUCAUCCUUUUCUGCCACAAUCGCCGCCCGCAAUUUAAACCCAAAGCCAUGCCCUUCCACCGAAGAGAAAAGCUUUCCACGUGUAUCUCGUCUCUAUAUUCGGGUGUACCCAAUCUCAUAGACUUUGCCUAUGCCAAAGAGGACGCCUGAACUCCUACUACCCUGUAUAAAAACCGAAGAACAUUCAAAAGUAAGUCUAAGAUAUGAAAAAAGCAUAUCUUCCCAUAAUAAUCACUAUCAGUAGCAGAUGGAACAAAUUUACAUAUUUUAGAGGCUACAACAAAUUCAGUCACUCAUAAUCACAAGGUAAUUGUUCCAACUUUUAUCUGAUUAAUUAAGGGAAAAGUGCAAAAAAAGUCCUAAACCUUUUGGUUUUGUGCCGAUUUAGUCCUAAACCUUUUUUUGGUGCCGAUUUAGUCCUAAACAUUUUUACGUUGUGCCAAUUCAGUCCUUUCCGGCCAAUUNNNNNNNNNNNNNNNNNNNNNNNNNNNNNNNNNNNNNNNNNNNNNNNNNNNNNNNNNNNNNNNNNNNNNNNNNNNNNNNNNNNNNNNNNNNNNNNNNNNNGAAUAAAAAUAUAUAUCUGGCUCUAUAUUCGGGUGUACCCAAUCUCAUAGACUUUGCCUAUGCCAAAGAGGACGCCUGAACUCCUACUACCCUGUAUAAAAACCGAAGAACAUUCAAAAGUAAGUCUAAGAUAUGAAAAAAGCAUAUCUUCCCAUAAUAAUCACUAUCAGUAGCAGAUGGAACAAUUUUGCAUAUUUUAGAGGCUACAACAAAUUCAAUCACUCAUAAUCACAAGGUAAUUGUUCCAACUUUUAUCUGAUUAAUUAAUAACAAAAACCUUGGAAAUGUCCAGAUAAAACGUUUACAUCGCAUGGCAUUGCAUGUGAGAGAGAGAGAGAGAGAGAGAGAGAGAGAGAGAGAGAGAGAGAAUGGUAGAGUCAUUACACAUAUUGCCGAGAAAAGGAAAAGAGAAGAUUAAGAGCAUUCUUCCUUUCCUCCUCCAGUAUACAAGUAGUUUCCAUCUUUUAAAAAAUAACACCCGGAAUUGCAAUUUUAUUAUGGGUAACCCCAUCUUGCUGACCACGUAAGAUGUGUAAAGAGUUCCAAGUUAUCAUAUUUGGAGAUUGCAAUAGUCUGGCUGUAGGAACCAGUCGCCAGCAUUCUGGUAUGAGCUGGAGAGAAAGCGAGGGCAGAUAUGAUACCUGCACAAAAGCAAUAGAGAGUGGGAUACUCAAUUCUCCCCGCUUAUCUUGUGAUCUAAAUAUUAUCUAGAAUCAUUAUGCAAUAAACAAGGAAAUCCAGGGCAUUUUGGAGAUCUUCUAUUUCCCUUUACAUGCAUAGUACAUCAGCCCCGUGGCAAAAAUAAAUAGAACAAGACAGCCUUUCAAUCCAAAGUAAUCCUUUGAAGUUGAAAUACUCAAUUCUUCUCCAUUCUAGUUUUUGAAAUCCUCUUUUAUUUAAGUUGAUAGACAAAUAUCCAGAAAUAGCUAAAACGGGACAAGCACAACAACGCACCUAUUUGACCUUCUUUGUUUCCUUCAAGGGUUGAGUGCUUCUCAAAAUCCCUACCAGGGCGAUGUACGUGAAACGCUCUUAUGGAUCUGUUAUAUCAAGCAAAAAUCCUAAACAUAAGCAGAGGAUGUAGGUUGUAACUUUAAUAGACUUAAAAUGCUAUAAACCCUAUGUAAAGGGAAUAGCUCCAACAAACAAAAUCAUUCAUGAUAACUGCAAAAACCACUAAGCAACCAAACACUGACGUUCUGAAAUUCAGGUAGCAGAGCAUAAGCGACAUCACCAAAUGCUGACUUCUUUUAGAAAUAGAAGGUAAAAUAAUGUAAGGAUUCUAGCAGAAAAGUUUGAGGGGAAUCAGAGUGGACCAUUGACAUGAGGGAAUUUAAGAGUCUUCAAAAUCGAAUGUUAACACUUACUUGUUCGUGCAGGAUUAAAUGCAAUUGAAAAUGCAGCUCUAAUUUCAUCCACAGCAUCAUAAGCCCUGUAUGUGCAACGAAGCUGUAAUGUCAAGUGGACAAGUCAAUAAAAUUUCCUAUUUUUUUUCAACGCAAUUCAAAAUGGGUUUGCACGAAUAAGAUUUUAAAAGAGAAGCUAAGAGGUUGCAGAUAACAGAGUUGCUACAAAGCAUGUCUAAGAUGUGUUAUAAGUUCGGGGUCCACAACUUCAAUGUACCCCUAAACGAUUAUCUGGCUUCCGUAAAGUCUCCCUAGAGUACAUGAAACCUCUAAGCUCCACUUCACAAUUCAGACCUAUCCAGUAGUAGCAUCCCAGACAUGAAUUGGAUGAUCACAAGUAGUUGAUGCAAAUACACAGCUAACCGGGUCUGAAAUUUGAAAAGCUCCCAUUUUCAAUUUUAGCUGUGGCUAGUAACCUUAAGAGAAAUAACUACAGCUCAAAAUAUAACCAUGAUAAAGUGGAAAAAGAGAAAAUUUAACGAGACAACCUGUAGCAGACAUGUAUGGUUAUCAACAGAAUUCAUAAACCGAUUCCUCUUCCGUCACAACAAGAUUCGCUGUAAAGGAAUCUGCAACCAAAGAGAACUACAUGAGACAUAAACACCCCAUUAUCUCAAUUUGCAAAUGUUUGGUUAUAGAUAUUUCUAAGCAAAUAGUCUCAGCAGUCCUAAAACUAACAUCUUUUCAAGCUACUGAAAUACACUGAAAUGAAUACACAUUCUACAUGACCACAAAAUGCCAUGAGGACCUGUACCUUGAUCAACAUCAAACAAACAUGCAUUUGCACUGUCGUUGCCCCCGUACUCUAGUCCGACCAUGAGAGAAAGCAAUUAAAGUACCACCAACAGCACAACAUCUCGCUAACGAAUAAACAUAAGAAGGAACAGAAAAAUCAGCAAGCACCGCCAUUGUCCCAAAAAAAAAACUUACAAUGCAAACGCAAGAAGGGUAUUGUCCUCUGAACAGAGUAAUGGAAAGACCAAAGAGAAAAUCAAGUAUAUACUUGACCACCCAAGAUUAUAAUAAGCUUCCAAAAGAAAAGCCAUUUUGCGCUGGGAUUGCUGAUCUAAGGGGCCUGGCCCUACAGAAGAUAAAUUUUAAAGCAGCCAACAUGACUAGAUUGCCCAAGAGUUCAGGGAGGAAAAGGGGGAGGAGAAGAAAAUAAAAGCAGAGCAAGACUGUGAAAGUCGACCGUGACCAACCUCUAGAAAUCAGCACAGCAUUUGUACAGAUUUAGCUUCAGCAUCUUCCUGUUAUAUGCGUCUCACCUGAACAUUUGCACUUGAGGAAAAAUGGGGAGGACAGGCAAAAGAUUGCCAGGAUCAACAGCAUCAAGCCUUAUGUAGGAGUCCGGUUGUCUCCCAUACAAUCAAAGCUGGAACAGAAUGCCGUCAAACCUGAUCCACAAACGGAAAAUCUGGGUGGUGGCAGUGUGGAGGAAGAGAAGUCCAGGAAUGGGGAGAAACCUGGACACCGGAUUACGAUCGUGGAGGAUUCGAUCAUCGAAGCUAAGGGAGCUUUCCAGUGGGCAUUGUCUCACACAGUUCAGACCCAGGACAUCAUGAUACCUUUGCACGUGACGAAACUGACUCAACAAGGUUUGAAUUCUUCAUGCAUAAGUUCUUUUGGGAUUUGUCUCUGGCUGAGCAUAUGUCUUGAUGGUGGUUUAUGAAGCAAACGAGUGGUUGUGUUGAUUUGAUUGAUUGCAGGAACCUGUGAAGAGUGUAACGAAGAGACGGCUCCAAGGGCUUAUCAGCUUGUUCAGUCCCUGAAGAAUAUGUGCCAUUUAAAGAGAACUGAGGCGGGUAUAUAAUUGUAACUCACUAGAGAUCAAGAACUCUGCUUAGAAUCCAUUAAACCAAGAUUUGCUCUCUCCCAUUCUAAAUGAUCUCGUGCAUGCUGUGUCUUUCUUUUAAGUGCUUUCUACUUGGCUAAUUUCCAUGUUCCAGACGGCGUCAUGAGUUCUUUUUCUCUCCAAUGGACCCUGCAUUUUCAAAUUCAUUUUUCAUUUUUAGUUUCACAAGCUUUCGAUUCUUCCUUCGGGUGGAUAAUUAGGGGAAAAACGAAAGCAAAAGCCUAGACAAAGGGGCAAAAUUCUCACUGUUCAUGGGUUUCAAUUUCUUUUUCUCUUAAAGUGAAUUGAAAGUAGUAGUUUUUCUCAUUUUUGUGCAUUCCUUGUUUAGUUGUUGGCAGCAUCCGUUGGACACUGAAUUUCCAAUUUGUAGUUAUAUAUAAUUAAGAUUAACAUCCUUCCUUGAGAGGUUCAUAUUUACAGCUAAAGGGAAAACUUGAAACAAGUGCAGAAUAGAUUCACGUUAAAAAUCUUAUAUUGUCAUACUUCAUAUAAUUUUGCCGUUAAAAGAGCGUGAACAAGAAUGAGCAGCGUAGUGCCCCAGACAACAUACCCUCGCCAUGAGAUCAACAAGAAACCCGGAUUCUCUUAAAAUUUUAUGACGACACCUAUUCGAAAAAAAUAAUCAAAGAUAACCUCAGCAUUUAUGGAAGCUUUUCGACAGCUGAGCACAUUUUGGCUCAUAGCAUGUAGUUUAGACAGACCGGCGGGUUGAAGACGUUUUUGUCCAUAUCGUAGGAACAAAUCAACCUUAUUAAUCAACUUCUUCGGCACAAGUGCAUCCCCAAGAAGAAACUUAAUGAGAGUGAGCAGAUGUUUUGACUCCAAAUCAUCUUCAAAGCUGGUGAUCUCAACUCUCUUGAGAUGUUUCUCCAAACAUUCAAAGUUCCCCUUCCGUGAGCACAAAAAAUUUUCUUCAUCGAAAUUAAAACGUUAUUCAGAUUCUUCAUCAAACUCAAACUGCAUGUGGAUACCCCAUUUAAGAAACUAAUUUAACAUUAGAUGUGGACCGUGGGAAAUAAGAAAAUCAUUGGCUAACUAAAAUUUCAAACAAACAACUUCCAUUUGUCCAUUGCGAAUGCUAGUUAGUUUUAACGAGUCUCCAUCAAUUUAAGCUCUUAAACUCAUCUACACAUCUUCUCUAAACAUGUUCUCUUUCUAAGUGCUCAUCGCAAAACUCUUAGCUCAACAUCUUAACUCUACCUGGCAGCAAAAGAACCUCCAGUACAACACUGCACUUACUUUAAGACAGGAACUCAAACAGCUUAAUAUUGUCCUGCACAAAUGUUGAGUAGACUGACAGCCAUGAGCAAAUUUCGAUUGCUGGACCAAAUAAGAGUUCGAGAAUGAUCAUCUUUAUGAGCUUCCAAAGUUUUAACAAACUGUUUAACAUUCAUGCAUAGAAUAAGUCAGCAAAAGAAGCGAACUGAAAAUAUCAUAGCAGAGGCACAAACCUUCAAUGGGGGGAGGGAGGUGAGGUAUAUUACUAAUCUUUCCAGGCAUUGUGAACUUCAUAGCAUGUUAUCCCAGGAAGGUCCCAUUGACUAACAGGAGUAUCAGAUUCCGACAUUUUUACAAUGGGGAUGGCAAUUCUUCCGUCUCCAAAAGGGGUAGAAUCUAAGCACAUUGAACAAGCAACAUAGAAAAUCUGAUUAAUACUAGUUUUCAUGUUUAACAUGAAUAUAUAAUAACAAAACUACAGUCCAUCCAAAUACUAUAUCCUUUGACCCUAUAUCCCACCACGAGAAGACCGAUAGGAUACUACAAGUAAAAAUUAACAAGUAAAUCUCUUUAAUAAUUGAGACUAUUUACAUAUGCUCCUCAUGUAGAACUUGUGAUAUUGAAGGCUCCGAAAAUUCCAAUAGUUGAUCACAUGAGAUAGAGAACCUCAUUGUUGACUGGAGCUUCCAAGUUAAUCCAUCCUUUGCCAUCGUAAAAUAUUGUGAGAAUACUUUGUAAGAUGAUAAUUGAAAACAACCUAAUGUGAUGAGAAAGCAUGAACCAGUUCUGUCUACCUACUAUGACUAGUUCCAUUACUCAUUUUUAUAUUUGCAGAUAAUUACAUUUUCUCUAUAAAUUGAAAGAAUGAAAUUUCAAGAAACCUUUCCAAUAAUCUCUUCAUGCAUUUUUCUUAUGAAAACCGAGGCAUCUAAGAAUGUUGCAGUGAGUAGCAUCCACAAUAAUUAGCAAUACCUAGUGGCAUUCAUUGGCAGAAAUUGAGCAAUCCAUUUAUCAAAAAUUAAACAGAGGGAAGAAGCUCCAAGGUUCACAGUAAUCUCUUACGUAGAAACUUGGAACACAAAGUUACGAAUCAUCCUAUCUGCCAAUAACUAACUACACAUGAGUUCACAACGAUUCCCCUUGAUGGAAGACUACAAUGCCACAGAGAACUGAGGUCACUCAACCGGGCCAACAUACAGCAUUAAAUGGUGCUACUCACGGACACCAUUCAACACGAGCAUGUCUUAUGAAGGGCAAAAAUAUAAUGAGCUCAUACCUGCAAACACCGACUGCCGAUGGUGAUAAUAGGAACUCCGAGCAGCUGCUCAAAAAGUUCCUUUAACAAGUUGCUGCACAUCCUCUUGCCACCAGACAACAAAAUGCAACAUGGCUUCUACCAAAGAAGAUACGUCUCAAGUCUGAACAGAAAAUCAUGAGGCCAAUACCCCGAUACCCGCAGCAACAGCAAAUGCGGGGCCCAAAGUUUCUGCGUGUUAAAGAACCUGGGGUGGAAGACUACCAACUCUUUCAUACUUGUCGAAUCUAUCUUAAUGUUCUUCACGCCCUUGCAGAAAUCCAACACAAGGGACUCUAAAACAGGGCUUCCCCUGACAAUUCCGAAUUGUUGAUUCACAAGAACUCAAGACAAGGCCACCUGUUAGUAUCACCUGACGAAAAAGGGCACAAUCUGACUUCCAGGCAUACCAACCAACUCAAGCAAUACAUGAACUGCGGCAGUGUAUACAAGAACGGCGACUCGAGAGGCAGACACAUGCGGCGCCCCUCCGCCAUCAGAUUUGAUCUCACAGUUACCCAAAAAGAUUAUUAUCUGAUCAUCCUUCAUCAUACAUUAGUUACAGCCAAUUAAACCGCGACCAAGACAGACUCAAAACUCUACUUUGUGCAACUGCCCAAAGCUAUCCACAAGUCCGCAUAGCUUGUUACAAAAAGCGUGAGUUCAACAUUGCUAGAUCGCUGCAGCUAAUGGAUUUGCCUGGUCAUCAAUCACGAACAUUUUCGAUCCAUGAAAAUUAUAGUAUAGAUAGACACAAAUUUUUUAAGAAUUCUCAAGAAUACUGUUGCCAUUUUUCAUGGGGCGCGGCCUCAAGAUCAGCACCACCAUUUUCAUCAUCCAUGCUACUAGCUGCAGAAUCAAAGCCUAGCUCCAGAUUCAGAGGCCGUUCUAAUCACCUGCAAAAAGAUGAGAAUAUAAUGUAAACCAAUGGCAAUAGUAAAUUGUUGAGGUGAUCAUCAAAGAAAAGCAGAACAGACUAUGGCUGCUUAAACUAGCAACAAAAAAUUCAAGAUGGCAUAAUCUUAGCUUGCUGAAAAACUUGGAAAACAGGGGAUAUCUUUUCACAAAGAAAAUGGCAAAGCUGCUUGGGCCCUAGAAGAUCCUCCGGUGGGACUUUGAAAAAAAAUUAAAGAACGAGAACAAGAAAAACCCCGAUGGAGGAUCUUCUAGAACCCAAUACUUUGAUUGAAAUGGCACAAUCAGCAAGUCAUUCAACAAGGUGAAGUGAAAUAUGCUGUAAAGCUUUAACAGCAAAAGGUGGACGUCCAUGAUACCCCUCAAAUGAAAUACUCCAUCAUCGCCCUAAGCAACUUCAAGUCUUCAGUGACCCAAAGAAGAAGCAGCCAGUGGUAGAAACGGGUGAAAAGAGAAACCAUUUACUGUACCUGCAUUAUCACGGAAGACAAGGAAAUAUUCAUCAGCAGGCAAAUUUAAAAAAACAAAACACAAUGCCCAUAAGGGGACCGGAAACCCUUGAAUUACAAAGUAUCAGACCUGAUGCAGCCUGAAAGCCUGAAAUCCACUGGCCAGUUUGAAGAUCAUAUAUAUGAACAAGACCAUCCUGAGGGCAAAGACUGUUAGAAAGAGUAGUCAAUUGAUGAAAUAGUUCACUGUAAAUAUAAAACAAGCAUGAUACCUUACCGCCUGUACCAAGAUGUCGACCUAGAGGCCCAACAUCAAAGUAUAUCUCCUGGUUGGUGUCUUCACAUGAUCGAUACAACCUAUACAAACGAUUGAGGGACAAAAAAAGUCACUUGAGAGAAAAAACUUUGCCUUAGGAAAGGCGCAGGAAAUAUUCCACUUUCUCAUCUAAUGACCCUAAAUUUCAGCAAAAAUAUGUUUUUCGGUUAGAUGGAAAGAGGUGCUUUGCUAGCACUAGAAAACAACACUCACUUGUAGACAACAUCAACAGCAUUGCGAAAGUCCCAGCACAUAAUAAAAGGGUCCUACAAGAAAUUUAAGAGGAGACAUUGUCAGAGACAGACAUGCUUACCCACGAUUCCCAAAUGUUAAGUCCAUCCCAAAACACUACAGUCAUUUUCGCACAAAUUAAGAACUUAGACUGUGUUUGAUCACAGGAUAAAGACAAAAUUGAUUCGAAAAUAUUUGUGCAUUCUAAUUGGAGAGUGACUAGAUAUAAGAAUUAGAUAUGUUCUCCUAUCUUAUCCGGCUUCACCCAUUAACCCACAGCCCAUUUUAGCAAGUGCAUUGUUGCUUCUUAGGUCACUCUGCCUGGAAGAACAGGGCAGAAUCAUGCACUAUCUCUCACUCUCUCUCCCUGCACCCCCUCCCCCGCGCUGUCUCUCUCUUGUCCUUUCUUAUUGUAUUUUAUAUCUGGCUCUAUACUAUCCAAUCUGAUAGACUUUGCAUAUGCCAAAGAGGACAACUUAAAUCCUAUUACCCUGUAUAAAAACCAAAGAACAUUCAAGCAAGCCUAAGACAUGAAAAAGGGAUGCCUUUCCAUGAUAAUCACUAACAGUAGCAGAUGGAACAAAUUUGCACAUCUUAGAGGCAACAAAGAAUUUAAUCACUCAACGUCACAAGGUAAUUGUUCCAGCUAUUUUUCUGAUCAAUCAAUCACAAAAACUCUGGAAAUGUCCAGAUAAAAUGUUUACAUCACAUGCCAUUGGGAGAGAGAGGGGGAGAGAGAUUGGUAAAGAGUCAUUAAACAUAUUGCCAAGAAAAGAAAAAGAGAAGGUUUAGAGCAUUCCACCUUUCGCCCUCCAGUCUAAGGAGUAGUUUCCAUCUUUCAGAAACAAAACACCUGGAAUUGCAAUAUGAUUACCUAAAAUUUCUUGACAAAUAACCAUCGCAUAAGGAAAUCCAAUCAUCUGGCACUUACAUGGAUGACCCCACCUUGCUGGCCACGUAAGAUGUAUAAGAGUUCCACGUCAUCUUCUCAGUAGAUUGCAAUCCUCUGGCUGUACGAACCUAUUGCCAGCAGCUGGAGAAAAGGCAAUGGCAGAUGUAAUACCUGCACAAAAGCAAAGAGGGUGAGAUACUCAAUUCGACCCUUUUAUCUUGUGAUCUCUAUAUUAUCUUGAAUCAUUGUACAAUAAACAUGGAAAUCCAGGGCAUUUAGGAGAUCUGCUAGCUCCCUUUACAAGCAUAGGACAUAAGCCCCAUGGCAAAAUAAAUAGAACAAAUCAGCGUUACGAUCAAAUGUAAUCCUUUCAAGAUGCAACGCUCAGUUCUUUUUAGUUUUAGUUUUUGAGAUCCUCUUAUAUUUAACUUGUUAAACAAUUCUCAAGUAAUAGCUAAACUGGGACAAACUUAAUAAUGCACCUGUUUGACCUUCUUUGUUUCGUUGAACUGCUGAGUGCAUCUCAAAAUCUCUACCAGGGCGAUAUACAUCAAACACACUUAUGGUUUUGUUAUAUCCAGCAAAGAUCCUACACAUGAACAGAGGAUAACCGCAAAUUAAAUCAUUUAGGAUAACUGCAAACACUAAGCAACCAAACACCAACAUACCAAAAUUUGGGUAUCAGUGCACAAUCUAUAUCACCAAAUACUGAUUUAUUUCGACACUAGUAGGUAAAGUAAUGUAAGGAAUCUAAAAGAAAAUUUCUAGAGGAAUUAGAGUGGACUAUUGACAUGAGGGAAUUUAAGAGUCUUGAAUGAAUGUUAACCUUACUUGCUUCCCGCAGGAUUUAAUGCAAUUGAAAACGCAGCUGUAAUUUCAUCCACGGCAUCAUAAACCAUGUAUGUGCAACGUAGCUGCGAUGUCAAGUGUAUCAGUCAAUGAAAUUUCCCGGUUUCUUACAAGGCAAUAAAAAACGAAGCCGCACGUAGAAGACUGUAAGGAGAAGCGAGGGGUUAUGCAGACAGCAGAGUUGCUACAAAGCAUGUCUAAGAUAUGUGAUAAGCUCGAGGACUACAACUUCACCGUACCCCGAAACAAUAUAUGGCUCCCAUAAAGUCUCCCCAGAGUUCUUGAAAGCUCUAAUCUAAACUUAACAAAUCUGACCUGUCCAGUAGUAGCAUCCCAGACAUGAAUCAGAUGAUCACGAGUAGUUGACGCGAAUACACAGCUAACUGUGUCUGGAAUUUGAAAAACUUCCAAAUUCAAUUCUAGCUGCGGCUAAUUACCAGAAGAGAAAUAACUAUAGCUGAAAAUAUAACCAUGGUACGGAAAAGAAGAGUAAAAUUUAUCGAGACAACCUGUAGCAGACAUGUAUGUGUACCAACAGAAAUCAUAAACCAAUUCCCCUUCUGUCACAACAAGAUUUGCUGUAAAGGAGUCUGCAACCAAAGAGAACUACAUGAGACAUAGACUACCCAUUAUUUGGAUUUGCGAAUAUUCUGUUGUAGAUAUUACUCGCAAAUAGCCUCAGCAGUCCUAAUGCAAGCAUGUUUUCAAGCUACUUAUACACACAGAAACAUGACCAAAAAAUUCCUCGAGACCCCGUACCUGGAUCAACAUCAGACGAACUUGCAUUUACACUGUUGUCACCCCCGUAGUCUGGUCUGACCAUGACACAGAGCAAUCAUAGUACCACCAACAUCACCACAUCUCAUGAAAGAAUAACGAACAGAAAGAACAGUAAGCACCACCAUUGUCCCCAAGCAAACUUACAAUGCGAACACACCAACUGUUUUGUCCUUUGAACUACUGAGAAAGCAAGUUCCAUCAGGCAACCUAAUGAAAGCCCAGAAGCCGCGCCACUACUCAGAAAAAGAACAACCAAACACCCAUCAAGGGAAAACGAAAAAUUACACACCAUUUGACGCCUUCAAGAAAGUUGUUCGGCCUCUGGUCAGUUCUUAACGGUUUGUGGAAACGAUAGGCUCUUUGAAAAGGAACAUCGAACCGACUCGCAGACCAUGAGUGGCCCCUGCGGAUUCCCGUGAGAGAUGAGAGUGUUUGGCGAGCUUCGAGCACGAGCUGUGAGACUUUUCUUNNNNNNNNNNNNNNNNNNNNNNNNNNNNNNNNNNNNNNNNNNNNNNNNNNNNNNNNNNNNNNNNNNNNNNNNNNNNNNNNNNNNNNNNNNNNNNNNNNNNGCUCCGUCGACCCUCUUUUGAGUUCUGCAAAGGGAUGGAGGGAAGCCCAUCACCUUUGUCUUGCGGAAUGAAAUAACACGGGAAUAUGUAGUAAUUUCAUGAAUAUAAACUAAACUCGGAAUUAGUCCCGAAAAAUGUCUUAUUUGAUAAGAGGAUAAUCUAAGAAUUGCAUGAUUGAAUUUCUUUUCAUGUUAUGUAAAAGUUUAUAAAUAAUAGCCACCUCGAUGAUUGUGGAACAAAAGUUCAUAGCUACGGGCCACGAACUGAUAUUAACAGUUUUUGAAAUGAAUUAUAAUGAUCAAUUAUGAUAAAAUUGCUUUAACUAAUUAUGAUAGUUAAUAUCUUGAUCAUUUAAGUUUGAAAAUUGAGUUAUCUUAUAACUUGAAUUUCAUUUAAUUCAAUAGUUUAAUAUUUAAGAACUUAAUUCUAGUAUGGUUGACUAUAUACUGAGCAUCGCACUUUAUUUAAUAUAAAUCACAUAUGUCUGAAGCAUGGACAAAUUAUUGACUAAAGGAUCAGCACAGAAAAAUGACUUACUAAUUCUGCUUAUGAUUUUGCUUUAUAAUAUGAAACUAAAAAAAUGAAAAAAAAGAAGAUAUGAUUCGACGUUACUUUAUUUAAAUUUUCAUAUGUUUCUAGUAUAUCACACUAAAUAAUAAUUCAAAUCACGAGUGCUGCAAAAUUUACAAAACAUCAAAAAUUGAAAGUAGAAAAAUAUAUAAGAGUUUUUUGGUUAGAAAAAAAAAUGUAUAUAUAAAAGUUGAAGCAGUUGAAAUCUGCUUCUUCAACAAGUGAUAAGCUAGUGAUGGGCCAUAAGGAAGGAGAUAUGAUAAAUUGCUUUAAUGCCGAUAGGUCAUAUUAAAUUUCAUAUUCGUCUUUGUAAAUUAAAAUAGGUCUUAAAAACAUAUUUCCUGCAUAAAGAUAAUUAGUUUACCUUAAAAGAUUAGCCAAGCUCAAAAUCUUAUGUACGAUACCUUUUAUCAGAUAAUUACAAGACAAGUCCUAAAACUUGUUACGAUAAUUUGCUUGGGUCUACAAAACUUACAUUUCGUGCAUGUAAGUCCUUAAACAUGCAAGUUUGAUGCACUUGAAUUUUUUCAUUAGCUCUAUUAAUUUAAUGGACGAAAAAUGUCAUGUGACUUUUUUCAUUAUGUUAGUAUUUCGUGACUGUCAAUAAUAAUAAAAAAUGACAUGUUAACGUCCAAUAAAACAUGAUGGAGCUAACAAAAAGACUAACGAUUUCACCAUUUAUUUUGGUUCUCCAAAAGAGGAACCAAAUCAAACCUUAUAAUACAGUUUACUUACGAAUACAAACUUUUUUGUUGGGAAAAAAUCCACUAGAACCAAAACACUAAUACUAACAUCUUUCCCCGAGUGGUUCAUAGUUACAACUCGAAUAAAAAAACUUGAAAAAAGAGCAAAUUAGAUAAAUGUUUAAAACCUAAUAUGUCACACUUCAUGUAACUUCACUGUCAAAAGUGCAUGAAUACAAAACGAGCAGUGCAGUGGCUAGGGCAAUGUACCCUUGCCAUGAGACCGACGAGAAACCCAAACUUUCAUAUGCUUCUAUGUGAACAGCAAUUCGAAAGGAUGAUCGAACAUAAGCUCCUCAUUCUUGGAAGCUCUUCGACAGCUGAGCACCAUUUUUCUCACACCAAGUAGUUUCGACAAAUUAGCAGCUUCAAGGUGUUUUUGUCCACGUUCUGUGGGAAAUCUAGCCUUGAUACUGAACUUCUCCAACACAAGUACAUUCCCAAGAAGAAGCUCGAUCAGGGCAAGCAAAUUUUUCGAUUCAAAUAUAUUAGCUCAUAGCCAAUGAUCUCAACUCUCUUGAGAUGUUUCGCCAAACAUUCAUAGUUCCCCUUCCGUGAACAUAGAAAAUCUUCUUCAUCACAGUUAAAAACGUUCUUCAUAUUCUUCAUCAAGCUCAAACUGCAUGUAGAUAUCCCAUUUAAGAAGCUUAUUUCACAUUAGAUGUGGAUCCACGGGAAAAAAAUAAAUUCAUUGGCUCACUAAAAUUUCAAACAAACAACUUUCUUGUGUCCAUUGCAUAUGCUAGUUAGUUUUACUUUAUAAUGAGUUUUAAUUAGUUUAAGCUCUUAAACUCGUCUUCACAUAUAAAACCUGCUCUCUUUCUAAGUGCUCAUCACUAAACUCUUAGUUCAAGAUUCUAACGCUACAUGGCAGCAAAAGAACCUCCAAUGCAUCAUUGCAGUUACUUUAAGACAUGAACUAAAACAACUUAAUAAUGCAUUGCACAAAUGUUCAAUAGACUGACAGAGAAUUUCAAUUGCUGGAACAAAUAAGAGUUCAAGAUUGAUCGCAUUUAUGCGCUCCCAAAGUAUUAACUCAUUGUUUGGACAUUCGUGCAAAGAGGAAGUCAAACCAAAGAAGCGAACUGAAAAAAUCAUAGCGAAGGAACAAACCUUCAAUAGAGGGGGGAGGUCAGGUCUAUGAAUUAUCUUUUCAGGCACGGUGCACUUUGUAGCAUGUAUGCUAUCCCGGGAAAGUCCCAUUGACUAACUAGUCCAUGUAGUCUCAGAUUCUGCCGUAUUGACAAUGGAGAUCCCUUCCAUCUCCAAAUGGGACAGAAUCUAUGCACAUUGAGCAAGUAACAAAGAAAAUUAAAGUAAUAUUUAUUUUCUUGUCUAACAUGAAUUAAGAAUAACAAAAUUACAUCCCAUCCAGCUACAAUAUCCUUUAAUGCUACCUUGCAGCUGGGAAAAGACUAAUAAGGAUACUACAAGUAGAAAUGAACAAGUGAAUCUCUUUAUAAAAGGAGACUAUUUACAUAUGCUUCUCAUCGAAAACUUGUAAUCUUUGAAGGAUCUUAAAAUUCUAGUAGUUACUUACAUGAGACGGCAAACCUUGACAUUGACCUAAGUUUCCAAGUGAGUCUGUCCAUUGUCAUUGUAAAAUAUUUUGAGAAUACUCUAAAAGAUGUAUCAUGGAAGAGCAGCCUAAAGUGAUAAGAGAGCAUGACCUGAUUAUGUGAACCUAAGAUGACUAGGUCCAUUAUUCUUCAUCAUAUUUCCAAAUAGUUAUAUUUUCUCUAUAAAUUGACAGAAUGAACUGAAAAAUGAACAUUUUUCCAUAUAACCUCUCCAUGCACAUUUUCUUGUGAAAAUCAGGCAUCUAAGAAUGUUGCAUUGAUCCUAGAUCUAGUGGGCAUACAUUGUACCAAAAAUUGACUCAUCCCAUAUCCAUUUAUUGAAAAUUAAACAGAGGGAAGAAGCUCCGAGUUUCAAAGUUAUAUAUCAUCCUAUCUGCCAAAUUAAUCAAUACAUGCACUCUCCAAUAUUCCCCUUGAUGAAAGACUAGAAUGCUGCAAAAAGCAGAGGUCACUUAGUCGGGGUAACAAACACCACGAAGCAAUGCUAAUCACAGGCACGCACUAAUGAGAUCCCUAGGGCUCGAAGGAGGAGGAGGAGGAGGUGGAUUUCUUUCGGUGCCGCUUGGAUGGUCGCCUGAGGAGGAUUUGCGGUGGACGACACCAUGGAUGGAGGUCUCCGCCAUGAAAUUGCAAUUCUAGGGUUUACUUGCAGUUUUACACGCCGAGAGUUUUCGAAUGGUUUUACUUUCUGUGGUUUUCUAGAAGGUGAAGAAUAACGAAGUCAUUUGGCCCUUCUACUUACAUGAUUCGUGAAACAUAAAGACGCAAAAGUGAAUAUUUGGCCCUUCUAAUUAAUAUAGGCACAAAAAAAGUUACUAACAUGAUUGGUCAAACAAUAAAGAUGCAAAAGUGAAUACUUGAGAGAAAAGUUACGAAGUCAUUUUUUUUACCAAAAAAAAAAACUUAGCAAGAAAGGCAUAUUUUGCUGUAAAUAUUCUUCUUGAGAAUUUAAACUGUCUUAUUGCAGGAAAAAAGACAAAAUUGAUACGAAACUAUUUGUGCACUCUCUUUGGGCAUAUCCUAUUACCCCGCAUAAAAACCAAAGAACAUUUAAGCAAGUCAUGAGAAAAAGGAUGUCUUUCAGUGACGAUCAUCAUUUGCAGCAGAUGUNNNNNNNNNNNNNNNNNNNNNNNNNNNNNNNNNNNNNNNNNNNNNNNNNNNNNNNNNNNNNNNNNNNNNNNNNNNNNNNNNNNNNNNNNNNNNNNNNNNNNNNNNNNNNNNNNNNNNNNNNNNNNNNNNNNNNNNNNNNNNNNNNNNNNNNNNNNNNNNNNNNNNNNNNNNNNNNNNNNNNNNNNNNNNNNNNNNNNNNNNNNNNNNNNNNNNNNNNNNNNNNNNNNCACCUAUAAUUCCUUGAGAAAACCAUCGCACGAGGGCAAUCCAAUCACCUAGCAUUUACAUGUAAAAUAUUGCGAGAAUAUUCUAUAAGAUGAUUAUGGAACAACAACCUAAUAUGACGAGAGGUCGCCGCACUUGCCACUCAAGCCUCCCUGCCUCCGACCAUACUUUAUAGUCGCGUCACCUCCAACUAAGGCUGGCAAUUUUUGACGUAAUGCAUUUACAUGGCACCAAGGCAAGCGUGCGGUUGGCUUAAUCAAUACUAUGUCAUGAAGGCAAUCAUGUUUAAACACGUGAAGUAAACAUGCAGUCACGAAUCUUCAAUUUGUUAAUCAUAGUAAGGCAUUUAAUAAGCUUGUCAUAUUUGGGCUUUUAAUGAUAUGUCACUAAAGAUAAACAUGUCAUGUUGAGGUCGGACUAAAUUUGAUAAGACGUAGGAAGAAGAAGAAGAAGAAGAUGAGAAAAGGCAGGAAAAGAGAAAAAGCAAAUGAUAAAUUUCAUACUUUUUCAUUCUCCUAGCUCGCACAUUAAUCACCUUUACAUAGGGUACCUUCUCUCUCUAUGACAAUUAAAAAGUGGUGAUAAAAUUGUUCCAUUAAAGGAACCAAAUAACCAAAUUAGCAUUAAUACAAGGGAAAAUUCCAAAUAAGGACCUGAAGUUAACCAAUUUUCUCAAAUAAGGAUUCGAAAUGAACUUUGUGUUAGAUAAAUACCUAAAAUGGAUCCAUUGUCUCAAAUAAGAACAUGAAGUGGUUGGAUCAAUUCCAAAUAAGAACCUAAGCUUGCUAGUCAACCAAAUAUUCAUGUGACAUUUCCGAUGAUCGGAGUUUGGGCAAUUUUGUCCAACAAAAAUAUAGGAAAAAUUAACAAAUCUUAAAACAGAAACAAAAAAAUCAUAGGUUUUCUACAGUCUCUCCAUUCCUUGUACCCAUUCUCUACAAAGUCAAAGAUCAAAGUUCUCCCCAUUCCUUGUACCCAUCCCCCAUAAAGUCGAAGACCCAAAUUCUUCGCCAGUUGAGGCACAUAUUCAAAAACAAGAAGAAAACCACAUGCUUCUUUCUUUGUUAUGGAGACCCAAAUUCUCCGCUAGUUGAGCAAGGAAAGGAGUGAUGAGAAUCGAGUCGCGAUGAUGAUCGGGUAGUGAUUUGGUUAAGGAGCAGCAAGGGAGAAGAAAGAAUAAAACGUAAAUAUCUAAAUGAAUCACCUAAACUUAAUUAAAUUAUAAUUUUCCAUUUUUUUUCCAAUCACAAAUUUCUGACAAAAUUGCCCCUAUUUUAAUCACCGGAAAAUAUCUGCCGGUGAACUAAGGUCCUCAAUAGAGAUUAAUUGAUCAUUUCGGGUCCUUAUUUGACACAAAAUUUACUUCAGGUUCUUAUUUGAAACAAUGGGCCCACUUCGGGUCCUUAUAUGAUACGAAGUUCACUUUGGGUCCUUAUUUGAGAAAAUAGAUUCACUUCAACUCCUUAUUUGAAAUUUUCCCUUAAUACAAUAUAUGGUUAACACUACUAAUAUAUCUAGGCCAAGGCGAGGCUAGCCUUGCCGAUGGCCAGGUAAGCUUACCCAACCAUUGGCGAGGUUGAGCCUUGCCCAAAUCUAGUGAGUUAAGCAUCAUCCUAUAUUUGCCGAAUUAAUUAUGCAUGCACCGUCAAUGAUCAGCCACAGCUGAAGAUCCUCCACGCGGCGCCCUAGUGCGAAGUGGAGCCAAAGAUCGAGCUCGGGGCAGUAGCGGUGGUGGUACUUGAAGUUGGUGACGUGCAACUUCUUCAGCGUGGGCAAGGUGCACUGGCUUAGGACGCUGCCGUCGAGGGAGCGAGCGUCGCGAUUGCGAGGCUGGAAUCCAUCGAAUACGAGGUGGUUGGUGGAGUUUUAGGUGGACCACCAGCGCUUGGAGAGGACGCUGGUCUUGACGGCGUCUUCGAUGGGCAGAAAGGAGAAGAUGUUGUGGAUUGUGUCAUCUGGCAACAAAGGAAGAGGAGGCCGGUUUCCCCCGGCGCAAUUCGGACGGUCGCCGGAGGAGGAUUUGCCGUGGGCAGCGCCGUGGACGUAGGGCGCUGCCAUGUAUUGAAAUUCUAGGGUUUCUGCCGAUGUUCCCCCAGGUUUCCAAGGAUUUUUCCAAUUUCUUUUUCCUUUACUUUCUAUUAGAUCUGAUUUCCUUCUUUUUUUUAUCAAAAGAAAUAUUUUUAUUCAAAACAAAACCAAUCCUAAAAAGUCACAAUUCUUUAUCGAACUUUUUCUCUUCCGGGUUCUUUAUCAAGCAUUUUGAUUUGCAAAAGGAAAUAACAGGGGAUUAAAUAAUAAUCUCAUGAAAAUAAACUAAAUUAGAAUAAGCACGGAAAAGAUUCUUUUUAUUCAAUUAAUAGGAUAAUCUAAAAAUAACAUCCGCAAGCUUGAAACUCUUUUUAAUCAGUUUUAAUUACAUAAUAAUUAAAUCUUAAUAUCAUAUUAUCAUUUAUUUCAUUAUAAAUUUGAUAUGUAACUUACAGUUUACUCACACCUAAUGAUAAUCAUAAACAGUAAUUAAUAGAACUAUAUAAUUAUUUGGGGUGAUUAUAAGUUAGUCAAGCUAUCAAAAAAAAAAAAAAAUUAAUGUGCAACCAUACAAAUCAUGAAUUGUUAAUAGUCUGUGCAAUAAAUUUAUUAUUGAUCAAGUAUAAUAAAAUCACAUUAAUUAAUUGUGGUAAUUAACAUCUAGAUUAUUUAAGUUUAAUAAUUGAUUUAUCUUAUAAUAUAACUUUCGUUUAAUUGGGUAAUUUAAUAUUUGAUAACUUAAUCCAAGUAUGGACCUAGCAUGCACUUCAUUAAAUUAUGGAAAAACUAAUCAUAAUAUUGGCAUGAAACUAAAUUAAAGGCUUCAAGGGUUACAUAAGGACUGGUAGGGGAUGUUAGGUUCUUACCCUUGAAUCUACCCAUUGACAUACAUGCUUGCUUUGACCCAAAUUUUACUAAAGUGAAAGCAAGUUAUGUUUCGAAUUGAGCCGAAACUUAUUGGUAAAAUCUUCAUUUCUUUUUAUGCACUCUUCAUUGCUGAUCACGAACCUACAAGUUCACCAAAGAUAGCAUUGCUCGAACAAAAAGUUAGUAUUCUCAUUUAAAAAAAAAGAAAAGAUCCUCAUAGACACAUAAUUAUUGAUAAUUAAUAAUUAAAAUCCAGCUACUUUGGAUUUAAAAAUCUAAGCCAUUUCUAAUCUAAUGACAUAUAAUAAAAACUGAAAAAAGUAGCAUGUCCUGUCGUUGGAUUUCCUGGUUUGUUUUGGUUUUCAAAAAGUUAAACUAAAUCGAAUCGUGAAAUGUGGUCUAGUUCUAUCCGCAAACCUUUUUGUUGGGAAAAAAAUCACCUCAAACCCAAUUAGACCACCGAAAAAAAGAAAAAAAGUUAUGUUAAAAUUUGAGUUUUAAUUUCAUUUAGACAGAAAAGUACUUGAAGUUUGUGUUAUUUGAAUCAAACACGAGUGAAGGAGCUCAUAAGUUUUUGAAUAGUGCAAGUAGUCGCUUCACUUGGAAACAACGGGUCGUGCUGAAACUAAAAUCAAACUCUAAUGCUGUCUAUGCAGUAACAAGUAGAUACGCAAAGAUUUCAAAAUGCAGAUCAUUAUAGUCAGGAUUUGCUUAAUCUUUCAAAGUUGCAGAAAUAUGAUACCUCUAAGUUUUCUAUUUUGCCUGUAGAAGAAGAGAAGGCUGAGCAAUAUCGUAACCAAAACAACCUUUCAUAUGUCGAUAAUUCAAGACACUACCAUUAACCUCUUUCCUUAAGAGGUUCAUAUUUACAGCUAAACUAAUAUUGUCAUAGCUCAUGUAAUUUUACUGUCAAAAGAGUGUGAACAAGAAUGAGCAAUGUAGUGCCUAGAGCAACGUAGCAUUGACAUGUGAUUAACAAGAAUCCACCAAGGACGCCAAUUAGAAAGGAUAAUCGAAGAUAACUUCAGCAUUUUUGGAAGCUCUUUGAUAGCUGAGCACAUUUCGGCUGACACCAAAUAGUUUCGAAAGAACAGCAACUUGAUGAUUUUUCUGUCCCUUUCGUGAGUGCAAAUCAGCCUUGAUAAUCAUCUUCUCCAGCACAAGUGUUUCCCCAAGAAGAAACUUAAUAAGGGCGUGCAGAUGUUUCGAUCCAAAAUUAUUAGCUUUGAAACCGAUGAUCUCAAUGCUCUUGAGAUGUUUCUCCAAACAUUGAAAGUUCCCCUUCUGUGAACAUAAAAAAUCUUCUUCAUCAUAGUUAAAAUGGUCUUUCCAUUCUUUGUCAAGCAUAUACUGCACAAUUAUACCCCAUUUAAGAAACUUACUGCCUCACUGAAGUUUCAAAAAAAAACUUUCGUUUGUCCACCACAGAUGCUAGUUAGUUUUACUUUAUUUUGAGUGUUAAUGAAUUUGAACUCUUAAAUGCGCCCACACAAUAAAUAUCCCUCGUUCUAGAUGCUCAUCAUUCAAGUAUAAGUUCAAGAUCCCAACACUGCAUGGCAGCAAAAUAACCUCCAGUAUAAUGCUACAAUUAUUUUAGGACAUGAACUAAAACAUCUUAAAGUGGCCAUGCACAGAUGUUGAGUAGACUGACCAAGUUACAAGCAAAUUUCAAUUACAGUAACAAAUAAGAGUUUGAGAUUGAUAAUCUUUAUGUACUUCUAAAAUUUUUACUCACUAUUCAAACAUUCAUUGAAAAUGGAAGCCAACACAAGAAGCAAACUAAAGAUAGUAUAGCAAAGGAACAAACCUUGAAUACGUGUAAGCCAUUCAGGUGUAUGGUUAAUUUUUCCAGGAACUCUGAACUUCCCAGCAUGUAUGCUAUCCCAGGAAGGUCCCUUUGAGUAACUGGUGUGUGUAGUGUUAGAUUCUGACAUUUUGACAAUGGAGAUGGCACUCCUUUCAUCUCGAAAAGGGACAAAACCUAAGCAUAUUGAGCAAGCAACAAAGAAAAUUUCAUUAGUAUUUUUUCCUGUCUAAAAUUAAUAAAGAAUAACAAAACUACAUUCCAUCCAAAUAUGUUAUCCAUUGACCUUGUCUCCCAAUUGAGAAAAAACCAAUAAGGAUACUACGGGCAUAAAUGAAAAAGAUAAUUUGUUUAAGACUAUUUACAUAUGCUUCUUGUAUAAAAAAUUAAUAAAGAAUAACAAAACUACAUUCCAUCCAAAUAUGUUAUCCAUUGACCUUGUCUCCCAAUUAAGAAAAAACCAAUAAGGAUACUACAGGCAAAAAUGAAAAAGAUAAUUUGUUUAAAAGAUAAUUUGUUUAAGACUAUUUACAUAUGCUUCUUGUAUAAACUUGUGAUCUUUGAAGGAUUUGAAAAUUCUAGUAGUUGGUCACAUGAGAAAACAACCUCAAGUGACUCUAUCCAUCAAUCCAUUGCCAUUAUAUGAGAUGAUUAUGGAACAACAGCCUAUAGUGAUGAGAUAGUAUGACCGGUCCUGUGAACCUAUGGUGACUAGGUCCCUUAUUCCUAUAAUCUCUUAAUGUAUUUUUCUUGUGAAAAUCAUGCGUCUAAGAUCGUUGCAUUGAUAUCCUAUCUAGUGAACAUUCAUUGUCCCAAAAUUUGAGUCAUCCUAGAUCCAUUUAUUGGAAAUUAAUAGGAUGGAACAAGCUCCUAGGUCAACAAUAGACAUCAUCCUAUAUUUGUCUAUGAUUCCCGUGAUGAAAUACUAGAAUGCCACAAAAAGCCGAGGUUACUUGGCCCGGGCAACAAACAUUGCCAAACACUACAGACACCAUUCAACCCAACCCGAGCAUGUGGUAAAAUUAUUGAGCUUGUACCUUCAAACACCAGGCACCAAUGGUGAUAAUAGGAACUCUGUGCACCUUCUCAAAAAGUUCUUUCAUCACGUCAUAACACAUCCCCUUAUCACCCGGCGAAAAAGUUCGAAUGGAAAAAACUAAGUCAGCUUUAACCAAAGAAGAUACAUCAUCAAGUGUGAAUAUACGGCACUUCCACAUCCCUGAUACACGCAAUGACAGCAAAUGCGGGGCCCAAAUUUUCUCCAGCAGACAGUUAUUGGCACCAAUGAGUAGCAAGUCUUUCACACUUGUUGAAUCUAUUAUAACGUUAGUUAUGUGCUAACACUGCCGCAGCUCAAGGGACUCUAAAACAGGACUUCCCCUCAAGAUUCGCCGGAGGAAAUCAUCACUCAACUCCGCAUAUUCCAUCGACAAGACCUUAAGACAAGGCCAGCUGACAGUCAGGUCCAACGAGAAACGGCACAGACUGACUUCGAGGCACACCAACCAGCUCCAGCAAUUCAAGGACGGUGGCAGAAUAUACAUAGACCGCAUCUCGGUGAUGAGAGACAGGUAGAGAUCCUCCACCCAGCGCCCCGCCGCAAAGUGGAGCCAGCGGUCAACCUUGGGGCGGUCGGGCCUCAUGGUACUGUAAGUCGGUGACGUGGAAUUUCUUCACUGUGGGCGAGGUGCACUGCCUCAGGACGCUGUCGACGAGGGACGGGAAGUCAAAGGAGGAGGCGUCGUGAUUGCGAGGCCAGACUCCAUUGAAUGCGAGGUGGGCGGUGGACGUCCAAGUGCACCGCCAGUGCUUGGAGAGGAUGCUGGUCUUGACGACGUCUUUGAGGGACAGAAACGAGAAGAUGUGGUGGAUCACGGCGUCCGGCAAGGCGCUGAUUAGAUCCCCAGGGCUCAAAGGAGGAGGAGGUCGGUUUCCUUUGAUGCGAAUAGGACGGUCGCCGGAGGAUUUCUGGUGGACGGAGUGCGUCACCAUGGAUUUGAAAUUCUGGGGUUUCUGCUGAUGUUCCCUUGAGGUUUCCAAGGACAUUUCGUUUUCAUUUUGUUCUACACGAGCAAUCAAUUAGUUAUGGGAUAAUACCCUAAAAAACCCCAAACUGGUACACUUGUGACAAAUUUACCCCAAACUAUUUUUUUGACCACCAAAAACCCCAAACUGGUAUACUUUUGACAAAUUUACCCCAAACUGGUACACUUGUGACAAAUUUACCUUAUGUUAGUUUUCGUUAAAUUUUAUUCUCAAAUUAUUAAGUUAAAUAACACGGACAGUUAACUAGUAUACCAAUUUAGGAUUUUGCGUUCUGUUUGUUACAGUUUAUAAUUUUUAUGAUUUUUUUGUGGUAUUAAUCCAAUUUAGUAUAGGGUAUAUUUGUUACAAAUUUACCAGUUUAGGGUUUUUUACAGUCGAAUAAAUUAGUUUGGGGUAAAUUUGUCAUAAAUGUACCAGUUUAGGGUUUUUUUAUAGUUAGUCGGGGUAAAUUUGUCACAAGUUUACCAGUUGGGGGUUUUUCAUGGUCAAAAAAAUAGUUUAGGGUAAAUUUGUCACAAGUGUACCAGUUUGGGGUUUUUCAAGGUAUUAACCCAUUAGUUAUCGAUACAAUUUGGAAUCUUAUCUUUUUUUUUAUUCGAUCCGAUUUCCUAUCCUUUUUUAAACAUACUGCCUUAUCCUUCAAUUUUUCUUUUUUUAUAUAUUUUUCCUAUUUUGUCGCUGAAAUUUUUUUUUAUCGAAACUUUUCUCUUUCCAGUUCUUUAUCAUGCAUGACUAAAUAAAGAAUUUGAUUGCAAAAACAAAUUAGAAGAUUUCGAUGUGAGAAAAGAGGUGGAGGACUACAAUUAAAAUUUAUGCUUAGAGAAAAAAGGUAAAUUAAGUAAUUGAAUUACGUGUUAUGCUAACUUGGUCGGUAUUUUCUUUUAUUUUUUUCCUUAACAAAUGCAUGUUCAUCAAACAUUUAGGAUAAUAAAUUCUAAUUUUGGCUGUGUCGGCUCUUCCCGAUUUUUCAAUUAGGGAGAAAGCAUACCUUGGGCCUUUGGUUUGCAAAAUGAAAUAGCAAGAAUAUACUAAAAUAAACUAAAAUUAUAACUACAAAAAAGAUUCUUUUAAUCGAUUCACCAAACAAUUUAAGAAUAACAUUGGCAAGUUUGAAACUUCUUUAAAUUUAUGAAGAUUAAAUCCUGAAAUCAUAAUAUCGAUUCUUCAAAUUAUAAAUUUGAUAUGUCACUUACUAUUACUUGCAAUCAUAAACAAUAAUUAGUAGAACUAUAUCAUAACUUCUAGUGAUUAUAAAUUAGUCAAGAAUUAUUACAGCUUUUUAUUAUGAAAUCUAGGGAAAUUUUCAAAUAAGGGCAUGAAGUGUCAUCAUUUUUUUAAAUAAAUGCCUGAUGUGAAAUUUAUUUCAAAUAAAGACAUGAAAUGCCUCAUUUUUUCAAAUAAGGAUAUAGAGUUGACCUUAUUUAAAAUAACGGCUUAAAGUGAUUAUGUCAGUCUAAAAAAAUGAUCUGAACUCAUUGGAUGAUCAAGAGCACGUCUAUCAUUUAAAUUCUUUUUAUUUUCUAUCCCUUUUUCUUUCUUUAUUCCUUAUUCUAUUUUUUUUUCAAUAAAAACACAGACUCAAAGAAGAAAAAAAGGAUAAAACUAAACAAAAUAAAUAAAUAAGUAAACUAGGUACGAAGGCUAGGCCAACUCUCCUGCCUUGUGGACACUACCCCCAUCACGAGUGAGGUGUUGGCCAUGGUUGGCGAGGUCUUUGAUGCAGGCAACCCUCACCAACGAGAGGCAAGGGACAAUAGGCUCUCACCAAAAUCCCGCAAGAUUACCUCAUAUAUUAGGAAAUAAUAAAAUAUAUCCAAGCUGCUUGCUAAUUUUAUAUUAUUUUUUUGAUAAAAUGAAUGGUAUUUAAAGAGUGUUAGAAAAAUCUAAUAUAACCAAGUUCCCUUACCCAAAUUCCACUAUUCGCAGGAGUUAAGUAAAUCACUAUUAUUUUACUUGAUUUUCUAAUCGAUGAAUCAUAAACUAAUUAGUAAUGACUCCUUAUUGUAAGUCAUUUGUAUGUUAAAAAUAUGAACCUAAGUUGCAUAUUGCUAUAAUUUUGGGAGAGCCUAAGUUAAGUUUAGACUUAAUAAUCUAUUAAUUGAAUCCUAAAUGAUGCACGUCGAGGGAAGGUUGCGACAAAGGCACAAAUGAAGAUUGCCGAGAAAGGGGGAAAGCAUGAACUCAAGGCCUUAGCUGGUGGUCGUUAGAUAUGGCUAAGGUGUAGUCGAGUCGCCGAAAGACUAUCUCACCCUUUGCCAUUGCCAGCUGUUGGGAAUAACGGAUCCCCGAAAACCAAAUUCGACACUGAAUCAAACCCCUAAAUCAAUGCAGAAGACGAGACCCGGAAAAACACGUAUCACCGAUUGUAAAGCACACCACGGAUUCGAGCGUACCUUGUUAGCCACAGAUUAAACACCAAUGCCGAAGAAGAGGAAGAAAUUCUGAUCCGAUGAUGUCAAUUUGCCUUGAAAGGGAAACAGCGUCGCCUUGAGCGUUUGGGAGAAAAAGAGAGCAUUUUUCUUUUCUUUUUCUUGGAGGGAGAGAGGGAGAGGAACGUACGUACAUUUUGAUUUCCCAAGAGGUGUGUUCUCUCUCUCUCUCCUCCCUUUUAUACCUUCCCCCAUCCACGGGCCCUAUUCCCGUGGGCCGGGCCUUUUUGGGCUUAACUUGAGCGGAUGGGCCUUAAGCCCAUCUUAUAAAUCCAUCAUCUCCCACUCGCACAUGGUGGUCCAAAACCAACAUGGGCGGACAUUCCAUACUCAGCCCCAUCAGAGAAAAAUCCAUCAUAGACUCUCACUUAACAUGAAGGGCCGAACAGAAUCCUCUUUUCAUCUCUUCAACAUUCAUACCGGUGAAUAAUCCGUGCGACCAUCAUACUUUGAGAGCUCGUUGCCAUACAUCUGUUAGGAAUAUAUAGUAGCUCAUAAUGGGCAUCACACUCCGAGUAGAUUUAGUAUGCAGUACCCUAGAUCGAUCGAUCACAUUUAUACCUCUCUUGAUCUCUUUUAAACAAUGAUAUAUAUAUAUAUAUAUAUAUAUAUAUAUAUUGUAUUCACAAUUAUGAUUAUCACAAAGACAGUCAUAAUUGGUUAACCAGUGAAUACAAAACUACAAUGUGAUUCUCCAAAAUCGAUCUUCCUCUUUCCUUCAAACUCUCAAUUUCAGUCCAGCUUGCUUUUCUAGAAAUGCCUCAUUAGAUCGAAUCACUCAUGACCAUUGGCAACAUCCUAAGAUAGCAAACACUAAAUAGAAAUCUUGAGAAUAAGUAAGAGUCAUGAGGGGACUAAGAAAUUGAGGAACUCUCUUCCUCAAGAGUCUCACACGACAUAAAAGUUGAGAUCAAACUUUUGCCACUCUUAUUGGUCGUCUCAUGCAUACGUAGUAUGAAAUACUUAUUACGGUAUUAACUCCUUUCCCAUGGAGCGUAUGUCUACACUUUUCAAUACCGUACAGAUGAUAGUUCAGACAUACCCAAUGUCUAACUUGAGUUCACGUAUCUACUCAUUCACAAAAUUCAUCAGAACUCACAUCUGGCAUCUUAGACAGAUAAAGUAAAAUAUGUGGGGUAUUUUACUUUCGGACAUAGUAAGUAUUAUGUCCUCAUCUUAACACCUAGUUAAGGCGACAUACGUGUUUUAAGCUUGAGCUCUCGAUUAUCACCUAGAUAAUAAGCUUUAAAACAGUCUCAUCUUUAUUUAUCACACAGUAAAUAGAGGCGAUUACCCGUGUGAGUGGGCUAAUCUUAUAUCUGUCCGACAUACUUCUCAACUUAAAGUAAUGCACUAAGCAUUAAGAUGCAUAAAGAUCAAACAAAGAUUCAUAGGCAUUAAUGAUGAAAAUACAAAUUUAUCAAAUUGUGAACAUUUAGGGAAAUUACAAUAUUCAGUACAUCAGUCUCUAUGCAAUCCUAGAGAUUUCAUAUGACCACAAAACACAUCUCUAGGUAUUGGCUUUAUCAUAGGAUCUGCUACCAUUCCAUGCAUAUUAUGUACUCUAAGUUCACAUCUUUUCAUGCAACCAUAUCCUUGACAGGAUUAUACUUGGUAUCUAUCCGUUUGGUCUUGCCAUGAUAUUUUGGAUAUUUGGUAUAGGCUUUUGCUGCUUGGCUACCACAGUUAACCAACAAUAAAUCUGCAGCACUUCCAAUAACACCUAAAUGAUCCAAAAAAUCUCUUAAGCCAAACACUUUCCUCCACUGCUGCUGAUAAUGCCACGAACUCAACUUACAUCGUGGACAAGGCUAUACACUUUUGUUUUUUACUGCUCCAACAUAUGGUGCCAUUAUUCGGUAAGAAAACAAAUCCAGAGGUAGAUUUCCUUUAAUUUAAAUCUCAUUUCCAAUCAGUAUUAGAAUAGCCUUAGAGUCGCAGAUCCUUUUCCUUAAUAACUCAUCGUAUAAUUAGCAGUCCCCUUUAGAUACCUUAGUAUUCUUUUAACGACUUUCCAUUGUGCUGGACUUGGAUUGGAUUGGUAUCUGCUCACCAUUCCGACUGCAAAGCAUAUGUCGGGUGUUGUACACAUCAUAGCAUACAUCAAGCUCCCAACAACACUAGCAUAAGGAACAUGUUUCAUUUGUUCCUUCUCUUGUGGAGUCCUUGGACACAGACUAUGGCUCAAUCCUUCACCUUUUUGUAAUAGGAGUGUCUAUGGGUUUACAGUCUUGCAUACGAAAUCGUUCAAGAACCUUAUUUAUAUAGGUUUCUUGCGAAAGAGACAACGAUCUCUUCAAAACGAUCUCUUGAAGUCUUAACUCCAAGAAUGUAUGCAGCCUCACCCAUAUCCUUCAUCUCAAAGUUAGAAGACAACUAUCUCUUGACAGUAUUAACCAACUCCAUAUUGCUUCCAGUAAUUAAUAUAUCAUCAACAUAUAAUGAUAUGAUCACAAAUUAUUGAUAUAUACACAAUGAUCCUCAUCUAUCAUUGUAAAGUCAUAUGCCAUUAUAGCAUUAUGAAAAUGUAUAUACCUUUAUCUCGAUGACUGCUUAAGGCCAUAUAUCGACUCCCAAAGUCGACAUACAUUUUCUUCUUAGCUUUUCAUUAUGAAACCAGCAGGUUGUUCCAUAUAUGUUCCUUCCUCUAAUUCUCCAUUGAGGAAAGCAGUCUUUACAUCCAUUUGAUGUAACUCAAGAUCCAUACUAGUCACUAUUACCAGAAUAAUGCGAAUCAAGGUAAAUCUCAGUACAAGAGAAAAUGUAUCUCCAUCAUCAAUUCCUUCCUAUUGAUUAUACCUCUUCGCCACAAGGCGAGCCUUAUACUUUUCUAUUGAGCCAUCGGCCUUUCGCUUUAUUUUGAGAACCCACUUGUUCCCAAUAGCUUUGUGUCCUUUUGGAAGAUCAACCAGUUUCCAGACUUUGGUUUGAUUUCAUUGACUCCAUUUCCUCUUUCAUUGCAUGAAUCCAUUUUUCCUUAUUAGGGCAAUUCAGAGCCUCAUUAAUAUUUCUUGGCUCAUCCUCAUCUUGUGGAGUAACCAUAAAAGUUUCCCUUUCAAUGUCAAAACAUCGACGGGGAAUACUUUGGCUACUUGUUCACCGUAUGGGAGAUUGUACACUUAACACAUCAUUCCUCAUCAUGCUCCCACUUGGAUUAGGUAAUGAUGAUGUCGUCACAUCAUUUGGUUGCAAUUGAGAAUGAGUUGAAUUCAAUUCAUCACAUCUCAUAUUAUUCCCACUUGGAUGAACUCCACUAAUAUCAUUAUCUUGAUCCAAGGUCUCAAAUAGGGAGUUAUUUUCCCUUAUUUCGCCCCUCUUAGAAAAUUCAUCCACCGAGGAUGUGACAUCCCGUGAUUCAAAUUCAGUUAUACUCUCACUUUCCUACUCACCUAUGAACACAUACCCUUUUGAGUGUUCGCAGUAUCUCAUAAAAAUACUCUUAUUUUCUUUGGGACCCAAUUUCCCAAACUUGUGAGAGGACUUAUGAAUAUAGGCAGCACAACCCCAUGGCUUAAGAAAACUUAAGUCCGGUUUUCUAACUGUCCAUAACUCAUAUGAAGUGGAAAUAACUAAUUUGGAAGGUACCCAGUUAAGUAUAUAGGCAGCAGUUAACAACACAUCACUCCAAAAAGUGAUAGGUAAGUUAGCAUGCGCCAUCAUAGACCUAACCAUUCCAGUAGGGUUCUGUUUAUUCUCUCUGCAACACCAUUUUGUUGAGGAGUAUAUGGAAUAGACAACUAUCUUUUUAUUCCUUUUUCAUCACAUAAUUUUCUGAACUUAUCAGAUAAAUAUUCUCAACCUCGAUCGGAUCUAAAUACCUUCAUUUUCUUGUCUAAUUGAUUUUCUGCCAGGUUCAUAAACCUUUUGAAACAACUUAUGCUUCAGAUUAAUGAGAAAUCAAAUAGACAUAUCCGACUCGAGUAUAAUCAUCUAUAAAAAAGUGAUGAAAUAAACAACCCCUUGCCUUCCUCUCACAUUCAUUGAACCACAGACGCCCAAAUGGAUUAAAUGCAGAGGAAAUUCAGCUCUUUUAUCUUUUCCAAAUGAUUUCCUUGUCAUUUUCCCUACUAGGCAAUGCUCACAUAUGGACAAAUCGACUUUAUCAAUAUUGCCCAACAAGCCCUCUUUGGCUAGUCUAUUCAUAUGUUGUUGGCCCAUAUGACCAAGUCUAGCAUGCCACCAUAUUCACAUCAUUAUCAUAUAAGGUAGAAGACGUGAAACAAGGGAAUAACAUAUUGACAUCAUCACAGUCAAUAUUUAGUACAAUAAAACCAUUCAGUAAGUGACCACAACCAUAGUAGUUUGUAUCUAAACACAAAUCUACACAUUUAUUAUGGAAGUUCAUACCAAAACCAAGCUUAACCAACGUUAAGACAGACACUAAAUUUCGACGAAUCUCCAGAGUAUAUAGAACAUCAAAGGUGUGUCCACCACUCAUGUUCAAUUGGCCGGUGCCAAUUCCUUUACAUCAGCUCUAGAAUUGUUUCCCAUACGGAUCCACUCAGUUCCAGUUGGUACUUGUCGGAAUUCCACGAAGGAUUCUCUAUCCUUCCCUCUAUGGUCUGUCGCUUCUGAAUCUACAGUCCACAAAGAAUUGGAUUCAGCCAAUAAUAUUGAACUUGACACAUAAGCAAAGUUCUCAAAUAUACAAGAGGUGUUGACCUUUUUCGGCUCACAACAGUUGCAAGCAUAGUGACCUCUCUUGUCACAAUUGUAACAUCUCACCCUUGACAUUUUCUUCACUUGAGGACGUUUUCCUCUCUUGUGUUGGUUUACUCUUGAUUUCUUGCAAUAAUGACUUGAUCCUUUGCAUUCCACGUAUUGAACGAAUCAAUAUGUUUGCGCUUAGAGCUCAAAGCCCUUUAUGAGCUAGAACUAGCAUAGCCAAUGUCUAUUUUUGGCUCAAAUGCCAAUAGACAGUCCUCAGCUAGCUCAAGGUGGCGCAUGGCAUCUUCAAGAUCUUUCAUAAUGUGGUCAAGAGCUUCUAGUGCUUCUUGUUUUUUCAGCACAUAUUGAAUCCUCAUAUUCAAUAUUUCACAAUUGUUGCCGUUUAUAUCAGCAAUUACAUUCUUAGUUGCUGAACCAUCGUUCUGAACACAUCAGACAUAUAUGCACGAAUGCUUAAUGCCUAUCAUUUAUGCAUCCCUAUUUGCAUAGACCCACCAUAUCAAUGAAUAAUUUCAAGUAAGGCUUCAGAAUCAAAAGGUCACUACGUUUCCAAUCAUCCUCCAAAAAUCCUAACUUAAAAUUAUCAUUAAUAUGAUUGUCAUAUGCAAAAUCAAUUCUAUGAAGCUACAAAAACUUCUAAAACUACCCACAGCUAAUUACCCACAGCAACCAGCAAUAACAGAAAGCAACAGAUAAUUGACAUACAAUUAAAAAAUAAUAAUGCUUUCAAUUAACACAAUUAGGUAGUAAUCAUUACAUUAAGUUGUCCACAAAGCACACUUAAUAUAUAUCAGCUAAUACAACUAACACAAAGUCAGCACUCGAACUGGGAAAUAUUCUCUUUUGUUCAAGUUCUUGAUCUUUUCCCUUGAAACAAUACAGUAAUAUUCGUUUACAAAAUCCAUCACAAUUUUCUUAUAGGAAGCAGCUCUGUUGACAUCCCAUAUGCGAUUCAACACAUCUUGCCAUUCAAGUGGAAGAGUGUUUAUGAAAAAUCGCACCAUCUCUGACUGUGACAUAGGACGACCAUUCCAUAUGACCUGUUGAAUUUUCCUGUUGACUUCAAGGAUAUGAUCAAUUAAGUCACCUCUCUCCCAUCGAUGAUCAGUCAGCUCAGCUAUCAACUCAGACAGCCUAUCCCUUUGUUCAUCGUUAACUGCGCGAAUAGGUGUGCACAACCUUAGGGGAGGCAUAGUUUCUGCAACAAAUGCAAAACAAAUAAGGGAUCACAUUAUAAUCCACAUAGACUUAAUUGAAAAAGAAACACAUUCUUUUCCCUUUUUUUUUUGGGUCAACGGUCAACGGUUAAAGUCAACGGUCAAUGGUAGUCGGCCACGGUCAACGGUCAACGAUCAGAGGGUCAACGAUCAAUGGUCGUCGGUCGUCGGACCGGUCGGACCGAUCGGGCCGGUCGGACCGCUCGAGCGGACCGAUGCACGUGCCGCGCGUGUGCGGGGGAUGACGUCACGCAGACGUCAUCCGCACGUGCUUGGCACGUGCCUUCGUCAGCGAGUCGGGUGGGGUCGCCGGCCAGUGACCAUCCGGCGAAACGUCGUCGGUGAUGACGUCAUCAAUGACGUCAUCCGAAUGGUUACCGACCGUUGGAUGACGUCACGCUAACGUCAUCACGUGACGUCAGCACGCGUCGGUCCGCGGACCGGCGCGUGCCGGUUCGCCCGCCGGCGGCGUGCACGCGCCGGUUCGCCGACCGGCGCGUGUGUCGCACGCGCUGGCCAAUGCCAGCGCUUCAGGUGCGUCGCACCCACACGCAGCACCUUCCGGCCGCACGUGUGGGCGCGUGCGGCGGCGCCCGGCGGCGGUCGACACAUCGCCGGACUCGUCUCGACGUCGCCCUUCUUCCUAUGCAAUUACAAUUUUAUUUUGACUUACGAAAACUCAGAAAAAUGGCCGAAAAGCGCUCGGGUAUUGGGAUUUUCGCCCGGUUCCGUACGGCCAAAGUGAUUUCGCGAAAAAUCAAUCAAAAACAUCAGAAUUGAUCUGGAAAAACGUGAACUAGGGCUCUGAUACCAAUGUUGGGAAUAACGGAUCCCCGAAAACUGGAUUCGACAUUGAAUCGAACCCCUAAAUCAAUGCGGAAGACGAGGCCCGAGAAAACACGUAUCACCGAUCGUAAAGCACACAACGGAUUUGAGCGUACCUUGUUAGCCACAGAUUAAACACCAAUGUCGAAGAAGAGGAAGAAAUUCUGAUCCGAUGAUGUCAAUUUGCCUUGAAAGGGAAACGGCAUCGCCUUGAGCAUUUGGGAGAAAAAGAGAGCGUUUUUCUUUUCUUUUUCUUGGAGGGAGAGAGGGAGAGGAACGUACGUACGUUUUGAUUCCCCAAGAGGUGUGUUCUCUCUCUCUCCUCCCUUUUAUACCUUCCCUCAUCCACGGGCCCUAUUCCCGUGGGCUAGGCCUUUUUGGGCCUAACUUGAGCGGAUGGGCCUUAAGCCCAUCUCAUAAAUCCAUCACCACCUACCUUGCCGGCCUAAUCCUGACGACCAACUUCAAUUGGGCUGCCCCGUUUGCCUUGCUCUGCCACUGACCUCCGUUUCGUGCUGUUGUGGCAAAUCCCAAAGGACGGGGAGGAAAGGGGAAGGAAAAAAAGAGGGCUAGGCCAGGGAAGGGAAAAAGAUAAAAAAGAAAGGGGCUGGCCCAUGCGGGGGAAGAGGGAAAAAUGGAUUGGCCGAGGCGGGGGAAGGGGAAAAGGAAAAAGAGGCCGGGUUGGCCUUGCGCCAGUCCGAUUUCAAGUGUGCAAGGCGAGCGGACAUAGCCCGAUCUAUUAUGCUUGUCCGCCGUCCGCUGCCACCGAGCUUGGUAGGGACCCCCCUGCCAGCACCCCUUUUAGUACCCCGUUGGUCCUUGUCUCAGCCAACCGAGGCCACGACUCCAUGGUGCACGCCUGUGCUCGAUUUCGAGCAUCAGUGAGCCUCCCCCGGUCGCCAUGACGUGUCCAUUUACUGUCCGUGCCGAACGUCAUUGCAAACUUGGGCCGUAAUCGGCUCGGUUUUUCCUUCCCGCACGGUGCCUACCACAUGUACAACGAAAUGCCUAAAUGAACUUCGUGCGAUUGCUUUUGGUUUUCAGUCCAUCGUCGGUGACCGUCGCUCGUCAAAUGCGUUUUGAUGGAUCCCUACAGCUAUCUUCCACUUUGUGCGCCUUUAUUUUAUCGCUUUGUUUGCCGAUAUUCUGGUUUGGUGAGCUUCGGCCUUGCAAAGUCCAUUUUCUGUUCUUCCUGGUGAUGCAGACCGGCCGUAGGAAGAGAGAACAAAAACGGAGAAUUAGGUUUUUUGGGCGGGCUUUGGUGCCUUUGGGCUUAUUGUAACUGUGGUGGACUUGAGGCUAUAUUUAAAUGGGCUUGAGCUUGAUAUGUGAAACUGGGCUAAAGUACUAGGAAGGGUAAACCAUUAGAAAGAAAAAAGGUAACGAUAGUAUUCAGCCGUUGCCAAAGAGAUUAUAAAAAAAAAUUAAAAAGGAUAAACUAGCUCUAAUAAAUUAAAAUAAAUUGAAAACAUUACAAAGAGAAAUUAAUCAAAAUGAAAAGGGUAGAGAUAGUUACCCUCUUUGCACAAUGGUCAUAAAAUACAAAAAUUCUUGACCAACUAUGUCAGACGAAUCACAUUUUUUCAUGAUUUGUUAAAAAUUACUCUUUCUUAGCAUUUACACAUAUCUUAAUAAUCCUUCAACUUUUUAUACUCUAAUUAUAAUGACAUUUAUACUGUUAGGUUAAAUCUAUAGAUAGAAGUUGCCAUAUAAAAAUGCUUCCAUAAUUUGUAAUUUCACAACUUAUUUUUGAAAAAAAAAUUCUUCAAUAUCCCUCUUAUUCUGGAAGAUAAUAUGUUUUAAAUUUUUUUGAUUUGGAAAAUAUUGAUAUGACAACAAAGUUAAGGGGACUAACAUGUGGUGUUCAUGUCACAGCCACAAUAACUUGAAAAAUAAAAUAAAUUUACGGAAAAGUACUAAAGAGGGAAAAGUAAAAGAAACAAAAGAGCGGAACAAUUGCCUUCGAUGGCUUGCAAAAGUUGAAGUCCGCUAUGAAGAAGGUUGAGUGAAUUCUUUUAGAACUUUUUGCCAAAAAAAAAAAUUCAAGUGAUUUGAAUAUAUUUAAUUUAUUAUAUAUAUUUUUAUAGCUUAUUUUAGCUCUAAGUUUAUGUUGAUAGAAUCCGCGGCAUUAAAAUACUUGAAUAAUUAAUAAAUAUAUGACUUAUUUGUGAAAAGAUUACUUCAAUGACUCUCUUAUUUUUGAAAAAGCAUCAUGAUACUUUCUUUUGGAGUAUUUUAAAUUUAAGAAUAAUAGGUGUGGCAGGUACAUUAACAUGGCCCUCGUGUGGGCUCAUGCCACGGCCACAAUAAUCCAAAACAAGAAAAGGAAUAAGUACAAAUAUUGUGAAAAAGGAAAAUUACCAAAAAGAAAAGGAUAUGAUAGUUGCUCUCUGUUAGUAAUAAUUUUCAUAGGCUCUUGAGAAUUUUAUCUGAAACUAUCUAAAUUUAUUUCCAUUUUUAUCCAAAGGUUAGAUAUCUUUCUUUUUUGAAUUUUGAAGAUAAAUAAGAAGAGUUUGUGGGUCUAGUCUCUGUUCGGAUUAAAGCUUUGGGAAAAAUGCGAAUAAGGCCUAAUUUUUGGCUCCAUCGCCGCCGGGGGCCACAGGCAAAAAGCUCGAAGAAUCCUCCAUUCAAGGCCUGGAUUGAAUUGUCUGCCAAUUCAACUAGAAAACGUCCCCGUCCACGAUCACCUCGUCCUUCCGGUCGGGAUGAAACCCAAAGCUCAGUGGAUUACAUCAGUCAAUUGCCCGAUGCCAUCAUCCUUCAUAUCUUCUCUUUCUUGGCCACAAAAGACGCGCUCAAAACCAUUGUCUUGUCUAAACGAUGGUGUUCCACUCGGAGCUCUAAUCCACAUAUAUAGUUCUCUCUACCCACCAACGGUAUCUAAAUGUUCAAGAGUUUCAUUGCAUUCAUGGAUGUGGUGCGAUUCCUCUGCAUUGCAAUUAAGUUGAAAAGCUAUUGUUCAAACUAUUCUUAUUCCCUAAUCGUAAUAUGGAUAAUUAAAUUUUCAGUGACUAAAUAUUAUUUAAAUAUAUGUCGAUAGAGUUGGCAAUAUUUAAACCUUUGAAUUUUUUGUAAGAACAUUUUCCUUUCUGUAUGAAAUUAUUUCAAUAUCCCUCCUAUUUUCUAAAAGCCACUUUAAUAGUUCAUUUAGGUGUAUUUUCAUUUUAAGUACAUUUAUAUGGAGAAAAAAAAGUUAAGAGCCACCCCCAUGGUGCUUAUGCCAUGCGAUAUUAACUCGACAUUCCAAAAGAAAAACAAAUCAAUAGGUAGUCCUAGAAAGGGAAACUAAAUGGCAUGGAAUGUAUUAGUUGGCAGCCAGGCCAAGCGAUCAGUCCUCUCCACGUAGCUCCCCCACGACGCUUGCUAACACGUCUCCUACUUAUUUUGGCUUCCAACUUCGAUACAAUUCCAAUUUGGAUAGAAUUUGAUGCACAAACUCGGCAACCUUUUUUUAGUAGAACAGUGGAGUCGGCAUCAAAAUAGAGACGUGCGACAUGCAUCGCAGUCUAUACUUGGCAUGAUUGGGAGGCGAGAACAAUCUUCUCUGGUGCCACGUUUGUCAGCCAGUUUGAAAAAGAAAAGAAAAGGGAACAUGUAUGUAAUUUAAGAUGUGAUUAUGCUAUUCCUAAGCUCAUGAGAUGCCAAACUUGAUCACAAAUAUGGUUUUUGCUACGGAAUUAUCUCUGAGAAGUCAUUUAUGCUUAACUUUUCAGGUAGAAUUUUGCAAGUUUCACCACCUAUUUAUGUCUACUGCUUAAUAAAUAGAGCGUUUGGAUGUGGUAUCACAUAUCAGGCUGACUCGAGCAAUUAUUAUUUUUUUUUUCUGGAGCUUAAGCUCAUUUAUACAUAAGCCCACCCCUCUUGAGCCUACCCAGACCCGAUUAUAAUAGAGUUCAUUUAUUAUGUGAGAAAUAAGUAAUUUAAAAAAAAUCAAACUUAAAAAACUCAAAAUGAAGCCAUGUCAAAGCAUUUGUUAGACCCGACUUAUAGUGUCAACAUACUUGGUUUUCACGCACCAUCCAAAGUGGCAUAGAAAGAGAAAACAAAUUUUACUUCCAUUUGGUGUAAUUUACAUUUUCUUAUUUCAUAUAUGCAUACUUUUAGAUGAGAUUGUGCAUUAAAGAAUUCGUUGUAUUGGUCUUAUUGACUCAGCAAAAGUUGCACAUAUCUUGUGUAUAUUCAAAAUAUACACAAUUGAACAAAGGACUGAGUACAACCGAAAAAGAUUGACCGAGUCUCAAAGGGUUUCCAAAGACUUUUAGAAUAUUCCCAAGGACGAACAACACGACAAACGUAGCAUGUUAUAGAAAAUUCUCUAUCAUAAAUAUCAGUAGUGAUAGANNNNNNNNNNNNNNNNNNNNNNNNNNNNNNNNNNNNNNNNNNNNNNNNNNNNNNNNNNNNNNNNNNNNNNNNNNNNNNNNNNNNNNNNNNNNNNNNNNNNNNNNNNNNNNNNNNNNNNNNNNGCUGACGUGGCCUUCGGUUGGCGCCAACGACAAUUUUUUUAAUAAUGUUUUUUUAAUUUUUUUUGGAUUUUUUAAAUCUUUUUUUGUCCCCUCCUCCAUCCUUCUUCCUUUGUCUGGCUGAUCAUCGGAUUGAGUUGGCCAUUGUUGGACGAGCCCCCGUUGGAUCGAGCGAGGGCUCGCCUCGUUGUCGCUGGGAGAGGGUGAGCUCGCCCGGUCGCCACUGGCGAGGCAAGCCCCCACUAGAUCUGGCAAGGGCUCACCUCACCAAUGCCUAGGUGAAUAGCUCGCCCAAUGACGGCGAGACGAGCCCUCGCUGGAUCUAGCAAGCGCUCGCCUCACUAGACCCAGUGACGAUGAGGCCCCCCUCACCGAAUUUGGCAAGGGCUCGCCUUGCUAGUGGCUGGGUGAGCAACUCACCUAGUGACAGCGGGGUGAGCCCUCGCCAGAUUCGAUGGGGGCUCCACCCAUUAGUGGCCGGGCCAACUCGCCUUCGCCCAGUGAUGACGAGAUAAGCUUGCUUGGUCGGCGAAGCCAAAGGAAGGAGGAGGGAGAAGGGAAGAGAGAGAGAGAGAGAUAAAAGAUAAAAAAAAAUUAAUAAAAAAUAAAUUAAAAAUAUUAUUAAAAAAAUUAUCGAUGACGUUGAUCGACAGUCACGUCAGUGCCGAUUGGUCAAUUUCAGCCGAAAGGACUUAACUAGCAUGAUUAUAAAAGGUUUAGGAUUCAAUUGGCCAAAAAAAAUAAGUUUAUAACUAAAUUGGCAUAAUUGCAAUAGGUUUAGAAUUUUUUUGGUAAUUUUCCUGUUGCUAGACUCUUAAGGGCGCGUAUGANNNNNNNNNNNNNNNNNNNNNNNNNNNNNNNNNNNNNNNNNNNNNNNNNNNNNNNNNNNNNNNNNNNNNNNNNNNNNNNNNNNNNNNNNNNNNNNNNNNNNNNNNNNNNNNNNNNNNNNNNNNNNNNNNNNNNNNNNNNNNNNNNNNNNNNNNNNNNNNNNNNNNNNNNNNNNNNNNNNNNNNNNNNNNNNNNNNNNNNNNNNNNNNNNNNNNNNNNNNNNNNNNNNNNNNNNNNNNNNNNNNNNNNNNNNNNNNNNNNNNNNNNNNNNNNNNNNNNNNNNNNNNNNNNNNNNNNNNNNNNNNNNNNNNNNNNNNNNNNNNNNNNNNNNNNNNNNNNNNNNNNNNNNNNNNNNNNNNNNNNNNNNNNNNNNNNNNNNNNNNNNNNNNNNNNNNNNNNNNNNNNNNNNNNNNNNNNNNNNNNNNNNCAAAAUAAAAAUAAAUUUAUUGGCAAACACUCAAGGCAAAUAAAAUUAAAUUUAUUAAAGUUAUUUAAAUAAAAAUAAAUUUAUUAAAGUUAUUUUAAAUAAAAAUAAAUUUAUUAAAGUUAUUUUAAAUAAAAAUAAUUUAUUUUUAUUUAUCAUAAAUAAAUUAUUUUUGAUAAAUUUAAUAAAUUUAUUUUUAAUAAACUAAAAUUAAAAUGAUAAAUAAAAAUAAUUUAUUUAUUUUUAAUAAAAUUUUAAUAAAUGCAUUUUUAUUUUUAAAUGAAUAAAAUGAAUAUAUUUAUUUUUAUUUAUUUUUAUUUUUAAUAAAAUGAGGAGAGGCGAAGGAGGAGGAGGAGGAGGAGGAGGAGAAGGCAGAGACGUAGAGGAGAUGAGGGAGGACUCACUGAAAUUUGGGUUUAGUGGAAGAAAUUAUUUCUGAUUUCUCUUUCAGAAAUCAGAAGUAAAAAAUUUUUACUUCUGAUUUCUCUUCCAAAUCAAUUUCUGGAAUAUAAAUCUAUUUCAGAAAUAAAAAAAAUGAAUAGGUUUAUCAAACGUGUUUCUAUUCCAGAAAAAAGGUCUGGAACAGAAAAAUUAUUUCUGGAACAGAAAUUUUGGUUAUCAUACACCCCCCAAGUCACUAGAGUUUUCCUCUUUACUUUCUGUGGGUUUAUAAUCAUCCAAAGUCUCUAUAUAUUGUAGAUGUAAGUGAUGGUUGAUAAUGCAACAUUUCAAAUUCAUCAGUUUGAUUUGUUGAUAUUUAAAAGGUUCAAGGUAAAUUUUUAACUGGCAUGAAGAGUUUAAAUAUAUUUGUAAAUUUUCUGAUGGAAAAUAAAUAAUAAAAAAAAGGAAAUUUUUUUAACAAAAAACACCUUUUUUGAUGGAAAAUAAAUUAACAAAAGAAAGAGGAAAGUUCAGCGAUGCUGGCAAUUGACUAAGCGUGCCUCUUCAUUGUCUGGACGCUUUGUAUGAUUUUGUCUAUUUUGAGCACUUGUGUGGAAAAUGUUGGACCAAACAAAUCUCUCUCUUUCCACUUUUCAUUUUCUCUCGCAAAUCCACAUCACAAGCACGUGAGGUAAGCAGUGACAACAAGGGAAAGAUCAAGGAUUUGGAGCAAGGAAGAAAGAAAUGUUCAAAGGAACUAGAAAGAGUUGUCGUGGAAUUGAAAAUCUACUUGGAAAAAGAGGUUAGACAAGAGGAAAGACAAAAAAUACAAAGCAGUUGUGUUCAAAGUGGUCUCCACCUUAAAAGAUGUGUAGCAAGGGCUAUAGAAAUAUCUAUCCCCGUAUUGAUUCUUAUUCAACAUUGGCUGCUCUUUAAUUAGUCCAAGAAAUAAUAAAGUGUAUCAAUGAUCCAUGCAUCUUCAAGUUUCUUGUCCAGAUGGAUUGCAAGUCGUUGUCCAUGCCCUACUAUAUAUUUAGAAAAAUUUCCCAUUAUAUCUACCAUCAUAUUUAAUUACUAGCAAAAUUAAGGCAGACGUGUGUAAAGAAUUGUGUCAUUGAAAGCCAUUUCGGUCUAUUCUUCAUCAUAGACUACAUUUAUUUUGAGUCUAAUUCAAAGCUAUAGGCUGCCCUUUGGUUUGUCCACGAAACAAUAAAGGUAGAAAUGCAAGGAAAGUCCUAAAAAAACCUUCGCCUACUUCCCCCAAGGAGGAGUUUGGAAAUCAAGUCACUAGAGUUUUCCUCUCUACUUUCUUUGGGUUUAUAAUCAUCCAAAGUCUCUAUAUAUUGUAGAUAUAAGUGAUGGUUGAUAAUGCAACAUUUCAAAUUCAUCAGUUUGAUUUGUUGAUACUUAAUAGCUUCAAGGAAAAUUUUUAACUGGCAUGAAGAGUUUAAAUAUAUUUGUAAGUUUUCUGAUGGAAAAUAAAUAAUAAUAAAAAAAGGAAAGUUCAAUGGUGCAGUAAUUAUCCUGAAUGUAUUCAUCAAUCAUGACCACCUUCCAUGCAUACCAAUAAAGCAGCUGUCCUUUAUUGUUGCUUUUACCUUUUUCAUUGCUUUUGCAUCAAAAUUUGCUCACAUGAUAUUCUCUUCUUGGGCAAGAUCACCUUGGAUUCCCCUAUCCAUUGAAACUUCUCACACAUGAAGGCAAUGGCUAUAAAUGCAUGGUCGGUGGUCCCGGUCAAUGAAUUACUAAUUUAUAUUUGGCUAGGCAAGUUUGAAUUAUUGGUGCUUGCCAACUGAUUGGAUUGGAUAAAUCAAAUCAAUAUAUAUAUAUAUAUAUAUAUAUAUAUAUAAUAGCAUAAGAGCAAAAGCUAAAAGGCAAUUUGAUUAAUUUAUGAGAUUUGAUGGAGAAAUUAAGGUAGAAUCAUAGCAAAAAAUAAAUUCUUCUCAUUGUGUUAGAAUGAAUAUAUAUAUAUAUAUAUAUAUAUAUAUAUAUAAUAGACACACAUUUAUGCAUGUUGAUAAUUUUAUAAUCCUCGACAACAAUGAUAACAUAUUUUUUAAGAAUAAGUUAUCGUUAAUAAUAUAACAUUUUAGUACUAAAAUGAAGUUUAUCGGUUUGAUUGUAUAAUAUAUAUUAGGCUGGGUAAAUUCCUAAGUGUGAGUAAGAGCUUAAAUGUAUUUAAUGAAAAACACCUUUUUUGAUGGAAAAUAAAUUAACAAAAGAAAGAGGAAGGUCCAACGGUACCAGCGGUGGACUAAGUGUGCCCUCUUCAUUGUCCCGAUGCUUUGUAUGAUUUUGUCUAUGUGAGCACUUGUGUGGAAAAUGUUGGACCAAACGAAUCUCUCUCUUUCCACUUUUCAUUUUCUCUUGCAAUCCAUGUCACNNNNNNNNNNNNNNNNNNNNNNNNNNNNNNNNNNNNNNNNNNNNNNNNNNNNNNNNNNNNNNNNNNNNNNNNNNNNNNNNNNNNNNNNNNNNNNNNNNNNNNNNNNNNNNNNNNNNNNNNNNNNNNNNNNNNNNNNNNNNNNNNNNNNNNNNNNNNNNNNNNNNNNNNNNNNNNNNNNNNNNNNNNNNNNNNNNNNNNNNNNNNNNNNNNNNNNNNNNNNNNNNNNNNNNNNNNNNNNNNNNNNNNNNNNNNNNNNNNNNNNNNNNNNNNNNNNNNNNNNNNNNNNNNNNNNNNNNNNNNNNNNNNNNNNNNNNNNNNNNNNNNNNNNNNNNNNNNNNNNNNNNNNNNNNNNNNNNNNNNNNNNNNNNNNNNNNNNNNNNNNNNNNNNNNNNNNNNNNNNNNNNNNNNNNNNNNNNNNNNNNNNNNNNNNNNNNNNNNNNNNNNNNNNNNNNNNNNNNNNNNNNNNNNNNNNNNNNNNNNNNNNNNNNNNNNNNNNNNNNNNNNNNNNNNNNNNNNNNNNNNNNNNNGAAACAAUAAAGGCAGAACUGUAAGGAAAGUCCUCAAAAACCUUUGCCUACUUCCCCCAAGGAGGAGUCUGGAUAUCAAGGGCGCGCAUGACAACCAUUCUGUUCCAGAAAUAGUUUAUAGAAUAGAAAUAGAUUUUUCUGUUUCUAUUUCUAGAAAAGUUUAUAAGCAAAAAUAACCGUUUGAUAACGACACAAAAUUUCUACUCUAAAAAUAGAUAUUCAUUUGAUAACGACACAAAAUUUCUUUCUUUCGGAUGGCGGUGGCAACGACCGAUGACCUUUAAUAUAAAAAAAAUAAGAAUAAAAAUGAUUUAGUAACAAAAAAAAAUAAAGAACAAAAUAAAAUAAAAUAAAAUAAAUCAUAAUAAAAUAAAAUAAAAUAUCAUUUUAUUUUGAAAUAAAAAUGUCCUUAAAAAUAAAUUUAUUUUUAUUUAUUCUAUUUUAUUUUAUUCUACGAAUAAUUUUAUUUUUAAUGAAUAAAAAUUAAAUAUAAAAAUAAAUUUAUUUGGCAAAACACUCAAGGCAAAUAAAAAUAAAUUUAUUAAAGUUAUUUUAAAUAAAAAUAAAUUAUUUUUAUUUAUCAUAAAUAAAUUAUUUUUGAUAAAUUUAAUAAUUUAUUUUUAAUAAAAUAAAAAUAAAAUGAUAAAUAAAAAUAAUUUAUCUAUUUUUAAUAAAUUUAAUUUUUGUUUUUAAAUGAAUAAAAUGAAUAUAUUUAUUUUCAUUUAUUUUUAUUUUUAAUAAAAUGAGGAGAGGCGGAGGAGGAGGAGGAGGAGGAGGAGGAGGCAGAGACGUGUAGAGGAGAUGAGGGAGCACUCACCGAAAUUUGGGUUUAGUGGGAGAAAUUAUUUCUGAUUUCUCUUUUAGAAAUCAGAAGUAAAAAAUUUAUACUUCUGAUUUCUCUUCCAAAUCAAUUUCUGGAAUAUAAAUCUAUUUCAGAAAUAAAAAAAAUGAAUAGGUUUAUCAAACGUGUUUCUAUUCCAGAAACAGGUCUGGAAUAGAAAAAUUGUUUCUGGAACAAAAAUUUUGGUUAUCAUGCAUCCCCCAAGUCACUAGAGUUUUCCUUUACUUUAUGUGGAUUUAUAAUCAUCCAAAGUCUCUAUAUAUUGUAGAUGUAAGUGAUGGUUGAUAAUGCAACAUUUCAAAUUCAUCAGUUUAAUUUGUUGAUAUUUAACAGGUUCAAGGUAAAUUUUUAACUGGCAUGAAGAGUUUAAAUAUAUUUGUAAAUUUUUUGAUGGAACAUAAAUAAUAAAAAAAAGGAAAGUUUUUUUUUGUCAGUCCUACUCUAUUCCUACUCUACAAUUACUCUCAGACUUUUGCCCUGCCUCUUGUAGGGCAUGGGAGUCGAAACCCACUCCUGAAACUUACGCGUCUCCACCCCAUCCCCCCGAGAAGGAGGAGAUUUGAACCCUUCACCUUCCCCUUCCAUGUUGGAAGGGUGGCCAUUGGGGCGAAUUCCAGUGGUUAAAAAAAAGAAAAAGGAAAGUUCAAUGGUGCAGUAAUUGUCUUGACGCUUUGUAUGUAUUCAUACCAAUAAAGCAGUUGUCCUUUAUUGUUGAUUUUACUUUUUUCAUUGCUUUCGCAUCAAAAUUUGCUCACAUGAUAUUCUCUUCUUGGGCAAGAUCACCUUGGAUUCUCCUAUCCAUUGAAACUUCUCUCACAUGAAGGCAAUGGCUAUAAAUGAAUGGUCGGUGGUCCCGGUCAAUGAAUUACUAAUUUAUAUAUGGCUCGGCAAGUUUUAAUUAUUGGUGCUUGCCAACUGAUUGGAUUGGAUAAAUCAAAUCAAUAAAGAUAUAUAUAUAUAUAUAUAUAUAUAUAUAUAUAUAAUAGCAUAAGAGCAAAAGCAAAAAGGCUUUUUGAUUAAUUUAUGAGAUUUGAUGGAGAAAUUAAGGUAGAAUCAAAGCAAAAAAGAAAUUCUUUUCUUUGUGCUCAGAUACAUAAUAUAUAUAUAUAUAUAUAUAUAUAUAUAUAUAUCAUGUUGAUAAUUUUUAAUGAUCCUUGGCACGUGUUAGCUCAUUAAACUUAUAAGUAUUGAAAUGAAGUUUAUCGGUAUAAUAGUAUAAUAUUUAAGAGGAUUAAAGUAAGAGGGAUUAAAUUUCUAAGUGGGAUCAAUGGCUUAAAUAUAUCCAAUAAAAAUAUCAUUUCUGGUGGAAAAUAACUUAAAAAAGGAAAAGGAAAAUUCAAUGGUGCAAGCAGUGGACUAAGUUCAACGAAGACUCGUCCCAAGUCUCUCUCCACUUUUCAUCUUCCCAACAAAUCCACCGUUAUAUGGGUAUCGAAAUUUUAUCGGAGCUUGUUUAUUAAUUCUCAUCCUUCUUAAAACUUCUUGGCAGACAUCUUUUCGUCUCACUCUCCUCUCUCGUGAAGUUUGUUUCUCCUCCUCCUCCUCUUCGCAUAGUUCACCUGAGAAGACAGAGUCGCGACACCUUUCCUCCUCCUUUGUUGCCGCGACUAGUCUUGAGAAAUGGUAGGCGCCUCUCUCCUUGGCAAUUCUUGCUGUUAAAUAUGACUCGAGUUUGAGCGUUUGCUAAAAAGUGAAAUUUGAUGGACUCGCGAAGGAGUUGCUAGACUAAAAGAGGAAAUAUAAAAAUAAAAUAAAGAAGGAAAGUUCUUUGCUGCAAAGCCGAGGAUUCCGAAUUGAGGGAUAUCAAUUCGUGAGUCUUGGCGUGAAGGAGUCCCCUGCGUGAAGAUUAAAAGAGGUGGGCCCAGAGUCAAAGUGUUGACUCUGGGCACACACACACAAGUUCAGCUUGAAGCCGAAGCAAGGAGCGUGCGUGGGCCCUCCCUUGGGCACACGUAUAAAGACAAUAUAUUUCCUUCUUUGAUGGUGUGCGUGGAGUGGCCGACGACCCACGUAUAAAAGCAUAACUUUCAGGUCUUCUUUUAAGGCUUAUGAAAAAUUGCCGACCAAAACCCUACGUAGAAGUCACAAAAGGAAGCCGCGAAGAGGUCUUCUUUUCGGGGUGUUGCUAUUGCACCCGUACGAGAGAAAAGGAGGAGCCGCAUAUCUUCAAGCUGAAGCGCGAUCAAGAAAAGGAGUUCUUUUUCAGCGUUUGUUUUUGAGCUUGUGUGAUAAUUUUGUGUCGUGACUUGGGUUUGGGGUUAAAUUGGGGCUUGGGAAACACCGAGAGAAUGUUUGAGUGACUUGAGUGUGUAAUCUCCUUGUAUCGCUUGAUCUAUAGUGAAAUUCGCUGCUGCUCUCCCCGUGGACGUAGGUCUUUACGAUUGAACCACGUAAAUCUGGUGUCCGAUUUAUUUUUCUUCUUCUGUCUAUAUUUUGUUCGAUCGCUUGCCCCAUCGCAACAAGUGGUAUCAGAGCCAGGUUUGGCUAAGUUGAAGCGAAUCGAUGGCAACAGAAGAAUUAAAAGUGAAAAUCAACAGAUUUGAUGGGAAGGAUUUUAGUUUCUGGAAGAUGCAGAUUGAAGAUUAUCUUUACCAGAUGAAUCUGCACUUGCCUUUAUUUGGGGAGAAACCAGAGACGAUGAAGCAAGCCGAUUGGGAUUUGCUGGAUAGACGAGCUAUGGGUGUUAUUCGUCUGACGUUGGCUCGUAACGUCGUGUUUAACAUCCUGAAGGAGAAGACCACUGCUGAUUUGAUGCAAGCCCUAUCGGAUAUGUACGAGAAGCCCUCUACGAUCAACAAGGUCUGUUUGAUGCGGCGUCUGUUUAACUUGAAGAUGAAAGAAGGUGCAUCAGUUGCAGAUCAUAUCAAUGAAUUCAAUGUGAUUGUUAGUCAAUUGAGUUAAGUUGAGAUUGAUUUUGAAGAUGAGGUACGUGCUUUGAUUCUGUUAUCCUCAUUGCCUGAUAGUUGGAAUACUACCGUUACUGCUGUUAGUAAUUCCUCUGGAUCAACAAGUUUGACGUUUGAUGGGGUUCGAGAUUUGAUUUUAAGUGAGGACAUUCGUAGAAGAGAAUCUGGCGAAUCUGUAUCUACUGCUCUAGUAGGUGAAAAUAGAGGAAGAUCUGUAAUACGUAUGGGUAAUGGUAGUACUAAUAUGAACAGACGUGGUCAAUCUAGGACUGCUAAUGUUGUCUGUUGGAGUUGUGGCAAGAGGGGGCAUCUUAGAAGAGAUUGCCUUAAGCUGAAGAAUGAAAAGGGUAAGGAAAUUAUUGUUGAUUCUGCAGAUAAUGUUGCAGCUGUAGCAAAUAAUGCCGAUUAUGUCUUGUUUGUCACUAAUGAUUCAUCACUUGAUGGAUGGAUUAUGGAUUCUGGUUGUUCUUUUCAUGUUACACCAAAUAGAAAUUGGUUUAUCACUUAUCAGUGCACAGGUAGUGGUAAAGUCCAGUUAGGAAACAACGCUGAGUGCGAUGUUGUGGGUGUUGGUGAUGUUAAAAUCAGAAUGCAUGAUGGUAUCGUGAGGACAUUGACUGGAGUGAGGCAUGUUCCAGAAUUGAAAAAGAACUUAAUUUCCUUGAGUACCCUAGAUUCAGCCGGUUGUGGGUAUUCUUCAAAAGAUGGAGUUCUGAGGGUUGUUCGAGGUGCCCUGGUGAUAAUGAAAGGAAUCAAGCACGAUGGCCUGUAUAAACUUCAAGGUGAGACAGUGAUAAAUUUCGCUGCAGAGACGUCGGAUGCAUCUGUUCGAGAGUCUUUUGACUGCUUAAGGAAGACCUGGGUGUUUGUGCCAAGGCACAAGUUUGAUGCUGGUAUCAGGAUCUCGUAGUCAAGAGCUUUGAUCGAAACGGAGACUGGUAAGUCGAUCAAGCAUGUGCGGACUGACAAUAGCAUGGAGUUCUGCUCGAAGUUGGCAAAUAAAUUCUGCAUGAAAGAGAGCAUAGUGAAACACCGCACUAGUGCCAAUAAAUCACAACAAUUUGCAGAAUUGAUGAGCGAAAGAUUACUAGAGACGGCCCGAAAAAUUAUCUCUAGUGCUGGUAUGACUAAGAGAUUCCUAGUCGAUGUAUUAAGUACGGUAAGCUACCUGGUGAAUAGAUCCCCAUCAACUGCUAUUGAAUGGCGGACUCUUGAAGAAGUGUGGUCAGGUAACAUUGCUGGUUAUUCUAUCAUUAGAAUGUUACGUUGCCCAUGUUAUUUUCGAGUGAGUGAUGGUAAGCUCGAUGGGAGGGCAAGAUGCAUAUUCCAUGGCUAUGCACAAGGUGAGUGGGGCGAUCAGUUGUGGUGCCCAGAUAUAAAUUCACCUAUUAACAGCAGAGAGGUGGAGCCUAUAGAGCCAAUGGUUGCUGUAACUGCUGAAAUUAACAAGGUACGUGUUCGAUCUCCUGAUAGAUAUGGAUGCAAUAAUGGUUUUGCUUUAUCUGCGGUUAAGGAGGUUGUGUCAGAAAAUCCUUGCGGAGCAGUUAAAGGUGCAUGUGGAGUUGGUAUUUUGAUGAGGUCCUCAGUUAUGGCGAAGUUCAAGCGAGGCUUGGACUUGAAUAAUAUCUGUGGCGGUUGAGCCCAUUGGGGGCUAUGGGAAAGUAGCAGCAGAGUUUGAAUUUUUACGAAGCGAUUAUAAGUUGGCUCAAACGUCGAGUCAAGGUGGAGAUUGUUAAAUAUGACUCGAGUUUGAGCAUUUGCUAAAAAGUGAAAAUUGAUGGACUCGCGAAGGAGUUGCUGGACUAAAAGAGGAAAUAUAAAAAUAAAAUAAAGAAGGAAAGUUCUUUGCUGCAAAGCCGAGGAUUCCGAAUUGAGGGAUAUCAAUUCGUGAGUCUUGGCGUGAAGGAGUCCACUGCGUGAAGAUUAAAAGAGGUGGGCCCAGAGUCAAAGUGUUGACUCUGGGCACACACACACAAGUUCAGCUUGAAGCCGAAGCAAGGAGCGUGCGUGGGCCCUCCCUUGGGCACACGUAUAAAGACAAUAUAUUUCCUUCUUUGAUGGUGUGCGUGGAGUGGCCGACGACCCACGUAUAAAAGCAUAACUUUCAGGUCUUCUUUUAGGGCUUCUGAAAAAUUGCCGACCAAAACCCUACGUAGAAGUCACAAAAGGAAGCCGCGAAGAGGUCUUCUUUUCGGGGUGUUGCUAUGGCACCCGUACGAGAGAAAAGAGGAGCCGCAUAUCUUCAAGCUGAAGCGCGAUCAAGAAAAGGAGUUCUUUUUCAGCGUUUGUUUUUGAGCUUGUGUGAUAAUUUUGUGUUGUGACUUGGGUUUGGGGUUAAAUUGGGGCUUGGGAAACACCGAGAGAGUGUUUGAGUGACUUGAGUGUGUAAUCUCCUUGUAUCGCUUAAUCUAUAGUGAAAUUCGCUACUGCUCUCCCCGUGGACGUAAGUCUUUACGACUGAAUCACGUAAAUCUGGUGUCCGAUUUAUUUUUCUUCUUCUGUCUAUAUUUUGUUCGAUCUCUUGCCCCAUCGCAACACUUGCUCUCUCUCUUUGGCUAUUCUCGCUUUGUUUUUCAUGGCUCCCCUUUGCCUUUUUUUUUUUUUUUUUAUCAGGGUUUGAUUUGUCACUCGAUUGAGCGAGAGGGUUAGUCGUAGAUCGUUUGCGUUUUGCUAUUCGUUCGAUUUCUUCCUGUUGUAGCUCGUCUCGCAUCGUUUUUGGAGGUGCUCUCACUUUCGCCAUCGACGCACGGACCGCUCGUGCUCUCGCUUCCCGUUCUUCUUAACAACAAAUCUGCAAUCUGGGGUUCCCUGCAAUUCUUCUUUCCUCGUGGGUUUCUCCCCCUUUGCGGAAUCGAAGUAGUGGGUAAAAGGAAAAAUGAGAUUUUGGGGUCGAUGGUUCGUGUGUUUCACAAGUGUGGUAGAAACGGUUGCUUGAGAAGAUUACCAGUGUCACAAAGCGGUGGGUUCUCAAAUAGUGCCGUCAAAUCCUCGAACAUUCUCGAACUCUUUCGAAAUUCUCCCCUUACCUUAUCUCUUCAUUUAUACCUGUCUGUCCCCAGCAGAGUUUUGGCUGGGCUUUUUCUCGAAUAUACGUUUUCCAGAAUCCAUUCUUGAAUUUUCAUGCCUUUCUAUUCUCUUGUACGAGGUUCUUUGAAUUGAAAGAUUUAGAAGCAACGUAUUUUUGUUCACAUUUCUCUGGGUUCUAGCAAUUUCAUGAUAAGCUCUUUAUGUUUUGAUUGUUUUAAAUUUGCUUUGAGAUUUAUUAUGUGAUGAAUAAAAGUUGGGUUUUUUUUUUUUUUUUUGGUGUUUUGCUUCUUUUAGUAGGGUGGUUGUGUUUCAGAAGCGCGACUGAAGCUCGGAUUUUGGAGUCGAAAAACCAGGAGAUAAAGUAGCAUUUUUUGACUCAAAGCAGGUAUGAUCAUGGCAUUAAAAAAUCCACGUUAAAAAAUAUUGUUACUUGUUUGACGUAGCAUUAAAAAAUCCAUGUUAAAAAAAUGACAUGGAAAAUUAUAUCCAAAACGAAAUCGUGUUUGAUCAGAAAAUUGGGAAUCACUUCGCGUAGAUUAGUUCACUAAUCCAAUUCACUAGCAAAAAAGGGCACACAAAUAUGUAAUUGAUUUAGAUUAUCUAGGGAAAUGAAUUUAAUUUCUUCAAGGGUCGAAAGCAUUUAAUCAAUCUAAUGAAUAUGUUUUUGAUUAGUUUUGUCGCUAAAAAAUUUAUUAGGAUUAAAAUCUGAUGAUCAAAAGUUUACUUUCUUAGAACGUUUCUGCAUAUGAUCACCAUAUAAGCGUGUACAUAGGAGCUUGUACCCUUCUAGAUUAUCAUUUUGUCCAAACACAGUAAUAAAAUCAUCUUAUAACAUGCAAGAGCAUGGCCAUUUCAUAAUAUUAAAGAAAAUAAAGUCAAAAAUUUAUUGAUUUCAAUAUAUAUAUAUAUAUAUAUAUAUAUAUAUAUAUAAACUCAACAUAUUUGAAAUUAAAUACUUUAUUCUAAAAAUGAUAAUAAUCCAAAAGAUGAGACUACUUUUGAUACUAUGUAGGUAAGGAAAUAGCUCUAUAAACUUUGUGGAAUUUUUUGACCAAAAAAACUUCGUGGAGUUAGAAUUAUUUAAGUUUCUAUGGUUAAAAAAGCUUUAUUUAAGUUCUAAACAUUAUCUAUUUAUAUAAAUAUAAAACUGAAAACUUGAGAAUUUCUUGUGCUCUCUCAAAAAAUUCACUAUAUCUUUAUUGGAUUUGCUUGUUUCACUAAAAGUAUUUUACCAAAAAGCAUUUUCCUGAUUUUCAAUCAUUUAAUUCUCUAAAAAAGAUUUGAUCAAUGAAAAACAUUUUAUCGUCAACACAAAUAUUAUGUAUUAAUUUAGAAAAACGAAUUCCUCUUCCUCAGGUGAAAAUACUUUCCCUUUUCACCUUUUCUUAACUUUUUCUCUCUUACCUUCCACUUUUCCUCUCCAAUUCUCUCGCUUUUCUUGGAGGUACGCGGGCUCUCUCCCUUCGAUCUUUCACUCAUCUUCUUCGCCAUUGAAAGUCUAGAUCUUCUUCAUCAUUGAAGGUCUAGCACUUCUUCAACCACGCUUAACACGGUUCGAGGUUCUUUUGCUUUUUCUGAGGUACACUGUUCGCUCUCCCCUCGAUUUUUCGCUCGCCCUUCUUCUUCCGCUCUUCUUUACCGACGCUCAUCUUCUUCACUGUCGCCGUCCCCUUCCCUUCCCUUCCCCCGCCGAUUUCUUCGAAAUUCCGCUCGUCGUUCUGAGAAUCGUCCCCUUCCCCUCGUCGAAAUCUCUCUUCCAUCCCGAAGUCUCGAUUUUUCUUCUCGUCUUCUCGUUCGAAUCGAAUCGAUUCGAAUGUGGUCCACCACAAUGCAAGGGAGUGCGAUGCUGCCCCUCCCGAGAACCUGGAGCCCCCGAGCCCGACCCGCGAUUCCGCCACCGGCCAGGGCAGGGGCGGCGGCGGCGGUGGUGGUUCGGACGACGAUUUGUGCCUCGACGUGUCCAGGGAGAACCUGGAGUACCCGCUGCUGUCCCCGGCCUUGAACGGUUCCGCGGUGAAGGACCUGUAUUUGUAUAAGAACGAGUUCAGUUUGCUCCCGAAGUGGGUCGGGGAGCUGCGGAGGCUGAAGACUCUGAGUUCGCUGUCUCCUUAGUAACUGUCGCUCUUCUUCGUGCCGCCUCUUCGGUCCAGCCCUGCUUGAUCUUUUGGUGGCGAUCUGUUCUAGAGUCCUUGCGCUUUUUAUGGGUGAUCGGCUGUGGAGACAGCUAUUUCUGGAUCCAAGAGUGAUAUGGAGAUCCCAAAAAAAAAAAAAAAAUACGAUCAAAACAAUUUGCUUUUGAGUUCGACCUGAUUGUUUCUCGGCCUUUUGGUUCCAUGGGUUCUGCGAUCGCUAUUCCUAUUAGCUAAUUCGCUUGAUGAAUGGCCCGAAAUGUAACCGGAAAUCAUGUCCAUUUUCAGGAAAAAAAAAAAAAAACGUGUACGAAUUCUGGUUUCCUUUUCAUUUUUCAUUUUGCAAGUUCAAAUUCUAGAUUAACUAAACCAAUCGAGAAAAAUCCAUUUAUUAAGUAUCAUAGACUCAACAAAUUAAUUUGAAAAUAAGAGGCACCAAAUGUCAUUUAAUCAUUUUUCAAAUACAAUCUAAAUAAUAGAAAAUAUUGUCAGUCAAAACUUUAGUUUUCCUGAAAAAUGGUUUUCCAAAAAAUAUUUUUUUAAAAAGGUUACGUUUUUCAUGAAACAAACAUAACUAUUAUCCAAUGCCAUAAAAAAACCUCCACGCAUCCUUCAUAGUUCGUUAAUGUUCUAGGACAAAGGAAAAAAGGUUCUGAUUGCGGGGCUUGCAUUCAUGCCAAAAGUAUUAUUUUUCACAAAAAGAAAUAAGAUUUAGGCCUCAUCUAUUUCUCUCGUCCUAGUCUAGGCUAACUGUGAGGUUUCGUUUUAGUGACCCGUUUUAUUAGAUCAGGUAGGCUCAGGCCGUGGCCCUGGUUCCAAAAAUUAGUAAUUAGUUCAAUUCUCGAUUGUGCAUAGGAUUAGACAUGGAAUUGACCAUUCUAAUUUAUGGUAUCAAAAUAGCAAAUCCCUUUUAUUUUUGGUUUUAUUUUUUUUUUUCAUUCCUGUGCACCGAAACUUGCUCACAUAUUAUCUUCUUCCCAGGUAGGAUUGCCUUGAAUUCUCCACUGCAUUGAAACUUCCACCACACGAAGGCAAUGCGUGAAUUUUAUUGGUGCAUGCCAACCAGAUAAAUCAAAUCAAUAAAAAAAAAAUAUAUGUACGAUAAAGAAAAGCAAAAGCAAGAAGGCAUUUGGAUUUAUUUAUGAGAUUUGAAGGAUAAAUUAAGGUUCGACAGAAAAAAAGAAGGGAAAAUUAAGGUAGAACAAGAACCAAAAAUACAUUAUUCUCAUUGUGCUCGGGUACAAAAUAAAUAAAUAAAUAUAUAUAUAUAUAUAUAUAUAUAACAAUUUGAUAAUAUUUAUGAUCAUUGACACAUGUAAAUAAUACAAUUUUCUUAGAAUAAGUGAUUGUUGUAAUACAACAUUUCAGUAUUAAAAUGAAGUUUAUUAUUUUGAUGGUAUAAUUUUUAAAAGGCUUAAAGUAAGAAGGGUAAAUUCCAUAUGGGAUUACGACCGAAAAAAUUCGUAAGUGGAAUCAAAAGUUGAAAUAUAAUUAACAAAAAUACCUUCUCUCAUAGAAAACAAAUGAGAAAAAGAAAAGGAUGGUUCGACGGUGCAAGCAAUGGACUAAGCAGGGGACUCUUCACUGUCCCGACACUUUGAUGUUUUUAUAUAUUCCGAGCACUCGUUUGGAAAAUAUCGGACAGACGAAUCUCUCUCUCUCUCUCUCUCUCUCUCUCUCUCUCUCUCUCUCAUCUUUCAUUUUCUCCUGCAAGUCCCUGUCGCAGCCUCGUCAUAAGUCUCUCUACGCUUUUCAUCUUCCGAACAAAUCCACCGCUUCAUGUGUAUUGAAAUUUUAACAGACCACAAUAGAAGACGCAAGAAGGCAUUUCCUGUUUUCUGAGGGGUAUUCUGGUUUUUUUCUCCGUUAGGGCUUGAAAGCUGAACUCAAUGGCAGAGUCAGAGGCCGAAAUGCAUCGUCGCAUUGAGAAGAGGAAAACUAAUGCGAGUGGAAAUGCAGAGGAUGUUGAUACCGGUGCAUCUGGUUCGAUGACUGUGCUGACAGAAGCUAAUUUCGUUGGAUCUGGUUCGUCUCCGACAGAAACUAACAAUAGUGCAUCGACUGGAAAUAGUUAUGAGGUGUUCUUGAGUUUCAGUGGCCCAGAUACUGGAGAUGGCUUCACCGAUCACCUCUACCAUGGGCUCCUCAGAGCCGGAAUUCACACUUUCAGUGAUGAUGAUGAGCUCUGCCAUGGCGAGGACAUGAAACCACUGCUUAUGGAAGCCAUCACGAGCAGUAAGAUCCUAAUUCCCAUUCUCUCUGUGAAUUAUGGUACAAGUAGUUGGUGCCUAGAUGAACUGGUUCAAAUAAUGGAGCGCAAGAAUUAUAAUGGGCAAAUAGUGUUGCCUAUAUUCUACAAAGUGAAACCAGCCAAAGUGCGAUAUCAAACUGGGAGGUUUGGAGAGGCAUUUCAUGAGCGCGAGAGUCGUUUGCGUGAGAGGUCUUCUUUCGACCUAGCGAUUUUGGAGAAAUGGAAGCAAGCACUCCUUGAAGUCGGCAACUUGAAAGGAUACGAAGCCAACGGGUAAAAUUUCUCACCAAGGCAUUCUCUACUUUCUUUUAAUAUGUGGGUGUUUACUGGUUGUUCUGAUUCUCACCCCUUCAUUUUCGUUAUAAACAAUAACAUCUCGUUGGCAGCAAGAUCCUGCGAUGCAAGAGUCCUAUAAGUUAUUCUCUCUUUUUUCUUUUUUCUUUUUUAGUUUUUGCUUUAAUGAUAUCAACCAAGCUAAUUAUAGAUUUUAUUGUUGUGAUUCCAUUUGCCUAAAUAAUAAGAUUUUAUGAAUGAAUAUUUACGCUUAUAUCCAAAGAUUUUGUUACAUUGUGCCAUUUUUAUAUAAUGUUUAUAGUGUACACCACAUUAAUCUUUGUCACGAAUUUUUCUAAUUAUUUAUUUAUUUGAGAUUAGUAGUACAACUUAUUGGUGAUUUCUAUUUAGAGCUCAUAACAUCAUAUACCGUGCAUGGUUAUUGUCAAAGCCAUAAUUGUUUAUCUUCCCAGGUUACUUAUAUUAAAUCAUUAAAGUCGUUGAAUAGUUGUUAUCAAAAAUAUUUUUACAAAAGAAAUGUUCCAUUGGUUAUAUAUGAUGACGUUAAAUGUGAAAAAGGAAAAAAAAAAGGAUUAUUUUUGUUAUGUGCUUGUUUAAAUAAUUUUAAAUGCUUUUUCCUAUCUUCAACAGAUAAUUUCUAUCUCGUGCACCUGCAUAUAUUGAAGCAAUGUUCUUAUUUUGGGUCAAAAUUAUUCUCCUAUUUCCCCAUAAAAUCAAUAUUAGAUCAGUUAAAAUCACAGAACAUAGAUACCCAAAAAGAAAAUAAAGUACAACCUUUUAUUAUCCCUAGAGGCAAUGAAAAAGGAUAAGAACACCUAAAUAUAACGAUACUAAAUUCACAACAAGAGCAGAAAAUUGCAAGUGUGUAGAAUUGCACAAACAAGAAGAAAUCCCCUCAAUUGCAUUCAAGAUGUUCACAAUAUCACAAUCUGAACGACUUUUUGGAUUGGUAUUACAAAAAGUUAUCACCAAUCCAUUGAUUGAUUGUUGACUCUCAUAUUAGUUGGCUUAUUGAAAUUUUGCUUAUUCAAAUGCUUUGGAAAAAGUCACGUCCACGUCAUCCCUAUUAUUUUUAAGAAACGACAAAUUAAAAUUUGGUUCAAAUCCAUAACAUAUACAAUAUUCAAGAUUCAUAAGCAUAUCCUCAAGUUUCUUCUGGCUAAAUAAGUUAUCUUAGAGUAAUAGUGGAAUGGGGCAGGCCAUGUGCAACAACCACAAGCAUUUCUCAACUUUUGUUUUAGCAUAUAAGAUAAUAAAUGUAGGUGUGAGAAAAAUGAUUCUUAAAUUUUUUCAAUUUAUCUCGGAUUCGUUUAUUACUUCAUUCUCAAUGGAUAAACAAUAUAAAAUUAUUGUUGCCACAUAUUUGAACUCUUGUCACAUUUGACAGGUCUGAAGGACAGUUGGUGAAAUCGGUUGUCCGAAAAGUGUUGAAUGAACUGAAGAAAAAGUUUGAGUUGAUUAUUUCUGAGAAUUUGGUCGGAAUUGAUAGUCAUGUGAAGAAUGUUAUGAAACUUAUGGAUGAUAGAUCUCAUGCCCUCCUAUUUGUUGGCAUCCAUGGAAUGGGAGGCAUUGGUAAAACUACUCUUGUUAAAACCAUUUACAACAAGCUAUCCAAUCAAUUUGAGCAUCAUAGCUUUAUUGCUGAUAUAAGGGAAUCAUGUAAGGGUGGUGUUCAUCUCUUACAAAAUCAGUUAAUCCAUGAUAUAUUUGAUGAAAAAAAUGAAGUUCAUAAUAAGGAUGAAGGGAUUAACUGCAUCUCCUCUAGGUCUAAAGAUAAAAAGGUCCUUCUUCUUCUUGAUGAUGUGGAUAAUGUUGACCAAGUGAAGUGUUUGGCCGGUAAUCAUGAUUGGUUUUCUUUGGGAAGUAGGAUCAUUAUUACUGCGAGAAACAAGAGAAUUCUUGAAUUAGCUGGGGUGGACCAAAACUAUGCCCUUACCGAAUUGGAUCCCGAUCAAUCUUUGAUUUUGUUUAGUAAACAUGCGUUUCGAAAGGACUUUCCUCCAAGUGAAUUUGAGGGCCUCACUCAUGAAGUUGUAUCCACUACUGGGGGACUUCCCUUAUCCCUUGAGGUUUUAGGUUCAUUAUUUUGUGGAAGAGAAUCAAAAGAAUGGAGAGAUAUGAUAAAAAAAAGUUACAAAAGGUCCCUCUUAAAGAAGUGCAAGAAAAGUUAAGGAUAAGUUACGAUGUAUUAGACUAUGGACAAAAACAAAUAUUUUUGGAUAUCGCUUGCUUUCUCAUUGGCACUAACGGGACAAUCGCAUUCUACAUGUGGGACGCUUGUGACUUUUUUCCGGGGGAGAAUAUUGAAGUGUUGAAAUUUAUGUCAUUAAUAAAAAUUGAAGAUGAUCUUGAGCUCCGAAUGCACGACCAAUUAAGAGAUCUUGGUAGGGCAAUUGUUCGUGAGGAAAACGAGCAGCAGCCUUGGCACCGUAGCAGGUUAUGGGACUCCGAGGAAGCCUUGAAAGUGCUAAAGAGAAAUAAGGUAACUGUUUCUCUUCUUUUGUUCCCUUAGUCCAUGUUCUCUUGUUAGAGUAGGGUUGGUGGUCAACUCAAUGCUUGCUCUAGUGAACAUAGAAUUUUCUAAUAUUAGUAUCUUUGUAUUGUUUCAUUGACAUGAUUAGAAAGUUGGAGGUUGCUUCUCUCUUAGUAAGUAUCACAGCUUAUCUAAGAUAUUUCUUAAGCAAGUGUAUAUUACAAAGUUACCUCCAAGAAUGAGGUACUUUCAAAUUUUUUAGAUAUUGAUAGGGGUAUUCUAUAUUGAGAAAAAUCUUGAAUUUCUAUAUUGAUUUAGUUGCGUCCUUGACGCAUACAAUAAAUAACUUGACUAUACUACUGUAAACCGUAGCUACUCGGGAUAUAUAAAUCUUAUGUUAGAAUUAAUAUAAUAGGACUAACGACGCCCACAUUUCUCAUGAAAUUUUAGUCACUAUUCCAUAAUAGAGAAUGGAAGGGAUACUUGUUUUCUACAUUAAAGGUCAAGGAGAUAAAUACUCUAAAAUUCUAUUCUGUAUAAUUAAAGCAUGAGAUUGUAUUUGCAGUUGUGAAUUAAUCAUGAUUGCGACUCUACUCUUUUUAAUCCAUCAUUUGGUUUGACUUUAGUUGUUGAUCAAAAGACUCGCACUUAUUUACAGUCUCACCGUAUGUAUAAUCACAAGAGCUAAUUCAUAGAUUAACAAGUUCGAAGCCGGUGUCCAUUUAUUAUGUCUUUCGUACUACAUAAUAAAACAAACUAAACUAAGCAAAAUAAAAAUGAAUAUGUUGUAUAUUUUAUAUACAAAUAUAAUGGUAUAACUAGAUUUUAUAACUAAAAAGGUACAGUCUGAUAUAAUUAUGUCAGUAUUCUUCCAUGAUUCCAUUUCGUUCUUCAUCCAUGGCACUAUCGUAAGUUGAAAUCGGAGUGGUUCUGCUAAAAAUGAUAUAAGUUCUUCUUUUCAGUUUAUUCCAACAUUGAAUGAAAAUAUCCGAAGUUAUUUGCAUAUAUAUUAUCUAAAAUACAAGCAGCUGAAAGAACCACAAUAUGCGCCACUUCCAAUUGAAAAACAAAUGCCAAAUAUCCUUCUUUAAUUUGAAAAAGUACUGCUACCCGUUGUUGGUCCCAAGGGACGAAGGAGGCUGGGUUAGCCACUCACGACUCUCAGCCUCCUCCUUUUACAAUUAUGCCGAACCCUUAGAAGGACCCUCUAGCGUAGGCUCGAUCGAAAUGCCACUUGAGAUCUAUCAAGGAAAUGAAGAAUUUCCUCCACAUCCUUCUCAAGUGUUGCGCCUAAAGUACAUUGUAGAAAGAUUGCUUGUACAAGAUGUCCUAUAACAUGGCAAAGUGACGUGAGAGGUCACCCAAUACUCCCCUUUGUUGAAGUGUUUAUGAAAAAAAUGCAUGUCAAGUGCGAAGCAAGGACAAAGCUGUAGCACGACUUACUAAAUAAACAAAAAAAUGAAAGACAUUUAAAGCGUAAUCGAAACACACUCAUAACUCAAUUGUUGGAUAUUAAUGAGUACACAGCCAAAUAAAAGAAGUACGAUUCUUUGCGAUUGGGAUAAAGAUUACACAAGUUGAAAAAAAUCCUAAAAGGACCCAGCAUUUUGAAUGUGGAAUGAAGAUGACAUUACCUUUCAAACUCAUCCUUUUACUCAUGGGACAAAAAUGAUGCCCGCCAUCAAUUCUGCCUAUUUUCACUUUAAAUCACCUCGAGUCAUUCUACACAGCUCAUGAACCAUGUUAAUCAUGACUAAAACUUUAUUUAUUUACAAAAAGCCAGGAAUUUUGUAACAAAAUGUUGACAUGAUUAUAAAGUAAAACACAACAUUUUUGGUGUGGGUUGACAUCGGUCACUGUGUACGUUAGCACAAUGAACAAUGUAGGGCAUCUAUGGCGAUUUAACAAUUAUAAUAGAUGAAAUUUGUACUAGGUGUCAACUUUGUUCUACGGUUAAACAGUUGGGAUAUUUUUAUUGGGUUUGAAAGAUUAUGUUAUCUUUGUUGUAGAUAUUGAAGGUUAGGCUUGAUAGACGUUUGAAAGGUUUUGUGACUUUCAUCCGAGCGCAAAAGGUUGGGCUUAUUUUUGGGAUUCAGCCAAACCCUAGCUAUCGGUUUUUUAAGUUGAGAAAACUUACACACCACACAGAAAGCUUGAAGAUAGAUUGGGCAAUCUGAUAUCUUGAGAGGUAAGUUUAUGGGGGGAAAAAGUUCAGCUUGCGUAACAGUAUUUGAGCUACUGUAACAAUAAUAACAUGUGAGUCACAUAUUCUUGAAGGAGUGAAUCUUAUAACAAUUUUUAAUUAUUUGUUAUUUGUUUUUUUGUGUCCUACAUCCGGCUGUUAAUUUUAUAGUAGAUUAAUAAUAGUCACUUAAGCAUUUCUUUGGGAGAAAUGACUAAUACGAGUGGAUUACUUAUGUUGAAGAUUACUUCCUUUUUCCUUUUUAUAGUUACUCUUCUCAUGGAUUCCUUUUGAGUGUUGAGAUCUAAAUCCUUCCCAAAUUAUUAUGUUGUUCCCCUAUGAGUGUCCAUGAAAUCUUGUACAACAUUGUGAAGUACAAUAGCAAAAUUUCUGGUUCUGAGAAAAUGACAUGUGGAAGUCCAUGAACUUUUUGUAUUACUUCUUGACUUCUUAUGCAAAAGUGGUUUUUUUUUUUUUUUUGGUGGUGAAAGCUUGCUACAAUUUGGUUCUCAGGAAUAACUAUUCUAUUUUCGUUCUAUUUUGAUGAAGCAAUUAUUCCUUCAUUUGAUUAAAAAAUAGGUUAGAAAUUACUGUACUCUCAGAAUCAGGAAUAGUUAUUCCUGGAGGGCCAAGGAACAGUUAUUCCAUAUAGGCUUGUAGCUAAGAAUAGCUUCAAUUUUCACAUUUCUAAAAAUACUUUGCACUUUCCAAAAUUAAUUUUUUAAUAUGUUUAUUAUAUUUAUUAUACUUGAGUAACUCGGUUAUUUAUGAUUAUGAUUAUAUCAAAUUGUAAUCUAUAGUUAAACUAAAAUUUAUGAUAAAAUCAUAAGUUGUAGAGAUUAUUAAUAUAGCUAAUAAGUUAUUUAUGAUUAUGAAUAUAUCAAAUUGUAAUCCAUAGCUAAAUAAAAUUUACAAUAAAAUAAUAAGUUGUAGAGAAUAUUAACAUAACUAAUAUUAUUGUCUUAGUUAUUUAUGAUUAGAAAAUAAUUAAUUAAGAAUACUUCGAUUUACUACUGUAAAUAAUAAGUACAUAAUAUAUUAAUAUAACUAUCGUCGCAAUAUUCAGUUUCUUGCAAUUAGUUAUUACUCCAGUGGAAAAUAAGAGUAUGUGUUAUUAUUAUUAUUAUUAUUAUUAUUUUAUAUUAAGUAGCACAGUCGAGUAAUAUACACAAAAUUAAUGUGAAAUCUACGUAUAGAAAAUAAAUAUUUCUAUUUAAAUAGAUCAAAUCAACUUUUGAUUUUGCACAAUGCAAUUUGAUUAAAUUCCUUGCAUUGCACGCUUGUCUUAACUAGUGUGGUAAUAAGCUACAAUACGGGAAACAAGAAGAUUACAAGUUGUGAAGUUUUUACUUUGAAUGAAACAUGACAUCAUAAUUCUUUUUGAGAUCCGAAUGUGCAUGACCAAAUUUCAAAAUGGAAGUUGACAUCCUUCACUUUGUUAGCCUUUAUAAAUAUUUUAUUGGCGUGAAAAGAAAAAUCAUAUCUUCGCAUUGCUGGUCUCUUGAACACAUCAAUGCAUGUCAAUCGCAACAUGAACAAAUAAUAGUCGAUUACUUUAGUUGGAUUUAAUAUUAAUAAACGUUGAUUCUUGCUUAUAGGGAACAGACAAGAUUGAGGCCAUUGAUUUGAGUAAAGGCAACUCAGAAGGCUCCGGCAAUAUAGCCAAGCAAGAUGGCGACAUUUACACAGCAAAACAAUUCAAAAACUUGACGAAACUAAGAUUCCUUUACAUGAAAGGGGCACAUCUCAGUGGAGAUUUUGAGGACUCAAUGGAGGAUUUAAGAUGGCUUCGAUGGCGAAAAUGUCCCAUGAAUUUUGAAGUAAACAAUUUUCAUGUAAAGGAAUUAGCUGUUAUCGAAUUGCCAUUUGGUGAGAUAAAUGAGAAAUGGGAAGGAUGGAGUUUUUUCAAGGUAAGAACCAAAGUCUUUUUUUCUCCCCCUUUAUGCUUUCUUUUGAAUCAUAACCACUCUAGACUCGCCCCUCGACAAUCAUUAUUAAUUUUUUUUUUUACCAGAUGGCGGAGAAGCUCAAAUAUCUCGACCUUUCAAAUUGUUCUUCCUUGAAAGAUACGGACUUCCUCUCAGCUUUCAAGGAGUUAGAGGUUCUAAUCCUCAAUAAGUGUCUCAGACUAAAGCGAAUCGACGCUUCAAUUGGAGAAAUGAAGGCCCUCCUUCGCUUGGAGUUGCGUAGCUGUAGCAGCCUCACGAAGCUUCCAACAGAAAUAGGUAAAUUAAAAGAACUGCAACAACUCCUUCUAAAUGAGACUGAAUCCCUUUCUGCAUUACCAGAUAGCAUAGGGUAUUUGGAGAAUCUAGAGAUUCUAGAUAUUUCUUCGAGUGGUAUAGAGGAAUUACCCAACGGUAUUGGGAGGCUGAGUAAGCUUCGAGAGUUACGUGCUCAUGAGUGCAGAAAUCUGAAAGGGAUAAUGGCAGAAAGCAUUUGUAAUCUUUCUUCUCUACGAUGCCUUGAUUUUCUUUGCUGCUUCAAGCUCCAAUCACUGCCGGACCUUCCUUCCGGCUUAAUAGAUUUGUGCAUCACCUGUCAAAGCCGCAAACUGCCUUCGCUUUCCCACCUAGCCCAUCUCAAGACACUACGAGUUUCGACCUGCAUAUUUCUCAAGUGCAUCCAGGAGCUUCCAUCAACGCAAUUAAAGAGUUCAGAAUGCUCCCAACCGACGGACAUUCAAGAAUCGGAAUCACCACAAUCCUUACACACACCCUUCAAGUUGGAAUCCUUGAAUAUCUCGAGCUGUGGAUCUAUUGAAACAUUGGACGUUUCACAGUUUAUCCAUCUAAGGACAUUAGGAGUCAACUCUUGCUGGAAUCUACUUGAAGUUCGAGGUCUUGAUAGAUUAAUAUAUUUGAAAAGCUUGGCUAUCACAUUCUCACAUUCAAUCGAACGGUUGGAACUUCCAAAGUUUGGGGGUCUAAAGGAAUUGCGUGCUUCUUAUUGCAAGAAAUUAGUCGAAAUUCAAGGCCUUAAUAGGUUGGAGUAUUUGGAAAUGCUAGAUAUCGAAAGUUGCACUUCAAUUAAAAGGUUAGACCUUCCAAAAUUCGGGAUGCUGAAAGAAUUAAAAGCUAGAGACUGUGAAAACUUAGCUGAAAUUCAAGGCCUUGAAGGGUUAGAGUAUUUGGAAAUGCUAGAUAUCGUAGGAUGCACUUCAAUGGAAAGGCUAUACCUUCCAAAAUCCAAGAUGCUGAAGACAUUAAAAGUUAACUGCAAAAAUUUAGCCGAAAUUCAAGGCCUUGAUGGGUUGGAGUAUUUGGAAAAGCUGCAUAUCUAUUGGUGCUGUUUGAUAGAAAGGCUGUACCUUCCAAAGUCUAGGAGGCUGAAGGAAUUACAUGUUAGUGGAUGUAAAAACUUAGCCGAAAUUCAAGGCCUCCAUAGGUUGGAGUAUUUGGAAAAUCUAUAUAUCCAAUGGUGCUCUUCAAUGGAAAGGUUGUACCUUCCAAAAUUUGGGAGGCUGAAGAAAUCAUUAAUUAGUGAAUGCAAAAACUUAGCCGAAAUUCGAGGCCUCCAUAGGUCAGAGAUUAUCUCUUUUUGCACUUCAAUGGAAAGGCUGUACCUUCCAAAAUCUGGGAGGCUGAAGAAGUUGCAUGUUGGAAUUUGUAAAAACUUAGCCGAAAUUCAAGGCCUCGAUGGGUCGGAGUAUUUGGAAAGUCUAUAUAUCUCGUGCACUUCAAUGGAAAGGCUAUUCCUUCCAAAAUCUAGGAGGCUAAAGAACUUAAAUGCUAGGGGCUGCAAAAACUUAGCCGAAAUUCAAGGUCUUGAUAGUUUAGAGUGUUUGGAAAGUCUAGAUAUCUCUCGGUGCGCUUCAAUUGGAAGGCUAGACCUUCCAAAAUCUGGAAGUAUGAAGACAUUAUAUGCUAAUUCGUGCAAGAAAUUAGCUGAAAUUCAAGGCCUCGAUAGGUUAGAGUCCUUGGAAAAACUGGAUAUCUCUAGGUGCACUUCAAUUGAAAGGCUACUGCUUCCAAAAUCCAAGAGUCUGGAGAUAUUCAAGGCUAAAGAAUGUGCAAACUUGGUCGAAAUUCAGGGCCUCAGUAGGUUGGAGUUUUUGAAAGAAUUGAAUAUCAUUGGUUGCAAGUCACUCAAAAUGAUUCCGGAAUUAUCUGGAACCCGGAUUUAUCAAUAUUAUGAGAUUACAGAUGGCAAAAGGACGGUAUUUGAAUUAGACUAUCUGCAAGAAUCGGAUGAGUAAUGUACUGGAAUGAUCCACAUUUUCUAAUGAAGGUACAUAAAAUAGGUAAUCGACCUAUGCUCUUUUGAGAUCUACUGCCCAAUUUUCAUUUGUAUUUCUUGCUUGCAAUAUCUUUCAAGAUUUAUGAUCUUGUCAUUAUUAUUUCUUGGUUGACAGUGUCAUCAUUGUUUUCUCACUUAAAUUCAAAGAAUCCAGGGGAGAUGUUCUUGGAAGUUAACGUGUGCUUUGCCAAAAUGGUUUUGCUUAUCAUGCCAGUAAUGGAAAUGGAUGAAAUAACUUUCUAAGCGCAUCAUUUGUUAUUAGUCUUCCGUUAAGAUCCUCCAUUUUAUGCAGAAAAAUAAAAAUUCUCGACGUUUGAUUGAUUUUGGAUUGCUGGAAACAAUGAAUAAGAACUUAUGUGUACAGUUAUUUGAUAGCAUGCCGCAGUCAUUGUAUAAGUCAAAGAAAAUGCUAAAUGAAGGACCCUAUAUGGUGGUCCUUCUAAUGUAAGGUUAUACUUUGAUCUACACUCAUCAUGCAGUUCAUAACUGCAUAUUCUAAGAUACACUUAAGAGUGAAUUUACAGUGCAAAAGGAGCAUGUUGAUAGGGCAUCCUUUAGUAUGCAUAUGCUUUUCACUUGGGAUAAAAUUUGUCCAACUAUUAUGUCCACACAUUUCAUCUCACAGAACUGUCUGCAUUAGCAAAUUAAGAUAAUCAUAUCAGUCUAGAAAUGCUAAAUGCAAGCACCAGCUCUUCUCCUAGUGGUGUGGCCGUGAGUGAACUAGUAAAUAGGGCAGAAGCAAAAGCACCAUGAAUUAUUUGGAUCGAUCAAGAAAAUUGCAAUUUGAAUUUUUCUGAUUGUGGAUCCACGUUCAUUUGGUUUGAGUCCAGGAUAUACCUACUCCAAGCCUCCCAAAGAAUACAUCUUGAUGUUUGUAGAGUGGGUAAAGCCAUCUGUCAUAUCUUUUGACAUAAUUGGCUGUGCCAUGAAAUGAUUCCUUAUAUUGUGGAUAAGCUCUUGUUAGUUCAUUUACUUGCUAAAAGAAAAACACAUGAAGCAUUUCCAAGAGUUUCCUGGGGAAAUUUUUCGGUAUCCUAUACGCCAUUUGAAAACUAUCUUGCAUUAAUUCUAAUGCAUGAAUAGCACAAAAUGAUAAGGAAAUGAAUCAUACUACGUCCCACAAGAGCAAACAUCUUGAGUUGAAUACACUAUGCUAAUUUGAUCAAAGUUUCUGUGGUUGAUGAUGUUAGAAGACCCAUUAGUUGGAUCCAAAGAGUUCAAAAAGAAUAUCGAGUUUGACAAAUAGAGUUCCACAAACUUCAGAGUAUCAUUAGUAGUCUGUUGAUGUUAGUUGUUGGAUUGAUUUCAUCUGACUCAUUGGCAGGAUUCAGUUACUAUUCCACUGGUUGAUGUAAAUGCUGAAAUAUCCAAGAUAGCUUUCACAAGGCACUUCUAAAAGGAAGUGAAAUCAUAGAAGGAUAAGGAGCUCGAUGUUUCUUGAACUUCACCAAACCCUGACAAUGGAUCCUUGGAAUGGUAAAAGGUUGUUUGCAUGUUGUCAUCGCUUCCUCUGGGUUCUUUGAGCUCUAUCCUUCACAAGCCCUCUUUCAGGUCACAUCCUUGUGAUUUGUUCCAGUGCUGGUGUUGUGUUUUCGGCUGCUCACAGAGCUUUAGCUAUGGAAACCGGCAAAGGACCACAAUGCGUCAUGCUUCCAUUUUAGCUUUAGUUUAAAAAACCGCUGGCUUCUCAGGUUCGGCUCGCGGCAUUCUUUUGCAACCUGAUGGGCGAUCAACUCAAUGGUUCCAACUUCAUCUUAUGAAGUUUGCUUGAAUUCUGAUGGCAGGUGAAGAUGCCGGAGUGGAAACCAAAUAAGUGUUGGCUGGCGAUGGUCACAGAGGACUCAAAGGUGGUGCUUCGUCACCUCAAUUGGCAGAGGUUGUAGACAGUCUCCUUGUAAUUGCUUCGAAGCGAGAAAGUUUGUCAGCUUAGUAUUCCUUGGAUACUACGAAGUAUGGUCAGCUUAGUAUUGCCUUUGUGUACUCUAGCAGCUAUUUUGGUAGGUCUUUACUGGGAUGUGCUCUCCAUUUGUGUGCCAGAGAAUUCUAAUACACGGUGUAAUGGAACUUGUUCAUGCUUUAAAAGUCAGAAUGAUAUGCUAUCAAGCUUAGUAUUGUUUUCAUGCGCUCUAGCAGCUGAAUCAUUGCUUUAAUCCCACGUGACCAAAUUAGUUGCUAAACUAAUGAUAUGCAAGUUUAAAUGACUCCUGGUUUGUGGGUUAGUUCUUUAUUUCAUGUCAUAUUGCUACAGUCUUCAUACAUACUUAGAGCAAUUCAACUAGAUAAGGUUGACUCAAGUUAGGGUGGUUUGCUAGUUGUCAACCAUGGUUUCUGUUGGUCUAGCACUAUUUUAAUUAUCCAUAUGGUAACAAGGGCUAGACGGGUUGAUGUCAUUUCUCAUUGGAUAGGAAGGUCUCGCUUUUUGAAAGAUCAAUUGUAAUUUCUUGCGUUUUCUUGCCUUGAUGUAUUCUGUCAGGUCAGGUCAGCAAGAUGUCUUACAUGCAUUAUUGUCCAAGAGAAUUACUGCAAUUUGGAGGAUUUGGGAACAGUGAAUAUUUGCAAAGGACACUCGCGUAGAAAUUUGAAUAGAUGGAACGUUUUUUUUUUUUUUUCGGUAAGGUGAACAGAUGGAACGUUGGUAUUAGCAAAAGAAAUAGAAAUGUGAAAUGUAAUAAAAUCUUGUUUUUUUUUGGUAAAGUUACUUGAAUGUGUUGUUUAUUGCUCUUUCAUUGGAGAUUCGUCUUAUUAAUGCUAUAUCUAGAUUUCCAUGCAUAGGUGUUCUUACACAUGCCACCUCAGUGGGGGAAACUAUGAAUUAUGGGAUAAAAAAAUGCAGUUAGCUGUCGUAUGAAGUGAUUGAUUUUUCCGCCCUUUCAAGUCUAGUCCUCAUGGCUGAUACAUCUACCAAAUGUGAAAUUCUUGAUCUCUUUGUAUGCAUAACAAGAGUUUGAGCAUGAUUGCCCGGGUUCAAAAUUGGUUUGUGUGAACAUUGCAAUUCUUUACUUUAAAGCUUGUGUUUUUGUUGUCACCCUACUAAUUAAUUACUUGAGUUUGUCCGUAGAUCUUUCUAUUUAUUUUUCUAUUACCAUAAAAUUAUAUGAAUAUUUUUCAUUUCUUUGCCUGAAUAGCCAGAACUUUGAGACUAUAAUGCGAGAAGAAGAAAAAGAAAAGGAAACGUUUGAGGGUAGGGUGUUGUCUUCUGGGUUUUGUAGUCAACAAUGGUUUUUCACUCACCCUCUUCCUAAUAUUCUAGUGUUUUGUAUUUGAUCUCAAGUUUAUUACUUGACAAUGUAAUUGGAACUUAUGAUGGAUGAUCUUGUUGGACUGGGCUUUCUGUUUAGCUUUUGACCAUUUUGUAUGGAAAAUCAGUAUCUCAUUUUUCUAGAUUAGGAAAUAAUUUAAUCAUCACACAGCUUCAAGGAAGCUGCCGAGAUGUCUUUUUUUUUUUUUUAACUAUUACAAAAAAGAUUCUCAAUAAGAAUUUGUUGCCACAAUUCCCUCCUACGUUUGUUUUAGUAUCCACCAGAUACAGUCCCAUUUCACUGUCCUUCUAUGAGGUAUAUACCUUUAAUAUGAAACUACAAUUUUCUCCAGAGAUCUACAUGUGCAGAGUACAAUUGCUUUUUCACGCUAAUCAUUCUGUAUGACUGUGAAGGAUGCCUCUAAAUUUGCUUCAUCUACUCGAACUCAUGAAAUUGGGUUUACUGAUUAUAUCUCCUUCUAAAUAGUCUUUUUUAGAUGUUACAAAUGGUAUAGCAGUGGUGAGGUGACUUAUGAAUGAUUGAAGCAAUGUGCAGCAAGGAAGGCCUUUGGAAGCGAUCUUGUUGUGCAUCCCUCUUAUUACUAUCGUGUGGAUUUGGCUCUUUUUAAAGCUCUUAUUUGCAAAUGUGGCUAAUAUAUUUUGCUUGAAACAGGAACAUCAAAUUGUUAUACUGCUAAAUAAGAUGAAUGAUGCUUGUGAAGCUUGGGAGAUGCCUGGAUGAUGAUCAUGUAGGCCAGUGACCUUCCAUUUGUGCAUAUUUCAGGAGCCACUUGUGCAAAUGAUCGGGAGUUGUACCAAUUGAAGGUAACUUGUGGAUCCAGAGCUUACAUAACGAUUCCUUACUUGUGAUCAGUAUAGAUGCUCUUGAGUUCCAUUUGUUCCAAUACAUGUCAAUUCACUAUUUAAGACGUUGAUGGCAAAAGGCCAAAAAAAAAAAAACUAUAAUAUUGUGCUUUUCUUUCGAGUUUGGUUUCACAGCAGAAACAGUGGUGGUCAAGAACUGGUGAUAUCGACCCCGUCGAACCAAUAACCAAGUGUACUGUCAAUUGGUAACCUAGCGAACCUGUCGACUUGUUUGGACCAGUUCUGGGCCUUCCAAAAACUUAAUGGAAGAGCGUUGGAGUUGGGUUGGGGUUUGGAACUCCAACCUCUUAUAACUAACAAGCAUCCCAACAAUUUGAUCCGAUGUCUUCUUGCUUCAUUUUAUGGUGGAUAAUUUAUUUUUUGACUGUAUUAGCUUAGUCGAUUAGAAAUUUGAAUGAUGCUAUUGAGAACAGGAUUCCUGUCUUUUGUGCUCAAGUGGCUCUACUGGGCUUCUUUUGUUCUGAACAUGCAUAUUCUUUCAGAUAACGUCACCUAAAAUCUAUUCAACUAGUGGAACCAGUAGAGCACGAUUCUACCAAUUUGAUGUUCUACUAGUUUGACUGGUUGAACCACCAGUCCGAUUUUAUAAAAGUUUGGUCUUUUGUUCUUCCUAAUUAUUAUGUAUUUGCUUUCCUCAUCAGCACGAGUAGCAGUAGCUUAGUUUUUCCUCCUAUGUGCAUAUACAUGCCAUUUCAUGCCUGCAAUUUUAAAGGAUGUUUCGCUUUUUGAUUUACCAUAACUUCAAAAGUUCCAACAAAUCUUGACGGCUAGAGCCUUGUACUUGUAUGUAUGUUAAGAAAUGUGCAUUUGAUGACCCUAAUGGGUUAGUAGUGCCACUUUUGCUUCUAUUUUGUGAGAAAACUUUUGCUUGGUUGUCUCAUUCUCACUUCUAAAACACUAACUCAGUGAAAUUACACAUCUAGGACCCUAUCUUACACCUAGAGAUGGAGAAUGAGAAGUUGGUAGCAUUCCCUGUACUGCAGUUCCUCCUUCUUAGUUAGCAGUAAGAAUUUUUCACGCCACCAUACAAUCGAGCUAAGGAUCAAUUCGUUGCCACGUCAUCAAUCAUAUACUCAGAAAACUGUUUUCCUUGAGCUUCUUACCACGUCCAUUUGCAGUUCGGAUGUUUGGUAAUGUGUUGUUGCCCAUAGUCUUUCCUUUCUGUAUCGUUGUUUGAUAAAAUUGUCAGUGUCAGUAACAAAUUUAUCUCAUUGACUGAGUGGUGGAACUGGAUUAAUCCUGUCCAUGCUCCUUACUAAAUUUCCACUUUUACAACCUACUCUUAAGUUUAAAUAUAACUAGCAUAGGUAUGUUGUGCCUCUUUAAUGGACCAUUUCAUGUUUGUUCCGAUCAUUGGAAAUGUGUAAAUUUAUACUCCAAUGUUUGUUUCGAUGAUUGGAAAUAUGUAAAUUUAUACUCCAAAGAAGAAUAUUUUUUCAUUUGAAGAAGCAAAAUACUAAAGUAUUAGGUUUUCCUGUAGAUUUUAAAUCAAUUGGGAGGUCAAAGUGCGAAAAAGAUGAAUCUUUAGUGGCCAGACAAACAUAGAAAGAAUAAUUUUAUUCUUAUGGUGGGCUCAUUGCAGUUUGAUUUACUAACUGAGAGCUGGUACAUACAUGUUCAUGAUGAUAGACACUAUCGGGGUAUCUAGUAUUGGAAGAUACUGUAGAGCAUUCAUGGUUCACAUGCAUACCAUAGCCUCUUCAGGUACACAAGUAUUGCUUCGACCUGUGUUUUAGCAUGAUGCAAGUAUUGUACCUAUUACUUUUACCCAACAGAGGUAUCAAAACAUUGCAUUAGUUAUGGCCAUAUUGUGGGAAUAUCGCAGUGAAUCAAGUUGAUUUUUUUUUUUCUUUUUUGCGACAGCAAGUAGUGACGUGGCUUGUGUUUUAGCAUGAUGCAAGUAUUGUACCUAUUACUUUUACCCAACAAAGGUAUCAAAACAUUGCAUUAGUUAUGGCCAUAUUGUGGGAACAUCUGAGUGAAUCAAGUUGAUUUUUUUUUUUUUUUUUUGCGACAGCAAGUAGAGGCGUGGCUUGUGUUUUGGCUGUAAGAAAGUGGGCCUUGGUCUAAAUACUGGACGACGAUGAAGAUGAAAUCUUUUAUUCAGAAUGAACGUCUGUUUGUGAAUUUGCGGUGGUAAUGCUCAUGUUGCUCUUGCGGGGGGACCUCUAAUACUCGAAGCUGCAGGAGGCAUCGGUGUGAGGAACAAUGCAUGUGGACUUUCCGGCUGAAGCUCUUCAACUCCACCUCUUCUGGAGAGUUUCAAUUUAUGCCUGCCAUGAGCCUUUUCUGCUAGGCGGGCAUUCAUCGAAGAGAAAGAGCAGAGUGAAAGCUAACUAAUUAUCUAUUGAGUUAGAUGGAAUCGACUAAAAGAUACUGACCCAUGGCUUCUAUCUGGGGGAAGUAACUAUCUUCUUUGUAUUUCUGCAAGCUUUAAUAGCUAUUCGACAGUGGCCAACUUUUGCUUCAUGCGUGUAUGUUUAUUAUUUUCGUAUAUAAGAGAACCAAAUGUUUGGUUUGGAUUGUUUGUACUUUGGGUUGAAUGGAUUACAUGGUGUAAUUAACCGACGAACUUUGCGUUUGGAUGUUGAAAUCUCUCACUUAAAAUUGACUCACUUCUUCACGCAUCACUGUUAAGUGAUGCGUCCAAUCUAAUGUACAAAACACUCAUGAAAGGAUCAAUUUCCGGGAUUACCAUAGUCGAUAUGACUGGCUAUAUAUAUAGUGUCGAGGUGACAUUAAAGAACAAACACUAUCUUCCAAUAUCAAAGAUUUGAAAUCUGCAAUUAAAUGGUAGGUUUAAGAUUAUGAGAUUAUGUUUCAUAUUCUUGACAGGAGUAUCAUGUAGCCAAAAAGCUUACCGAUGUAUAGAUAUACAAGAAUCUAAAAAUAUUUAAUAUUAUCAUUCGUUCUCUAGGAUUUAUUGCCAAACUAGGGGAGAAACUCUUAUAGACGUGAUACCUUUGCAUUCGAUCAUAUGCACCAAGAUAGUAAUUGUAUCGGUAUAUAUGAUUGUAUGCAUGUAAAUGUGCAUAUACGAUAAUUAUUAAUUAUCUUUAUGAUAGCAUCUUGGUUGACUUUAGUGGACUAUAUUGUGAGAUUAACCAGCUUUAUUAAUUUAUUUCCAAAUCUUUGUGUCAUUAAUGUACUCUUUCCCAAUGCAUAAUAAUUGCAGAAAGAGCGACAACAACAAUUAAUAAUACGACGAAACGAUAAACAUUACCAAUAAAAUAAAUUAUUGGUAUUCAGUCCACUACUAGUGCAAACCGCAUCUUAUAUCGAACUAUGCACGAGCAGUCUUACACAAGCUCAUUUUGAAGAGACUACAGUUAAAAUUUUCAAGGAGCGAGAAAAAAAAAAAAAAAAGAGAAAGCCAGGAUCAUGAGUACUACUGGAAUACGGAGAGAAGCUAUACUAUCGAUAGGAAACGAAUAGAAGGCGAUUUCUGUCCGUCACUCAUGACACCUUUGGCUAAGCUCUCUAUCAUAGCUGUUGUGUUGUCUUAAAAAAUUUGCUUCUGCUACUGUUUUAGUAAUUAUAGAACUAACUAUGUUUGUAACUCAACAUCAUUAUUAAACUAACAAUCUGAACGAAUGGAGGAUAUUGAGGGAACUUAGCAUCAUAAUUUAACAGUAUAUGUGUUCCGAAAAGUAACUAUAUUACUUGUGGAUAGCAGCAAACAAGCAAGACUCAAUACAUAGCAGUCGAUCAACGCGGUUGCAAUGCCGAUGCAGAACAAGCAUGUAAUCCGAGCAUGCUCUUUGAAUGAUAUAUCUUGCGUUCUUUUAUUUGAAAAAUCAAAAGACCUUUUGACGAAAGAUGUUGAAAGAAUUAGAGUAGAGACAUACCAUUGAUAAAAAAUUAGUAAACAAAGCCGUUCUGUCUACAUAUGAAUAACAUUAUCAAUGAUGAUAGGGUCCUACAUAGACAAGUAACAAAUAUGCUCUUGUCUAAGAAAAAGUUACGAUAAAUUCUAUCCGACAAUAAAGCCAAGAAUAUCUUUCAUAGUGCAACAAUGAGAACGAUCAAAUAGAACCUGAACUUCAGUUAGGUGGUUCAUCUAAUUGCACAAUUCUAUCACCUCUUUUCCUGAUGGUGAAAACCCAUUGCAUCACAGCCUCUAUCUAGAGAGCAAGAAUUUUUACCGAUAGAUCAUUACCUCCAACUGGCCAACAUCUAUCAAUCACAAGUUCUUUCAAGUUUCUUGAAUAAAUGUUGUUGUGGUCCCUCCCCUAUGCAUGCAAUUCCAAACUUCCAGUACUCAAGAAUGGUGCUUCCCAUCAAAAUCUUCUUGAUCACAUCAUCACUCACCUUGACUUGGCAAAUGGACAAAGACUUAAGUGAAGUCCGAUCGAUCUCUAAUUGUCUAACUCCAAUACCACUUGUUGAACAGGGAAGCGUGGCUCUAAUGCCAAUUGAUGGGUGCGAAAGCGAUGUGUUAGUAAUACGAUAGAAUUGUAAUAGACAACUUGAAACACACAUAUACCAUAUACUAGUGCAAACAUAACACUGAAAAAAAAAAUGAUCAUGUCACACAGCUAGUAUACACUAUGAGUAGGAAAAGACCGAAACCUCCCGCAGUGUACAAAAUAAAUUUUGUAGCGGAAUACAGACGUUUCUCCUCCCCCCCCCCCCCCCAACAUUGAUAGAAAGUAGACAAACGGGAAUCAAUUCUAACUCCCCCAUGAUGGAAAAUAGUAAAAGGUCUCGAGAAGAAAAUGAUCCUAUUUGACCGCUGUACAUUGCUAACAUAAGGAAAUGGAAUAAUUGGGAAUCUCGAGUAAUUGGCCGAGCCGCUAAAGUAGCUUAAGUGGUGAUAAAUCCCAUCGGUAAAAUAGGUCCUAUAGAAAGUCCAUCUAUUCCCGUGCCCCACUAUUAGAGUUGAUUUUCUCACGCCACUAUAAAACACUCAAAGCAAACUAGCUCCUACAAAGACACAUUCUCUAAGGCUUUAUUCAUGUCUCGAAAAAUCAAUGAUUUGGAAAUGAUUUUCCUAAUUAUAUAUACUAGAAAAAAAGAGGGUAAUGGAAAAUAUUCUCAUCAUCAAAAAAAAUGUUUUGGCACUAAUUGUUGUUAAUAAUGAAAAAUAUAUUUUUUUCACUAACUCAUUUUUAAGAGAUAAUAAUGAUUAAGUUUAGGAAAGUAUUUUUAAAUUAUUAUUUUUUUGCGAAAGAAAUGGAGCCAGACUCUCUCUCUCUUGUUAUCAAGCUCACUGGAUCCGUGGCUUACUAAAUUCCACGUAGAACUCUAUAAAUGGGGCGCGCCCUGACAAGAUCAGUAGUCUGGCGGGCCGGGCCGGGGCUUGAAGGGCCACUUGUUAAGCCCGACUUAUGGCCCAAUCCUGCCCGGCUCGGCCCGUAAUCAAAUCCCCUCUUUCUCUUCCUAAUUGCCUCUCUCCCGCCUGUUUCUUCCUCUUCCGCCAUCUUUCUCUACAAAAUUCUCAGGCUUCCACUGCACUUCGUUACUCUCUCCCUCUUCAGGCUUUCUUCUAGGGUUUUCGAGCUCCACCCUCCACCAGUAGCUCUCCAUCUCUGGUCACAUUUGCCGCCACCGCCGCUUCCGUACGCUCCCUCGCGGCACGUGCUUCCCUUUUGGCUUCAGUUCGACAAACUGCUGGCUUCUCAGGUUCGGCUCCGGUCGGCCUUCUUUCGCGACCUAAUAAUGGGCGGGUCGAUUCAAUUGUUUUCCCAUUCGGUUUUGUGAGGUUUUGGCUCAAUUUCUUCUGAUUGGCAAGUGAGGAUGGCGGAGUGGAAUCCGGAGAAGGAUUUGCUAGCGAUGGUCACGGAGGACUCAAAGGUGGUGCUUAAUCGCUUCAAUUGGCAGAGGCUGUGGACAAUCUCUCCUGGUAAUUGCUUCGGCUUGAGAAAUUUCUCCUUUUUUUUUAUUCAGUGUGGUCAUUUCUUCAACGAUGGCUUGGUGUGCGCCCUUUGAGUCAUUGGCCUUAUUCCCCCUUUGCUUUUCCUAUUAUGUGCUACGAUCCUUUUCCCUAAAUAAACCGCUUCAAUUGCCAAUCGAGUUCAAAUUGCGUUCGAUGGAGAGUUGGUGAAUAUAGAGGUGAAGUGCUUGAAAUUUUAAAUGAGAACAUGGCGUUAAACUAAUGAGUUGGUGUUUUACACUAAAAUGAAGAGUGAAUGAUGGUAAUGGGAGGGAAAAUUUGGAGACGACAUAGUUGCAAGUAAAGAGUCCCAAGCUGAUAUUAGUUGAAUGAAUGGAUUUUAAUUUACUUGCGCUCUAGAUUCCUAUAAACUUCUAGACAAGAUUGGUGCCUUGGGAGAUUUCCAUAACAUAACUAACAAUCAUCUAGACCAACCGAAAGUGUACCCUACUCUUGUAUUGCCAUCUUGCUGCCCUUUUCGGUACACCAGUCAAAGUGUUUAUGAAGAUAAAGAACUUGAAUUGGAGGGGAUGUCAUUUAUGUUAGAUAGACCAGCUAUGUCAGAUGCAGAAAUGCUAGAUGCUCACAUGGAGUCGGCAGGUUUAACCCCUGCAAUACCAUCUCAAUGUCGUUAUGCAUCUAUAUAGUUUGCCUUCGAUUUCUGUUUGUGACUCUCACGGUGUAAUAUUACUUCCAGCUACUCUUCUUGUACUGGUUGAGCGUUCCUUGCAAGGAGAGAUUUGAUAUCGGCUGGAAAGUUUCUCACAUUUUGUGCAUGUAUCCCUCAUAACUGCAAGAGUCAAUCUUUGUAUCAAUCAAUCAUAUUAAACUCUUUUUACCUGCUAAUGGCACUAUUUGGCCUAGGAGAAGUUAAGACUUAUUUAUAAUACCAAUUCCUCUCCUUGGACAAGAUGUAGUAAGUGAAACUCUGCUUUCCUAUGGUAUUAUUACUGUCAACAAGCUGACAUUGAGAAUGAAAACUCAGUUAUCGGAAGAAAAUGAGCAAGAUAAAAUAACUGGCGAGUGCUUGGAAGAUAGUGAAUUGAGCCAACGUUGACCUCAUCUGUGACGUUGCCUUGGUUAUGAGAGCCUCUGUUCACAACAAUUUGUUCACGUGCUUAGAUGUGGGAAUUCAUUAGUUUAUAUUUUUUUUACCAACUAUUUUUCCAUUUAGAUCGCCAUUUUUUUAAGCUAAACACCAUUUUUUGGUAGAGUAAUGCUGAAGAUGUUAAGUCCAAGUAAAUGAAAAUGGUUUACUAAGUCACAUGCGAAAUAUUUUUGUGUUCAGUGUCUGUACUAUGCUUGCCUAAAUACUUGGAUUUUACCACUUCAAACGAGUUUUGUAAGCUAGUCUUUGUAUCUGUAGUAUUGUUCUGUUUUGAAAAUGUGUUGGUCUCUCUUUGGAUCCAAAGUUUCUCUUCAACCUUUUAGAUCUUGACUUUAGGAUGUAGAGGCACCCUUCUGUCACAACGAACUUACUUAAAAGGAAUCACGACCUUGAGUUAGUGGAGUGGUUUUGUGCUCAAUAAAGACAUGCUAUGCGGAUGAUGGUUAUGCCGAUUAGCACAAAAUCAUAUGUGAGAUGUUAGUUUGAAACCACACGAUUAGAUACAAUGUUGGGAUAUAGGGUAAUUGGAGUAACUUAAAAACCCUCAGAAAAGUAAGUUUCUUUUAACACAUCAGAAGUUCAACUAUAGGGCACCAAGGGAGUGCAAACGCAUAUAAGAAAAGAGCCCAAAAAUUGAAGCCAUGUACAGAAGAACAACUCCCAAAACCAAAAGCGAGCUCAAAUACAAGAUAAAUCAUCGACUAUAUUGACCAAGGCAUUUAUAUAUAUGCAGUCUCCACCAUACCAGAAGUGUACGACUUUAAGCUCUCUUGUUUAGCUCUUUCCAAAUAAGCCUAAAAACAGAGAGACAAAUUAAAUUAAUCCUUCUUUUCUUGCUCCAUAAAAGCUCCAAUAACCCAAAGAUAAUUCAGUGCAAGCAUAGGAAACUGUCCAAACCAUUCUUGUCCUUGAACGGCGAAGGAGGAGAUGCCGCAUGGAUUCUGCCUCCUUGCGGAGGAAACGCCUAUUAACCAAUAUUUUGCCCCUUUGUUGUAUGUUAUCUGAAGGGAGGAUUCGUUCCCAAGUUGCUUCCCAAGCAAAAAGAGACUCUUAUCCGAACCCUCACUUUUCGGAUCACUUCGGAAAAUCUGUUCUUCCACCGACAACCUCCCUAUUGUGAGCAGCUUGUGGUGAGACUUUACUGGAAAGAUUGCAUCUAGGGCAGAACCAGCUGUGGCAAAAACUCAAGAUUUUGAUUGGCGUCUUCCACUACUCUCGACGUUAAUGACCGUUAAUGACCAUCUUCUCCAGCAGGAGUGCGUCUCUUGGUAAAAGUAGCAUUGGCAAGGCAAGCUUACAUAGGUCAUAGUCGAAAGAACGAGCUACAAACCCGGCAGUCUCCACGCUUUUUAGAUGCCGAGCCAAGCACGAGUGAUGGUCUGCAGCGGGAAGAAUUCUUGUGCCUCGCAAUAUGAGGAAUGGCCAAAUCGAACAUGGCUUGUACAUUUAUUGGUAACAAGACUUAGUGAUCUGUCCAGAAAGUGGAUGAGGAUAAGCAUAGACAUGAAUAACGUUUGAAUUCUAUAUGUUCAAGUUCGAUAUGCAAUCGUCACGAAUUGGAAAAUAAAAAAGAGAAAAUGGUGCGCAGAAAGGGGGUGGGUUUCAGGCGGUGAUGGCAAACAAUGAGGCGAGAGUAUUUCUAUUCGGCUGAGUGUUUGGAGCUUGGGUGGUGAUGGCAAAUGGCUUGGUCGAGUUCAGGCUUGGCCCGUCGUCUCAACAUUUAGCAUGCAUGAAUGUUUGCUCUUGUGACAUGCUAAGUCGAAUAAUUCAUUAGCAUUCCUUUUUAAUUCAAAAGUAAAUAAUGAUUAAUUAUCGCAUUGUUUUUUUUCCAAAUUACAAUUUCAAGAAUUAAUCCACGAUCACGUUCACAUCAAUGUGAUGUCCCAUGAGUCCUCCAACGCUUCCGUACCAGCUCUGCUGAAACAGAGAGAAAUCUCCUCCUGGCGGGCCAUUUCAUUUUGUUGUGGUGUGCAAUGAGAUUAUUUGUACAAUUGAACAUAUGGACCCGAAUCAAACGAUAUCGUUUCUUAGACAAACCUAAACAUCAUGCCAUAUAUGACAUUAUUCGUAAAUUGACAUGAAUUAAGGCUUUCUUUGUUUCACGAAAAAAAAAGAAAGAAUGAUUUGAAAAAUAUCAUUCUAAAAAUUAUUGUUCAUAUUACUUGAAAGAAUUCAUUAAUGAAAUAUGUCUCAUUAUCGACAAUAAUUUAUAUUCAAAUAUUUGCAUACUCAACAAGAAUUUCUCGCAUUCGUUCAUUUUUGUAACUAUAUGAGUGAUUUUUUUUAAAAAUAAUUUUCCAAAUUGUUCGCUUUUCCGUGAAGGAUUUUAGUUAGCAAUUCAAUACGGAUCACUAUUCUGGAAUCAAUCUUGGCUUCAUCCUUUUGAUAAAAAAUUGAGACCGAUAGGCAUUUAUCACACUUGCCGGUAGAUAAAAGUGCAACGAUUUGAUCCGUCACAGACCUUGUAUGAUCUCAACACACAAGCAUAUAUGCGCGCUUAACUUAUAGAUUUUCCUCAUUUCUUUUUAAUCAGCGACAACGCACGUUAGUGUGUAAAAAGCGCAUCUUGUCUACAGUAACCCACUUGAUCAAAAUUCUUUGUUCGCAAAAAAAAAAAAAAAAGCUUGUAAAAAUCAAUAGGAUUUCAUAAAAGAAAAUUUACGACUUUUUUCAAUGCGCUGCUUUUCUCUUUCAUUUUUUCGUCUUCGUUUUUUUUUUUUUUUCAUGUUAUUGUGCUGUUCUGUCUGGAUUUUUUUUUUUUUUGGCUCUUUUGUUCAUUUUGAGAAUUCUUGCUAAUUUAUUCUGGAUAAUUUUUAGAGCAAUUAUCAAAAGUUCAGGUCGGGCAUAAGCGGUGCAAAAAAUGAAUGAACAUAAGGUAUCCAAAUACAUAUUCGUAGCAUAUGGUUCAAUCUCAUCAAAUCUUCAUUGCUUAGCAUAAAGGAGACAAGGUAAAAGGAAACUCCUUGAUUCCUACCGUUCUCAUAACGAAUUUCGAAGAACGAAUUAUUAUGUACUCUUUGAAGAUUACCAACCACCAAUCCAACCAAUUUUUGUUGUGCUAAUUUAUGAACUUUCUUGCAUUGGAAUAACGAAUAUUAUAACAAAGUCUAGUGCUUUUCCAAACUAAUCGGUAGAUGAUCACGUGCGUUCUAAAGAAUUCUCGAUCCAGUUGAUAAAAAAACAGAAGGUACGAAGUAAAAACAGAAUAAAAUGGAGAAAUGUAAUGAAAUGGAAAGAGGAAUAGAGCCGAACAAGAGUCAACCUAUUAAUUCAGAAGAUUCAUAUUCCACUGUGAAACAUGUCUUAAAGAAAGCAAGAGAGGAAGAAGAGGAAGAAAAUAGCAAGUACACUUGGGGUUCAAUAAAUAUUUCAAUUUUCAAUUUUCAACAAAAAAAAGAAAAGAAAAGGGAAGACCCACUCCUCCCCCCCGCCUCCGACUAUCAUACCGAGUGUACAAGCUCUGUUCCAGCAGAGCUGGUGGCUGCUGUUCUCGGGCUACUUGAUGUAGAAUGAUGAAGGAGGGUCGUCGGCGCAUGCUUCCGUUUCAGCUUCAUGUUCCGGUGAUUUGCUUGUUUUCUCAGGUUCAGCUCCCGUUCGGGCAUUCUUUCUAUGAUGUAAUGGGUAGGUCUAAUCGAUUGUUUUCUGAUUGUGAGGUUUUGGCUUGAUUUCUUCUUAUCGGAAGGUGAGGAUGGCGUGAGUGGAAUCCGAAGAAGGGUUUGUUGGUGAUAGUCGCGGAGGACUCAAAGGUUUUUAAGAUGUCUAUCCUAGGUUUUGGCUCGAUUUCUCGCAUUCGAGCCGAUGUAAUUUAAGAUGUGAUGAAAGCAAUUGUCUGUUAUUUUUAAGCUCAUGAGAUGGCUACUUGAUUGGAGCAAGGCAGGGCCUCUUGGGUUGACUUGGUUGACCUGAAGAAGAGGAAGCCGAAGUUCUCUUCUGCAAUUUUCUUUUCUUCUAAACUAAGUGUCUGAAUAUGGGAGUGUUUGGUGGCAGAAAUACUGCAGUAGAGAAAAGAAUGACACCUUUUUGCAGUGUUUGUUAUCACGAAAUGUUUGCUAAAAUGCAACUUUGUGUGCAUUUCCAGGAGACAUUAAAGUGUAUAAAUUUCUUCUUCUUCUUUUUUCACAUUUUUUCGGCCUCUUGCCUAUCAAAUAAUUGAGCUAUUUUCACCUUCAAUGCCAAUUUGGUAAAUCUUUUUAACCCAAUCUCUUAUCAACACAAUAUGUACUCAAAUGAUAUCAGUUACCGUUCAUGUGUUGAUAGAUUAUUUGGACAGUAUGUAUAGUAAAGUUAUCAUCUAUGUGUUGAUAGAUUAUUGGAGCAAUUUAUACUGUAAUUUUGACAUGUCAGUAACUUUAAAGAUAAUAGUAAGUGUACUCAAAUGGUAGUGAUAAUUUCCCAGUAACUUGAACAAGUUGAUAAGUUGUGCAAAUGAAUGUUAUUAAAUUAUUAAAAUAAUUGGCAAUUUCGAUACAAUCAAGCAAACAUCCGUACCGAUUAAAAUAAAAGUUGGUAAUAUCCCAUAAGAGUUAAUAAGUGCAUCUUAGUAACUUUAACAAAUAAAUGUUGGCAAGUUAUUGGAACAAGAUAGUCGACUAUUUCAAACAAUCAAAUAACAUUGGUAUAAUGACUCAAAUAAGAGUUUGACAAUUUCUUAGGAGGGUUAGCAUAUUUAAUACGCCAACAAUCACUGUAAAUAAAUGAUAGUAAAAAAUUAUUAAUCAGUGAAAAUUUUGAAAAAAGAAAUCAAGUAAAUAGUUGGUAAUUUAGAACUCUUAGUAAAGCUAAAAUAAGUUAGUGACUUACCCUUGAAAAGUUGCUAAUUUAUCCAAAUCAAGAGUAGUAAUAUCCUAUAAGAGUUAGUAACUUUAACAAAUAAAUGUGGCUAACUUAAUGGCGCAAUCAAUGAUAUCCAAACAAUCCAAUAAAUGCCAAUAACUAGACUGAAAUAGGAGCCUGUAAUUUUCUAUACGCUCCUGCAGACCCAACUCAAUCGCACCCUGCACGUUAUUAAAGAAAAUAAAAAGGACAGGAACAAAGGAAAAAGAAAAAGGUAGCUGAAAAGUAGAUAAAGUGGGGCCCAAUCCCCAUUGCAAUUAGCAAAAGAGAGGGUUGGACCGACGGGAAGAAGGAAAAGACUGACCGUCCGCAUCGCCGCCUCGUCCCCGGGUGGGGCCUCACCCCACCGGACACGUCGACAUCAUUUAUUCCUUUUGGAAAAAGAAUAUAUAUAUGAAUAUAUAUGUGUAUAUAUAUAUGUACACAUAUAUAUAUAUAUAUAUAUAUAUAAUCUUUUAAUCUUUUCAACCCUCAUCUUUGAGGCCUGCCUCCUCAUUCCCAAAACUCCCACCUUCAAUGACUUUCGUAGUGAAUCUUCAUGCCUAUAGAUUAAUAUUUAACGCUUCACCUAACCAGCAGGAAACAUUCAAAACCUCACGCUCAAAAGUACUCAUAUACCAUCAUUACUCAUUCCCGCUCUUCACCGAACCACCGUCUCCAACUAUCGGCUAACCAUUGCGCUGGCCAUUGCAUCCACAAAAAGUAAGGAACAUAAACGGAAAUACAAUUGGAUAAACCAACCGGAGUACUCAAGCUUAAAAAUUAACCCUCGAACCGUCAGGUUUUGAGUGGCUCCUCAUCGAUGACUGUCGUUGAAGGCAGCAGGAAGGCCUGGUUUAUCAAUGGUGUAACUAGGCUACAACAAGCAUUCACAACCGGCGAUUGGAACCUUUACAACUGUCUACAAACAGAACAACGACCGGUGAGGGAGUUUUCGGACAAGAUCUAGGCUCUUCGGUUUUCACGAUGGGGAAGAUAGGGAGCAAUAGUGAAGCAGGAAAGGGCGGCUCGGGAACAGUGAGGGCAAGUGGCUUGGCAACUAAUGGUGUCGAGAGGAGUGAUGGAAAGGCUCAUCGAAGUGAUGGUGUCGGUUUCAAUCGUCAGAAUGGGCAGCGGCAACUAUUGCUCCAACUCCUCAAGAGAAUGAAGUCCAAGAACAAUGGAUACAGCUUGUGGUGACGAGGAUGAGGUCAGAUGACAAUGGGGUGACGGUGAAGGUGUAUACACAACACUCAUGAAGAGUCAAUCCUCCUUAUUUUUCUCUCUUUGCCCCUCUUUUUUUAACUUGUUGCGCCUCCCUCUUGAACAUAAAAAAGAAGCCAAAAAAAAAAAAGGAAAAAAGAAAAAAGGACCCCUUGAGAAAAGAACAGAUUUUAUUCUCCAAAAGAGUUUUGUGUAAUUGCGCCAUAUGACACGAUCUUGAAAGGUGUGAAAUCAAACUCCAUGAUAACCAAUAUGAUGCUCUGAUUGGCUAAUUGAUUUUUGAGAUUGAUAUUUCUUUGAUUUGAUUGUAGGUACUUAAAUUUCACUAUUUCUAAAUCAAAUGUCUAAAAAAAAUUAAAGACUAUUGAAAUAAUAAAUUUUUUCAGUCAAAGGUAGAUUCUUUGAUUUGACCAAAAAAAGGAUCUUCAGCCAAUUCUAUGAAAACUUGAAAUCUAAACGCCUAUUUCUACACGCUUAUGUUGAAUUAACACUUAUAUGUAAUUAAAGUACUACUGAUACUAAUCUAAUUUUUUUCAAGUUAAGAAAUGAGUCUCAUCGUGAUCGAGAUCUUGAAUCUCUAAUUUUUCUAACUUUAACCAUCAGGAUUAUUUUGAUGUCAAUAGUAAUAUAUAAAAAAAAAAUUCUAAUAACUAUUGGUAUUUUCUUAAAUUUUUUGGUAACUUACCAAAAUGCUACCGACUAAAUAAGUUAUCGGUCAAAAUUUAGGUAUCAACUGGUUUUGAUAUUUACCAAUGCUAUUUGCACUUUACUUGCACCAAACAAUGUUCGGAAUUUUCCCCAAUAGAAUCUUCCUUUAUGGUAUGGACCUCUUUUCACGGUAUCUUCUAAAGCUAAGCAGAUGCCAUUUUCAACUUGAUUUGAUUUGUUUUCCACUUUCAAAAUGUUACGAAUAACUCUAAUUUUUUUUUUCAACACGAAGGACAAAUCAACCUAUUCCACCCAAAUUAAAAAAUUCAAUAUUCAUAAAGAUCGAAUUUCCAAGUUUUGCAUUGGAUUUGAUUAGCAUUUUUUUUUUGUUGGUAAAGAUUUUAUUAGCAUUUUUUGUCUUGGGUAACAGACAAAAUGUUGGAUAUUGAGUAUACAAGUUAUUCGGGCAUCUGAAGGGACUGGCUAAGAGCUCGACCAAUACCUAAUGACUAUCAUGUGGUCAGCAGGCAACACGGCCAGUCUCCCGGUCCUCUCCACAUAGCUCCACCAAAGACCCACAAUAUCAUAAAUUUUAUUUAUGAUUAAUUUUAAUUUUAAUUUUUUUAAAUAGAUGUUGGCAAAGUUUUAAUAGUUAUUUAUGUCUAUCACAACGUAAGUUAAGUCGUCGAGCAUAAUAUCACGAAUCAAGCGGAAUCAAGCAAAUAUUUUCUUUCACAGGCUCAAGCUCGCUUAUGUACGCCUACUCGAUCUUAUUCAUACUCCAUUAUUAUAUGAAUGACGAUUUUUUCAGAUGUCGGACAAGCUUGGAUUAAAAAAAUUAAGGUUCGGUACUCGGCAAUUCAAGACGUGCGAGGCCCAUCAUCACCGGCUCGUAGAUGUAUUAAAAGGCGCGGAAAAGUAGUUGCCACUCCAUCGAGCGACACGUGUCUCUGUACGGCAAGCCAGAAACUUGAAACUUUAGUCCGAGUGAAAUGAACCCUCAAUCGGAGAGCUCUCUUCCGGUUCCUCCCUUCGAUCGUCGAUCCCACAUUGUUCGCACGUGCGUUUUUGUCGAANNNNNNNNNNNNNNNNNNNNNNNNNNNNNNNNNNNNNNNNNNNNNNNNNNNNNNNNNNNNNNNNNNNNNNNNNNNNNNNNNNNNNNNNNNNNNNNNNNNNGAUCCGUCUGGACCGCCGCCCCGGAGCUCGUCUUCUUCUUCCCCUGGCGGAACGCCUCCCCGUCCGUGGACGGCGUCUUGAUCCUCUAGGCGUCGCCUAAGGUGAGGAAGUUCCACAUCGACGUCGAUUUUCUCGACCGUUGCGCGCUUGAGCUCAGUCCGUGGCUUCGCUUUGCUGUCGACCGCCGUGUCGAGGACCUCUCCAGUCGAUGCGACUAAGAGGUUGUGCGAGAUGGCCGGCCAUUUCGCAGUACGGCGGCUCCUUAUAUGGAUGCUCUUCGUUUGGUGAACCUGCACUCAGGGCUCUGUUGCUUCUCGAUGAGUAGAAGUAUCGCUUGGAUUAAUCUUUAGGUCCCUGUCCGUCUGUGACUCGGAGGUGAUGCAUGAGAUGUCGAAUGGCAGCCCUGUUCUCGAGGACCUUAGUUUGGAAGGAUGCUACGGUUUAAAGCGAACCAUCAAGGUUUGUUCGAGAACUUUGAGGGAAAUUGCGGGCAAUGGCUGCUAUCGGUAUGCAGCACUUGAUGAGGGUUUCCCCUUGGAGAUUCCAAGUCCUCUGUUGCUGUUUGAGAGGAUUUUCUGGUAUGAUGAGGCAGCUGGUAACGGAAGUCUCAGUCCUUGAUUGAAGCAGAGUCGAACUUUUUUAUGAGAGGGGAGGAUUUUGGAAGGCCAACUGAUUGUUUUGUUCAAAAUCGGUUCGAGUCUUACAGAGGGUAUUGCAACCUGGUUGAGGGACUGCUUCAGAAGCUGCAGAACGCAACUAAGCUUUCGAUUGGUAGUUGGUGCCUUCAGGUGAGCAGAUUGUUUUUUUAUUUCAAAUUUAACUCGUUUGGUUCAUACUUACGGAUAAUUCAUUGUUCCCUCUUCCUCGAGUUAAGGAAAUACAUUCCAAACUUCAGCACAAGGAAUCUGGUUUGCAUCGUUUGCUACUCUGCCUGAUGACCACUGGUGCAAAUACACAUCGUGCCUUUAGAAUAACUACUGAAAAACCAAAGAAAAGGCCGCUGGUUUAGGGUCAUUCUUUUUCCUGCUCAGUAGUGCAUAACCAUCAUUCCAAAGAUCAUAGUAAAUUGUCAAUGAAAAGUUGUUGUGUCCUGUUUUUUAAAAGACUGAAAAAGCAGUUGUUGACGAGAAUUAGUAUAUAAGUUCUACUAUUUCAAACUCAAAAGCUUUAGCAUCACUCAAUUUGUCAUAUAGGUGGAAACCAAAGGUGUUCUCAAAGCAUACACUUGCUGGGUUUUUUAAACAGUAUUUUGAAGGAAGAGUAAAUUAUCUUAUUCUUUUGCCUUUCAAUUUUUGAAUGUGCUUAGGUUUUAUCACUUGCGGCAGAGGUACAAGGUGUACCAUUUUCUUUGCCCAAUUGCAAGUUCUGACUCUGCAUGCACGUUGGCCUUAUUCCCCAUUUGCAUUUCGUUAAAUGUGCUACGGUCCUUUUCCCCAAAUAAAUCACUUCAGUUGCCAAUCCAGUUCAAAUUGCAUUUGAUGGAGAGUUGGUGAAUAUAGAGGUUAAGUGCUUGGAAUUCUAAAUGACAAAAUGACAUCAAACUAAGGAGUUGGUGUUUUACACAAAAAUGAAGAGUGAAUGGUGGUAAUGGGAGGGAAAAUUCGGAGAUGACAUAGUUGAAAAUAAAGAAUCCCAAGCUGAUACUAGUUGAAUGAAGGGAUUUUAAUUUACAGGCGCGAGAGAUGUCUAUCAACUUCUAGACAAGAUUGGUGCCUUUGGAGAUUUCCAUAACAUAACUGACAAUCAUCUAGACCAACUGGAAGUGUACCCUACUCCUGUAUUGCCAUCUUUUUGCCCUUUCCAGUACACCAGUCAAAGUGUUCAUGAAGAUAAAGAACUUGAAUUGGAGGGGAUGUCAUUUAUGCUAGAUACACUAGUUAUGUCCAAUGUAGAAAUGUUUGAUGCCCACUUGGAGAUGGCAGGUUUAACCCCUGCAAAAUACAAUCUCAAUGCCGUCAGGCAUCUAUAUAGUUUUCCUUUAAUUUAUGUUAGUGAUUCUCACGAUGUAAUUUUACUUUUGGCUCCGCUCUUCCUCUUCUUGUACUGAUUGAGCGUAAUAUUACUUCUGGCUCCUCUUCUUCCUCUUCUUGUACAGAUUGAGCAUUCCCUACAAGGAUUUCUCACAUUCUGUAUUGUUAAAAUGUAGAGUCUAGUCUGGAAAGUUUCGCACAUUUUGUAUUACUUGAAGUUAAUUUAUCUUCUUCCAAUUACAAAGGGGCAUCUCGUCACAUCAUUUUGAUUAAUCAAGUUUGUUGUUGGGAAUUUAACUUACUUGUGAAUAGGAUAUAUCUCAAGCUAUGCUGCAUACAUGUAUACAUGGUGGGAGGAGUUGGAGAAAGCAAAAAGACUAGGAGGGUAGGCGGAGCUGCAUCCAAGUAUGUUAAGUUCUUGUACGACUUUGUCUUUUGGUAAUUCAAAUUCGUAAGAGCUUGGGAUCAGAUGCCUAGCCUUGGUAGUUCUUGUAAUCUAUUCUCACUGGGAACAUUAGAGAGGAGUUAUAUUUUCUCCAGAAACAUCUGAAUGCUGCAUGCAUCAUGUUGCCUUCUUGAUAUGAAAAACAUGUUGUGGAGUGCUUCUUGAACCAAUCCUUGAGUGGUUUCUGUUGAGAUAAGUUGUAGAUACUUGUACACUUGUGAUCCUUGCUUGACGUAUGCUUUCAUGGUUACACUCCACCUCGAGGUUCCAAAGCUGAACAAUAAGAUUUGUUUCUGGAUAGAGAUAAUGGAUUGAAGGCUGCCAAAAAGAUGUAGAUUCCCUAGCUUUAGAUGAUCUACUAGCCCAAAGAAAUCCCAUGUCAAGCUACCAAUAUCCCUGUCAGAUAUAAUGUGUACUGUUAUGAUGUUUGCCUUACUUCCCAAAUAUUGAUUAUCAUUUUCUCGGUUUAUGUGUGUUCUCUGUCUUUCCUCUUAGUCUUAAUUUUAUGGUGAACAAAUUAUUCAUCCUCUCUCUCUCUCUCCCUCUCUCUCCCUCUCUCUCCCCCCUCUCUCUCUCUCUGUGUUUUUGUUGUUGUUGUUGUUGUUGUUGUUUAUGAAAUCACUUUUCUUUGCACACUCCAUUGUAUGUCGUUAUACUGGAUUAUCGAACUAUUCUAAUGUACUCUAGGUAAAUGUAUAACAUCAUUAUGUUGGCAUCCUGAUGGCAAAGUAGUUGUCUUGGGACUAGAAGAUGGUACAGUUUCACUGCAAGAAUCCCUUAUCUUCAGAGUGUGUUCUUGUCUAAUAUCUCUUGGGAAAGAUUCUGAAUUGCUCAAAAGCCGCAUGAUGCAUUGCAAACAGCAAGCUUGCUCAACAAACAUUUAGCUGCUAAUAGAGAUGGCAAUCCAUGUUUAUGGGUCCUGUCUGCCAAUGUCAAAUUAACAGUGGACUGCUAGUUAGGUGAAUCUGAGCACGAAAGCCUUAACAGAUCUUAUUAGAACACUCUUUUCGAACAUGCCCCCUUUGUUAAAUAGGUCUACAAACGACAAGAGGCCCGUUUAACUAAUUAAAGUGAAUGGUUCAUUCCAAUCCAAACAUGACCUGCGCAGCAUUUAUAACUUGUACAAUACAUGCAAUAUGCAUAUCUUCGUCAAUGUCUUAUAAUUUUUAAGAAGAAUAGCCGUAAACUUACAAAGUCCUCGGUUUAGAAGCAGUUAUCCAUCCAAAGAUGACUGAGACAGCAUAUAGAAGCAGUUAUCCAUGGCAUGCUCAUUUUCAUCAAAUUAUUAGUUUCUUUCUAUUAUUUAAAGUGACAUAUGUCCAGUUCGGUCAUAUUAGGAAGGUAAUAGUUCAGGUGACUCCUAAAUGAUAGAAUUUGUAUGUGCCUUAAUUAUGCUUGUGGGUGGAAAUUUUUGUAGAUUACCAGUUAUUCAUUAAGCUAGCUGUUUGGUCAUGGGUACAAUUGCUCAGAACUUGGCUGAUGCUGCUGCCAUAAAGUUUCUUUGCAAUGUCUUACCAAUUUACUAAUCAUUAUCCACUUCAUGGAUUAUGUUUUGCUUUGAAGAUCUUAUUUUUACAUAUGAAUGUUAUCUUACCAAUCUAGCUGUCUUUAUGGAACUGUGGAUAUGCAUCGUGUUGCUUGUUAUAUGCUAGUGCUUGUAGCAGUUAUACGUAGUGUGGUAUUUUUUUUUCUAACUCGGUAUAAAUAUUAAGCAGAAUGGAAAACUGUUAAGAAGCUUAAGUCCCAUGCGGCAGCUGGGGGUGUGUCUCAAUUGGGAGGAGGAUGCCCAAGUGAAUAGAGUAUGCAUGUUUCAACUGAAAAAGUUUCAUCUAACUUCUCGAUCUUGAUUCUUAACAGACAAUAUUUUAUUGUUCAUACCUUUCAUGUUCUAUCUAAUGCUUUGUUUGCAGUUAAGUAGUUAUUUUAGUCUGGUCUACUAAAAUAUUUCUUUUCUCAAACUUAGGAUUUUAUUCAACAGCUUCAAUAUGGGUUUGUGGAAGGUUUUUUGAAAACUUAUGUUUGGUGUCAACUGUGAGUUGUUGAUUUGUUGAUUGUUGACUCCUUAACCUUAAUCUCUUGUUAUAUUUACCUUCUUCUUCUUCUGUUGUUUUUUUUUGGCCAAUUGGAAAGAUAGUUAUCCAUUUUUUAAUAGGACACUUCUGGCAACGCUUUGGCAUUUGAAGAUUGCACUACUCGUCCCUCCAGCUCCAAGAGCUCCUUGCAUGCCUGGACUAGUACCUGGAGAAACUGGUUUAACUGACGAUGGUCAAGAUUCAUUCAUAGUGCUCUCAAAUUCUUCAAAGCAAUGUUUCAAUAUCCUUUGCAGUGGAGAUGAAGAUGGGGUUUUGUGCUUUAGUAUAUUUGGUGUCUUUCCAAUUGGAAAUGUUGUAAGCCUCCUGUUUCAGAUCAUAUAUUUAGCAGUAUAGUCUAUCAGAUUCGGUCAAUGACUACUUCUUUCCUUUCUUGCUUCCAUAGAGCAGUCUUUCUUUAUAAAUGGAUCUGAUGGCAGAAAUUAGUACAGCCUGAAAGUAAUAGACUGGUCAAUUAAACAACUAUACUAGGUGAAGUUAUUCUUGUAAAAGUUCUAGAUUUCACUUCUACUGGUCACUUCAGAGAUGACAUCUCCGACUUUGAUACAGCACAAUUAUUUGAAGCUUUUGUUGUUUGCCCCGAGUGCUCCUACCUAUACUGCAGUUGAAGCAACUAAAGGAGAAUUUGGUGUCUGUCUGGGUUAGCCUGCUGUACAGACUUUUUUUGCUUUUGUUUUAGACUUUUGAGUUUCUGCUCUUUUUUAGGGAGAUUGAGAACCUAUACCACCGUCGGUUGGGGAAAGUGUUCGAGUGUGUAUGUUUGUGUAGAUAGUUCUCUCUGUGGGUGUGUAGCUAUUAGAAGAUUUAGAAUUUUAGGUACUCUGAACCUUCCUGCAUGUUUGGGUUUAGUAUUGUUUCAAAGUGAAAACAUGAUAAAACUUCUCAACAGACAUUUGAUUAGUCUAGAAACGCAUGUUGGAGAAUUGUUCUAAUCAGUAUCAUUAAGGUUCCUAUCAGUUGUCUCUUUAGUUUCAUGGAGCAAGUCCUUAAUAGUUAUAAUUCCUUGUUGGGACUCUCCCAAAUGGACUCCCUUGGGCCCACCGCUUAUCAUUAGAUCUAUUAGUGUGGAAUAUGGUUUCGGUUUCCUAUAUGGGGGAGGGGGGUGGUUUAGAUCUAUGUACGAGUUUCUGAAUUGUCAAUGAUGAUUUGAUCACAAUGUCUUGACUUGGUUGACUACUUAAAGUCGAUUUCAAAAUCCUAUGCCCUUUACCUAGGAUAGGUAAUUUUCACUUUAAGAUGAGAUAUUUUAGAUGGAAAAUUGAACAUGAUUGAUAGGAAAUAAUUUGUUAUGAAAAUUGAUGUAGCUCAUUUAGUUCAAUGUUGAGCUUUUGGGUUGUCUUUUUUCUUUUUUUAAAAGGAUGCCAGUGGCAAGAAUACUAAGUUUCUUGCUCUAUAAAAGCUCCAAUAACCCAAAGAUAAUUUGGUGCAAGCAUAGGAAACUGUCCAAACCAUUCUUGUCCACCCACUUCCUCCCUAUUGGGCAGUUUGUAGCGAGACUUUACUGGUAAGAUUGCAUCUAGGGCAGAACCAGUUGUGGCAAAGACUUGAGAGAUUUCGAUUGGUGUCUUCCAUUGGUCUAGACAUUAAUGACCAUCUUCUCUAGCAGGAGUGCAUCUCUUGAUAAAAGCAGCAUUGGCAUGGUGAGCUUACAUCCGUUGCCAUUGAAAUAAAUAAAUAAAUAUAUUUGACUACAUGAAAUCAAUAACUUGACAUCGAAGAGUUCCUCACAGGUCCAGGCUAGUACUCGGAGAUGUUGAUUUGACUGACAUUGGUCAAGAAUCAUCUGUAGAGCUCUCAAAUUCUUCAAAGCAAUGUUUAGUGGAGAUAAAGAUGAGCUAGAGUUGGCAGUUAAGCUCUUGAAUUUAAAGAGAUAAUUUAGCACAUAUAAAGUAUUGUAAAUUUAUUACUAUAAAAAAACAUUGAUCAUGAAUUGCACUAGCACUCUUUUUUUUUUUUUUUUUCGUUCACACUCCACAAUUUCAAGUAGUGACCUUUUAGUUUGGAUCGUUGGUAUAUAAUAGCAGUGAUAAUCAUUUUAGCUUGCAUUGUUACAAUUGGAUAUUAGAAUAAGCUUAUUUUUAUUGUAAAAUGAAGUAAUUAAUGCAUUGGCUUUUUUUACAUUUCACUCAAUUCUUGAUGCAAAUCUUUUAAAUGGAGUGGAUUCAAUGUCUAAAGAGCUUUGUUUUAUGGAGUAACUACAUAAAAAAUGCAUUAAAUGGUAUCUAAAUGGAUGGACCUAGUAUUAAACAUACAAAUUGCUUCACAUCUUGUACCAGCCAAGUUGAAUAACAAUAUUAAUAUUUUUAGAUAUAUUUUGAGUGGCAAGUAAAACCUAUUUAACACAUUUAUAAAAUAUAGCUACGUGUCAUUAUCUAAGAGUAAUAGAUAAUUGUUAAAUAAGAAUAAUAUGCUUUUUGGGUGGCAAGUAAAACCUAUUGAACAUUUUUAUUAACAUAGCUAUUCCUUGUUAUUUAAGAGGAGUUGCAUGCAUUUAUGUUUAAGUAUUGUAUAAAGUUAUAUUUAAUCUAAAAUGAACUAAGGCCGAAUGUUUCAACUCCAUUCAACCAUAUAAGUAUUAAUACGACAAUUUAUAGGUGUUUAAGGAAGAUUGCAAUCGCUUAGCGAAACCACGCAAAAACAUUGGCCCGCAAAAACAUUGGCCGGCAAAAAUUUGAAAAUUUUGAUUUGUCGAUUUGUCUGUGGGUUAAUCAAAAAAUCGUGAAAUCAAUAAAUUUGAUUAAAUGAUGUAUCGGUAACUUCAAAAUUAAGUAGGGAGAAGAGUAGUGGGCCCGGCGACUCGUUUGAAAUAAGAAAUGGACAAAAGGCAACAACCGGUGGGACCCAGCCAUCAACAGACAGAAGAAAGAAAAUUAUUACAAACUAUCUAAUUACAAAUCUGCCCAUGGAUUCUAAAACCCUAUGAAGCGCCUCGACUUUUGCUUCCCUCUUUUUUCUAUGCUCCUAGUUAUCUAAAGAUGCGGAAAUUUUAGAUUGAGUUUUUAUUUUUAUCCUGAACCUUUUUUUCUCAAAAACCUCUUAAUUUUAAACCCAAUGCUACAUCAGCCCCCGAUUUUUUAUUUAAAAAGAAUUUCCCAACUUUUUGUCCAGUUCCAAAUGGAUCUCGAAUAACAAGAGGAUGUGCUCAAGAGAGCAAUUUCCAUCUUGACAACGAGGCAAUCUCGACAUUCAAGGAUCAGAAUUCAUGGCCAAAGAGGACAGGAAAAUUUGGUCAUAGAAAAAAAAGUAGAGAAUUCUCGGCCUAGUCAUUAUCCUGACGCUUUGCGUGUUUUUAUCAUUUACUGAGCACUUGUCUGGAAAUUAUUGGAACGGACGAAUCUCUCUAUCUCUUUCUCAUCCACUUUUCAUUUUCUCUCGCAAAUCCAUGUCAAGUCUCAUCCUAAGUCUCUAUCCACUUUUCCUCUUCCCAACAAAUGCACCGUUCUAUGCGUCUAGGUUGCACGGACAUUCUCCAGGACCCUUCGUGUCGUGUCCAACAUGCUCCAACACGCGGUCAACUGCCUUCGACAUGCUCCGACAUGUAAGUCGAAUAUUCCGGCACGUGACUCCAACACGCACGGAAUUAUUUUUAUAAAUUUCCAAAACUUCUGGAGUCUAAAUAUAAAUAUAUGAAAAAAAAAUAAAAGCUAAAACAAAUUUCCAAUAUUCGUUUGAAAAUGUUAGGGUGCUUAAAGUUGCAAAUUUUUCACUUGAUGAGCCGGAGAUUGAGGUUUUUUUUAGAAGAAGUGGAUAAUGUGGAUGAAUGACUUUUUGUUAUAUUUGAUGAUGUAAUGUUGAUUAUUUUUUUUCUUAUUAUUAAUUUUUAAAUUUAAUAGUGGAACGUGGAUUACUUGUUUUUUCCUCCAAGUUUUAUGGAUCAUUAUAAUGAAAUGUAGUUGAAUUGGUCAAAUUAAAACGAUGAAUGAUAUUAACAAAUGUAGGAUUAAUGUUUUUAGUAUAGAAUUCUAGGCUCUUUUUAUUAUUAUUAUUUAGUUAUUUAUGAAUUUAUAUAUUAAAAUAUUUUUUUAAUAUAUAACGUGUCGGAACGUGUUGAAAUUCUCUACUUUUGAGAAAUGACGUGUUGCGUGUCCAUAUUGGUACAAUCUAGCUAUGCGUAUCAUCUUUGGAUUCUCUUGUGCACUGAGAUUUCAGCCACGUGAAGGCAACAACUCUAAGCACAUGGUUGACAAAGCUUGACUUGUUGGUGUGAGUUCUGAUUGCCAAUUGGUUCCAUUGCAUAAAUCAAACCACAAGAGAAUGGGCAACAAGAAGGCAUUUUCUAUUUCUUGAGACGCAUUCUGGCUUUUUUCUCCGUUGGACUUGAAGGGGGAAAAUCAAGGACAGAGCCAGAGCAAAGCCGAAAUGCAUUGUCCCAUUUUUGGGCAUUCUUAUGCCGGGUUCAUGGCAUCGAUCCUUCUCUCCAUGCUUGCAUUCAAUUUUCUCAAUAAGAAGGAAACUAAUGUGAUAAUUUAGCACUUGUAAAGUAUUGUAAAUCAAUACUAUAAGCUCGUGCCACGAGCACUCUUUUGUUUUUUUUUUUUAAACACUUCAUGGUGUCAAGUAUUGACAGUUUAGUUUGGAUUGUUGGUAUAUAAAUAGCAUUGAUAAUUCUUUUAGCUUGCAUUGUCACGAGUGGAUAUCAAAAUAUAGCUUCUUCUAUGAACAUACAUAUUGCUUCACAUCUUAUGCCAAACAAGUUGAAUAACAACGUUAAUAUGCUUGGAUAUAUUUUGAGUGAUCAAUAAAACCUAUUUAACAUAUAAAUAAAGAUAGUUACCCCUAGAUCUAUAUAAAAUAAAUUGUUGGAUGAGAAUAAUAUACCUAGGUGUAUUAUGGGUGGUAAGUAAAACCUAUUUACAUUUUCAAUAACAUAGCUACCCCUCAUUAUUUAAGAGGAAUCGCAUGCAUUAUGUUAAAGUAUUUUUUAAAAUAUUGAACUAACACUACAUGUAUUAGUUCCAUUUAAUAAUAUAAAUAUUUGAAUUAACAUGCAUUACAAAUUAUAAGUGUUGAAGAUAGAUUGCAACCACUAAACUAAACCAAGAAAAAAAAUUGGAAAAAAUUUAUGAAUUUGGCUUUGGGUUGAUUAAGAAAUCAUGACAUCAAUAAAUUUGAUUAAAUGAUUAAUUGGUAACUUCAUAAUUAAAUAGAUAGGAGAGUAGUGGGCUUGGCCACUCCUUUGCAAUAAGAAAUGGACAAAAACUUGAUACAAGAGAGGAUAGCCUGAAGUUAAGGAAUGACUUGUGGGGCCCAACCAUUGUGAGUAGGGGUAGAAAUAAAAUUUUCAUAUGCUAUCCAAUUACAAAUAUGCCCCCCGGAUGAUGGGAACAAGCGAAGUCCUCGACUUUCUCUUUCCUUCUUUUAUACAUCUUAAAAACCCUUAAAUUUUAGGUCCAAUCUUAAUUUUAUUCCAAAUUUUUUUAUUUCACAAAAAUCUCAACUUCAAACCGAAUGUUACAUCAAUCCUCAAUUUCUUCAUCUAUUUUUCUUUUUCAAAUUUUAUAUACAAUCCCAAAUGUGUUCCAAAUAACAACAAAAAAUUCUUGAGGAUGAGGUCAAGAGAGCAAUUUUCAGCUUGACAAAGGGGCAAUCUCGGCAUUCAGAGAUUGAAAUUCACGGUCAAAGAAGACAAGAAAAUUCGGGCAUGAAAAAGCAGAGGAUUCUCGGCCAAAUGGGUGGGGCAUUUUUCCACAUGCAAUAGUUGCCAAAGGGAGCUCGAAAAAGAAAAGGAUGGUGCUUCUCUUCCUGGCCAAGAAAAGGGGGGAGAGAGGGUUAUGGUCUGCAAAAGAAAGAGAGCUUUUACAAAGAAAAACUGAUAAAGUGGUCUGCAAAAGAAAGAGAGCUUUUAUAAAGAAAAACUGAUAAAGUGGUCUGCAAAAGAAAGAAAGAAAAGAAGAACAGAAGAGAUGAAAAGAGAAAAAUAGAGAGAGAGAGAGAGAGAGAGAGAGAGAGAGAUUGUCGUGGCACGCCUGACGAAAUGACAGAGAGCAAAAUGCUGCAAUUUCACCGAAAGCUUGUUUAAUCUACUUUUGUAAAUCUACAUUUCCUUGUAGUUCACUUUGCCUGUGCAUUGAAACUUCCACCAAUUGAAGGCGAUGACCAUAUAAAUGCAUGUUUAGAGGUCCCGAUCAAUGAAUUACUAAUUUAUAUAUAGUUCGACAAAUUUGAAUUAUCGAUGCAUGCCGAUUGAUUUGAUUAGAUAAAUUAAACCAAUAAUAUAUAUAAAAUAAAUCAAAAGCAAAAGCAAAAAGGCAUUUUGACUUAUUUAUGAGAUUUGAAGGGGAAAUUAAGACGGAACCGAGUGAAAAAUAAAUUCUUCUCAUUGUGUUACGGUACCAAAUGAAUAUAUACACAUUUAUGCACGUUGAUAAUUUUUUAUAAUUCUUGACACGCUUUGAUAACAUAAUUUUUUAGAAUAAGUUAUCCUUAUUUAAUACUAAAAUGAAGUUUAUCGGUUUGCCUGUAUAAUAUAUCAGGCUCAAAGUAAGAGGGGUAAAUUCUUAAGUGUGAUUAAGAGCUUAAAAAUAUUUUACGAAAAACACCUUUUCUGACAAAAAAUAAAUUAACAAAAGAAAGAGGAAAGUUUGUCGGUGUAGGUGGUGGACUAAGCGUGCCUUCUUCAUUGUCUUGACGCUUUGUAUGUUUUUUUUUUUUUUUAUCUAUUUUGAGCACUUGUGUGGAAAAUAUUGGACUAGACAAAUCUCUCUCUCUCUCUCUCUCUCUCUCUCUCUCUCUCUCUCCACAUUUCAUUUUCUCCCGCAAAACCAUGUGACAGGCAUGUGAGGGAAGCAGUGACAACAAGGGAAAGAUAAAAAUUUGGAGCAAGGAAGAAAGAAAUGUGCAAAGGAACUAGAAAGAAUUGUCGUGGAGUUGAAAAGUCUACUUGGAAAAGAAAUUAGACAAGAGGAAAGAAAAAAUAUUCAGAGCAUUGAUGUGUUCAAAGUUGUCUCCACCUUAAAAGAUACGUAGCGAUGGUUAUAGAAAUAUCUAUCCUCAUACUGAUUCUUAUUCAACGUUGGUUGCUUUUUGGUUAGUCCAAGAAAUAAUAAAAUUAUCGAUGAUUCAUGCAUUUGCACGUGUCUUGUCCAGAUGGAUUGCAACUUACUGUCCAUGUCCUAUUAUAUAUUUAGAAAAUCUUCCCUUUAUAUUUGCCAUUGUAUUCAAUUACUAGCAAAAUUAAGGUAAAUGUGUAUAAAAAAUUGUGUGUCAUUGAAAGUCAUUUCGAUUGGUUCUACGAUGGGUCUAAUUCAAUGCUAUUGGCUGCCCUUUUGUUUGUCCAAGAAACAAUAAAGGGAGAAAUGCAAGGAGUCCUAAAAGUAUUCAAAAUACCAAGUCACUAGAGUUUUCCUCUCUACUUUCUUUGAGUUUAUAAUCAUAUAAAGUCUUUAUAUAUAUAUAGCAGAUUUUAAGUGAUCGUUGAUAAUGCAACGUCUCAAUAGUGAAAUGAAAUUUAUCAAUUAGAUAUGCUAAUACCUAAUUGAUUCAAGUUAAAUUUGUAAUUGGGACCGAGAGUUUAAAAAUAUUCAACAAAAGUAACUUUUCUAAUGGAAAUAAAUUAGAAAAAGCAAAGGAAAGUGCAAUGGUGCAGCAAUUAUCCUGACGCUUUGUAUGUAUUCAUCAAUUACGAUCACUUUCUAUGGAUACAAAUAAAGCAGUCAUCUUUUAUUUUUUAUUUUAUUUUUUUCAUUGCUUUUGCAUCGAAACUUGCUUACAUGUUAUUUUCUUCCAGGGAAGGAUCGCCUUGGAUUCUCCUGUCCUUUGAAACUUCCCCAACAUUAAGGCAACGGCUAUAAAUGCAUGGUCGGGUCCUGGUCAACAAAUUACGUAUUUAUAUCCAGCUCGGCAAAUUUGAAUUAUCGAUAUAUGCCAACUGAUUGGAUUAGAUAAAAGCAAAAAGGCAUUUUGAUUAAUUUAUGAGAUUUGAAGGAGAAAUUAAGGCACAACUAGAGCAAAAAACAAAUUCUUCUCAUUGUGAUGGGUACAAAAUAAAUACAUAUAGCAUGUUGAUAAUUUUUUGUGAUCCUCGACACGUGUUAUCUCAUUAAAUUUAUAAAUAUUGAAAUGAAGUUUAUUAGUUUAACAGUAUAAUAUUUAACAGGCGUAAAGUGAGAGGGAUUAAAUUUAUAAGUGGGAUCAAGAGCUUAAAUAUAUUCAAUAAAAAUACAUUUCCAGUGGAAAAUAACUUAACAAAAGGAAAGGAAAGGGAAAGUUCAACGGUGCAUGCAAUGGAGUAAGUUCAACGAAGACUCGUCCAAAGUCUCUUUCCACUCAUCUUCCCAACAAAUCCACCGUUUUAUGGGUAUCGAAAUUUUAUCGGAGCUUGUUUAUUAAUUCUCAUCCGUUUUAAAACUUCUUGGCAGGCGUCUUUUUGUCUCUCUCUCUUCUCUCUUGUGAAGAUUGUUUCUCCUCCUCCUCCUCUUCGCAUAGUUCGCCAGAGAAGACAGAGUCGCGACACCUUUGCUCCUCCUUUGUUGCCGCAACUAGUCUUGAGAAACGGUAGGCCCCUCUCUCCUUGGCAAUUCUUGCUCUCUCUCUUUGGCGAUUCUCGCUUUGUUUUUCAUGGCUCCCCUUUGCCUUUUUUUUUUUUUAAUCAGGGUUUGAUUUGUCGCUCGAUUGAGCGAGAGGGUUAGUCGUAGAUCGUUUGCGUUUUGCUGUUCGUUCGAUUUCUUCCUGUUGUAACUCGUCUCGCGUCGUUUUUGGAGGUGCUCUCACUUUCGCCAUCGACGUACGGACCGCUCGUGCUCUCGCUUCCCGUCCUUCUUGACCACAAAUCUGCAAUCUGGGGUUCCCUGCAAUUCUUCUUUCCUCGUGGGUUUCUCCCCCUUUGCGGAAUCGAAGUAGUGGGUAAAAGCGGUUGCUUAAGAAGAUUACCAGUGUCACAAAGCGGUGGGUUCUCAAAUAGUGCCGUCAAAUCCUCGAACAUUCUCGAACUCGCUCGAAAUGCUCCCCUUACCUGUCUGUCCCCAGCAGAGUUUUGGCUGGGCUUUUUCUCGAAUAUACGUUUUCCAGCAUCCAUUCUUGAAUUUUCAUGCCUUUCUGUUCUCUUGUACGAGGUUCUUUGAAUUGAAAGAUUUAGAAGCAACGUAUUUUUGUUCACAGUUUUCUGGGUUCUAGCAAUUUCAUGAUAAGCUCUUCAUGUUUUGAUUGUUUUAAAUUUGCUUUGAGAUUUAUUAUGUGAUGAAUAAAAGUUGGGUUUGUUUUUUGGUGUUUUGCUUCUUUUUGUUGGGUGGUUGUGUUUCAGAAGCGCACCUGAAGUUCGGAUUUUGGAGUCGAAAGACCAGGAGAUAAAGUAGCAUUUUUUGACUCAAAGCAGGUAUGAUCAUGAAAACUUUCACCCGCAAUCAGACAUGCAAAGUUUUAAUUUUUGGAACUGUGUUGGUGGCUUAUAUAUGCGUGGAGUGGCCUCUUUUUACAACCUUUUUUAAUUUCUGUCUGUUUCGCUCGCUCGAGGAGGUCGGUGGUUUCGAAAUGAUGGAUGCGCUGAAGAGGCAUGACGAAUGUGGGAGGGGAGAAGCAGAUGGUUAUGAGAGGGGUAGAGCUUGCGGGGUGUUGUUGUUCAUCCGAGUUAUAGAUUAUUCUGGUACUGCAUUGAGUGAGGUUUUACUAUCGUGUUAUUGUCCGUAAGUCGGUUACAAUGUGAUUUCUUUUGAUUGAAUAAUGACAAUGAGGAGUUAUUUGAAGUAUAGAAAAGAGAAUAAUGAGAAUAUUUCUAUACAGUUUUUCCUUGUCAAGGCUCCAUGUGCAUUUAGCCUAAUCUCUGCAAACACUGCAGGAAUUAUCAAUGGCGAUAGUUAUCUAGCAUAUUAGGCCUCAUUCGAGUUUAUGAUUCCAAUUAGCCAAUGAUGGCAUUUUUUUUAUUUAAAAUUUAAAAAACACGAAUUUAUGAUUCCAAUUUCACCUUCCUCUUUCAAGAAUUUUCUAUAAUCAAACUAUAAUUGGCAUUUUAUAAAUUAAAUGAAAAAAUUGGGAAUAAUUUUUUUCUGGGAGUAGAGAUUUUUAUUCUUAUACCAAAUGCGUUUUUGUUUUGGGAAUAGAAAUUUUGUGCAGUUACUAAACGUGUUUUUUUGCCCAAAACAUAAACGUUACGAAAUGCACCUAAGUAGACAGAAGAGCAACUCAUUCGGAAUAAAAAACUAAUAAAAAUUUGGUAGAGAAGACCGGUACCCUCAAGUUAAGCAAGGACUGGGUCCAUUGGGCAAAGGGAUAGAUAGAAAAAUAGAUGCUAUCUAAUUUCAUAUAUGCCCUUGGAUGAUUAAAACAAGUGAAACUCCUCGAUUUUCUCUUCCCUUUUUUAUAUGGGCUUGCUUUCCUGAAAACUCUCAAAUUUUAAAUGUAAUUUUAAUUCUACCCCAAAACUUUUUAUCUAAAAAGAAUCUUUAACUUUGGAUUUGGUCGUAAAUCUACUCCCAAUUCUUUUCUCUGAAAAAUUCAAAAUUUGAUGUCCAAUCCAAAAUAUGCCCGGCCAUUUUUUUAUCUGAAAAAAAAAUCAAUAACCAAUCUCAAAUUUACCUCAUUAAUCCUACACUCAAAAAUAUUGUUACUUGUUUGAUGUGGCAUUAAAAAUCCAUGUUAAAAAAAUGACAUGGAAAAUUAUAUCCAAAAUGAAAUCGUGUUUGAUCAGAAAAUUAGAAAAUUGGGAAUCAGUCCACGUAGAUUAGUUCACUAAUCCAAUUUACUAGCAAAAAAGGGCACACAAAUAUGUGAUUGAUUUAGAUUAUCUAGGGAAAUGAAUUUAAUUUCUUCAAGGGUGGAAAGCAUUUAAUCAAUCUAAUGAAUAUGUUUUUCAUUAGUUUUGUUGCUAAAAUAAUUUAUUAGGAUUAAAAUCUAAUUCACAAGAAUAUGAUGAUCAAAAGUUUACUUUCUUAGAACAUUUUGCAUAUAAUCACCAUAUAAGCUUGUACAUAGGAGCUUGUACCCUUCGAGAUUAUCAUUUUGUCCAAACACAGUAAUAAAAUCAUCUUAUAACAUGCAAGAGCAUGACCAUUUCAUAAUAUUAAAAAAGGUAAAUUCAAAUUUAUUGAUUAUAUAUAUAUAUAUAUAUAUAUAUAUAUAUAUAAAUUCAGCAUAUUGAAAUUAAGUACUUUAUUCUAUAAAUGAUAAUAAUCCGAAAGAUGAGACUACUUUUGAUACUAUGUAGGUAAGGACAUAGCUCUAUAUACUUUGUGGAAUUUUUUGACCAAAAGACCUUUGUGGAGUUAUAAUUAUUUAAGUUUCUAUGGUUAAAAAAGCUUUAUUUAAGUUCUAAACAUUAUUUAUUUAUACAAAUAUAAAACUGAAAACUUGAGAAUUUCUCGUGCUCUCUCAAAAAAUUCACUAUAUCCUUACCUAAUAUUAUGAUCUAAAUGAAUGAGAUGAUGCAAAACUGUUAUCCAAUGCCAUAAAAAUGCCUACACGCGUCUUUCAAAGUUCGUGAAUGUUCUUGGACGAAGGAAAAGAGGUUCUGAUUGCGAGGCCUGCCUUCAUGCCAAAAUUAUUAUUUUUUCACCUAAAGAAAUAAGAUUUAGGUAGUAGGCCUCAUCUAUUUUCUCUUCUUCCCAUAUCUAAGGCUAACAUGAGGUUUCGUUUUUAGUGACCCGUUUUAUUAGAUCAGAUAGGCUUCGGUCCUGGUUCCAAAAAUUACUAAUUAGUUCAGUUCUUGAUUCGUGGAUAGGAUCAGAGACUUGGAAUCGACCAUUCUAAUUUACGGUAUCAUAAUAGCAAUUCUCUUUUAUUUUUGGUUUUAUUUUUUUCAUACCUGUGCACCGAAACUUGCUCACAUGUUAUCUUUCUCCCAGGUAGGAUUGCCAUGGAUUCUCCACUGCACUGAAACUUCCACCACGCGAAGGCAACGCUUGAAUUUUAUUGGUGCGUGCCAACUGAUUGGAAUAGAUACAUCAAACCAAUUUAAAAAAAUAUAUGUAUGAUAAAGAAAAGCAAAAGCAAGAAGGCAUUUAGAUUUAUUUAUGAGAUUUGAAGGAUAAAUUAAGGUUCGACAGAAAAAAGAGAGGGAAAAUUAAGGUAGAACGAGAACCAAAAAGACAUUAUUCUCAUUGUGCUCAGGUCCAAAAUAAAUAAUAUAUAUAUAUAUAUAUAUAGCAAUUUGAUAAUAUUUAUAAUGGUUGACACGUAAAUAACAUAAUUUUUUAGAAUAAGUGAAUGUUAUGAUACAACAUUUCAGUUUUAAAAAGAAGUUUGUCGGUUUGACAGUAUAAUAUUUAAAAGGCUCAAAUAAGAAGGGUAAAUUCCAUAUGGGAUUGCAACCAAAAAAUUUUCAAAGUGGGAUCGAGAACUGAAAUAUAAUUAACAAACACACAUUCUCUUAUGGAAAAUAAAUGAAUAAAAGAAAAGGACAGUUCGAUGGUGCAAGCAGUGGACUCGGCAGGGGACUCUUCACUUUCCCGACGCUUUGAUGUUUUUAUAUAUUCCGAGCACUCAUUUGGAAAAUAUCGGACAGGACGAAUCUCUCUCUCUCUCUCCCCCAAUCUUUCAUCUUCCCCUGCAAAUCCCUGUCACAGCCUCGUCAUAAGUCUCUCUACGCUUUUCAUCUUCCGAACAAAUCCACCGCUUCAUGUGUAUUGAAAUUUUAACAUACCACAGUAGAAGAGGCUACCACAAUAGAAGAGGCAAUAAGGCGUUUCCUGUUUUCUGAGGGGCAUUCUGGUUUUUUCUCUGUUAGGCUUGAAAGCUGAACUCAAUGGCAGAGUCAGAGGCCGAAAUGCAUUGUCCCAUUAAGAAGAGGAAAACUAAUGCGAGUAGAAAUGCAGAAGACGUUGAUAUUGGUUCAUCUGGUUCGAUGACUGUGCCGACAGAAACUAAUUCCGUUGGAUCUGGUUCAUCUCCUAUGGAAACUAACAGCAUUGCAUCUAGUUCGUCGACCGUGUUGACUGGAAACUGUUAUGAGGUGUUCUUGAGUUUCAGAGGCCCAGAUACUCGACAUGGCUUCACCGAUCACCUCUACAAUGGGCUCCUCAAUGCCGGAAUUGAUACUUUCAGAGAUGAUGACGAGCUCUGCCAAGGCGAGAACAUUAGACCAAAGCUUAUGGCGGCCAUCAUGAGCAGUCAGAUUCUGAUUCCCAUUCUCUCCGUGACUUACAGUACAAGUAGUUGGUGCUUGGAUGAACUCGUUCAAAUAAUGGAGCGCAAGAAUAAUAAUGGGCAGAUAGUGUUGCCUAUAUUCUACAAAGUGAAACCAGCCGAUGUGAGAUAUCAAAUCGGGAGUUUCGGAGACGCAUUUCAUGAGCGUGAGAGGCGCUUGCAAGAGAGGACUUUUGACCCAACGAUUUUGGAGAAAUGGAAGAAGAACCGGCACCCCAAGGNNNNNNNNNNNNNNNNNNNNNNNNNNNNNNNNNNNNNNNNNNNNNNNNNNNNNNNNNNNNNNNNNNNNNNNNNNNNNNNNNNNNNNNNNNNNNNNNNNNNCCUUGAAAGGAUACGAAGCCAAUGGGUAAAAUUUUUCACCAAAACAUUCCCUACUUCCUUUUAAUAUGUGGGUGUUUACUAGUUCUUAUUCUCACCGGCACUUACAUUCAAUAAGAUCUUGUUGGCAGUAAAAUCCCGCAAUGCAUGAGUUCUAUAAGUUUUUUUUUUUAAAGAUUUUUGCUUUAAUGAUAUUGACCAAUCUAAUAUAGAUUUUAUUGUUAUGAUCCCAUUGCCUGAAUAAUAAGAUUUUACGAAUGAAAAUUUACUCUUGUUCCAAAGAUUUUGUAAUAUUGUGCCAUUUUUAUAUCAUGUUUAUGGUGUACCCUACAUUAAUCUUCGUCACAAAUUUUUCUAAAUUCUUAUUUAUUUGAGAUUAAGAGUACAACUUAUUGGUGAUUUUUAUUUAGAGCUCAUAACAUCAUAUACCGUGCAUGGUGAUUGUCAAAGCCAUAAUUAUUUAUAUUCCCAAGUUACUUAUAAUAAAAUAAUUAAUGUUAUUGAUUAGUCACUAUUAAAAUUAUUUUUACAAAAGAAAUGUUCCAUUGGUUAUAUAUGAUGACGGUAAAUGUAAAAAAGGAGAAAAAGGAUUAUUUUUAUUAUGUGUUUGUUUAAAUAAUUAAACUCAUUUUCCUAUCUUCGACAAGUAAUUUCUAUCUCAUUCACCUACAUAUAUUGAAGCAAUGUUCUUAUUUUGGGUAAAAAUUAUUCUUCUACCUCCCUAUAAAAUCAAUAUUAGAUAAAUUAAAAUCAUAGAAUAUAGACACUCAAAAGGAAAAUAAAGUACAACCUGUCAUCAUCCCUAGAGGCAAUGAAAACAAUGAAGAACACCAAUCUAUAAUGAUACUAAAUUCACAACUUGAGUAGAAACUUGAAAGUGUGUAGAAUUGUACAAACAAGGAGAAUCCCCUCAAUUGCUUUCAGGUCGUUAACAACAUCACAAUCUGAACGACUUUUUGGAUUGGUAUUACAGGAGCUAAAAUCCUCUUGCAUCAAAAGUUAUGACCAGUUCGUUGAUCGAUUACAUACUCUCAUACUAGGUUGGCUUGUUGGAAUUGCUUAUUCAAACGCUCUAGAAAGUUUUCAAAGUCAUGUCCGCGUAAUCUCUAAUAUCUUUAACAAAAAGGAAGUUUAAAAUUUUGGUUCAAAUCCAUAACAUAUACAAUAUUCAAGAUUCAUAAGCAUACCCUCAAAUUUCUUCCGGCUUUAUAAAUUAUCUCAGAGUAAUAAUGGCAUGCCUGAAACAACCACAAGCAUUUCUCAACUUUCAUUUUUAGCAUAGAAGAUAAUAAAUGUAGAUAUGGCAAAAAUGAAUCUUAAUUUUUUUUCAAUUUAUCCCCUGAUUUGUUUAUUAUUGUGUUCUCAAUAGACAAACAAUAUAAAAUUAUUGUUGCACUUAUUUAAACUCUUCUCCCAUUUGAUAGGUAUGAAGCAAAGUUGGUGAAAUUGGUUGUUCGAGAAGUGAUGAUUGCACUGAAGAAAAAGUUUGAAUUGGUUAUUUCUACGAAUUUGGUUGGAAUUGACAAUCAUGUGAAGAACGUUAUGGGACUUUUGGAUGAUAAAUCUCAUCCCCCCCUAUUUGUUGGCAUCCAUGGAAUGGGAGGCAUUGGCAAGACUACUCUUGCUAAAACCAUCUACAACAAGAUAUCCAAUCAAUUUGAGCAUCGUAGCUUCAUUGCUGAUAUAAGGGAAUCAUGGAAGCAGGGGGUUCGUCACUUACAGAAUCAAUUAAUCUAUGAUAUAUUGAAGCAAGAAAAUGUAGUUCGUAAUGGGGAUGAAGGGAUUAGUAUCAUCUCCUCCAAGUUUAAAAAAAAAAAAGGUCCUUGUUCUUCUUGAUGAUGUGGAUAAUGUUGUUCAGUUGAAGAAUUUGGCUAGUAAUCGUGAUUGGUUUUCUUCGGGAAGUAGGAUCAUUAUUACCACUAGAAACAAGAGGAUUCUUGAAGAAGUUGGGGUGGACUACGCUUAUGACCAUAAGGAACUGGAUAAAGAUCAAUCUUUAAUUUUAUUUAGUAAACAUGCAUUUCGAAUGGACUAUCCUCCAAGGGAAUUUAAGGAACUCACUCAAGAUGUUGUCUCCAUCACUGGAGGGCUUCCCUUAUCGGUGGAGGUUUUUGGUUCAUUAUUGUGCGGAAAAGAGCCAACACAAUGGAGAGACACGAUAAAUAAGUUAAAAAAGAUUCCUCAUAUGGAAGUGCAAGAAAGGUUAAGAAUAAGCUACGAAGCAUUAGAUGAUGACAAAAACAAAUAUUUUUGGAUAUAGCUUGCUUUUUCAUUGGCAUCGACAGAGAAUCGCAUCCUACAUGUGGGAGGCUUGUGACUUUUUCCCNNNNNNNNNNNNNNNNNNNNNNNNNNNNNNNNNNNNNNNNNNNNNNNNNNNNNNNNNNNNNNNNNNNNNNNNNNNNNNNNNNNNNNNNNNNNNNNNNNNNAGUUGGAAAUGAUCAUAUACUCAGAAUGCACGAUCAAUUGAGAGAUCUCGGUAGGGAAAUAGUUCGCAAGGAAAACCAACGGCAGCCUCAGUACCGUAGCAGGUUAUGGGACUCCAAGGAAGCUCUGAAAGUGCUAAAGGACAAUAAGGUAACCGUUUCGUUUCUUUUGCUCACUCAGUCCAUGUUAUACUGUUAGAGUAAUGUUGGUCCUCCACUCUCUGCUUGCUCUAGUGAACAGAGAACCUUCUACUAUUAUUGCCCUCGAAUGUUUCAUUGAAGAGAUUAGAAAGUAGGGAGGUUGCUUUCUCUUAGUAAGUAUUGUAGUGUUAUCUGAGGUUUUACUUAAAGUGUAUAUUACGAAAUUAUCUCCAAGGAUGAGAUAUUUUCAAAUCUUUUAGAUACUUAACAGGGGUAUUCUAUAUUGGAAAGAUCUUGAAUUUCUAUGAUUGCUUCAUCUAUGUCUUCAACAUACGCAGUAAAUAACUUGACUAUGCUACUGUAAACCAUAAGUACUCAGGAUAUAUAAGUCAAAGAAUUAUAAUCUCUAGAUAUUAAAAUUAAUACAAUAGGACUAACGAUGCCCCACGUUUCUCAUGAAAUUUUAGUCAUUAUUGCAUAAUGGAGAAUGGAAGGGAUACUCAUUUUAUGUGAUAUUACGUUAGGAAUCCCAUUUACCAAUACUCAUAGGAUAAGGACUGAUUUAAAACUUGCCGAAUAAGAUAGGAACAUAAAUUCCUUUUAUAUAUAAUACAGAUGAGUGAGUAUCCACGAAAUCUUGUACAACAUUGUGAAGUACAAUAGCAAAAUUUCUGGUUCCAAGAAAAUGACAUGUGGAAGUCCAUGAACUUUCUGUAUUACUUCUUGACUUCUUAUGCAUAAUUAUUAUUAUCAUUUUAUUUGUGAAAGCUUGCUACGAUUUGGUUCUCAGGAAUAACUAUUCUAUUUCCAUUCUAUUUUGAUGAAGCAAUUAUCCNNNNNNNNNNNNNNNNNNNNNNNNNNNNNNNNNNNNNNNNNNNNNNNNNNNNNNNNNNNNNNNNNNNNNNNNNNNNNNNNNNNNNNNNNNNNNNNNNNNNCUAACACGCGGCAUUAUAUCGUAAAAUUUUUGUUCCCAGAAUCAGUUUGGGACAAGAUUUGAGAAUAAAAAAAAAGUUGAUUCUGCGUCCGACAAUCAAAAAAAGAAUCAACACAAUAAAACUCUUCUUCUUCCCUUCUGCCAUCCCGUGACUGUCGCCCGCCACCGUCCGCUGCCGCCCGCCGCUAGCCGCCGCCGGUUCAGCGAGCUCGCCGGAGGCAAGCCCAGCCACCGGCGAGGCUUGGCCUCGCCAGAUCUGGGGAGGCCAAGCCUCGCCAGUGGCUAGGCGAGCCUCGGCAAUCCCCGGCGAGGCCUGCCUGUCCACCAGUGAGGCUCGGCCUCGCCAGAUUUGGCGAGGCCAAGCCUCGGCGGGGCUGGGUGAGCCUCGCCCAGCCUCGCCGAGGGUCGGCGAUGCUCUGGUGAGGUCGUCGGCCGUCCUCCGGUCGGUAGCCGGUCCGGCGACCGGCCACAAGAAGAAGAAGAAAAAUAGGAGAAAAAGGAAAAAAAGAAAAAAGAAAAAAAGAAAAAAGGAAAAAAAAGAAAAGAAAAAAAGUAAAAAAAAGUUAUUUAAAAAUUAAAAGAAAUUAAUUUGGAACAGAAUCAAUGAACACAUUAUCAAACGCAAUUCUAUUCCAGAAUCAGAAAUUUUGGACAGUUACCUAACACGUUCUUUUACUCAGAAUCAGUUCCCGGGAACAGAAUAAAAAAUAAUCAUUUCUUGUUAGAAUCAGUUCCCGAGAACAGAAUUGUUACCAAAAGCGCCCUUAAAAUCAAGAGUAGUUAUUCCUAUCAGGGCCAAGGAGUAGCUAUUCCAUGUAGGCUUGUAGCAAAAAAUAGCUUCAAUUUUCUCAUUUCUAAAAAUGGUUUGCACUUUCCACAAUUAAUUUUUUUAAUAUUUUUAUUAUAGUUGAGUAUUUCGGUUAUUUAUGAUUAUGAUUAUAUCAAAUUGUAAUUUAUAUUUAAACUAAAAUUUAUGAUAAAAUCAAAAGUUUAGAUAUUAUUAAUAUAGCUAAUAAGUUUUUUUUAUGAUUAUGAAUAUAUCAAAUUGUAAUCUAAAGCUAAACUAAAAUUUACGAUAUAAUAAUAAGUUGUAGAGAAUAUUAACAUAACUAAUAUUACUGUCUUAGUUAUUUAUGAUUAGAAAAUAAUUAAUUAAGAAUAUUUCAAGUUACUACUAGUAAAUAAUAAGUACAUAAUAUAUUAAUAUAACUAUUGUCACAAUAUUCGGUUUCUUGUAAUUAGUUAUUACUCCAAUGGAAAAUAAGAGUAUCUGUUUUUUUUUUUUAUUAAGUAGCACAGUCGAGUAAUAUACACAUAAAAAUUAACGUGAAAUUUACAUAGAGAAAAAAUAUUUCUAUUAAAAUAGAUCAAAUCAACUUUUGAUUUUGCACAUUGCAAUUUGAUUAAAUUCCUUGCAUUGCACGCUUGUCUUAACUAGUAAGGGAAAGAAGGAGAAGAAGAUUACAAGUUGUAAAGUUUUUACUUUGAAUGAACCAUGACAUCAUAAUUCUUUUUUAGAUCCGAAUGUAUACGGCCAAAUUUCAAAAUGGAAGUUGACAUCCUUCACUUUGUUAGCCUUUAUAAAUAUUGUUCAUUGGGCGUAAAAAGAAAAAUCAUAUCUUCGCAUUGCUGGUCUCUUGAACACAUUAAUGCACGUCAAUCGCAAUAUGAACAAAUAAUAUUAGAUUACUUUAGUUGGAUUUAGUAUUAAUAAACGUUGAUUCUUGCUUGCAGGGAACGGACAAGAAUGAGGCUAUUGAUCUAAGUAAAGGCAACUCAGAAGGCCUCGGCAAAAUAGAUGAGCGAGAUGGCAACAAUUACACAGCAGAACAAUUCAAAAAAUUGACGAGUCUAAGAUUCCUUUUCAUGAAAGGGGCACAUCUUAGUGGAGAUUUUGAGGACUCAAUAGAGGAGUUAAAAUGGCUUCAAUGGCAAGAAUGUGCCACAAGUUUUGAAGUAGACAAUUUUCACAUGCAGGAAUUAGUUGUACUUGAAUUGAAACGUAGUGAAAUAAAUGAGAAAUGGGGAGGAUGGAGUUUUUUCAAGGUAAGAAUUAAACUCUCUUUUUUUUCCUCUCUUUUAUGCUUUCUUUUGAAUCAUAAUGACUCUACACUCACCCAUCGACAUUCAUUGUUGUUGUUGUUUUUUUUUUUUUUUGGUAGAUGGCAAAGAAGCUUAAAUAUCUAGACCUUUCAUUUUGUCGAUCCUUGGAAAAUACUGACUUCCUCUCAGCUUUUGAGAAGUUAGAAGUUCUCAUCCUCAGGGGUUGUGGGAGACUAAAGCAAAUCGACGCUUCCAUUGAAGACAUUAAGGGCCUCCUACGCUUGGAGCUGGACAAUUGUUUCUACCUCAGGGAGCUUCCAGCAGAAUUAGGUAAAUUAAAAGCACUGCAGCAACUCAAUCUAUCCGAAACUCCAUUCCUUUUUGCAUUACCAGAUAGCAUAGGGUCUUUGGAGAAUCUAGAGAUUCUAGAUAUUACUCACAGUGGUAUAGAAGAAUUACCCAAUGGUAUUGGGAGUCUGAGAAAGCUCAGAGAGUUAUGUGCUUGUGCUUGCAAAAAUCUGACAGGGAUAAUGGUAGAAAGCAUGUGUAAUCUUUCUUCCCUACGACGCCUUGAUUUUAUAGACUGCUUCAAGCUCCAAUCGCUGCCAGAAUUUCCUUCCGGCUUAACAUAUUUGGGCGUCACCUGUCAAAGUCGCAAAUUGCCUUCGCUUUCCCACCUACCCCAUCUCAAGCAACUACAAGUUAGGGAUUGCGGAUUUAUCCAGUGCAUCCAGGAGCUUCCAUCAAUGCAAUUAAAGAGUUCAGAAUGCUCCCAACUGACGGACAUUGAAGAAAUGGAAUCACCACAAUCCCUAAACACGCCCUUCAAAUUCGAAUCCUUGGAAGUCUGUUGGUGUGAAUCUAUCAAAAUGCUGGACGUUUCACAGUUUGUCCAUCUAAGGACAUUAGUUGUUUGCUGUUGCAUGGAUCUAUUUGAAAUUCGAGCUCUUGACAAAUUGAUAUAUUUGGAAAGCUUGGAGAUCAAAAGGUGUCAUUUAAUCAAAUAGGUGGACCUUCCAAAACUCGAGCUCAAGGGUCUGAAGAAAUUGACUAUUAAGACAUGCGACAAAUUAGCCGAAAUUCAAGGCCUUGAUAGGUUGGAGUAUUUGGAAAUGCUAGAUAUCUUUGAGUGCACUUCAAUGAAAAGGCUAGACCUUCCAAAAUCCGGGAAGCUGAAGAAAUUACAAGUCAUAAGAUGCGUAGAAUUAGCCGAAAUUGAAGGCCUUGAUAGGUUAAAGUUGCAGGAACUGAAUAUCAUCGAAUGCAAGUCACUCAAAACAAUUCCAGAAUUAUCUAGAACUCAGAUUUAUUGAUCAAAAUGAGAUUACAAAUAGUGAAAUGAUAGGAUAUGAAUCAGACGAUAUGGAUGACUCGGAUGAGUCAAUAUAUUGGAAGUAAUCCCCAUUUACUAUCAAAGGUACAUAGAGCAGGUAAGUUACCUUCGUUCUUUUGAGAUCUACUAUCCAAUUUUCAUUUGUAUUUCCUGCUCCCAAUAUCUUUCAAGAUAUAUGAUCUUCUCAAUAUUAUUUCCUAGCUGACAGUGUCAUCGUUGUCUCCUUACUUGAAUUCAAGGAAUUGAGGGGAGAUAUCCAUGGAAAUUGUUGUGUGCUUUGCCAACAAGAUUUUGCCUAUCAUGCCAGUAAGGGAAAUAGAUGGAAAAGACUUUCUAAGUGCAUCAUUUGUCAUUAGUUUUUGGGUAAGAUCCUUCAUCCUAUGCAUAAAAUAAAGAUUCUCAACGUUUGAUUGAUUUUGGGAAUGCUGGAAGUAGUGCAUAAAAACUUAUGUAUAUAGGUAUCUGAUAGCAUGCCAAAGGUCAUUAUGUAGGUCGAGAAAUGAAAAAUGAAGUACCCAAUAGGGCGGUCCUCCUAAUUGAGGUUUUAGUUUGCUCUGCCCUUACCAUGUAGCUCGUGACUGCAUGUUUCUAAGUUAUGCUUAACAGUUAAUUUACGGUGCAAAUGGAGCAUCUUGACAGGGCAUCCCUUGGCAUCAACCAUUGAGUUCCAAACAUUUUAUUUCACAGAACUGUCUGGAUUGGCUGAUUAAAGUAACCGUAUCAGUUUAGAAAUGCUAAAUGCAAGAACAAGCUCUUCUUCUAGUGGUGUGGCUGUGAGUGAAUUAAUAAACAGGGAAGAAGCAAAAGCAUUGUGAAGUAUUUGGAUCGAUCUAGAAAAUUGCAAUUCGAAUUUUAUUGACUAUGGAUCCUUGUUCAUUUGGUUUGAAUCCAGAAUAUACCUACUCCAAGGCUAAUAAUAGAUUAUCCCAAAGAAUGCAUCUUGAUGUUUGUAGAGUUGGUAAAGCUAUCUGUCAUAUACUUGAACUUUUGAGCUAAGCAAGACAUUACUACAAUGUCCUUUGACAUAAUCGUCUGUACUGUAAAAUAAAUUCCUUAUAUUGUGUAUAAGCUCUUGUUAGUUCAUUUACUUGCUGAAAUGUAAAAGACAGGAGGCAUCUGUAUAAGUUUCCUGAGGAAACUUUUCGAUAUCCUAUACGCCAUUUGAAAACUGCCUUUCAUUAAUUCUAAUGCAUGAAUAUCAUGUAAUGGUAAGGAAAAGAAUCAUACUAUGUCCCACAAAACCAAGCAACUUGAGUUGAAUUCACUAUGUUAAUUUGAUCAAAGCUUCUGUGGGUGAUGAUGUUAGAUGCCCCAUUAGUUGGAUCCAAAGAGCUCAAAAGGAAUAUUGAGUUUGACAAACAGAGAUUUGUAAACUUCAGAGUAUUAUUACUAGUUCGUUGAUGUUAGUUUCUAGAUUGAUUUCAUCCGACUCACUGGUAGGAUUCGGUUAUUUUCACUAGUUGAUGAAAAUGCUGAAAUAUCUGAGAGAGCUUUCGUAAGGCACUUCUAAAAUAAAUCGAAAUCAUAGAAAGAUUUGGAGCUCAAUGCAUACUUGGAAUGGUAAAAGUUUGUUUGCAUGUUGUCAUCUCACAUUGCCCUGCUUAUGUUUAACAGAAGCUUUACAGAGCUGAAAAUGUCCGCCUCCACUCCUGUGAUCAAGUCUCUCUAUCUUCCUUAUUUUCUCUUCCAUAUGUUACUCUAGGAUUCAAGUGGACUUUCCUCAUCCUCUCACUCUUCAACUGGCUCGAGCGUUCCUCUAGGUUUGAGCUCUAUCCUUCACAAGCCCUCUUUCAGCUCGCAUCCUUGUGAUUUGUUCUAGUGCUAAUGUUGCGUUUUCGAUUGCUCACGGAGCUUUAGCUAUGGAGACCAGCGAAGGACCACAAUGUGUCGUCCUCCUGUUUCAGCUUCAGUUCGAUAAAUCACUAGCUUCUCAGGUUCGGCUCCUAGUGUUCUUUUGUGACCUAAUGGGCAGUUGACUUGAUUGUUCCAAGUUGAUUUUCUGAAGUUUGCUUGAUUUUUGAUUGGCAGGUGACGAUGGAGUGGAAUCCAAAGAAGAAUUGGCCAGCGAUGGUCGAGAAGGACUCGAAGGCAAUGUCCAUUGGCAGAGGCUGUGGACAGUCUCUCCUUGUAAUUACUUCAAAGUGAGAAGGUUGGUCAGCUUAGUAUUCCCUGGAUACUACGAAAUAUGGUCAGCUUGGUAUUUGCUUUCAUGUACUAUAGCAGCUAUUUUGGUAGGCCUUCAUUGGGUUGUGCGAUACAUUUGUAGGCGAGAGAAUUAUAAUACCAUGGUGUAAUGGAACUUGGUCGUGCUUUAAAUGUCAGAAUGAUAUGUUGUCAAGCCUAGUAUUGUUUUCAUGCGUUCUAGCAGCGUGUCCACAGUAGUUGCUAAACUGAUGAUGUGCAAUGGUAAAUGACUCUUGGUUUGUAGGUUAGUUCUUCAUUUUAGAUCGUCUUUCUACAGUCCUCAUAAAUACUUUGAGCACUUCAACUAGAUAAGAUUGACUCAAGUUAGGGUGGUUUGCUGCUCAUCAACCCUGGUUUUUGUUGGUCCAACAUAUUUCAAUUAUCCAGAUGGUAACGAGGGUUAAAAUAGAUGGGUUGAUUGUUGUUUCUCGUUGGAUUGUAAGGUCUCACUUUUUUAAAGAUAAAGUUUAAUUUCUUGUGCUUUCUGCUUUUAUUUAUUAUGUCAGGUCAGGUCAGCAAGAUGUCUUACACGCAUUAUUGUGCCAGAGAAUUACUGCAACUUGGAGGUUUGGGGACAGUGAAUAUUUGCGAAGGACACUUGCAGAGGAAUUUCAACAGAUGGAACAGAGGUAUUAACAAAAGAAUUAGAAAUGUGAGAUGCAAUAGAAUCUUGUUCUUGCAUAGAAGUUCGUAUCUGAAUGUGUCGUUUAUUGCUCUUUCAUUGUAGAUUCUUCUCAUUAAUGCUAUAUCUAGUUUGCCAUGCGUAAGUGUUCUUACCCAUGCCACCUCUGUGGGAAAAAUAUGAAUUAUGGGACAAAAUGUUGCUGGUAUCUAUUGUUUAAAGUGAUUCAUUUUCCCCCUUUCAAGUUUGGUCCUCAUUGCCGAUAUGUGUACCGAAUGUGAGAUUCUUGAUCUCAUUGUAUGCAUAACGGGAGUUUGAGUAUGAUUGCUCGGAUUCAAAAUUGGACUGUGUGAACAUUGCCAGUCUUUGCUUUUUGGUGUUAUCCAACUCAUCAAUUAUUUGAGUUUGUUGAUCUUUCUAUCCAUUUUCCUAUUACCAAAAAAUUGUACGAAUAUUUUUCAUUUCCUCGCCUAAGUAGCCAGAACUAUGAGACCAUAAUGUGAGAAGGAGAACAAGAUAGGGAAACCUUUGGGGGUGGGGUGUUGGCUUCUAGGUUUUGUAGUCAACAAUGAUUUCCACUUACCCUCUUCUUAAUAAUCUAGUGUUUCGUAUUUGGUCUUAGGUUGAUUACUUGACAAUGUAAUUGGAACUUAAGUUGGGUGAUCUUGUCGGAUUGGGAUUUCUGUUUAGCUUAUGAUCAUUGUGUAUGGAAAAACAGUGCCUCAUCUUUAGAUUAGGGAAUGAUUUAAUCAUUACAGUUUCAAGGAAGCUAUCAAGAUGCCUUUUUUACUAUUUAAAAACAAAUCUUGAUAUGAAUUUAUUGUCACAAUUCCCUCAUAUGUUUGUUUCAGCAUUCACUAGAUACAUUCCCUUUUCACUAUCCUUCUAUGAGGUAUAUACCUUUAAUCUAAAACUACAAUUUUCUCUAGAGAUUUACAUGUGCAUAGUACAAAUACAGGAUGGCUCUAAAUUUGCUUCAUCCAAUCAAACUCAUGAAAUUGGGUUUACAGAUUAUAUCUCCUUCCAAAUAGUCUUUUGUUAGAUGUUACAAACAAUAUAACAAUGGCGAGGUGAUUUAUGAAUGAUUCAAGCAAUGUGAAGUAAGGAAGGCCUUUGGAAUUGAUCUUGUUGUGCAUCCCUCCUGGUUACUAUCGUGUGGAUUUGGCUCUAUAAAAGGUAAAAGCUAGGUAUAUCAUAUGUUAAAUCCCUUAUUUGCAGAUGUGGCUAAUAUAUUACGUUGGAAACAGGAACUUCAAAUUGUUAUGCUGCUAAAUAAGAUGAAUGAUGCUUGUGAAAACUUGAGAGAUGCCUGGAUGACGAUCUUGCAUACCAGUGACGUUCCAUUUAUGCAUAUUUUAGGAAACACUUGUGCAAUUAACUGGGAAUUGGACCAAUUGAAAGGUAACUUGUGGAUCUAGAGUUUGCAUAAUGAUUCCUUACUUGUGAGAAAUAUAGGAUGCUCCUGAGUUCUAUUUGUUCCUAUACAUGUCAAUUCUCAAUUUAAGACAUUUGAUGGCAAAAAGGAAAAACUGGGAUAUUGUGCUUUUCUUUUGAGUCUGGUUUCACUGCGGAAACAAUAGCGGUCAACAACUGGUGGUAUCCACCCUGUCGAACAAGUAACCAUGUGUACUUCUCAACUGGUAACCCAGCAAACCUAUCAACUAGUCUAGCCCAGUUCUAGGCCUUCUAAAAACGUUAAGGAAGGGUGUUGAAGUUGGGUUGGGGUUUGGAACUCCUACCUCUUGUAACUAAAAGGCAUGCCAACCAUUUGCUUUGGUGUCUUCUUGCUUCAUUUUGUGGUGGAUAAUUUAUUUAUUGAUGGUAUUGGCUUAGUCUAUUAAAAAUUUGAACAAUUCUAUCGAGAAUAGGAACCCUAUCUUUUGUGCUUAAGUAGCUUUGCCGAGUGAACUGGGCUUAUUUUGUUUAGGAAAUUUGUAUUCUAUUAGACAACAUCACAUGCAAUUGGUUCAACUGGUUGAACUGUCAGAGCAUGGUUCUACUAGUUUGACUAGUUGAACCACUAGUCUUUAUUCCUUUGUUCUUCUUAUAAUGUAUCUGCUCUCCUCACCAGCGUGAGGAGUGGUAGCUUAGUUUUUCCUCCUCUAUGCGUAUACAUCCUAUUUCAUGCCUGCAAUUUUAAAGGAUGUUGUACUUUCUGCCUUAACAUAACUGCAAAAGUUGUGUUGACAGUUGGUGCCUUGUACUUGAAUGUUUGUUAAGGAAUGUGCAUUUGAUGACCCUAAUGGGUUAGUAGUGCCACUUUUGCUUCUAUUUUGUGAGAACACUUUUGCUUGGUUGUCUCAUUCUCACUUCCAAAACACUAACCCAGUGAAAAUACACAUCUUGGACUCUAUCUUACACCUAGAGAUGGAGAAUGAGAAGAUUUGCUGCAUUCCCUAUACUGUAGUUCCUCCUUGGUAGUGGUAAAAUUUCUUUACACCGCCAUACAAUUGAGCUAAGGAUCAACUCAUUGUGAUGCCAUGAAUUGUAUACUCUGAAAACUAUUUUCCUUGAGCUUCUUACCAUGUCCAUUUGCAGUUUGGAUUUUUGGAAACUUGUUGUUGCCCAUUGUCUUUCCUUUCUGUAUCAUUUUUUGAUAAACUCGCCAGUAUUAGUAACAAAUUUAUUUCAUUGACUAAGUGGUGGAGCUGGAAUUAUCCUGUCGAUGCUCCCUACUAAGUUUCCACUUUUGCAACAUACUCUUAAGUUUAAAUAUGACUGGCAUAGGUAUGUUGUGCCUCUUUAAUGGACAAUUUCAUGCUUGUUCCGAUGGUUGAGAACGUGCAAAUUUAUGCUCCAAAGAAUAUCUUUUUCAUUUCAUGAAGUACAAUACUGAGCUAUUAGGUUUUCCUAUAAAUUUUAGAUCAAUUGGGAGGUCAAAGUGAAAAAAAAAAUGAAUCUUUAGUGGCCAGACAUAUACAGAAAGAAUAAUUAUCUUCUUAUGGUAGGUUCAUUGCAGUUUGAGUUACUGAUUGAGAACUAGUACAUACAUGUUCACGAUGAUGGACACUAUCAGGGUCUUUAGUGUAGAAAGAUACCGUAGAGCAUUCAUGGUUCACAUGCAUACGAUAGCCUCUUCAGUACACAAGUAUUGCUUCCACCUAUGUUUUAGCAUGAUGCAAGUAUUGUACUUAUUACUUUUACCUAACAGAGGUAUCAAAACAUCAAAUUAGUUAUGGCCAUAUUAUAGGAACAUGGGAGUGAAAUCAAGUUGAGUUAUUUAUUUUUGGCUAUAGCAAGCAGGGGUGUGGCUUGUGUUUUGGCUGCAAGAAAGCUAGCCCUGGUCUACAUACUUGGACGAGGAUGAAGAUGAAAUCUCAGAUUCAGAAUGAAUGUCUACUGUGGGUGGACCUUUAUUGCUGGGGACAGUCUCACCUGGUAAUUGCUUCAAAUUGAGAAAGCUCUCUCUUUUUUCUAUUUAGUGUGUGAAGUGCUUGAAUGUCUUAAUUGAGAACAUGAUUUUGAACUGAGGAGUUGGCGUUUUACAGAAAAAACCUAGUGUGAAUGAAGGUUUCGAGUGGAAAUCUAGAUUCUGUUCUAGUUUAUGUGGUGGUGAUUGUACUUGAUAUUACGAUUAUAAUAUGGUUGUUUAUGUGCACUGAUAUUUGUUUCGGUGGUAUCUAAUUUUGUUUGGUCAUAAGGAAAGUAAAACGUGAAGUAACUUAGGAUAUUAUCAUCGUCCUUACAAAGAAAUGGAUAGUUAAGGUAGAGCAAUAUUCGAGGCAGUUUUCUUAGAAAUAACUUUAAACUUUACAUUAUGGAAGAACUUCCCUGCUGAUAAUUUUUAAUGCUUGAGUUGACUUUCAAGAGUUGCCAUCAGUUGACCAACAUGAUGCCUCAUACUUGGAAGCCUAAAUUAUCUUGUUCAUGCUUUAGAUUUCUACUCAACCUGUAAGUAUCGUCUAUCUUUCAGUAAAAAGUCCCUAAAAAUCUAUGUAGUUCAUAUGUUGAAAGUUGUGAGGCAAAUUUGUUUCAAAAUUUUAAACAUUGUCGCAUGAGUCACGCAUCAUUUUUGUUCUCGACUGCUUAAGGCCUGCUUAGUUUUAGAGAACAACUUUAAUUUCCAUCGUCAUAGAAACUGUUUUCGAUGUUUUGUUGACAAAAUAUUUGUUUAGUGAAAAUAAUGUCAUCAUGGAUGAAAAUUGUGAGAAUAUGCUCAGGUUACAUCACAUUCCAAAAACAGGCUUAUUUAUUCCAAAUCUCCAUGUUUGCAUUUGGAAUCGGAAUACAAAAAAGUCAUCUCCAGUAUGUGAUUUUGAUUCUGAGAAUAGUUUUCAUUUUAUUUGUCAACUGCUUUUGGAGUGUUACCAAACACAUUUUCUGGUCUAUUUUAAUUCUCAAAUUGAAAUCAAAAUAGACUUUUGAGAAUCUUUAUCAGCCGAAUGCCUCCUUAGAUUAUCAAUCUCUUUCUGUCUGCAGAAAAAAUGGACUUCAUCAAGUUGCUUAACAAGCUCUGAACAUUGAAGAUUACUUCAUGUCAUCCAGGCAUCAUUAUAUGUAAUGCAUAAGCAGUGGGCUGAUGCCAUUAACAUAUUUCGAGAGGAAGUUUGAUUUGCUGUCAAACCUUGUUAGUGACCAUGGCAAGUGAUAUUGUUAACUCAGAGUGGUAGAUGGCGUUUCUUUUUUUCUUCAUUUAACUAUUUUUGUUUGCUUAUCUAGGUCUUGACUCUUUCCCUCAGGAGGAAUUUUCCAAUCUAUCAGUUUCGUGUUAAUUCUCUGGAUGAAGUGGUGUGGCUAAUUUUUUUACGCUCUGGUGCUGCUAUGGACCUUGGCCUUUUUGGUUGGUUUUUAUGAUCUCAGUCUACUAGUUUGUCCAAUGAUAGUGUAUGAAAGUGUGUAUCACAAGUUGUUUGUGGUGCUGGAAAAGAACUUCUGUUGGUUGUCCUCAAUUAUCUGUGGGUGUGCGUUAUUAUCUUUGCAUCUGGCCUUUUUCCUUCAUGCAUCUUAGUGAAUCUUGGAGGUGAUCGGAUAGAGAUAGGAAUUUGCUACAGGAAAUUAUUCUUCUGCACAUUUUGAGACAAGCCAUAUUUUUCAGAACAUCCCGAUGUUGAUUCUUCAUACAAUCAUAUUGUAUACAAUGAUAUGAAUUAUUAAUAUUAAGUGACUGGAAAGGAUCAAGUAAAAUCUGAUUUGAGUCUAAUUCAAUAAGUUGGCAAUAUCUCCUAUAAGCGUAUAAUGGAAAUUGUAGGUCAUUAAUCAUUGGUUUGAACUUGAACUUGAUCUAAGUUUGAGCUUUGAGUGUACUGUACAUGGAGAUUUGGAUAUAGAAUGUUUAUAUGUUCACAUUAUAAUUAGCAGGUGUAGAUAUAUGUUCUCAAUUUAAAAGGAAAGAGUUUAUUGCCCACUUCGAUCUUAGCAUAUAUCCCCUUACAAUUGCGAGAGUCAAUUUUUGUACCAAAUAAUCAUAUUCAAAGCUUUGUACCCAUCGAUAUUACUAUUAGAGCCUGGGGGAAGUUAGACUUAUUUAUAUUGCCAAAUUCCACCCAUUGAACUCAGUGUAGUUAGUAAAACUCCUCUUUCCUGUGUUAUGUUUAUGGUCAACAAGCUAAGGAUGAGAAUGAAAACUCAGAUCUUCAAAGAAAUGAGCAAAAAACUAACUAGUGGGUGCUCAGAUGAUAGUGAAUCGAGCCUACAUGGAUCUAAUCUGUGAUGCUUAACCAUGGUUAUGAGAGCCUCUGCUCUUAAUCAUUUGUUUAGUACUUAGAUGUGAGAAUUGAUUAUUUUGUAUUAUUAUUUUUAUUUUUAGAUCACGAUUUUUGAUAUACCACCUCUUUUUUAGCAAACCAAUGCUGAGGAUGUCAACUCCUAGUAUUGAAAUUGGUUUUACUAAGUUGCAUGUCAGAUAGAUUCAUAUUAGGUGUUUGAGACCUACUAAUGCAUUAUACUCACAUUUUUCCUCUUCAAAUCAAUUUUGUAUGCUACUCUUAGUCCCUACUAUUGCUUCUUUUCUGGUAGUGUGUUGGUAGCUCUUUGGAUCCAACGUUUCUUUUGAACUUUUUCGAUCUCGACUUUUAGUAGUAGCGGCACCCUUUUGUCAUUGUGACAUUACUCGCAAAAAAGUGAAAUGUUGAUGUUGGUACUUGAAAUUAUAUGAUGAGAUAACAUGUGUUGGAAUAAAGGGCAAUUGGAAUAACUUAAAAUCCUCAAAAAAGUGUGAAGUUUCUUUUUAUAGAUUUUACAGUUCACCUAUGGGGUGCAGCCCAUAUACCAAAGGAGCCCAAAAAACUAAAGCCAUAUACAAAACAACUCCCAAAGCUAAAAGGGAGCUCAAAUACUGGGUCAAUCAUCGACUAAUCAACCAGGGCAUUUACAUCCAUAUGCAAGUCUACACUAUACCAAAAGUGUGUGGCUUUAAGCCAAAUUUCCAUAAAAUGGAACAGACGAUUUCUCUCCAUCAGAAGCUCUCUUGCUCGAUGCCUUCCAAAUUAGCCAAAAGAAACAGGGGAAUUGAGUUAAUCCCACUUGUUGUGCUGUAAAUGAAUGCCCUGCCAUGCCCAAAGUUCUUGCUCAAUAAAACCUUUGAUAACCCAAGAUAACAUGGCACAAGCAUAGGAAACUGUCCAAACCAUUCUUUCCCAGAACAAUGAAGGAGGGGAUGCCGUGUGGACUCUGCCUCCUUUUGAUGAGGAAACACCUAUUAACCAGUAUUUUGUCUCAUUUAUAAAGUAAGGAUUUGUUCCUAGGUUGCUUCCCAAGCAAAAAGAGACUCUAAUUGGAAUUCUCACUUUCCAAAUCGAUUUCUGAGGAAAAUCUAUUUUGCCACGAAUCUACCUAUUGAGCAGCUUUUCCCCCCUUCAAAUUUGGUCCUCGUUGCUGAUAUGUGCACCAAAUGUAAAAUUCUAGAUCUCUGUGUGUAACGGGAGUUUGAGGAUGAUACCUGGGCUCAAAAUUGGUUUUAUGUAAAUAUUGCAAUCCUUUAAUUAAAAGUUUGUGUUUUUGGUUUUACCGGACUCAUCAAUUAUUUGAGCUAAAAUAUUCAUUUCUUGUUUAGCUAAUUCAAGACUUUUGUUAAUGGGUUUGUAGAUAUUUCUAUCCAAAUGCCUAUUACCAUAAAGUUGUCCUAUAUUUUUCAUUUCCUUGUCUUAGUGGCCAGAACCUUGAGACUAUAAUGAGAGAAGGAGAGAAAGAAAAGGAAACCCUUGGGGGUUAGGGGUUGUCUUUUGGAGGUUGUCAUUAACAAUGGUUUUUCACUUACCCUUUGUCUAAUAAUCUAGUUUUUCGUAUUUGAUGUUUGAUUACUAUGAGAUUUUGUGAUACCACUGCCAACUAUUCUAAAAGCUUAAGCUGAUAGAUGAAGGCAUGAUUUAUUAUUUAAAUAUUCUAACACUCCCUCUCAUGCUUAGUCUGGUCUUUUUGCCUAGUAUUAAGCGUGGAAAUUUAAUUGGGAAGACAAAUAGGGGCCUAGAAGAUUCGAACUCAAGACCUCCUAACUCUGAUACCAUGUAAGAUUUUGUGGGAUCACUGCCAAUUGUUUUAAAAGCUUAAGCUGAUAGAUGAAGGCGUGAUUUAUUAUUUAAAUAUUCUAACAAUUACUUAACAAUGUACAUAGAAGCUUUAGUUGGGCGAUUUUAUUUGUGCUCUGUGUUUAACUUAUGAUCCUUGUGUAUGGAAACACUGUAUCUCAUGUUUCCUGAUUAGAAACUAAUUUGAUAAUCACAUUUUCAAGGAAGCUACCCAUAUGCCUUCUCUUCUAUUUUGAAAAAGAUACUUUGUAAGAAUUUAUUGCCACAAUUCCCUCUUAUGUUAGUCUUAGCAUCCACCAAAUAUAUUCCCAAUUCUUUGUCCUUCUAUAGGGUAUAUACCUUUAAUCUAAAACUACAAAUAUUAUCCAGAGAUCCACAUGUGUAGAGUCCAACUGUUUUUUCAUGCUAAUCAUUACUCUGUAUGGUAUUGCAGGAUACUUUGAAUUUGCUUCAAAUUAUAUUUCCUUCCAAAUACAUGAAGAGUCUUUUUUAGAUGUAACAAAUCGUAUAGUGGUAGUGAGUGGACUUAUGAAUGAUUCAAGCAAUGUGAAGAAGGAAAGAUCUUUGGAAGUAUCUUGUUGUGCAUCCCUAUUGGUCACUAUUGUGUGGAUUAGACUCUAUCUGAGGUAAAAGCUUUGUAUAUCAUAUUCCGUGGCCUAAAUUUGCAAGUAUGGCUAAUAUGUUCUGUUGGAAGCAGGAACAUCAAAUUAUUAUGUUGCUAAAUAAGAUGAAUGACACAGGUGAAAACUUGGGAGAUGCCAAGAUGACAAUCCUGCAGGCUGGUGACCUUCCAUUUGUGCAUAUUGCAGGAACCACAUGUGCAAAUAACUGGGAUUUGUACCAGUUGAAGGUAACUCAUGGAUCCGGAGCUUGCAUAUUGAUUUCUGACUCAUGAUAUCUAGAGUUCUAUUCUAAUCAUGUCAAUUCACUAUUUAAGACAUUGAUGGCAAAAGGGAAAAAGUAGCAUAUCGUGCUUUUCUGUUGACUCCUAUUCAUGUCAAAGUUUUAAGAAGUGGCUUUGGUUGGACUGGGAACCAGACCAGGCCAAUCUGGUUUCCCAGCAAAAUAGUAUUGAUCAAGAACUGGUGGUAUUGACCCUAUUCAACCGGUAACCAGGUGUACCUGUCAACUGAUACCCAGCAAACCUGUAAAAAAGUUCAAAGGAGUGACGUUGGAAUUGGGUUGGGGUUUGGCUCUCCAACCUCUUGUAACUAACAAGUGUGCCAACCAUUUGCUCUAGUGUCUUCUUGCUACAAUCGUGGUGGAUAAUUUAUUUAUUGACCAUAUUGGCCAAAUCUAAAAUUGAACAGGAUGCUAUUAAGAUGACAUCAAGCAUGUGUAAUCUAUUAAUAUGCUACAAUGUCUGCCGACUCAUUGGGCUUCUUUUGUUCUAAAAGUGUGUAAUCUAAUAUAUGCAAAGUAUUCUAUCAGAUGACAUCACAUGCAAUUGGUUCAGUCGGUCAAACUGGAAGAGCAUGGUUCUACCACUUUGAUUGGUUGAACCACUGGUUUGGUUUUAAAACAUUUGUUCUUUUAUUGUUCCUAUUUAUUAUCUGCUCUUCUCAUCAGCACGAUUAGCAACAGCUUAGUUUUUCCUCCUAUGUGCAUGAUGCAUACACAUGUCAUUACAUGCUUGCGAUUUCAAAGGAUGUUUUACUUUCUACCUUACUAUAACUGCAAAAAGUUCCAACAUGCCUUGAUAGCUGGAGCCUUGUAUGUAGGUUAAGAAAUGUGUCUUUGAUGGCCCUAAUGGUUUAGUAGUGCCCUUUUUGCUUGUAUUUUGUUAGGAUAUUUUUGCUUGGUUGUAUUAUUUUCACUUCUGAAACACUAAUCCCGUGAAACUGCACAUCUAGGACCAUAUCUUACGCCUGGAGAUGGAGAAUGAGAAGCCCCCGUCCCGUAGUUCUCCCUUGUCAGUUGGUGGUAAGAGCAUUUUGACAUUAUCAUACCAUCAAGCUAAGGAUCAAUUCAUUGCUAUGCCAUCAAUUGUAUGGUUAUGAAGGUGUUUUUCUUUGGGCUUCUUGCCAUGUCCAUUUGUAGUUUUAGAUGUCUGGAAACUUAUUGUUGCCUAUACUCUUACCUUAGUGAUCAAUGUUUGAUAAACUUGCCAGUGUCGAUAACAAAUUUAUCUCGUUGGUUGGGUAUUGGAAUUGAAUUAACCCUGUCUGUGCUCCUUACUACAUGUCCACUUAGAACCUUCUAUUAAGUUCUAAUGUGACUGGCAUAGGUACACUGUGCCUCUUUAACAGACCACUUCAUGUUUGUCCCUAUAGAUUGAAGAAGUGCAAAAUAUGCUCCAAAGAAGAAUAUUUUUUAGUCGAAGAAGUAAAGAAAAUGAAGUAAUAGUUUUCCCCUAAAUUUUAAAUCAAUUGAGAGGACAAAGCGCGAAAUGAUUUAAUAGUCACCAGACAAAUACAAAAUGAAUAAUCAUUCUCUCAUGGUAGGUGCAUAGCAGUCUUGAGUUACUAACUGAGAACCACUAUUUACAAGUUCAUGACCAUAGAUGCUGUCAUGGCAUCUAGUGUGGCAAGAUACUGUGGAGCAUUCAUAGUUACAUGCAGGCUGUAGCUCUUUAAGCAAUUAAGGUUUGCUUCCUGCCUGUGUUUUAGCAUAAUGCAUGUGUUGUAAUUUUACUUUUACCCAACAAAGGUAUCUAAACAUCAUGUUAGUUAUGGCCAUACAUUCAAGGAACACUAGACUGAAAUCAAGUUGAUCUUUUUUUUGGCAAUGGGAGGUAGAGGUGUGGCUUGUGUUUUAGCUGCAAGAAAGUGGGCCCUGAUCUACAUGCUGGACGAGUAUGAAGAAGAAAUCUCUGAUUCAAAAUGACUAUCUGUUCAAGAGUUUGUGGUGGUUAUGCUUAUGUUGCUGCUGUGGGUGGACCUCUCAUACUUGGAGCUGCAGACAUUGGUGUGAGAAGCAAUGCAUGUGGGCUUUUUGACUGAUGCUCUUCGACUUCACCCUUUCUGGAGAAGUCUUAAUCCAUAUCUGCCAUGUGCCUUUUCUGCUAGGCAGUUAUUUGUCGAUAAAAAAAAAGUGUGAGUAAAAUGUAGUGAUUUAUCUAUCGAGUGGGAUAGAAUUGACCGAAAGAUGCUAAAUCAUGGCUUCUAUCUUAUGGUAACUGUCGUCAUGGUAUUGCCGUAAGGUUUGAGACCUGCUCGAUAAUGCCAAGCUUUUGCUUCAUCUGUAUAUGUUCACUAUUUUCAUGUGUAAGAGAACCAAUUGUUUGGUUAGGAUUAUCUACACUUUGGGCUGAAUGGUUCGGGCAGUGUACUCGACUAGUGAACUCUGCAUUUGAAUGUUGAGAUCUCUUACCCGAAAUUGACUUGCUCCUCUCCACGUGUCAUUGUUAAGUGACGCAUUUGAUCUAGUGUAGAUAAUGCAUUCUUGCAGGGAACAUGACUAGCCAAAUAUAUGGUUUCAGUUUGGCAAUAAAGAACGUAGCCUGUAUUCCAAUCUCAGAUAUUUGGAGCCCUCAAAUAGAUGGUGGGUUUAGGAUCAUGAGAUUCUAUCUACAGCAUCGUGAAUGGACUUUGUAUCCUUAAUAAAGGGCAUCAUGGAGUCUUUUAAUUAAAUGAUGUACAUCCAGGAAUCAAUAAUUUUUUAAUUGUAGCAUUCUUUCUCUCGGAAUUAUUGCCAAUCAGGAGAAAGUAUGCAUGAAUGUAACAUGUGCAUUUGUGAUACUUCUUUUCUUAUAUUUAUUAUUUGUCAUGAUGAUAGAUCUUUGGGAACUUCGGCUGAAUUGACUCUGAAAUUAAAUCCUCCUUUAUUUAUAGCCCUUCCAAAUCGUCACGUCUUCAAUGUAUUCUUCCUAAUGCAUGUGCAGAAAUAGUGACAUUUAACAUUAAUUAUAAGAUGGGACAAUAACAUUAUCAACAAAAUAAAUGAUUGUUAAUAGGUUCGCUGCCAGUGCAAAUCCCAUGUAAACUUUAAAUUCCAUAACCUGUUUUACACAAGCUUGUUUUGGAGAAGUUGUCGUUAAAAGUUUCGAGGACAGAGAAAAUAAGAAGAGAAGGGUAGGAAAAAGAAGUAUGGCUAAGGUAGACGCUCUACUAUUAAUAGGAAAUGUCUAAGAAGAUAACUUGUGUCUAUCGUGCCAGACACUUUUGGCUAAACCUUCUAUUUAUAGCCAAUGUAGGGCCUCAUAAAAUUUACUUCUGCCACUAUUCUUAGUAACAAUAGAACUAAUUAUCAUUUGUAACUCAACAUCAUUAUUAAACUAACCGUCCGAAUGAUUGGGGAAUAUCAAGGUAACUUAGCAUCAUGUCUUAACAAGGGGUGUUCCGAAAAAUAGCUUUAUUGCCUGUGGAUCGCAGCACACUGGCAAAACUUAAUACAUGGGACUCUGAUCAGAAAAUUAGCCACUUAAGAAGGCAACAAAGCUGAUCUAUACACAAACAAAUAACUUUAUUAAUGAUGAUGGGGCACCUAAAUGCCCUCAUAUUAGUUUAACCAACUAAUCUUCUUUUCUAAUUGGAUCUCCUAGUCAUCUAUUGAUAAAAAUAUAUAUGGAAACAUGUCGCCGUGUGCUUAUUACAUCUUUUCAACUAAAGAAUACCCCAAGUGCCAAAACUUGGCACGGGAGAUACUUAAGCGCCAAAACUUUGAAAAUGUACACUUAAGUGAUAGUUUCGAAGUUAAAUAGAACACUUAAGUGCCGCUCCGACUAAAAUCCAGCUAAAUUGCUGACGUGGCAAUUUUCCGGCAAGUUUGGUCCAAAAUAACAUUAUUUUGCACGCUGACGUGGCAAGAAAAUGCAAAACGACGCCGUUUCAUGUCUGAUGUGUAAAUAUAAUUUAAUUAAAUUUAAACUUAGUUUUAUUUAAAAUNNNNNNNNNNNNNNNNNNNNNNNNNNNNNNNNNNNNNNNNNNNNNNNNNNNNNNNNNNNNNNNNNNNNNNNNNNNNNNNNNNNNNNNNNNNNNNNNNNNNNNNNNNNNNNNNNNNNNNNNNNNNNNNNNNNNNNNNNNNNNNNNNNNNNNNNNNNNNNNNNNNNNNNNNNNNNNNNNNNNNNNNNNNNNNNNNNNNNNNNNNNNNNNNNNNNNNNNNNNNNNNNNNNNNNNNNNNNNNNNNNNNNNNNNNNNNNNNNNNNNNNNNNNNNNNNNNNNNNNNNNNNNNNNNNNNNNNNNNNNNNNNNNNNNNNNNNNNNNNNNNNNNNNNNNNNNNNNNNNNNNNNNNNNNNNNNNNNNNNNNNNNNNNNNNNNNNNNNNNNNNNNNNNNNNNNNNNNNNNNNNNNNNNNNNNNNNNNNNNNNNNNNNNNNNNNNNNNNNNNNNNNNNNNNNNNNNNNNNNNNNNNNNNNNNNNNNNNNNNNNNNNNNNNNNNNNNNNNNNNNNNNNNNNNNNNNNNNNNNNNNNNNNNNNNNNNNNNNNNNNNNNNNNNNNNNNNNNNNNNNNNNNNNNNNNNNNNNNNNNNNNNNNNNNNNNNNNNNNNNNNNNNNNNNNNNNNNNNNNNNNNNNNNNNNNNNNNNNNNNNNNNNNNNNNNNNNNNNNNNNNNNNNNNNNNNNNNNNNNNNNNNNNNNNNNNNNNNNNNNNNNNNNNNNNNNNNNNNNNNNNNNNNNNNNNNNNNNNNNNNNNNNNNNNNNNNNNNNNNNNNNNNNNNNNNNNNNNNNNNNNNNNNNNNNNNNNNNNNNNNNNNNNNNNNNNNNNNNNNNNNNNNNNNNNNNNNNNNNNNNNNNNNNNNNNNNNNNNNNNNNNNNNNNNNNNNNNNNNNNNNNNNNNNNNNNNNNNNNNNNNNNNNNNNNNNNNNNNNNNNNNNNNNNNNNNNNNNNNNNNNNNNNNNNNNNNNNNNNNNNNNNNNNNNNNNNNNNNNNNNNNNNNNNNNNNNNNNNNNNNNNNNNNNNNNNNNNNNNNNNNNNNNNNNNNNNNNNNNNNNNNNNNNNNNNNNNNNNNNNNNNNNNNNNNNNNNNNNNNNNNNNNNNNNNNNNNNNNNNNNNNNNNNNNNNNNNNNNNNNNNNNNNNNNNNNNNNNNNNNNNNNNNNNNNNNNNNNNNNNNNNNNNNNNNNNNNNNNNNNNNNNNNNNNNNNNNNNNNNNNNNNNNNNNNNNNNNNNNNNNNNNNNNNNNNNNNNNNNNNNNNNNNNNNNNNNNNNNNNNNNNNNNNNNNNNNNNNNNNNNNNNNNNNNNNNNNNNNNNNNNNNNNNNNNNNNNNNNNNNNNNNNNNNNNNNNNNNNNNNNNNNNNNNNNNNNNNNNNNNNNNNNNNNNNNNNNNNNNNNNNNNNNNNNNNNNNNNNNNNNNNNNNNNNNNNNNNNNNNNNNNNNNNNNNNNNNNNNNNNNNNNNNNNNNNNNNNNNNNNNNNNNNNNNNNNNNNNNNNNNNNNNNNNNNNNNNNNNNNNNNNNNNNNNNNNNNNNNNNNNNNNNNNNNNNNNNNNNNNNNNNNNNNNNNNNNNNNNNNNNNNNNNNNNNNNNNNNNNNNNNNNNNNNNNNNNNNNNNNNNNNNNNNNNNNNNNNNNNNNNNNNNNNNNNNNNNNNNNNNNNNNNNNNNNNNNNNNNNNNNNNNNNNNNNNNNNNNNNNNNNNNNNNNNNNNNNNNNNNNNNNNNNNNNNNNNNNNNNNNNNNNNNNNNNNNNNNNNNNNNNNNNNNNNNNNNNNNNNNNNNNNNNNNNNNNNNNNNNNNNNNNNNNNNNNNNNNNNNNNNNNNNNNNNNNNNNNNNNNNNNNNNNNNNNNNNNNNNNNNNNNNNNNNNNNNNNNNNNNNNNNNNNNNNNNNNNNNNNNNNNNNNNNNNNNNNNNNNNNNNNNNNNNNNNNNNNNNNNNNNNNNNNNNNNNNNNNNNNNNNNNNNNNNNNNNNNNNNNNNNNNNNNNNNNNNNNNNNNNNNNNNNNNNNNNNNNNNNNNNNNNNNNNNNNNNNNNNNNNNNNNNNNNNNNNNNNNNNNNNNNNNNNNNNNNNNNNNNNNNNNNNNNNNNNNNNNNNNNNNNNNNNNNNNNNNNNNNNNNNNNNNUCGACGGCGGGGAGGUGGCAGCGGCAAGGGCUCAGCCCUCAACCGCCCCCUUCGAGCCUCCACCCCCCUUUUUUUAAGUUUUUUAAUUUUUAUAAUAUUUUAAAUAAAAUUAAGUUAAAUUUAAUUUAAUUAAUUUUUAUAUUAUUAUUUACAUAUCAAACACGAAAUGGCGUCGUUUUUGCAUUUUCUCACCAUAUCAGCUUGCAAAAUGAUGAUAUUUUGGACCAAACUCGCCGGAAAAUUGGCACGUCAGCAAUUUGGCUGGGUUUUGGCCAGAGUGACACUUAAGUGUUUUAUUUAACUUCGAAACUGACACUUAAGUGUACAUUUUCAAGGUUUUAGCACUUAAGCGUCCCCUUGUGCCAAGUUUUGGCACUUAGGAUGUUCUUUACUCCAUCUUUUCUUAUCUACUUAGUGGUAAAAAUAUCCUGUCAAUAUCCACUUGGCAUCACCUAAGUGAAAGUGAGUUUUAGCUAUUCAAGUGUGGAAACACUUGACAUCCUUUCAAGCCAAAUGAGUUUUGGAUGUUUGGCACACAAUAUUAGGAGAAAUUACCAAGAAAGUCUUAAGCCUAUUGUGCUUCCACCAAUUCAGUCCUAAACUUUUAUAUUUGGCUAAUUGAAUUAUGAACUUUUUGAGGAUUUGCCAAUGUAAUCAAGUCAAAUUUUGAGCGGAAAUUGCUUACGUGUAUAAUGUUUACAAUUUUUUCUUUUUUUUUUGACUUUUUUCUUCUUCUUUUUUCCCUUUUCCUUUUGCUAGUGGAUGGUGAGGGCGAGUGACUUUGGCAAAUUCUAUGGUCUUUGUCCAUUCUAAUCCCUGUGGAAUUGACUGCCAUAUGUACUUUUAUCUUAUAAUGUGUUGCAUCUCAAACUCCGAAUAGUUCCACAAGCAUAGUUUGCCUAUGAGAGAGAGGAAGGGGAAAAUUGUUAAAGUUUUAAAUUUAUUACACUUUUGCCAAUUCAGUCAUAAACAUUUUAAUCAUGCCUGCUAAGUCGUAAACAUUUUAACAUUUUGUCAAUUGAGUCUAUCAAACUAAUUUUGGUUAGAAUUUACUAAUGUGGACGGCCAACACUGAAGUCACUUUUUUAAUAAUAUUUUGAAUCUUUUUCUAUGGUUUUUUCUUUUAUUUUUUUUACUUUUUUUGCUUUUUUUGGGGGCGGGGGUUUGGAGUUAAGCCGGCAAGGGCCACAACGCCCUCACCGGCCAAAGCGAGGGCAUGUGAGCCCUCAAGCUAGGUUAGCCGGCUGCCCUCGCCAGCCUAACUCCAAAACCCAAAAAUAAAAGCAAAAAAAGUAAAAAAAAUAAAGAAAAGAAAAAACCAACAAAAAAUUCAAAAUAUUAUUUAAAAAGUGUCAUUUCAGUGCCUAGCAUCCGCGUUAGCAAAUUUCGGUCAAAAUUGACUAGAUGAACUCAAUUGGUAAAAGAUGAAAAUGUUUAGGAUUUAAUUGACCAAAUUGAAAAGUUUACGGCUAAAUUAACAAAAAUGCAAUAGAUUUAGGACUUUUUGGAUAAUUUACCCGAGAGGGGGUAGUAAUGGAAGUCCCGAUUUUGAUUUGGUUAAACAUAUAUACGUAACUCUCAUAUGUCGAACUCCCUUUGUUUGGGUUAUCAUGCUUGUAAAUUUGACGAUCUUGACCAGUAUCUUCGAUCCAUUCGGCAUCUUCUUAUUUAUCACCUCGGCCUACUUUGCAAAAUAUGAAGUACAUUGGGCGACUGCUAUUCGAUAUACUACCGCAGCACACCACAUGGGGAAUCAACUCUAAAAGCGUCUUCAACUCUUCAACUCUUCAUCUUGCAUCACAUCGGCUACUAUUUUUACAAUUUGUCCCUUGAAAUCAAUUCUUUAAAAUCAUUAUAAGAGAUCUAGCCAUUUCCUUUAUGUACAAAAUGAACAGUGACACAUGUAUAUUGUAUUCUCCAUACCAUUAGAAAGAACGUGGAUAUCUUUCUCAAAAGUAAUUCUUUUAGAUGAGUUGCAGAUAUCUCUCUCGAGAAAAUGGGUUGGGGUUUGGAACUCCAACCUCUUGUAACUAAUAGGCAUGCCAACCAUUUGCUUUGCAUGUUUUCUUCCUUCUUUUUGUGGCGGAUAAUUUAUUUAUUGACUGUACUGGCUUAGUCUAUUAGAAAUUAAAAUAAUACCUCUGAGAACCAGAAUCCAGUCUUUUGUGCUUGAGUCUGCCAAGUGACUGGGGGUCCUUUUGUUCUCAACAUGCAUAUUCUAUGAGAUAACGUCACAUGCAAUUGGUUCAACCGGUUGAACCGGGAGAGUACGGUUCUCAAGUUUAACUGGUGGAACCACUAGUCUGGUUUUAUAAACUUUUGUUCUUUUGUUCUUCCUACUUAUUAUGUAUCUGCUCUCCUCGUCGACACGAGUAUAAGAUUAUGAGAUUAUAUUUCAUAUUCUAGAAAGAGUAUCAUGUAGCCAAAAAACUUAAAGAUGUAUAGAUAUACACAAAUCCAAAUUGUUUAAUUUUAUCAUUCGUUCUCUAGGAUUUAUUGCCAAUCUAGAGGAGAAACUCUUAUAGACGUAAUAGCUUUGUGUUUGAUCAUAUGCACCAAGAUGGUAAUCGUAUAUAUGAUUGUAUGCAUGUAAAAUGUGCAUAUGUAAUAUUUCCGUUCCUCUGUUUAUAAAUUAUCAUUAUGAGAGCUUCUUUGUCGACUUUAGCUGAAUCUACUAUGAGAUUAACCUACUUUAUUAAUUUAUUUCCAAAUCUUCACGUCAUCAAUGUAUUCUUUCCCGAUGCAUAAUAAGUGCAGAAAUAGUGACAAAGACAAUUAAUAAUAUGAUGAAACGAUAAAUAUUACCAACAAAAUAAAUUAUUGGUAUUGGUAUUUGGUCCACUACCAGGGCAAACCACGUAUUAAAUCAAAUUAUGCACGAGCAAUCUUAGAUGAGCUCAUUUUGAAGAGACUACAAUUAAAAUUUUCAAGGACCGAGAAAACAAGAAGAGAAGGCCAGGAUCACGAGUACUACUUGAAUAUGGAGAGACGCUAUACUCUUGAUAUGACACUAAUAGAAGGCGAUUUGUGUCUAUCACUCAUAACACCUUUGGCUAAACCCUCUAUCAUAGCUAUUGUGUCGUCUUAUAAAAUUUGCUUCUACUACUGUUUUAGUAAUUAUAGAACUAUGUUUGUAACUCAACAUCAUUAUUAAACUAAUAAUCUAAACGAAUGGAGGAUAUUGAGGGAACUUGGUAUCAUAAUUUAUCAGUGGAUGCAUUCUGAAAAGCAGUUGUAUUGCCUGUGGACAGCAGCAAAUAGGCAAGACUCAAUACAUAGCACUCGAUCAAUGUGGUUGUAACGCUGAAGCAAAACACGCGCAUAAUCCGAGCACACUCUUUGAAUGAUAUACCUUGCAUUCCUUGCAUGUGAAAAAUCAGAGAACCUUUUCAAGAAAGAUGUUGAAAGAACUAGAGUAGAGAGAUACCAUAUGAUAAAAAAUUAGUAAACAAAGCUAUUCUAUCUACAUAUUAAAUGCUAAUUCGUAUAAGAAAUUAGCCGAAAUUCAAGGCCUCAAUAGGUUAGAGCAUUUGUCCGGGUAAGUACACUAUCAGUGCCAAAACUUGUGUACGGUACUCACUUUGGUGCCAAAACCUUAUUUUGGAUCACUUAAGUGCCAAAACUUUUGAAAAACGAUCAUUUCAGUACCAACGCCAAUCUGGUUGGCUGGAAAUCUAACGUGGCACUUUUUUAUUAGUUUUUGAAGUUAAUGUGGCUCGCCGAAGAGUACAAUUAGCAUUUAAACAACAAAACGAUGCCAUUUGGUGUCUUUCCCCCAAUUCAAAACCCUAAAUCCCCAAAUUGUGAGAGAGAGAGAGAGAGAGAGAGAGAGAGAGAGAGAGAGAGAGAGAGAGAGAAGGCAUGGCAUGGGCUUUCUGUCGUCUUCUUCCUCAAAGAACAACACUAGCACCAGCCAACAGCGACACCAGCAGCGCACCAGCACAACUCCGCCUUCGGUUCGUCCGACAUUGUUGAAAAGUCCAAGCUCUUAUCCUCCUCCUCCUCUCCUCCUCCUUCUCCUUCCCCCUUCAAAAGGACCCACUUCAGCCGCUCCCUAAGCAAAGCCCAAUCCGCCAUCUCCAUCUACGCCCUCCUUGUUUCCCUCACCCUCCUCAUCUUCACUCUCUCCACCUUUGAUCCCCCUUCUUCCUCCUCCUCCUCUGCCCUCGCCUCCUAUUCUUCCUGUCACUUCUUGCUCGAGAACAACCUCAGCCUCUCCUCGCUUGCCAAGUCGAGCAACUACGACGGAGGCCGAAUGACGGUGGCGAGCAACUACGACGUAGGCCAAGCAACGAUGGCGAGCAACUACGAUGGAGGCCGAGCAACGAUGCGAGCAACUACGAUGGAGCAUGAUGGCGAGCAACUACGACGAGGCCGAGCAAUGAUGGCGAGCAACUAUGACGGAGCCGAGCGAUGGCGACCGAACGACGCGGUCGAGCGAGCUAGUGACAUUGGGUGAGGAUCAGAUAAAAAAAACCUAUUUCAUCGAAAAAAAUCCCCAAAUGAGUUCUGCGAUGUUGUUUUGUGAGGCCAUCACUAGGAUGGCACAACGAUGUCGUUUAAAGCCAUAUCGAUUUUUUUUUAAUAUAAAAGCCACGUAAUCAUUUUAGCCAGAAUCUCUCGCCAGUGGCACCAAAGUGAUCAUUUUUCCUCCAAUUUGACACUUAAGUGAUCCAAAAUAAAGUUUUGGCACCAAAGUGAGUGCCGUACACAAGUUUGGCAUUGAUAGUGUACUUACCCCCAACAUUUGUCAUAGCUAUAUAUCAAAGAGUGCACUUAAAUGGAAAGGCUAUACCUUCCAAAAUCCGAAAGUCUAAUGAUUUAAUUUGUUAAUUCGUGCAAGAAAUUAGCCAAAACUCAAGGCCUCGAUAGGUUGGAGUUCUACAAGAAGACCAGAUAUCUCUAGGUGCACUUCAAUUGAAAGGCUGCUCCUUCCAAAAUCCAAGAGUCUGAAGAUAUUGAAGGCUAAUGAAUGCAAAAAAAUUGGUCAAAAUUCAAGGCCUCGAUAGGUUGGAGUUUUUGAAAUAUCUGAUUAUCGUUGGAUGCAAAGCACUCAAAACUAUUCCAAAAUUAUCUGGAACUCAGAUCAAUAAUAUGAGAUUAAAGAUAGAAAAAUGGUACAAAUUGUAUUAGAGUAUACGGAUAACUCGGAUGAGUCAAUAUGGUGGAAACGACCCCCAUUUACUAUCAAAGGUACAUAGAACAGGUAAAUUACCUUUAUUCUUUUGAGAUCUACUACCCAAUUUUCAUUUGUAUUUCCUACUCGCAAUAUCUUUCAAGAUUUAUGAUCUCGCCAUUAUUAUUUCCUGGAUGAUAGUUCCUCAUUGUUUUCUUACUUGAAUUCAAGGAAUUCAGUGGAGAUGUCCAUGGAAGUUCAUGUGUGCUUUGGCAAAAUGAUUCAGCUUAUCAUGCUAGAAAAGGGAAUAGAUGAAGAGGCUUUCUAAGUGCAUCAUUUGUCAUUAGUCUUUGGGUAAGAUCCUUCAUCCUAUGUAGGAAAUUAAAGAUUCUCGACAUUUGAUUGAUUUUAGAAUGCUGGAAUUACUGAAUAAAAAUUGAUGUGUAUAGGUAUUUCGAUAGUAUGCUGAAGGUCAUUGUAUAGGUCGAAGAAAAUGCUAAAUGAAGGACCCUAUAUGGCGAUCCUUCUAAUAUGAGGUUUUAGUUUGCUCUGCGUUGACUAGGCAAUUCAUGACUGCAUGUUUCAAAGGUACACUUAAGAGUGAAUUUAUAGUGCAAAAGGAGCAUGUUGAUAAAACAUCCCUUACUAUGCAUAGUCUACUGACUUGGGAUAAGAUUUGUUCACCCAUUGAGUUCCACACAAUUUAUCUCACAAAAUUAUCUACAUUAGCUUAUUAAAGUAAUCAUGUCAGUCUAGAAAUGCUAAAUCCAAUAACAAGCUCUUCUCCUAAUGGUGUGGUCAUGAGUGAACUAGCAAACACAACAAAAGCAAAAGCAUUGUGAAUUAUUUGGUUUUAUUGAUAAAAUUGUAAUUCAAUUUUUUUUUGACAAUGGAUACAUGUUCAUUUGGUUUGAGUCCAAGAUAUACCUACUCCAAGGCUAAUAAUAGAUUAUCCCAAAGAAUGCACCUUGAUGUUUGUACUGCUGCUAAAGCCAUCUGCCACAUACCCAAACUUUUGAGCUGAGCAAGACAUUACUAGAAUGAAUUUGACAUAAUUGGUUGUAUUGUGAAAUAAUUCUUUAUAAAGUGCAUAAGCUCUUUUUAGUUCAUUUACUUGCUGAAAAGUAGAACACCAUGAAGCAUUUGUGUAAGUUUCCUAAGGAAACUUUUUGGUAUCCUAUAUGCCAUUUGAAAUUUGUCUUGCAUUAAUUCUAUUGCAUGAAUAGUACAUAAUGAUAAGGAAAAGAAUCAUCCUAUGUCCCCCAAAAGCAGACAUCUUGAGUUGAAUACACUAUGCUAAUUUGAUCAAAGCUUUUGUGGUUGAUGAUGUUAGCUGCCUUAUUAGUUGGAUCCAAAGAGUUCAAAAAGAAUAUCGAGUUUGACAAAUAGAGACCCGCAAACGUCUUACAUUAUUAGUAGUUUGUUGAUACUAGUUGGUGGAUUGAUUUCAUCUGGCUCAUUGGCAUGAUUUAGUUAUCAUGCCAAUGGUUAAUGUAAGUGCUGAAAUGUUCAAGGGAGCAUUCGCAAGGCACUUCUAAAAGGAAACAAAAUCAUCAAAGGAUGAGGAGCCUAUGUUUCUUGAACUUCUCCAAACACUGUCAAUGCAUCCUUGGAAUGGUAAAGGGUGCGUGCAUGCUAUCAUCCUUUUGGGCCCACCAGUUAAAGUGUCCAUGAAAAUAAAGAAAUUGAAUUGGUGGGGAUGUCAUAUAUGCUAGAUAUACUAGCUAUGUCAGAUGCAAAAAUGUUUGAUACCCACGUGGAGUUAGUAGGUUUAGGCCCUAUAGAAUACCGUUUCAAUGUUGUCGGGCACCUUUAUAGUUUUCCAGAGAUUUAUGAUGUUGUUUCUCAAACUGUAGUGAUUCUUCUAGCUCAUCUUCUUCCUCUUUUUUAAUGAUUGAGCAUUCCAUACAAGGACAUAUUCAAUGUAUACUAGAUUGUAGAGUAUAGGUUGGAAAUUUUCUCACAUUUUGUACUAAUUGAAGUUAAUUUAUCUCUUAUGAUUACAGAGGGGCAUUUUCACACUUCAUUUUGAUUGAUCAAGUUUGCUGGUCAUCUUGAUUAAUUAAGUUUGCUGGUGGGAGUUUAACUUACUUGUUAAUAGGAUAUCUCAAGCUAUGCUGCUAUAUCCAAGUAUCUUAAGUUCUUACAUGACCUUUUCCAUUGGUAAUUUAAAUUUGUAAGAGCUUAGGAUUAGAUCGCUAACCUUGGCAAUUCAUGUGAUCUUUUCUCAAUGGAAAAGUCUAGAAAAGAGGCAUUCUUUCUAGAAACAUCUGAAAGCACCACGCCUCAUAUUGUCCUCUAGAUUUGGAGAACAUGUUGAGUGCACUAUAGUACUUGAGCCAACCCUUGAAUGGUUUCUACUGAGAUUCUUAGUGGUAGAUACUAGUACACUUAUGAUCCUUGCCUGAAGUAAGCUUACAUAGAUACACUCCAUCUUGGGGUUCCAAGGUAGACAAUAAGAUCUAUUUUUGAACUGAGAUAAUGGAUUGAAGGCUACCAAAGAAGUAUAAAUUUGCAUCACUUUUGAUGACCUACUAGCCCAAAGAAAUCCCAUAUCAAGCAACUGACUUCUCUCUAAGUUAUCUUGUAUUGUUAUUGUGACAUCCUGAAUUUUCGACCCCAUCCCGAUAAAAUGAAAUGGGCAUUUCGUCGACGUGCCCAUGGUCUUUUUUCUCUAAGCUGAUCACUCACAAGUUAACUAAUCUAUUAGGUGAAGCUGUUAAGGAUAUAAAUACGGCAGAUUUGAGAAUUCGAUCGAAAAUCGACUGCUUGACCGUGAUAAUCGACAAGGGUCAAUACAACACCGUUAUAAUCGAAUUGUGAUCAGAUAUAGGUCGAUUUGACGGAAUCAUGUAAUUGAAUUGCGGGUGAUUCCACAUGAUUAUGAAAUUCACGUCGAACAGCACUAACUCGAUUUUCUGUCAAUUUUAUACUCGAUGCCCAUAAUUGAAACCUUGCAAUUUAUACGAUAAUCGCGAGUCACCGACGAGUCAAAGAUGCACAAACGUGGAUUGAAAAUUAUUGACCACGGGUCAAACACGAUAAUAUCCCUAAAAGUUACUCGGUAGGUUAGAUUGUACUAAAAUCGCAUCCGGUCGAUCUUUAAUCGCGAAAUUGAAUUUGAUUUCAGGAAUUGAACGUUUGAGCGUGUCACAAAUUAUUUUUAGGACCUCGUCUCAUCUUUUGAAGCAAUUCCGUCGAGGCCAGAAAAUUACGGAAAAAUCAAUUUCGGCAAAUGGGAUUUUGGAAAUUUGGAUAGGCACCUUAAUUGGCAUUUUUGGCUACCAAAAUGACUUGAAAUGUGAAGAUUUGGAAGGAAAAUCACCGAUGGUUGGUCUCUUGACAAAGUGGCUAAAGACUUUGGAGGCUUGAACACUCAAGUGCAUGGGAUAUUUUGCAUGGCCCCCUAUUGGCCCAAGCCUUGACUUCUUGGCCUUUUUCUUUCCCCUCCAUUUCCCCUUCAUAAAUGCACCUCCCCUAGCCGAAAUCUCUCUGCAGUCUCCUUCUUCUUACUUCUUCAUCAUUUCUUCAUCUUCUCCUCCAUUUUUGCUUACUGCCACUGCUCCAUCUUCCAUCCCCUCAGCCGCACGCCCAAACAAAGCCACUCCAGCUCCAGUCGACCAGCCAGCCUCACUAUCCAUCACCUAGCUGGUCCUCCUCACCACCUCACGUCAUCCUCGAGCACACUCAACCACCUUCGUCUGCCGCUCGCGCCGUCUAGCCCGCCAGCAACUAGUAGCUAGCCUCGCUCGUCCACACACCGUCCCCCAUGUUCAGCCACAUCGACCAGCUAUCCAACUCCCUUGAUCCAGCCCUUCCAGAACCGAUUUACCAGCCUAAGCUGUGAGCUUGUGGGUUGUUUUUCAGCCUCAUCCGGCCUUCUGUUGGUGACGCAGUAGGCUCGGGUCUUGGUCGACUUCGCGCCGCCAUCGUCGUGAACCUGUCGCCUCGCUAAUCGAGUGAGUUAACACCUUAAUCUUGGAUUAAAAAGUUAAUCACACUUAGUAGGUGGAUUAGUGUUAGUUAAGGAUUAGUGGUUAGUUUAGUUAGUGUAACUAAGUUAGUUAGAAUAGUUAGUUACCUAGACUAGCUUAAUUAGGUGGUUAGUUAGGUUGAUUAGUUAGCUUAGUUAGGUUGAGGUAAUUAGCCUAGUUAGAUUAGUUUAGUUAGCUUAAUUAGGUUAAUUCGGUUAGCUUAAUUAGAUUAAUCAAGUGGAUCAUUUUAAAUAAUUUGUAAUUUAUUUAAUUAAUUGUAAUUUGUUUAUUUAAUUAUAAUUAGCAUAAAUUAUAACGGGAUAUAUCUUGUCGGUUUAGUAAGAUGUCUUACCCUCUUUAUUGUCUCAGAGAAACAAUGCAGAGAGUCAGAGAAUUGCUACAGUUUGGAGGAUUUGGGGACACCGAAUAUUUGGGAAGGACACUUGCAAAGGAGUGUAAACAAAUGGAAUGUGAGCAUUAGCAAAAGAAUUAGAAAAGCUGAAAUGUAAUAGAAUCUUGUUUGUGUAUAGAAGUUCUUGCUUGAAUGUGUUGUUUAUUGCUCUUUCACUGUAAAUUCUUCAUAUUAAUGCUAUAUCUACUUUUUCCAUUCGUAAAUGUUCUUAAACAUGCUAGCUUAGUGGGAAAACUAUGAACUAGGGGAUAAAUCAUUGCUGAUAUGGGUACCAAAUGUGAAAUUUGGAUCUCUUUGUAUGCAUAAUAGGAUUUUGAGUAUGUAUACCGAGGCUCAAAAUUGGUUUAUGUGACCAUUGCAAUCCUUUAAUUAAAAACUUGUGCUUUUGGUUUUACCCAACUCAUCAAUUAUUUGAGCUGAAAUAACCAUUUCUCAUUUGGCUGAUUUAGAACUUCUAUUAAUGGGGUUUGUCUAUAGAUAUUUAUAACCAUAUGCCUAUUACCAUGAAGUUUUACCGAUAUUUUUCAUUUCUUUGCCUAAGUGACUAGAACCUUGAGACUAUAAUGAGAGAAGAUGGAGAGAAAGGAAAGGAAACCAUUCAGGGUUAGGGGUUUUCUUCUGGAGGUUGUCCUCAACAACGGUUUUUCACUUACCCUCUGUCUAAUAUCUAGUUUUAUGUAUUUCAUCUCAAGUUUGAUCACUAGAUAAUGUACAUGAAAGCUUUAGCUGGGUGAUCUUAUUAGAUUUGGCUCUCUAUUUAGCUUACUAUCCUUGUGUAUAGUGUAAGUGCUAGUAUGAACACCUAGAGAGGGUGAAUAGGUGUGAAGACAAUUUUUUGCAAAGAACGGUAGAAAUAUUUUACUUUUGAAACUGAGUUUGAAAAACAAUAAACUCAAGUGAGUUCAAACUUUAGCAGUUAAAUAGAACUACAAACAAAAUAAAGGAGUUCAGGGAAGAGAACGGGAACACAAAAUUUAUAGUGAUUCGGCUUAGAUCAAGCCUACGUCCACUCUCCACGCUGACAGCCUUCUGGCUGGAUUCCACUAAGAAUCAAAAAUGAAUUUACAAUCUUGUGAUCUUGAUUUCACGGUGAAUAGUCCCUACGACUCUCUCACGAAGUCUUACCAUGAGUCUCUCUCUUUUGUAUACAACUUUGAGCUCAGUGUUUGGAGUGACAAGGAAAUGGAAAGCUUCAGACUUUGAAAUUUCUCUUUCAUGCACUCUAUCAAACAACUAGAGAGUCCACCUUGAAUACUCCUUCAUGCCUUCUCGACCAUUGGCACUUUCCAAAGGAAUUCUUCCAAUAAACCCAUUGGACAGAAUCAAUCAAGGAGAUCUCGAGCCGUUUGAAAAUUGUGAUGAAAGCCCGUUAAUCCUGUUCGCCCAUACAAUCAGGAUCUUGAUUUCCAUAAGUAAAUUAUUUCUAUAUUUACUUGCAAUCCGAAAAGAUUUGAUGUAUCUAUAGUGAUUCCAAUAAAGAUGAUCUAUCUUGUAGGUGAUAUUUCCAUCCAAAGGGCCAUAUAUAACAUGUACGAACCGAACUCUUGAAAUAAGAAGGAUAAUCUCACAUUUGGAUAAGUCUUCUUUAUUCACGUGCGUUCAGUUUGGAGUUUGUCAGAAUGGGCAGACUUCUGAUGUCGAACAAACUUUGAUACUAAAGUCUAGCAGUCUUCAAACUUUGAUACUAAAGUAUGGCCAUCUUCAGAUUUUGACACAAAAAUCUAGAAAUCUUCAUAAUAAACUUUGGAUAAGUUUUGUCAAUUUCAAAACAUCAAAGGAGUAUUCUCCAACAUAUAGAAAUACCGAUCUCAUGUUCCUGAUUAGGAAUUAAUUCUAUCAUCAUAUUUUCAAGGAAGCUGCCCAAAUGCCUUUCUCUUCCAUUUCGAAAAAGAUAUUUUGGUAAAAUUUAUUGCCAAUAUUCCCUCUAACGUCUAUUUCGGCAUCUACCAGAUAUAUUCCCAAUUCAUUGUCCUUCUAUGGGAUAUAUACCUUUCAUAUGAAACUACAUAUAUUAUUGAGAGAUCCACAUGUGCAAAGUAAAACUACUUUUUCAUGCUAAUCAUUUCUUUGUAUGGCUCUACAGGAUGACUCUAAAAUUGCUUUGAUACGACUUCUUGAUCUUGAUUCUUAACUGUCAAUGUUUUAUUCUUCAUAUCUUCCAAAUUAUUUCUAGUUUUUUGUUUGUAGUUAAGUUUCCAACUUGGAAUCUUAUUUCAUAGUCCAGCAGCUUUAAUACAAGUUUAUGGAAGAUUUUCGAGAUCUUUAAAGGACUGGGUGCUCUUUGUUUCUUGAACUUCUCCAAACUCUUGACAAUGAAUGCUUGGAAUGAGAAAGGACGUUUGCAUAUUGUCAUCCCACAUUGCCCUGAUUAUAUCUAACAAAAGCUUUGGAGCUAAAACUGUUUGCUAACUUGAGAGGUUUCUAAAAUACUGAAAGUCUAGCCAACUCGUUUGAUAUAAUGGUUGACGAAUCGGACGGUUGUAUUUUAAGUGGGAAUCGUAGUUGACAUCGUAUGGAGGUCUGUUGGAGUUUAAAGAGAGCUGUUUGUGAUUCAAGUGCGGAUCUUCAUGCUAAAGUAGAAGCAAUAUUCGAUGCUUGCCUGCUAAAGUUUGUGGGGUUGAUAAAGAAAUUAGAGGUUCUUACUAUGGGAAGCUGUUGUUAGGUCGAAGGUCUCCGAAUCAAAGUCUUGCGAGACCGAGAUCUUAUUCCUAUUGAUUUUGCUAUUAGAGUGAUGGAGGAUUGUUGGCUGGUGCCGUCUCUUUGUGGGGUUUAGCGAACAUAACAUCAAAGAAAGAGAAAAAAAGUCAAAAAGACCCAAAAAAAAAAAAAAAGAGGGGCCUUUUUUGGAGUGAAGGUAAGGAAGAGAGAGAGCUUCUCGAGAAGUGCGCACGAAGAAGAGGAAAAAGGGGCAGCGAUUUUUGGGUCCAUAGUUGGAGCCCUAAUGUAACUGAAAUUGGCUCAAUUUUAGAAUGUUAUUCAUGAGAGUGAGGCCUUUGAGUUGAUUAAUUUCGUUUGUUGAAAACCUUUUUCAAGUUGUCUCUCAUUUUCUACUAUCAUAGUUAAGGUUUCUUGCUCUAUUUGUAUUAAUCCACCUCAAUAAUGAUGAAAUAUCAUUGUAUUGUUGAUGUUACUAUUCUUAGUGAAAGUUUUUGAGCAGUUCGUGAGUUUUCCCCCACUGAAUUUUCCACAUAAAAGUUUUAGUAUUAUUGUUGCCUUGUUUUUUUUUUUUUUAACAUUUCAGCAUUAUAUUUAUUUAUUUUGAGAUCAUAGUGCUGGAAUACACAGCUAGUUGUUGCUAGUGUUGAGUCCAUUUUGGUUAGUUUAAUUUUGGAGAAAAAAUUGCUUGUGGAUUGGAUUAGUUCUUAGUGAAUUGUUACCUAAUAUACCCCAACAAGGUUGUUGGAAUAGGAGUAGAAAAUGUUUCUAGUGUGAAGAAGGUCUCCAGAGCCCAAUUGAUGCGCAUUUGAGACCGUGCUUCUAGUGGGAUAUUAAAGCUCAAUUGAUGUUGCUUUAGUUUUUUGUAAUAAAGAAUUAGCCCUAACAAAAGGAAAAAGGACAUAAAUAGUCCAGUAGUCAAGGGUGCAAUGUCAUCCGUAAACUUUUGAUUUACUUAAUGUUUAAUCUAAACCCUAAGAUAUAUAAAAAUGUUCAAUACCAUAUUUCCGUUAAUUUAAAAUUUAAUGAAAUUUGCUUAUAUGAUUCCCAAUUCAUUAUGAUUUUGAUCAAUUUGAUAACAUAAGAAAGGUGGCUACUAUGAUUAUAAGUUAACCCAACAGUUUGGUAACCUUGCUCGUUUCGAAAUCGCAUACUUUUCUUCAUGAGAAAUGAGCCUAGACAUCAAGUUCCAUCUGACAUAUGACACAAGCCGGCCCGACUUAGCCUGCCCAUCAAUCAAAAGAGUCCGCCUUCACUUUUGUAAUCAUGUCUUUGUCUCUUAUUUUUCUCUCUCGCCUGCUCCUCUUCAUCAAUUUUCUCUGCAUGAUUUUGGACUCUAGUGGACUUUCUUACUCUCUUGAUCUUCCAUUCUUCGACUUGCUCUUUAGCUCUAUUCUUUCCUAACUAGCCUCGAGCCUUCCUCUGGGUUUGAGCUCUAUCCUUCGCAAGCUCUCUUUCAGCUCACAUUUUCCAUCGACACUUCUAUACACUCCUUGCAAAUUGUUUUAGGCCCAGCGCUGCGUUUUUCAAUUGCUCACGGAAGCUAUGGACGUUUAUGAAGGACUGCAACGCAUGCUUCCACUUCAGCUUUAGUUCAACAAACCAAUGGCUUCUCAAGUUCGGCUCCUAGUCGGCAUUCUUUCACAAGCUAAUGGGUAGUCGACUCGGUUUCCACUCGGUUUCGUGAAGUUUGCUCAAUUUGCUCAAUUUGAAAGGUUUGUCAUUGCAGUAGCAACCCUCUUCUUAAAAGAUAUCCUCUAGCUUCCGAAGAUGCUCAAGUAAAGUUAGCUUCGAGUUUCUUCAUGUUUCUCAAUUAAGUAUAAGUGCUCAAGAAUACAGCCACCCAUCAAAAUCUUCUUGUUCACGUCAUUGCUCACCUUAACCUGGUAGAUGGACAAGGACUUGAGCAAAGUCUAGUCGAUCCUUGACCGCCUAGCUUUGAUACCACUUAUUGAGGGAAAAAGUAUCGAAAAAGUCCUAAACAUAUUGCAUUGGUACUAAUUUAGUCAUAAACAUUUUGAUUGGACCAAUUAAGCCUUAACUUUUUCAUAUUGGCACAAACUUAGUUCAUCAGACCAAUUAACUAGAAAUUGCUGACAUGGAUGCUGAUCGGCCGAUUAGCCCCGAGAUGGACAUUUUAGAUGGAUAUUUUAAAAUAAUGUUUUCAUAUUUUUUUUGAAAUUACUAAUUUCUUUUUUCUUUUUUUCCUUUACCUUUUCUUUUCGUCGGUGGUCAUUGCCAGUCGCCGGCCAUAGCCAUAACCGGCAAGGGUCAACCUUAUCAAGCCAUGCUUGGGCGAGGGUGAGUGUUAGCCGUGCCUUGCUAUGGCGAGGCCCCCCUCACCAAAUUUGGCAAGGCUAACUGAAGCAUUUUGAGCAAGAAACUAUGGACAAUCAAAGACUCAUUUAUAACAUGUAAUGAAUUUUAGAAAAUGACGAUAAGUAUGCCUAACAUAUACAGAUAAAUAAACAUCUAUCCACAGCUCAAUUUUGUAGGAUGGACAAUUUUCAUCACAUUAUUGUCUAAGAUCAAUGUGACACGUGAGUAGCAGAACAUUGCCAUUUAUGGGAGACCUAUAAGGGCAUACAAUUUUUUUUUUGAACGAGUCCUGCAAGGGCAUACACAAUUACUUUUGAAAACAUUCUUAGUAAAUACAUACACUCUCUUGCAUCUAAUUAAAUAAUUAAAAUAGAAUAUAAAAUAUAGUUGAUUAAUAAAAGCCCUCAACCUUCUACCCACAAGACUGCACUGAUAACUUGCCCUAAUGUCCAUUGAAUCAUACCCUUUAAAAGCAUUUCCUUCCACUUUCCAAUCCCAUAAAAGUGUCACACCAGUGUGUGAAGUCCAUGAGAGCAUGCAAUCUAAAAUAACUAAGGCAUGAUGAACUAAACGAUGAAAUAGGCCAAAAGCAUCAACGUGGGUCCAGUAAUUUUUUGCUAAAUUUAGUCUAGAUUCUUUUGUAUAACUUUAAGUUUAACAUGAUUACCAUCGUUCAAAAAGUGUCUCUUAAGGUUUAUUUGUGUUUUUCGUUUCCUAAUGCAUGGGGAAAAACUAAAGAAAAGACAAUUCACUAUAUCAUAAAGUUGAAAUAUAUUGGAAGACUAAUUAGGAAGGAAAGUAAAAUUAGUCAUAGCAAAGCAAAAAAGGCCGACUAUCAUUAACCCAUUAGUUGAAGGAACAUGGAGGCUCUUGAGAGGUGACAACAAUAAUAGUGUACCUUCUUAACAGUAGCAUUCAUAAGCUGGCUAUUGGCAUCAGAGCCAUGCCUUUUAUACGAUAAAAUGGUAAGGUGCUAGAAUUUAUUAGAAGUAUUUUAUUUAAAAUAUAUAUUAAUCAUUAAAAAAGGGAAAAAUGGAAAAAAAAAGUGGAUGGGGCCGGGCCAGGGUUGGGCCUGCCUGGCCCCUCCUUUUCCUGUUUGCUUCCCCUUUCGGGACGGCCCGUUCUUCUUUUUUCCCUAGCCCGGCCUUCUUCUUUUUCUCCCUUCCUCCAUUCCUUCUUUUCAGUGCUGAACAGGUUGAAGAGAGGACGGAGGACACGGGGAGCGUCUCAUCGGAGUUGGUGGUCGGAGGCAGACCAGUACCGACGGCUUGCGUGGCAAGAAGCCAUCCGCGCCGGCUAGAGAGCUUAAAAGGGAGGAUUUUUUGAGAGAAAUAGAGUGAGAGAGGGAGAGAGAGAAAGGGUGGAGAGACCGUGAGAGCAACCGAGAGAGAGCAAGAGUUUGAGAGCGAGGAGCCCUCCGGCGGUUUGGUCACGCCCGAACCCCGUCUGACGACUCCUGGCUGCAUUCUCGAGCCGGGUAGGGACUCUCGGCCGAUACCCCAGUUUGUGCCCCUGCCUUGCCCCGUUUCGGGCUCGCCGGACCAGGCUUCCUCGUCGUCCGGUUCGCGCGAGCACCGGCCCCAUUCGUCUGUGCGCUGCUGUUUUGGAUCACUACUGCUUGUUGAUUAUUAUUGCGAGUCCCGGCACGAGUUGGUACUCGGUUUUUCCCCCCUUUUAGCCAGCGCGCUUUAAACGUUCGAUGAAAUUCCUAAACCCAACCCCGUUCGGUUUAAUCUCUACUCGAAGUUAUCGAAAGUGGUCUGGACCGUUCGAGGCCAUUGCGGCCCGUUGGGUCAUCUCUUACCUUAUUUUUUGUAUGAUGAAUGAACCCGGAGAAGAAGUCAAGCCCGACUUAUGGCCCGGCUCGGCCCGUAUCCUCUCUCUUCUUCCUCAUUGUCUCUCUCCCGCCUGUUCUUCCUCUCCCGCAAUCUUCUCUGCAAAAUUCUCAGGCUCCAGUGCACUUGGUUACUCUCUCGCUCUUCUCUUCCAACAGGCUUUCUUCUAGGGUUUUCGGGCUCUCCCUCUCACUUUACAUUUGCCACCGGACGCUUUGGCUGCUCCCCGAUCUUUUUUGGCUAUGGAGACCGACCAAGGGUCGCGGCACGUGCUUUCCUUUCAGCUUCAGUUUGACAAGCCGUUGGCUUCUCAGGUUCGGCUCCCGUUUCGACCUUCUUUCGCGACCUAAUAAUGGGCGGGUCGAUUCGAUUGUUUUCCCAUUCGGUUUUGUGUGAGGUUUUGGCUCGAUUUCUUCCGAUUGGCAGGUGAAGAUGGCGGAGUGGAAUCCGGAGAAGGAUUUGCUGGUGAUGGUCACGGAGGACUCGAAGGUGGUGCUUCAUCGCUUCAAUUGGCAGAGGCUGUGGACAAUCUCUCCUGGUAAUUGCUUCGACUCAAGAAAGUUCUCCUCGUUUUAUUUUUUAUUCUUUAUUCAGCGUGUUCUUUUCUUCAACGAUGGCUUGGUGUGUGCCCUUUGAGUCGUUGGCCUUAUUCCCCCUUUGCUUUUCCUUAAAUGUGCCACGAUCCUUUUCCCCAAAAAAAUCACUUCAAUUGCCAAUCCAGUUCAAAUUGCGUUUGAUGGAGAUUUGGUCAAUAUAGAGGUGUAGUGCUUGAAAGUCUAAAUGAGGAUGUGAUGUCGAACAAAGGAGUUGGUGUUUUACAUGAAAAUGAAGAGUGAAUGAUGGUAAUGGGAGGGAAAAUAUGGAUAUGACGUAGUUGCAAAUAAAGAAUCCCAAGCUGAUACUAGUUGAAUAAAGCGAUUUUUAUUUACAGACACGACAAAUUCCUAUAAACUUCUAGAUAAUCGUGGUGCCUUAGGAGAUUUCCAUAACAUAAGUGACAAUCAUUUAGACCAACCGGGAGUGUACCCGACUCUUGUACUGCUAUCUUGUUGCCCUUUUCACGCUGCACCAGUCAAAGUGUUCAUGAAGAUAAAGAACUCAAAUUGGAGGGGAUGUUGUUUAUGCUAGAUGUUAAGUUGCUUUAAUUGAGUUUCCUUUAUUAUCAAAGUUUUAUUUCCUUUUUUACUUACAUAAGGGUAUUAUUGCCAUAUACAGUUUAUAGUCAAUAUAAAUACAAUGGGUGUAGGGUUUCUAUGACUACAGAAAUCUACAGCCCCUUCUUUCUUUCUUUUACGUUCUCCUUCUCUUCUUCUCUAUUCCUUCUCUCUUCUUCUUUCUCUCUUACUAUACACUGCGGGUUCUCUAAUCAGUUUUGUGACAUGGUAUCAGAGCAGAUCUAACUAUUUGAUUACUUAAUCAUAUUGCUGGUUUGAGAGUCCCCUAGUAACCCUACUUCUUCUCUGGUGCGUAGCCACCUAAAGCUGCAAUUUUUAUCUGUUUUCUCUUCAAGUCUCAAUACAUAUGAGAUUAGAAGAUAUCGUAUUCAUCAGGUUCAGUUUAUGAACAUGGAUUACAACACUUGCUGAUCGACAGAUUCAAGAAUCAGAGUAUUCUAUUGAUUAUGGUUGACUGGUCUUGCUGGUUUUCCAUCAACCAUAUAAUUAUUUGAAUCGAGAUUUCUGGUCAGAUAUUUUCUUCUAUACAGCAGUCUCUAUUUAUGAGUUUUCAGCAUCCCUUUGGUUAAUUGAUGGAGCCAAUUACAUCUAAUUAUACAUUAGUGUUGCUGCUUUGUUACUUGCACUAAAGUUUCAGCCUUCUUGAUUAGUGGUAGAUAUACUUAUAUUGAGAUUAUCAUCAUGAGUGAUACUAAGGCUCCCACAGAUAGUGUCAACGUUCAAAUUACCACUAUUAAAUUAAAUGGAUCCUCCAAUUACUUGUUAUGGGCCCAAGCUGUGAAGGUCUAUAUUAAUGCCAAAGGGAAACUUCAUUAUCUUACCACAGACCCUCCUGCUGAAAAUUCUGGAAACUAUAGUGGUUGGAUGAGAGAGAAUGAUACACUUCUGGUGUGGUUAUGGAAUAGCAUGGAACCAUCCAUCGCUGCUAAUGUCAUGUUCCACACAACUGCUAAGGGAGUGUGGGAUGAUCUUAUGGAGAGUUACUCACAAGACAAUAAUAUGUCUAGAGUUUAUGAACUAUAUGAGAAGAUCUUUAAUUUUAAACAGGGAGACAAGUCUCUUGGAGAAUAUUAUAGUGCUUUGAAAGGUAUGUGGGAAGAACUCAAUCUUUAUCAGCCCAUCACUACUGAUCUUGAGAGACUAAAGACACAACGAGCUGAAUUUCAAGUGGCCAAAUUGUUAUCUGGCUUGAAUGCUGACUUACAGCCUGCGAAGAGUCAGCUUCUUGCUGGAGAGAGAGUUCCUUCUAUGAAUGAAGCAUUUUGUCGAAUUCAGCGCAUUGUCCCUCCGUCUUCUACUUCAUCUAAAGACAAUUCAGCAUUUGUGGCUGGUAGUGGUGGUCGUGGUCGUGGUGGAUUUUCCAAUAGAGGUCGUGGUUUCGGAGGUCGUAGUCGUGGUGGUGGACGUAGUGGACAAAGUUCUGAUCGAGAUAACUGUCAGUGUAUACACUGUGGCAAAUUCGGUCAUAUUGUUGACACUUGUUGGGCCAAGCAUGGCAAGCUGAGUGGGCUCAACGAUCAGUUACUGCAAAUACUGCUAUGUCUGAAGGGAGUGCUCGAAAUGUGUCUUACAGCGACAUGAACCCAUCUCUCCCACCUGGGGGUAGUUCUUCUGAGUCUACGGCUCGAGAUGAUAUGGUUGCACAACUCAUCAAACGUGUCCAACAACUAGAGGCUUCCAAUUUCUCAUCCACUGUUACUCUUGCACGUACAGGUAACAUGGCCUCUAUAUCUAAUUUGUCUCCUAACACCUCUUGGGUCAUUGACUCGGAGGCUUCUAGUCAUAUGACAGGUAAGCAAGAACUAUUUUCUUCCCACACUAACUCUAGUCCUUCAUCCGAAAUUAUUUUAGCUAAUGGUUCAUCGACUCAAGUGGUUGGAUCAGGGACUGUUUCACUUACAUCUUCCUUAUCCUUGUCCUCUGUUUUACAUGUUCCCAAACUUCCUUUAAAUUUGUUAUCUGUUAGUCAGUUAACAAAAGCUUUUAGUUGUUUAGUUACAUUUUAUCCAUCUCAUUGCAUUUUUCAGGACCUUCAGACAAAGAAGAUGAUUGGUGGAGGGCAUGAAUGUGAUGGACUCUACUAUCUCAAUGGUGUCUCCACUGCUGACGCCAAUGGUCUAGCUGCUAGCUCUAUUACCCCCCUAUUAUGGCAUUCUUGUUUAGGGCAUUUAUCUUUAUUUAAGUUACAACAAAUAAUUCCCGAGUGUAAAUCAAUUUCUACUCUUGAGUGUGAGGCUUGUGAACUUGGGAAACAUCAUCGUAGUUCCUUUCCUAGUCGUAAUAAUUCUCGUGCAUCUACUUUACUUGAACUUGUUCAUUCGGACAUCUGGGGACCUUCCCGUAUUGCUAGUAGAAAUGGUUUUAAGUACUUUGUUACUUUUGUGGAUGAUUAUUCUCGUUUAACAUGGCUCUAUAUGCUUCAUGACCGCUCUGAAUUUUUACAUGUUUUUCAAUUAUUUCAUCGUGAGGUUACUAAUCAGUUUAAUACAUCCCUUAAAAUUUUGCGAACAGAUAAUGCUCUAGAAUAUACACAGAAAUCAAUUUCUUUGUUUUGUUCUAAUCUUGGUAUUAUACAUCAAACAAGUUGUACUUAUACCCCUCAGCAGAAUGGUGUGGCCGAGAGAAAAUACCGUCACCUUCUAGAAGUUGCUCGUUCACUCUUAUUUCAUAUGAAUGUGCCAAAAUCAUUUUGGAGUGAUGCUGUUCUUACCGCAUGUUACCUCAUAAAUCGUAUGCCUUCCACCGUCCUCAAUCAUCAGUCACCAAACAGUGUUGUAUUUCCUGAUAAGCCGUUAUUCCCUCUUACCCCACGCGUCUUUGGGUGUGUCUGUUUUGUUCAUAACCUACGUUCCGGUUCUGAUAAACUAUCUCCUCGUGCUACUAAAUGUAUUUUUCUCGGAUAUUCACGUACACAAAAGGGAUAUCGGUGUUAUGAUCCUACAACUUAUACUCAAUACGUUAGUGCUGAUGUUACUUUUUUCGAGGGCACACCAUACUAUUCUACUGAGGGUAAAGAGUUUUCAACUGACAUUAUAGCCGGUCCUCCUAUCCCACAACAAAUCCCCCUAGAUUCUAUUAGUCCGUCUCUAGUAUCUCCUCCCUUGCAGGUGUAUCAACGGCGAAAGCAGUCUACGGCACCACCAGUCUCCAGCUCUUCCAUGCCCUCCAAUCAAUCUUCCUCCUUGUCUCCUGGUCCAGACGAUCUUCCUAUUGCCCUUCGCAAAGGUACUCGGUCUUGCACACAAAAAUCCUCUUUGGCUUACCCUAUUGAGCGUUAUGUGUCUCUCUCACAUCUUCCUUCUCCAUUACAUGACUUUGCUCUAUCAUUACAAACUCACACAAUUCCUACUUCUACCACUGAGGCUUUGUCUCGCCUUGAGUGGAAGAAAGCUAUGGAUGUGGAAAUGGAAGCUCUAGUGUCUCGCCAAACGUGGUCAUUGGUUGAUCUUCCCCUUGGGAAAGAUGUGGUGAAGUGUCGUUGGGUGUACACUAUCAAGUACAAUCCGGAUGGCUCAAUCGAGCGUCUUAAAGCUCGACUCGUUGCUAAAGGUUUUACUCAAACUUUCGGAGUGGAUUAUUUUGAGACUUUUUCCCCUGUGGCACGUCUCAACUCUGUUCGUGUUAUUAUUUCUCUUGCUGUGAAUUUCGAUUGGCCAUUAUAUCAAUUGGAUGUCAAGAAUGCUUUUCUUUAUGGUGAUUUGUCUGAAGAAGUAUAUAUGGAGCAACCUCCUAGGUAUGUUACUCAGGGAGAGAAUCGUAGUAAAGUAUGUCGGCUACAUAAGGCCAUUUAUGGGUUGAAACGAUCUCCAAGAGCAUGGUUUGAAAAAUUUAGUUCGGUGAUUUCUAAAUGUGGUUUCCACCAAUGUUAUUCUGAUCAUUCUAUUUUUGUUCGCAAGAAGGAAUCGGGGGUAGUCAUUCUUGUGGUAUAUGUGGAUGAUAUAAUCAUCUCUGGUAGUGAUAUGACUGGCAUUUCUAAGAUUAAGUCCUUUCUUCAGCAGCAAUUUCAGAUUAAAGACUUGGGAACUCUUAGGUAUUUUCUGGGCAUUGAAGUUUUACGAAGUAAAAAAGGUAUUAAUUUGUCUCAGCGAAAGUAUGUUCUUGAUCUUUUGUCUGAGACAGGUACACUAGCUUCCAAGCCAGUUGAUACUCCUAUGGAUCCAAAUCAAAAGUUUGGAGUUGAUGAUGGAAAAGAAAUUGAAGACAAACAUCAAUAUCGGCGUCUAGUUGGGAAACUAAUUUAUCUUACUGUUACACGUCCUGAUAUUUCUUUUGCUGUUGGUGUGGUGAGUCAAUUCAUGGAGUCACCUAAGAAAGCUCAUUGGGAUGCUGUAUGUCGCAUUCUUCGAUAUCUUAAAAGCUCUCCUGGUAAGGGACUAAUUUAUAAAUCUAAUGGUUCUUCUACUUUGAUUGGCUAUUCUGAUGCUGAUUGGGCUGGGUCAACAUUUGAUCGACGGUCUACAACUGGGUAUUGCACUUUUAUUGGUGGUAAUUUGGUUACUUGGAGAAGCAAAAAACAGACUACCAUUGCCAGGUCUAGUGCAGAGGCUGAAUAUCGUGCUAUGGCACAUACUGUGGCUGAAUUGUUGUGGUUGAAAUCUCUUCUCCAAGAGCUUGGAUUUUCUAUUAAUCAACCUAUUGACAUGAUGUGUGAUAAUCAAGCAGCUAUUUAUAUUGUUGGGAAUCCUGUUUUUCAAGAGCGAACUAAGCAUAUAGAAGUUGACUGUCACUUUGUUCGUGAUGCUGUGAAGCAGAAGUUGGUUGCUACUCCUUACGUUGCCUCUAGAGAUCAAUUUGCUGAUAUGUUUACCAAAGCAUUAUUCCGUCCUGCUUUUGUUGCUGGUUGCUCCAAGCUGGGCAUGGGUGACCUAUAUGCUCCAGCUUGAGGGGGAGUGUUAAGUUGCUUUAAUUGAGUUUCCUUUAUUAUCAAAGUUUUAUUUCCUUUUUUACUUACAUAAGGGUAUUAUUAUCAUAUACAGUUUAUAGUCAAUAUAAAUACAAUGGGUGUAGGGUUUCUGUGACUACAGAAAUCUACAGCCCCUUCUUUCUUUCUUUUACGUUCUCCUUCUCUUCUUCUCUAUUCCUUCUCUCUUCUUCUUUCUCUCUUACUAUACACUGCGGGUUCUCUAAUCAGUUUUGUGACACUAGAUAGACUAGUUAUGUCAGAUGUAGAAAUGCUUGAUGCCCACUAGGAGUUGGCAGGUUUAACCCCUGCAAAAUACCAUCUCAAUGUCGUCACGCAGCUUUAUAGUUUUCCUUCAAUUUCUGUUAGUGACUCUCACGAUGUAAUAUCACUUAUGGCUCUGCUUCUUCCUAUUCUUCUACUGAGUGUUCCCUACAAGGAGAGAUUUAGUUUAGGCUGGAAAGUCUUUCACAUUUUGUAAUGCUAAAAUUUAGAGUCAAGUAUGGAAAGUUUUGCACAUUUUGCAUUACUUGAAGUUAAUUUAUCUUCUUCUGAUUACGAGGGGCAUUUUGUUACAUCAAUUUAAUUAAUCAAGUUUGUUGUUGGGAAUUUAACUUACUUGUGAAUAGGAUAUAUCUCAAGCUAUGCUGCAUACAUGUAUACAUGGAGGGAGGAGUUGGAGAAAGCAAAGAGACUAAGAGGGUAGGGGGAGCUGCAUCCAAGUAUGUUAAGUUCUUAUAUGACUUUAUCUUUUAGUAAUUCGAAUUCAUAAGAGCUUAGGAUUACAUGCCUAACCUUGGUGGUUUUUUUAAUCUAUUCUCACUUGAAAAUUUAGAUAGGAGGUAACAUCUGAAUGCUUCACGCAUCAUAUUGCCUUCUGGAUAUGAAGAACAUGUUGUUGAGUGCUUCUUGAACUAAUCCUUGAGCGGUUUCUGUUGAGAUGUUAAGUUGUAGAUACUUGUACACUCGUGAUCCUUCCUUGAAGUAUGCUUUCAUUGAUCCACUCCACCUUGAGGUUCCAAAGCUGAGCAAUAAGAUUUGUUUUUGGACUGAGAUAAUGGAUUGAAGGCUGCCAAAAAGACAUAGAUUCCCUAGCUUUAGAUGAUCUACUAGCCCAAAGAAAUCCAUGUCAAGCUACCAAUAUCCCUUUCGGAUAUACUAUGUACUGUUAUGAUGUUUGCAUCACUUCCCAGAUUUUAUUUAUCAUUUUCUCGGUUUUUGUGUGUUCUCUGUCUUUCCUUUUUGUCUAUUAAUUUAUGGUGAACAAAUUAUUCAUCCUCUCUCUUUCUAAUUUUUUUUUCCUUUUUUUGGUUGUUGUUGUUGUUGUUUAUGAAAUCACUUUUCUUUGCACAUUCCAUUGUAUGUCGUUAUACUGGAUUAUCUUAAUUAUUCUAAUGUACUCCAGGUAAAUGUAUAACAUCAUUAUGCUGGCGUCCUGAUGGCAAAGUUGUUGUCUUGGGACUAGAAGAUGGUACAGUGUCACUGCAUGAUGUUGAAGUAAGUUUUCUACGUUAUUACUAUAAUGUUGCCCUCACAACUUCUCAACUGGGAAUCUUCCUGCAACAAUCCCAUUUCAUCAGAAUGUGUUCUCCUCUAAUCUCUCUUGCGAAAGAUUCUGAAUUGCUCAAAAGCUGCAUGAUGCAUUGCAAGCAGCAAGCUUGCUCAACAAACAUAUAGCUGCUAAUGGAGAUGGCAAUCCAUGUUUACGAGUCCUGUCUACCAAUGUCAAAUUAACAGUGGACUACUAGAUAUGUCAAUCUGAGCAUGAAAAGCUUAAUAGAUCUCAUUAGAACACUCUUUUUGAACAUGCCCUCUUUUUUAUAUAGGUCAACAAACGACGAGAGAUGAAUAACCCAUUUAACUAAUUAAAGUGAAUGGUUCAUUCCAAUCCAAGCAUUACUGACACAGCAUUUAUAACUUGUACAAUACAUGCAAUAUGCAUAUCUUCAUCAAUGUCAUAUAAUUUUUAAAAAGAAUAGCCGUAAACUUACAAAGUCCUCGGUUUAGAUGAUAUCUUGUGUCUUAUAUAUAUAUAUAUCAAUUUAACUAAUUAGAUUGAAUGGUUCAUUCCGAUCCAAACAUGACCGAGACAGCAUAUAGAAGCAGUCAUCCGUGACACGUUCAUUUUCAUCAAAUUAAUAGUUUCUUUCUAUUAUUUAAAGUGACAUGUCCAGUUCAGUCAUAUUAGGAAGGUAAUAGGUCGGGUGAUUCCUAAAUAACAGAAUUUGUAUGUGCCUCAAUUAUGCUUGUGGGUGGAAAAGUUCAUAGAUUACCAGUUAUGUCAUUAAGCUAGCUGUUUGGUCAUGGAUACAAUUGCUCAGAACUUGGCUGAUGCUGCUGCCAAAAGGUUUCUUUAAGCCGUCUACCGAUUUACUAAUUAUUAUCCACUUCAUGGAUUAUGUUUUGCUCUUGAAGAACUUAUUUUUACAUAUGAAUGUUAUCUUACCAAUCUAGCUGUCUUUAUGGAACCGUGGAUAUGCAUUGUGCUGCUUUUUAUAUGCUAGUGCUUGCAGAAGUUAUAUGUACUGUGGUAUAUUUAUUUCUAACUCGGUAUAAAUAUUAAGCAGAAUGGAAAACUGUUAAGAAGUUUGAAGUCCCAUGCAGCAGCUGUGGUGUGUCUCAAUUGGGAGGAGGAUGCCCAAGUGAGUAUGCAUCUUUCAACUUAAGAAAGUUCAUCUUACUUCUUGAUCUUGACUCUUGACAGACAAUAUUUUAUUGAUCAUACCUUUCAUGUUCUAUCUAAUGCUUUGUUUGCAGUUAAGUAGUUAUUUUAGGCUGAUUUACUAAAAUAUUUCUUUUUUCAAACUUAGAAUCAUAUUCAAUAGCUUCAAUAUUGUAUCUAUGGAAGGUUUUUUGAAAACUUAUGUUUGGUGUCAGCUGUGAGUUGUUGAUUUGCUGAUUGUUGACUCCUUAACUUUAAUCUCUUGUUAUAUAUAUAUAUAUAUAUAUAUAUAUAUAUAUAUACACAUAUACAUAUAUCUUCUUCUUCUUGUUUUUUCCCCAUUGGAAUGAUAAUUAUCCAUUUUUUAAUAGGACACUUCUGGCAACUCUUUGGCAUUUGAAGAUCGCACUACUCGUUUCUUCCCUCUAGCUCCGAGAGUUCCUCGCAUGCCUGGACUAGUAUCUGGAGAAACUGGUUUAACUGACGAUGGUCAAGAUUCAUUCGUAGAGCUCUCAAAUUCUUCAAAGCAACGUUUCAAUAUCCUUUGCAGNNNNNNNNNNNNNNNNNNNNNNNNNNNNNNNNNNNNNNNNNNNNNNNNNNNNNNNNNNNNNNNNNNNNNNNNNNNNNNNNNNNNNNNNNNNNNNNNNNNNNNNNNNNNNNNNNNNNNNNNNNNNNNNNNNNNNNNNNNNNNNNNNNNNNNNNNNNNNNNNNNNNNNNNNNNNNNNNNNNNNNNNNNNNNNNNNNNNNNNNNNNNNNNNNNNNNNNNNNNNNNNNNNNNNNNNNNNNNNNNNNNNNNNNNNNNNNNNNNNNNNNNNNNNNNNNNNNNNNNNNNNNNNNNNNNNNNNNNNNNNNNNNNNNNNNNNNNNNNNNNNNNNNNNNNNNNNNNNNNNNNNNNNNNNNNNNNNNNNNNNNNNACUGCAGUUGAAGCACGUAAAGGAGAAUUUGGGGUCUGUCUGGGUUAGCCUGCUGUGCAGACUUCUGCUGUUGUUUUAGACUCUUGAGUAUCUGCUCCUUUUUAGGGAGAUUGAGAGAGCCUAUACGACCGUCGGUUGGGGAAAGUGUUCUAUGAGAGUGUAUGCUUGUGUGUAGAAAAUUCUCUCUGUUGGUGUGCAGCUAUUAGAAGAUUUAGACUUUUGGGUACUCUGAACUUUUGUGCAUGUUUGGGUUUAGUACUGUUUCAACGUGAAAACAUGAUGAACUUCUCAACAGACAUUUGAUUAGUCUAGAAAUGCAUGCUGAAGAAUUGUCCUAAUCAGUAUCAUUUAGGUUCCUAUCAGUUGUCUCUUUAGUAACAUGGAGCCAGUCCUUAUAGUUACAAUUCCUUGUUGGGACUUUCCCAAAUGUACUUCCUAGGGCCCACUGCCUUUCACCAGAUCUAUAAGUGUGGCGUAUGGUUUCCUAAUGGGAGGUUUUUCAGAUCUAUAUACAAGUUUGUGAAUUGUCAAUGACGAUUUGAUCACAAUUUCUUGACUCGGUUGACUACCUAAACAGGUAAUUUUCACCUUAAGAUGAGAUAUUCUAGAUGUAAAAUUAAACAUGUUUGAUGGAAAUCACUUGUUAUGAAAAUUGAUGUAGCUCAUUUAGCUCAUUGUCGAGCUUCUGGGUUGUCUUUUUUUAUUAUAUAUAUAUAUAAUGUGGACCUGCUAAUUUAAAAGAUGCCAGUGGCAGGAAUACUAAGUUUUUGUGGAAACACAAUGUAGAACUGCUAAUUUAAAGCCUUCCAAGUUGCAAUGUGAUGUAGAUAUUCUGUAGUCUGGUGUUGAGGUAAGUGCAUUAAAGGCCUUCAGAAAAGUCGAAUCAGUACCUAUACUGCACUUGUGCUGUUGCCCAUGAAGUUUACAUUUUUUGCUUAAGUUGUUGCUUCUCUCUGUUUUCUAGUUCCAUCAUUGACCUGACCUAAAAAUGAAUGUUAUGGUGCUUGGUUAUCUUUAAGUUGACCUUGUAGAAAUAGCACAGUUCCACUUUCCACUAGUUAUUUUAGUUUGGAAGCUUUUUUAACUCUCUGUUUCGACUUUAUUUGUAUAGUUGCUUUGUUAUAUUGAGUUCACUAUUUUCAGUUCGAUAAUCAGUCGCUUAUUGCUUCUUGCUAUGUGAUUGCCGUAAUGCAUGGGAAUGUGCACCAGAAUAUACAUGAAUGUGAUAUUCCUAUGACAACCAAGGACAGAGACACUGUUUGCCGACUUCUGAAUGCAUCUGUGAGGAAGGUACACUGACUAAAAUAGUUGCCUCUCAAGAGCCUCCAUGUUUCUUCAACUAAUGGGUUAAUGAUAGGAGGCCUUUUUGCUCUGCUGGGACUAAUUUUAUUUUCCUUCCUAAUUAGUCUUCCAAUAUAUUGCAACUUCACGAUAUGUUAAAUUGUCUUUUCUUUGGUUUUUCCCAUGCAUUAGGAAAAGAAAAAUACAAAAUAAACCUUAAGAGACACUUUUUGAACAAUUGGUGAUCAAGCUAAACUUAAAGUUAAACAAAGGAACCUAGACUAAAUGAAACAAAAAAUUACUGUGAAUUGUGCAUAGUUUCUUGCUCAAAAUGCUUUGGUGACCAGCAAAGAAUUUCAUUCACUUUGUGACAUUUAAGUUAUAGUCAUCAGAUACAUUGUCUUCUCAUGAACACCUUAUUGGAAUUUGAUAGAGAAACUAUCGAGUAAAAGCUCAGUGGUAACUAAACAUGUUUCUAUAAAAAUGUCAAACAGCCUGACACAGAAAAUGUCAAACAGCUUGGAUAAUAUUUUAUAGAUGUAAGAUGCAGACUUUUUUCUAAACUUCAAAUGUACCUACUGUAAGUUUAUUCCUGUGAUUGGAUUAUUCCCAGAUAUCAUGUCGGGAUGUUUCACCAGAGCCAAGCUAACUGCCCAUGUAAUUGUUAUCAUUAGGUGGCUUUAUCCAAGGAUCUUUGUCAUUUGAUGGUUGCAUGCUCAGGAGAACUUGUUGAAGACAUUGUUGAAUCAAGAGGGUGUCAAACAGUUGGAGAUAGUACGCAUGGCUUUCAUUGCUUAGUGCUUGAUACUUCAAUAUUCCAAAAGAGGUAAAAUUGCACUUGCAUUUAGUGUUAUUCAUAUUUUAGGUGAAACUUCUCUUCUCUCUCUCUCUCUCUCCCUCUCUCUCUUUUAAGUUUGUGCAGCAGUAAUUGGACUCCAUAUUAUAAUUAUAUUACAAUUGUUCAUGUGCACUGAUAUUUGUUUCAGAGGUAUCAAUUUUGUUUGGUUUUACAGAAAGUAAAACUCAUAUUAACUCAGGAUAUUAUUGUCAACCUUAAAACGAAACUGAUGGUUAACAUGGAGCACUUUUGAGGCAUUUUUCUUGGAAUUUAACCUACACUUUGCAUGAUAGAAGAACUUUCCUUCUGAUAAUUUUAAAUGCCCAAGUUGACGUUCAAGAGUCGCCAUAAGCUGAACUACAUGAUGCCUCAUACUUCGUAGCCUGAAUGAUUUUUUUCAUGCUUGAUAAGGUUUUCACCUGACCUUCAAGUAUCAUACCAUCUUUCCGUAGAAACCUCUAGAAAUCAACGUAGUUCGAAUGUUGAAAGUGGUGGGACAAAAUUGCAGGAGUUACUCUUGCAAAAUUUUGAACUUUGUUGCAUGAUUCACAGAACAUUUUUGUUCUCUACAAUUAGAGGCCUGCCAAGUUUUUGAUAACAUUUUUUGUUUUCGUUUUUAUGGAAACUGUUUUCGAUGUUUUAUCACAGAAAACUUGUUUAAUGAUGUAUGUCGUAAGGAUGAGAAUUGUCAGAAUUUGCUCGUGUUCCAUCGCAAUCAGAAAAGAGGCUUAGUUAUUCCAAAUCUCCAUGUUUGCACGUGGAAUGUGAACGCUGAAAAGUUGUCUUCAGUUUCUAAUUUCGAUUUUAAUAAUAGUUUUCCUUUCAACUGUUUUCGAAGUGUUACCAAACACAUUUUCUGGACCGUUUGCAUUCUCAAAUGAAAUGAGGAUAGAUAUCUGAGAAUCUUUAUCUGCCGAAUGCCUCCUUAGAUUCUCAAUCUCUUCCUGUCUGCAGUAAAAAUGAACUUCAUCAAGUUGCUCAACAGGCUUCCAACAUUGAAGAUUUACUUCAUGUCGUCCAGACAUCAUUAUCAGUCAUGCACAAGCAGUGGGCUGAUGCCAUGAACAUAUUUCAUGAGAAGUUUGAUUUGUUAACAAGCCUUAUUAAUGAUCAUGGUUAGUGGUCCUGUUAAUACAAAGCAGUAGAUGGCUUUUCAUUGUUCUUCAUUUGACUGUUUNNNNNNNNNNNNNNNNNNNNNNNNNNNNNNNNNNNNNNNNNNNNNNNNNNNNNNNNNNNNNNNNNNNNNNNNNNNNNNNNNNNNNNNNNNNNNNNNNNNNUCUAGGUCUUGACUCUUCUCCUCAGGAGGAAUUUUUGAGUCUUCUAGGUGGUGCUAGGACCAGUCCUGCAGUCCAUCAGUUUCUUGUUAAUUCUCUGGGUGAAGUGGUAUGGCUGGUUUUUUUAAGUUCCGGUGUCGCUAUAGGACUUAUGUUCUUUUUGGUUGGUUUUCAUAAUCUUAGUCUGCUAGUUUGUUCAAUGAUAGGGUAUGAAGCGUGUAUCAAAAGUUGUCGGUGGUGCUGGAAAAGAACUUCAGCUGGUUGUCCUCAAUCAUCUGCAGGUGCACGUUAUUACCUUUGCAUUUGGCCUUUCUCUGAUAAAUUAUUGAGUUUUAAGCAUCGCACAGAACAGUCUUAAAUGGUGAUCAGAUAGAUGUAGGAAUUUGUUAUAGUAAGUUAUGCUUCACACAUUUUGAGACACGCCAUAUCUUUCAGAACAUCCUGAUGUUGAAUUCUUAUAUGAACCUAUCAUAUGCAAUGAUAUGGAUUACCAACAUUGAGUGGCUGGAAAGUGUGAGGUAAAAUUGAUUUGAUUCUGAUUUAACAAGUUGGCAAUCUCUACUAUAAGCGUAUAAUAAAAAUUAUAGGUCAUAAUCAUUGGUUUGAAUAUGAACUUGAUCUGAGUUUGGGCUUUCAGAAUACUGUAAAUGGAGGUAUGGGUAUGGAAAUUUUUAUGCAUUUAUGUUAUAAUUAACAGGUAUAGAUAUAUGUUCUCUGUUUCAAAAGGAAAAAACUUUAUUGCCCGCUUCAAUCUUAAUACAUAUCCCUCAUAAUUGCGGGAGUCAAUCUUUAUAGUAAUAAAUCAUAUUCAACUCUUUUUACUUACUAAUAGCUCUAUUUGAGCCUAGGAGAAGUUAAGACUUAUUUAUACUACCAAUUCCACUCGUUGGACUUGCUGUAGUAAUUGAACUCUGCUUUCUUAUGUUAUUAUUACUGUCAACAAGCUAAAAUUGAGAAUGAAAACUCAGUUAUCAGAAGAAAAUGAGCAGAUAAAAUAACUGGCGGGUGCUCAGAUGAUAGUGAAUUGAGCCAACAUUGAGCUCAUCUGUGAUGCUUAACCUUGGUUAUGAGAGCCUCUGUCCACAACAAUUUGUUCAUGUACUUAGAUGUGAGAAUUCAUUAGUUUAUACUUUUUACCAACUUUUCCAAUUAGGUUGCCAUUUUUUUUAACUAAGCACCAUCUUUUGGCAGAGUAAUGCUAAAGAUGUUAUGUCCUAGUAAAUGAAAAUGGUUUACUUACUCACAUGUGAAAUAGAUUUGUAUUAGAUGUCUGUAAUACACUUGCCUAAAUGCUUGGAUCUUACCACUUCAAACGAGUUCUGUAUGCUGGUCUUUGUAUCCGUAGUAUUGUUCUGUUUUGGGAAUGUGUCGGUAUCUCUUUGGAUCAAGAGUUUCUCUUGAGCUUUUUGGAUCUUGACUUUAGGUUGUAGAGGCACCCUUUUGUCACGAUAACUCAUAAAAGGAACCGCAACUGUGAGUUAAUGGAGGGUUUUUGUGCUCAAUAAAAACAUGCUACAUGGAUGAUGGUUAUGCUGAUUAGCACAAAAUCAUAUGUGAGAUGUUAGCAUUUGUACUUGAAACUACAUGAUUACAUACAAUGUUAUGAUAUAAGAUAGUUGGAAUAACUUAAAAAUCCUCAGAAAAGAAUAAGUUUCUUUUAAUAGAUCAGAAGUUCAUCCAUAGGACACCAAGGGGUUGCAAACCUAUAUAAGAUUGUAGCCCAAAAAUUAAAGCCAUGUACAGAACAACUCUCAAAACCAAAAGUGAGCUCAAAUACAAGAUACAUCAUCGACCAUAUUAAUCAAGUCAAUUACAUCCAUAUGCAGUCUCCACUAUACCAAAAGUGUACGAGUUUAAGCCAAAUUUCAACAAAUGGAAGAUCUCUCUCCAUCAAAAGCUCUCUUGUUAGCUCCUUCCAAAUGAGCCUAAAAACAGAUAGAGGAAUUGAGUUAAUCCUUCUUUUCGUGUGGCACUGUAAACGAAUGCGCUGCCAAGCCCAGAGUUCUUGCUCCUAAAAGCUCCAAUAACCCAAAGAUAAUUUGGUGCAAGCAUAGGAAACUGUCCAAACCACUCUUGUCCAUGAACAGUGAAGGAGGAGAUGCUGCAUGGAUUCUGCCUCCUCCUUGUGGAGGAAACACCUAUUAACCAGUAUUUGCUUCUUUGUUGUAGGUUAUCUAAAGUGAGGAUUCAUUCCCAAGUUGUUUUCCAGGCAAAUAGAUAAACUCUAAUCAGAACCCUUACUUUCCAAACUCUAAUCAGAACCCUCAUUUUCCAAGUCACUUUUUGAGGAAAAUCUGUUCUACCACCAACUUCCUCCCUAUUGAGCAUCUUGUAGUGAGACUUUACUGGAAAGAUUCCAUCUUUUUCAUCGUUCCACACAAAUGCAUCCUCAUAGGCAACGGAAUUCUUGGAGUAAUAUAAUACAUUAAAAGAGAUGUUAAAAACUCCCAAUCUUGGGCUUGUCUCACAAACUCAAUAUCCCAAAUGAUCAUUUCCUUGCCUAGACAUGCCAUCCAGCUUUUUAGUUGUUGUAAUGCCUAUUUAGGAGGAUCAAUUUCUAAGAAGUCUUGUAGCACCACACCUUUAUUGCAUGUGGUGCCUUUGGAAGGAAAGCAACAAAAUAGUAGAGUUUGAAAUCUUGGGUAGUUUUGGUGGUGUACCUUUUAAAUGGCUUUGGACAUCAUGUUCUGAUUUCAUAUGGUCUUCUGAUGUUUUAUUUUUGUUUGUUUUUCUUUUGUUUUAUUCUUGUAUACUGAUGCGUUAGAACUUUUUCUUUAAUUAAAAUCCUUUAUCAUCUAUAAGAAAAUAUAUUGCCAAUAUCUUCUCUGCCAGAUCUCUUUCCAUACAUGUGGGCAAUUUUGUGUGUUGUUAACAUGUGCAUUGCCCAAGCACAUGCAUGCGAUCAUGUGCUUGCACAGGUGUCUGCAUUUGCACAUGCACACUGUAGGGCUGUUGCUAAUUAGAUCGGUUCCUUGCUUCUCCUGGGUUCAGGACUCUCUUGUACACUGCACAUUCUUGUUGAUUAUUACUAUGGUGAGAAAUAAUGUUUCCUGUUAGUUUCUUUAAAGUUAUAGACUCUUCUUUUUACUUUUUUGAUAUGUAAUUCUAUUGAAGAGCAUCAUGGGGUUCGUCUUAUAUACAAAUUACCACCCAUAAGCUUGUAUUUAUCUAAGAUAAUUCAAAAAAGGACUUACUGUCUAAAGAACUGCCCCCACAAUGCCGAAAAAAUAUGGUGGUUAUCCAAAUAUCUAUCCUUUACAGCUCCUAUAUAAUUUAUUUCUUUUGUAGGAACCUGCCUAUUUUUUUCUUUUGAAAGUUUAUGAACUUUCUUUAUCUCCAUGGUCUGUCAAUCAAUGCUUUGGGGCUCCUUUCUCCUGUUGUUUACUCAAAAUGUGCAUUCACGACAGUGUAGAAUUUUGUGGAACAAUUGCCAAGUCAUCUAAAAGAUUACCUAUCAAAUAAAGACCUGGUACUUAAUUACUAUAAUGCUCCCCCUCUCACGUAGGCUAAGACUUGGCCUUAGAUUGAAGGAUAGAUAUUUGAUAAUUGGGGAGGUAAAUAGGUAGCAAGGUGAGUUUUAAGCCUGAAACCUCCUGCUCUAAUUCCACAUAAAAUUUUGUGGGACCAAAUAACUAAUCAAAAAGUGUAAGCUAUGGGAUAGAGAUGUAGUUUGAUAUUUGAAUGUUGUAAAGAAGUUACCCUUGCCCAAGCUAACAGCACAAGGGCUGGGGCUUUGUCUCCUUAAAAACAUCAGCAAUUCCUGUCAGCUGUGUUUAUAGCCCACAACUAUCACAUAAAUAAUCUCUCUCUAUCUCUCUCUCUCUCUCUCUCUCUCUCUCUCUGUGUGUCCUUUCCCUUCACACACACACAGCCACUUUGGGCAGGACUUGAUCAUUUCACACGAACAUUCCAAACUUCCAGCCUGCUUGCAUGAAUUGGAUGGUAGACUAGGCUCCAUUUUCGGACUUGAUCAUUUCACACAAACAUUCCAAACUUCCAGCCUGCUUGCAUGAAUUGGAUGGCAGACUAGGCUCCAUUUUAUUAAUGAUUUUUCUUUGUCAGAGAAUCUAGCGUAUGCUGUGUAAUUCAAACACAGUUUGCAGUUGAAAGAUAAGGAUGGCUUGUAAUGGCCAUUUGCUGCGUGAAACAUUUUCUUUCAUAAAAUUUAACAUCGAUGGUUCCUAUUACUGUUUAGCGUUUAACUUAUAUGUUCGAUGUUAUCUUUAUCCCUCAUGAGUGUGUCAGUUUCCUUGACUAGAGAGGAUAUUCGACUUGUGGGGUUAACUAAUUGACUUAUUGUUAUUUACAUUGUUAUUUACCUAGCAGCCUGCUGUAGAAAUUAUUGGCUUUAGAAUGGGUGAGCUCAGGGGUCUUUCGAGAUGGCGCUCUCGUUACCUGGGUAUUGGUUUGGAUGAGACACUGGUGGACAAUGCAGUAGAAAAGGCUGGAAUGCUGCUUGUACAGGUUGAGCGAUUCAUAAGGGUGCUCUCAUCUGUUGUGCAGCAGGUAGCCUGUUACAAUCUUUGUUAUGAUUUCUCUUCAUUUCUUGAUACCUCCUGUUUUCUACUAUUUUCUAAAAUCCUUCCCGUCUCUCAUCGUGCAUGUCUUUAGUCACACUAAAUUCCUAAAUUUUAAACAUGGAGUUGAACUACUUGUGGAUAUAAGACACAAGAUCUUGUGUGCUCAGAUGACAUAUUAUUCUAAGUCGAAUAGCAUUAUCUAUUUGAAAUACGAGCUGUUUUGUUGGGAUUUUGAAGAAGAGACUGUUAACCAGGCAUUUGCACAUGACUUGAACCUGUUUAACAAAGUGCCAUUUUGCACCUUUUAAGAUCAUGAUGAAAUACUGACAAUAUCACAUUGUUGUUUGUUGAUAUCAUCAUGUAUUUGAAGGGCCAGAGAGAAAUUGCAUGGCUUUUUUUUUAUCUUUGCUUCCUGCACCUUGACAACUUAGGGUUUGUUGAUACCUUUUCAAUUUCGCACAUACUACACUGAAGACAUGCAUUCUUUCUUGUUUGAAAAUGAAAAUAUUGCCAGUGUGACCACUGAAAUCUAGAGAAGCUCGGAAUAUUGAGCCAGCGGUGUAAGCAUUUUAUAUUGGUUGAUUAUGUGCAUGUUGCUGAAGCUUUUGGUUUUGGUUUUGUCUCUCUUUCAGUUUGCAAAUUUCUUCAGCUGGCUUCUGAAAUGUAUAAAGCAACUUAGGUCAGAGCCAAGCGAUCAACUUUUAACAUACAAUAGGUUUGUCUGACUUUUGUCCAUCAGGUUCAGUCCUUAUGGUGAAUCCCUAUUUACUCUUAUGAAUUUCGACAGUGAACUUGUUGUCGUGUUCUUGAAGUUUCUGUAUGAUCAAGAUCCUGUUGUGCAGCUUCUGGAUUUAUCCGAGGCUGAUGAAGAAAUUGACAUUGAUUUGUAAGUGAUUUCCUCUAACUUGUCCAGUUCUUUAUCCGAGGCUGAUGAAGAAAUUGACAUUGAUUUGUAAGUGAUUUCCUCUAACUUGUCCAGUUCCUAAUUUUAAGUCAUUUACAAUAUGGCACCCAGAACCCCUGAAUCUUUAGUUAAUACUUGUUCACACCUGAUGGAGUCACCAAGUGGACUGUUUGGCAUUGCCAUGUACGGAAAGCUUCCAAUAGAUAUGGCUUGUAUACUCCUUGAAAGUUACUUUUUUUCCUGUCAUUUCAGUCAACAUUAACUUUACUUGGGCUGAGAUGUGACAUGUCAUUAUUGUUGACAGAAUGGCUACCCAUUGAAUUAAUAAAUUUCUUCUCUUGUGAAUUAUCUGAAGUUUUGCUCCUACUUGGUGUUCUUAAUGAAUUUCAUUCAUAUAAUAAGAAAAUGUUAUUGCCUAGCCCUAGUUAUGGAAUCAUAUGUAUCAUUCAGACAUGAUGACUAAUUUCAUAAUUUGACAUAACCUUCUAAUGCCGAGGGUGGGGCUAACCUUCUAAUUCCAAGGGUGGGCCAUCUCUUCAUUCUUUGUAGCUGAAAUUCGGUGAGGCAAUGGCUUGAAUACUGUGAAGUGUCGACAGCUUAUUAUUUCCUUCAUGUACUCUAGCAGCAAAUCUUCGUAGCCCUUCACUAGGUUGUGCUAUCCAUUUGUGUGCCAGAGGAUUAGAAUACCAUGGUGUAAUGGACCUUGGUCACGCUUUAAAUGUCAGAGAGGUAUCCUGUCAAGCCUAGUAUUCUCUUCAUGUGCUCUAGUGGCUCACUCCUGCUUUAUUGCAAUGUGACCAAAUUAGUUGCUAAACUCAGGAUAUGAAAUUGUAAAUUACUCCUGUUUUGAGGGUUAGCUCUUCAUUUUAAGUCAUCUUGCUACUGUCUUUGUAAUUACUUUUAAGAGCACAACGAGAUGAGGUUGACUCAAGUUAGGGUGCUUUGCUGGGCUUCAGCUGUGGUUAUUUUUGGUCCAGCACUGUGCUGUUAACCACAGAGUAACGAGGAUUGAAAUUGACGGGUUGAUUGUUGUUUCUCAUUGGACUGGAAAGCCUUUUGAAAAUCAAGUGUAAUUUCAUGCACUUUUCUGCCUUGAUGUAUGUCGUCAGGUCAGUAAGAUGUUUUACACACAUUAUUGUUUCAGAGAAACAAUGGAGAGAGUGAAAGAAUUAGUACAAUGUGGAGGAUUUAAGGACAGCAAAUGUUUGCGAAGGACACUUGCAAAGGAGUUUCAACUGAUGGAAUACAGGUAUCAGCAAAAGAAUUGGAAAUUUGAAAUUUAACAGAAUCUUGUUUGUGCAUGGAAGUUCUUCCUUGAAUGUGUCUUGUUGCUCUUUCAUUGUCAAUUCUUUGUAUUUAUGCUAUAUCUAGAUUUUCCAUUACCAUGUUUUUUUUUAUGCAUGCUACCUCAGUGGGAAAUAUAUGAACUAAGGGAUAAAUCAUUGCUGUCAUCUGUCAUUUGAAGUGAUUGAUUUUUUCCCUCCUCCAAGUCUGGUCCUCAUUUCUGACAAGUGUACCAAAUGUGAAAUCCUUGAUAGCUUUGUAUGCAUAACAGGAGUUUGAGUAUGAUGGUGCAGGUCCAAAAUGGUUUUAGUAAACAUUGCAAUCCUUCAAUUAAAACCUUGUGCUUUGGUUUCACCCAACUCAUCAUUUAGUUGAGCUGAAAUAUUCAUUUCUCAUUUAUCUAAUUCAGGUAUCUCGACAAUUCCUGUUACAAUAAAAUUGUACCCAUCUUUUUAAUUUGCUUGUCUGAGUGGCCAGAACCUUGAGACUAUAAUGAGAGAAGGAAGAAAAGGAAAGGAAACCUUUGGGGGUGGGGAGUUGUCUUCUGGAGGUUGUACUCAACAAUGGUUUUUCACUUACCCUCUACCUAAUAAUCUAGUGUUUCUUAUUCGAUCUCAUGUUGAUUACUUGACAAUGUACAUGGAAACUUAAGUUGGGUGAUCUUAUUGGAUUGGGCUUUCUGAUUAGCAUAUGAUUAUUGUGUGUGAUAAUGCCAUAUCUCAUGUUUACUGAUUAGGAAUAAUUUUAAAUUUUUACAGUUUCAAGGAAGCUGCCCAGAUGCCUUUUUCUACUAUUUCAAAAAAGAUAUGUUGUAAGAAUUUAUUGCCUCUAUUCCCUCUUACAUCAGUUUCAGCAUCCACCCAAUACAUUCCAAUUUCACUGUCCUUCUAUGAGGUAUUUACCCUUAAUCUGAACAAUUUUAUCCUGAGAUCUGCAUGUGCAGAGUACAACUGUUUUUUCAUGCUAAUCAUUUCUUUGUAUGGCUCUGCAGGAUGCCUCUGAAUUUGCUUCAUCUAAUCUGACUCAGGAAGUUGGGUUUACAGAUUAUAUUUCCUUCCAAAUACCCCACGAGUCUUUUUCAGAUUUUACAAACUGUAUAGCUGUAGUGAGGGGAUUUAUGAAUGAUUCAAGCAAUGUGAAGCGGGGAAGACCUUUGGAAGCAAUCUUGUUGUGCAUCCCUUCUGGUUACCAUUGUGUGGAUUUGGCUCUAUAUAAGGUAAGAGCUCGGCAUAUCAUACUUUAAGAAUUUGUGGAUGUGGCUAAUAUAUUUUAUUUUGAAACAGGAACUUCAAAUCGUUAUGUUGCUAAAUAAGAUAAAUGAUACUGGUGAAAACUUGGGAGAUGCCUGGAUGAUGAUCUUGCAGGCCAGUGACCUUCCAUUUGUGCAUAUUUCAGGAACCACUCAGGCAAAUAACUGGGAGUUGUACCAAUUAAAGGUAACUCUUGGAUCCUGAGCUUGCAUAUUGAUUUCGUACUCGUGAUACGUGUAAGAUGCUGCUGAGUUCUGUUUGUUCUGAUAUGCCUCAGUUCACUUUUUUUCAUUGAUGGAAAAAAUAAAAUUGCUUUUCAGUCGACUCCUGUUCUUUUCACUGUUUUAAGAACUGGCUCCGGUUGGAUUGGGAACCAGACCUGUCCAGUCUGGUUUCACAGCAGAAACAGUAGUGGUCAAGAACUGGUGUUAUUGACCCUAUUGUUAUCAGGCGUAACUGUCAACUGUUGACCCACAAUUCUAUCAACUAGUUUGGACCAGUUCUGGGCAUUCAAAAAGUUUAAAGGAAGAGUGUUGGGGUUGGGUUGGGGUUUGGAACCCCAACCUCUUGUAACUAGCAAGCGUACCAACCAUUCACUCCAGUGUCUUCUUGCUUCAGUUUGUUGGUGUAUCAUUAUUCAUUGACCUUAUUGGCUUAGUCUAUUAGAAAAUUAAAUGAUGUUCUUGAGAACUUGAAUGCUAUCAUUUGUGCUCAACGAGGCUCUGCCGACUCAGCCAGGCAUCUGUUAAUCUGAACACGGGGUAAUCUAAUAUAUGUGGAGGUAUUCUAUCAGAUGACAUCACAUGCAAUAUUUUAAANNNNNNNNNNNNNNNNNNNNNNNNNNNNNNNNNNNNNNNNNNNNNNNNNNNNNNNNNNNNNNNNNNNNNNNNNNNNNNNNNNNNNNNNNNNNNNNNNNNNNNNNNNNNNNNNNNNNNNNNNNNNNNNNNNNNNNNNNNNNNNNNNNNNNNNNNNNNNNNNNNUGCUAUUUACACUUGGGAUUCUGAAGGAUGUUUUACUUUCUGCCUUACCAUAACUGUAAAAGUUCCAACUUAUCUUGGCAGUUAAAGUCUUCAACUUGUAUGUAUGUUAAGAAAUAGGCAUGUGGUGUCCCUAAUUGAUUUUUUUAUUUUUUUGGUUAGAAUGUCCCUAAUAGAUAAGAAGUGCCAUUUUUGCUUCUAUUUUGUGAGAACAUUUUUUGCUUGGUUAUCUUAUUCUCACUCCUGAAGCACUAACCCAGUGAAACUAUGCAUGUAGGACUCUAUAUUACACCUAGAUAUGGAGAAUGAGAAGAUUCGCAGCAUUCCCCAUAAUGUUGUUCCUCCCUUGUCAGUUAGUGGUAAGAAUUUUUGACACCAUCAUACAACUGAGCUAAGGAUUAAAUCAUUGUCAUGCCAUCAAUUUUAUAGUCCUGAAUUUUUUUUCCUUGAGCUUCUUACCAUGUCCAUCUGCACUUUUGGAUGUUUAGAAACUUAUUGUUGCCCAUACUAUUUCCAUUGUGUAUCAAUGCUUGAUAAACUUGCAAGUUUUAGCAACAAUUCCAUCUUGUUGACUAGGUAGUGGACUGAAUAAAUACUGUCCAUGCUCCUUACUACAUUUCACUUAUGUUGGAGAAAUCUUUCUAGAAUAUUUUGAAGCUGACAAAAUGUUUCUUUCAGUCUAAAGUCUGGAUGUUCGGAGACCGUCAGUUUAAAGUUUGAAGACUUUGUUCUCUCGAGACUCAAGACUCAAGAUCCAAGACUCAAGACUCAAGACCCAAGACUUAAGACUCAGGACUCAAGACUUAAGUCUAUUCUCACUGACAGUCUUUCUAAUCCAGUGACGAAGGAAAUCCAAAGCCGAGGUUUAUGGUUGAGGAUUCGAUCCUAUCCUCUGGAAUAGAUUCUUUGGUUGGAUAAUCGUUUCGGAUUCUUUAAUUCUUAUCUAAGAUCGAUUGAAGAUCCGAUGGUCGACGAAAUAAUCUUGCAAAGUUCUAUUCAUGGAAACCGAGAUCCUGAUUGUAUGGGCGAACAGGAUUGAUGGGCUAUCAUCAGAUUCAUUAAAUAGCUCGGAUGAUCUUCUUGAUUGAUUCCGUCCAACGGGUAGAUUGGAGGAAUUCCUUUGGUAAGUGCCAACGGCUAUGAUGGCAUGAAGGAGUAUAAAAGGAAGACGUCUAGUUGUUUUAAGUAUGUGAGUGAUAGAAAAAUUCCAGAGUCUGAAGAUCCUUGAUUGUUAUUUGAGACUGUUCGAGCGAAAUUGUAUACAGAGAGAAUAUAUACUUGGUGACGCCUUGAGUGAGUGUGGUAGAUCAUCUACACCUAGAAAUCAAGGAAGAUCAACACUAUAACAUCUCUUUGAUCAUAGUGGAAUCCAGCCAAUCGGCUGUCAGUGCAGAAGAGUGGACGUAGGCUUGAAUCAAGCCGAACCACUAUAAACUAAGUGUUCAAUUCUCUCUUUCCCUUACUCAGUCUUGCGAUUAAAUCUUUAACUGUUUAAAUAUCGUGCAAGCUUCGAGAAAUUUUUUAUAUACCUAUUCACCACCCCUCUAGGUACUCGUACUAGCUAUUUCAAUUGGUAUCAGAGCCCGUGUUCUUACUUUGUUUGAAGUGUUUUACUUCAGAGUAAAAGAUCCAUGGCUAGUAUGCUAGCACCAGGACUGAUGGAGGGGCAAAGCAAUACCAGACCUCCCUACUUCGAUGGAAAGGAUUACAACAUCUGGAAGAACAAGAUGAAAGCUUUCCUACGAUCAAAGGAUCCUCUGGAAUGGGACGUUGUGGAAAGAGGAAUCACUCCUGCUGCUGCAUCAAUCUCUGAAAGAGGGAAAGACACUAUUGAAGCCAGCGGAAUGUCUCAAGAAGAAAUAAACAAGAGACAAGCACUCGAUGCUAAAGCAAUUUAUUCUUUAUAUUGUGCUUUGUCACCAACUGAAUAUAACAGAAUAUCUUCUUGUGUUACAGCAAAAGAAGUCUGGGAUAGGUUACAUAUCACUUAUGAAGGGACAGAUCGAGUGAAGGAGACCAGAAUUAACAUUCUUCUUGGUCAAUAUGAAUCCUUCAAAAUGAAACCAGGAGAAUCUAUAACUGACAUGUUUAGUCGUUUUACAGAUAUUGUCAAUGGUCUUGAGAACCAAGGACAAAAAAUUUCUGAUCCCAUGAAGGUGAACAAGCUUCUGCGUGGACUCUCUAAGGAUUGGAAUCAUAUAAAGACUUCAAUAAGAGAGACGCAAAGAAUCAUGCCAUUAUCUGUAGAUGAACUGAUUGGAACUCUUCAGUCUUACGAAGUGGAACGAAUUAAUGAAGACGAAGAUCCAAGAGGUAAGAAAUCUAUUGCACUAAAAUCAAAUGAUGAUUCUGAUUCUGAAGAUGAUAUGGAUGAUGAGGAGCUCGCCCUCAUGAUAAGAAGAUUCAGAAAAUUGAAUAGAAAAGGCAGAAGGUUCAUCCCAAAGAAACAAAGUUUUCAGAGACAGCAGACCAAGUCUGUUGAUGAUGAGGAACCAAACAAAGAUGUAGUUUGCUUCGAAUGUAAAAAGAAGGGACACAUCAGACCCAACUGUCCUCUUCUGAAAAAGAAAAGAGGAAAAGCUGAGAAGUCUCGAAAAGCUCUUAAAGCCGAAACCUGGAGCGAUACAGAGUGCGAAGAGAGUGAUGAGGAAUAUGCCAACCUAUGUCUGAUGGCGCAAUCAGACUCAGACUCUGGAUCAGACUCAGACAGUGAAUUUGAGGUAAGUGAUUAUAAAAUCCCUGUCAAAGUCUCUAAAUACAUUGAUGAAUUAUGCUUCAGUCUUAAGACUUCUCUUAAAAAGAUUUCCGAACUUAAAAAGGAAAACUCAGUUUUAAAACAAAAGGAAAACAUUUUAGAAGAAAAGAUAAAAAAUUUAGACUUAAAUGUUUCUACUCUUAAAGAGAAUGAAGACAAUCUCUCAAAAGAAAAUGCUUUCUUAAAAACGGAUUUAUCAAAUAUUUCAAAGAAAUUUUCAAUAGGGUCCGAAAAACUUGAAAAAGUCCUUUCAAUCCAAAGACCUUACUUUAAUAAGUCGAGUCUAGGUAUGACAGCUGAAACAAUUCCUUUGAUUGAUUUUCCGAAAGUAAAAGAAAGAAUUAAGAAAAGACCAUCGAGAGAGGCUUAUAAAAAUCAUUUCAAAAGAGUUUUUGUAAAGUCUGUAGGUCGAAAUGCUUUAAGGUGUUCUAAGUGUAACAGUCAGGAUCAUUUUGAAAAAGAGUGUCCUAUGGUUUGGAAGCCUGUUAAGAGAGUAUGGCCUAAUAAUGCUCAUCCUACUAACACCAAAGGACCCAAGAAAAUUUGGGUACCAAAGAAAGCUUGAGACUCUCUUUUGAAUGCAGGUCUCUGUCAAAAAGAAGAUAAAGUGGUAUCUUGACAGCGGAUGCUCAAGACACAUGACAGGAGACUCAAAUUGUUUCAUUAAGCUUAUUCAAGUAAAUGGUGGAAAAGUUUCAUACGGAGGAAAUAGCAAAGGAAGUAUUGUGGGAUUCGGGACUGUAAAAAUUGGAAAUCUCACAAUAAGCAAUGUCUCUCUAGUGGAAGGACUCAACUACAAUCUACUCAGCAUUAGCCAGCUGUGUGAUACUGGUUACAAGAUCUCCUUUCAAGAAGGCAUAUGUUCUGGAAUUAGCAAAGAUUCGACACAGUCUUUCAUGGGUCGAAGGCAUGGAAACAUCUACCUCCUUGAUGUAAAGCCAAAUGAAGAACAAUGCUUAAUCUCAAUUCAAGAUGAAGCAGUUCUAUGGCACAAAAAACUUGGCCAUAUCAACAAGAAGCAAUUAGCCAAAAUCUCUUCUAAGCAGCUUGUUCGAGGUCUACCUAAAUUGCCAUACCAAAAGUCUGACUUAUGCACUCCAUGCAUUCUGGGAAAGCAGGUAAGAAAUUCAUUUAAGCAAAUAAAUCAUGUAUCUACUAAUCAUGUACUGCAGUUGCUUCAUAUGGAUCUCUUCGGACCAACAAGAACCCAGAGCAUUGGAGGUAAGAAAUAUUGUUUAGUGAUUGUAGACGAUUUCUCUCGCUUUACCUGGGUAUAUUUUCUUGCAAAUAAAUCAGAAACCUUUUCGUACUUUGAAAAGUUUGCUAAAAAGGUUCAAAAUGAAAAAUGAUGUGUUAUUUCUAGUAUAAGAUCAGAUCAUGGAAGUGAAUUUGAAAAUCAAGAUUUUACGAAAUUCUGUGAUAAAUCUGGUGUUAAUCAUAUGUUUUCCUCUCUGUAUACUCCAGAGCAAAAUGGAGUUGUGGAAAGGAAGAAUAGAUCUCUUCAAGAAAUGGCUAGAACACUUUUAAUUGAAAGUAAAAUUUCUUCACGAUUUUGGGCCGAAACUGUUUCAACUGCUUGCUAUAUUAUAAAUAGAGUCUUUCUAAGACCUAUUCUUGAGAAAACCCCCUAUGAAUUGUUCAAUGGUAAGAAGCCUAUUGUUUCAUACUUUCAUGUAUUUGGUUGCAAAUGCUUUAUUUUGAAAAAUGCAAAUGAUCGAGUUGGUAAGUUUGAAGAAAGAUCAGAUGAAGGCAUCUUCCUUGGAUAUUCUACAUCAAGCAAAGCUUAUAGAGUCUACAACAAGAAAAGCCAGUCUGUGGAAGAAUCAAUGAAUGUCAAAUUUCAAGACUCAGUGCAAGAUGAAUCCAGCCAAACCCAGUAUGAAGAGACUGAACCCGCUCUAGACCUUCAAAUGUCUACAUCUCAAGAAGCAUCUCAGAUUCUGGAAGUCCAUCAUCAAGACGCUUAUAGAGAAUCAAAUAAAGAAAGAGAUCAUCAACCUGGCAAAUCAACUAGUAACUGGAAGCACAAAUCCAGUCAUCCCAAAGAUCUCAUUAUUGGCGAACUUAAUGAAGGAAUCCGCACCAGAUCAAAAAGGAAUGAAGAAUCUAGUGCUGUGGCUCUCAUCUCUGAAAUUGAACCAAAAAGCAUAGAAGAAGCUUUAUCUGAUGAAAGCUGGAUCGAAGCUAUGCAAGAAGAGCUCAGACAGUUCAACAUCAAUGAUGUCUGGGAAUUGACAUCUAAACCAAAAGGUAAAACCGUUAUUGGAGCCAAAUGGGUAUUCAGGAACAAGAUGAACGAAAAAGGAAAAGUCGUACGAAACAAAGCAAGACUCGUGGCCAAAGGAUAUACGCAAGAAGAAGGAAUAGACUAUGACGAGACUUACGCACCAGUUGCAAGGUUAGAAGCUAUUCGACUAUUGCUUGCAUUUGCUUGUUACAAAAAUUUCAGGUUAUUCCAAAUGGACGUCAAAAGUGCUUUCCUAAAUGGAUUUAUCCAUGAGGAAGUUUAUGUGGAACAACCGCUUGGAUUUGAAGACCCAAAGAAGCCAGACUCAAUCUUCAGACUGAAAAAGGCUCUGUAUGGUCUAAACCAAGCACCUCGAGCUUGGUACGACAGACUAAGUAAGUUUUUAUUACAGAAUGGUUUUGUCAAAGGUAAAGUAGAUACUACUUUGUUUAUCAAAAAGGAAAACAAAAACUUUUUACUUGUUCAAAUAUAUGUGGACGAUAUUAUUUUUGGAUCCUCUAAUGAAAGUCUUUGCAAGAAAUUUUCUAAGUCUAUGCAGGAUGAAUUUGAAAUGAGUAUGAUGGGAGAGUUAACAUUCUUUCUUGGACUACAAGUGAAACAAAUGAAGGAAGGAACUUUCAUCCAUCAAGAAAAAUAUGCGAAUGAUCUUGUCAAAAGGUUUGGAUUGGAAAAGUGCAAAAAGACCGACAUACCAAUGUCAUGUUCUCAGAAGAUAGACAAGGAUGAAGAAGGGAAGAAAGUAGAUCAAAAGUUGUACAGGAGCAUGAUCGGUUCACUUCUUUAUCUUACUGCUUCUAGACCUGAUAUUUUGUUUAGUGUUUGUAUCUGUGCUAGGUUUCAAUCAGAUCCUAGAGAAUCACAUCUCAUUGCCGUGAAACGUAUUAUCAAAUACGUUGCUUCAUCUUCAAGCAUCGGUCUUUGGUAUCCAAAGAGGGGAGACUUUAAUCUUCUAGGAUACUCAGAUGCAGAUCUGGCCGGUUGCAGAGUCGAUAGAAAGAGCACUUCUGGAACUUGUCAACUGCUUGGAAACAGGACAGUGUCUUGGUUUUCAAGGAAGCAAAGCACUAUAGCUCUCUCAACGACAGAAGCAGAGUAUGUAGCUCUUGGAAGCUGCUGUUCGCAAAUUCUAUGGAUAAAACAACAGCUACAAGACUUUGGCAUUGAAGACUCAUGCACAGAAAUCAGAUGUGACAACACCAGCGCGAUCAAUCUCACCAAAAAUCCAAUCCUUCAUUCAAGAGCAAAGCAUAUUGAGAUUCGUCAUCACUUUAUUAGAGAUCAUAUUCAAAAUGGAGAAAUCUCGAUUCAAUUUGUUGAUUCAAGAGUCAACUAGCAGAUAUAUUUACAAAGCCUUUGGAGAAAAAUCAAUUCGAUUUUAUCCGCUCGANNNNNNNNNNNNNNNNNNNNNNNNNNNNNNNNNNNNNNNNNNNNNNNNNNNNNNNNNNNNNNNNNNNNNNNNNNNNNNNNNNNNNNNNNNNNNNNNNNNNCUUGAGAAGUUAAAAUCUAGAGACUCACCAACUCUAAGACUUUGAUUUCAUAGACUUUAAAACUGAGACUCAAUCAUUCAUGGCUAAAAGACUGUAAGUUGCUAUCUAAAAGGUACGAAUUCUCAUUUAUCUUAUCUCGAAAAGGUACGUUCUUUUAUUCAGAUAUAAUUCGUGUGAAAUUUGAAAACUUGUCUUUUUAAAGGAAGUUAAUUUUGGCAGUUAUUGAUUUUGAAAAGAAGUGUUUGUACACUUUCCUUAUGCCAUUUAAACUUCUCUUUUCAAAUCCGAAGAAUAUAUAUAUAUAUACAGUUAUUCUACCCCCAAUUUUCAAAACCCUAAAAGGCACUCUCCUCCCGAUACUGUUUCUACUCUUUGUUCGUUGUCGAGAAAGUGGUCAUUUUUCUUGGGAAAAGCAAGUGAAGGAAUCCUCCAAUAGACAAAGAAAGAUGUCGUCUUCGAGGAAUUCAUCAAGAAUCGCAAACAGGGGACCACAGAGAAUGGAGAAGGGACCGACUCACUUCGAUCUUACUGAGGAAGAAGACUUACCAAGUCAGCGACAAAGUCCGAUUCGCUCUCCUCCACAUCAUUCAGCAUCUCCUGCCCCACAAGGUGCAAAUCUGGAAGAAGAGAUAAUCGAGGAUGUCGACCCAGUAAGAGUCCAAAGACCCUCCUUUAUCUAUAAGCUUUAUCGUGCGUUGAAAACCUCUGGUUCUUCAUUAAAAUACAUAGAUGAGUUCCUUAAGGACAAAAAUUAUGGAAAUGAGUAUCUUUUUCUGCGGAAAAUGGAAGAGUUGGGAAUUGCUCCGAAAGGAAGAGCAGAGGAGGCUCUUGCGAACAUUCCAAGUGAUCCUCGUAUACCAGGACAAAAUCUGAUUGACGGGAACGAUGAUGACAAGAUGUUCCUUGAAUUUAAACCUAGAAUGGGUGUGGCAGCAAAGGUGAAAGGAAAUCGGAUGGAUUUGUUUAAAUCUAAGGAUCAGGAAAAAGUGUAUUUCAGGCUGUUGAAAAGAGGGGUAAUCAACCCUAGAAGUGUCGAUUUUAACUUCCUGGACACCAUCAACUUGAACUUAAGGGAGAAGUUGAAUUUGCUUCAACUUGAGACUUUUUGCUCUGACUCUACAGACGGGUAUGAUCAACUGACCGCUUAUUUCUAUUCAAAUCUUAGCUUUUUGGAUGCGAAUAGAAUUUCAUUCAGUGUUCGAGACCAAGUCUAUGUGGUAUAUGUGAAUAUGUUGGCGGACAUAGUUGGAGUUGAACGGGGACGCUAUCUCCCAAUCAAAGUCUCACCUGCUCGAACUACUCUGGAUCUUGUCAAAGAUAGGGACAUAGAUAAGAAAAUUAUCUAUUCCAGGAUGAAUGCCAUCAACAUUGUGCUUCAUAAGAUUGUGAUCAACUGUCUCAGACCGAAGUCUACGUCAAAGACUUCUGUGUCUCUUUCUGAAGCAAAGUUGAUGUAUGCGAUCAACUCAGGACGGAAGUUUUCUCUCCCGCACACUAUUCUUUUCCAUAUGUACAGAGCAGUGUCAAAAGACAAAGGACAAUUGCCUUAUCCUGGUCUGGUGACCAAGAUCUUCAGACAUCUGAAUAUUGAACUGCCACAUACUUUUUGUGUUCGACCGUGUGACAAAAUGGUGGUAGGGUUGAAAAUGCUAAUGAAGAUGCGUCUGCAAGAACUCUCCAAGGCAAUGGAGAAAUUCAAAGUGAAAUCUCCAGUCCAGUCUGCUUCAAAAAGGAAAGGAAAGAAGGCCAUUGGUGCCUCAUCGAAAAAGAGGAAAAGAACUCUUAUCCUGGAGGAUGAGGAUGAAGAUGAAGAUGAAGAUGAUGAAGAUCCCUCUAUCCCAGCACUGACAAGAACAAGACGUUCUGUGUCUUAUCCGAUAGAACUUCAGCAGAGAAGAGAAGAAGAAGAGCAGAACAGAGAAGAAGAAGAACAGAGAGAGAAGAAGAAAGAAGUCGAAGAAGAAGAAGGAGGAGAAAAAGAAAAGUCUGCUGACAAAUCUGGAGAGAAGGGAAAUGAAGAGCAUGAUCAUCACUCUUCCCCUUUCGAUGUCCUAGAGACAGGGGGAGUUAGUGAGCAAGAGAGGUCUACACCUCAUGCUGCUGUCAGUGAAGAUCUAAGACAAUCUCCAGAAGACCCAGAAGAAGUUCAGGUCUCUCAAUUGCCUGAAGAAGGUGAUACGUCGAUUCCAAAUCUGCCAGACCAUACAGAAGCGCCAUCGUCUGCAUACACACCAUCUGAGAAAGCCAAUGCCAGUACACAGACAGAUGAUUCUGCAGAUCUUCGUAGCAUCAUGAAUAUUCUUCUGGAAAUGCGUAACCAGAUAUAUGUUCUGGACUGUGAGAUCCAAGCUUUGAAGCAUGCUGGACAAGCAUCUUCAGUCUCUCUGGAGGAUAAAUUCAAAGACCUCGCUCUGCAACUUCAAGCCAAUGCCAAGGGAGAAGAGGUAGCUCAUCUGCGAGAAGACAUGAAGAAGCUCGAAGGAGUAGUCCAGUCCAUUGGGGAUUUCCAGAUCGUGCGCAUUCCCAAGCAGACAUGACUCAUUUCUCACCCUUUUCAAUGCUGACAAAAAGGGGGAGAACCAAAAUUUGAACCAUUUAAAAACUUUGACUUUUGUGGUUAUGUUUAUUUUUGAGUAUGACUUGAGAACUUGAACUUGGGUGUGAAUUUGACUGAAUUGGUUGUGGAUUAUGAUGCUUGGCUGAUUGCAUUUAUUCAAGUAUUGUUAUAUGGUGUUUCUCAUGAAAGACUAACCAAUUUUCUGUGGAUGCAGAGUCUGGUUGUUUUAUUAAUCUUUAUGAGUUAGCCAUAUUGCUUGAGAAAUGUUUUGCAGGUCAAAGUUGUUCAAAUCUUCAAGAAAGUUUUGUCACCAUCAAAAAGGGGGAGAUUGUUGGAGAAAUCUUUCCAGAAUAUUUUGAAGCUGACAAAACGUUUCUUUCAGUCUAAAGUCUGGAUGUUCGGAGACCGUCAGUUUAAAGUCUGAAGACUUUGUUCUCUCGAGACUCAAGACUCAAGAUCCAAGACUCAAGACUCAAGACCCAAGACUUAAGACUCAGGACUCAAGACUUAAGUCUAUUCUCACUGACAGUCUUUCUAAUCCAGUGACGAAGGAAAUCCAAAGCCGAGGUUUAUGGUUGAGGAUUCGAUCCUAUCCUCUGGAAUAGAUUCUUUGGUUGGAUAAUCGUUUCGGAUUCUUUAAUUCUUAUCUAAGAUCGAUUGAAGAUCCGAUGGUCGACGAAAUAAUCUUGCAAAGUUCUAUUCAUGGAAACCGAGAUCCUGAUUGUAUGGGCGAACAGGAUUGAUGGGCUAUCAUCAGAUUCCUUAAAUAGCUCGGAUGAUCUUCUUGAUUGAUUCCGUCCAACGGGUAGAUUGGAGGAAUUCCUUUGGUAAGUGCCAACGGCUAUGAUGGCAUGAAGGAGUAUAAAAGGAAGACGUCUAGUUGUUUUAAGUAUGUGAGUGAUAGAAAAAUUCCAGAGUCUGAAGAUCCUUGAUUGUUAUUUGAGACUGUUCGAGCGAAAUUGUAUACAGAGAGAAUAUAUACUUAGUGACGCCUUGAGUGAGUGUGGUAGAUCAUCUACACCUAGAAAUCAAGGAAGAUCAACACUGUAACAUCUCUUUGAUCAUAGUGGAAUCCAGCCAAUCGGCUGUCAGUGCAGAAGAGUGGACGUAGGCUUGAAUCAAGCCGAACCACUAUAAACUAAGUGUUCGAUUCUCUCUUUCCCUUACUCAGUCUUGCGAUUGAAUCUUUAACUGUUUAAAUAUCGUGCAAGCUUUGAUAAAUUUUUUAUAUACCUAUUCACCCCCCUCUAGGUACUCGUACUAGCUAUUUCAACUUAACAGCCUACUCUUAAGUUUGAAAUAUGACUGGCAUAAGUACAUUAUGUCUCUUUAAUGGACCACUUCAUGUUUGUUCCCACAGUUUGAAGAAGUGCAAACUUAUGCUCCAAAGAAGAACAAUUUUUUUUUUCAGUUGAAGAAGUAAUAUACUAAAGUAUCAGGUUUUCCCCUAAAUUUAAAUCAAUUGAGAGGUCAAAGUGCAGAAAAGGUGAAUCUUUAAAGGCCGCACAAGUACAGAGAAUAAUCUUCUUAUGGUAGGUUCACCGCAGUCUAGUUACUGACUGAGAACCUGUACAUGUUCAUAAUGAUAGAUACUAUCAUGGUAGCUAGUAUAGCAAGAUACUGUAGAGCAUUCGUAGUUUACAUGCAUACCAUAGCCUCCUUAGGCACCAAGGUUUGCUUACCGCCUAUGUUUUAGCAUAAUGCGUGUUGUACUUUUGCUUUUACCCAACAAAGGUAUCUAAACAUCACGUUAGUUAUGGCCAUAUAUUCAAGGAACGUUGGACUGAAAUCAAGUUCAUGUUUUUAUGGCGACGGCAAGUAGAGGUGUGGCUUGUGUUUUAGCUACAAGAAAGCGGGCCCUGGUCUACAUACUGGACGAGGAUGAAGACGAAAUCUCUGAUUCGGAAUGACUGCCUGUUCAAGAUUUUGUGGUGGUUAUGCUUGUGUUGCUCCUGUGGGUGGACCUCUCCGAAGCUGCAGACAUCGGUGUGAGAAGCAAUGCUUUUGUGACUGAAGUUUUUCGGUUCCGCCCUUCUUGGAAAGUGUUAAUUUAUACUUGUCACGUGCCUUUCCUGCUUGGUGGGCAUUUGUUGAAGAGAAAAUUGGAGCAAAAGGUAACUAUUUAUCUAGAGCCAUGGCUUCUGUUUGGUGGCAAUUGCCUUCAUAGAAUUGCUGCAAGCUUUGAGACCCAUUCGAUAGUGCCAAGCUUGUGCUUCAUCUGUAUAUGUUUAUAACCCUCAUAUAUAAGAGAAACAAAUGCUUGGUUUGGAUUAUUUAUACUUUGGGUUGAAUGGUUCACUUGGUGUAAUCGACCAACGAACUUUGCGUUUGAAUGUUAAAAUCUCUCACCUAAAUUUGACUUGCUUCUCUAUGUCAACGUUAAGUGAUGCAUCCAUUUCAAAGCACAAAAUACGGUUGUGUGGAAGGGCUACCCUCCGGGAUCAAUAUAAUCAACAUGACCAGCCACUAAAGAGCAUUUGACUAUAUUGCUGCAUCAGAAAUUCAGAAUCCGCAAAUGAACGGUAGGUUUAGGAUGAUGAGAUUAUGUCUACAAUAUCUUCAAUGGACUUGUGUUUUCUUAACCAAGAGUAUCGCGUAGCCAUUGAAUUUAAUGAUGUAUAAACUUAUAGGAGUGUUCAAUUUUUUAAGUAGUUCAUGACAUAAAGGAACUGUGGAAUGACCCAGUAAAUAUGAAAGAUCCAGAUACUCAAUCUUAUGAUAAAGGACAAAAUUCUAGUGCAGACCCAAUAUUAAAUCAAACAGACCCCGUGCAGCUUUGCAUCAAAGCUCGUUAUAGAGAAAUUCAAGUAAACCAUUUCAAAGAUUGAGAAAACAAGAAGAGAAGGCCAGGAAAUCGAGUAUGAGAGAACUUAGGGCGCGUUUGGUUUAGUGGUUUAAGCAUAUUGGGAAAAUGUGAAGUAAGACUGAAUUGCCAACGGUGCCACGUAAGACUGCCGGCGCUGACGUGGAUAAUUUUUAAUAACAUUUUAAUAAUUUUUAAUAUUAUUUUUUUUUCCUUUUUGGCUUUUUCCUUGGCCAUUUCUAGACCCGUUAAACGGGUGGGUCGGGUCGGGUUUGAGUCGGGUCAUAAAUGGUCCGAGCCAAAUCGACCCAUUUAACCCGUUUAUGACCCAUUUAUUGUAGUGCAAAUUUUUUGACCCAUACCCAACCCGACCUAUACCCAACCCAUACCCGACCCAUUUAACGAAACAUAAAAAAGCUUAUAUAUAUUUUUUAAAAUGGUAUUGCUAACAUGAUUUUAUACAAUACAAAUUUUAAAAAUAAUUAUUUAAAAAAAUCGAAUAUUAAUUAUUUUUUAUUUUUAAAAAUUAAAUUUUAUAUUGUAACUUUCUUUAUCUUUCUUUUUCUUUUUCUCUCUUCAUCUUUGGCCGCCUUCAGCACGACGACGGCCGAUGACCGGCCACAGGCGAGCUGGCUCGCCCGGGCUGCCGACGUCGACGAGAGCGAGCUCGCCCCUCGCCGGAUCUGGCGAGGUGGGAGCCUCGCUCGACGCCGGCGAGUUUGAGUCUCGCCCAAUCGGCGAGGCUCAGGCCUCAGCGGACGUCGGCAAGGCCUCCGCCUCGCUAGAUCCAGCGAGCUCGAGCCUCGCCGGACGUCGACGAGGCCUUCGCCUUGCCAAAUCUAGCAAGGGGCGAGCUCGAGGCUCGCCGGCGUUGAGCGAGCUCGAGCUCGCCCCUCGCCAGAUAUGGCGAGGCUCGAGCCUCGCCGGACGUCGGCGAGGCCUUCGCCUCGCCAGAUCUGGCGAGCUCGAGGCUCGCCGGGCGUCGGUGAGGCCUCCGCCUCUCCAGAUCCGGUGAGCUCAAGCUCGCCCGAUGCCGGCGAGCUCAAGGCUUGCCUGGCCGGUCGCCGGCCAUUGCCGUGCCGGUGACCGGAGGAAGAAAAAAAACGGAAAGAAAAAAGAAAAAAUAAUUAUAAUUUCAGUUUUUAUAAAAAAAAUUAUAAAGUUAAAGAGAAGAAAGAGAGAUAAUGAGGUUUUGAGUGAAAAAUGGGUUAAUAAAUGGGUCAAAGAGCUGACCCAUUUAAAACCCAUAUAUCUUAGUGUUUACCCAUUAAAACUUAUUAUGGGUGCUUUAUAAGAUAAUNNNNNNNNNNNNNNNNNNNNNNNNNNNNNNNNNNNNNNNNNNNNNNNNNNNNNNNNNNNNNNNNNNNNNNNNNNNNNNNNNNNNNNNNNNNNNNNNNNNNNNNNNNNNNNNNNNNNNNNNNNNNNNNNNNNNNNNNNNNNNNNNNNNNNNNNNNNNNNNNNNNNNNNNNNNNNNNNNNNNNNNNNNNNNNNNNNNNNNNNNNNNNNNNNNNNNNNNNNNNNNNNNNNNNNNNNNNNNNNNNNNNNNNNNNNNNNNNNNNNNNNNNNNNNNNNNNNNNNNNNNNNNNNNNNNNNNNNNNNNNNNNNNNNNNNNNNNNNNNNNNNNNNNNNNNNNNNNNNNNNNNNNNNNNNNNNNNNNNNNNNNNNNNNNNNNNNNNNNNNNNNNNNNNNNNNNNNNNNNNNNNNNNNNNNNNNNNNNNNNNNNNNNNNNNNNNNNNNNNNNNNNNNNNNNNNNNNNNNNNNNNNNNNNNNNNNNNNNNNNNNNNNNNNNNNNNNNNNNNNNNNNNNNNNNNNNNNNNNNNNNNNNNNNNNNNNNNNNNNNNNNNNNNNNNNNNNNNNNNNNNNNNNNNNNNNNNNNNNNNNNNNNNNNNNNNNNNNNNNNNNNNNNNNNNNNNNNNNNNNNNNNNNNNNNNNNNNNNNNNNNNNNNNNNNNNNNNNNNNNNNNNNNNNNNNNNNNNNNNNNNNNNNNNNNNNNNNNNNNNNNNNNNNNNNNNNNNNNNNNNNNNNNNNNNNNNNNNNNNNNNNNNNNNNNNNNNNNNNNNNNNNNNNNNNNNNNNNNNNNNNNNNNNNNNNNNNNNNNNNNNNNNNNNNNNNNNNNNNNNNNNNNNNNNNNNNNNNNNNNNNNNNNNNNNNNNNNNNNNNNNNNNNNNNNNNNNNNNNNNNNNNNNNNNNNNNNNNNNNNNNNNNNNNNNNNNNNNNNNNNNNNNNNNNNNNNNNNNNNNNNNNNNNNNNNNNNNNNNNNNNNNNNNNNNNNNNNNNNNNNNNNNNNNNNNNNNNNNNNNNNNNNNNNNNNNNNNNNNNNNNNNNNNNNNNNNNNNNNNNNNNNNNNNNNNNNNNNNNNNNNNNNNNNNNNNNNNNNNNNNNNNNNNNNNNNNNNNNNNNNNNNNNNNNNNNNNNNNNNNNNNNNNNNNNNNNNNNNNNNNNNNNNNNNNNNNNNNNNNNNNNNNNNNNNNNNNNNNNNNNNNNNNNNNNNNNNNNNNNNNNNNNNNNNNNNNNNNNNNNNNNNNNNNNNNNNNNNNNNNNNNNNNNNNNNNNNNNNNNNNNNNNNNNNNNNNNNNNNNNNNNNNNNNNNNNNNNNNNNNNNNNNNNNNNNNNNNNNNNNNNNNNNNNNNNNNNNNNNNNNNNNNNNNNNNNNNNNNNNNNNNNNNNNNNNNNNNNNNNNNNNNNNNNNNNNNNNNNNNNNNNNNNNNNNNNNNNNNNNNNNNNNNNNNNNNNNNNNNNNNNNNNNNNNNNNNNNNNNNNNNNNNNNNNNNNNNNNNNNNNNNNNNNNNNNNNNNNNNNNNNNNNNNNNNNNNNNNNNNNNNNNNNNNNNNNNNNNNNNNNNNNNNNNNNNNNNNNNNNNNNNNNNNNNNNNNNNNNNNNNNNNNNNNNNNNNNNNNNNNNNNNNNNNNNNNNNNNNNNNNNNNNNNNNNNNNNNNNNNNNNNNNNNNNNNNNNNNNNNNNNNNNNNNNNNNNNNNNNNNNNNNNNNNNNNNNNNNNNNNNNNNNNNNNNNNNNNNNNNNNNNNNNNNNNNNNNNNNNNNNNNNNNNNNNNNNNNNNNNNNNNNNNNNNNNNNNNNNNNNNNNNNNNNNNNNNNNNNNNNNNNNNNNNNNNNNNNNNNNNNNNNNNNNNNNNNNNNNNNNNNNNNNNNNNNNNNNNNNNNNNNNNNNNNNNNNNNNNNNNNNNNNNNNNNNNNNNNNNNNNNNNNNNNNNNNNNNNNNNNNNNNNNNNNNNNNNNNNNNNNNNNNNNNNNNNNNNNNNNNNNNNNNNNNNNNNNNNNNNNNNNNNNNNNNNNNNNNNNNNNNNNNNNNNNNNNNNNNNNNNNNNNNNNNNNNNNNNNNNNNNNNNNNNNNNNNNNNNNNNNNNNNNNNNNNNNNNNNNNNNNNNNNNNNNNNNNNNNNNNNNNNNNNNNNNNNNNNNNNNNNNNNNNNNNNNNNNNNNNNNNNNNNNNNNNNNNNNNNNNNNNNNNNNNNNNNNNNNNNNNNNNNNNNNNNNNNNNNNNNNNNNNNNNNNNNNNNNNNNNNNNNNNNNNNNNNNNNNNNNNNNNNNNNNNNNNNNNNNNNNNNNNNNNNNNNNNNNNNNNNNNNNNNNNNNNNNNNNNNNNNNNNNNNNNNNNNNNNNNNNNNNNNNNNNNNNNNNNNNNNNNNNNNNNNNNNNNNNNNNNNNNNNNNNNNNNNNNNNNNNNNNNNNNNNNNNNNNNNNNNNNNNNNNNNNNNNNNNUGUUGGCUUUUACUUGAAAAUUACUUUAAAAUAAUUGUUAAACGAUUGAGCAUUUUCCCAAGGGUUUUAGAGACUGAAAGCUCUUUGGGAAUGUUAAACCAAACGCAUCUUAAGGGUUGACAAUGCAUGCGUUAUGGGAAAAGGCUGCAUUGCCACUGGAUAACAGCAAUAGGCAAGACUUGUCACAUGGGUCUCCAUGGAUUUGGUCGCAAUUCUAAUGCAUAAUAAGCGUAUAAUUCAAGUACACUCUUUGAAUGGUACGACCUUGCAUUUCUUACAUGUGAUACAUCAGAGAACUUUCCUGAAGAAAGAUGUCGAAAGAACUGAGGUAGAGAGACACUUUUCAAUGAAAAAAAGUAGUCGCUUAAGAAGGCUUUCGACGAAGCUGUUCUAUAUACAGAUGAAGAAUAUCACCAAUGAAAUAAUACCACCAUUUAAGAAAGAAGUACCAUCAUUUCUAUCAGGAAUAGAAUCAUCUUCCCUAAAACGAAGAAAGAACUAUGAACAAGCCCGGACUUCGAUAGUUGGUUGGUCUAACUCCACGAGUCUGACACCUGUCUUCCUGAUGAAGUACCCCUACUGCAGCACCGCCUUUAUCUUGAGCCAGCCAAUAACACCUCUGCCGGUUCCCCUAACAAAACCAUUAUCGGAUAACGGGUCAUUACACGGUGUGCUUUCAGCAAACCAUUUCUCAAAAGCAUCAAGAUCAAUUGAUUGGAUCUCUUCCAUCACAUGAUCGCCUUCAAGAAGAACAUGAUCAUAUCCUCCAUUGUCCAUUGGGCUCGAAGAACCGAUCAUUUGGCGACGUAUGGCAUUCUGUACAUUGAUACCAAGGGGCUGUGUUGGCAAUCCGGCAGAAGUACUAUCAUGAAAUCCUGGAGGAAUCUGAACAUUCGAGCGGUCUGCAGACAUGGGCUGAUGUGCAGCUGGAGGAAAAUUUGGUGAUUGAAACGGCAAUACCAAAGCCGUUGCACCAUUGAGUCCUGGAGAAAGAACUAAAACAUUAAUGCGGUUCGUAAACAUAGGCCGACGUAAGCACAGGUCUACGAGCCUAUAAAAAUUCUUGCAAUUCAUCAUGAGCUUUUACAAUUCUGGUAUCACAGAAAGUGCUAUCAGUUUUUUUUUUCUUUUUUCCCCCUACCCUGCACAUCUCUUUAAUUUUUCUUGCCCCUGAUCUUUGUAAUCUUAACGCGCUUCAAUUGACAAGGCCCUUUCUAAAAUGACAAAAAUGCAAAUAUAAACAUAUUGCCAUGUGCUCAUACAUCUAGUCAUAUCUACCUAGUGGUAGCAUUAUCUUGUCAACAUUUCACUUAGCAUCAUCUAAGUGAAGGGUUCAUGAGUAUCGCCCCUCCCCGUCCCCAAUCCCCCACUCAAAAAAGNNNNNNNNNNNNNNNNNNNNNNNNNNNNNNNNNNNNNNNNNNNNNNNNNNNNNNNNNNNNNNNNNNNNNNNNNNNNNNNNNNNNNNNNNNNNNNNNNNNNUACGUAUAUAUGUAUUGAAUGAGGCUCAUUUUGCAACAAUCACAGCUGGACAAACGAACGUCUUUAUAUUAAGUGGAACCCAAAAGGAUCAGUUACACAAUGCUUUUAUAUAUAAAAGCUCAACAAUCAAGUGGAAAUUCCAAUUUUCAUUGUAAUUUCACAGGCCACGUCUUUGUAUGUGCUUAAAGGGAGAGACAGUAUUGUGUUCUAGAGAACGUACCUUCAGCAGUGGAGCUCACAUUUGCCGGAGGAGCUUCCAGACCAAACGGGGCAGGAAAGAUUGGUGGAGCCAAAUAACGUUGAACAGGGUUGCGCCUCAUUGAAUCAGAGAACGUCUCACCAUUGAACUCUCUCACAUCAUUCCAGUGAGCCAAGGCCUUUUUCACAAUUGCAUCUCCAUGUUCCUGGGAAAAACACACCUGGUAUAUUGCUUAAGCUGUACUAAUGGAAGUAUUUAUCUCCAUUAUUGACAGAUUAACAUUCUGGCUUCAAGCAACUACUUUUUUUCGACAAGUAAAGUUGCAUUCCAAUGGAUGAACUUGUAUUCAGAUUAAGUACGUGAGUGCAGCACAGAUAAAGAAGAACAAUAUUGAAAGAACCGCAAUUUGCUUUAUGCCUAUAUCUGCCCAUUUCUCUACCACGUAAAGGUCAGGCGCUCAAAAGAUGUAAUUUAGAGUACAUUCAAGGCAAGGCCCUCAAUGUAAAGAUGCAAAGUUGAUCAAGAAAGGACCAGAGAAGAAAUAAAGCACUCAUUGAUAUGUAUUGUGCAAGUAAUUAAGAUCUUGAUGGUUAUAAACUUGGAAAGUAAUGGUCACAACGGGAAUGUGUUAAUCGUUUAAACAAUUUGUUGAUGAGUGCCUCAGAUUCUUGUGGAUGAAACCGAAUUAACUGCUGAAAGCGGUCUUCAACUACUCAAUACAGAAGACCACUUAAAUUUACAAGGUCACCAACCUUCAACUUUGCUUCACAAAGAGAGCAAGCCCAAAAUCACUCUAUUAAUAGAAAGGUCUCUAUUCUGAUCUAAACGUAGCAUCUAUUUUUUUCUUUUUAUUCUCUUCAACAGGAACUUUCAUUUUUACUUUUAUGAUCAGAAAAAAAAANNNNNNNNNNNNNNNNNNNNNNNNNNNNNNNNNNNNNNNNNNNNNNNNNNNNNNNNNNNNNNNNNNNNNNNNNNNNNNNNNNNNNNNNNNNNNNNNNNNNUGAAGUAAAAUAAAAUAAAAAGUCUCUAGACUUCUCUACAAAUGGCUAAUAACAUAAGAUAGAGAAUUCUAGACUUCUCGUGAAGCAUAGACUUCUUUAGACUUCUUUUGCUUGUUCUAGGAUUUUCUUGACUUUUCUAGCUAAUAUCAAUCUUGAAGCUUCUAGAAAUUGGAUCACACAUUCCAACAAUAACCCGUCAACACUACACAGAAAGCCUUUCUCAACAGCAUCACAAGGGAAGUGCAUUCACACCUCGCAAGUUGGGGAGAAUGAAUGCUUCCAAGCUCCACUGCUUCCAUCUGUUCAAAACCACCAACAGCAGAAUUGCCAAAGUUGGAGACAUCCAAAAAAUGAAGCAGAAGGGAUAUGACAGAGACAAACCAAUAAAUUUAUAGACUCUGUUUAUCUUACCAGUUUCUGAACAGCAUACUCUAUUGAGUGCAACCAUUGCGCAACCACUUCAAGAGCAUGCCCAGUGCAACUACACAUGUAAAUUACACUCUGAAUAACUGCUGUCUAGCGGACUCAUUCGUAACCAAUAGACAAAUAUCCAUAUGUAACAUAUUAUUCACUAGUCCAAAUAAAUGUCAGACCUAAUUACAGGAUAAAAACAUAGAUACUACACUCAAAAAAAAAAAAAAAAAGUUGACAUGAAGCUGGAAUACGUAUUUAUCCAGUACAGUUAUAAAAGAAGCCAGUAAAGUUAAUUAGCAGCUAUCUACAACUGCAGAGUCUUUUCAGUGAUUAACAAAAAAAAAGUGUCUGCAGGUAUUCCCCUUUGCCUAAAAGAAUCAUGGAUUGAUGGCAUAUGAGAAUCUGAUGAUAUUUUCAUAUGGCGAGACAACACAAAUGGAAAUUCUACUGGAGGAAUCGAUUGAUGCAGAUAAGAUACUGCCAGUGAACCCAAGAAAUAUAUUCACCUUUGACAUUCAGGCGAGUGAGACUUAGCCCGCUCCAGCACUUCUCUAACCUGUUUAGCAAAGAGUGAUAGCAAAGAAUUACGUUGCAAGAAUCAUCUGUCAUGUAAUCAUUGCAUUCAAGUUUCACAUCACAGGCAUCUUCUUUGUCCUCCUUCUACAUUUAAAUUGAUAUCGACCACAUUUCCAAGAUUCAUGGCGACAGUUAUAUCCAGGGCACUUCAUUGAAAAUUUGGAUCUUUUCGUGAUUCAUACUGUCCAAAACAACAUGAAAAGCCUAAAGCAUGUUCUCAGUGCAAUUGCUUCACAUGAAAAGCCUAGAAUAUUCAACGGGUCAUUUUUACCACACAAAGAAUAAUUCUCUAUACAUCUCACAGCUAUUUCUCAUACGGAUUUCCAUCCAGAAACUGACUGGAAUGUUAGAAAUUCAUCUAACUGCUCAACUCAAAGAGAUCAGGAAUUGAAAUAUGNNNNNNNNNNNNNNNNNNNNNNNNNNNNNNNNNNNNNNNNNNNNNNNNNNNNNNNNNNNNNNNNNNNNNNNNNNNNNNNNNNNNNNNNNNNNNNNNNNNNNNNNNNNNNNNNNNNNNNNNNNNNNNNNNNNNNNNNNNNNNNNNNNNNNNNNNNNNNNNNNNNNNNNNNNNNNNNNNNNNNNNNNNNNNNNNNNNNNNNNNNNNNNNNNNNNNNNNNNNNNNNNNNNNNNNNNNNNNNNNNNNNNNNNNNNNNNNNNNNNNNNNNNNNNNNNNNNNNNNNNNNNNNNNNNNNNNNNNNNNNNNNNNNNNNNNNNNNNNNNNNNNNNNNNNNNNNNNNNNNNNNNNNNNNNNNNNNNNNNNNNNNNNNNNNNNNNNNNNNNNNNNNNNNNNNNNNNNNNNNNNNNNNNNNNNNNNNNNNNNNNNNNNNNNNNNNNNNNNNNNNNNNNNNNNNNNNNNNNNNNNNNNNNNNNNNNNNNNNNNNNNNNNNNNNNNNNNNNNNNNNNNNNNNNNNNNNNNNNNNNNNNNNNNNNNNNNNNNNNNNNNNNNNNNNNNNNNNNNNNNNNNNNNNNNNNNNNNNNNNNNNNNNNNNNNNNNNNNNNNNNNNNNNNNNNNNNNNNNNNNNNNNNNNNNNNNNNNNNNNNNNNNNNNNNNNNNNNNNNNNNNNNNNNNNNNNNNNNNNNNNNNNNNNNNNNNNNNNNNNNNNNNNNNNNNNNNNNNNNNNNNNNNNNNNNNNNNNNNNNNNNNNNNNNNNNNNNNNNNNNNNNNNNNNNNNNNNNNNNNNNNNNNNNNNNNNNNNNNNNNNNNNNNNNNNNNNNNNNNNNNNNNNNNNNNNNNNNNNNNNNNNNNNNNNNNNNNNNNNNNNNNNNNNNNNNNNNNNNNNNNNNNNNNNNNNNNNNNNNNNNNNNNNNNNNNNNNNNNNNNNNNNNNNNNNNNNNNNNNNNNNNNNNNNNNNNNNNNNNNNNNNNNNNNNNNNNNNNNNNNNNNNNNNNNNNNNNNNNNNNNNNNNNNNNNNNNNNNNNNNNNNNNNNNNNNNNNNNNNNNNNNNNNNNNNNNNNNNNNNNNNNNNNNNNNNNNNNNNNNNNNNNNNNNNNNNNNNNNNNNNNNNNNNNNNNNNNNNNNNNNNNNNNNNNNNNNNNNNNNNNNNNNNNNNNNNNNNNNNNNNNNNNNNNNNNNNNNNNNNNNNNNNNNNNNNNNNNNNNNNNNNNNNNNNNNNNNNNNNNNNNNNNNNNNNNNNNNNNNNNNNNNNNNNNNNNNNNNNNNNNNNNNNNNNNNNNNNNNNNNNNNNNNNNNNNNNNNNNNNNNNNNNNNNNNNNNNNNNNNNNNNNNNNNNNNNNNNNNNNNNNNNNNNNNNNNNNNNNNNNNNNNNNNNNNNNNNNNNNNNNNNNNNNNNNNNNNNNNNNNNNNNNNNNNNNNNAAAUUAGAUUAAAAUAAUCUAAAAUUUUAUUUUAUUUGAUUUUAUCUUUUAAAAAAGAGCCAUAGGAUCCUCGCCGAUGGGUCACCGCGGCCGCCACAGCUGCCAAGAGUGAUCACGUCUACCAUCCGGAAACUCAUCUUCUUGCAGCAAUGCCCUCUUCCUCAACAUAAUGAAGGAGGACAUCUGCACUCUAAUGGAGAAAUGAACAUUGCUGAUAAUUCUGUCAACUGAAGAUGUUCCUCCAUGAAGUGCCCUAUUUCUUUCUUUCUGGAUGAAAUAAAUCGCUGCACCAGCCCGUAAGACCCAAAAAAAUUCAGCCUGCCUAGGUGACCUCCACCGGCCCUCUUCGGCGUUGGUGACCCACCGGCGUGGGCACUUUUUUUUUUUUUAAAAAAAAUAUGCUUUUAAUUUUUGUAAAAUCUAAUUUAAGUUAGAUUUGGAGAAGAAAAUAACAAAGAACGUCAUAUUAGCAUUUUUCUUGACGGAAUUAACAGAAGGAUUUGAUUGCAUUAAUUUGACAAGUUUUGUACUUUUUAAAAAUCUUAAAAUACAAUUACACUUUCAUUAUAAGUUUUUAAACUUCAAAUGCACUUAUUUCUAUUUGUUAUCAUCUAUAGUGCUAAAAAAAAACAUUAAUCACUUCUAACCACAUGCGAUUAUAAGGCCAAACUCCAAGCUUGGCUUUCUGUUGGACGUGGCCAAUUUUAUUAUAAUAUUGAAAAAAAAAAGAAACAAUAAUAAUAAAGGUUAAUAUUACGAAAAAUUCCGAAUUGGUACACUGUAAAAUGUUUACUCAAACUGAUUUUUAAACUCUCCGAAACCCUAAAUUGCUUUACGUAUAACAAAUUUACUUUUUAUUAAUUUCCAUUAAUGCUUAUUGUCAAAUCAUUGAAUUGGAUGGCACGUGCCUUCCGUUCGUCACAAAUGUACUGAUUUGGAUUUUUUGUGGUAUUAAUCCGAUUUAAGAUAAACUAACAUAAAAUAAAUUUAUCACAAAUAUACAAAUUUGAAGUUUUUGGUGAUUAAAAAAUUAAUUUAUGAUAAAUCUAUUGUAUCUAUAUCAAUUUUGGAUUGUAGUGAUCAAAAAAUUAGUUUAGAAUAAAUAAAUCAAAGGUAUAUUAAUUUUGGGUUUUUCCUAACAUAAUUAACCCAAAUUAUAAUAAGACAAAGAAUGCGAGUGGAUUAGCAUAAGCCUUAUGCCAUAAGGUGGUGGAGUGAUUAAAUUAAACACAUGCAAACCGAACCGAGUGAAGUGGGGAUUUUGUCAACUCUGAAGGCUGCUUGGCUUUCUGGUGUACGUGGCCAAUCUUGCAGUUCAAGCUUUGUCCUCUCACGCGUUUCCCCAAUACGGUGACGUUGGCAGGUGACGCGGAAAUAUUUCAAUAAAAUCCCAAAAUUUAUUCAAAAUUGAAAUUGUAGCCCAUCAUCCAAUAGAAGAUGUGCUUACAAGCACUAUUACGAGUAAUUUGGCUGGGAGGAAUUCCUUCUAUAAUCUCUCACGGUGCUCUAAUAUAUUAUUUAUUUUGUCCUAAAAGAGGAAAUUAUGAAUUUUUCUUUUUUGAUAAUAUAAGUUUAUUACUGCUCUCUCGACCCACGUAAACAAACAAGGGCAAUUCCAGGCGGCUAAACAAGGGAGGCCAUUCGACUCAAAAAAGAAAAAAAAAUCAAGGGAGGCUAAAGUUAAAACUGGCUAAAAUCUAGAGUUUAGGCUGCUAUGGAUGCUAUUGCUUUAAUAUUUUUUUUUCUUUGGUCGACUUUUCAACGUUAACUAUUUUUCCAUCUCGCAAUAAAUGUGCGUGCGGGAAUGUCACCUCCUGCCAGGCUCCAAAUCCGAACUUAGAAUUUAGGGAAUGACCGAAUAUUCCCUAUAAAAUAAAGGACAAAACCUUCAACCGUUAAUAGCUACCUUUCACCGAAUGAAUAUACUAACAAAGUUCAGAGUGUCGUAAAUUAACCCAAAUGAGAGUUUCAUGAUAGCCCUUACUCAAGCGAUCUAAAUAGAGCUCCAUGUCAUUCUAGGUUGCUCUCUAUGUGACUUGUCAAGUAUCUUUUACUUGCACCCUGAAAUGGUAUCGAAAGGGGGUGAACAAAAUUAUGACUACGGAGGUAACAAUCACCACUUCAAUGAAAUUGAGUAGUGAAUGAUGCCAAAAAAAAUUUGUGUCAAUUAUGUGGCACAUUAACAAAAACACCACAGUUAAAUCACGUGCAUCAUACAUCAUCGAUUUACUCAACAUAAAGAUACUAGAUCAAUUGCUCAUAUCGGAACACUAUGGCCACACUUUGGUAGGUUACAAGAUCUAGAGAACCACGUCCGUUGUAGUUAAGCCCUAGAAAACAUAUCACUUGUGGUUGAGCCCCAAAAUCGAACCGAUUAGCAAAUAUAUAUCAUUUCUCAAUGCAUAGGUUGACCAUGUGUAUCAAUUCAAUAUCAAUACAUGAUAUUUGACAUAUCAAUAAGUGAUUUGAAAUAAUUCACCUACAUAAUCAUUUUCAUUGUAUAUCCAAAAUGACAACAACUUGAAAAUCCAUCCAAUACCCGAUCCAAUAAUAUGACAAAAUAAUUUUACAUCUUAGUAACAACGCGAUGCAAGUUUCAGCCCUUCAUCAGAAAUUGCACCAACAGAAAUAGAGGCUGAACUCACUUGGGCCAAGAAGCCCGUUUAGGACGAAAUUUAUGUGAAUGCCCUUUGAUACUCGAUUUUGGAUCCAUGGGCCCGAUAAGUAAACCCAAUGGUCCAAAAAUUACUUAAAGCCUUGAAACAUCCAAAGAUCCUCAAUUAUAAUUAUUGUUAUUUUGCAGGAAAUUCGUCCAUUUUGCAUAAAACAUAUAGAAAUUAGAUUUUUUUUUUUUUCAAUUUUCGAUCGCUCUAGUCUAUUUUCUUCAAUGAUAUCACUAACCUUUGAAAGGCUACAAAUCAGAAUUUCAUACCACCAAUAUUUAUCUCAACAAAUCAAAUCAACUAGAAAAUUUUCGAUGUACAUACAAUUAUUGUUUUAUAACAUUCACUAUUCUAGUAAAUUUCAAAAAAGUAACAGAAACAUUCAAUAUUUCUAAAAAUCAUGAUAUAUCUCAUGAGCUUGAUUAAAAGAAGAUAAAGUCAAGGAGGGAUCUAGGGCAACAAUCCUACAUACCUAGUAAUUUCAAUAUUAUUUGGAAGUACGAUAAUCCAACCGUUGAACACCUAUUUGAGUCGUCCCAUGCCCUAAUCCUGAAGUCAUUCUUCUAAAUUUUUUUUAGCCAUCGAUGCUUCCUUUUAUCAAAUUCUAAGUUAAUGCUUUUUCAUUUUUCACAUAUACAUGGUCUUUCUAAUUUAUAACGUUUUGAUUGAAUAUUACAUUUUCAUGAAUAUCAUGAUUUUCUUUUGUAUUAUCAAUUAUGUAUUAAUCAAUUGAGUUGUUAUUACUAAAUAGAUUGUUAUCAAAACUUGGGAAUUAAAUGUAAAAGUCAGAUGUACUCGAAAUCUUGCUCCCCAUAAGCCAAUUUUUUACACCUCCACUCAACGUAGAAUUAGAUAAUGUUCUGGAGGCAACUCUAUGGGAUUUUAUGACCAUAUAUUAUACGCUAUAACCGUCGUUGAAUUUUUGUUAUUUUUAAGCAAUAGUAAGAUCUGAGUAAGGAGGGGAAAAGAGCUGAAUUAGUGUGAUAUUAUUGAUCUGUAAGUCACAUUUCGUCAUUUGAUUGACCUGUUUUACAUGUAGUGGUCAGAAUGUCGAAUUGUAUGAACCAUGGCAUUGACGGGAAAAUUAUCAAAAAAAAAAAAAUCCUAAACUUAUUGCAUUUGUAUUAAUUUAAUCCUGAACCUUUUAAUUGUAUCAAUUAACUCCUAAACAUUUUCACAUUUUGCCCGAACAAUAGCCCUACCCAAUAUUUUCUCAUAUUUUCUCUAUCUACUUGGACGUGCUAUUGGCUAGAUGCAAUUUUGAGUCCAAAGUAGAUCCACGCAGCACUUGUCGCCUCACCUCUUUCCCCCACCCCCUCUUGUCACCCUAGCUUUUUGCCAGGAUUAGUUGCGAUUCAGCCCUCAGUCGAGACACUACAAUGUUUCAUCCGACGAUGGAAACAACGCCGACUCAAAACCUCAUCAGUAUUAUUACAUAGUUCGAGCAUCUUUUUGCUCAUCCUGUUAGCACCAGGUGCGUUGCCUCAGAGACGCGCGGAAUGUUCAUCCUUGUGCUGAUCACGCAUGUUUCAGGUCCAAUUCUAGUUUUAUACUGAAUAUCUACUCAUCGUUAGGAGUCUUGGAUGAAGGGUUUAUGUCUCCCACAGUCUCUACACUCGACUUGAUUCGGGUUGUCGGGUUGGUUUCGACAGGAGCGCAUGUGAUCACAGGGGGAUAGAAUACGAAAGAAAAGGAAAUACUUCCACCACUAAUCAUUGAACAGUAACAACAACAAUAAUAAUGAUAAAUGGGAUCAAUAAAUCUAUAAAUCAAGAGGGGUUCCGUCAUCACCACCAUCACCAUCUCUCGUCAUAGUUGUCUCUCGUUCACAAAAAUAAAAAAAAAUGGGCAUAAAAAUGCAAAAAAGAAAACGAGAAAUAUUUUAGUUGGCAGGGUUGCCGCCGAGGGCCUUGACGGCAGUUGCUUUGAGGGCCUUGAUGGAAGUUACCUGCUGAUGGUACUAUAGCUGUUGAUGGUCCAAACCAGAAGAUCCACUGCCCAUGAACAUCCACAUUCACAGACAUCAAUCGAUACUAGCCUAAAAUCAUUAUCUCUUGGCAAUAAUACCAAAUUCCAAAUGCUUACAUAACAUCUUUGAUCAAAGAGGAUCAUCAAAUCAAAGGAACCAGAGUUCUCACUACCAUAAAUGCAAACGAUUCGCAUGUUUUUAUUUAGCUCCUAAUGUGUUAUUCAUGUAGUAAAGCUUGAUUUAAGAAAGUAGAGAGAGUGACUAAAUUUAAAAGAGUUGAUGAAAAUGUUUAUUCGUUUAAGAAGGCUUUUAAACAAAUAUGUUCUAAACACGAAUGAAUAACCGAACACAGAUGAGUAACUCAUAUGCCCUCAUCUAAGAAAUAAUACCAAGAAUUCUAUCAGUAAACGGAUAAUCAUCUUACGUAGUACAACAUUAAGGACGAAUCAAAUCAAGCCUGAAGAAUUGAUUGAAAAUCUUCAUAGAACAGAGCAGAAACCAAUAGCUAGAGUAGAGCAAGUAGGUAAGGCAGUCUAACCUCAGGCCAAACAAAAAUAAGAUAAUUGUUCUGUAUCCAAGUUGGAAGGGUGUCAUCUUUGAAGUGACCAACGGAUGUGAAAUCUAGCCUGGGAAAUGGCAUGAACAUCUGAAACUUUCACAAGCAUUCUUGGUAUAAUUGUUUACUUAAUCAGCCCAUUACUUUCCAGGCAAUACUGACUUACUAAGAAAAAGUGCUAAAUGAGAAGCCAGAACAAGGAAAGAAUGAAUCGUCGGCUGUAUCCGAUUUACCAUACUGCUAAAUAUUUGAUUUCAACACACGGGAUGCUUAUGAUAUGUCCGAUUGGAAAGACACCAAAUAUACUGAAGCACAAAUGCCCAUCGUUGAAGAAACCAACACACUGAAUGAAUGAAUGAAUGAAUGAAUAGAUUAAUAAAUAAAUAAAUAAAAGAAGUUCUCUAGUCUUAGCUAUACUCAGGAGAGAUUGUUUACAACCUCCGCCAAAUGAAGCGAAGAAGCAACCACAUUUGAGUCCUCCGUGACUAUCGCUAGCAAAUCCUUCUCUGGAUUCCACUCCGUCAUCUUCACCUGCCAAUUGGAAGAAAUCGAACCAAAACCUCACAAAACCGAGUCGGAACAAUCGAUUUGACCCACCCAUUAGAUCACGAAAGAACGCCGAACGGAAGCAGAACCUGAGAAGCCAAAGCAGUUUGUCGAACUGAAGCUGAAACAGAAGCACACGCCACUAGCAGCCGAAAAUGCAGCCACCAGAUAUGCUGUAACAAAACGCGAGGAGGGCACAGAAGCGUCGGUGGGAAAUGCAAACCCAUGGUGAGCUUGUGAAGGAUGGAGCUUCAAUGGAGGGAGGCUUGCAAGGUCCAGCGGAGUCCGAGAAUUCGCAGAGAAAAGUUGCAGAUAUGAGGAAGAAAGAGAAUUGGGGUAAAUUUCGGACUUAACACCACCGUUCCUGGUACCUCUAACAGAACAAUCAUCAUCGAAUCGUGGGAUCUGACAAGUCAUCACAUUCCAAAAUGUCAUCUAAAUAAAUUGCUGGGGAAUCUCCCAUCAUGGGAUUGCCUUCAGGAUGAGGAAGUGGACUCCAAGACUGGAAGCUUGAUGUCGAGGCACAGGGAGGUUCAGAGUCAAGGACACUCCCGCCCCCCGUAUAGUCCGUUUGGCUCGAAGAAUGGAUCGUAUCGCUCCACAUGGCAUUCUGGAAAUCGUUACCAUGAAACAGCAUUGGCAAUCCGGCAGUAGGGAUACCAUCCUCUCCUCGAGAAUUUAGAACAUUCUAGGGAACUAAUUUUUAAAUCCCCGUUGCAAUUAGCAAUUACUAAUUUAGCAAAAGAGAAGGUUGGAUGACGGGAACGGAGGAAAAGACCGGCCCUCCGCAACGCCACCUCGUCCCGUGUGGGGCCUCACCCCACCGGACACGUCGACAUCAUUUUAGCCUUUUCUCGCCUUUUCACCCCCUCAUCUCAUCUUUGAGGCCUAGCUCCCUAUUCCCAGAACUCCCACCUUCAAUGACUUUUCAUGGUGCAUCUUCAUGCUAUCUAAAGCUUCACCGAACCAGGAGGAAACAUUCAAAAUCUCACGCUCAAAAGUAAUCCUAUACCAUUGUUACUCAUUCCAGCUCUUCGCCGAACCACCGUCUCCUACCAUCGGCUAACCAUUGCGCUGGCCAUUGCCUCCACAAAAAGUAAGGAACAAAAGUGGAGAUAGAAUCGGAUAAACCAACCGAAUAUUCAAGCUCAAAAAUUAACCCUCGGACCAUCAGGUUUUGAGUGGCUCCUCAUCGAUGACCAUCGUUGAAGGCAGCAUGAAAGCCUAGUUUAUCAGUGGUGUAAGUAGGCUACGAUGGGCACUCGCAACCGGCGAUUGGAACCUUUACAACUAUCUACGAACAGAACAACGACCAGCAAGGGAGUCUUCGGACAAGAUCUGGGCUCUUCGGUUUUCACGAUGGGAAGGCAGGGAGCAAUAGUGGAGCAGGAAAGGGCGGCUCGGGAAUAGCAAGGGUAGGUGGCUUGGCAACUAAUGGAGUCGAGAGGAGUGAUGGAGAGGCUCAUCGAAGUGAUGGCGUGGGUUUCAAUUGUCGAAAUGGGCAGCGGCGACUAUUGCUCCAGCUCCUCAAGAGAAUCAAGUCCAAGAACAAUGGAUGCAGCUUGCAGUGACGAGGGUGAGGUCGGAUGUGAUGGGGCAACGGUGAAGGUGUAUACACGGUGCUCAUGGAGAGUCAAUCCUCCUUAUUUUUCUCUCUUUUCUUCCUUUUUUUUAAACUUGUGGCGCCUCCCUCUUGAACAUAAAAAGAAGCCAAAAGAAGAAGAAAAAAAAGGGCCCCUUCCAAGAUGAGAAAAGAACAGAUUUUAUUCUCCAACGAAGUUUUGUGUAAUUGCGCCAUGUGACGCGAUCUUGAAAGGUGUGAGCUCAAAUUCCAUGAUAACAGAUAUGGUGUUCUAACUAGUUAAUCGAUUCUUGAAAUUGAUAUUUCUUUGAUUUGAUUGUAGGUACUUAAAUUUCACUAUUUCUAAAUCAAAUGUCUAAAAAGAAUUAAAGACUAUUGAAAUAAUUUUUUUUUUCAGUCAAAGGUAGAUUCUUGAUUUGACCAAAAAAAAAGGAUUUUAAGCCAUUUCUAUGAAAACUUGAAAUCUAAACGCCUAUUCCUACAUGCUUACGUUGAAUUAACACCUAUAUGCAAUUAAAGUACUACUGAUACAAAUCUAAUUUUUUUCAAGUUAAGAAAUGAGUGUCGCCACGAUCGGGAUCUUGAAUCUUGAAUUUUUCUAACUUUAGCCAUUAGGAUUAUUUGGAUGUCAAUAGUAAUAUAUAUAUAUAUAAUAAAAUUAUAAUAACUGUUGGUAUUUUUUUAAAAAUUUUGGCAACUUACCAAAAUGCUACUAACCGAAUAAGUUAUCGAUCAAAAUUUCGUUGUCAACUAGUUUUGAUAUUUACCGAUGCUAUUUAUGUUUAUCACUAUGUAAAUUGAGCCCUCGAGUGUGAUAUCACAAAUCAAGCGGAAUCAAGCAAACAUAUUCUUUCACGGGCUCAAGCUCGCUUAUGUACGCAGUAUGCCUACUCAAUUUUGUUCAUACUCGAUUAUUAUAUGAAUGAUGAUUUUUGCAGAUGUCGGACAAGCUUGGAUUUAAAAAAUUAAGGUUCGGUACUCGGCAAUUCAUGACGUGCGAGGCCCAUCAUCAUGGGCUCAUAGAUGUAUUAAAAGGCGCGGGAAAGUGGUUGCCUCUCCAUCGAGCUGACACGUGUCUCUAUACGGGAAGCCAGAAACUUAAGUCCGAGUGAAAUGAACCCUCAAAUCGGAGGAAGGCUCUCCUUCCGGUUCCUCCCUUCGAUCGUCGAUCCAGCCACCUUGCCCCCGACUCAGUGAUCCACCACAUCUUCUCGUCUCUCGACCUCGCACGCAUUGUCCGCACGUGCGUUUUUGUCGAAGCGGCGGCGAUCCGUCUGGACCGCCGCCCGCGGACCUCGUCUUCUCCUUCCCCUGGCGGAAUGCCUCCCCGUCCGUGGACGGCGUCUUGAUCCUCUAGGCGUCUUGAUCCUCUAGACGUCGAUUUUCUCGACCGUUGCGCGCCUGAGCUCAGUCCGUGGCUUCGCUUUGCUGUCGACCGCCGUGUCGAGGACCUCUCAGUCGAUGCGACUAAGAGGUCGUGCGAGAUGGCCGGCCAUUUCGCAUUACAGCGGCUCCUUUUAUGGAUGCUCUUCGUUUGGUGAACCUGCACUCAGGGCUCUGUUGCUUCUCGUUGAGUAGGAGUAUCGCUUGGAUUAAUCUUAGGUCCCUGUCCGUCUGUGACUCGGAGGUGAUGCGUGAGAUGUCGAAUGGCAGCCUCGUUCUCGAGGACCUUAGUUUGGAAGGAUGCUAUGGUUUAAAGCGAACCAUCAAGGUUUGUUCGAGAACUUUGAGGGAAAUUGCGGUCAAUGGCUGCUUUCGGUAUGCACUUGAUGAGGGUUUCCCCUUGGAGAUAUCAAGUCCUCUGUUGCUGUUUGAGAGGAUUUUCUGGUAUGAUGAGGCAGCUGGUAACGGAAGUCUCAAUCCUUGAUUGAAGCGGAGUCAAACUUUUUUAUGAGAGUGCGAGGAUUUUGGAAGGCCAUCUGAUUGUUUUGUUCAAAAUCGGUUUGAGUCUUACAGAGGGUAUUGCAACCUGGUUGAGGGACUGCUUCAGAAGCUGCAGAACGCAUCUAAGCUUUUGAUUGGUAGUUGGUGCCUUCAGGUGAGCAGAUUGUUUUUGAUUUCAAAUUUAACUCGUUUGGUUCAUACCUAUGGAUAAUUCAUUGUUCCCUCUCCCUCGAGUUAAGGAAAUUCAUUCCAAACUUCAGCACAAGGAAUCUGGUUUGCAUCGUUUGCUACUCUGCCUGAUGACCACCGGUGCAAAUAUGCAUCGUGCCUUUAGAAUAACUACUGAAAAACCAAAGAAAAGGCAGCUGGUUUAGGGUCAUUCUUUUUCCUGCUCAGUAGUGCAUAACCAUCAUUCCAAAGAUCAUAGUAUGUUAUUAAUGAAAAGUUGUCGUGUCCUGUUUUUUUAAAGACUGAAAAAGCAGUUGUUGACUAGAAUUAGUAUAUGAGUUCUACUAUUUCAAACUCAAAAGCUUUAGCAUCACUCAAUUUGUCAUAUAGGUGGGAACCAAAGGUGUUCUCAAAGCAUACACUUGCUGGGUUUUUUAAACAGUAUUUUGAAACCUAUUAAUAGAUAAUUGUUAAAUAAGAAUAAUAUGCUUUUUGGGUGGCAAGUAAAACCUAUUGAACAUUUUAAUUAACAUAGCUAUUCCUUGUUAUUUAAGAGGAGCUGCAUGCAUAUAUGUUUAAGUAUUGUAUAAAGUUAUAUUUAAUCUAAAAUGAACCAAGGCUAAAUGUUUCAGCUCCAUUCAAUGAUAUAAGUAUUAAUACAAUAAUUUAUAGGUGUUUAAGGAAGAUUGCAAUCGCUUAGCGAAACCACGCAAAAACAUUGGCCGGCAAAAAUUUGAAGAUUUUGAUUUGUCGAUUUGUCUGUGGGUUAAUCAAAAAAUCGUGAAAUCAAUAAAUUUGAUUAAAUGAUGAAUCGGUAACUUCACAAUUAAAUAGGGAGAAGGGUAAUGGGCCCGGCGACUCGUUUGAAAUAAGAAAUGGACAAAAGGCAACAACCGGUGGGACCCAGCCAUCAAUAGACGGAAGAAAGAAAAUUAUUACGAACUAUCUAAUUACAAAUCUGCCCAUGGAUUCUAAAACCCCAUGAAGCGCCUCGACUUUUGCUUCCCUCUUUUUUCUAUACUCCUAGUUAUCUAAAGAUGCGGAAAUUUUAGAUUGAGUUUUUAUUUUUAUCCUGAACCUUUUUUUUCUGAAAAGCCUCUUAAUUUUAAACCCAAUGCUACAUCAGCCCCCAAUUUUUUAUUUAAAAAGAAUUUCCCAACUUUUUGUCCAAUUCCAAAUGGAUCUCCAAUAAUGAGAGGAUGUGCUCAAGAGAGCAAUUUCCAUCUUGACAACUGGGCAAUCUCGACAUUCAGGGACCAGAAUUCACGGCCAAAGAGGACAGGAAAAUUUGGUCAUAGAAAAAAAGUAGAGAAUUCUCGGCCUAGUCAUUGUCCUGGCGCUUUGCGUAUUUUUAUCAUUUACUGAGCACUUGUCUAGAAAUUAUUGGAACGGACGUAUCUCUUUGUCUCUUUCUCAUCCACUUUUCAUUUUCUCUCGCAAAUCCAUGUCAAGUCUCAUCCUAAGUCUCUAUCCACUUUUCCUCUUCCAUGCAUCGUUCUAUGCGUCUAGGUUGCACGGACAUUCUCCAGACUUUUCGUGUCGUGUCCGACACGCUUCAACACGCGGUCAACUGCCUUCGACAUGCUCCAACACGCGAGUCGAAAAUUCCAGCACGUGACUCCGACACGUAUGGAAUUAUUUUUAUAAAUUUCCAAAACUUCUGGGGUCUAAAUAUAAAUAUAUGAAAAAACUAAAAAAAAAUAAAAGCUAAAACAAAUUUCCAAUACUUGUUUGAAGAUGUUACGGUGCCUGAAGUUGCAAAUUUUUCACUUGAUAAACCGGAGAUGGAGAUUUUUUUUUUUUUGAGAAGAAGUGGAUAAUGUGGAUGAAUGACUUUUUGUUAUAUUUGAUGAUGUAAUGUAAUUAUUUUUUUCUUAUUAUUAAAAUUUAAAUUUAAUAGUGGAAUGUGGAUUACUUGUUUUUUCCUCCAAGUUUUAUGGAUUAUUAUAAUGAAAUGUAGUUGAAUUAGUCAAAUUAAAAUAAUGAAUGAUAUUAACAAAUGUAGGAUUAAUGUUUUUAGUAUAGAUUAAUUCUAGGCUCUUUUUAUUAUUAUUAUUAUUAUUUAGUUAUUUAUGCAUUUAUAUAUUAAAAUAAUUGUUUAAUAUAUAACAUGUCGGAACGUGUCGAAAUUCUCUACUUUUGAGAAAUGUCAUGUCACGUGUCGCGUGUCCGUGUCGGUGCAACCUAGCUAUGCGUAUCAUCUUUGAUUCUCUUGUGCACUAAGAUUUCAGCCACGUGAAGGCAACAACUCUAAGCACGUGGUUGACAAAGCUUGACUUAUUGGUGUGAAUUCUAAUUUCCAAUUGGUUCCUUUGCAUAAAUCAAACCACAAGAGAAUGGGCAACAAGAAGGCAUUUUCUAUUUCUUGAGACACAUUCUGGCUUUUUUCUCCAUCGGACUUGAAGGGGGAAAAUCAAGGACAAAGCCAGAGCAAAGCUGAAAUGCAUUGUCCCAUUUUUGGGCAUUCUUAUGCCGUGUUCAUGGCAUUCUCUCCAUGCUUGCGUUCAAUUUUCUCAAUAAGAAGGAAACUAAUGUGAUAAUUUAGCACUUGUAAAGUAUUGUAAAUCAAUACUAUAAGAUCGUGCCAUGAGCACUCUUUUGUUUUUUUGUUUUUUUUUUUAACACUUCAUGAUGUCAAGUAUCGACAGUUUAGUUUGGAUUGUUGGUAUAUAAAUAGCAUUGGUAAUUCUUUUAGCUUGCAUUGUCACGAGUGGAUAUCAAAAUACAGCUUCUUCUAUUAAACAUACACAUUGCUUCACAUCUUGCGCCAAACAAGUUGAAUAACAACGUUAAUAUGCUUGGAUAUAUUUUGAGUGAUUAGUAAAACCUAUUUAACAUACUUAUAAAGAUAGUUACCCCUAGAUCUAUAUAAAAUAAAUUGUUGAAUGAGAAUAAUAUGCCUAUGUGUAUUAUGGGUGGUAAGUAAAACCUAUUUACAUUUUCAAUAACAUAGCUACCCUUCAUUAUUUAAGAGGAACCGCAUGCAUUAUGUUAAAGUAUUUUUUCAAAUAUUGAACUAACACCGCAUGUAUUAGUUCCAUUUAAUAAUAUAAAUAUUUGAAUUAACAUGCAUUACAAAUUAUAAGUGUUGAAGGUAGAUCGCAACCACUAAACUAAACCGAGAAAAAAAUUUGGAAAAAAUUUAUGAAUUUGGCUUUGGGUUGAUUAAGAAAUUGUGAUAUCAAUAAAUUUGAUUAAAUGAUUAAUUGGUAACUUCAUAAUUAAAUAGAUAGGAGAGUAGUGGGCUUGGCCACUCCUUUGCAAUAAGAAAUGGACAAAAACUUGAUACAAAAGAGGAUAGCCUCAAGUUAAGGAAUGACUUGUGGGGCCCAGCCAUUGUGAGUAGGGGUAGAAAUAAAAUUUUUAUAUGCUAUCCAAUUACAAAUAUGCCCCCUGGAUGAUGGGAAUAGCUGAAGUCCUCGACUUUCUCUUUCCUUCUUUUAUACAUCUUAAAAACCCUUAAAUUUUAGGUCCAAUCUUAAUUUUAUUUCGAAUUUUUUUAUUUCACAAAAAUCUCAACUUUAAACCAAAUGGUACAUCAAUCCUCAAUUUCUUCGUCUAAUUUUUUUUUUUCAAAUUUUAUAUACAAUCCCAAAUGUGUUCCAAAUAACAACAAAAAUUCUUGAGGAUGAGGUCAAGAGAGCAAUUUUCAGCUUGACAAGGGGCAAUCUCGGCAUUCAAAGAUUGAAAUUCACGGUCAAAGAAGACAAGAAAAUUCGGGCAUGAAAAAGUAGAGGAUUCUCGACCAAAUGGGUGGGGCAUUUUUCCACAUGCAAUAGUUGCCAAAGGGAGCUCGAAAAAGAAAAGGAUGGUGCUUCUUCCNNNNNNNNNNNNNNNNNNNNNNNNNNNNNNNNNNNNNNNNNNNNNNNNNNNNNNNNNNNNNNNNNNNNNNNNNNNNNNNNNNNNNNNNNNNNNNNNNNNNNNNNNNNNNNNNNNNNNNNNNNNNNNNNNNNNNNNNNNNNNNNNNNNNNNNNNNNNNNNNNNNNNNNNNNNNNNNNNNNNNNNNNNNNNNNNNNNNNNNNNNNNNNNNNNNNNNNNNNNNNNNNNNNNNNNNNNNNNNNNNNNNNNNNNNNNNNNNNNNNNNNNNNNNNNNNNNNNNNNNNNNNNNNNNNNNNNNNNNNNNNNNNNCCAUAAAUGCAUGUUUAGAGGUCCUGAUCAAUGAAUUAUUAAAUUUAUAUCUAGUUCGACAAAUUUGAAUUAUGGAUGCAUGCCCACCUGAUUAGAUUAGAUAAAUUAAAUCAAUAAUAUAUAUAUAUAUAUAUAUAUAAAAUAAAGUAAAUGCAAAAGCGAAAGCAAAAGCAAAAAGGCAUUUUGACUUAUUUAUGAGAUUUGAAGGGGAAAUUAAGACAAAACCAGUAAAAAAAUAAAUUAUUCUCAUUGUGUUACGGUACUGAACGAAUAUAUACACAUUUAUGCAUGUUGAUAAUUUUUUAUAAUCCUUGACACGCUUUGAUAGCAUAAUUUUUUAGAACAAGUUAUCGUUAAUGAUACAACAUUUUAGUACUAAAAUGAAAUUUAUUGGUUUGCCUAUAUAUAUAUAUAUAUAUAUAUAUAUAUAUUAGGCUCAAAGUAAGAGGGGUAAAUUCUUAAGUGUGAUUAAGAGCUUAAGAAUAUUUUAUGAAAAACACAUUUUCUAAUGGAAAAUAAAUUAACAAAAGAAAGAGGAAAGUUUGUCGGUAUAGGUGGUGGACUAAGCGUGCCUUCUUCAUUGUCUUGACGCUUUGUAUGUUUUUGUCUAUUUUGAGCACUUGUGUGGAAAAUAUUGGACUAGACAAAUCUCUCUCUCUCUCUCUCUCUCUCUCUCUCUCUCUCUCUCUCUCUCUCUCUCUCUCUCCACUUUUCAUGUGGGGGAAGCAAUGACAACAAGGGAAAGAUAAAAUUUGGAGCGAGGAAGAAAGAAAUGUGCAAAGGAACUAGGAAGAAUUGUCGUGGAGUGAAAAGUCUACUUGGAAAAGAAAUUAGACAAGAGGAAAAACAAAAUAUAUGCGGAGCAUAUGUGUUCAAAGUGGUCUCCACCUUAAAAGAUAGUAGUGAUGGUUAUAGAAAUAUCUAUCCUCAUACUGAUUCUUAUUCAACAUUGGUUGCUCUUUGGUUAGUCCAAGAAAUAAUAAAAUUAUCAAUGAUUCAUGCAUCUGCACGUGUCUUGUCUAGAUGGAUUGCAAGUUGCUGUCCAUGUCCUAUUAUAUAUUUAGAAAAUCUUCCCUUUAUAUUUGCCAAUUGUACUCAAUUACUAGCAAAAUUAAGGCAAAUGUGUGUAAAAAAUUGUGUGUCGGUCGGUUCUUUGUUGGGUCUAAUUCAAUGCUAUUGGCUGUCCUUUUGUUUGUCCAAGAAACAAUAAAGGGAGAAAUGCAAGGAGUCCUAAAAGUAUUCAGAAUAUCAAGUCACUAGAAUUUUCCUCUUUACUUUCUAUGGGUUUAUAAUCAUCUAAAGUCUUUAUACACACACACACACACACACACACACACACACACACAUACAUAUAUAUAGUAGAUUUUAAGUGAUUGUUGAUAAUGCAACGUCUCAAUAGUGAAAUGAAAUUCAUCAAUUUGAUAUAGUAAUACUUAAUUGAUUCAAGUUAAAUUUGUAAUUGGGACCGAGAGUUUAAAUAUAUUCAACAAAAAUAACCUUUCUAAUGGAAAAUAAAUUAGAAAUAGCAAAGGAAAGUGCAAUGGUGCAGCAAUUAUCCUAUGCUUUGUAUGUAUUCAUCAAUUAUGACCACUUUCUAUGGAUACAAAUAAAGCAGUUGUCUUUUAUUUUUGGUUUUAUUUUUUUCAUUGCUUUUGCAUUGAAACUUGCUCACAUGUUAUUUUCUUCUAGGGAAGGAUCGCCUUGGAUUCUCCUGCCCUUUAAAACUUCCCCGACAUUAAGGCAACGACUAUAAAUGCAUGGUCGGGUUCCCGGUCAACAAAUUACGUAUUUAUAUCCAGCUCGGCAAAUUUGAAUUAUUGCUAUAUGCCAACCGAUUGGGUUAGAUAAAUCAAGUCAAUAAGGAAAUAUAUAUAAUAAAGCAGGAGCAAAAGCAAAAAGGCAUUUUGAUUAAUUUAUGAGAUUUUAAGGAGAAAUUAAGGCACACUAGAGCAAAAAAGAAAUUCUUCUCAUUGUGAUGGGUAUAAAAUAAAUAAAUAAAUAAAUAAAUAUAUAUAUAUAUAUAUAUAUAUAUAUAUAUAGCAUGUUGAUAAUUUUUUGUGAUCCUCGACACGUGUUAUCUCAUUAAACUUAUAAAUAUUGAAAUGAAGUUUAUCAGUUUAACAGGAUAAUAUUUAACAGGCGUAAAGUGAGAGGGAUUAAAUUUAUAAGUGGGAUCAAGAGCUUAAAUAUAUUCAAUAAAAAUACAUUUUCAGUGAAAAAGGAAAGUUCAACGGUGCAUGCAAUGGAGUAAGUUCAACGAAGAGUCGUCCAAAGUCUCUUUCCACUCUCUUUCCGCUCACUUUCCACUCAUCUUCCCAACAAAUCCACCGUAGACUCGUCCAAAGUCUCUUUCCACUCAUCUUCCCAACAAAUCCACCGUUAUAUAUGGGUAUCGAAAUUCUAUCGGAGCUUGGUUAUUAAUUCUCAUCCUUUUUAGAACUUCUUGGCAGACAUCUUUUUGUCUCUCUCUUCUCUCUCGUGAAGUUUGUUUUUCCUCCUCCUCCUCUUCGCAUAGUUCGCCGGAGAAGACAGAGUCGCGACACCUUUCCUCCUCCUUUGUUGCCGCAACUAGUCUUGAGAAACGGUAGGCGUCUCUCUCCUUGGCAAUUCUCGCUCUCUCUCUUUGGCGAUUCUCGCUUUGUUUUUCAUGGCUCCCCUUUGCCUUUUUUUUAAUCAGGGUUUGAUUUGUCGCUCGAUUGAGCGGAGAGGGUUAGUCGUAGAUCGUUUGCGUUUUGCUGUUCGUUCGAUUUCUUCCUGUUGUAGCUCGUCUCGUGUCGUUUUUGGGGGUGCUCUCACGUUCGCCAUCGACGUACGGACCGUUCGUGCUCUCGCUUCCCGUUCUUCUUAACAACAAAUCUGCAAUUUGGGGUUCCCUGCAAUUCUUCUUUCCUCGUGGGUUUCUCCCCCUUUGCGGAAUCGAAGUAGUGGGUAACAGGAAAAAUGAGAUUUUGGGGUCGAUAGUUCGUGUGUUUCACAAGUGUGGUAGAAGCGGUUGCUUGAGAAGAUUACCAGUGUCACAAAGCGGUGGGUUCUCAAAUAGUGCCGUCAAAUCCUCGAACAUUCUCGAACUCGCUCGAAAUGCUCCCCUUACCUUAUCUAUGCAUUUGUACCUGUCUGUCCCCAGCAGAGUUUUGGGUGGGCUUUUUCUCGAAUAUACGUUUUCCAGAAUCCAUUCUUGAAUUUUCAUGCCUUUCUAUUCUCUUGUACGAGGUUCUUUGAAUUGAAAGAUUUAGAAGCAACGUAUUUUUGUUCACAGUUCUCUGGGUUCUAGCAAUUUCAUGAUAAGCUCUCCAUGUUUUGAUUGUUUUAAAUUUGCUUUGAGAUUUAUUAUGUGAUGAAUAAAAGUUGGGGUUUUUUUUUGUUGGUGUUUUGCUUCUUUUUGUAGGGUGGUUGUGUUUCAGAAGCGCACCUGAAGUUCGGAUUCUGGAGUCGAAAGACCAGGAGAUAAAGUAGCAUUUUUUGACUCAAAGCAGGUAUGAUCAUGAAAACUUUCACCCGCAAUCAGACAUGCAAAGUUUUAAUUUUUGGAACUGUGUUGGUGGCUUUUGUGGAAAUGAGCAUGUAAAUGCGUGGAGUGGCCUCUUUUUACAGCCUUUUUUCAAUUUCUGUCUGUGUCGCUCGCUCAAGGAGGUCGGUGGUUUCGAAAUGAUGGAUGCGCUGAAAAUGCAUGACGAAUGUGGGAGGGGAGAAGCAGAUGGUAAUGAGAGGGUAUAGAGCUUGCGGGGUGUUGUGGUUCAUCCGCGUUAUAGAUUACUCUGGUACUGCAUUGAGUGAGGUUUUACUAUCGUAUUAUUGUCCGUGAGUCGGUUACAAUGUGAUUUCUUUUGAUUGAAUAAUGACAACGAGGACUUAUUUGAAGUAUAGAAAAGAGAAUAGUGAGAAUAUUUCUACACAGUUUUUCCUUGUUAAGGCUCCAUGUGCAUUUAGCCUAAUCUCUGCCGAUUGGCUUUAGUUCGAAACACUGCAGGAAUUAUCAAUGGCGAUAGUUAUCUAGCAUAUUAGGCCUCAUUUGAGUUUAUGAUUCCAAUUAGCCAAUGACGGCAUUUUUUUUUUAAAUUUAAAAAACACGAGUUUAUGAUUCCAAUUUCACCUUCCUCUUUCAAGAAUUUUAUAUAAUCAACUAUAAUUGACAUUUUAUAAAUUAAAUGAAAAAAUUGGGAAUAAAUUUUUUUUGGGAAUAGAGAUUUUUAUUUUCGUACCAAAUGCGUUUUGUUUAGGGAACAAAAAUUUUAUGCAAUUACCAAAUGCGUUUUUUGUCUAGAAACUAUUUUGGGGAACAGAAAUAGAAAAAAUUAUUUUUAAAUAGAAAUUGUUCCUGAGAACAAAAACGUUACCAAACGUACCAUAAGUACCUUCAAGUUAAGCAAGGACCGGUAGGACCCAUCCAUCGGGCAAAGGGAUAGAUAGGAAAUAGAUGCUAUCGAAUUUCAUAUUUGCCCUUGGAUGAUUAAAACAAGUGAAACUCCUCGAUUUUCUCGUCCCUUUUUUAUAUGGGCCCGCUCUCCUAAAAACUCUCAAAUUUUAAAUCCAAUUUUAAUUCUACCCCAAAAACUUUUAUCUAAAAAAAAUCUCUAACUUUGGAUUUGGUCGUAUAUCUACUCCCAAUUCUUUUCUCUGAAAAAAUCAAAACUUAAUGUCCAAUCCCAAAUAUGCUGGACAUUUUUUUAUCUGAAAAAAAUCAGUAACCAAUCUCAAAUUUACCUCAUUAAUCCUACACUCAAAAAUUUUGUAACUUGUUUGACGUGGCAUUAAAAAAUCCACGUUAAAAAAUGACAGAAAAUUGGGAAUCAGUCCGCGUAGAUUAGUUCACUAAUCCAAUUUGCUAGCAAAAAAGGGCACACAAAUAUGUGAUUGAUUUAGAUUAUCUAGGGAAAUGAAUUUAAUUUCUGCAAGGGUUGAGAGCAUUUAAUCAAUCUAAUGAAUAUGUUUUUGAUUAGUUUUGUCGCUAAAAUAAUUUAUUCGGAUUAAAAUCUAAUUCACAAGAAUAUGAUGAUCAAAAGUUUACUUUCUUAGAACGUCUAUGCAUAUAAUCAUCAUAUAAGCGUGUACAUAGGAGCUUGUACCCUUCUAGAUUAUCAUUUUGUCCAAACACAGUAAUAAAAUCAUCUUAUAACAUGCAAGGGCAUGACCAUUUCAUAAUAUUAAAGAAAGUAAAUUCAAAUUUAUUGAUUUCGGAAUAUAUAUAUAUAUAUAUAUAUAAUAUUGAAAUUAAGUACUUUAUUCUAAAAAUGAUAAUAAUCCGGAAGAUGAGACUACUUUUGAUACUAUGUGGGUAAGGAUAUAGCUCUAUAAACUUUGUGGAACUUUUUGACCAAAAAAACUUUGUGGAGUUAGAAUUAUUUAAGUUUCUAUGGUUAAAAAAGCUUUAUUUAAGUUCUAAACAUUAUCUAUUUAUACAAAUAUAAAACUGAAAACUUGAGAAUUUCUCGUGCUCUCCCAAAAAAAUUCACUAUAUCCUUAGCUCUCCCAAAAAAAUUCACUAUAUCCUUACCUAAUAUUAUGAUCUAAAUGAAUGAGAUGAUGCAAAACUGUUAUCCAAUGCCAUAAAAAUGCCUACACGCGUCUUUCAAAGUUCGUUAAUGUUCUAGGACGAAGGAAAAGAGGUUCUGAUUGCGGGGCCUGCAUUCAUGCCAAAAGUAUUAUUUUUUCACCAAAAGAAAUAAGAUUUAGGUAGUAGGCCUCAUCUAUUUUCUCUUCUUCCCAGAUCUAAGGCUAACCGUGAGGUUUCAUUUUUAGUGACCCAUUUUAUUAGAUCAGAUAGGCUCCAGCCCUGGUUCCAAAAAUUAGUAAUUAGUUCAGUUCUCGAUUCGUGGAUAGGAUAAGACAUGGAAUCGACCAUUCUAAUUUACGGUAUCAUAAUAGCAAUUCUCUUUUAUUUUUGGUUUUAUUUUUUUCAUCCCUGUGCACCGAAACUUGCUCACAUGUUAUCUUCUUCCCAGGUAGGAUUGCCUUGGAUUCUCCACUGCAUUGAAACUUCCACCACACAAAGGCAACGCUUGAAUUUUAUUGGUGCGUGCCAAUUGUUUGCAAUAGAUAAAUCAAACCAAUAAAAAAAUAUGUAUGAUAAAGAAAAGCAAAAGCAAGAAGGCAUUUGGAUUUAUUUAUGAGAUUUGGAGGAGAAAUUAAGGUUCGACAGAAAAAAGAAGGGAAAAUUAAGGUAGAACGAGAACCAAAAAUACAUUGUUCUUAUUGUGCUCGGGUACAAAAUAAAUAAAUAAAUAAAUAACAUAAUUUUUUUUAGAAUAAGUGAUUGUUGUAAUACGACAUUUCGGUAUUAAAAUGAAGUUUAUCAGUUUGAUGGUAUAAUAUUUAAAAGGCUUAAAGUAAGAAGGGUAAAUUCCAUAUGGGAUUACAACCAAAAAAAUUCCUAAGUGGAAUCAAGAGGCUGAAAUAUAAUUAACAAAAAUACCUUCUCUUAUGGAAAACAAAUGAGCAAAAGAAAAGGACGGUUAGACGCUGCAAGCAAUGGACUAAGCAGGGGACUUUUCAGUGUCCCGACGCUUUGAUGUUUUUAUAUAUUCCGAGCACUCGUUUGGAAAAUAUUGGACAGGACGAAUCUCUCUCUCUCUCUCCCCCAUCUUUCAUCUUCUCCUGCAAAUCCCUGUCACAGCCUCAUCAUAAGUCUCUCUACACUUUUCAUCUUCCGAACAAAUCCACCGCUUCAUAUGUAUUGAAAUUUUAACAGACCACAAAAGAAGAGGCAAGAAGGCAUUUCCUGUUUUCUGAGGGGCAUUCUGGUUUUUUUCUCUAUUUAGGGCUUGAAAGCUGAACUCAAUGGCAGAGUCAGAGACCGAAAUGCAUCGUCGCAUUGAGAGGAGGAAAACUAAUGCGAGUGGAAAUGCCGAGGAUGUUGAUACUGGUGCAUCUGCUAUUAUGACUGUGCUGACGGAAACUAAUUUCGUUGGAUUUGGUUCAUCUCCGACAGAAAUUAACAAUAGUGCAUCAAAUGGAAAGUGCUACGAGGUGUUCUUGAGUUUCAGAGGCCUAGAUACUCGAGAUGGCUUCACCGAUCACCUCUACGAUGGGCUCCUCAGAGCCGGAAUUCACACUUUCAGAGAUGAUGACGAGCUUUGCCAAGGCGAGGACAUCAGACCAGAGCUCAUGGCAGCCAUCACGAAUAGUAAGGUCCUGAUCCCCAUUUUCUCUGUGAAUUAUGGUACAAGCAGUUGGUGUCUGGAUGAACUGGUUCAAAUAAUGGAGCGCAAGAAUAAUAACGGGCAGAUGGUGGUGCCUAUAUUCUACAAAGUGAAACCAGCUGAAGUGCGAUAUCAAACCGGGAGGUUUGGAGAGGCAUUUCAUGAACGUGAGAGUCGUUUGCGUGAGAGGUCUCCUUUUGACCCCACGACUUUGGAGAAAUGGAAGCAAGCACUCCUUGAAGUCAGCAACUUGAAAGGAUAUGAAGCCGAUAGGUAAAAUUUCUCACAAUGGCAAUCUCCACUUUCUUUUAAUAUGUGCGGAUGAUUACUGAUUGUUUUGAUUCUCACCCGCUUCAUUUUCGUUAUAUAUAUAUAUAUAAACAGAAAGAUCAUGUCGGCAGUAAGAUCCUGCAAAGCAUGAGUUCUAUAAGUUAUUCCUUUUUUUUUUUUUUUGCUUUAAUGAUAUUGACAAAUCCACUUGUAGAUUUUAUUGGUGUGAUCCCAUUCACUUGAAUGAUAAGAUUUUUGAUUGAGUUUUUACUCUUAUAUCCAAAGACUUUGUGACAUUAUGCCAUUUUUUUUUCAUGUUUAUAGUGUACGUCACAUUAGUCAUCGUCACAAAUUUUUUAGAAACAUAUUUAUUUGAGAUUAAUAGUACAGCUUAUUGGUGAUUUUUAUUUAGAGCUUGUAACAUGAUAUACUGUGUAUCAUGAUUGUCAAAGGCAUAAUUCUUUAUCUUCUCAAGUUACAUUUAUUAAAUCAUUAAUAUCGUUGACUAGUUGCUAUUAAAAUUAUUUUACAAAAGAAAUGUUUCAUUAGUUAUAUAUGACGAUGGAAAAUAUAAAAAAAAAAAGGAAAAAUGGAUUAUUUUUAUUAUAUAUUUGUUUGAAUAACUUUCAAUGCAUUUCCUAUCUUCAGCAAGUAAUUUCUAUCUCAUACACCUAAAUAUAUUGAAUCGAUGUUCUUAUUUUUGGAAAAAUUUAUUCUUCUACUUAGAUAAAUUAAAAUCAAAGAACAUAGUUACUCAAAGAACAUGAAGGCAAUGAAAACUUAUAAGAACACCAAUCUAUAUUGAUAACGCAAGUAGAAACUUGCAACGUGUAGAAUUGUGCAAACAAGGAGAAAUCCCCCUGAUUGCAUUCAAGUUGUUCACAAUAUCACAAUCUGAACGAUUUUUUGGAUUGGUAUUACAAGAGUUGAAAUUGUCUCGCAUCAAAAGUUAGGACUUGUUUAUUGAUUGAUUGCUGACUCUUAUAUUGGGUUGGCUUAUUGGAUUUUUUAUUGUUCAAAGGCUCUAGAAAGUUUUCAAAGUUACGUCCACGUCAUCUCUAAUAUCUUUAACAAACAACAAGUCCAAAAUUUGGUUCAAAUCCAUAAUGUAUACGACAUUCAAGGUUCAUAAGUGAUGCCUUCAAGUUUCUUCUAAUUUAAUAAAUUAUGUUGGAGUAAUAGUGGAAUGGGGCACGCCACGUGAAACAACCACAAGCAUUUCUCAAACUUUAUUCUUAGCAUAUAAGAUAAUAUAUGGAGGUGUGACAGACAAUUUUUAAUUUUUUUUUCAAUUUAUCCCGGAUUCGUUUAUUACAACGUUCUCAAUAGAUAAACAAUAUAAAAUUAUCGUUGCCACAUAUUUGAACUCAUCACAUUUGACAGGUCUGAAGUAGAGUUGGUGAAAUUGGUUGUCCAAAAAGUGUUGAGUGAACUGAGGAAAAAGUUUGAGUUGAUUAUUUCUGAGAAUUUGGUUGGAAUUGCUAGUCAUGUGAACAACAUUAUGGAACUUCUAGAUGAUAAAUCUCAUGCCCUCCUAUUUGUUGGCAUCCAUGGAAUGGGAGGCAUUGGUAAAACUACUCUUGCUAAAACCAUUUACAACGAGCUAUCCAAUCAAUUUGAGCAUCGUAGCUUCAUUGCUGAUAUAAGGGAAUCAUGGAAGUGUGGAGCUCAUGUUUUACAGAAUCAGUUAAUCUAUGAUAUCUCGAAUCAAAAAAAUGAAGUUCAUAAUAAGGAUGAAGGAAUUAAUUUCAUCACCUCCAGGUUUAAAGAUAAAAAGGUCCUUCUUCUUCUUGAUGAUGUGGAUGAUGUUGAUCAAGUGAAUUGUUUGGCCGGUAAGCAUGAUUGGUUUUCUUUGGGAAGUAUAAUCAUUAUUACCUCCAGAAACAAGAGAAUUCUUGAAGUAGCUGGGGUGGACCACAACUAUGAACUUACGGAAUUGGAUUACGAGCAAUCUUUGAUUUUGUUUAGCAAACAUGCAUUUCGAAAGGACGUUCCUCCAAGUGAUUUUGAGGGCCUCACUCGUGAAGUUGUAUCCACCACCGGAGGACUUCCCUUAUCCCUUGAGGUUUUAGGUUCAUUAUUGUGCGGAAAAGAAUCAAAAGAAUGGAGAGAUGUGAUAAAAAAGUUAGAAAAGAUCCCUCGUAUAGAAGUGCAAGAAAAGUUAAGGAUAAGUUAUGAUGUAUUAGACAAUGGACAAAAACAAAUAUUUUUGGAUAUUGCUUGCUUUCUCAUUGGCACUGACAAGAGAAUCGCAUUCUACAUGUGGGACGCUUGUGAAUUUUUUCCAGGGGAGAAUAUUAAAGUGUUGACAUUUAUGUCAUUAAUAAAAAUUGGAGAUGAUCUUGAGCUCCGAAUGCAUGACCAAUUAAGAGAUCUUGGUAGGGCAAUUGUUCGUGAGGAAAAUGAGCAGCAGCCUUGGCACCGUAGCAGGUUAUGGGACUACGAGGAAGCCUUGAAAGUGCUAAAGAGAAAUAAGGUAACUGUUUCUCUUACUUUUGUUCCCUUAGUCCAUGUUUUCUUGUUAGAGUAGUGUUGGUCGUCAACUUAGUGCUUGCUCUAGUGAACAUAGAACCUUCUAAUAUUAGUAUCCUUGUGUUGUUUCAUUGACAUGAUUAGCAAGUAGGAGGUUGCUUCUCUCUUAGUAAGUAUCGUAGCUUAUCUAAGAUAUUUCUUAGACAAGUGUAUAUUACAAAGUUAUCGAAUGAGGUACUUUCAAAUUUUCUAGAUAUUGAUAGGGGUAUUCUAUACUGACAAAAAUCUUGAAUUUCUAUAUUGAUUUAGUUGUGUCCUUGACACAUGCAAUAAAUAACUUGGCUAUACGACUGUAAACCGUACAUACUCGGGAUAUAUAAAUCAUAUGUUAGAAUUAAUAUAAUAGGACUAACGAUGUCCACAUUUCUCAUGAAAUUUUAGUCACUAUUCCAUAAUAGAGAAUGGAAGGGAUACUUAUUUUCUACAUUAAAGGUCAAGGAGAUGAAUACUCUAAAAUUCUAUUCUGUAUAAUUAAGCAUAAGAUUGUAUUUGCAUUUGUGAAUUAAUCAUGAUUGCGAUUCUACUCUUUUUAAUCCAUCAUUUGGUUUGACUCCAGUUGUUGAUCAAAAGACUCUCACUUACUUACAGUCUCAACGUGCGCCGUAUGUAUAAUCACAACAGCCAAUUCAUAGAUUGACACGUUCGAAGCCAGUGUACCUUUAUUGUGUCUUUCGUACUACAUGAUAAAACAAACUAAACUAAGCAAAAUAAAAAUGAAUAUGCUGUAUAUUUUAUAUACAAAUAUAAUGGUAUAACUAAAUUUUACAACUAAAAAGGUACAGUUUGAUGUAAUUAUGUCAGUAUUCUUCCAUGAUUCCAUUUCGUUCUUCAGCCAUGGCACCAUCGUAAGUUGAAAUCAGAGUGGUUCUGCUAAAAAUGAUAUAAGUUCUUUUCAGUUUAUUCCAACAUUGAAUGAAAUAUUCGAAGUUAUUUUCAUAUAAAUUAUCUAAAAUACAAGCAGCUGAAAGAACCACAAUAUGCACCACUUCCAAUUGAAAAACAAAUGCCAAAUAUCCUUCUUUAUUUUCAAAAAGUACUGCUACCCCUUGUUGGUCCCAAGGGACGAAGGAGGCUGGGUCUGCCACUCAACUCUCAGCCUCUUCCUUUUACUAUUAUGCCGAACCUUUAGAAGGACCUUCUAGCGUAGGCUCCAUCGAAAUGCCACUUGAGAUCUAUCAAGGAAAUGAAGAAUUUCCUCCACAUCCUUCUUCUCAAGUGUUGCGCCUAAAGUACAUUGUAGAAAGAUUGCUUGUACAAGACGUCCUAUAACAUGGCAAAGCGACGUGAGAGGUCACCCAGUACUCUCCUUUGUCGAAGUUUUUAUGAAAAAAAUUCAUGCCAAGUGCGAAGCAAGGACAAAGCACUAGCACGACUUACUAAAUAAACAAAAUAAAAAAUGAAAGACAUUUAAAGCAUAAUAGAAACACACUCAUAACUCACUCGUUGGAUAUUAAUGAGUACACAGCCAAAUAAAAGAAGUACCGACUUUCUGGAUUGGGAUAAAGAUUUCACAAGUUGAAUAAAAUCCUAAAACGACCCAGCAUUUUGAAUGUGGAAUGAAAAUGACAUUACCUUUCAAACUCAUCCUUUUGCUCAUGGGACAAAAAUGACACCCGCCAUCAAUUCUGCCUAUUUUCACUUGAAUCACCUCAAGUCAUUCUACACAGCUCAUUGUGCGGAUAUGCACAGUGAACCAUGUUAAUCAUGACUAAAACUUUUUUCCUUUACAAAAAGCCAGGAAUUUUGUAACAAAUUGUUAACAUGAUUACAAAGUAAAUCACAACAUCCUUUUUGGUGUGGGCUGACAUGGGUCACUAUGUACGUUAGCACAAUGAACAAUGGUGGGUAUCCGUCUGUGGCGAUUUAAUAAUUAUACUAGAUAAAAUUUGUAUGUGGUGUCAACUUUCUUCUACGGUUAAACAGUUGGUCUUUUUUAUUGCAUUUGAAAGGUUAUGUUAUCUUUGUCGUAGAUGCUGAAGGUGAGGCUUGAUGGAUGUUUAAAAGGUUUUGCGACUUUUAUCCGAGCACAAAAGGUUGGUCUUAUUUUUGGGAUUUGGCCAAACCCUAGCUAUCAAUUUUUUAAGUUGAAAAAAGUUACACACCACACAAAGAAAUCUUGAAGAUAAAUUGGGCAUUCUUAUAUCUUGAGAGGAAGUUUAUGGAGGAAAAAGUACUGCUAGCAUAACAGUCUUUGGGCUAUUGUAACAAUAAUAACAUGUAAACCACAUAUUCUUAAAGGAGUGGAUCUCACAAUAAUUUUUAAUUAUUUGUUAUUUAUUUUUUUGUGAUUUACAACUGGUUGUUAAUCUUAUAGUAGAUUAAUAAAAGUCACUUAAGCAUUUCUUUGGGAGAAAUGACUAAUUUGAGUAGAUUACUUAUGUUGAAGAUUUCAUCCUUUUUCCUUUUUAUAGUUACUCUUCUCAUGGAUUCCUUUAGAGUGUUGAGAUCUAAAUCCUUCCCAAAUUGUUAUGUUGUUCACCUAUGAGUAUCCAUGAAAUCUUGUACAACAUUGUGAAGUACAAUAGCAAAAUUUCUGGUUCUGAGAAAAUGACGUGGAAGUCCAUCAACUUUGUGUAUUACUUCUUGACUUCUUAUGCAUAAGUGAAAUUUUUUUUGGUGAAAGCUUGCUACAAUUUGGUUCUCAAGAAUAACUAUUCUAUUUCCAUUCUAUUUUAAUGAAACAAUCAUACCUUCAUUUGAUUAAAAAAUAGAUUAGAAAUUACUAUACUGUCAAAAUGAGGAGUAGUUGUUCCUGGGGGGCCAAGGAAUAGCUAUUCCAUGUAGGCUUGUAGCCAAGAAUAGCUUCAAUUUUAACAUUUCUAAAAAUGCUUUGCACUUUUCACAAUUAAUUUUUCUAAUAUGUUUAUUAUAUAUAUAUAUUAUACUUGAGUAACUUGGUUAUUUAUGAUUAUGAUUAUAUCAAAUUGUAAUCUGUAGUUAAACUAAAAUUUAUGAUAAAAUCAUAAGUUAUAGAGAUUAUUAAUAUAGCUAAUAAGUUAUUUAUGAUUUUGAAUAUAUCAAAUUGUAAUCCAUAGCUAUACUAAAAUUUACGAUAAAAUAAUAAGUUGAGGAUAUUAAAAUAACUAACAUUAUUGUCUUAGUUAUUUAUGAUUAUAAAAUAAUUAAUUAAGAAUAUUUCAAUUUACUAUUGUAAAUAAUAAGUACAUAAUAUAUUAAUAUAACUAUUGUCUCAAUAUUCAGUUUCUUGUAAUUAGUUAUCACUCCAAUGGAAAAUAAGACUUUCUUUUUUUAUUAAGCAGCAUAGUCAAGUAAUUUACACAAAAUUAAUGUGAAAUUUACAUAGAGAAAAAAUAUAUUUCUAUUUAAAUAGAUCAAAUCAACUUUUGAUUUUGCACAUUGCAAUUUGAUUAAAUUCCUUGCGUUGCACGCUUGUCUUAACUACUAUGGUAAUGAAGUUACAGUACGGAAAAGAAGAAGAUUACAAGUGGUAAAGUUUUUACUUUGAAUGAACUGUGACAUCAUAAUUCUUUUUGAGAUCCGAAUGUGUAUGGCCAAAUUUCAAAAUGGAAGUUGACAUCCUUCACUUUGUUAGCCUUUAUAAAUAUUGUUUAGGGUUAAUACCCCGAAAAACCCCAAACUGGUAUAUCUGUGACAAAUUUAUCAUAAACUAAUUUUUUUACCACAAAAAACCCUAAAUUGGUAUAGCUUUGACAAAUUUACCCAAAACCGGUACAUUUGUGACAAAUUUACCCUUUGUUAGUGUUCGUUAAAUUUUAUCGUCAAAUUAUUAAAGUUAAAUGACACGUGACAGUUAAUUGGUAUAUCAAUUUGAGAUUUUAUGCUCUAUUUGUCACAAUUUACAUUUUUUGUGAUUUUUUGCUGUAUUAAUCCAAUUUAGUAGAUGGUAUAUUUGUCAUCAAUUUACCAGUUUAAGAUUUUUUACGGUCGAAUAAAUUAGUUUUGGGUAAAUUUAUCAUAAAUAUACCAGUUAGGAUUUUUUAUGGUCAAUCGGGGUAAAUUUGUUACAAGUGUACAGUUUGAGGUUUUUCGUGAUAAAAAAAUAGUUUUUGGUAAAUUUGCUACAAGUGUACUAAUUUGGGGUUUUUCAGGGUAUUAACUCUAUUGUUUAUUGGCGUAAAAAGAAAAAUCAUAUCUUCACAUUGCUGGUCUCUUGAAAACAUUAAUGCACAAUUGCAAUAUGAAAAAAUAAUGUUAGAUUACUUUAGUUGGAUUUAGUAUUAAUAAACGUUGAUUCUUGCUUGUAGGGAACAGACAAGAUUGAGGCCAUUGAUCUAAGUAGAGGCAACUCAGAAGGCCCCGACAAAAUAGUCGAGCGAGAUGGCGACAAUUACACAGCAAAACAAUUCAAAAAAUUGAAGAGUCUAAGAUUCCUUUUCAUGAAAGGGGCACAUCUUAGUGGAGAUUUUGAGGACUCAAUGGAGGAGUUAAAAUGGCUUCAAUGGCAAGAAUGUCCUGGGAAUUUUGAAGUAAACAAUUUUCACAUGCAAGAAUUAGCUGUACUCGAAUUGAAAAAUGGUAAGAUAAAUGAGAAAUGGGAAGGAUGGAAUUUUUUCAUGGUAAGAACUAAAAUCUUUUUUUCCUCCCUUUUUAUGCUUUCUUUUGAAUCAUAAUCACUCUAGACUCACCUCUUGACAAUCAUUAUUAUUUUUUUUUUCCCAGAAGGCAGAGAAGCUCAGAUAUCUAAACCUUUCAUGUUGUCAAUCCUUGGAAAAUACGGACUUCCUCUCAUCUUUUAAGAAGUUAGAGGUUCUCAUCCUCAAUAGGUGUGAGACACUGAAGCGAAUCGACACUUCCAUUGAAGACAUGGAGGGCCUCCUUCGCUUGGAGUUGUGCGCGUGUUUUUGCCUCAAGGAGCUUCCAACAAAAAUAGGUAAAUUAAAAUCACUGCAGCAACUCAAUCUAUCCAAUACUACAUCCCUUUUUGCAUUACCAAAUAGCAUAGGGUCCUUGGAGAAUCUAGAGAUUCUAGAUAUUUCUCGAAGUGGUAUAGAAGAAUUACCCAAUAGUAUUGGGAGUCUGAGAAAGCUCCGAGAGUUAUAUGCUUGUGGUUGCAGAGAUCUGAAAGGGAUAAUGGUAGAAAGCAUGUGUAAUCUUUCUUCCCUACAAUGCCUUGAUUUUCUUGAUUGCGACAAGCUCCAAUCCCUACCAAACCUUCCUUCUGGCUUAACAUAUUUGGGCAUCACCUGUCAGAGUCGCAAAUUGCCUUCGCUUUCCCACCUAGCCCAUCUUAAGGAACUACAACUUCUGCGUUGUGGAUUUCUUGAGUGCUUCCAAGAUCUUCCAUUAACACAAUUAAAGAGCUCAAAAUGCUCCCAACCGAUGGACAUUGAAGAAUUACAAUCACCACAAUCCCUAAACAUGCCCUCCAAGUUGAAAUUCUUGGAGGUCCAGAGCUGUGGAUCUAUCAAAACGCUGGACGUUUCACAACUUGUCCAUCUAAGGACAUUAAUUGCCAUAGGUUGCAACAAUCUACUUGAAGUUCGAGUCCUUGACAAAUUGAUAUAUUUGGAAAGCUUGACUAUCCAAUUUUGUGAUUCAAUCAAAUGGUUAGACCUUCCAAUAUUCGAGGGUCCGAAGAAAUUGGAUGUUUACUGGUGCGACAAAUUAGCCGAAAUUCAAGACCUUGAUAGUUUGGAGUACAUGGAACACCAAGAUAUAAAAAAUUGCGCUUCAAUUGAAAGGCUAGACCUCCCAAAAUCCGGGAGGCUGAAGAAAUUAGAAGUUAUAUGUUGUGAAAACUUAGCCAAAAUUGAAGGCCUUGAUAGGUCGGAGUAUUUGGAAAGUUUAGAUAUUUGCGGGUGCACUUUAAUUGAAAGGCUAGACCUUCCAAAAUCCAGGAAGCUGAAGAUAUUAUAUGCUAGUUCGUGCAAGAAAUUAGUUGAAAUUCAAGGCCUUGAUAGGUUGGAGUAUUUGGAAAGUUUAGAUAUCGCGGGGUGCAAUUUAAUUGAAAGGCUAGACCUUCCAAAAUUCGGGAUGCUGAAGAAAUUAGAUGCUGAAGGCUGCAAAAACUUAGUCGAAAUUCAAGGGCUCGAUAGUUUGGAGUAUUUGGAAAGUCUAAAUAUCUCUAUGUGCACUUCAAUUAGAAGGCUAGACCUUCCAAAAUCCGGAAGUAUGAAGAGAUUAGUUGUUCGUUGGUGCAAGAAAUUAGCUGAAAUUCAAGGCCUUGAUAGGUUGGAGCAUUUGGAAAGUCUAGAUAUCGAUUGGUGCAAUUCAAUUGAAAGGCUGGACCUUCCAAAAUUUGGGAGGUUGAGGAAAUUAGAUGUUAGAGGCUGCGAAAACUUAGCCGAAAUUCAAGAGCUUGAUAGUUUGGAGUAUUUGGAAAGUCUAGAUAUCUCUGAAUGCACUUCAAUUGGAAAGCUAGACCUUCAAAAAUCCAAAAGUAUAAAGAGAUUAGUUGUUGGUUGGUGCAAGAAAUUAGCUGAAAUUCAAGGGCUUGAUAGGUUGGAGUAUUUGGAAAGUCUAGAUAUCGAUGGGUGCACUUCAAUUGAAAGGCUACUCCUUCCAAAAUCCAAGAGUCUUAAAAUAUUAAAAGUUAGAGACUGCGAAAACUUGGUCGAAAUUCAAGGUCUUGAUAGGUUGGAGUAUUUGGAAAGUCAAGAUAUCAAUGGGUGCAAUUCAAUUGAAAGGCUGGACCUUCCAAAAUUCGGGAGGCUGAAAUUGGGAAAUGAUGGAAUAUGAAGGGGGACUCUAUGGACGACUCGGACGAGUAAUAUACCGGAAUGAUCUACAUUUUCUAAUGAAGGUACAUAAAGCAGGUAAUCAACCUAUGCUCUUUUGAGAUCUGCUGCCCAAUUUUCAUUUGUAUUUCUUACUUGCGAUAUCUUUCAAGAUUUAUGAUCAUCAUUAUUAUUUCUUGGUUGAUAGUGUUACCAUUGUUAUCUUGCUUGAAUUCAAGGAAUUUAGGGGAGAUGUUCAUGGAAGUUAAUGUGUGCUUUGGCAAAAUCGUUCUGCUUGUCAUGCCAGUAGCGAAAAUAGAUGAUAGGGCUUUCCAAGCGCAUCAUUUGACAAUAGUUUUCAAGUAAGAUCCUUCAUCCUAUACAGAAAAAUAGAGAUUCUCCACAUUUGAUUGAUUUUGAAAUGCUAGAAGUACUAAAAAACUGAAGUGUACAGGUUUUUGAUAGCAUGCCAAAGGUCAUUGUAUAGGUUGAAGAAAAUGCUAAAUGAAGGACCCUAUAUGGCGAUCCUUCUAAUGUGAGGUUUUAGUUUGCUCUACACUCAUCAUGUAGUUCAUGACUGCAUAUUUCUAAGGUACACUUAGGAGCGAAUUUCAAUGCAAAAGGAAUAUGUUGAUAGGGGAUCCCUUACUCUGCAUAUGCUACUGACUUGUCCAAUCAUUGAGUUUCAUGCAUUUUGUCUCACAGAACUGUCUACAUUUGUAGAUUUAGAUAAUCGUCUCAAUCUAGAAAUGCCAAAUGCAAGCACAAGCUCUUCGCCUAGUGGUGUGGCUAUGAAUGAACUAGCAAAUAGGGCAGAAGCAAAUGCAUCAUGAAUUAUUUAGAUGCAUCGAGAAAAUUGCAAUUUGAAUUUUUCUGACUAUGGAUCCAUGUUCAUUUGGUUUGAGUCUAGGGUAUACCUACUCCAAGACUUCCAAAGAAUGCAUCUUGAUGUUUGUAGAGUUGGUAAAGCCAUCUGUCGUAUACCUGAACUAUUGAGCCAGGCAAGACAUUAACUAGAAUGUCUUUUGACAUAAUCGGCUGUACUGCGAAAUAAUUACUUAUAUUGUGCAUAAGCUCUUGUUAGUUCAUUUACUUGCUGAAAAUAAAAACAUAGGAAUCAUUUCCAUUAGUUUCUUGAGGAAAAUUUUCAGUAUCCUAUAUUCCAUAUGAAAAUUGUCUUGCAUUAAUUCUAAUGCAUGAAUGGCACAUAAUGACAAGGAAAAAGCAUCAUACUAUGUCCCACAAAACAACCAUCUUGAGUUAAAUACACUAUAUUAAUUUGAUCAAAGCUUCUAUGGUUGAUGAUGUUAGAAGCCCUAUUAGUUGGAUCCAAAGAGUUCAGAAAGAACAUCAAGUUUGACUAAGUGGGUUCCCAUAAACUUGGAGCAUUAUUAGUAGUUUGUUGAUGUUAGUUGCUGGAUUGAUUUUAUCUUACUCACUGGCAAGAUUCAAUUAUGAUUCCAUUGAUUGAUGUAAAUGCUGAAAUAUCCAAGAGAGCUUUCACAAGGCGCUCUAAACAAAUGAAAUCAUAGAAGGAUCAAGAGUUCGAUGUUUCUUGAGCUUCUUCAAACCUGACAAUGCAUCCUUGGAAUGGUAAAAGGUUGUUUGCAUGUUGUCAUCCCACAUUUCUUCUAGUUUUUAAAGCUCUAUCCUUAACAACCCCUCUUUCAGCUCGCAUCCUUGCGAUUUGUUUUGGCACUGCUGCUGCAUUUUCAGCUACUCAUGGAGCUUUAGCUAUGGAGGCCAGCAACAGACCACUGUGCGUCAUGCGUCCAUUUCAAUUCUAGUUUUAAAAACCUCUAGCUUCUUAGGUUCAACUCCUAGCGUUCUUUUGCAACCUAAUGGCUGGUUGACUCAAUUGUUUUGACUCGGUUUUUUGAUGUUUGCUCAAUUUCUGACUGGCAAGUGAAGAUGACGGAGGGGAAUCAGAGAAGUGUUGGCUGGUGAUGGUCAUAGAGGACUCGAAGUUGGUGCUUCAUCACUUCAAUUGGCAGAGGCUGUGGACAAUCUCUCCUUGUAAUUGCUUUGAAGUGAGAAAGUUGGUUAGCUUAAUAUUCCUUGGAUACUACAGAGUAUGGUCAGCUUAGUAUUCCCUUAUGUACUCUAGCUGCUAUUUUGGUAGGCCUCCACUGGGUUGUCCUAUCCAUUUGUGUGCCAGAGAUUUCUAAUACCAUUGUGUAAUGGAACUUGGUCAUGUGUUAAAGGUCAGAAUAAUAUGCUGUCAUGCCUAGUAUUGUUUUCAUGUGCUCUAGCAGUUGAAUCAUUCUUUAAUCCAACAUGACCAAAUUACUUGCUAAACUAAUGAUAUGCAACUUUAAUGAUUCCUGGUUUCUGGGUUAGUUCUUCAUUUCAUGUCAUCUUGCUACAAUCUCCAUAAGUACUUAAGAGCACUUCAACUAGAUAAGGUUGACUCAAGUUAAGGUGGUUUGCUGGUCAUCAAUCGUGGGUUUUGUUGGUCCAACGCUAUUUUAGUUAUCCACACGGUAACGAGGGUUAAAUUGAUGGGUUGACUGUUGUUCUCAUUGGAUUGGAAGGUUCUCACUUUUUGAAAGAUCAGUUGUAAUUUCUUGCACUUUUUUGCCUUUGAUUUAUUCUGCUAGGUCAGGUCAGCAAGAUGUCUUACACGCAUUAUUAUGCCAGAGAAUUACUGCAACUUGGAGGAUUUGGGGACAGUGAAUAUCUUCAAAGGACACUCGCGAGGAAUUUCAACAGAUGGAACUUAGGUAUUGGCAAAAGAAUUAGAAAUGUGAAAUGCAAUAUAAUCUUAUUAGUGCAUAAAAGUUGUUACCUGAAUGCGUUGUUUAUUGCUCUUUCAUUGUAGAUUCUUCUUAUUUAUACUAUAUCUAGUUUUCCAUGCAUAGGUGUUCUUACACAUGCCACCUCUUUGGGAGAAAUAUGAAUUAUGGGACAAAACAUUGCUGUUACCUGUCGUUUGAAGAAAUUGCUUUUUUUCCCCUUUCAAGUCUAGUCCUCAUGCUAAUAUGUGUACCAAAUGUGAAAUUCUUGAUCUCUUUGUAUGCAUAACAGGAGAUUGAAUAUGAUUACCUGGGUUCAAAAUUGGUUUAUGUGAACAUCACAAUCUUUCACCUAAGAGCUUGUGCUUUUGUGUUACCGAACUCAUUAGUUUUUUGAGUUUGUUCGAAGAUCUUUCUAUCCAUUUUCCUAUUACCAUGAAAUUGUACAAAUAUUUUUCAUUUCCUUGCCUGAGUAGGCUGAACUUUGAGACUAUCGAGAAGGAGAAAAAGAAAAGGAAAUCCUUGGGGGGUGGGGUGUUGUCUUCUGGAUUGUGUAGUCAACAAUGGUUUUUCACUUACCCUCUUUCUAAUAAUCUUUGUUUCGUAUUUGAUCUCAGGUUGAUCACUUGACCAUGUAAUUGGAACUUAAGUUGGGUGAUCUUGUCGGGUUGGGCUUUCUGUCUAGCUUAUGAUAAUUGUGUAUGUAAAAACAGUAUCUCAUUUUUCCAAAUUAGUAGGAAAUAAUAUUGCCACAAUUCCCUCCUACAUAUGUUUUAGCAUCCACCAGAUACAUUCUCAUUUUGUUGUCCUUCUAUAAGGUAUAUACCUUUAAUCUGAAACUGCGAUUUUCUUCGGAGAUCUACAUAUGCAGAGUACAACUGCUUUUUCUUGCUAAUCAUUUCUCUAUAUGACUGCAGGUGCCUGUUACUUUGCUUCAUCUAAUCGAACUCGUGAAAUUGGUUUUACAGAUUAUAUCUCCUUCCAAAUAGUCUUUUUUAGAUGUUACAAACGGUAUUGCAAUGGUGAGGUGAUUUAUAAAUGAUUCAAGCAAUGUGAAGUAGGGAAGGCCUUUGGAAUCAAUCUUGUUGUACAUCCCUUCUGGUUACUAUUAUGUGCAUUUGGCUCUAUAAAAGGUGAAAGCUAGGUAUAUCAUACAAUAAAUCCAUUAUUUGCAAAUGUGGCUAAUAUAUUAUGUCGGAAACAUGAACUUCAAAUUGUUGUGUUGCUAAAUAAGAUUAAUGAUGCUUGUGAAAACUUGGGAGAUGCCUAGAUGAUGAUUUCGCAGACCAGUGACCUUCCAUUUAUGCAUAUUUCAAGAACCUCUUGUGCAAUUAAUCGAGAGUUGGACCAAUUGAAGGUAACUUGUGGAUCCAAAGCUUGCAUAAUGAUUCCUUACUUGUGAGAAGUAUAGGAUGCUCCUGAGUUCUAUUUGUCCUUAUACAUGUCAAUUCCUUAUUUAAGACAUUGAUGGCAGAAAAUAAAAACUAGGACAUUGUGCUUUUCUUUUGAGUCUGGUUUCAUAGUAGAAAUAGUGGUGGUCAACAACUGGUGGUAUCGACCUUGUCGAACCAGUAGCCAUGUGUACCUAUCAAUUGGUAACUCAGCAAGUCUGUCAACUAGUCUGGACCACUUCUAGGCCUUCCAAAAACUUUAAGGAAGAGUGUUGAAGUUGGGUUGGGGUUUGGAACUCUAACCUCUUGUAACUAAAAGGCAUGCCAACCAUCUACUCCAGUGUCUUCUUGCUUGAUUUUGUGGUGGAUUACUUAUUUAUUGACCGUAUUGGCUUAGUCUAUGAAAAAUUUGGACGAUUCUAUCGAGAACAGGAAUCCUGUCUUUGUGCUCAAGUAGCUUUGUCGAGUGACUAGGGCUUCUUUUGUUUAGGACAGGUGUAUUCUAUUUGAUAAUGUUACAUGCAAUCGGCUCAACUAGUUGAACUGUCAGAACAUGGUUCCACCAGUUUGACUGGUUGAACCACUAGUUUGGUUUUAAAAACGUUUGUUCCUUUGUUCUUCCUAUUAUGUAUCUGCUCUCCUCAUCAGCACAAGGUGUGGCAGCUUAGUUUCUCCUCAUACGUGCAUAUACAUCCUAUUUCAUCCCUGCAAUUUUUAAGGAUGUUAUACUUUCUGCCUUAACAUAAUUGCAAAAGUUGUGUUGACAGUUGGAGCCUUGUACUUGAAUGUAUGUUAAGGAAUGUGCAUUUGACGACCCUAAUGGGCUAGUAGUGCCACUUUUGCUUGGUUGUCUCAUUCUCACUUCUAGAACACUAACCCAGUGAAAUUACACAUCUUGGACUCUAUCUUACACCUAGAGAUGGAGAAUGAGAAGAUUUGCUACAGUCCCCAUACUAUAGUUCCUCCUUGUUCGUGGUAAAAAAUUUUACACCGCCAUACAAUUGAGCUAAGGAUCAACUUAUUGUGAUGCCAUCAAUUGUAUACUCUGAAAACUAUUUUCCUUGAGCUUUUUACCAUGUCCAUUUGUAGUUUGGAUUUUUGGAAACUUAUUGUUGCUCAUAGUCUUUCCUUUUUGUAUCAUUGUUUGAAACUUGCUAGUAUCAGUAACAAAUUCAUUUCAUUGACUAGGUGGUGGAGUUGAAUUAUCCUGUCCAUACUCCUUACUAAAUUCCCACUUUUACAACCUACUCUUAAGUUUAAAUAUGACUAGCAUAGGUACGUUGUGUCUCUCUAAUGGACAAUUUCAUGUUUGUUUUGACGGUUGAAAACGUGCAAAUUUACACCCCAAAUAAUAUUUUUUCAUUUGAAGAAGUAAAAUACUAAAGUAGUGCAAAAAAGAUGAAUCUUUAGUGGCCAGACAAAUACCAAAAGAAUAAUUAUCUUCUUAUGGUAGGUUCAUUAUAGUCUGAGUUACUGAUUAAGAACUAGUACAUACAUGUUCAUGAUGAUAGAUACUAUUUGGGUCUUCAGUAUAGAAAGAUACUAUAGAGCAUGUCACGCCCUGAUCCUCAGGCACGCACACAUCUCGUACUUUUGGUCGAUUUAAAAAUGCGAUAUCCCAGAACAAUAUAUCGCCGACCCUUUCAUUUAUAUAUGCACAUGCGAAAGCAAUUAUAAUUUCCCAGACAAUAAAGCAAUGGGAUAGAAAAGUAGGCCAUAUAUUUUUCUUUCUGAAAAUUCGCAACUACAUCUUUUUACAUGCAAACAAGGUCUAACAAGACAGGAUAGGAUUUCGAUCCUCAUCCGGGUCGUACUCGAUGUCAUACUCGGGGUCCUCCUCCAAGUACUCCUCUUCGGGUUCCUCAACAAGGAUCUCCUCGUUAAAUUCACGCUCCUUAGGCUUCUCAUCUAGGUCCUGAAAUGAUUAUUCAAUAACCACUGAGACAACGUCUCAGCAAGUUCUACCUCCCAAGACCCGAUUAGUAAAUUAAUACACCUUAGGGCUGCUUACGCACAAUAUGAGUUAGAGGACUUACCUUAGCCUCAGAUUCCACCUGCAUAUUAGUACAGAUCGAAUAAGCACACAAGCAAUCACAUCACAAAUCGAAGCAUCGAUCUAAUCGACUUAGUCGAUUUCACAUCAGGAAGACCACUCACGAUCAUCUCUCUUCAAUCAUUCAAUUCACAACAUCAAACCAAGGCAAUGAAUCACAUCAAGUCACAGUCAGAUCGAAUCAUCGAUCAAUCGACCUAGUCGAUUACCAGUCAGUCGAAUCAUUUCUAGGUCAUUCAUCCCACACCAAGCAAUUCCUUGGAUUUAGUGGCUUUACGGUCCCACCCGACCCUCUCAAGAUCUAGUGGCUUUGCGGUCCCACCCGACCCUCUCGAGAUUUAGUGGCUUUACGGUCCCACCCGACCUUUCCAAGAUUUAGUGGCUUUACGGUCCCACCCGACCUUUCCAAGAUUUAGUGACUUUAUGGUCCCACCCGACCUUUUUACAAUGCCAUACUAUGUCACCAAGCCACGUGUAUUCUCUAAGGCUACCUUUUCGUCAAGAUGACAUAUCUAAUCACCGACCCACGUGUCUUUCCCGAGCAACAUUCCAAUUCACUGGGCCACGUGCAUCCUCAAGGUGAUUUACCAACUCACUUUCGAUACUAACAACCGAUACCCGACCAAUUCUCAAUCACAAGGCCAAAAUUGCAUUAUUUAAUAACAUACUUAAAAAUGCACCGAUAAAUCAAUUCGACAUGAGUUAAAGCUCAAUUAAAUAAACAGACCACUCCACGACAAUCAGCACGAAAUUCCGGUCACCGGCCAUCCCGGUUGAAUUUCCGGAAAAUAAAUAAUUAAAUAAUUAAUUUCGAAAAUUAAAUAAAUAAAUACAAUAAAUUCAAUUUAGCACAAUAUAAAGCUCAAUUAAAUAAACGAAUUGCGCCAUGAUCAUCAGCAUAAAAUCCCGGUCACUGGCCAUCACAGUUGAAUUUUCGGAAAAUAAAUAAUUAAAUAAUUAAUUUCGAAAAUUAAUAUUUAAUUCCUAAAAAUACCACUUAGGCUCGAAUCGCUUAAUUAACACCCGAUAAAGGACGGGAAAAAUCCCAAGAAGCAUCCAAUAAAUACUACAUGCAAUUCUCUAUCUAAUUACACUAAUUACAUCACUAAUAUACAAAGCAAUUAACUAACAAUCACUAAUCAAUUCUAAUCUAACAACCUAAUUACACUUAAUUAACACUAAUCAACCUUUAAGUAUAAUUAGCGCACUAAUAAGGCAUUAGUGAGUAAAACUCACUUGGUACAAGCAGGGAUCGGGACACCGCGAUGGCGACGCGAUGGCGGCCGAAAUCCGAAUUUUCGGUGGUGUCGACGGACACUCGGGCCGGACCUACAAGCUUUGCAAGCCCACAGAAAUUCUGGACUUAGAUCGAACUUGGGUCAAUUGACUUCGCGGGCUGAGUUGCUGAAACUUCUUGGGCUUCAAAACUGGGCCUGCGUUACUAGAUCAUUGGGUUUAAUUGUAACUGAACUGGGCUGAGCUUCAUUGAUUUGUGGGCCGAACAAGAAAGCUUCAUGGGCUAAACAAACAAACUGGACUGGCUGUCUUCAUGCAUGGGCUGUUCCCGGCCCGGGCUUCUUGCUGACUCACGGGCUGAAGGAACGCCUUACGUGAGAGACACGGACGAACGGUGCUACUUCGUUUGUGGACUGGCGCGGCAGAGACGGGGAAGCAGCUGCUGGCGAUGAAGACACAUGCGGCUUCGUGGAUUGAAGAAGCUGGAGACAUGCGGAGAUGCGCACCAAGAGGAGUCAACCUCAGUGGUCGUACGGGUUGAUUUGCUGACCGACUUCACGAGUGGACAACACGGGCAGCUCAACCGAAAACUGAAGACGCAUGGAGAUUUCUUCGGUGGAUAGUGUUGUUGGCGUCUGAUCCGUGUGUGGGCUGUUGCGGUCAACUAAGGGGUUCUUGUGAGUGCAGCUGUUGACUGAAGGAGCUGGCUUCGGAGGAGGACUUGGAGCAUUGAAGAUGGAAGCAGCUUCGUCUGAGUUGCGACAGGCGCACGGCAGCUAGCACACGGUCUUCCUCUUCGCUGAACGCUGACUGGAGAUGCGGAGGAACGGACGAGUGGCGCGGCUGCUUCGUGGGAUGUGGGCUGAGCGAAUCAGCGAGGGUUUCGCUCGGUGGCUUUGCCGGGUCAACCAAGUGGUGUUGCUUGAAGACUUCUACUGAAGAUUGACUGUGGGAAACCAAGCAUAGUGGAGCAGGUUGGUGCGCAGAGGAGAACUCGGUGGGUCGGCUGAAUGGGGAAUUCGGUGGUGUUGAGUGCGUGUAAAAGAAACAGCAAGGUGGCAGAGGGAUAGAGGAGAGAGGACGGAGCUGUUUCGGUCUGGUUCGACGGAAAGGAAAGAGAAUAGAGGAAAGUAGAAAUAGAAGAGAUAAGAAUGAGAGAGGUGCCGUGGAGAUGAAGUCGGCGAGACUUGCUGGAGAAGCCGAAUGAGAGGGAGUCAAGUCAAAACAAAAUAUCUCAUUCAUGAUUAACAAACCAUAAAAGUCUUUAGCCCAACCAAUGGAGAAUUUGCUCCAAUUUCACUCCAAAUUAAAUCAUUUUGUUGUAGAUAAUUAUGCCCAUUUUCAGCCAACCUUUCCAAUGGGUCACUCAAGGGGCCAAUUUCUCCACAAUUCCACACCAAAUGAAGUCAAUUUGAGGACCGAACUGCGGUAGUUCAUCAUCCCUACGAAUUUGCACCAUCUCCUCACCAUUUACUUAAAUUUGGUGACCCAAAAUUCCUCUAAUAAUGCCCAUUUCAUAUAUUCGGGACGGGGCCGAAAUUCGGGAUGUCACAGAGCAUUCAUGGUUCACAUGUAUACGAUAGCCUCUUCAAGUACAUAAGUAUUGCUCCUGCCUAUGUUUUAGUACGAUGCAAGCAUUAUACUUAUUAAUUUUACCUAGCAAAGGUAUCAAAACGUCACAUUAGUUAUGGCCAUAUUAUAGGAACAUCGGAGUGAAAUCAAGUGGAAUUAUUUAUUCUUGGCUACAGCAGGUAGAGGUGUGGCUUGUGUUUUGGCCACAAGAAAGCUGGCCCUGGUCUACAUACUUGGACGAGGUGAAGAUGAAAUCUCAGAUUUAGAACGAACGUCUAUUGGGGUGGACCUCUAAUGCUGAGGACAGUCACUCCUAGCAAUUGCUCCAAAUUGAGAAAGCUCUCUUUUUUCUAUUCAGUGUGUGAAGUGCUUGAAUGUCUUCAAUGAGAACAUGAUGUUGAACUGAGGAGUUGGCAUUUUACAGAAAAAACCUAGUGUGAAUGAAGGUGAUCCGAGUGCAAAUCUAGAUUCUAUUCUAGUUUAUGUGGUGGUGAUUGUACUUGAUAUUACAAUUAUAUUAUGGUUGUUUAUGUGCACUAAUAUUUGUUUCGUUGGUAUCUAACUUAGUUUGGUCAUAAGGAAAGUAAAACGUGAAGUACCUCAGGAUACUACCAUCAUCCUUAAAAAGAAAUGGAUGGUUAAGGUGGAGCAAUUUUGAGGCAGUUUUCUUAGAAAUAACUUUGAACUUAACAUUGUGGAAGAACUUUCCUGCUGAUAAUUUUUAAUGCUUGAGUUGACUUUCGAGAGUCGCCAUCAGCUGAACAACAUGAUGCCUCAUACUUGGUAGUCUGAAUUAUCUUGUUUAUGCUUCAGAUUUCUACUCAACUGGUAAGUAUCGUCCUUUUUUUCCGUAAAAAGUCUCUAAAAAUCUAUUUAGUUUAGAUGUUGGAUGUUGUGAGGCAAAUUUGUUGCAAAAUUUUAAACACCGUCACAUGAUUCACACGUCAUUUUUAUUCUCGACUGCUCAAGGUCUACUUAAUUUUAGAAAACGCCUUUAGUUUCCAUUUUCAUAGAAACUUUUUUCAAUGUUUUGUUGACAAAAUAUUUGUUCAGUGAAAAUAAUGUCAUUAGGGAUAAAAAUUGUGAGAAUAUGCUCGGGUUACAUCACUUUCAAAAAAUAGUCAUCUUCAGUUUGUAAUUUUGAUUCUGAGAAUAGUUUUCCUUUUAUUUGUCGACUGCUUUCGGAGUGUUACCAAACUCAUUUUCUGCUAUGUUUUAAUUCUCAAAUUGAAAUCCGAACGGUCUUUUGAGAAUCUUUAUCAGUCGAAUGCCUCCUUAGAUUAUCAAUCUCUUUCUGUCUGCAGAAAAAAUGGACUUCAUCAAGUUGCUCAACAGGCUUUGAACAUUGAAGAUUUACUUCAUGUCAUUCGGCCAUCAUUAUCACUAAUGCAUAAGCAAUGGGCUGAUGCCAUUAACAUAUUUCAUGAGGAAGUUUGAUUUGCUGUCAAAGUUUGUUAGCGACCAUGGCAAGUAGUACUAUUAAUACAAAGCGGUAGAUGGCGUUUCACUUUUCUUCAUUUAACUGUUUUCGUUUGCUUAUCUAGGUCUUGACUCUCCCUCAGGAGGAAUUUUUCAGUCUAUCAGUUUCGUGUUGUUUCUCUGGGUGAAGUGGUAUGGCUAAUUUUUUAAGCUAUGGUGCUGCUAUAGGACUUUGGCUUUUUGGUUGGUUUUUAUAAUCAUAGUCUGCUAGUUGGUUUAGUGAUAGGGUAUGAAGUGUGUAUCAAAAGUUGUUUGUGGUGCUGGAAAAGAACUCCUGCUGGUUGUCCUCAAUCAUUGCAGGUGUGCAUUAUUAUCUUUGCAUUUGGCCUUUUUCCCAAAUAAUUAAAUUUCACGCAUCUCAAUGAGCAAUCUUGGAGGUGAUCAGAUAGAGACAGGAAUUUGUUAAAGGAAGUUAUGCUUAUGCACAUCUUGAGACACACCAUAAUUUUCAGAACAUCCUGAUGUUGAUUCUUCAUACGAACAUAUCGUAUGCAAUGAUCUGAAUUAAAAUCUAAUUUGAGUCUGAUUCAACAUGUUGGCAAUAUCUCCUAUAAGCGUAUAAUGGAAAUUGUGGGUCAUUAAUCAUUGGUUUGAACUUGAACUUGAUCUAAGUUUGAGCUUUGAGUGUACUGUACAUGGAGAUUUGGAUAUAUGAUGUUUAUACAUUCACAUUAUAGUUAGCAGGUGUAGAGAUAUGUUCUCAAUUUAAAAGGAAAUAGUUUAUCGCCCACUUUGAUCUUAGCAUAUAUCUCCUCACAAUUGCAAGUCAAUUUUUGUACUGAAAGAAACAUGGGAAUUGAGUUAAUCCCACUUGUUGUGCUGUAAAGGAAUGCCCUGCCAUGCCCAAAGUUCUUGCCUAAUAAAACCUCUGAUAACCCAAGAUAACAUAGCGCAAUCAUAGGAAACUGUCCAAAUUCUUGUUGAAGAACAAUGAAGGAGGAGUGCCGCGCAGACUCUGCCUCUUUUUGCUAAGGAAACACCUGUUGACCAGUAUUUUGUCUCAUUUCUAAAGUAAGGAUUUGUUCCCAGGUUGCUUCCCAAGCAAAAAGAGAAACUCUAAUUGGAAUUCUCACUUUUCAAAUCGAUUUCUGAGGAAAAUCUGUUUUGCCACGAAUCUCCCUAUCGAGCAGCUUGUAAUAAGAUUUUACAGAAAAGAUUCCAUCUCUUCUGUUAAGCAACAAAAAUCUUUGAAUUAUGCAACACAUAAAAGAAGGCAGGNNNNNNNNNNNNNNNNNNNNNNNNNNNNNNNNNNNNNNNNNNNNNNNNNNNNNNNNNNNNNNNNNNNNNNNNNNNNNNNNNNNNNNNNNNNNNNNNNNNNNNNNNNNNNNNNNNNNNNNNNNNNNNNNNNNNNNNNNNNNNNNNNNNNNNNNNNNNNNNNNNNNNNNNNNNNNNNNNNNNNNNNNNNNNNNNNNNNNNNNNNNNNNNNNNNNNNNNNNNNNNNNNNNNNNNNNNNNNNNNNNNNNNNNNNNNNNNNNNNNNNNNNNNNNNNNNNNNNNNNNNNNNNNNNNNNNNNNNNNNNNNNNNNNNNNNNNNNNNNNNNNNNNNNNNNNNNNNNNNNNNNNNNNNNNNNNNNNNNNNNNNNNNNNNNNNNNNNNNNNNNNNNNNNNNNNNNNNNNNNNNNNNNNNNNNNNNNNNNNNNNNNNNNNNNNNNNNNNNNNNNNNNNNNNNNNNNNNNNNNNNNNNNNNNNNNNNNNNNNNNNNNNNNNNNNNNNNNNNCAAAUUGUAGGAUCUGGAAUCUUCGGUUGCUUCUGCGUUGUACCUUUUACCGGUUUUGAGCAUCAUGUUCUGUUUCUCUAUACUCUUCUAAUGCUUCAUUUUUGUUUGUUUUUCUUUUGUUUUGUUCUAAUAUAUACUGAUGUACUGGAACUUUUUCUUUCAACAAAAUCCUUUAUUAUCUGGAGAAAAUAUAUUGCCAAUUUAUUCCCUUGCCAGAUCUUUCUCCAUUUACGUAGGCAUUUUUGUGUGUUGUGAACAUGUGCUUGGGUGUGCACAUGCAUGCGAUCAUGUGCUUGCACAGGUGUGCGCACAUGUACAUGCACUCUGUAGGGCUGUUGUUAAUUAAAUCAGAUUCUGUGCUUCUCGCGGGUACAGUGACUCUCAUGUACAUGCUACAUAUUCUUCUUGAUUACUACUAGAGUGAGAAAUGAUGUUUCCAGUUACAUUCUUUAAGGUUAUAGACUCUUGUUUCCUUUUUUUGGAUAAGUCUAUUAAAGAGCACCAAGAGGAUGCCUCCUAUUUACAAAUUUCCACCUAUAAGUUCAUAUUUACCUUAAAAAUUUUAGGAAAAAAAAAAAAGACUUGGUGUCUAAAGAACUGCCACCACAAUGUGAAAAAGAUAAGGUAGAAAGCCAAAUAUCUUUAUAGCACUUACAGAACUUUCCUCAUUUUUAAAAGCUUGCCUAUUUCUUUCUUACCAAGGCUUAUGAACUCUCUCUAACUCCAUGGUACUGCCGAUCAAUGCUUUCGGGCUCCUUUCUCCUUUUGUCUAGUCAAAAUGUGCAUUCAUGACGGUGUAGAAUUUUGUGGAAAAAUUACCAAGCGAUAAAAAGAUUAAGCUAUGAAAUAAAGAUGUGGUUUACUAUUUAAAAGUUAUAGUACUCCGCCUCUCUCGUAAGCUGGGACUUCACCUUACAUUGAAGUGUAAACAUUUGAUACUUGGGGAGUGUAAAGAAGUUAUCCUGUCAAUAUUGUGCUUAUAGCCCACAAUUGUCACAUAAAUGGCCUCUCUCUCUCUCUCUCUCUCUCUCUCUCUUAAAUCAACUUUGGGGCAGGACUUGAUAAUUUCACAUGAACAUUCCAAACUUCUAAUCUGUUUGCAUGAAUUGGAUGGUAGACUAGGCUCCAAUUCUUUAUUGAAUUUUCCAGUAUAACUUUUAUUUGGCAGAGACCCUAGAGUAUGUUGUUUAGUUCAAACACAGUUUGCAGAAGAUGAACAUGGCUCGUAAUGGCCAUUUACUGUGUAAAAUAUUUUCUUUUGUAAACUUUUAACUUCAAUGGUUCCAGCAAGUAACGUAUGUGGUCAAUGCUAUUUUUAUCCCUCAUCAGUGUCAGUUUUCUUAAGAGAUAAUAGUUGAUUUACGGGGUUAAUUAAUUGAUUUAUUGUUAUUUACUUAGCAGCCUGCUGUAGAAACUAUUGGCUUUAGAAUGGGUGAGCUCAGGGGUCUUUCAAGAUGGCGUUCUUGUUAUCUAGGUAUUGGUUCGGAUGAGACACUGGCGGAUAAUGCAGUGGAAAAGAUUGGAAUGUUGCUUGUACAGGUUGAGUGAUUCAUAAGGGUGCUCUCAUCUGUUGCGUAGCCGGUACGCUAAUUACAAUCUUUCUUGUGAUUUCUCUACCUUUCUUGAUAUCUUCUGUUUGCAACUAUUGUAAUAUCUUGCCUCUCAUCAUGUAUGGUAUCAUGUCUUUAGUGACACUGAAUUACUAAAAUUUAAACAUGAAGUUGAACUAUUUGUGGAUAAGAUAUGAUAUGGAUUUCUUGGAAUGACAUAUUGAUCUAAGUUAAAUAGCCUUUAAUUAUUUGAAAAAUGAUCUUGUUAUCAAUAUUGUAAAGGAUUCAUCAUUAGACGGUGGGCUUUACACGUGACUUGAACCUGUUCAACAAAGGUCCAUUUAGUACCUGUUAAGGUCGUUACGGAAUACUGACAAUAGCACAUUGUUGUCUUGUUGAUAUCGUCAUGCUUUUGAAGCAGCAAAAAAGAGAAAUUGCACGACUUUUCUGCAUCUUUGCUUCCCAUGCCUCACACAACUUGGGGUUUUUACCUUCUCAAUUCUCGCAUGCUACCCUGAAGAAAUGCAAUUUUACUUGUUUCAAAAUGAAAAGAUCAUAGUGUGACCACUAAUAUCUAGAGCAAGGUCAAAAUAUUGGUAGGAUCCUAUGGAGUUCUCGAGCCUGUGGCCGGCAUGCUUGUAGAAUUUGCCUUAGGGAUCGAAAGCAUAUUGUAUUGGUUAAUAAUGUGCAUGUUGCUGAAGCUUUUGCUUUUGUCUCUCUUUCAGUUUGCAAAUUUCUUCAGCUGGCUUCUGAAAUGUAUAAAGCAAUCGAUGUCAGAGCCAAGUGAUCAACUUUUAACAUACAGUAGGUUUGUCUAACUUUUGUCAAUCAGGGUCCUUCCUUAUGGUGAAUUCCUAUAUACUCUUUUGAGUUCAAUGGUGAACUUGUUGUAGUGUUCUUGAAGUUUCUAUAUGAUCAAGAUGCUGCUAUGCAUCUUCUAGAUCUUUCUGAGGCUGAUGAAGAAACUACCAUUGAUCCCUGAGUGAUUUUCUCUAACUUGUUCUAGUUCCUAAUUACAUGUCCUUUACAACAUGGCACCUGGAACCCCAGAAUCUUUAGUUCUUAGUUGCUCAUACCUGAUGGAGGCACCAAGUGGAAUCUUUGGCAUCACCAUGUAUAAAAAGCUUCCAGUAGAAAUUCCUUGUGUGUAUAUAUAUAUUGAAAGCUAAACUUUUUCCUGUCAUUUUAGCUCAGAUAUACUUUUACUUGGUCAUUGUUGAUAGAAUGGCUAGCCAUUGAAUAGUAAAUUUUUUCUCUUGUGAAUUAUCUCUUGAGUUUUGCUCCUCCUUGGUUUUCUUAAUGAAUUUCAUUCAGCUAAUAAGAAAAGGUUAACCUGGCCCUAGUCAUAGAAUCAUAUGUAUCGUCCGGAGACAUGAAGUGAGACUGGAUUCAUAAUUAGACGUAAGAUGACCUUAUAAUUCCAAGGGUGGUGGGUCAUCUCUUCAUCCUUUGUACCUGAAAUUUGGUGUGGCGGUGGCUUGGAUACUACAAGGUGUGGUCAGCUUAGUAUCGCCUUAAUGUACACUAGCGGCUAAUUUUGUUGGCCUUUGCUAGGUUGUGCAAUCCAUUAAUGCAGCAGAGAAUUAGAAUAUCAGUUUAUAAUGGAAAUUGGUCAUGUUUUAAAUAUCAGAAUGACAUGCUGUCAAGCCUAGUAUUAUUUUCAUGUGCUUUAGCAGCUGACUCAUGCUUUGAGGCAAUGUGACCAAAUUAGUUAGCAAAAUUGUGAAUGUGAAAUUGUAAAUGACUCCUGGUUUGGGGGCUAGUUCCUCAUUUCAGGUCAUCUUGCUAUCAUCUUCACCUAUAUUCAUUUUUGAAUUAACGGACACCCACCAAAGUGUGAAAGCUAGGAUCAUUCCCGCAAUAACACCUACAGGUUCUCCCAAUUCUGUUCGAUGACUAGAACAGGAAAUACUUGAGUGCACUUCCACUAGAUGAGGUUGACUCGAGCUAGGGUGGUUUGCUGGGCUUCAACUGUGGUUAUUGUUGGUCCAGCACUACUUUAAGUAACCACAUGGUAACAAGGGUUGAAAUUGACUGGUUGAUUGUCGUUUCUCAUUGGAUUGGAAGGUCAUAUUCCAAAAUAUCAAAUGCAAUUCCUUGCGCUUUUCUGCCCUGAUAUAUCUUGUCAGGUCAGUGAGAUGUCUUACCCUCAUUAUUAUCUUAGACAAACAAUGCAGAGAAUUGGAGAAUACUGCAGUGUGGAGGAUUUUGGGGACACGGAAUAUUUGCAAAGGAUACUUGUGAAAGAAUUUCAAUAGAUGGAACGCAGUUAUUAGCAAAAGAAUUAAAAAGCUGAAAUGUAAUGGAAUCUUGUUCGUGGAUAGGAGUUCUUGCUUGAAUGUAUUGCAUAUUGCUCUUUCAUUGUAAAUUCUUCUCAUUAAUCCUAUAUCUACUUUUUCCAUUUAUAAUUGUUCUUACACAUGCUACCUCAGUGGGAAAAAUAUGAACUAUGGGAUAAAUCAUUGCCGUCAUCGGUUGUUUGAAAAGAUUGCUUUUCCCCCCUUCGAGUCUGGUCCUUGUUGCUGAUAUGUGCACCAAAUGUGAAAUUGUGGGUCAACAAAAGUUUGAAUAUGAUACCUGGGCUCAAAAUUUGUUUAUGUAAACAUUGCAAUCCUUUAAUUAAAAGUUUGUACUUUUGGUUUUACUCGACUCAUCAAUUAUUUGAGCUCAAAUAUUCAUUUUCCAUUUGGCAAAUUCAGGACUUAUGUUAAUAGGUUUGGGGAUAAUUCUAUCCAAAUGCUUAUUAGCAUAAAGUUGUCCUAUAUUUUUCAUUUCCUUGUCUGAGUGGCCAGAACCUUGAGACUAUAAUGAGAGAAGGAGAGAAAGAAAAGGAAACCUCUGGGGGUUAGGGGUUGUCAUCUGGAGGUUGUCCUCAACAAUGGUUUUUUACUUACCCUCCGUCUAAUAGUCUGGUUUUUCAUAUUUGAUCUCAGGUUUGAUUACUUGACAGUGUAUAUGGAAGCUUUAGUUGGGUGAUCUUAUGGGAUUGGGCUAUGUGUUUAGGUUAUGAUCCUUGUGUAUGGAAAUACUGUAUCUCAUGUUUCCUGAUUAGAAACUAAUUAGAUAAUCACAUUUUCAAGGAAGCUACCCAGAUGCCUUUCUCUUCUAUUUUGAAAAAGAUACUUUGUGAGAAUUUAUUGCUACAAUUCCCUCUUACAUCAGUUUCAGCAUCCACGAGAUAUAUUCGCAAUUCACGGUCCUUUUAUAGGGUAUAUACCUCUAACCUGAAACUACAAAUAUUAUCUAGAAAUCCACAUGUGCAGAGUCCCAACUGCUUUUUCAUGCUAAUCAUUACUCUGUAUGUUAUUGCAAGAUGACUUGAAUUUGCUUCAGAUUAUAUUUCCUUCCAAAUACCUGAGGAGUCUUUUUUAGAUGUAACAAAAUGUAUAGCGGUAGUGAGUGGACUUAAGAAUGAUUCAAGCAAUGUGAAGAAGGGUAGAUCUUUGGAAGGACCUUGUUGUGCAUCUCUCUUGGUCACUGUUGUGUGGAUUAGGCUCUAUUUGAGGUAAAAGCUUUGUAUAUCAUAUUUUGUAGCCCAAAUUUGCAAAUGUGGCUAAUAUAUUCUGUUGGAAGAAGGAACAUCAAAUUAUUAUGUUGCUAAAUAAGAUGAAUGAUACUCAUGAAAACUUGGGAGACGUCAGGAUGACGAUCCUGCAGGCUAGUGACCUUCCAUUUGAGCAUAUUGCAAGAACCACAUAUGCAAAUAACCGGGAUUUGUACCAAUUGAAGGUAACUCUUAGAUCCGGAGCUUGCAUAUUGUUUUCUUACUCGUGAUAUCUAGAGUUCUAUUCCGAUCAUGUCAAUUCACUAUUUAAGACAUUGAUGGCAAAAAGAAAAAAAGUAGCAUAUUGUGCUUUUCUGUCGACUCCUGUUCGUGUCGGAGUUUUAAGAAGUGGCUCUGGUUGGACUGGGAACCAGACCUGUCCGGUCUGGUUUCCCAACAGAAAUAGUAUUGAUCAAGAACCGGUGGUAUUAACCCUCUUCAACCGGUAACCAGGUGUACCUAUCAACUCAUACCUAGCAAACCCGUCAAAUAGUUAGGACCAGAUCUGGGCCAUAAAAAAACUUAAAGGAGUAGUGUUGGAAUUGGGUUGGGGUUUGGCACUCCAACCUCUUGUAACUAACAAGCGUGCCAACCAUUUGCUCCAGUGUCUUGCUACAAUUCGUGGUGAAUAAUAUAUUUAUUGACCAUAUUGGCCUAAUCUAAAAUUGAACAGGAUGCUAUUAAGAUGACAUCAAGCGUGCAUAAUCUAUUAAGAUGCUAUGGUGUCUGCUGAUUCACUGGGCUUCUUUUGUUCUGAAAGUGUGUAAUCUAAUAUAUGCAAAGCAUUCUAUUAGAUGACAUCACAUGCAAUCGGUUCACUCGGUCGAACUGGAAGAGCACGGUUCUACCAGUUUGACUGAUUGAACCACUGGUCUGGUUUUAAAACAUUUGUUCUUUUAUUGUUCCUAUUUAUUAUUUAUCUGCUCUUCUCAUCAGCAUGAUUAGCAGCGGAUUAGUUUUUCCUCCUAUGUGCAGAAUGCAUACAAAUGUCAUUACGUGCUUGCAAUUUCAAAGGGUGUUUUACUUUCUGCCUUACCGUAACUGCAAAAAGUUCCAACAUACCUUGACAGCUGGAGCCUCGUAUGUAGGUUAAGAAAUGUGCCUUUGAUGGCCCUAAUGGGUUAGCAGUGUCCUUUUUGCUUCUAUGUUGUUAGGUUAUUUUUGCUUGGUUGUAUUAUUCUCUCUUUUGAAACACUAAUCCAGUGAAACUACACAUCUAGGACCAUAUCUUACGCCUAGAGAUGGAGAAUGAGAAGCUUCGCAGCAUUCCCCGUACUGUAAUUCCUUCCUUGUCAGUUGGUGGUAAGAACAUUUUGACACUGUCAUGCCAUCGAGCUGAGGAUCAAUUCAUUGCUAUGCCAUCAAUUGUAUAGUUCUGAAGGUUUUUUCUUUGAGCUUCUUGCCAUGUCCAUUUGCAGUUUUGGAUAUCUGGAAACUUAUUGUUACCCAUGCUCUUUCCUUAGGGAUCAAUGUUUGAUAAACUUGGCAAUGUCAGUAACAAAUUUAUCUCGUUGGCUGGGUGAUGGAAUUGAAUUAUUCCUGUGCAUGCUCCUUACUACAUUUCCACUUAGAGCCUCCUAUUAAGUUCAAAUGGGACUGCAUAGGGACACUGUGCCUCUUUAAUGGACCACUUCAUGUUUGUUCCUAUAGAUUGAAGAAGUGCGAAAGUAUGCUCCAAAGAAGAAAAUUUUUUGGUCGAAGAAGUAAAAAAAAAUUGAAGUAUCAGGUUUUCCCCUAAAUUUUAAAUCAAUUGAGAGGACAAAGCACAAAAUGAUUUUAUGGUCGCCAAACAAAUUCCAAAAGAGUAAUCAUUCUCUUGUGGUAGCUGCAUAGCAGUCUGAGUUACUGACUGAGAACCACCAUUUACAAGUUCAUGACCAUAGAUACUACCAUGGUAUCUAGCGUAGCAAGAUACUGUAGAGCAUUCAUAGUUACACGCAAGCGGUAGCCUCUUUAGGCGCACAAGGUUUGCUUAAUGCCUGUGUUUUAUCAUAAUGCAUGUGUUGUACUUUUACCUUUACCCAACAAAGGUAUCUAAACAUCACGUUAGUUAUGGCCAUACAUUCAAGGAACACCGAACGAAAAUCAAGUUGAUUUUUUUUUUUUUUGGGCAACGGCAAGUAGAGGUGUGACUUGUGUUUUAGCUGCAAGAAAGCAGGCCCUGAUCUACAUACUGGACGAGUAUGAAGAAGAAAUCUCUGAUUCAAAAUGACUGUCUAUUCAAGAGUUUGUGGUGGUUAUGCUCAUGUUGCUGCUGUGGGUGGACCUCUAAUGCUUGAAGCUGCAGACAUUGGUGUAAGAAGCAAUGCAUGUGGGCUUUCUCACUGAAGCUCUUCGACUUCACCCUUUUUGGAGGUCUUAAUCUAUACCUGCCAUGUGCCUUUUCUGCUAGGCGGGUAUUUGUCGAUAGAAAAAGUGGAGUAAAAGGUAGCGAUUAUCUAUUGAGUCGGAUAGAAUUGAUUGAAAGAUGCUGAAUCAUGGCUUCUAUCCGGUGGUAACUGUCGUCAUGGUAUUGUUGUAAGCUCUGAGACCUGUUCGAUGGUGCCAAGCUUUUGCUUCAUCUGUAUAUGUUUACUAUUUGCAUGUGUAAGAGAACCAAAUGUUUGGUUUGGAUUAUCUAUGCUUUUGGUUGAAUGGUUCGGGCAGUGUACUCGACUAACAAGCUCUGCUUUUGAAUGUUGAAAUCUCUCGCCUGAAAUUGACUUGCUUCUCCAUCAUUGUUAAGUGACACAUCCGAUCCAAUGUAGAAAAUACAUUCUUGUGGGGAACGUCCAGAUAUAUGGUUUCAUGGAGUCUUUUAAUUCAGUGAUGUACAUUCAGGAAUCAAUAAUUCUUUAAUUGCAGUAUUCUUUCUCUCGGAAUUAUUGCCAGUCUCCAGGAGAAAGUAUGCACGAAUGUAACGUGUUCGUUUGUGAUACUUCUUUUCUUAUGUUUAUUAUUUGUCGUGAUGAUAGCUCUUUGGGAACUUAAAGCUGAAUUUACUCUGAAAUUAAAUCCUUCUUUAUUUAUAGCCCUUCCAAAUCUUUUACGUCUUCAAUCUAUUCUUCCGAAUGCAAGUACAGAAAUAGUGACGUUUAACAUUAAUUAUUAGAUGCCGACCAAAAAAAAAAAACAUUAAUUAUUAGAUGGGACAAUAACAUUAUCAACAAAAUAAAUGAUUGUUAAUAGGUUCGCUGCCAGUGCAAAUCCCAUGUAAACUUUAAAUUCCACGACCUGUUUUACACAAGUUCGUUUUGGAGAAAUGGUCGUUAAAAGUUUUGACGACUGAGAAAAUAAGAAGAGAAGGUUGGGAAAAGAAGUACUGCUAAGGAAGAAGCUUUACUGUUAUUAGGAAAUGUCUAAGAAGACAACUUGUGUCUAUCGAACCAGACAACUCUGGCUAAACCUUCUAUUUAUUGUCAUUGUAGAACCUCAAAAAAUUUACUUUUGCCACUAUUCUCAGUAAUAAUAGAACUUAUGAUCAUUUGUAACUCAACAGCAUUAUUAAACUAACCGUCCGAAUUGUUGGAGAAUAUCAAGGUAACCUAGCAUCAUGUCUUCACUGUGUGUGUUCCAAAAAAUAGCUUCAUUGCCUGUGGAUAGCAACAAACAGGCAAGACUUAAUACAUGGGAGUUGGGACUUUGAUCAGAAAAUUAGUCACUUAAGAAGGCAACAAUGCUGAUCUAUACACAAACAAAUAACUUUAUUAAUGAUGACGAGUUCAAAAUCAGAUAAGUACCUAAUAUGCCUUCAUAUUAGUUUUGUCACGCCUCGAACCCUGAGCACGUGCAUAUCCCUCAGCGGUCGACUAAAUUGCAACGUUCUUAGGACGCGUCACCAACCCUUCCUUUUUAUGCACAUGCGGAAGCGAAAUAUAAAACCUAAACCCGAACAACAUCAAACAUGGGAUAGAAAAGUAGGAUAAUCAAAUUUUCACAAAAUACACAUUAAAUACAAGCCUGUUCAUUCCUACGAGUCUGUACACUAAAGGUCUGCCCUAAAAGAACUACCGGACAACUUAUACUUCGAACCCCUUCAACUCUGGCUCGGGAUCCUCCACGACACCCUUCGGUAUCUCCAGACUAGGGACCUGAAAAAUUGUAAACCACGACGGGGUAAGAAUAAAUCUCAGCGAGUCAACACUCUAAAUCCCGAUUAUGACGAGAAUUCACUCAAAAGCGUCCUAAACAAGCACAACUCAGAACUUACCUCGCCUCAACAUCUUUCGGCACAUUAGUGCAUCUCAUAUGCACUUAUAAACACAACACGCGUAANNNNNNNNNNNNNNNNNNNNNNNNNNNNNNNNNNNNNNNNNNNNNNNNNNNNNNNNNNNNNNNNNNNNNNNNNNNNNNNNNNNNNNNNNNNNNNNNNNNNNNNNNNNNNNNNNNNNNNNNNNNNNNNNNNNNNNNNNNNNNNNNNNNNNNNNNNNNNNNNNNNNNNNNNNNNNNNNNNNNNNNNNNNNNNNNNNNNNNNNNNNNNNNNNNNNNNNNNNNNNNNNNNNNNNNNNNNNNNNNNNNNNNNNNNNNNNNNNNNNNNNNUAACGUCGCAAAAAACUUCAACGCCUGUGUUCUAGGCCCUUGAUUAUACAAGGCGCAUAGCUUAAGGUUCUAGAGGUAACUCACACGAAGUUUCGCUAUCGUGUAGCACUUAGCCUUUAACUACACAAAGCAAUAGCUCAAGGUUUUAGACGUAGUUCUCAUGCGACUCAAGUCGCCAUGUAGCACUUAGCCCUUGACUACUAGGUUCUAGAGGUGACUCACACGAAUUUUCGUUGUCAUGUAGCACUUAGUUCUUUACCCAAUUACAACACAUUUGACUUCCUCGGCCCAACACAUCAUCUCAUCUUUCAAUGGUCAUCACAUGAUCACAUGAUCACAUAAUCACAUAUUGCCCUUCAAUGGCCAUCAUUUGCCAUGACCAUAAACCAUCACCAUAGCACAACCAUUCACAUCUCAUCACGCACAAGUUCCAAGCAUAUCACAGGUCAACUACAUCACCAAAUAUGCAUUUUCCAACAAGCAUAGCAUCAAGAACCAUCAUAAACUACUACCAGUCCUAAUCGGCAAAAAUGGUCCACUCGUGUGUUUCCAAGUUUAAAUCCAAAAACCUAAUCAAUCGAGUUUGGAAAAUUCUGAAAUUUGAAUAUGUUCUAAAAGACAUAUAAACGAGAAUUUUUCAUGAAGAUACCUCAGCCCAGAUCUCUGGAUUAAGAGCAGUAAAUCACCUAAUCCGGUACAAAAACUGGGUCAAUUUCCAGAGAUCAGGUUUUCCAAAACUAGCUUGGUUCGAGAUCCAAAAAUUGUCCAUUUGAUCUGAAAUUUAAUUAUGUUAAACUAAAAGAUGUGAUAAACAACUUUUGUGAAUAAACCAUUUCGAAAAUCGAACCUUAAAAGUGAAUAAAAAUCCAUUGAACAACAAAAGGUCACAAGUUUAAGCCCAAAUAGAGGUUCCGUUUGCAAAUGACGAAACUAAUAUCUCUUUCUUUUAAAUCCCUAAAAAUCUUGAGAAAAAUAUAUGUCAUAAUUGAAGAUGUCUAAAACAUUUUUCAAGUAGGAAUAAAUCUUAAAAUCGUAGCCCAUUUUGAUCCACAAAAAUGGCAAACGGCAAGAGUCCAGUGAACUAAUUUGGGAGAAAUCCCAUCAAAUAGGCUAAACCAGCCUCAUUAGUGCUAAUAUCACCAAUUAGAUUAAUAUUAAUCUAUAUUAAGGCUAAUCUAACUAAAUUAGAUUAGCACUAAUCCAUCUUAAGGUUAAUCUCACUUAAUAAUAAUUUAACUAAGCUAAUGGACACUAAUAUAAUCUCCUAAGUGCAAUUAACAACCUAAUCAAGGAUUAGUGAAUUAACUCAUCGGAUUAGCAAGCAAACGGGUUCACGGCGAUGGCGAUGCGAAGGCGGUGAAGACCUGUGUCUACAGCGGCUCCAAAUGAGGCUCGGAAGGCACUGAAAAACAACUCGCAAGCCUUUGCUUGUGGUUGGAACAAGUUCCACUUCUGGGCUUGUUGGUCGGUCAAUUUGCUGGCUGAGGAGCUAGGCGGCUGGUCACAGAGGCUGGUCACUGUGUGACAGUGAGGCGGACGUGGGGUGGUGCUAGACACAAAGCUGCUGGACUGGACGCUGGUGACUGGGGCUGCUAGACAGAGGCGUGCGGCUGUGGUCGAGGUUGCUGGAUGCAACUGGGGUUGAGGGGAGGUUUGCUGAACGUGAGGUGGUGUAGGGGGGUGCUGUGGCGGUGGGGGAGUGANNNNNNNNNNNNNNNNNNNNNNNNNNNNNNNNNNNNNNNNNNNNNNNNNNNNNNNNNNNNNNNNNNNNNNNNNNNNNNNNNNNNNNNNNNNNNNNNNNNNUUUGAAUUUGAAUUGAUGAUGAUGUCGCAAAUGGAGUGUGAUUGUGAUAAAUAUGGAUUCUUAUAAAUCCUAAGUGUAGAAAUUGAUGGGAGAUUGUCUGUGAUUGACCACCUAUUAGAGUUCGUGCGCAGAGAGGCUGUGAUGUACCACCUAGGAGAGGUCGUGCCCAGUGAGGCCGUGAUUGACCACCUAUCAGACGUUGUAUCCAGUGAGGCCGUGGAUGUGGGCGAAUUGAAGAGAGAGAGAGAGGGAUGAAAGAGAGAGGGGAAGCCAAAGAAGUGUUAUGCCCCCAAGGUCAAGGCUCCAUCCAAUUGCAAAUUUCCUCUUAUUUCUUCACCAUUUGAGGCCUUUUUGGUGUCCAAAAUUCACAUGGCAGCCACCCCUACGAAUUUCCAGCUAUUUUCUUUCAAUCUCACACCAAUUACUUCAAUUCGAUGGCCCCAAAAAGCCAUGGCAGCAGCCCAUACCAUUUCCCUUCAAGUCUUCACAAAACAAUUCAAUUUGAAGGCCAAAAAUCCCAUUGAAGGUGCCCAUCCGAAUUUCUUGAUUUUUAAUUUGCCGAAAUUGAAUUUUUCGCCAAAAAUUCUGGGCUCGACGGAAUAUUUUCAAAAGAUGAGACGAGGUUUUAAAAAUGAAUCAUGACACCCUCAAAUGUUCAAUUCCCGAAACCGAGUUCAAUUUCGUGGUUAAAAUCAACGGGAUGUGAUUUUAGUCCAAUCCGACAUACCGAGUAGCUUUUAGGGAUUUUACCGCGGUUAUAUCCCGUAACGGCUUCACCUAAUAGGUUAGUUACUUGUGAGUGAUCAGCUCAGAGAAAAAGAACCAUAGGCACAUCGGUGAAAAGCCUAUUUCAUUUUAUCGAGACUCGGGAUGUCACAAGUUUAACCAACCAAUUCUUUUCUAAUAUGAUUUUCAAGUCACCUAUUGAUAAAAAAAAAUGCAUAUAGAAACAUGUUGCCGUGUGCUUGUUACAUCCUUUCGUAUCUACUUAGUGGUAAAAAUAUCUUGUCAAUAUCCACUUGGCAUCACCCAAGUGAAAGGGAGUUUUAGCUAUUCAAAGUGUGGAGACAAUUGACAUCGUUUCAAGCCAAAUGAGUAUUGGAUGUUUUCAUCACACAAUCUUAGGGGAAAUUACUAAGAAAGUCAUGAGGCUAUUGCACUUGCACUAAUUCAGUUCUAGACUUUCAAAUUUGGCUAAUUGAGUUCUAGACCUUUUGGCUGCGCAUGAUAAAAUUUAUGUUUCUUGAUUUCUCUAUUUCUCUAUUCCCCGGAACAGGUUUGGAACAGAAAUUUGUUUGAUAACCCAAUUUGAUUUCUCUAUUUCUGAAACAGAUUUCUAUUCUAGAAAUUGAUUUGGAGGAGAAAUCAAAAGCUAGAAAUUGUAGCUUCUCUGUUUUUGAAAUAGAAACAGAAAUUAUUUUCUUUUCUCCAUCCUUCAAAAAUAGAAUUUUUGUUCUCAAAUUAGCAAAAGAGGUUAUCAUACCACCUUCCUUUGAUGUUGUCCCACAAGAAAUUCUUAUGGAUCCUAAGCAUAAACGUUACUUCAAGGUAGAAUUCUCAUAUAUUCCUUUACACCAUCAAUUUUAUUUUGUUGAUAAUCUUGUAUAAUACUAGUCUUUGAUAAAAUGAUAGGGUUGUAUUGGCUCUAUUGAUGGCACCCACAUUCAUGCUUCUAUACCUGUGUAGAAGCAAAUCCCAUUUAGAGGUAGGAAAUGCACCACCACUUAGAAUGUGAUGUAUGUUUAUUCAUUUGAUAUGAAAUUUACUUUUGUAUAUGUUGGUUGGGAAAGCUCUGUCAACGAUUGUUGAGUGCUUGUAGCAACACUGGAGACUCCUCACUUGGAGUUUCCUCAGCCACCACUAGGUAUUUGUUUGUCUUUUAAGGAGUAAUUUUCUUUAUGAUCAUAUUUAUAGUUUAUAAGUUACGACCAAUAUAUGAAUACAUUGUUGUAGGCAAAUACUAUGUCAUGGAUUCUGGUUAUGCAGCAACUCCGGAAUUUUUAACUCCUUUUAGAGGUGACUGGUAUCAUUUAAAUGAGUAUAGGGGUAAAGCGAGACGGUAAACAACUGCAAGAGAAUUUUUCAACUAUAGGCAUUCUUCUUUAAGGAAUGUCAUUGAAAGAUCAUUUGGGACAUUGAAGAAUUAUUUUUUCAUUUUGAGACACAUGCCCUCAUUUGCAAUUCGAAAGCAAGCACAUAUCGUAAUUGCAUGUUGUGUUAUCCAUAAUUACAUCCGUGAUCAAGACAAGAUGGAUAAGAACUUUUCCCUAUAUAGAGAUCCGAUGUACUUGGCUGAACCUACGCAGGAUGAGCUUGCAAAUGUUCAGUUGACCGAAGAGGGAAACCAAAUAAAUACGCUUAGGAAAACCAUUGCCAAUAAAAUGGCAAGGGAUAAUAAUGUGGCGCAAAUUCCAUGAAAUUGUAUUUUCAAAUUUUGUAAUGUAUUAGUAUUAUUUUGACUAUUAUUUUGUAUUUGAAGAUUUCAUAUGUUGUUAUCUAUCCAAUUUUUAUUCCUAGAAAUAGAAAUUUUAUUCUGUUAUCAAAUGGAUUUCUGUUCCAGAAAUAGAAAUUUUGAAUUGUUAUCAAACGGGUUUCUUUACUCAGAAACUUGUCUGGCGAAUAGAAAUUGAGAAAUCAAUUUCUGGCCAGAAAUCAAUUUAUAUUUCAAAAAUUUUAUCAUGCACAGCCUUUGAGGAUUUACCAAUGUAAUCUAUUUAGUGAAAUUUUCAGUGAAAAUUGCCAACGUAGAUAAUGAUUCCCAUUUUUUAUUAAUUCUUUUGACAUUUUUCUUUUCUUUUUUUUUUAACUUUUCUUUUUGCCAGUGGAUGAUUGCCAGAUACUUAGGGGGUGCAUGACAACCACCUGUUUCUAUUCCAGAAACAAUUUUUCUAUUCCAAACUUGUUUCUGGAAUAGAAAUCCGUUUGAUAAUAUUAUUUCAUUUUUCUAUUUCUGAAAUAGAUUUUUGUUUUAAAAAUAGGUUUGAAAUAGAAAUUAGAAGUAAAAAUUUUCUACUUCUCUAUUUCUGGAAUAGAAAUAAGAAAUAAAAAUUAUUCUCAUUAUUUGUCAACCGGUCCUUCAUCCGUCGCCGCCAACCACCAUCCGCCACUGCUAACCACCAUUCGCCACCGCUGCCGGUUGUUGUCGAUCGUUGGCCACCGCUGAUCAUUGGUUUGCCGCCGUCCGCCGAUCUGUCACCGUCCGAAAGGAAAAAAUUUUGUAUUAUUAUCAAACGAAUUUCUAUUUUUAGAGUAGAAAUUUUAUAUCGUUAUCAAACAGUUGAUAACCAUUCUGGCCAAAAAUUGAUUUCUGGAAGAGAAAUAGAUUUGUCUAUUUGUAUUUCUAUAUGAGUUUCUAAGCAAAAAUAACCAUUUGAUAAAGAUAUAAAAUUUCAACUCUAAAAAUGAAAAUUCGUUUGAUAAUGACAAAAAAUUUGCGGUGAAAGGUAGUGGACCAGUGGCGGCUGGCGACCGGCGGUGACCGGCAACGGCGGCGGUCAGUGACUGACGGACGGUGGUUGGCGGUGACAGAUGGAGGACACGGUGAGAAGAAUUUUUAUUUCUCAAUUCUGUUCCAGAAAUAGAGAAAUAGAAAAUUUUUACUUCUGAUUUCUAUUCCAAACCUAUUUCUAGAAUAAGAAUCUAUUUCAGAAAUAGAAAAAUAAAAUAAUUUUACCAAACAGAUUUCUAUUCCAGAAACAAUUCUGGAAUAAAAAUUAUUUCUAGAACAAGAAAAAUGGUUUGUUAUGCACCCCCUUAGAAACUCAUCUAAAAAUAAAAAUAGAAAAAUUUACUUCUCUUUUAAAAAUCAAUUUUUGGCCAGAAUGGUUAUCAUUCAUGCCCUUAAGGCGCACAUGAUAACCAUUCUUUUCAUGUUCCAAAACUAUUUUUCUAUUCUUGACUUGCCCUUUGGUAAAAUUAUUUCAUUUUUCUGUUUCUAGAAUAGUUUUAUAUUCUAGAAAUAGGUUUGGAACAGAAAUUAGAUGCCACACCUCAAACCUCGAGCACGCGCACAUCCCUUGAUGGUCGAUAAAAUUGCAACGUUCUCAAGACGCGUCGCCGACCCAAUUGAUUAUGCACAUGUAGAAGCAAAUUAAUCAAUCCCCUGACAACAACAAACAUGGGAUAGAAAAACAUAACAACCAAUUUAAACAAACCCACUUUAUAACAAACCAAAUCAACCUGCAAGGUUAUAUACAAAAGUUAAGGCCCAAAAAAGGACUAGCUAGUUAAUCCUACCCCGGACCCUCCUACUUCGAAUCUGGGUCCACUACAACACCGUCAGGAAUGUCAAUGUCUAGUGGAUUAGCUACCUCCUCUACUGUAGGCUCCUCCACCUCGAACCCUUGGUUUAUCGCAUUGUCAGCUAUAAUGCUGGCGUGCACUAUAGAGUCGAGUACCAUCUCGCCCUCGCCUUUAGCGGUGGGUUUAUCGAAACCAUCCACAGUGUGACACCCCAAAUUUUCUUUUGUUCGUCAGUUAAGUUAAGUAUAUUAUAGAUUAAGGUUAUUGAUUUGAUUAAAACAUCAAGUAUUCUUUUAGUUUGACCACGACCCACUCUUCCGUGCAUGGGAGGAUUUUCUUUCAAGAGGAAUUUUAUUCCCCUUGUAGCAGCCAGGUGGAGCUAAAGAGGAAGGGGGGGAGAUCACAUGUGUACUGCUAUUCUUUUCUUCUUUCCUAAACAGUUCGGCAGCAGCGAUUGAUUUCUUUAGCUGGGUUCUUUUCUUUCUUCCCCCGACUGAGACACCCAACUUUUCUCAUUCUUAUUUUCACUUCAUUCCGCCAAAGAUUUGACCCACGCUCAACCCUCUUAGCCCCGUGUCUUCUUCCUGUAGUGAGACCGUCACUGCCUUGCCCCAUUCGAAACUCCCGCUGUCAGCCAUGAAGCCCCAGCUUGCCCGACGCCUCCUCCAUCUUCUGUCGGUGAAAGAUCCAGGCAAGUGAAGCUGUCUUUGUGGUCUCGAGUUCAUGGGUUUGCCCCGCCUUGUGUUGUAUGUUGAUUUAGGGUUGGGUGGUUGCAUUGGGGGUGCAGGGGACGGCUGAAACGUUAGGUUUUGGGGUAGGAUAGGUUUUGAUUUUGAAUUGCCGUGCUGAUAGGUGGUGGAUAUCGCGUUCCACCCAGUCGACGACCCACCAACCCAAAAUUUCCUUCCCUCUCUCUUCCAUUUCUCUCUUUCCUCCCUCGGGCUUGAACAAACGAGCCCUUGAUGUCCCUAUNNNNNNNNNNNNNNNNNNNNNNNNNNNNNNNNNNNNNNNNNNNNNNNNNNNNNNNNNNNNNNNNNNNNNNNNNNNNNNNNNNNNNNNNNNNNNNNNNNNNNNNNNNNNNNNNNNNNNNNNNNNNNNNNNNNNNNNNNNNNNNNNNNNNNNNNNNNNNNNNNNNNNNNNNNNNNNNNNNNNNNNNNNNNNNNNNNNNNNNNNNNNNNNNNNNNNNNNNNNNNNNNNNNNNNNNNNNNNNNNNNNNNNNNNNNNNNNNNNNNNNNNNNNNNNNNNNNNNNNNNNNNNNNNNNNNNNNNNNNNNNNNNNNNNNNNNNNNNNNNNNNNNNNNNNNNNNNNNNNNNNNNNNNNNNNNNNNNNNNNNNNNNNNNNNNNNNNNNNNNNNNNNNNNNNNNNNNNNNNNNNNNNNNNNNNNNNNNNNNNNNNNNNNNNNNNNNNNNNNNNNNNNNNNNNNNNNNNNNNNNNNNNNNNNNNNNNNNNNNNNNNNNNNNNNNNNNNNNNNNNNNNNNNNNNNNNNNNNNNNNNNNNNNNNNNNNNNNNNNNNNNNNNNNNNNNNNNNNNNNNNNNNNNNNNNNNNNNNNNNNNNNNNNNNNGAGAGAGAGAGAGAGAGAGAGAGAGAGCUUGUGAGAGAGGUGCCGAUUGAGCGAAUUGAGAACGAUUCUUGAUUUGAUGAUUCUGUUUUGGGCUCAUUCGGGCUGGUCGCAGGGUUGGAUGGGUGUUCGGUGAUUUGUGUGUGAGGCUUGUGGAUGGUAUGGUGUAAGUCAAGGCGAGAGAUAGGCUUUGGUCUAUCAUUGUUGGGUAGGAAAGGCUGAUGAGCUACGAAAUAGGCUUACAUGUUGACUUAGGAAGGUCGAGACUUCAACUGUGGCUUUGGAUGGAUUUCUCGAAUUGUUUGUGAUGAAUCACUAGUGGUUAACGCUCAUUUAGGUGCUACACAUGUGUGGUUGAGGCUCAAAUGGGGGUUUGUGAGGGGAGUAAUUAGCUAGGAGUAGCUGAAUGCAGAUGCUAGAGUUCAUGGUUGGUCUGUCCGGGAAGAAUAGCUCGCUGAGGUUGUUGGUUUGCCGAUUUUCCGUCAUCAAAUGUAUUAAGAAUUGGAUGAAGUUAUUUUCUAGAAAGUUGUGCAAUACAUUCUAAGCUACAACAUAUAUUUAAUUGAGAUUUUUAUGAGUUAAACUGAUCCGCAUGAAGACUUGAUUUUAUACUGUUAGUGAGCUAUUCAGUACCGUGAAAUCUCGACCUCAGUGUACUUUUGAAUUUCUAUAAAAUUAUUGAGUUAGAAUAUGGAUUUACUUCCUUCAUGAAAGUAGUAGGAGACAUGUAGGUUCAGAACAUAUCAAAAUUUCAAAGAAUUUUAUUGAGUAUUGAACUUUGAAAUGGGCUAAACCUCCCGGUUGAUAGUUCUAUUCGGCAGAAGGAAUUUUGAGCUGCAUGGACCACAUUGUUGCUCUCUUUACAGAAGGAACCAGACAUGGUUUCCUUCUUGAAAAGUGUUCAUUUAGAGCCUUACUAUCACAUAUUAAAACUUGAGAGUUUUUUGUGAUGGUUUACUAUAGUUUUGGCUCUAAACACUGAGACUAGUCGCUUUCGCCUAGUUCUGUCUAUGUUAGUAGAUUCUAAGUUUUCUGCAAGAAAAUGUUGGACUCUUACCUUGUUGCCUCUAAUGAGGGUUCUUAUAUACCUUUUAGUAUUUAAUAAUGUAUGUUUAGACAUUGGUGUGAUUUUUAGCAUACUAGAGUUGUUGGUGCCGCAACAAGGAAAAAUUAUGAAUGUGUGUAGUUAGCUAAGGAGCCAAUGAGAGGCCCCGGGUGUCGGGAUGCCUGGAGAGGGGUGAUGAGGGGUAAUGGUAUUCUCUCCAGGGGACUGAGAAGGAUUGAAUAACUUCUUAGGGGACCUCGUGAUGCUAGGUUGGGUCUAAGGGGUAUAGGGUGGAGUGUCGUCUUCCCCUAGGUGAUUGUGAACCUCGUGACGCCAAGUUGGGUGCGAGGGGUACAAGGUGGAGUGGCGUCUUCCCUUGGGUGAUUGUUGCAGCUAGACUUCUAUAGAUUCUGCAAAUUGAUAGUUUGUUUACCUAUUUGGCUUGCUAUUGGCCAACUCCAAGUUAAGACUAACUGCCAACUUGCUGAGUUUUUAUUUUGAAAACUCAUACUUGUUUAUUAUGUCUUUUCUUUAGAUUAGAAGAUGACCAAGGAGCGCUCGACGUGUGGGAGAGUUUUGUUUUUUUGUUUUUUUUUAUAGUAUGUAAAUACUCGACAAGAGGCGGGAUAUUAAGGGCGCGCAUGAUAAAAUUUUUAUUUCUCGAUUUCUCCAUUUCUCUGUUCCUCAGAAUAGAUUUAGAACAGAAAUUCGUUUGGUAACGCAAUUUGAUUUCUCUAUUUCUGAAAUAGAUUUCUAUUCCAUAAAUAGAGAAGUCGAAGAAAUCAGAAGCUGAAAUUUUUAACUUCUUAGUUUCUGAAAUAGAAAUCAGAAGCUGAAAUCAAACCAUAUAAAAGAACCUUAUGCUUUCUUGCUAACUUAAUUUACUCAUAACCACAACUUCACAAAUUAUUGCUAAUUUUAUUUUUCUUAUUUUGCUCAUGUUUUUUUUUUCAAUUUUUUUUUAUAACUUCCUCUUUAGGAUAAAAGGCAAUCAAAUGGGUCCCCAAUUUUAAAAAACGACCAAAGUUCUUAAAUACUUACUUAAAAACAAUGGGGCUCUUUUCUCCUAGAAAGGGCAUGCGCAUGGCCAGUUGAAGAAAAAGUUCUUACGCAAUAGAUGAAUAAAAAACAUGCCUAGAAAUUUAACUUUGUUUCUUUACGGAUUCAAAAUUCUUGCAAAAUCAAAAUAAUUAGAUUGUUACACAAUCUUGAAUUUUAAUUUGAAGACAAGAGAUUCAAGAGAAUCUCUCUCUUUGUUAUGCAAGGGUUAUUAAAGGUUCAUUGAGCAACAAUAAAAAAAAUUAGGGAUGAGCAACUGGACUUAUUCAAUUUGAGAAUCAAAAUAAACCGACAUUCCCCGAUUGGUUCCUAACCAUAAACGUUACUUCAAGGUAGAAUUCUCAUAUAUUCCUUUACACCAUCAAUUUUAUUUUUUUAUCUUGUAUAAUACUAGUCUUUGAUAAAAUGACAGGGCUAUAUGGGUGCCAUUGAUGGCACCCAUAUUUAUGCUUCCGCAGUACUUGUCUGAACCUACGCAGGAUAAGCUUGCAAAUCGAGGAGGGAAACCAAAUAAAUACACUUAAGAAAACCAUUGCCAAUAAAAUGGCAAGGAAUAAUAAUAUACCGGAAAUUUCAUGAAAUUGUAUUUUCAACUUUUGUAAUGUAUUAGUAUUAUUUCGACUGUAAUUUUGUAUUUGAGGAUUUCCUAUGUUGUUAUCUAAUCAAUUUCUAUUUCUAGAAAUAGAAAUUUUAUUCUAUUAUCAAACAGAUUUCUAUUCUAUAAAUAGAAAUUUUGAGUCGUUAUCAAACGGGUGUCUUUGCUCAGAAAUUUGUUCGAGGAAUAGAAAUUGAGAAAUCAAUUUCUGGCCAGAAGUCAAUUUCUUGAAUAGAAAUUUUGUCAUGCGCGCCCUAAGUGUUUGUGGCUCCUAGUGUUUUUUUUUUUUGGUAGAAAUCCCCCUCCUUAGCCUCAUCUCUCGAUGUGUACGGAAACAAAGUUUUUAGUAAAUAUAGUCGAGUGCAGCUCAGUUUCUUAUAACUCAGCUUAGAAUGAAAUUUAUUUUAUGAUCUGAAAUUAAUAUCUCCCCUAAUUUAUAAAGCAAGUCAUGUGACUUGACUUGAGAUCCUGGGUGUCACACGUGGUACCUUCCCGUUCCCCGUUAGGCUUGUAAUGAAACCACGCCUUGAAUCGAUGAGAUACCAACUAUGGUAGGUCCUCAUCGACCAAGAUCGUGGUCACAACGAGCUCACGGGUCCAGGGAUUCCCGGGGACAAGGAAGACGGUACUUUGUUCGUUAUACCCUCACAGCUGCCCAAAACAAAUUGGACGAACUUCCAUCUAGGAACCUGUAAAAAUUGUAAACCACGACAGAGGGAGACAAUGUCUCAGCGAGUUCACGAAUUGUUGUUAAUAAUGAAAAAUAUUUUUUUAUCAACUCAUUUUUAAAAAAUAAAGAUGAUAAAUUUUAGGAAAAUAUUUUCUAAAUUAUUAAUUUUUUUGAGAAAAAAACGGAGUCGUGCUCUUCAUUUUACCCUCGGUUUCCCUCGCGAAGCCCAACUCUCUUUCUCUAUUGUUCUGAAGUUCACUGGUUCCGUGGCUUACUCCUAACUCCAUGUAAACAAACCCCAUAAAUGGGCCACGCCUUGACAUGAUCAGUAGUCUGACAGGCCGAAACCCGGGCCCGAAGGGCCACUUUAUUAGCCCAACUUAUGGUCCAAUUCGGCCCGGAUUGGCCUGUAAUCAAAUUCGCUUCUCUUCCUCAUUGUCUCCGUUGACUAUGAAGUUGUCCAUGCUUCCAUGUCGUGUCUGACACGUGUCGAAGCAUGUCGGACACGUCGACAUGCUCAGACACGUGGUCAACGCGUGUCGGAUUUUUCGACAUGCGGUCAACUUUUCUCGACACGCGUGUCGACGUGUGUCCGGUAGACUAAUGGAGGGUGGAGGCGAGGGAGGGCAAGGGAGCAAAGGCCGCGAGCGAUGCCGCGAGCGACGGUGAGAGACGGCUAGAGAAAGAGCCAAACAAAGAGAAAGAAGAGAGAGAAAGCAAGCUCCCGCCGGCAAGGCGAAGCCACGAACGGACCACUAUGAUGGCGAGAGAUGGCAAGAGAGAGCGGUGAGGGCCGCCACUGUUGCGAUGGAUCGGCGAUGAGGAGGAGGAGGAGAAGGACCAAGAGGAAGAGGAGAGAUAGGGGGUCGUGCGGAGAGGAAGGUGGUCGUGUGGCGAGGAGGAGGAGGAGAAAGAUCGAGAGGAAGAGGAGAGGAAGGGCCGAAGGGGUCAUGCGAUGAGCGGUAGAAGGAGGAGGAAAAGGAGGUAACUAGGGUUUAUGAGGGAAUUAAAAAAUAAUGAUAAAAAAGGGGGGGACGAUGCGUGACUUCUGAGUUUGGGGGAGGGGAAGUGAAGGCUAACAACUUGUCUGUCAGUGGGGGAGGGAAAAAAGAAAAAUAAAUUUGGGGUGGAGGGAAAUGGAUGAAGUAAAAGAAGGGGUGGAUUUUUGGGAUUUUUUUAAUCGGAAAAUUAAAUAAAUGAAAUUAAAAAUAAUUUCAAAAAAUAAAAAUUUUGAAUUUUGAAUAAUGAUAAAUUUUGGUCAUUGUAGAAAAUCAUGGAUUUAUUUAAAUAAAUUGAUUCUAAUUUCUUAUUAAUUAUUAGUUUCACCAAUAACUUUUGUUAAAGUUAAAAACAUGUUUUGCAUUAACUAUGAAUAUAUCUUUUGAAAUUCAAAUGAAUCGAUUUAUUAAUAUUUUUAGUGUAAAUUUAUUAUAGGCUCUUUUUUAAUUAAUUAAUUAUUUCUGAAUUUGAAUCAAAUUAAUUAAAAAUAAAAAUAUUCAUUUAAUAUACAACGUGUUGUGUCGCAUGUCCAUGCUACUUAGUCCGUUGACCCUCGCUCCAACCGCUGCCGGCACGAUCGUCAGGUUGACCUCCAGCUCCUCCGCUCCCCGUCGGUCCGAGUUUCCGGCCUUCGAUCCGUGCUCUCUGUUGAAGGCGGCUCCGAUUCAGGGCACGAUUUGUCCAGUCGUCGGGAACAAAGGAGCUCGUGAUAGUGUGUGGCCUCAUGGAGGCGUAAUCGGCUAUCGAACGAGGGAUGUGGGGAAGGGCUUGAGGUAGAAUGUCUUGGUCUUCAAGCUUUCUUCUAGGGUUUUCGAGCUCUACCCUCCACUAGCUCUCUGUACACGCCCUUGCUGCUUGCUCCAGCAGCUGGUGGCUGCGUUUUUGGGCUGCUUCCGGAGCUUUUUCAGCUAUGGAGACCGACGAAGGGUCGCAGCACGUGCUUCCCUUUCAGCUUCAGUUCAACAAACCACUGGCUUCUCAGGUUCGGCUCUCGAUUCGAUUUGUUUCCGAUUCGAUUUUGUGAGAUUUUGGCUCGAUUUCUUGCAAUUGGUAGGUGAAGAUGGUGGAGUGGAAUCCGGAGAAGGAUUUGAUGGCGAUGGUCACGGAGGACUCGAAGGUGGGUGCCAGAGGUGUUAAAAUGGGUCAUAGACUCAUAUAUGACCCAUUUAAAUCAUAAAUAGGUCAUAAAUGGGUUUCACAAUUAAAUGUUUAAGAUAGAUGGAUCUUAAGUGUGUUUUAAAUGGGUUAGGUUGAGAACCCAUUUUCAACAAAAACUUUAUAAUCUCUCUCUUUCCUCUUUAACUUUAUAAAAAUAUUUUUUUUUACAAAAACUUUAUUUUUUUUCUCUUUUCUUUUUCUCUCUUUUUUUUCUUUCUUCUUUUUUUUUUCCUUUUUUUUUUCAUUCUCCUUCCUCCUUCCGAUCGCCGGCACGGCAAUGGCCGGCAACCAGCCAGGCGAGCCUUGAGCUCGAGCUCACCGGAUUUGGAGAGGCGAAGGCCUCGCCGACGCCCGGCGAGGGGCGAGCUCGAGCUCGCUGGAUCUAGCGAGGCUCUUGCCUCAUUGAUCUAGCGAGACUUGAGCUUGCCGACGUCAGGAGCUCGAGGCUCGCCUAUGGCCGGUCGCCGGCCGUCGUCAUGGCCAACGGCUGGCCAAAGAAGAAAAAAGAAAAAAGAAAAAAAAAGAAAAAGAAAAGUAUAUUUAAAAAAUAAAAUAAAAUAAUUUUAAUUUUUAAAAAAUAAAAAAUAAUUAAAAUUCGAUUUUUUAAAAUAAUUAUUUUAAAAAUUAUAAAAAAUUGUCCAUUAAAUUUGUGUUGUAUAAAACUAUUUUAGCAAUACGAUUUUAAAAAAUAAUAUAUACAUAUAUAAGAAAUAAGCUUGGAAGUAUUUUAGUAAUAUAAUCUUUAAAAAAAAAACAUAGGAAUAAGUUUUUCUAAAUUUGGUUAAAUAUGAAAAUAUUUUAUUAAUAUGGGUUGGGUUGGGUAUGGUUCGGAAAAUUUACAUUAUGCAUAAAUGGGUUAAUGGGUCAAUUUGGGUCGGACCAUUAAUGACCCGACCCAACCCACCCAUUUAACGGCUCUAGUGGGUGCUUCAUUGCUUCAAUUGGCAGAGGCUGUGGACAAUCUCUCCUUGGUAUUACUAUUGCUUUGGCUCGAGAAAGUUCUCUUCUUUUUUUUUUUAUUCAGUAUGUUUCUUUGACGAUGGCUUGGUGUGUGUGCCCUUUGAGUCAUCGGCCUUGUUGUUGUUGUUUAUGAAAUCACUUUUUGUUGCGCAUUCCAUUGUAUGUUGUUAUACUGGAUUAUCUUAACUAUUCUAAUAUACUCCAGGUAAACAUAUAACAUCAUUAUGCUGGCGUCCUGAUGGCAAAGUUGUUGCCUUGGGACUAGAAGAUGGUACAGUUUCACCGCAUGAUGUUGAAGUAAGUUUUCUAUGUAAUUACUUUAACAUUAUCCUCACAACUUCUCAAUUAGGAAUCUUCCUGCAACAAUCCCUUAUCAUCACUUUGUGUUCUUCUCUAAUCUCUCUUGCGAAAGAUUCUGAAUUGCUUAGAAGCCGCAUGAUGCAUUGCAAACAACAAACUUGCUCAACAAACAUUUAGCUACUGAUAGAGAUGGCAAUCCAUGUUUAUGGGUCCUAUCUACCAAUGUCAAAUUAUCAGUGGACUGCUAGAUAGGUCAAUCUGAGAAUGAAAAGCUUAACAAAUCUUAUUAGAACACUCUUUUCGAACAUGCCUCCUUUGUCAAAUAGGUCAACAAAUGGCAAGAGAUGAAUAACCCAUUUGACUAAUUAAAGUGAAUGGUGCAUUCCAAUCCAAACAUGACCGACACAGCAUGAAUAACUUGUAUGAUAUGUAUGUACAAUAUGCAUAUCUUCGUCAAUGUCAUAAAAUUUUUAAAAAGAACAGCUGUAAACUUACAAAGUCCUCGGUCUAGAUGAUAGCUUGUAUCUUAUAUAUACCCAUUUAACGAAUUAGAUCGAAUGGUUGAUUCCUAUUCAAAGAUGAUUGAGACAGCAUAUAGAAGCAGUCAUCCAUGACAUCCUCAUUUUCAUCAAAUUAAUAGUUUCUUUCUAUUAUUUAAAGUGACAUAUGUCCAGUUCAGUCAUAUUAGGAAGGUAAUAGUUCAGGUGACUCCUAAAUGAUAGAAUUUGUGUGUGCCUCAAUUAUGCUUGUGGGUGGAAAAGUUCGUAGAUUGCCAGUUAUGUCGUUGAGCUAGCUGUUUGGUCAUGGGUACAAUUGCUUAGAACUUGGCUGAUGCUGCUGCCAUAAAGUUUCUUUGCGAUGUCUACCAAUUUACUAAUCAUUAUCCACUUCAUGGAGAGCUUAUUUUUACAUAUGAAUGUUAUCUUACCAAUCUAGCCAUCUUUAUGGAACCGUGGAUAUGCAUUGUGCUGCUUUUUAAAUGCUAUUGCUUGCAGCAGUUAUACAUACUGUGGUAUAUUUAUUUCUAACUUGGUAUAAUUAUUAAGCAGAAUGGAAACUCUUAAAAAGAUUGAAGUCCCAUGUGGCAGUUCUGUGGUGUGUCUCAAUUGGGAAGAGGAUGCCCAAGUGAAUAGAGUAUGCAUCUUUCAACUUAAAAAAAUUCAUCUGACUUCUCGAUCUUGAUUUUUAACAAAAGAUUUUAUCGUUCAUACCUUUCAUGUUCUAUCUAAUGCUUUGUUUGCAGUUAAGUAGUUAAUUUAGUCUAGUUGACUAAGAUAUUUCUUUUCUCAAACUUAGAAUUAUUCAACAGCUUUAAUAUGGGUUUAUGGAAGGUUUUUUGAAAACUUAUGUUUGGUGUCAGCUGUGAGUUGUUAAUUUACUGAUUCUUGACUCCUUAACUUUAAUCUCUUGUUAUAUUUAUCUUCUUCUUCUUUUUUCCCCCCAAUUGGAAAGAUAAUAAUCCAUUUCUCACUAGGACACUUCUGGUAACUCUCUGGCAUUUGAAGAUCCCACUACUCGUUUCUUCCCUCCAGCUCCAAGAGUUCCUCACACGCCUAGACUAGCACCUGGAAACUGGUUUAACUGACGAUGGUCAAGAUUCAUUUGUAGAGCUCUCAAAUUCUUCAAAAGAAUGAUUGAAUAUGCUUUCAAGUGGAGAUAAAGAUGGGGUUUUGUGCUUUAGUGUAUUUGGUGUCUUUCCAAUUGGAAAUGUUGUAAGCCUUCUGUUUGUUCAGAUCAAACAUUUAGCUGUAUAUUCUAUCAGAUUCAGUCAAUGACUACUACUUUCCUUUCUCGGUUCCAUAGAGCAGUCUUUUUUAAUAAAUGGAUCUGAUGGCAGAAAUCAGUAUUAUUAUGGGAAUCCGUUUCCCAACACAAACGGUACAGACCCCGUCUGUGAAGAAAUAAAACAUGUCCCAUGCAACCAUAAAAGAGUAGUCUAGCAGCACGCUGAGGAGAGAAAAAGAAGCAGUACAUAACGACUAAAGCCCGAGUUUUACAUGGAUCAAGCCCAGAAAUUACGGGGGUGCAUGGUAACACUCCAAAAAAGUGUUUCCGGAACACUUCUGUACGGAAAGUGUUACCGGGAACAAAAAAAGAACAGAAACGCGUUUGGUUGCGUUUCUGUUCUUUUUUUGUUUUUUUGUUUCUGGAACGAAAUAGAAACAAAAAAAAGAAACAAAAAAAAGUUGUUUCUCCCGAAAAAAAACACUUCUCGGAAGGAACAAAAGAACAAAAACUCUUCUCUCUCUUCUUCUUCUCUUCUUCUUUUCUUCUUUUUUUUCUUCUUUUUUCUUUGGCCGGUCGCCGGCCUCGGCCAUGGCCGGCGACCGGCCGUCGAGGCUCGGCGUCGCCGGCGCGGGCGAGGCCGAGCCUCGCCAUGGCUAGGCGAGCUCGAGCUCGCCCAGAUCCGGCGAGGCCGAGCCUCGNNNNNNNNNNNNNNNNNNNNNNNNNNNNNNNNNNNNNNNNNNNNNNNNNNNNNNNNNNNNNNNNNNNNNNNNNNNNNNNNNNNNNNNNNNNNNNNNNNNNNNNNNNNNNNNNNNNNNNNNNNNNNNNNNNNNNNNNNNNNNNNNNNNNNNNNNNNNNNNNNNNNNNNNNNNNNNNNNNNNNNNNNNNNNNNNNNNNNNNNNNNNNNNNNNNNNNNNNNNNNNNNNNNNNNNNNNNNNNNNNNNNNNNNNNNNNNNNNNNNNNNNNNNNNNNNNNNNNNNNNNNNNNNNNNNNNNNNNNNNNNNNNNNNNNNNNNNNNNNNNNNNNNNNNNNNNNNNNNNNNNNNNNNNNNNNNNNNNNNNNNNNNNNNNNNNNNNNNNNNNNNNNNNNNNNNNNNNNNNNNNNNNNNNNNNNNNNNNNNNNNNNNNNNNNNNNNNNNNNNNNNNNNNNNNNNNNNNNNNNNNNNNNNNNNNNNNNNNNNNNNNNNNNNNNNNNNNNNNNNNNNNNNNNNNNNNNNNNNNNNNNNNNNNNNNNNNNNNNNNNNNNNNNNNNNNNNNNNNNNNNNNNNNNNNNNNNNNNNNNNNNNNNNNNNNNNNNNNNNNNNNNNNNNNNNNNNNNNNNNNNNNNNNNNNNNNNNNNNNNNNNNNNNNNNNNNNNNNNNNNNNNNNNNNNNNNNNNNNNNNNNNNNNNNNNNNNNNNNNNNNNNNNNNNNNNNNNNNNNNNNNNNNNNNNNNNNNNNNNNNNNNNNNNNNNNNNNNNNNNNNNNNNNNNNNNNNNNNNNNNNNNNNNNNNNNNNNNNNNNNNNNNNNNNNNNNNNNNNNNNNNNNNNNNNNNNNNNNNNNNNNNNNNNNNNNNNNNNNNNNNNNNNNNNNNNNNNNNNNNNNNNNNNNNNNNNNNNNNNNNNNNNNNNNNNNNNNNNNNNNNNNNNNNNNNNNNNNNNNNNNNNNNNNNNNNNNNNNNNNNNNNNNNNNNNNNNNNNNNNNNNNNNNNNNNNNNNNNNNNNNNNNNNNNNNNNNNNNNNNNNNNNNNNNNNNNNNNNNNNNNNNNNNNNNNNNNNNNNNNNNNNNNNNNNNNNNNNNNNNNNNNNNNNNNNNNNNNNNNUCAUGUUGCUCACUACCGUCUGGACUUCUCAUGAUGCCUGCGUGAGAGAGCAAAACCCACACGUGAGUCACAAAGUCACCCCCUGUAGAGAGGUACUUAGCGUGAGCGCCCACAUCAUUUGAAGGAGCCACAUAGAACAUCAUUUCUGCCCAGAAGUCGGCCAAGAUCGUCCAAAUAUGCUCAUCAUCUGUUGCUUCAAUCGAAAGUUGCCCUCCCAGCCAAGCGCCUUGACCCACAAUUGUUUUGCCGUAUGGUUCAUUGUCAAGGGCCUGCAGUUUUUGAAUCCUCUCAUCCAUCAAUUGUUUCAACUUGAAAACAUAAUCAACCACUGAAUACACGUGCAUUCUCCAGGUGAUAUUCCGAUUCACCCUAAUCAAUAUCAUUUUGUUUCCUAUCAGUUCUCUCUUUAGUUUCAUGGAGCAAGUCCUUAUAAUUCCUUGUUGGGAUUCUCCCAAAUGGACUCCCUUGGGCCCAUUGCCUAUUACCAGAUCUAUAAAUGUGGAAUAUGGUUUCCUAAUUGGGAGGUUUUUUCAGAUCUACGUGCAAGUUUGUGAAUUGUCAAUGAUGAUUUGAUCACAAUGUCUUGACUCAGUUGACUACCUAAAGUCAAUUUCAAAAUCCUCUGUCCUUUACCUAGAACAGGUAGUUUUCACUUUAAGAUGAGAUAUUUUAGAUGGAAAAUUCAACGUGAUUGAUAGGAAAUCAUUUGUUAUGAAAAUUGAUGUAGCUCAUUUAGUUCAAUGUUGAGUUUCUGGGUUAUCUUUUUUCUUUUCUUCUUUUGUUGAAAAGAUGCUAGUGGCACGACUACUAAGUUUCUUGCUCCAUAAAAGCUCCAAAAACCUAAAGAUAAUUCGUUGCAAGCAUAGGACACUGUCCAAAUUAUUCUUGUCCACUGACUUCCUCCCUGUUGAGCAGCUUGUAGCGAGAUAUUACUGGUAAGAUUGCAUCUAUGAUAGAACCAACUGUGGCAAAGACUGGAGAGAUCUUGAUUGGCUUCUUCCACUAGUUUUGACGUUAAUGACCAUCUUCUUCAGCAAGAGUGCAUCUCUUGGUAAAAGCAGCAUUGGCAUGGCGAGCUUACAUUCGUCGCCGUAAGAAGAACGAGCUGCGAACCCAGCGAUCUCCACGCUCUUCAGAUGCCGAGCCAAGCACGUGAAGUUUUGCAGUGUGCAAAAUUCCUCUGCAUUGCAGAUAUGAGGAAUGGGGGGAUUAAACAUGGCUUGCACAUUUAUUGGUUACAAGACUUAGUGAUCCAUCCAAAAGAAUGAUGAGGAUAAAAAGAGACAUGAAUGACCUUCGUUGCUUGACUAGAGAAUGAUCACGUACAUUAAAAUUUGAUGUGCAAUUAUCACAAAUUUGGGGAAAAAAGAAAAAAAGGCGCAUGGAAAGGGGCUGGAUUUUGGGUGGUGAUGGCAAAUGACUCAGUUAGAGUAUUUCUAUCUAGCCUAGUGCCAGUAGGUUGGGUGGUGAUGGUAAAUGGCUUGGCCACGUUCGAGUUUGGCUUGUAGUCUCAACAUGUCAAGCAUGUGUGAAUGUUCGCUCUUGUAAGAUGUCGAUUUCAAUAAUUCAUUAGCAUAUAUUUUUUUUAAUUCAAAAUUAAAUGGGGAUGAUCACAUUGCUUUUUUUCAAUUACAAUUUCCACAACUAGAUCCACCACCACAUUCGCAUCAAUGCGAUGUCCCACGAGUCCUCCGGUCGGGUCACUUUGUUUUGUUGGGGUGUGGGACGAGAUUACCAUUGAACAUAUGGACCCGAAUUAAACAAUAUGGUUUCUUAGACAAACUGAACACAUCAUGUCCUAUACAACAUUAUUUAUAGAUUACAUGAAUUGAGGCUCCUUUCGUUUUGCAAAAAGAUGAAUGUUGGAAAAUACCUUCCAAAAAAUGAUCAUUUGUAUUGUUUGAAAUAAUCGACCAAAGAAAUACGUUUCAAUUAUCCAAACAUAAUUGUGCACGAUGGAAAUCCUUUUGCAUUCACUUAUUUUUGUAACUGUACAAGUGAUUAUGAAAAAUAUUUUCUAAAUUAUUCGCUUUCCGCAAAGGAUUUCGACUGGCAAUUCAAUAUAGGACUACUCCAAAAUUGAUCUCAGCUUUUUCUUUUUGAUCGGAAAUCGAGAGCAAUAGACAUGUAUCCCAGUCGUUGGUAGCACAAAAGCGUACAUGCGGGCUAUGUGUAGUCCGAAGAUCAAAACAUGAAUGGGCAGACCACUUGAUCUGUGCUUAACUUAUACAUUUUCCUCUCCUUUUUCAUAAUCAACAACGACACACUUCAGCGUGCAUGAGUGCAUCAUUUUUGUUUACAGCAACAAAACCCAACUAAUCAAAAUUCUUAUUCGCAACCAAAAAAAAAUUGUAAAAAGUAACAGGAUUUCGUAAGAGAAAUGCCUAAACACUUAUUAAGCGACUAUACCAAAAAAAAUUACGAUUUUUUUUUGCAAUUGGCCGCUUUUCUCUUUCAUUUUUUCAUCUUCUUUCUUUUUUUCUUUCGUGUUGUUGCGCUGUUCUGUUUGGACCUUUUUUCUUUUUGUUCUUUUGUUCAUUUUGAGAAUUUUUGGGGUUUUAUUUCUGGAUAAUUUGUAAAGCGAUUAAAAAAAGUUCAUAUCGGGGAUAAGCAAUAAAAAAAAAAAAAAGGAACUCCUUGAUUCCAUAAUAUUGUAACAAUUUCAAAGAACAAACUAUUGUGUACUCUCGGCAGAUUACUGACCAUCGAUCCAACCAAUCUUUGCCAUAUCAAGCAUUACAAACUUUCUUCCACCAAAACAAUGAAGAUUAUGGCAAAGUCCGGUACUUUUCGAAACUAAUCGGUAAAUAAACAUAUGCAAUCUAAAGAACUCAUGAUCCAUUUGAGAUGAUAAAAUUGAAGGUACGAAAUAAAGAAAUGAAAUAGAAAAAUAAAAUGGAAUCAAUAGGGGAGUAGAGUCGAGCAAUGGUUUCUUUGUUUCAUAUCUAGUUGUGAUUGUGAAAAUUAACCUAUUAAUUAAGAAGUUUCUUUGUCACAAAAAAAAAUCAAAAGAUUCAUAUUCUAAUGUGAAACACGCCAUUAAAAUAAGUAAAAGGGAGGGAAAAAGAAAAGGAUAUUUCAAUUUUCAAAAACAAAAGAAAAAGAAAAAGAAAAAGAUUCGCCCCUGCCCUCUUGCUCCGACUAUGAGACCGAGUGUAACAGCUCUGUGCCAUCAGCGUGUGCCCAAGUCUUAUAAGUUAGCCCAAGACUCCCUCCCUAGGCGAUGUAGGACAAGAGAGGGACCCCUUCCUUGCAUACGUACGGUAUAGUUAAAGAGACCAAAGUCUUAUAAGUUAGCCCAGGACUCCCUCCCUAGGCAAUGUGGGACAAGAGAGGGAUCCCUUCCUUGCACACGUACGGUGCUCGAGCCAUCACACUCUCCACCCCUUAGCAGAAGAGCGUCCUCGCUGUGGCCCCACACGCAGUCGAGAGUCGGCUCUGAUACCACUUGUAACAUCCCGGGUUUUCACUAUACACAUAUUGUCCGCUUUAAACACAAAGUCCUCACAGUUUUGUUCUUCUCGGGGCAGCCCAUAUUACCCCAAGAAAACACGUAUGUACAGUUAGAGAGACUCAAGUCUUAUAAGUUAGUCUAGGACUCCCUCCCUAGGUGAUGUGGGACAAGAGAGGGACUCCUUUGCGCCACGUAUGGGGACCGAGGCGUUGAUGCACGCCAUCCCUUCUCCCGCGCACCGUCGCUCGGGCCGUCACAAGUUCCGACAGAGCUAUUUGGCUUCUCAAGUUCGACUCCCUUUUGGGCCUUCUUUCCGUGACCUCCCAAUGGGUGGCGGCGAUUCGAUUGUUUUCCGAUUUGGUUUUGUGAGGUUGUUGCUCGAUUUCCUCCGAUUGGCAGAUGAGGAUGGCGAAGUGGAAUCUGGAGGAGGAUUGUUCCCGACUUUUUAAGGCCUGCUUAGUUUCCGUCUUCAUAGAAACUGUUUUCAAUGUUUUUUUUUUUCUUUUUUGACAAAAUAUUUGUUAAGUGAAAAUGAUAUAUUCAUUAGGGAUGAAAAUUGUGAGAAUAUGCUAAGGUUACAUCACAUCUCAAAAACAGGCUUCAUUAUUCCAAAUCUCCAUGUUUGCAUUUGGAAUGAGAAUGCUAAAAAGUCAUCUUCAGUUUGUGAUUUUGAUUCCGAAAAUAGUUUUCCUUUUUAUUCAUCAGUUGCUUUCAGAGUGUCACCAAACGCAUUUUCUGGCCUGUCUUAAUUCUCAAAUUGAAAUUAGAACGGACUUUUGAGAAUCUUUGUCAGCCAAAUGCCUCCCUAGAUUAUCAAUCUCUUCAUAUCUAUAGAAAAAAUGAACUUCAUCAAGUCGCUCAACAAGCUUUGGACAUUGAAGAUUUACUUCAUGUCAUCCAGACAUCAUUAUCAGUCAUGUAUAAGCAGUGAGCUGAUGCUAUUAACAUAUUUCAUGAGGAAGUUUGAUUUGCUGCCAAACCUUGUUAGUGACCAUGGCAAGUGGUACUGUUAAUACAGAGUGGUAGAUGGUAUUUCAUUGUUCUUCAUUCAACCGUUUUCGUUUGCUUAUCUAGGUCUUGACUCUUCUCCUCAGGAGGAAUUUUUGAGUCUUCUCGAUGGUGCUAGUACUAGUCCUGUAGUCCAUCAGUUUCCUCUGGGUGAAGUGGUAUGGCUGAUUUUUAAGCUCUGAUGAUGCUAUAGGACCCUGGCUUUUUUGGUUGGCUUUUAUAAUCUUAGUCUACUAGAUUGUUCAGUGAUAGUUGUUUGUGGUGUUGGAAAAGAAUGCCAGCAGGUUGUCCUCAAUCAUCUGCAGGUGCAGGUUAUUAUUUUUGCAUUUGGCCUUUUUCCCAUAUAAUCAAGUUUCACGCAUCUCAGAGAACAAUCUUGGCACUAAUAAUAAUUUAAAAAAGAAAAAGAAAAACAAAGCAUCUAGAUGUCAUACUAACUCCUGUUCCAAGUUUUCAUGUAUUUUAUCAAUCCUAACGCCUAUUAAGCCACAACUAUGAGUAAAGGUCAAAUUAUUGAUUGUAUAGAUGAUAUGGGACAAUUAUAUGAAUUCAGCAUGAUGGCGUGUGGAGCAUGGACAAAACACGGUAGGAACUCCUUAGUUACUUACCUUCUCUUGGAGAGAGAGUCGAUGAGUAGCCAAACAUGCACCGUCUUUGAUUAGGUCUUUGAUUAGGGCGAUCAGUUGACAAUGAGUGUUGAAUAUAGCACGGUGCUUCCUCAUGCCAUCGGGACAGUGCAGUUUCCAAUUUGUUUUGCAAAUCUUUGCAUGAUCUAAGAUGAUAUUUCAGUUCUUCGGUAUUAUGCUCUUUCCAAUUUCUAUGAUGAGUGAAGACACAAGCCUUACAUUCUUGGUUGUCAAUCAAUCCCUUAUUGAGAAUUAUUAACUAAGUGCCUACCUCUCGCAAUUUCUUGGAGUCCAUAAAGAGCUGCAAUAGAAAGCUGCAAUAGAAAGUCCUUCGCCUUAUGUAUUCCGGCUUCACUCAGUUUUUGGUGAGAUUUCCCAUCUUCGGCAAUCUCUCCAACCUCCAGACCUCAUCGUUAGAUACAGGUGGACGAUCCUUCAUAUAUGUAGUAAAUGAAGACAACAUGCAUAUAAAGUCUCAGUCACUAUUAGAUUAAUGACUAGAAGCUAACUUUUGAUAGACAUCCAAACUCUCUCCUAAAAGUGAUCGAAGUGUCAACAAUAGUUAAUGAUAAAGACGCUCAACAUUUAUUAUUUAUCGGAAUUUUUGUCCAAGAGGUUAAGGUCUGUGUAAGAUGACGCUCUCAAUUAAAAAAUUGAUGGCUGUGGACAUCCAAAACCAUGUUAUGGUCAGUCAUGAAGGACAGGUUUAUACACUGUAAAAAGACUGAAGGACUUACAUUUUCCUCUAUGUUCCUUGUCAUAGAAGGCAUCUGCUUUUUCUUCCCGGAUUUGUGUACUCCACAAUAACUUGAUGCCAACUUAAGUCCUGUAUGGAAACUUUUACUCCUGUUCCAGCUUGAAUUGUUAGUAAAUGUCAGUUAUCCCAGCUGCCCAACACCUUUCUUGAGUAUCACUUGGAGGUUUCCAGCUUGAAUUGUCAGUAAAGAGAGACAAACUGCCAAAUAUCUCACUAAGACAAGUCAUACUGUUGGGGAAACUACAAAGGAUUAAUAGAUCCAUCGUCCAAAAGUUUAGUAAAGCAAAUUUUUUAAAGAAAAAAAAGCUCCACUGCUAUCAAGCUACAAAAAUUAUGAUCUAAAUUGGAGCAUUGACAUUUUGGUAUACUACCGAGUCAUUGUGGCCCCAACACUCACUGGGCUCUGACUUUGCCUGCUGUAGGUUGGCAGCGGUAGGUUGGACCAUUCUUCCGCCAAAACAUCAACAACGCAUAACCAGUCAAUACUACAAAGAAAGCCUUUCUCAACGGCAUCAUGGGGGAAGUGCAUUCAUACCUUGUGAGGUGGGUAGAGUGAAUGUUUGCAAGCUCCACUGCUACCCUCUGUUCAAUAAUGCCAACAGCAGCAUUGUCAAACUUGGAGACCUGAGAAAAAUAUGAAGCAGAGGGGACGCAAAACCAAUUCAUUCCAUCAAAAGAAGUUGAACAACCUAUUUUAUUCUUCCUUCUUAAAAACAACUUAUCAAACACCUUGUUGAGCUAAGUUCUUCAGACACAUUUGAAAUCACAGUGUUUAGCAACAGCAGUUGUAUAUAUAGCUCUUACAAACAAUCCUAAGCAUUUUCAUUUUGCCCUUUCAUACCACGUCCAUGCAAAAGUUUACAUACGCUUUAUUUUUCAGCUUUAGGUAAUAUAGGCACAGUUGCAAAUGUUAUCGAGACAAAUGGAUGGAGAUGGCCUCCAGCAAGGUCUGAUGAUCUGCUCGAAACUCAAACGGCUUUAUGUGGCUUGAUUUUUCCAAACUCUGGCUCUUUAGACAAAGUAGUAUUUACUGGAUCAUGUGGGGAAAUGUGAGAAUAAUAGACUUGGCUUGGGCUUGUAUGGUUUAAGCCUAAUGUGCGAAAAUAUGGCUUUAUAACUUGUAUGGUGAUUCAUAAUUGGUUGCGCACUUACGAACAAGAUUAAAAGUAGGUGUGACAUUGAUAGCCCCUAUGUGCUAGUUAGACAACAUGAAGAAUAUUGAAUGCACUUUUUCUCUAAGUGUAUUCUCAAAGCUGAUUUUGGCAACAAGUUUUACAGCUACUCUCAUGUACAAGAUCUGCAAGUGACCCGAAGGGUGAAUUAACUUGGGCCUGGUAGCACAUCAAGGGGAACAAUUUGAAGGCAUUACUGAGGAAGUUAGCCUGGAAGGGCCAUCGAGCAGGGACGAAAGUCAGCCUUAAUGAUCAUAUGGUGCCAAGUUGAAGGGCCAUUGUACAACAUAUAAAAGUUACUCUAGGGAUAACAAGCUAAUCUUCCUCAGGGAGAUUUGACACCUCGAUGGGGGCUGUAUAUGUGGGACAUUAUGCUGUAAUGGACUUGCACGGAAAUGUAGUCCCCCAUGUUUUUCUUUUCACAGGUUGAUCAAUAAAAUGACUAUUUUCUUAUAAAAGAAAAGGAAAUUGUGCAAAGCUUACGUUAAAUGAUUGCUGUUCAAACAGUCGAUAUAAAUCCAUUUGCUAGUAACGGAUCUGUUGGUCAAUAAGUUCAUUCGAUCACUUCACAACAUGUAGAUAAACAACCCAUAAAUGAAAUGCUGAUAAAGAUAUGUCUGAGUCAAAGUGGAAAUUUGAUAAAAUCUGUUUAUCCUACCAAUUCCUGUAAAGAAAUCUCCAUUGAUUGCAUCUGCUUCACCAUGUCUUUGAGAGCAUUCCUGGCGCAACUGCACUGUGAAAUUUACACUCUGAACAACUGCUGUCUUGUGGAUUUAUUCGUACAAAUAGACAAAAAUCCAUAAACAACAGUUUAUUACUAGUACGAAUGAAUAUUAGACGUAAUUACUCUAUAAAAAGAUACGUACUAAACUUCUCAAUUGCUUUCCCUUAAUCUAAGCUGCCACAGAAAAUUCCUCGUAAAGCUGGAGUACAUAUACCUCUUCAUUUUACACCGUUGUCUCUACCCUUCAAAUCUGGGAUUCACAAAGGUGGCUCGGAGGAGCUAAAUUGACGCCAGUGUCAUUUCAGUUGGGGUUGGGCUGUUCGUCGCCUGGCAUGUGUGACGUUGGAGUCCACAUCUGGCUUGAGGUCAAAUGACUUCAACGUCACCUGGCCUGGGGUUUCAUGACCUUGGCGGCUUGUGCCUAGGAUCACACAGCCUUGGAGAUCCAUCAACUGGGUUGCACGACAUUAAAGGCCACCUUUUGAUUUGGCUCACAUGGGGUCGCACGAUCUAGGCAACAUUUGUUACCGAAGUUUCCAGCUUCGCUUGAGUUAUCGAGGAGGGUCACCAUUAUAAUUUUUGUAUAAAAAAAAAAAGGUAAAUUCCUUGAUGCAAUAAUGUUUACCAAAUAUUAUCUGCAUUUGGUGAAAAACUCUUUGCCCUAGAAUCAAUGCAAGGACUUUGGUCAAAUGCUCUCCAAACGCAUACUUAGAGUCAUGCAAAAUCUUUUACUAGCCUCGUGGACACAUUAAAUCUAUCUUUUUAUCUGUGCCAAUUACUUUAAUUCAAAGCAUCUUAGAUUCAAUUUAUGGGAUUUGUACAAACAACCUAUGGAUUCUGAUCCUAAUAAAUGUCCUGACGCCCCCAUCAAUGGAGCUAGGGCCUUUAACCAAUGAAGAGAACAAAAGAAAGAUAGAGUUAUCUUUUAUAACACAAAAAUUGCAUCACUGAUUGGUCAUAAAAAGUGAGAUUUUGUUUGCAAUUUUUGCACAUGACAAGAAACAAACGUAAGGACCGACCACAAGAACCGAUUGAAGAAAAAGAGAGAUUCAUCAGAAAAAUCGAACCUUUUUACUUUAGAUCAACUGGGAAAUUGAGAUACUGACCAAAAAAAAGAAAAAAACUGGGAAAUUGAGAUAUCGAGGUGUUGAUCAAAGCAACUAAAGAGGGAGAGAGAGAGAGAAAGAGAGAGAGAGAGUUUCAGCUUCUAGCUGCUGUAAAUUAUGUCAGCUUGCAUCCGGCGAAAAAAGAAAAAAGAGAAAAAGCCAUACGUGCCCGAAAGAGGGGACUGGGUCCCGACCCGUUUGUGCGGUUCGGGCCUGCCCGAAUCAAUUUAAAAACUAAAGUAGAAUUAAGAGAUAAUUACAAGGUAAGAAAUAUUCAAAUAAUCCGAACAAAUGUAUGUUAAAAAAAAUCCAGAAUUUAGCAGAUGAUUUACUUAUCUUCUUGUUUUGGUGUUUUUAAGCAAAAAAGUUAUCUUUUGACUUUCUUCUCAAGUACGUAGUUUGCGUGAAAUAGUCGCCUCUAGCUUGAUUUCAUUAGCCUUCUCCACAUGUUCUUUCUCUUUUCUUCAUUUUCAUGGGACGAUUUGAGAAGUAUGCAAUGAUUAUGGACUAAGCUCUGUCGCGACUAUUGUUAGUCUGAUUGUUCGUUGCCCUUUCCCGUAAUUCUAUAGUUAGCUGCUUUGGACUCUAUAGUCUGCACCCCAGCGGACGCCUUUGCCAUGACGGACUCAGGGAGUCAGCUAUCAUCCUCGGUCUCUGGUUACCGAAUAUAUUACGGUGGAGGAAAGAUGCCGACAACAAGGACGAACAAGAGAAGACCCGCGAAUAUCUUUACGAAGAACAACACAACAGAAUGGCGCGUGUUUGAACGGAGGGUGAGAAAAGCGGCGAGGCAAACUAAAAAUGUUCAAACGAGGCCAGCAUACAUUUGCUCCGGCGAUGUAUAAAUAUGUUUUUGUUUUAAAACCAAGAGCGGCUAGCAGAAGCACCGCUUCUUCAGGUGUCAAAGGGCACAAGCCUCCUUCCCUCAGGGCAGCAGGAGAAGGCAACCUGUCUCAGACAAACAGUUUAGUUAGUCAAUAAGAAUGGCCAUUCUAAUCAGAAGGAAAAUGCUAGACUGUUUCCCCCAGCAGAAAACCAGGAAUGUGCCAUCUUAAAAGUAAAAUAAAAUAAUGUUGACGCCUAAAAAUUAGACUUUAUUUUAUUAUUAUUUUGUUUUAUUUGAUUUUCGGAUAAUAAACCAAAAAAAAAAAAAGCAAAGAAAAGCAGCCCAUUUUUCUCCCUCUCUUCCCCCUCCGCAUGGGCCUCUACGGCCCACUUUCCUUCUCCUCCAGCCCAGCCCUUUUCGGUCUUCUUCCUCCUUCGUCCACUCUGCAACACACGUGCAGAGGGCGCGACGCCGGAUGAGCGGACGGACGGCGACGCGCGUGAGAAAGGUGGGGCAGCUAGAGGACAGGUGGCGGAUGGGACGCUGGUUCGGCCAUGGGGGUCCGGUCGGCAAGCCAAAGACCGGCGGCCGAGCCUCUCCGUCGACCGGACCUCCUCGCCUAUAAAUAGCGGAGUAUUUCAGUCGUUGAAGGACACGCUAGAAGAUCGUGAGCUUGGAAGCUUCCUCCUGAGAGACUUCGGAGGAGGUUAAAGAGCAAGCGAGAGGAAGGCGAGCCAGAGAGAAAUCGGGUCGCGAGCUAGGCCGACCUCCCACUGAGAGACUUCGGGGGAGGCUGCCGGCGAGCGAGUCCGAGGAGGUCAGAUCCGGCCGAUGGAGGCUUGGAUCUAGCUAGAGGGGGAGAGAUAUGGUCGAGAGAGAAAGAGAGAGACAGCGGAGAAGGAGGUUAGAUUUGGAACUCCGAGAGAAGGAGACGCUGUCUGGACGUCGGAUCUGGAAGGGGGAAGGCUAGCGGUUGCCGUGCCGGACUCCCGCUGCGACCUAGCGAGCGAAUCCCAGUCAAGCCGUGCCCCAACGCCGCUGCUACCCCAGAUCCCGCCGUGCUGCCGCCGUGAAGCCCUCUGGUUCGACACCUCGCCGAUGCCUUUCCCUCGACACCGCUGUUGCCGUUCCCAGACGUCCUACCGCAACUCCCCGAUGCCGUCCUCGACGGCUCACCAAGACCCCCUGCUGUGUUGGGUCGCCGUCGCACCUUACACCGCCACCGUGCCGUCGCCUGCUGCGUCACCUCCGUCGUUCCCUCCAUCAGCGCCGCGAUUAGGUGAGAGGGAGGAAGCAUCGCGCUGGGUCGGGCGUGGGUUCGAACCGAGUAGGGUUCCGCUUGGGUCGGGCUUGCACGCGUGGGUCUCAGCCAGGUAGGGCUCCGGCCAUCUUGGGCCGAUUGUGUGCGAGCUUGUCUCGUGUGGGCCUGUGGGUGUCUGUCCCUUAUUUGUGGGCUGCGAUUAAAAGAGAAAUGGAAAAAAAACCUGAGUCGGGCCCGCAACGCCGAUCCGACCCGGGUCAGCUUUUAUAUUAUUUUAAAUAAAUAAAUAAAUAAUAAAUAUUUUAUUUUUCGAAAAAUCAAAAAAAUCAAAAAAAUGUUUUAUUUAAAAAAUGUAAAAAAAUAUUUUAUUUUCAAAAAAUCAAGAAAAAUCAAAAAAUAAUUUAUUUUCCAAAAAUAUUUAAAAAUAUAUAUAAAUAUUUUAUUUUCCGAAAAAUCAAAAAAUCAAAAAUAUUUCAUAUUUUCCAAAAAAAAGCCAAAAAUCCAAAAAAAGCCAAAAAAUUCAGAAAAAGCCAAAAAGACUUGUAUUUUUCCAAAAAAAAAACCAAAAACCCCCCAAAAAAUCCCUUUUGUGUCCAAAAAAUUAGAAAAUGACUCAAAAAAUAUUUUCCUCCCAAAAAUGCAUGCAAAAUCCCUCGAACAUCCAAAAAACCUCAAGUUUUAAACAAGAUUAGGUACCGAAAGGGUAUUAGUGAUUAACUAGUGUAAUCAAGUCCUCGAUCCUAAUUUCUCUGGUUGCGCAGGAGUGAGUAUUUCUCCCAAUACUUCACUUGGGUUUCUAAUCAACCCACCCCAAAUCGAUUAUUAGCGACUCCAAUUUAAAAUUUGAUUUACAGGUUAAAAAAUUGAACCAUUAAGUCGUGAAUUGGUGGACUUGAGAAUCCGGGCUUUAAUUAAUUCAGCCGAGCCAUUAGCCUCCUCAGGCGCUCGUACCCGACUGCGGGUGCCGAAAAAAAGGAGGUCGCGACAGCUUGGCGACUCCGCUGGGGAGUUUGAGGACUUAGGCCAUUUUAUCUUUGUUUAAAUGCUUUGUUGACUUGGGUUUUUUUUUUUCUUUUGUGCAGGGUAAUAACUUAAAGUUUUUUUAUUCUGUCAAAAUAAAAUGUUUUGUGAUUAUAAACUGAUGUGCAUGCUUUACUGUUUUAAACACUACACAUGGCACACACAACCUGGCCGCCGGACUUGGGCUGCCAUAGGAUUUCUAGGAUGGUGUUAAGAAAGAUAUAACCUCGAACGCGAGACUGCAAUGUAGAGGUUACCUUUCUUUUUCCCAAAUUUCUUAGCCGAGGUUAGGAGGGUAUGCUGCUAACGCGAGACUGCGAUGGGCGGAUACCUUUUUAAUCUCAACAAGCCUUCUGAAUUAGAAAUCGAGCCACACAUCUCAUGUGCAUGUCUUUGUGCUUGUCAUUUUAUUUAAAAGCAAAGUGAUUUCUUUACUUUUACUCAGUCUUUUUAUUUGGCCCAUGGCAAUUUAGGAUAAGCUUUUUAAAUUCCAUUUUAUGUGCGAUGGGGAAAGACGAUAUCCAGUUCAUUCCUGCUCCUAAGGCGGAACUCUUCAGAUGGUGGGGUCAAUUGGAUCAAUUGCCCAAGAGCGCGUGAAAGCCAAAAUCGGACAUCUCCUAUCGUUGAUUCAAAUCACUGUUCGUCCCGAAGUCAUACAGGCCAUGGCGCAUUUCUGGUGUUUGAAGACGACUACUUUUAUGUUUGGUGGGUUUGAGCUAACCCCAACUCUGGAAGAAUACAGCAUCAUCACUGGAAUGCCUCUUGAGAAAAAGCUUGUUAGGCCAUCAACAGGCUUCCUCCCGUGGCAAGGGUUAGCGCGACUUUUAGGAACCGAAAUCCAUGUCAUGAGACAAAUUCUUGAAGACAACCAUAGUACCUGCCCAUUAGAAUUCAUGAAUGCAUAUUUUCAAAAUCAGCCUAUGAUCCAAAAAAGUGAGAUUUUCCUCUUGGCCUUUUUGGGUUCAUCAUUUUCCCCCAUCAAAGAAAUGCCAUAAGUCCUAAGAUAGCAUGAAUAGUUGAUCAGAUCUUAAGGGGGGAAAUUAUGUCAACAUGAUUUUAACUGAAACAUUCUUGUCCUUUAAUCGUUUUAAAGACAACACAGAGAAAAUCAUGCGAGCCUCUCCUGAAAUUUUACAAGUCUGGUUCUUUUCUCACUUAAGCGAAUUCCAAGACUUCAUGCGAUCUUCUGAAGCAAAUGCUUUCGAAAAUCCGUUACAAAAAUUUAUGGUUUUAGGAUCGUACAUUCCCAAUCAAAGCUGUUUAAAUUGGAUAAAUUUCCUAAGAGACCCGGCUCAUGAGGCAUUCCAAUGGUGUGCUGGUUGGUUCUAUGAAAAGAGAGCUCGCUUUGCUUUCAAGCGCCGCCAUCCAAUUCCGUUGCUCGGCAUCACUGGUGCUUUUUCCUAUUUCCCACAAAGGGUGGCACGACAGUAUGGAGCCCUUCAGGAGAUCCCGCCAUCUUUCAAGAAGAGGACCCCUCCACUUCUCUUCACUCAUCAAAAUUUUGAAUACAUGGUUGACAUUUAUGAAGAAGCUUGGGACAAAUGCCAUCGCAAAAGGAUCGUGGUACCUGAAGGGCUUGAGGGAGAAGAAAAGGCCCACCACGCCUAUGCGGCCUACAUCCACAACCACCGUAUCCCAACAAAAUGGGAGCCAUUAGUCCUUCACUCGAUCGGCAAAAGCUGCCAGCACGAGCAAGUAGAGCUCAUGGAGAGGGAUUUGGGAAUGGACUGGAUGCACACCUCAGAGCUGGUCCAAGAAAGCAAGCAUCUGCGCAAGUGCAAGACUCCCUGUCGCAUAUAAAUUGGCAAUCGUGUGCUCCUUAGUGUUAAUAGUGUGAAAGUUUUGUCCCAUUGUUUAGGGACUUUUUGUUUAAUAUCUAGUAUUUUAUUCUGUCAUUUCAAUUUCAAGUUCUAGAUGUCAGAAGUCUGCGGUCUAUGAAAUCCUCUUUUGAUGAAUAAAAAACCAGUUAGACCAUUGCCAUGGGUCAAUUUUUGUUUACUUUCAUACUCAUUCAUUGUUUUUGCAAACGGCAGGUAAUUAUGAAUCGCCGGCCACCAAUAGCUCGUGAAUGGCCUCAUGCACUAGGGCCCGAUCAGAAUGAUGUACAAAAUUGUCUCAUUAACAUCGAAGACGGCGUAAGACAGAUGUCUAUUGUCCUUCAGUAGCUCUCGAGACAAAUGAAAUCCACUCAAGCUGAGCCCAACUCUGUAGUUGCCUUAAACGCCAUCAUGACACCCGCAAAUUCGCCAGAAAAUAGCCAGUACCAUAGACAGUUUGAAAGGAUCAUGAAAAAGUUAAACCAGCUACAGGGGCGGAAUCCCAUGGACCUGUCUAAUUAGGCCAGCAUUGAGAUCCCUGAAAAACUCAAAGUACUUGAAUGCGAAGGGUAUGCUGGUACCUCUCGCCCAGAGACCUACUUACAAGCCUACCUGGUCCGAAUGAUGAUUAAAUCGUACCAAUCGAGCUUAACUGGCCCUGCCUUGUGAUGGUACAUUGUUAGGAAGAUUAGCCCCCUUAAAACCUGGAGGGAACUAAUUCAUGUUUUUCACCAAGAGUAUAAUAUUGACAUCACCCCUAACAUCACCUUGCCCUACGAAGAGCCAAUGAUCGCGAAGCACGAGGAGCCAUUAGUUGCUGAGAUAGGAGAGAAACGUGUUAAUGAAGCCUUGCAUAAUAAAUGGGCAGCUGAGCAACAUCCUGUUACUGGAAAAUUUCCCACUAGGAAAGGCAAGGAGCCUUUGUACGAGAUCAUAGACUCAGAGCCUGUUCAAGAGCGAGGCACAACUGGACAAAUCCCCAAGCUUACUCCAAGAGCUAGGGUCCAAAGAAUACUAACCCCUAUCAACCUAGAAAGUGAAUCAGACAAUGAAACUCUAAUGUCUCUCACUUUCUUUGACAGAAUCAAGUUAGCAAAACGAAGGGCCUUACUCAAAAGGUCUGGACCAUAAGCCAAGAAAAGAAAGCCUAAGCAGAUCGAUUCAGCAUCUACCGACGAGCCACCGCACCAAAGCUUCGAGCAUUCCCAAGAAUACAGCUUUGAAGGCCACCAUCCUCUAGAGUACAACCCUGAAGACUUCCUGGCCCUAGAAUACAAUCCUAAGGACUUCCAGCGUUAUUUUGACAAUGAAGCUGACGAUUCAUCGUAUAACUGUUUCCUACUCUCACCCGGGGAUGAAGGCCCGUCAGAAGAAGAAGCAUACGUCUUUAUCUGCUACGAUCCUAACGAAGUACUAAGCUCGUCCUCUGACCAUGAGGAUAAUUUCAAUACUUCAUCCUCAUUCGGAAAUUUUAACCCAGACGAAAGUAAUGGGGUAAUUUCGGUAGAGUCCAACUUCUCUGAAACAGAAGAAUUCACCACUACAACGAAUAUGCAGUGGGAAAACCAGUGGCCUAAUCAAGACAUACCAAGCUUGUCUUGCCCUGGUAGGAUCAUGACCCCCAUAGAAAUGUGGAUACCCAAUUUUCGCAAGUAUAACGGCACAACUUGCCCCGUGGCCCACUUGCAGUACCUCCAUGCUGAAAUGAGUCGGUACUAUGGCCCGAUGUCAUUCACAACUCAGGCCUUCCAAGAAAGUCUUAUAGGGUCUGCAUUGCAAUGGUUCGUCACAGCAGAUAUCAGCCUCAUGAGGGAUUGGAAUGAGCUGUCUUCCACAUUCCUGCAUCAGUACCAGCACCAGAUUGGAGCUGAACUGUCUUGCGAGAACUUGGUUCACUUUAGAAGAAGACCAAUGGAGGAUUUUCGAGCAUAUGCAAGGAGGUGGGAAGCUUUUAUGAUGCAAACCUACCCUCAGCUGGCCGAAGAAGAAAUGAUAAAGCUGUUCAUAGGAGCUUUACCACGCAAGCAUCGCUGUUGGUUGCAUGGGUUACAUUUCCGUAGCUUCAAUGAAGUGGUUCUCUCAUGCGAAUACUUCGAGUCUACUGGAGGCGAGGAACUCAAAAGCGCUUGAUUUCAAAACCAACACUAUCAAAGUGCUCCUUUUCAUAGGAGUUUUCAUGGGUGUUGCUUGUUUUUAUAAUUUCAUGUUUUUUAUCCUGUCUAGUGUGCUACUGUUGUAUUUUCCAUUUCAGUAAUCUAAUGUACAGUUCUAAUAUUUUGUUUUGAAAGCAUGAGGUGGUAUCCCAAACCGGCCCAGUGAUGCUAUCCAACCAUGAAAAAAUAUCAUCCAAGGAGAAUACUAAGGACUGGGCUUCCUCAUGCUUUUUCUCCCCUUAAUACAUAUUUUAAAAACAGAAAAUACUUCACCACCAAAAUCUUUCAAAAAAAGAUGAUAAAUUUAAUCAUGUUUGUCUUUCUGACUCACUCACUUCAUGUCUUAGAAUAUCAUCCCAUUUGACUUAGUGUGACCAGGAGGCAUUUAAAGUUGGCACAUCGUGUGAGCUCGCCAAAUUCAAAAACACCCUUCCAAGAAGGCAGUGGGGCAAACAGGAAAGAUCAUCCCACUUCAAGAAGGUAAGUUUUAUUCUCCAAAUAUAAUUUUGGAAAUGAUGUCCUCUCUUUUCUAUUUACAGGAAACAAAAGAUAGGACGUAAUAGGUACAGGCAUACGGUUGAAAUCAAGCCGUCCCUAGGAGCUUUGUGCACUCCACCUCGCUCCUGACCAACUCCUUCUCAAGCCGGAGCAAUUUCUUUUCCCCACAACAUGCCUGAGCAACUAGAUGUUGUGGUUUCAUUAACGGGACUUCCAGCUUCGACAAGCCCGGAAGCAUAAGGAAGGGAUCUUUUCCCUUUCUUUGAAUUGGCUACUGUCAACAAGGAAGAAAUCCAGAUAGUUGAAGCGGUCUCUAGCCCCCUAUUCCAAAUGAGGACCUAGAAACUUGACUUUUUGUUCCAAAUGCAUGCUCUCGCAAGAAGUAAUUGCCAUCAGAGAAUUAGAGGUUUUGAUUGUCCAUCUCAGAUUCCAUAGAAGCUUGAAGUACAUGACUUUUCUCAAUGCUACUAAUGGUCAUAUGGUCAAAGACGGAAUUCCACAGAAGGAAGGCGUUGCAAAUCAUCAAUCGUGUACACAGGACCACAAAUGAAGAGGGCCAAUCAAAAGAGACAUUGAACUGUGUCCAAGACAAAAGGCCGUCAUUGACAUUCAAAUAUCCCUAGGAGUCAGCAAAUAUGAACUCUGGGGAAAAGUAAUUUGGUAUCGUUUCCAAUACUCCCAGUAUUUGAACUCACUUUUGACAUAUUUUCUCCUAUUGACAGGAAACAUAGGAUUCAAGAAACAAGAUUAAUGGUUAAUUUGGGCAAAUCAAGUGACCCAUAUCGAUUUACCUAACUGGGUAUAAAAGGACGUUUUGUCCAUGAGCCGGUUUAGUUAAUUGAAAAAAGCAGCGCCCUACGGACACCGUCGGCACCUUUAGCCGAGUGGUAUUUGGGAAGAAGCAAAAAAGUCCGAAGUCGGGGGUUCGAAUCCCCGACGCGGCAGUUAGCCGCUUGGUAAAAAAUAAAAGAAAAUUUUGCUUCUCUUGCACUUGCAAAUUACGAGAGAGCAGGUGACCUAGCGAAGCAAAAGACAUAGGACUUUAUGUCCCACUUGCACUUCAGGUCCAAACCAGUGAAGGGUAAUGUUGUAUCGCUUCCAAGUUAUUCGACUCUUGAAAGAGCUUCUGACUAACAUGAUCCCUUUUAUCUGUUGCAGGAUCACCAGACUGUCAAAAGCAAUGAUAACGAAUCAAUGAGAAGCAUGUCUUGUUGCAGGAUCACUUGACUGUCAAAAACAAGGAUAACAAAUCAAUGAGAGGCAUGACAAACUCUCCUAAACGAAAUGGCGUCAUGAGUAAUCGCCAAAGCAAAUGAUAGAAAAUCUUCAGGCCUCAACUAACAUUUGAUUUUGGCCAGACUAAUUGAUCUACUUGUACAUCUUCUCUCUACAGGGGCAAAAGUAGAGAUGCCCGAUUAGAUUCCCAAUCCUUGGUUGAUCAUUCAUGUGUCAUAUCCCUAACCAAUAGAAGCAAUCUAUCGACACCCCUUUGUGAAUAGCCCUUUUGAUAUCCAAGAUUUAACAUAUUUGGAAACACCAUUCUGCUAAUCCUUAAAGCUGUCAACAAGGUCUUUUUGAGCAAAAACCAUUCAUUUGUUUUGAGAGUGCAAACUCUCUCAUGUUUAAAAUGCUGCAUGCCUUUUCCAAAUAGAUUUUGCAUGAUGAUUUUGUCUGUCUGAAUCACUGAUUCCAUUGAGAAUUAUUAGAAUAGACAACUAAAUGGAGAAUACAAGAUUAAUCGAGCAUGCUGGAUGAGGUGCGUCAAAAUGAUGAAAGGCAAGCCAUAUUCUACACACAAUCCCCCCCAUCUAUACACUUGUGAGAUGAGUGCAGAAGAUUUUAUGGCUGCAGGGUAAAGAAUUCUCUCGCGAAUGGUACGAUAACCAAAAUAGUGAGAGGCAUUCCAUCGCUCACCCCAUUGAGCCCCAUACAUUGGUGAAGCUUCCCUCAUACCCUCAUCAAGAACCACCCCACACUGGGGCAGAUCGAAGGCAAAGCAACAUCACAAGGUGAAAAGAGAGGUAGAAAUUUUCUUACUCGCACUUGCAUCAAUCUUCGGGUGUCCUUAUUGCUUAUGAACACUCACGUUAAUUUAAGUGCCCUAGAGUCCUGAAGAGCAAUUCUUUCUUUACGCACUUGUAUCCAUUGUACAACCCAAUUGAGUCUGUAAAUUCACCCUCACAUGGAGGCAAAGCAGAAGCUGCUGCCAUUCGAGCAGCAUAAUUGGAAAUACCAGAAGACUCAAUUAGUCUAAUGAAGGCAUUUGCUUGAACUUGUCAAGAUUAGUUCCUCAAGCAACAAAGACAAAGAACAUGGGCAUAAAAAGCAGUGUACCUAGUAAAAGCAAGGUCAAUGCCCAUAAAUGAAGAAUUAGAAUAAAAAAUAGGAGCAUGAAAAAGCAGUGUGCCUGGUAAAAGCAAGGCCAAUGCCCUCUAGUCAAAAAUACAGCCAAGAAAAAGUUGUUGUUGUGGUUCAAUUGAUAGAGCCUCCAUAUGACAGUGAGAAGAAAGACCGAUGACAAAUGCCAAGGCAAUCACCAACUCUCGCCCUUUUACACAUGAGUCAAGCCAACAUUGCAUCCCAUUGUAAAAGUCUCUUCAGACUAGGGGCACUUCAAUUAACGUAGGAUUUCAUAUGUUUAUAAGCAUCGCUCGAAGAAGUACAAGCAAGAUUACUCUAUCUCUUUUCGUAGGGUUCUUGACUUGUAAACCUGGAGAUGAUCGUGCGGCACUUCGUUCAUGAGCCUUGACCUCGACGGUCCCAUUUGAUGAACUAUUGACCAAGUCUUCAUCACAAUUUCAACAAAGACCUCUCACAUUGGUAAAGUCGUACUGUUUGCGAGAAUACUCAGACCCAUGCUGACAUGAUGACAAUGAGAUGGUGUGGUCCUUAUAAAUCCUGCAUCAAUGGUCAGGAUAGCCUUCUCCAAGAGAGUGAGUGAAAAGUCCUUUCAAACUGAAAGUCCCUCAUCUAGCAUGCUCAAAGCCUCUAUAUUCCGAAUAAAUGUUGUCUUUCAAAAUCUUCCCCAAUGGAAAUCAAAUGAUGUAAAAUUGACAAGAUUGUCAUGCAUAAAUCACAUUUGAAUUUAUGAAUUUACAGUAUAUACAAUCAUGUGUGCAUAUUGUGCAAAUAGUAGACAUACUAUCAGAGAUCAGAGAUAUUGCCAGGUAAGUGUCACGACCCGAGAGUUAGCAUGUCCAAGAGGUUUCUACAGCACGGGCGUGACACAAUGAUGACCCUCGGCCUAUGUCCCGAGACGUAGCGUAUUCUCCUUGGGGCGGGCGAAUACUGUAUUUGUACGCAUACGAUAUAAAUGCGAGUAGCUGGUAGUUGGCAAUAAAUGCCGGUAGUUGGUAGAUGGGGAGGUGCAAUCUCCACCGUCAGAUCUAAGGGAGAUCUACGGUUAGGGUUUGCCGUAUACUUGUAUAUAAAGGGGUGUCCUCCCUCAUUGUACUUCAUUCACAACAUAUAUGAAAAUCCAGAGCUUCUCUCUCAUCAAGUGUUUCUCUCUCUACAAGUUCGUUGUGAGUCGAGUGUGAAAGGCUGCUUAAGGGGUGAAACCUUAAGGCCGCACGGGUGAAUCGAGAGUUGAUCGAGAGUUGAUCGAUCGGCCCGUGACAAGUGGUAUCAGAGCUGAUUUGCGAUCCAAGCGCAAGUGCAAUGGCUGAUCCACGAUCUGAUGAGGCGUUGGUCUUGGGUGAUGACUGCGCUGAUCGUGGGCGGAAUGCCGAGAAGGGUGUCGGCAAGGGCCGAAAGGGCCGUGGUGUGUCGAAAGAACCUAUGGGGGAUCUUACGCAGCGGAUGACGAAGCUAGAGCUGUUCGUCUCCGAUGUCCAGGGAUCGGUCGAUGACCUGACCCAGACCGUGGACGGGGUUGACGCCGGAAGGGAGGAGCUGGUUGCGGAAGUGCAAGAGCUCAAGACCGGCAUGGGAGAACUCCGUCACGAGUUGCUGGGGACCUUGCAAGAGGAACUGGCACAACGGUACGAACCCUUCGAAGCCGCAAUGGCGGCCAUGCGCGCUGAGAUUGCGGAGCUUACGGGUAAGCUCGCGGAAGCACAAGCUGCACGCGUGAAUGGUGUCAUCACGGUGCAAGGGCCACGAGUGGACACGCCGAAGCCAAAGGAAUUCCGGGGCUCGCGGGUGGCCAAGGACGUGGACAACUUUCUGUGGUACAUGGAGCGAUACUUCCAGGCCAUGGGAAUCAAUGACGAUCAAACUCGGGUAAACACUGCAUCGAUGUAUUUAGCUGAUAGUGCAUUGUUGUGGUGGCGUCGUCGGUCGGAUGAUAGGUGUGGGAAUCCUAUCACGACCUGGAAUGGUUUUGUCGAGGAGUUCCGACGGAACUAUUUCCCCGCUUACGCGGAAGAAGAAGCUCGUGACGAGCUGAAACGUCUCGAGCAGAAGAGCGGUGUACGCGACUACAUCAAGUGUUUCUCUCUCUAGAAGUUCGUUGUGAGUCGAGUGUGAAAGGCUGCUUAAGGGGUGAAACCUUAAGGCCGCACGGGUGAAUCGAGAGUUGAUCGAGAGUUGAUCGAUCGGCCCGUGACAUAAGCAUAUCCCUAUACCCAUUUGUCUUAAAGUACCUACCACUGUCCAGGUACUCUCUCCUUGACACUCGACCUAUUCGAGUCGUCUCUUGAGUUUGGAUGAUUGCAACUGUCUAAGUAUCCCCUUGUUUUUAAGUAUCCACCACUUGCUGGGUGCUCCCUCUGUUGACACUCGACCUAUUUGAGUCGUCCAUUGAGUUUGGAUGCUUGCAACUGUUUUAGCAUCCCAUUGUCUUUGAGUACAGACCACCAUUCGGAUACUCCAUUUUCCUGACACUCGACCUGUUCAAGAUGUCUUUAGAGUAUUGAUGCUUGUGAUUAACCAAGUAUCCCUUUAUCGUUGAAUAUCUACUGCUGUUUAGGUAUCCCCAUAUCGUCAAGAACCCACCGUUGUCCAGGUAUUUCCUUUUCAUGACACUCAACUUGCCCGAGUUGUCCCCAAAUAAUAGUAGAUGUUCAAGCAUUCCACUGCUUUGUGUGCCUGCGCCUACCCAGGUAUGCUUCCUUACACUUGGACCAACUGAGUGGUCCCAGGUUGUAUCAUUAAAUACUUGUGUUCAUCAAAGUAUUUUAGUACUUUGUACACCUGUGGCUAUCUAGGUGUUCCACCCCUUUUAAGUGCCUACGGCAAUCCAGGUAAGCCUCAUACCACAUUCAAGUUUAUAAUACCAGGAGGUGAGAGACCUUCAUGAAUAUUCGGGGCACGUCCUCGAUAUUCUCAUUGCCAAAAGGUGGGAGACCUUCAUGAAUAUCUCAGGUAUGUCUUCGAUAUUCCUAAUUAACAGGAGGUGAUAGACCUUCACGAAUAUCCGGGGCACGCCCUCGAUAUUCCCACUGCCAGGAGGUGAGAGACCUUCACGAAUAUAUGAGGCACGUCCUCGAUAUUCCAACUACUAGGAGAUGAGAGACCUUCACAAAUAUGCGAGGCACGUCCUCUAUAUUCCCAUUACCAGGAGGUGAGAGACCUUCACGAAUAUCCCAGGUACAUCCUCGAUAUUCCCCUUUACCAGGAGGUGGGAGACCUUCAUGAAUAUGCGAGGCAUGUCCUCAAUAUUCCCAAUUACCAGGAGGUGAGAGACCUUCAUGAAUAUGCGAGGCACGUCCUCUAUAUUCCCAAUUACCAGGAGGUGAGAGACCUUCACGAAUAUCUCAGGCAUGUCCUCGAUAUUCCCAAUUACCAGGAGGUGAGAGAACUUCACGAAUAUCUCAGGUACGUCCUCGAUAUUCCCAUUACCAGGAGGUGAGAGACCUUCACAAAUAUCUCAGGUACGUCCUCGAUAUUCCUAUUACCAGAAGGUGAGAGACCUUCACGAAUAUAUCGGGUACGUCCUCGAUAUUCCCAAUUCCCAGGAGGUAAGAGACCUUCAUGAAUAUCCAAGGUACAUCCUCGAUAUUCCAACUACCAGGAGGUGAGAGACCUUCACGAAUAUCCCAGGUAUGCCCUCGAUAUUUCCCAAUUGCCAAGAGGUGGGACACCUUCACAAAUAUCUAAGGUAUGUCCCUGAUAUUUUCAAUUAUCAAGUACCCCUUCGAUGCUUGUAAAUGUCCAAGUAUCCCUCAAGAAUUCAUACUUGUGAUCAUCCAAGUACCCCUUUAAUGCCUAUGAUCAGCCAAAUACCCAUUUCGACGCCUGCAAAGGCCCAAUUAUUCUUCAUGUUAGUACUUGUGAAUAUCCAGGUACCUUUUAAUAUGCCUGUGAAUGUCCAAGUAUCUCCCAAAUCGAUGCCUUGAGAAAGGUCGGUGCAUCCAUCCGAGAAAGGUCGGGUUCCAACUGGUGUCUUCGACAGAAGUCAGACACCCCAUAAAUUGAUGCCCUGACAAAGGUCGGUGCAUCCUCCCGAGAAAGGUCGGGUUCCAACUGGUGUCUUCGAUAGAAGUUAGACACCCAACAAAUCGAUGCACUGAUAAAGAUCGGUGCAUCUCCCAAGAAAGGUCGAGUACCAACUGGCGUCUUCGAUACAAAUCAGGCACCCACAAUUGAGAUGCCCUAAGAAAGGUCGAUGCAUCUCACGUCAAGGCGACCGAAGAAAGGUUCAGGUCCUAGACAAAUCACUAAUUGUUUUAACAGGCGACCGAAGAAUGAUUCUGGUCCUAGAGAAGCAAUUUCCCAUCAUGACGACUGAAGAAUGGUUCGGGUCUGAGACAAACCACUGAUUACUCCAACAGGCGACCGAAGAAUGGUUCGGGUCCUGGAGGAGCAAUCUCCCAUCAAGGCGAUCGAAGAAAGGUUCGGGUCCUAGACAAAUCAUUGUUUUAACAGGCGACCAAAGAAUGGUUCGGGUCCUGGAGAAGCAAUUUCCCGUCACGGCGACCGAAGAAUGGUUCGGGUCCGAGACAAACCACUAAUUACUCUAAUAGGCGACCGAAGAAUGGUUCAGGUCCUAGAGGAGCAAUCUCCCGUCAAGGCGACCGAAGAAAGGUUUGGGUCCUAGACAAAUCACUAAUUGUUUUAACAGGAGACCGAAUAAUGGUUCAGGUCCUGGAGAAGCAAUUUCCCGUCACGGCGAUCGAAGAAUUGUUCGGGUCCGAGACAAACCACUGAUUACUCCAACAGGCGACCGAAGAAUGGUUCGGGUCCUAGACAAAUCACUAAUUGUUUUAACAGGCGACCGAAGAAUGGUUCGGGUCCUGGAGAAGCAAUUUCCCGUCACGGCGACCGAAGAAUGGUUCGGGUCCGAGACAAACCACUGAUUGCUCCAAACAAGCGACGAGAAUGGUUCGGGUCCUGGAGGAGCAAUUCCCGUCGAUGUGACCGAAGAAAGGUUCUGGUCCUAGACAAAUCAUUGAUUGUCUUAACAGGCGACCGAAGAAUGGUUCAAGCCCUGGAAAAGCAACCUCUUCAUAUCACCAGGUAAGAUGACACCUUGAUACUUGCCAAACUCGGGGUUCACACCCUACCUCACUCACUCCCCGGUAAGUAAUUACAGGUAUCUUCUUAUAUGUCUUAAUAUAUGUAAUGUUAUAUUGCUCUUUUUACAUAGGAUAAUAAGUCCCGAAUAAAAUAUAAUCCACUACACAUAUAUGAUCAAAUUUUAGGCAUCAUUUUGUCUUUGAAUGCAACCUCUACGAGCUCACCUUCAAAGAGGGGCAGCUGUUGACGCCUAAAAAUUAGACUUUAUUUUAUUAUUAUUUUGUUUUAUUUGACUUUCGGAUAAUAAACCAAAAGAAAAGCAAAGAAAAGCAGCCCAUUUUUCUCCCUCUCUUCCCCCUCCGCAUGGGCCUCUACGGCCCACUUUCCUUCUCCUCCGGCCCAGCCCUUUUCGGUCUUCUUCCUCCUUCGUCCGCUCUGCAACACACGCGCAGAGGGCAUGAUGCCGGAUGAGCGGACGGACGGCGACGCACGUGAGAAAGGUGGGGCAGCUGGAGAACAGGUGGCGGAUGGGACGCCGGUUCGGCCACGGGGGUCCGGUCGGCAAGCCAAAGACUAGCGGCCGAGCCUCUCCGUCUACCGGACCUCCUCGCCUAUAAAUAGCGGAGUAUUUCAGUCGUUGAAGGACACGCCAGAAGAUCGUGAGCUUGGAAGCUUCCUCCUGAGAGACUUCGGAGGAGGUUGAAGAGUGAGCGAGAGGAAGGCGAGCGAGAGAGAAAUCGGGUCGUGAGCUAGGUCGACCUCCCACUAAGAGACUUCGGGGGAGGCCGCCGGCGAGCAAGUCUGAGGAGGUCAGAUCCGGCCGGUGGAGGCUCGAAUCUGGCCGGAGGGGGAGAGAUCUGGUCGAGAGAGAGAGAGAGAGAGAGAGAGAGAGAGAGAGAGACAGCGGAGAAGGAGGUCAGAUAUGUAACUCCGAGAGAAGGAGAUGCUGUCUGGACGUCGAAUCUGGAAGGGGGAAGUCUCGCGGUUGCCGUGCCGGACUCCCGCUGCAACCUAGCGAGCGAAUCCCGGUCAAGCCGUGCCCCGACACCACUGCUACCCCAGAUCCCGUCGUGCUGCUGCCGUGAAGCCCUCUGGUUCGACACCUCGCCAUUGCCUUUCCCUCGACACCGCUACUGCCGUUCCUAGACGUCCUACCGCAACUCCCCGACGCCGUCCUCGACGGCUCGCCAAGACCCCCUGCCGUGUUGGGUCGUCGUCGCACCUUACACCGCCACUGUGCCGUCGCCUGCUGCGUCACCUCCGUCGUUCCCUCCAUCGGCGCCGCGAUUAAGUGAGAGGGAGGAAGCAUCGCGCCAGGUCGGGUGUGGGUUCGAAUCAGGUAGGGUUCCGCUUGGGUCGGGCUUGCACGCGUGGGUCUCAGCCAGGUAGGGCUCCGGCCAUCUUGGGUCGAUUGUGUGUGGGCUUGUCUCGUGUGGGCCUAUGGGUGUCUGUCCCUUAUUUGUGGGCCACGAUUAAAAGAGAAAUGGAAAAAAAAACCUGAGUUGGGCCCGCAACGCAGGCCUGUCCUCGUUCGCGGAUCGGACCCGGGUCAGCUUUUAUAUUAUUUUAAUAUAAAAUAAUAUUUUAAAUAAUUAAAUAAUUAAUAUUUUAUUUUUUGAAAAAUAAAAAAAUCAAAAAAAAAUUAUUUAAAAAAUGUUAAAAAAUAUUUUAUUUUCAAAAAAUCAAGAAAAAUCAAAAAAUAAUUUAUUUUCCAAAAAUAUUUAAAAAUAUAUAUAAAUAUAUUUUAUUUUUCGAAAAAUCAGAAAAUCAAAAAUAUUUCAUAUUUUCCAAAAAAAGCCAAAAAUCCCAAAAAAAAGCCAAAAAAUUUAGAAAAAGCCAAAAAGACUUGUAUUUUUCCAAAAAAAAUACCAAAAACCCCCCAAAAAAUCCCUUUUGUGUCCAACAAAUUAGAAAAUGACUCAAAAAAUGUUUUUCCUCCAAAAAAUGCAUGGAAAAUCCCUCGAACAUCCAAAAAACCUCAGGGUUUAAACAAGAUUAGGUACCAAAAUGGUAUUAGUGAUUAACUAGUGUAAUCAAGUCCUCGAUCCUAAUUUCUCCGGUUGCGCAGGAGUGAGUAUUUCUCCCGAUACUUCACUUGGGUUUCUAAUCAACCCACCCUAAAUCGAUUAGUGGCGACUCCAAUUUAAAAUUUGAUUUACAGGUUAAAAAAUUGAAUCAUUAAGUCGUGAAUUGGUGGACUUGGGAGAGUCCGGGCUUUAAUUAAUUCAGCCGAGCCAUUAGCCUCCUCAGGCACUCGUACCCGACUGCGAGCGCCGAAAAAAAGGAGGUCGCGACAAAUAAAAAUCUAUAGCAGGAUGCAAAAUAACUCAUACUUCAAGGUCUUCUUUAAAGUUGGACAUCAAUUUCGAUCACUAUGUCUACACGUCACUUACAGAAGCAAAGUUAAUUAGCAGCUACCUCUAGAUGCACUGUCCUUUCAAUGAUUAACAAAAUAAUAAUAGUAAUAAUGCAUUCACGGGUAUUACACUUUGCUGAACAGAACGGUGGAUUAAUGGCAUAGGAUUAUCUUUGGCAAGGCAAUAGAAAUGGAAGUUCUACCAGGGUUGAUGUGGAUAAUAUACUGCCAACAAACCAAAUGAAAUAUAUUCACCACUGACAGCAGUCGGCCCAGUGAGAUUCUACAGGCUCCAGCUUUUCUCCGCACAAUCCGGCAAAGAGAUAUAGCGAAGAAUUACAUUGCAAGAAUCAUUCCUCUUGUAUUAGUCGCAUUCAAUUAUCACAUCACGGGUAUCUUUGUUGUCCUCCUCCUACAUGCAAACUGAAAUUGUCAUUGACCACAUUUUCCAAGAUUCAAGGAAACAAUAAUAUCCAGAGCAUUUCAUUGAAAAUUUGCAUCUGUUUGUGAUCCAUUCUGUUUAUAACAACAUGAAAAGCCUAAAUCAUAUUCUUAAUGGAAAUUGCUUCGCAGGCAAAGUCUACAACAGUUAGCAGGUCUUUUUAAGCAAUAGUCAAGCGUAUAAGUAUUGAGGUUUCUAAAGGAAGCUAUGUAUGUAAAAGCUGAUGUGGGAAAUUAUAAGCAGGUCGAGGAUUCAUGCCAUUUGAAGCUCAUUAUAAUUGUAUUUUAAUGACCAAUUUAACUUUUUUUCUUCAGUUUCAUUUCAACUCUCACAUCNNNNNNNNNNNNNNNNNNNNNNNNNNNNNNNNNNNNNNNNNNNNNNNNNNNNNNNNNNNNNNNNNNNNNNNNNNNNNNNNNNNNNNNNNNNNNNNNNNNNCUACCUGUCAGUAUGAAUUGUGAAUGGGAAUGAAAUUUAAGAAAGAUCACCUCCUGGAUGGGCUUCUCGAAGGUUGAUUUUAAAGAAUUCAUAUCGAUUGAAACAGUUGCUUAUGUAGUGUCCUGAUGUGCAUGAUAUGAGGUUUCCGCAAUUCUCUAAAUCUUUAGGACUUAUCAGAUUUCUAUGUACAUAUAAAAUGUUUUGCUCCAUGUUAAACAAAAAUUCUGUUGUGUUUCCAUUGUGUAUGUUGCUCUGUUCGUUCAAAGACUUUAUGUUAAUGUAUGACUUUUGCGUCAAGCCUACUUGGCAAUCCUAAUGUUAAUGCCACACGUCAAUCUUAGCAAAUUAGUUGAAUGAGAAUUUCAGUUUUCUGUAGUUAGCUGCACACAUUAUCUCCAAAUUCAGUAGUGUACACUUGGUCAAAUUGAUAAAAGUGGCUGUAUUUUCUCAAUUGCAUGGACUGUUGAAGCAUUUGUCAGUACCUAUGGAAUAAAUUACGGGAGGAUUGCAGAUAAUAUCCCUUCGCUAAAUCAUAUUCUUUGUACAUCUGGCAUCAAUUUCUAAUGUAGAUUUCAGAAACUUACUGGAAGGUUAGAAAUGCAUUCAGCCGCUUCUAAUCGAAGAGAUUAGCAAUUGAAAUGCAAUAAACACUUAAUUUAUGUCCAAGCUACUUGACUCAUCUUACCACUCUCCAAACAUCCUCCUUCAUAAGACAGCUCCUCAGCUAGAGUUUCCUCUAGGACAGGUUUCAUUCUUGACCAUGUGAAGUUCAUCACAAAAAUACAAGCAAGAUAGGAUAAUCAAGCAAACAAGAGAGCAAAGUAACCUGAUAACAAUUGCAAUUCACUUGCUAGGUAAAAAAUUAUAAUGGAGUUCAAUUCAAACAAGGAGACCACAACAUUUCAGGUCUUUAAUACUUGACGUUGAAGCCACAGCACCAACCCACAAACGAAAAACCGAACGAAAGCGAUUUAGAACAGUCAUGACUCAUGAGUCAAAAGCCAAUCAAUCUAAUACUUACAAUGCAGGCUUCUGUCAUAUUUCUCAUCUAAAGAAUGCUGAACACAAGAACUCUUCAUUGAAUACUUCCCUCGAGUAAAGCUAAAACCAUGAUCAUCAAGCAAUUAAGCAAAAAGUUACUACUUGAUUGGAGCGAAGCAGGGCCUCUUGGGUUAACUUGGUUUACCUAAAGAAGAGAAGCCGGAGCUCUCUUUUGCAUUUUCUUUUUUUCUAAACUAAGUGUCUGAAUAUGGGAGUGUUUGGUUGCAGAAAUACUGCAGUAGAGGAAAGAAUGACAACUUUUUGCAAUGUUUGUUAUUGCUUGGGUGUACUCCCUUUUAUAGUGCAUGAAGGAGUAGGCUUGCAAUGACUGAAAGUGUAGGCACAAAAUGUUUGCAAAAAUGCGACUUCGUGUACAUUUCCAGGAAACAAUAAAGGGUUUAAAUUUCUUUUCUUUUCUUUUCUUUUCACAUUUUUCUACCUCUUGCCUAUCAAAUAAUUGAGAUAUUUUUAUCUUCAAUGUAGGUUUGGUAAAUCUUUUCAAUCUGAUCUCUUAUCAACACGCGAUAUGCUCAAAUAAUAUCAGUUAUUGUGAUUUACCCCUUGAAAAAUUGAUAAAUUACCCAAAUCAAGAGUGAUAAUAUCCUAUAAGAGCGAGUAACUUUAACAAAUAAAUGAGGCUAACUCAAUGGCUUAAUCUAUAAUAUCGAAACAAUCCGAUAAAUGCCGGUAAGUGAUCCCGAAUAGGAGCCUAUAAUUUUCUAUUAAAGUUAGUGAUGAGUACGUGCGCACCUACAAACCCUACUCAAUUGCACCCCCGCACGUUAUUAAAAAAAUUCGACAGGGUUGAAGGAAAAAGAAAAAAAGGUUGACGAAAAAUAGAUAAAGUGGGGCCCAAUCCGCAACAAUUAGCAAUUAAGAAAAGAGAGGGUCGGAUCGUCACCUCGUCCCCGUGUGGGGCCCUCACCACCACCCCCAUCGGACACGUCAACAUUGUGCAUUCGUUCUGGAUAAUAUAUACGGAGAAACCCUCACAACUUUGACGUCUGCCUCUCUAUUCCCAGAUCUCCCAUCUUUACUGACUCCUACAAUGAAUUUUCAUGCCUUCAGGAUCAAUAUCUAAAGCUUCACUGAACCAGAAACGUUUAAAACCUUACGCUCAAAAGUACUCAUAUACAACCGUCACUCAUUCUCGCUCUUCACCGAACCACCGUCUCCGACCAUCAUCUAACCACUGUGCUGGCCGUUGCAUCCACAAGACAUAGGGAACAAUAAUAGGGUGGCAAUCGGAUAAACCGACUGGAGUUGGGUUUUUAGUGGCUUCUCAUCAAUGACCAUCGUUGAAGGCAGCAGGAAGGCCUAAUUUAUCAAUGGUGUAACUAGACUGUGACAGGCACUUGCAACUGGCAACGAGAACCUUUACGACUAUCGAUGAACAUAACAACGACUGACAAGGGAGUCUUCGGAUGAGAUAUGGGCUCUUCAAUUUCACAGUGGGAAGGCACCGGCCAAUAGAGUAGGAAAUGGUGGCUCGGGAACAAUGAGGACGAGCGGCUAUGGCGACUGAUGCCGUUAAGGGGAGUGAUGGAGAGGCUCAUCGAAGUGAUGGCGUGGGUUUCAAUCGCCGGAAUGGGCAGCAGCAACUACUGCUCCGACUCCUCAAGAGAAUGAAAUCCAAGAACAAUGGAUGCAACUUGCGGUGGUGAGGAUGAAGUCCAAUGACGAUGGGGCGAUGGUGAAGGAGUUGGCAUGAAGAAUCGUUACUCCUUAUUUUUCUUUUUCCCCCUCUUCUUUUAAUUGUGAUGCCUUCCCGCUGAACGUAAAAAGAAGCAAAAAAAAAAAAAAAAAACAAAAAGCAAAAAACAAAAACAAAAAUGACCCCUUCCAAGAUGGGAAAAGAAUAAAUUUUAUUCUCCCAAUGGGGUUUUGUACGAUUGCACUGAAUGGCGCGAUCUUUAGAAGUAUAAACUCAAAUCCUAUGGUAAUAAAUAUAGUAUUCUAAAUGGCUUAUCGAUUCUUGAAAUUAGAAUUUCUUUAAAUGGAUUCGAGGUACUUAAAUUUUGCAGUUUUCCUAAAUCAGAUGUCUAAAAAAGAUUAAAACAAGUGAAAAAACAAUUUUUUUUCAGGUCAUAGUCGAUUCUUUGGUUUGACCAAAAAAGCCAUCUUCGGCCAAAUUUAUGGAAACUCGAAAUCUAAAGUCUAUUUCUACACGCCGAUGUUGACUUAACCCCUAUAUGCAAUUAAGGUACUAAUCAUACUGAUCUAAUUCUUUUGAGUGAAGAAACGAGUCUCGUCGCGAUCGAGGAUCUUGAAUCUCGAUUUUUUUUAACUUUAACCAUCGCGAAAAUUCGAAUGGCAAUAGCAAUAUAUAAAAAAAAAAUUCUGAUAACUGUUGGUAUUUUCUUAAAGGUUUGGGUAACUUACCAAAACUUCACCGACUGAAUAAGUUAUCAAACAAACAGACCAAAAAAAAAAAGGUUAUCAAACAACAUUUUGUUGUCAAUCGGUUUUGAUAUUUACCAACGCUUGUCGAUUUUUGCUUGCACAAAACACUGUUUGGAUGUUUACCUGGUCGAAUCUUCCUUUAUGCUAUGGAUUUUUGUGGCAUCUUCUAAAGUCAAAUUGAUACCACUUUUUAGUUUGGUUCGAUUUGAUUUCCCCUUUCAAAAUGUUAUGAACACCCUAAUUUUUUUCAAUAUAGAGGACGAAUCAACCCAUAUCACCCAAAUUAAGAAAAUUCAAUCUUCAUGAAGAUCAAAUAUCCAAGUUUUGCAAUGGAGAACGCAUUCGGUUAGCAUUUUUCAUUUCACGCAACAAACAAAAUGUCGGAAAGUGACUACACAAGUUAUUUAGGCAUCCGGAGGGACUAUCCGGGAGCUCGACCAAUACCCAAUGACUAUCCUAUGGCCAGCUGGCGAUUGGGCAGUAGGGCCUAAGCGCCCAGUCUUCUUCACAUUGUCUCACCACAACGCCUCUUAACAUGUCUCUCACUUAUUUUAAUCUCCGGGCUCCAAUAGAAAUUCGAUUUGGCUAGAACUUGAGCCAUAAGCUCAACAACCUUUGAACAUAGAAUCAUGGAGUCGCCAUCUAGAUGGAGACGCACGAUGUGCAUCCAAGUAAUCUUGCACUUGGCAUGGUGGUGAGGCGAGGAAAGCCUUCUCCGGCCGCAUACUUGUCAGCCAGUUUGAAAAAUAAAAGAACAAGCCUAUAUAGGCUAGCGAACCUCAUGAAUUUCUUGGGCUAUCAUUUCUCGCGUUCGGGCCGAUGUAAUUUAAGAUGUGAUGAAAGCAAUUGUCUGUUAAUUUUAAGCUCAGGAGGUGCCAUACUUGAUCAUGAAUAUGGUUUUCGCUGAAGAAUUAUAUUAGAGAAGUUACUUACAGAAAAAAAAAAAAAAUUCUGGGUAGACACGUGCAAACUUAACUGGGCUGGGGCUCAAGUAAACAAUUUCUUUCUCAAGCUCAAGCCCAAUCGUGGAAGCCCACUUGAGCUUAUCCAGACCCGAUUGUCAGAGUGAGUAUAAAGGAAGAUUUCUAAAAUUUCGUCCACUGAUCAGCUCCACAAAGCAUUAGGGGACGCAAAAAAUCCGUACGUAUGUUCGAACUCGUGCUCCGAGGUAGAGUCGCCGCUCGAGCUUAAAGGCGCAGGAAAACGGUCGUCUCUCCAGGGAGCGACACGUGUAGCUCUAUGGAAGCCCAAAUUCGUUCGAGCAAAAUCUAAACUGUAGGCUCGACCAUCGACCCAUCAUGGCGAAGAAGCCAUCACAGACCCCAUCAUCGUCCUCCUCCUGUCCUCGGUGCGAACUCUAGGCGACCAUGCUGAUCACAGGUGGAGGUCCAGAUGGACCGCCGCCCCGAACCUCGUCGUCUUCUUCCCCUGGAAGGACGCCCUGUUCGUGGACAACGUCUUGACCAUCUACGUGUCGCCUACGGUGAGGAAGUUCUGCAUCAAUAUUGAUUUUCUCGACUAUUGCGCGCCUGAGCUCAGUCUGUGGCUUCGCUUUGCUGUCGACCGCCGUCUGAAGGACCUCUCUGUCAAUGCAGCUAAGGGUUUGCGCGAGAUGGCCAUCCAUUUCUCCGUACCGCUGCUCCUUUAUGGAUGCUCUCCGUUGGUGAACCUGCAUUUAAGGCUGUGUAGCGUCCCAUUUAGUAAGAGUGUCACUUGGAGUAAUCUCAAGUCCUUAUCCAUAUGGGGCUUGGAGAUCAUGGAUAAGGUGAUGCAUGAUAUCUUGAAGGGCAGUCUCAAGUACCUUAGGUCGAAGGAAUGCCGCAGUUUGGAGCAAAACGUCAUGCUUUGUUCGAUAAGUUUGAGGAAAAUUUGUGGUUUAUCACUGCUUCUGGCAUGCACUUGAUGAGGGUUUCCCACUGGAGGUUUCAAGUCCUCUUUUGCUGUUGUUGCAUUUGAGAGGGUCGUUUGGUGUGAUGAGGCAGCUGGUAAUUGAAGCCUCAUCCUUAAUUGAAGUUGAGUUGAACUUUUUUAUAAGACGCGAGGAUUUUAGAAAUUGUUCUGUUCAAAAUUGGUUCGAGCCUUACGGAGGGUAGAGCAACCUGGACAAGGGACUGUUUCAGGAGUUGCCAAACAUGAUUGAAGUUCUAAUUGGUAAUUGGGUGGGCAAAUUGUUUAAUUCGACCCGUUUGGUUUCAUACUUAUGGAUAGUUCAUGGUCCCUCUUCCUGGAGUUGAUGAAGUUCUUAGUUCAUCACACUAGAAUUUGGUUCACAUCAUCUGCUACUCUGCUUGACGUCUAAUGGUGCAAAUGUACAUUUUGCCUUCAGAAUAACUACCAAAAGGUCAAAAAGAAAAAGGCAGCUAGUUUAGGGUAAGUCUUUUUCCUCCUCAAUAGUGCAUAAUCAUGAUCCCAAAGAUCAUAGUAAAUUAUUAACGAAAAGUAGAUGUGUCCUAUUUUCUAAAUAUUGAAAAAGAAGUUGUUGACUAGAAUUAGUGUAACGAGGCAAAUUAUCUAGUUCCAAUUAAAUGAGGACAAAAAAAAAAAAAAGACAUUGGAUCUUCUUAUUGCUUUUUCUACUGCAUGAUUGUGUACCUUAUAACAGGAGAUUUGCAUAAAGUUCACCAACUGGUGCUUGGUCGAGUAUUUGUAUCUGGUCGAGUGUUGGGAGCUUGGGUGAUGAUGGUCGAGUUCGAGCUUGGCCCGCUGUCUCAACAUUUAAGUAUGCGUGAAUGUUUGUCAUCUCUUGUGAGAUGCCAAUUUGAAUAAUUCAUUAGCAUUUUAUUUUAUCCAAAAGUAAAUGAGGAUGAUCACGUUGCUUUUUUCAAAAUUACGUUUCAAUAGCUAGUCCACCACAUUCGCAUCAAUGUGAUGUCUCAUUGGGCCUGAAAGGGCCCUUUCGGGCAUUAUUCGGCAAGGCUAUAAAUUCCGGCCCGGCCUAGUUGAUUCUGCGGCAGCCCUUUACGGCCCAAUUCCCAUCUCUCUCUUCCUUCCUUGUUUUGACUCCCGCCUGUUCCUCUUCCCGCAACUUCCUCCGCAAAUUCUCAGACUUCAGUGGACAUCACUCCCGCUCUUCCCUUCUUCGUCUCGCUCUUCAGCUUUCCUCCGUUGUUUUUGAGCUCUCUCCUUAUUCCUUGCGAUUUGUUCCACCACGGCUGGCGGCUGUUGUUUUCAGGCUGCUUGGCAGGGUCACGGCGUGUGCUUCUGUUUCAGCUUUAGUGCGAUUAACCCUGGGCUUCUCAGGUUCGGCUCCCAUUUGGCGUUGUUGGGUGGGUGGAUUCGGUUUUGUUGAGGUUUUUGCUCGAUUUCCGAUUGGCAGGUGAAGAUGGGAGAGUGGUAUCAGGAAAAAGGAUUUGCUGACAACGGUCGCGGAGGACUCGAAGGUGGGUGCUUCAUCGCUUCAGUUGGCAUGAGGCUGUGAACAAUCUCUCUUGGGCAUGGCUUCGAUUCAAGAAAGUUCUCUUUUUUCUUUAUUCAGUGUGUUCGUUUCUUCAACGAUGGCUUGCUGUGCUUGCCCUUUGAGUCAUUGGCCUUAUCUCCUUCUACUUCUUUAGCUUUUCCUAAAUGUGCAACGCUUCCUUUUUCGCCAUAGGAACCAACUGUAAUUGCCAAUCUUGUUCAAAUUGCAUUCGAUGGAUAAUUGGACGAAUAUAGAGAUAAAAGUGGUUGAAAGUCUAAAUGAGAAGGUGCCAUCGAACUAAAAAGUUGGUCUUUUACACAGAAAUGAACAGUGAAUGAUGGUGAUGCGAGUGGAUAUCUAGAGAUGACUUAGUUCCAAGUAAAGAAUCCAAGCUCGUAUUAGUUGAAUGAAGGGAUUUUAUUUAUAGGCGCAGUAGAUUCUUAUUAUUUAUUAACUUCUCGACCAGGUUGUUGCCUUAUGAGAUUUUUUCCUAUCUGGACAGUCAUCUACUCCAACCAUAAGCGUACCAUACUCCUGUAUCGCCUUCUUGUUGCCCUUCUUCGUACACCAGUUAAAGUGUUCAUGAAAAUUAACAUGAAUUGGAGGGGAUGCCAUGUAUGCUAAAUAGACUAGCCGUGUCAGAUGCGGUAACGCUUGAUGCCCACUUGGAGUUCGCAGGUUUAGCCAUUGCAGAAUACUAUCUAAAUGUCAUCAGGCAUCUAAAAAGAUCUUAGAUUCCUGAUUAUGACUCACAAUGUAAUUUUAUUGUUGACUCCUCUUCUUUUACUGAUUGAGCAUUCUUUUACUGAUUGAGCAUGCCCUACAAGGAGAGAAUUAUUGAAUAUUGAAAUAUAGACUAUAGGCGGAAAGUUUCACAUUUUAUAUUGCUUGAAGUUUUAUUUAUCUUCUUCUCAUUACUGGGGGGGAGUUCAACUUUUGAAUAGGAUAUAUCUUGAGCUAUGCUGCGUAUUUGUGUGACUAUCUGGUCGAGAGGGAUGGAGGGAGAAAUUGGAGAAAGCAAAGAGACUAGGAGGGUCAGGGGAGCUGCAUCCAAGUAUGUAGGGUUCUUAUAUGACUUCAUCUUGUGGUAAUUCAAAUUCGUAAGAACUUAAAAUUUGAUGCCUAGCCUUGGUAGUUCUUGAUGUCUAUUUUCACUGGAUAAAUUUAAAGAGAUCUUUUCUCUCAAUGCUUCGCUCAUCGUAUUGUCUUCUGGAUAUGGAGAAUGUUUUGAGUGCACUAUAGUACUUGAGCCAAUACUUGAAUGGUUUCUUUGAGAUUUUAAGUUGUAAAUACUAUUGCACUUGUAAUCCACGACUGAAGUAAGCUUUCGUGCAUCCACUUCACCUUGAGAUUCCAUAAUUGAACAACAAGAUUUUUUUUUUUUUUGAUGAUAUUGGAAUGGAGGCUGCCAACAAGAUAUAGAUUCCCUUGCUUUAGAUAACCUACUAGCCCAAAGAAAUCCCGUAUCUCUUCUUCUGCCUGCAAUCUUUCGCCGGGAAUUCUCGCUCUUCCAGUGGGGGGGACCUCCUACCUUCCUCUCUUUCGCUCUUCCGUCCUUCGUCUCGCUCUUCAACUGCCUCCGUUGCUGUCCGUACGCUCCUCGCGGUUCGUUCCAGCGGAGCUGGUGGCUGCGGUUUUUGGGCUGCUUGGCGGAGCAUUCUCUCUAGCAAAUGGAGACCGACGAAGCAGGGGCCGGGCUGCUUCCGUUUCAGCUUCAAGUUCUGACGAACCGCUUUGGCUUCUCCGGUUCGGCUUCCGUUCGGGCGUUCUUUCUCGACCUCCUAAUGGGCGGCGGCGAUUGAUUUUUUUUUUUCCGAUUAGUUUUUGUGAGGUUUCGGCUCGAUUUCUUCCGAUUGGCGGGUGAAGAUGGCGGGAGUGGAAUCCGGAGAAGGAUUUGCCGGCCGGCCAUGGUCACGGAGAACUUCGAAGCGGUGGUGCUUCGUCGCUUCAAUUGGCAGAGGCUGUGGACAAUCUCUCCUUUGUAAUUGCUUCCACUCGAGAAAGUUCCACGUCGAUGUCGAUUUUCUGGACCGUUGCGCGCCUGAGCUCAGUCCGUGGCUUCGCUUUGCUGUCGACGACCACGUCAAGGACCUCUCAUUCGAUAUGACUAUAGAGGCCGUGCGAGAUGGCCGGCCAUUUCGUGGUACCGCUGCUCCUUCAUAAAUGCUCUUAGUUGGUGAACCUGCAUUUGGGCCUCCGGAGCUUCUGGUUGAGUAGGAGUAUCGCUUGGAUUAAUCUUUAGGUCCCUGUCCAUCUGUGACUCGGAGAUGACCAAUGAGGUGAUGCGUGAGAUGUUGAAGGGUAGCCGGAUGCCGCGGUCUGAAGCAAAACAUCAAGCUUUGUUUGAGAACUUUGAGGGAAAUUGCGGUCCAUAGCUGCUUUUGGUAUGCACUUGAUGAGGUUUUUCCCUUGGAGAUUUCGAGUCCUCUUUUGCUGUCCUGUCAUUGCGUUUGAGAGGGUUUUUUGGUAUGAUGAGGCAGCUGGUAGCGGAAGUCUCAUCCUUGAUUGAAGCGGAGUUGAACUUUUUUUUUAUGAGAGGCAAGGAUUUUGGAAGGCCAACUAAUUGUUUUGCUCGAAAUUGGUUUGAGUUUUACAGAGGGUAUUGCAGCCUAGUUGAGGAGCUGCUUCAGAAGCUGCAGAAUGUGACUAAGCUUUUGAUUCGUAAAUUGUGCCUUCGGGUGAGCAGAUUGAUUUUGAUUUCAAAUUUAACACGUUUGGUUCAUACUUAUGGACAAUUCAUUGUUCCCUUUCCUGGAGUUAAGGAAGUUCAUUCCAAACUUCAGCACAAGGAAUCUGGUUUACAUCGUUUGCAACUCUGCUUGAUGACAACCGGUGCAAAUACCCAUUGUGCCUUCAGAAUAACUACCAAAAAGACCAAAGAAAGAGCAGCUGGUUUAGGGUCAGUCUUUUUCCUGCUCAGUUUUGCAUAAGCAUGAUUCCAAAGAUCAUGAUAAUUAUUGAUGGAAAGUAGUUGUGUCCUAUUUUCUAAAUACUGAAAAAGCAAUUGUUGACUAGAAUUAGUAUAUAAGAUCUACUAUUUCAACAAUUGAAAGCUUUGGCAUCGCUUAAUUUGUCAUAUAGUCGGGAACCAAAAUAGCUCUCAAAGAACAUACCUGCAGGGCUUUUGUAAUCGUAUUUGGAAGGAGUAAAUUAUCUUAUUCUUUUGCUUUUCAAUUGUUGGAUGUGCUUAGGUUUUAUCACUUGCAGCAGAGGUACUAUGCGCGCUAUUUUCUUUGCCCAGUUGCAAGUCUCUAACUCUGCAUGCACAAGUGGAGAAAUGAGAUUUUCCUAGUAUAGCAAAACUGUACCUUGUAACAAGGUGAAUUGUCUAAUUCCAGUUAAAAGAGAAAAAGAAAGACAUUGGAUCUCAUUUUUUCACCCUACUGUAUCAUUGACGCACGUGCGUACCUUAUAACAGGAGUUUAUCAUAAAGCUCACCAACUAGGGCUUGGUCGAGUAUUAACAUUCGGCCUACUCGACCGAGUGCUAGGAGUUUGGAUGGUGAUGGCAAAUGGCUUGGUCGAAUUCGAGCUUGGCCCGUCGUCUUGACAUUUAAAGUAGGCGUGCUUCCGUUUCAGCUUCAGUUUGACAAACCGCCUGGCUUCUUAGGCUCAACUCCCGUUAGGCAUUCUUUGGUGACCUAAUGGGCAGGUCGAUUCGGUUUUGUGAGGGGUUUGGUCAAUUUCCGAUUGGCAGGUGAAGAUGGGGUGAGUGGAAUCUGGAGAAGGAUUGGCGAUGGUCACAGAGCACUCGAAGGUGGGUGCUUUGGGUGCUUCGAUGCUUCAAUUGGUAGAGGCUGUGGACAAUCUCUCCUAGGUAUUGCUUUGACUCGAGAAAGUUCUCCUUUUUCCUUUAUUUAGUGUGUUCAUUUCUUCUACAAUGGCUUGUUGUGCUUGCUCUUUGAGUCAUUGGCCUUAUCUCGUUCUACUUCUUUCGCUUUUCCUAAACGUGCUUCCUUUUUCACCAUAGGACCAUUGUAAUGCCAAUCUAGUUCAAAUUGCAUUCGAUGGAUAAUUGGAUGAAUUUAGAGAUAAAAGUGGUUGAAAGUCUAAAUGAGGAGGUUCUGUUGAACUAAGGAGUUGGUCUUUUACACAGAAAUAAAGAGUGAAUGAUGGUGAUGCGAGUGGAAAUCUAGAGAUGACUUGGUUGCGAGUAAAGAAUUCCAAGCUGGUAUUAGUAGAAUGAAGGGAUUUUAUUUAUAGGCACAUAGAUUCCUUUUAACUUCUCGACCAGGUUGUUGCCUUUGCAAGAUUUUUUCCAUAACCUAGCUGGUCAGUCAUCUACCCUAACCGUAAGUGUACCAUACUCUUGUAUUGCCUUCUUGUUGCCCUUCUUCGUACGCCAGUUAAAGUGUCCAUGAAAAUAACUAACAUGAAUUGGAGGGGAUGCCAUGUAUGCUAGAUAGACUAGCUCUGUCAGAUGCAGAAAUGCUUGAUUACCACUUGGAGUUGGUAGGUUUAGCCACUGCAGAAUAUUAUCUAAAUGUCAUUAGGCAUCUGAAAAGAUCUUAGAUUCCUGAUUAUGACUCUCACAGUGUAAUUUUACUGCUGCCUCCUCUUCCUUUACUAAUUGAGCAUUCUUUAACUAACUGAGCAUGCCCCGCAAGGAGAGAUUUAUUGGAUACUGAAAUAUAGACUAUAGGCAGAAAGUUUCUUACAUUUUGUAUUGCUUGAAGUUUUAUUUAUCUUCUUGUCAUUACUAGGGGGCAUUUCGUCACGUCAGUUUGAUUAAUCAAGUUUGAUGGUGGGAGUUCUAACUUUUGAAUAGGAUAUAUCUCGAGCUAUGCUGCGUACUUGUAUGACAAUCUGGUCAAGACAGAUGGAGUAGAAAUUGGAGAAAGCAAAAAGACUAGGAGGGUCAGGGGAGCUACAUCCAAGUAUGUUGGGUUCCUAUAUGACUUAAUAUUUUCGUAAUUCAAAGUUGUAAGAACUUAGAAUUAGAUGCCUAGCCUUGGUAGUCGUUGAUGUCUAUUCUCACCGAAAAAAUUUAGAGAGGAGAUUUUUUCUCUGGAAACAUCUUAAUGCUUCGGUCAUCAUAUUGUCUUCUGGAUAUGGAGAAUGUUUUGAGUGCACUAUAGUACUAGAGCCAAUCCUUGAAUGGUUUCUCUUAAGAUCCUAAGUUGUAAAUACUAUUACACUUGUAAUCCUCACCUGAAGUAAUUUUCCGUGCAUCCACUUCGCCUUGAGGUUCCAUAAUUGAACAAAAAGGUUUGUUUUUUGAUGAUAUUGGAUUGGAGGCUGCCAACAAGAUAUAGACUCCCUUGCUUUAGAUGACCUACUAGCUCAAAAAAGCCCAUAUCGAGUGACUAAUAUCCCUCAGUUAUUUUGUACAGUUAUUACAUUUUCCCUCACUUCAUAAAUUUUGAUUAACAUUUUGUUGGUUAAUGUCUAUCCUCUAUCUUUCCUCUUCUUCUAUUAAUUUUACUGGGACAAAAUAUUCUCUCUCUCUCUCUCUCUCUCUCUCUCUCUCUCUCUCUCUCUCUCUCUCUCUCUCUCUCUCUCUCGUUUACAAUGAAUUCACUUUCUUUGCACAUUUCAAUGUGUGUCGUCAAUACUAGCUUCUCUUAAUCAUUCUAGUCUGCUCCAGGUAAAUGUGUAACAUCAUUAUGCCGGUGUCCUGAUGGCAAGGUUGUUGUCUUGGGACUUGAAGACGAUACAGUUUUACUGCAUGAUGUCGAAGUAAGUUUUCUAUGUUGUUACUUGAACUACGUUUUCUAUGUUGUUACUUGAACGUUACCCUCAUUACUUCUCAACUAGAUAUUCCUCCUGAAACGUUCCUUUAUCAUCAAAACGUGUUUUUCUCUAGUCUCUCUUGGGAAAUUCUGAAUUGCUCAAAAUCUGCAUGAUGCAAUGCAAACAACAAACUUGCUAACUGAACAUUCAGCUGCUAAUAGAGGUGGCACUCCAUUUUUAUUGGUCAUGUCCCUCAAUGUCAAGUUAACAAUGGAUUGGUAGAUAGGUCAAUCUGAGCAGGAUAAGAUUAACAAAAAAUUUUAUUAGAAAAUUCUAUUUGAACAUGACCCAUUUGUUAAAUAGGCAAGAGAUGUAUAACCUGUUUAACUAAUUUGAUUGAAUUGAAUGGGUCAUUCCCAUCCUAACAUGACCAACGUGACAUAUGUACCAUAUGCAUAUCUUCAUCAAUGUCAAAUAAGUUUGAAAAGGGACUAGCCAUAAGCUUACAAACUACAUGAAAUGUUUUAUUUAUAUGGUGUGAUCAAAUCAUAAUAUGUAACAACUAAGGAAACCAAAUUUAUGUAUGAUUUUUUAUUAGAGAACUUACUAAACUAAAUAUAAACAGGUCAUGAUAGGUCAGGUUGUUGAUCAAGUUGGCUCUAUCAUUUAGUUAUAUAGAUUACAUGAGUCAAUCUGUCUUUGCGGUUUGAACUUUGAACAUGGAACAAUAUUCGUUUAUUAAUUAACUGUUAAGUAGGUAGCCUCACCUAAGUGGUCACAUGGAAAUGUGAGUCAUGAAUAAAAAAAUUAAAUCUUUCGAUUGUGGAUCGUGAUUUUCAUCCAAUGGAAUCAUAAAAUCUGAUAUAAUGUUUGAGAUUGGUAUUCCAUGACAUAUGUAAAUUAAUUAUUAGAUAAUAACUAAUCACAAAGAUACUUCAAAUUCAACUAAUUUUAUUAUCUCCAGACAUGAAAUAUUGCUACAAAUUAUUUUUCUUUUGCCCAAUGAGUACCCAUUUGACUGCAAGGACGCAAAGAUCUUAUACAUGGUAUUGUAAUUGGAAUCCCAUUCAUAGAAUUGAGUAUGAGACAAUCAAAACAUCCACUAAGCCUGAUGCAGCCAACAAAAUCAUGCAGGAUGACUACCAAGUUUUUGGUGAAGAUUGACUUUAAAACUCAAACAAGGGUCAGGAUUCUUCUUGAAGUUUAAUCACUAAAAUUAUCAACUAGGAUUUGAGUAUUAUUAGGAUUUUACAAAAUUUCCUUUUCUUUCUUUUUUUAAGCUUGCAUAGUAGGAUCUUGCGUAUACUCCAAUAAUGUUUCUUGUUAUUGAACUUGGCAAGUGUUUGCUUUGCAGAUUGUGUGAUGCAAUUCAUCUUUGGCAUGAUGCUUAAGAAACCCUGGGUGUGUUGCUUGGGCAAUUUUGCAUGUGAUGCUUAAAUAUUUAUUCUUUAUUGUGGGACUCAGUCCUAUAUCAAAGCCGUGAAAUGUUUUUGACAUUACAUUGUUGAUACAUGCGUUAAAUUAUGAAUCAAGGAAAUUGAUUGACUCAUAUCUAAUCAGUGAAAUCAGCAGUGAGUUACUUUAAUCACAUAUCAUACAGAAUUAAUAUGCUCAUUUAAUAGAUUUAUAUACUUUAGGAGUUGAAUCUUAUUGAUGUGUUCAAUUGCAUUCUCGUGUAGGACAAGAUUUUUACUUCGCUGCUAAUGUUGUCAUAGAUGGUUGAGACUAUUUCAAUUGUCAACGACAAAUUACAGGAUAGUGUGUGCUGGGGUCCAGCUUGUGGUGAGAAUCUACAUCUAUGGUCUAGGUGGAAGGUGCUGUACUGAAGCAUUCAUUCAUGACAUGCUCAUUUUCAUGAAAGUUAAUAACUUCUUUCAAUUGUUAUAAAUUUGUUCAGUUCAGUCAAAUUAGGAAGGUAAUAAUUUAGGUGAUCCUUAAAUGAUGGGAUUUGUGUGUGCCUCAAUUAUGCUCGUGGGUGGAAAAGUUUGUAAAUAACUGGUUAUGUUUUUAUCAAGCCAUAGUGGCUUGGUCAUGAGUAGAAUGGCUGAGUACAUGGCUGAGGAUGCUGCAAUUCUGUUUCUUUGAGAUUUCUACCAUUUUAUGACUAAUCAUCCACUGCUUGGAUUGCAGUCAAUCAAUAUAGAUGGAUCCGAAAUCUGAUUUAAAUCUAAUAUAGCACUUAUGGAUCCACAAGAAUUGCUGAGAAGAGAAGUUUAUACAUAAUGAAUGUUACUUACCAAAGUAGCUGUCUUUAUGGAACUAUAAAUGUGCAGGGUGCUGCUUUUGACAUGCUAGUGCUUGCAGCAGUUAUGCACACUAUGGUAUAAUCAUUCUAACAGGAUAUAAAUAUGAAGCAGAAUGGAAAACUCUUGAGAAGAUUGAAGUAUGGCAGUUGGGGUGUGUCUCAACUGGAAGGAGGAUGCCUAAGUGAAUGGAGUAUGGCAUCUUUCAACUUAAAAGUUGGUACGAUUUUGUGAUCUUUAUUACCAAUAGCAGAUAUCUUAUGGCUCACACCUUUCAUAAAGCUUCGUUUGCAGUUAAGUAGUUAUUUUAGUGUGGUGUUCUUAAAUACUUCUUUUUCAAACUUAGAAUCUUAUUUCACAGUCCAAUAGCUUUAGUAUGGGUUUAUGGAAGAUUUUUUGGAUGCGUAUGUUUGGCGUCAUCUGUAACUUGUUGAUUUGUUCGACUCUUUAGCUCUGAUCUCAUAUUUUUUCACCUUUUUAUUUUCCAACUGGAAAGUAAUUAUUCAUUUGUUUUAUACAAUGCUUCUGGUAACUCUUUGGCAUUUGAAGAUCGCACUACUCAAUUCUUCCCUCCAGCUCCAGGAGUUCCUCGAAUGCCUGGACUAGUACCCGGAGAUGCUGGUUUAACUAACAAGGUUCAAGAUUCAUUUGUAGAGCUCUCAAAUUCUUCAAAGCAAUGUUUGCAUAGCCUUUGCAGUGGAGAUAUAGAUGGGGUUUUGCACUUUCGUAUUUUUGGUGUCUUCCCAAUCGAAAAUAUUGUCAGUGUCUUGUCUGUUCAAAUCAAAUAUUUAGCUAUAAGGUCUGUCAUAUUCAGUAAAUGAGUCCUUUCCUUGUUCUUGCUUCUCAUACAUCAAUUUUUCUUAUUAAAGGGAUUUGAUGGUGGAUUGAUAGCAAAUCAUUAUUGCUCGGGAAGUAAUGGGCUGGUUAAGUAAACAAAUAUUCCUAGGCGAGGUUAUGCUUGUAAAAGUUCCUAGAUGUUUAUGCCAUUUCUUAGGCUAGAUUUCACUUCUGUUGGUCACUUCAGAGAUGACACUUCCAAUUUCGAUACUUGAUACUAAACACUUAUCUGACGCUUUUUGUUGUUUGGCCUGAGGUUGGCCUGCCUUGCAUACUUAUUGCUCCUCUCCCGACUAUUGGCAUUCUGCUCUAUACUAGGAAGAUUGAGAGAGCCUGUGAAGCUCUUCCCUUACCCAGCAAGUAUAAUUCAGGCCAAAGACAUUGCAGAAGCCUUAGUCCAGACUUCAUGAGAAAAUUUACUUGAAGGGCCAUGAUGUUUGUCAAACUUUUGCACGAUAUGAUGUUGGAAAAACAAGUGUGAAAAAAUGAACAUCACAAAUAUAAACAUAAAGCAAUAUUUACGGCACUAAAUAGCAUGCAUAUACUGAAUUAAUAAUAUGAUAAAAACGUAAAGUCAUUACAUUGCCUUUUAAUAACAAUACUGUGUUGAAUUCGAUAAAAUUGUGUUAGUUGUCAUUUGAGGUCAACUUUAAUACAUCAAAUUGAUAAUGGACUAUUGUAUAUAUUAAUAGGCUGAAUAUGUUAGUAUUGCAAUAGUUGACAUGGUAAAUACACCUAAUACUCUUCUAUUAGAGUGGUAAAAAUGCAUAGGCUGAUAUAUUACAUUCAUGUUUGGUGCCUCUUAUAUUGGACGCAUUUUAGGCAAAGUACUCUCAACUUACGAGCUAGAGUUGACUAGCUUUAGAGAAUAAUGCAAUUAAGCUCUUGAAUUGAUGUGAUAAUUUAGCAGUUAUAAAGUAUUGUAGAUCAAUAGUAUGAGCAGGAGUGCUUGUGAAAUGCAGAAUUUACACUUCACAAUUUCAAGUAUCGAUGGUUUAGUUUGGAUUGGUGGUAUUUAAAUAGCAUUGAUUAUUCAAGUGGAUAUUGGAAUAAAGUUUCUUUCUAUUGAGCAUACAAAAUGCUUCACUUCUUGUACCAAUCAAGUUGAAUAACAAUAUUAAUAUGCUUAGAUAUAUUUUGAGUGACUAGUAAAAUCUAUUUAACAUAUUUUCAAAUAGAGUUACCCUCAUUAUUUAAUGGGAAUAGUCUACAUAAAAUAAAUUGUUGGAUGAGAAUAAUAUGGCUAGGUGUAUUUUGGAUGGUAAAUACAACCUAUUAUAUAUAUUUUUUUUGGUAAAUAAAAUGGUGGCUAAAGUACCCAACUACUUUGGGGAUUGAGCAUCAAGGAUUUCUUCCCUUCCAACAAGGGCUUUUUGCUAGGAUUUGAACCCUUGCCCAUUGGCAGGUGAAGUCCGUGCGGGAUUAGCAUGCUACCACUAGACCAACCCUUUGUUGGGUUAUUUUACAUUUUCAUUAAAAUAGCUACCCUCAUUAUUUAAGAGGAACUGCAUGCAUUUAUGUUAAAGUGUUAUUUAAAAUGCAAUUUAAUAUAAAUGAAUUAACAUUUCGUGUAUUAGUUCCAUUCAAUAAUAUAAAUAUUUGAAUUAGCACACAUUACAAUUUAGGUGUUGAAGGAAUAUUGCAAGUGCUAAACUAAACCAAGCAAAAAAAAUUUGGAAAAAAUUGAAAAUUUUAAUUUACUAAUUUGGCUUUGGGUUGAUUAUGAAAGUGUGACAUCAAUAAAUUUGAGUAACUUUGUAAUUAAGUAGAGAAAGAAUUGGUGGGCUAGCCACUCCUUUGCAAUAAGAAGUGAACAAAAACUUGGUAGAGAAGAGCGGUAGCCUCUGGAAGGAAAAGGAUUCUUGAGCCGAGCCACCGGGAGUGGGGUAGAAAUAAACUCAUCACAUGCAAUCUAAUUACAAAUAUGCCCCUGGAUGAUAAAAAGAGAUGAAGCUCCUCCACUUUUUCUUUCCUCUUUUUAUACGGUCCUAAUUCUUUAAAAACUCUCAAAUUUUAGGUUCAAUUUUAAUUUUAUCCCAAUUUUUUUUUUCAAAAACCCUCAACUUAAAACCAAAUGCUAUAUCAACCCUCAAUUUUUUUCAUCUAAAAAAGUUUUUCAAAUUUUAUAUACCGUCCCAAAUUUUUUUUGAAUAGCAGCAAAAACCUUGAGGACAAGAUCAAGAGAGUAAUUUCCAUUUUGACAAGGGCGCAAUCUCGCCAUUCAGAGAUCGAAAUUCAUGGCCAAAGAAGACAAGAAAAUCUAGGCAUGAAAAAGCAGAGGAUUCUCGACCGAGUGGGUGGGGCAUUUUUCCGCAUACCAUAAUUGCCAAGGGGAGCUUGAAAAAGAAAAAAAGAUGGAGCUUUUCUUCCGGACCAAGAAAAGGAGAUAAAGAGAGAGGCUGUGGUCGGCAAAGGAGAAAACUUUGACAAAGAAAAAUUGAUAAAGUGGCCUGCAAUGGAAAAGAAAGAAAAGGAAGGACAGAGGAGGUGAAAAGAAAAAAUGAAGAGAGAGAGAGAGAGUUGUCAGGGCACGCGUGAAAAAACAACAAGGAGCAAAAAGUUGCAGUCUCAUUGAAAAUCUACUUUUGCAGCGUUUGCAUUUCCUUGAAAGUUCGCUUUUCCUAUGCAUUGAAACUUCCACCGGUUGCAGGCGACGGCCAUAAAUGCAUGUCUAAUGGUUCGGUCAAUGAAUUACUAAUUUAUAUUCAGUUCGGCAAAUUAAAAUUAUUGAUCCAUAUCAACUAAUUAGAUUAGAUAAAUCAAAUUAAUAAUAUAUAUAUAUGAAGUAAAGUAAAAGAAAAAACAUAUUUUGAUUUAUUUAUGAGAUUUGAAGGAGAAAUUAGGACAAAACCUGAGCAAAAAAUAAAUUUUUGUCAUUGUGUUACGGUACUAAAUGAAUAUAUAUUUAUAUAUACACACAUACAUUUAUGCAUGUUAAUAUUUUUUUAUGAUCCUCAACACGCAUUGAUAACAUAAUUUUUUAGAAUAAGCUAUCAUUAAUAAUACAACAUUUCAGUAUGAAAAUGAAGAUUUUAGGUAACAUAUAUUAGGCUCAAAGUAAGAGGGAUAACUUCCUAAGUGUGAUAAAGAGCUGAAAUAUAUUUAACCAAAAACACCUUUUCCGAUGGAAAAUAAAUUAACAAAAGAAAGAGGAAAGUUGGACGGUGCAAGCGGUGGACUAAGCGUGCCCUCUUCAUUGUCCUGACACUUUGUAUGUUUUCAUCUACUGUGAGCACUUGUGUGGAAAAUAUUGGACCGGACGAAUCUCUCUCUCCACUUUUAAUUUUCUCCAGCAAAUCCAUGUGACGGGGAUGUGAGGGAAGCAGUGCAAAGGAACAUGAAAGAGUCAUGGAGUUGAAAAGUCUACUUGGAAAAGAAGUAAGAUUAGAGGAAAGACAAAAAAUUACGGAGCAAUUGUUUUCAGAGUGGUCUCCACCUUCAAAGACGUGUAGCAAGGGCUAUGAAAAUAUCUAUCUCUGUACCAAUUCUUAUUCAACGUUGGCUGCUCUUUAAUUAGUCCAAUAAAUAAUAAAAUUUAUCAGUGGCCCAUGCAUCUGAAUGUUUCUUGUCUAGAUGGAUUCAAGUGGUUGUCCAUGUCCUAUUUUAUAUUUAGAAAAACUUCCCACUCUAUUUGUCAUCAUAUUCAAUUACUAGCAAAAUUAAGGCAGAUGUGUGUAAAAGUCAUGUAUCAUUGGAAGUCCUUUCGGUCUAUUCUUCAUUAUAGACUAUAUUUAUUAUGGGUCUAAUUCAAUGCCAUUGGCUGCUUAAUAGGAUCAAGAGUCUAAAUAUAUUCAACAAAAGUAACUUUUCUGAUGAAAAAUAAAUUAAAAAAAGAAAAGGAAAUUUUUUAUUUGGGUCCUAAAAAAAAAGUUCAAUGGUGCAGCAAUUGUCUCGAUCCUUUGUACGUAUUCAUCAAUUAUGACCAUUUUCCACGGAUAUCAAUAAAGUAGUUGUCUUUUAUUUUUUAUUUUACUUUUUUUAAUUGCUUUUGCAUCGAAACUUGCUCACAUGUUAUUUUCUUCCGGGCAAGAUCGCCUUGGAUUCUCCUAUCCAUCAAAACUUCCCCACCAUGAAGGCAAAGACUAUAAAUGCACGGUCAAUGGUCCCAGUCAACAGAUUAGUAAUCAAUAUCUACCUCCGCAAGUUUGAAUUAUUGCUACGUGCCAAUUGAUCGAAUGAGAUAAAUCAAAUCAAUAAAGAUAUAUAUAUAUAUAUAUAUAUUAUAUAAUAUAAUAUAAAGAAGGGGAUAAGUGAAAAGGUAUUUUGAUUAAUUUAUGAAAUUUGAAGGGAAAAUUAAGACAGAACCAUAGCAGAAGAAAUUCUUCUUAUUAUGUUUGGGUACAAAAUAAAUAUAUAGUAUGUUGAUAAUUGCAUGUGUUAACUCAUUGACCUUAUAAGUAUUGAAAUGAAGUUUAUCGAUUUAACAUUAUAAUAUUUAAUAGGCUUAAAGUGAGAGAGAUUAAAUUUUUAAGUGAGAUCAAGAGCUUAAAAAUAUUCAAUAAAAAUACCAUUUCCAGUGAAAAAUAACUUAACAAAAGGAAAAGGAAAGUCCAGUGGUGCAAGCAAUGGACUAAGUUCAACGAAGACUCGUCCCAAAUCUCUCUCCACUUUUCUUCUUCCCAACAAAUCCACCGUUAUGUGGGUAUUGAAAUUUUAUCGGACCUUGUCUAUUAAAAUGUUAUUUCAGAUCAACUCUUGUUUACUUCACAGCCUCACAAUACCCUUACUUUCACAGCUUCACAACUUCAAAAUUGAAUUUCGCAAUAUAAAUUUCAUAUAAUUUUUUAAUUUGUACUGUAAUUCCAAAAACCACUCCAAUUAGACGAACAAAUGGCUUAAAUCCUUAUUCGGCACACCGUGAAUGGAAGUAAAUCUAGGGGAGAUCUGCAUGCAAAACCCACUCUCUUUUCAUUUUCUUUUUUUCUUCUUUUUCCUUUCUUUUCGUUUCUCUCCUGGUGCGUGCUCCCCCUUUUCCCUUUGCAUCUCUUAAAACCCUCAAAUUGUAGGUUCUGUUUUAAUUUUGUCCCAAACUUUUUUUUAUCUCAUAAAAUCCUUAAUUUUAGACUAAAUGUUAAAUCAUCCCAUAAUUUUUUUGUCUUAAAAAAUUUUGAACUUUGUAUUUAGUUUCAAAUUCGCCCCGAACAAGGGCAAGAACCUCAAGUAAAAAGAAGAGUGGUGGCCUCAAGUGAAGUAAGGACUGGUAGGACCCAGCCAUCGGGCAAAGGGAUAGAUAGAAAAAUAAAUGCUAUUUAAUUUCAUAUCCGCCCCGUGAUUAAAAUGAGUGAAGCUCCUCGAUUUUCUCUUCCCUUUUUUAUAUGGGUCUGCUCUCCUGAAACCUCUCGAAUUUUAAAUCCAAUUUUAAUUCUACCCCAAAACUUUUUAUCUAAAAAAAAUCUUUAACUUUGGAUUCAGUCGUAAAUCUUGGAUUCAGUCGUAAAUCUACUCCCAAUUCUUUUCUCUGAAAAAUUCAAAAUUAAUGUCCAAUAAAAAAUAUGCCGACAUUUUUUUAUCUGAAAAAAAUCAAUAACCAAUCUCAAAUUUACCUCAUUAAUCCUACGCUAGACAAUAUUGUUACUUGUUUGACGUGGCAAUAAAAAAUCCACUUUUAAAAAAAUGACAUGGAAAAUUAUAUCCAAAAUGAAACUGUGUUUGAUUAGAAAAUUGGGAAUCAGUCCACCUAGAUUAGUUCACUAAUCCAAUUCACUAGCAAAAAAGGGCACACAAAUAUGUGAUUGAUUUAGAUUAUCUAGGGAAAUGAAUUUAAUUUCUUCAAGGGUCGAAAGCAUUUAAUCAAUCUAAUGAAUAUGUUUUUGAUUAGUUUUGUCGCUAAAAAAUUUAUUAGGAUUAAAAUCUAAUUCACAAGAAUAUGAUGAUCAAAAGUUUACUGUCUUAGAACAUUUGUGCAUAUAAUCACCAUAUAAGCGUGUACAUAGGAGCUUGUACCCUUCUAGAUUAUCAUUUUGUCGAAACACAGUAAUAAAAUCAUCUUAUAACAUGCAAGAGCAUGACCAUUUCAUAAUAUUAAAGAAAAUAAAGUCAAAUUUAUUGAUUUCGAAAUAUAUAUAUAUAUAUAUAUAUAUAUAUAUAUAUAUAAACUCAACAUAUUUGAAAUUAAAUACUUUAUUCUAAAAAUGAUAAUAAUCCGAAAGAUGAGACUACUUUUGAUACUAUGUAGGUAAGGAAAUAGCUCUAUAAACUUUGUGGAAUUUUUUGACCAAAAAAACUUUGUGGAGUUAGAAUUAUUUAAGUUUCUAUGGUUAAAAAAGCUUUAUUUAAGUUCUAAACAUUAUCUAUUUAUACAAAUAUAAAACUGAAAACUUGAGAAUUUCUUGUGCUCUCUCAAAAAAUUCACUAUAUCUUUAUUGGGUUUGUUUGUUUUACUAAAAGUAUUUUACCAAAAAGCAUUUUCCUGAUUUUCAAUCAUUUAAUUCUUUAAAAAAGAUUUGAUCAACGAAAAAUAUUUUAUCGUCAACACAAAUAUUAUGUAUUAAUUUAGAAAAACGAAUUCCUCCUCCUCAGCUGAAAAUACUUUCCCUUUUCACCUUCUCACCUUUUCUCUCCAGACUCUCUCGCUUUUCUUGAGGUACGCGGCUCUCUCCCUUCGAUCUUUUGCUCAUCUUUCUUCCUCGGUUCUUCUUCAACGACGCACAUCUUCUUCGCCAUUGAAGGUCCUGAUCUUCUUCAUCAUUGACGGUCUGGAACUUCUUCAACGACGCUCAACACGGUUCCAGGUUCUUUCGCUUUUUCUGAGGUAUGCUGUUCGCUCUCCCUUCGAUUUUUCGCUCGCCCUUCUUCUUCGGCUCUUCUUUACCGACGCUCAUCUUCUUCACCGUCGCCGUCCCCUUCCCUUCCCUUCCCCCGCCGAUUUCUUCGAAAUUCCGCUCGUCGUUCCGAGAGUCGUCCCCUUCCCCUCGUCGAAAUCUCUCUUCCGUCCCGAAGUCUCGUGUCCAUGGAGAACCUGGAGUACCCGCUGCUGUCCCCGGCCUUGAACGGUUCCGCGGUGAAGGACCUGUAUUUGUAUAAGAAGGAGUUCAGUUUGCUCCCGAAGUGGGUCGGGGAGCUGCGGAGGCUGAAGACUCUGAGUUCGCUCUCUACUUAGUAACUGUCGCUCUCUUCGUGCGGCCUCUUCGGUCCAGCCCUGCUUGAUCUUUUGGUGGCGAUCUGUUCUAGAGUCCUUGCGCUUUUAAUGGGUGAUCGCCUGUGGAGACAGCUAUUUCUGGAUCCAAGAGUGAUCUAAAGAUCCCAAAAAAAAAAAAAAAGUGAUCAUCACGAUUUCCUUUUGAGUUCGACCUGAUUGUUUCUCGGCCUUUUGGUUCCAUGGGUUCUGCGAUCGCUAUUCCUAUUAGCUAAUUCACUUGAUGAAUGGCCUGAAAUGUAACCGGAAAUCAUGUCCAUUUUCAGGAAAAAAAAAAACGUGUACGAAUUCUGGUUUCCUUUUCAUUUUUCAUUUUGCAAGUUCAACUUCUAGAUUAACUAAACCAAUCGAGAAAAAUCCAUUUAUUAAGUAUCAUAGACUCAACAAAUUAAUUUGAAAAUAAGAGGCACCAAAUGUCAUUUAAUCAUUUUUCAAAUACAAUCUAAAUAUCAGAAAAUAUUGUCAGUCAAAACUUUAGUUUUUCUGGAAAAUGAUUUUCCAAAAAAUAUUUCUUAAAAAUAUUACAUUUUUCAUGAAAUAAACACAACUAUUAUCCAAUGCCAUAAAAAUACCUCCACGCAUCUUUCAUAGUUCGUUAAUGUUCCAGGACGAAGGAAAAAUGGUUCUGAUUGUGGGGCUUGCAUUUAUGCCAAAAGUAUUAUUUUUUCACAAAAAAGAAACAGGAUUUAGGCCUCAUCUAUUUUCUCUUCUUCCCAGUUUUAGGCUAACCGUGAGGUUUCAUUUUUAGUGACCCGUUUUAUUAGAUCAGGUGGGCUCCGGCCCUGGCGCUGGUUCCAAAGAUUAGUAAUUAGUUUAGUUCUUGAUUACAAAAAUUAGUAAUUAGUUUAGUUCUCGAUUGUACAUAGGAUUAGACAUGGAAUCGACCAUUCUAAUUUACUGUAUCAGAAUAGCAAUUCUCUUUUAUUUUUGGUUUUAUUUUUUGUCAUUCCUGUGCACCGAAACUUGCUCACAUAUUAUCUUCUUCCCAAGUAGGAUUGCCUUGAAUUCUCCACCGCAUUAAAACUUCCACCACAUGAAGGCAAUGCGUGAAUAUAAUUGGUGCAUGCCAACCAGAUAAAUCAAAUCAAUAAAAAAGUUAUAUGUAUGAUAAAGAAAAGCAAAAGUAAGAAGGCAUUUGGAUUUAUUUAUGAGAUUUGAAGGAUAAAUUAAGGUUUGACAGAAAAAAAGAAGGGAAAAUUAAGGUAGAACAAGAACCAAAAAUACAUUAUAUAUUUAUUUAUUUUGUAUCCGAGCACACGUAAAUAAUACAAUUUUUUUAGAAUAAGUGAUUGUUGUAAUACAACAUUUCAGUAUUAAAAUGAAGUUUAUUAGUUUGAUGGUAUAAUUUUUAAAAGGCUUAAAAUAAGAAGGGUAAAUUCCAUAUGAGAUUACGACCAAAAAAAUUCGUAAGUGGAAUCAAGAGCUGAAAUAUAAUUAACAAAAAUACCUUCUCUUAUGGAAAACAAAUGAGAAAAAGAAAAGGAUGGUUCGACGGUGCAAGCAAUGGACUAAGCAGGGGACUCUUCACUGCCACGACGCUUUGAUGUUUUUUAUAUAUUCCGAGCACUUGUUUGGAAAAUAUCGGACAGGACGAAACUCUCUCUCUCUCUCUCUCUCUCUCUCCCAUCUUUCGUCUUCUCCUGCAAAUCCCUGUCACAGCCUCAUCAUAAGUUUCUCUACGCUUUUCAUCUUCCGAACAAAUCCACCGCUUCGUGUGUAUUGAAAUUUUAACAGACCACGAUAGAAGAGGCAAGAAGGCAUUUCCUGUUUUCUGAGGGGCAUUCUGGUUUUUUUCUCCGUUAGGGCUUGAAAGCUGAACUCAAUGGCAGAGUCAGAGGCCGAAAUGCAUCGUCUCAUUAAGAAGAGGAAAACUAAUGCGAGUGGAAAUGCAGAGGAUGUUGAUACUGGUGCAUCUGGUUCAAUGACUGUGCUGACGGAAACUAAUUUCGUUGGAUCUGGUUCGUCUCCGACAGAAAGUAACAAUAAUGCAUCGACUGGAAACUGCUAUGAGGUGUUCUUGAGUUUCAGAGGCCUAGAUACUCGAUAUGGCUUCACUGAUCACCUCUACGAUGGGCUCCUUAGAGCCGGAAUUCACACUUUCAGAGACGAUGAUGAGCUUUGCCAUGGCGAGGACAUCAGACCAGUGCUUAUGGAAGCCAUCACGAGCAGUAAGAUCCUGAUCCCAAUUUUCUCAGUGAAUUAUGGUACAAGUAGUUGGUGCCUAGAUGAACUGGUUCAAAUAAUGGAGCGCAAGAAUAAUAACGGGCAGAUAGUGUUGCCUAUAUUCUACAAAGUGAAACCAGCCGAAGUGCGAUAUCAAACCGGGAGGUUUGGAGAGGUAUUUCAUGAGCGCGAGAGUCGUUUGCGUGAGAGGUCUUCUUUCGACCCAACGACUUUGGAGAAAUGGAAGUCAGCACUUGAUGAAGUCAGCACCUUGAAAGGAUACGAAGCCCUAGGGUAAAAUUUCUCACCAAAACAUUCUCUAUUUUCUUUUAAUAUGUGUGGGUGUUUCCUGGUUGUUCUAAGUCCUUUUUUUUUUGUGUUAGUAUGUUGGUUGUUCUAAUUCUCACCUGCUUCAUUUUACAUUCUUUUUUUAUAUAUAAAAAAACUGUAAGAUCUUGCUGGCAGUAAGAUCCUACGGUGCAUGAAUUCUAUAAGUUAUUCUUUCUUUUUUAGUUUUCUGCUUUAACCAUAUUGACCAAUCUAAUUAUAAAUUUUAUUGUUAUGAUCCCAUUCACUUGCAUAAUAAGAUUUUUUGAAUGAAAUUUUACUCUUAUAUCAUAAGAUUUUGUAAUAGUAUAAGAUGAUGGUAAAUUUUUUUUUGCUUUAACGAAUUUACUCUUAUAUCAAAAGAUUUUUUACUCUUACACCCCAUUCACUUAAAUAAAUUUUAUUGCUUUGAUGAUAUUGACCAAUCUAAUUAUAGGGUACGUUACAUUAAUCUUCAUCACAAAAUUUUCUAAUUACAUAUUUAUUUGAGAUUAAUAGUACAACUCAUUGGUGAUUAGAUGGUAGCGUUCAAGCUUUGCUAUAAUUCUUUAUCUUCCCAAGUUACAGUUAUUAAAUCAUUGAUAAAGUUGAUUAGUUAUUAUUAAAAUUAUUUUACAAAAGAAAUGUUUCAUUGGUCAUAUAAGAUGAUGACCAAAAAAUGAUUAUUUUUAUUAUGUCUGUUUAAAUAAUUUUCAAAGCAUUUCCUAUCUUCAACAAGUAAUUUCUAUCUCAUGCAUCUGCAUAUAUUGAAGCAAUGUUCUUUUUUGGGUAAAAAUUAUUCUUCUACUUCCCUAUAAACUCAAUACUAGAUCAUUAAAGUCAUAGAACAUGGAUACUCAAAAGGAAAAUAAAGUACAACUUGUAAUCAUACCUAGAGGCAAUGAAAACUGAUAAGAGCACCUAUCUAGAAUGAUUCUAAAUUCACAACACAAGUUAAACUUGCAAGCCUGUAGAAUUGCACAAACAAGAAGAAAUCCCUUCAAUUGCAUUCAAGUAGUUCACAAUAUCACAAUUUGAACAACUUUUUGGAUUGGUGUUACGGGACUUGAAUUCAUCUUGCAUCAAAAGUUAUGACUUGUUUAUUAAUUGAUAGCUAACUCUCAUAUUGGGCUGGCUCAUAGGAUUUUUGCUAUUCAAAUGCUCUAAACAAUUUUUAAAGUCACAUCCACAUCAUCCCUAAUAUCUUUAAUAAAAAACCAGUUUAAAAUUUGGUUCAAAUCCAUAAUAUAUACAAUAUUUAAGAUUCAUAAGUGAUACCCUCAAGUUUUUCCUGGCUUGAUAAAUUAUGUUGGAGUAACAGUGAAAUGGGGCACCCCAUUUGAAGCAACCACACUUUAGAUAUCAUUAUAUAUAGAGGUAUGACAACAGUGAUAUUUAAAUUUUUUCAAUCUAUCCCCAGAUUUAUUAUGUUCCCUAUAGAUAAACAAUAUAAAAUUAUUGUUGCUACAUAUUUGAACUCAUGUCACAUUUGACAGGUCUGAAGUAGAGUUGGUGAAAUUGAUCGUCCGAAAAGUGUUGAACGAACUGAAGAAAAAGUUUGACUUGGAUAUUUCUAAGAAUUUGGUCGGAAUUGAUGUUCAUGUGAAGAAGGUUAUGGAAUUUGUGGAUAACAAAUCUCAUGACACCCUAUUUGUUGGCAUCCACGGAAUGGGAGGCAUUGGUAAGACUACGCUUGCCAAAGCCAUCUACAACAGGCUUUUCGAUCAAUUUGAGCAUCAUAGCUUCAUUGCUGAUAUAAGGGAAUUGUGGAAGUGUAACGGCGUACAUUAUUUACAGAAUCAGUUAAUCUAUGAUAUAUUGAAGUUGAAAGAUGAAGUUUCUAAUGCGGAUGCAGGGACUAAGUUCAUCUCUUCCAAAUUUAAAAGUAAAAAGGUCCUUGUUCUUCUUGAUGAUGUGGAUGAUGUUGUUCAGUUGCAAAGUUUGAUUGGUAAUCGUGAUUGGUUUUCUUCGGGAAGCAAGAUCAUUAUUACCACCAGAAACAAGAGGGUUCUUGAAGAAGCUGGGGUGGACCAUGACUAUGAACAUAAGGAAAUGGAUGACAAUCAAUCUUUGAUUCUGUUUAGCAAACAUGCAUUUCGAAGGGACUCUCCUCCGAGGGAAUUUGAGGACCUCACUCUUGAAGCUGUAUCCAUCACUGGAGGGCUUCCCUUAUCCGUUGAGGUUUUUGGUUCAUUAUUGUAUGGAAAAAAGUCAAGACAGUGGAGAGAUACGAUAAAGAAGUUAAAAAAAGUCCCUCCUAAGAAAGUGCAAGAAAAGUUAAGAAUAAGUUACGAAGCAUUGGACUAUGGACAAAAACAAAUUUUUUUGGAUAUUGCUUGCCUUUUCAUUGGCACUAACGACAUAAUCGCAUCCUACAUGUGGGAUGCUUGUGAUUUUUACCCAGGGGAGGGAAUUGAUGUAUUGAUACUCAUGUCAUUGAUAAAAGUUGGAGAUGAUCAUACACUUAGAAUGCAUGACCAAUUGAGAGAUCUUGGUAGGGAAAUAGUUCGUGAGGAAAACCAACGAGAGCCUUGGUGCCGUACCAGGUUAUGGGACUAUAAGGAAGCCCAAAAAUUGCUAAAGGAAAAUAAGGUAACCGUUUCGUUUCUUGUUCCCAUUUAGUCCAUGUUCUAUGCUUAACAGUAUUGUUGGCACUACUUAGUGCUUGGUCUAGAGGACUGAGAACCUUCACUAUUGCCCCCGAAUUUUUCAUUGACGUGAUUAGAAAGUAGGGAGUUGCUCUCUUAUAGAAAGAAUUUCCUCUUAUGGUUUUUCUGUCAUAUAUUAAUAUUCCCUAUCACAUGAAAUUAAGUGUAUGUUGCAAUUUAUAUACAUAUUAAAUCUCUUGUUUGAUAUAUUAAUUAGUAAAAUCUUGUAUAUCACGCAUGACUCUUUCUCUUGAAAAAUGGCCCUCUUCGUUGAAAAUCUUUGUUUCUCUUUCGAGAUGACUUUCACAAUUUUCAUGUUCUCGUAUUAUGUUAAGUCAAUCCUUUUAAUAAAAACCACUUCACAUAGAUUUUUUUUUUUUUUUAGAGCCAGGUUACUUAACAGGUACUCCCAAAAUACCUUCAGACAAAAUCUAGAGGCUGAAGCAAAAGGGCGAGAUAGAUUGCUCGCCGCAACUAAUGAAAAAUCAAAAGUAAAUAUCCUGCUCUCCCGUCAAAUGAUCAAAUGAUACUCAGAUUCCAGAAAACUACUAAAAAAAUAAUCAUGUAAAAUUCGGCGUGUCGACAAGUUUCGCGGAUAUAUCACCCAAAAAAAAAAAAAAAUUGGCCAAAGUGCAUGCUCUGAGAAAAAACAAAAGAUGAAGAAUAAAAGUUACUCAAAACAAGCCUUUCUGAGUUAUUUCAAUUAUCCGAAUCGAUGGUGAGAAAUUAAUUUCUUUUAUCAAAAACAGUUAGGCCGGGAUAUCAUGGCCUCUUUAUUUUCCCCAUCCCGUUUUGAUUUUUGGAGUUGUUAGAACGGUUAUUUCCAUUUUGAAGUGUUAUGAAUGCGUUGAAUUUUUUUUAUUUAAAAAAGGGAGUUUUAUUUCUAGCUUUUUAAACUAUAUAUAUAUAUAUAUAUAUAUAUAUAUGUAUAUAUACAUACAUAUAUAUAAUUUUUUUUUUUUUUUGCUAGAAGUCUCCUUAAUAACACCGAAUCUGUGGUAAGUCUUGCUCGCCGACUCGCUGCUUCUGAGGUUUUUCUCCCUUUUAUCUAUCCUUUCACCCAUGCAUUGCUUAAUAGAAAAAGUCUCCUUAAUAGAAAUAUGAAAUUGACCAAGUAAAAUUUUGAUUUUGCACUUUGCAAUUUGAUUAUAUUCCGUGCUUUGCAUGCAUGUCUUAACUAGUGUGAUAAUGAAACUACAGUUCCAGAAAGAAGAAGAUUACAAGUUGUAAAGUUUUUAUACUAUACAAGCCAUUACAUCAUAAUUUUUUUUAAGAUUCCGAUGCGUAUGGCCAAAUUUCAAAAUGGAAGUCGACAUCCUUCACUUUGUGAGCUUUUAUAAUUGUAGUUUAUUGGCAUAAAAAGAAAAUCAUGUCUUCACAUUGCUGGUCUCUUAAACACAUUAAUACACACAUCAAUAGCAUUAUGAACAAAUGAUAUUCGAUGACUUUAGUUGGAUAUAGUACUAACGAACAUUGAUUCUUGUUUGUAGGGAACGGAAAAGAUUGAGGCUAUUAAUCUGAGUGAAGACAACAAAGAAGACUCCAACAAAGAAUUUUCGCCAGACAUUUACACAGAAAAACAAUUUAAGAAUUUGGCGAAUCUAAGAUAUCUUCAAAUGAAAAAAGCACAUCUUAGUGGAGAUUUUAAGGACUUAAUGAAGGGGUUAAAAUGGCUUCAAUGGCGAAGAUGUCCUGCGAGUUUUGAAGUAAACAAUUUUGAUGUAAAGGAAUUAGCUGUACUCGAAUUGCAAGGAAGUGCGAUAAAUGAGAAAUGGGGAGGAUGGAGUUUUUUCAAGGUAAGAAUUAAACUCUUUUUUUUUCCCUCUCCUUUUAUGCUUUCUUUUGAAUCAUAAUGACUCUAGACUCACCCAUCGACAUUCAUUAUUGUUUUUUUAUUUUUUUUCGUAGAUGGCAGAGAAGCUUAAUAUCUAGACCUUUCAAAUUGUGGGUUCUCUGGAAAAUACUGACUUCCUCUCAGCUUUUGAGAAGUUAGAGGUUCUCAUCCUCAUGGGGUGUGGGAGACUGAAGCGAAUCGACGCUUCCAUUGAAGACAUGGAGGGCUUUCUUCACUUGGAGCUGGGCUCGUCCCACGCGCUUCAUCUCGCGGUAGGCGCCAAACACCCCGUUCCUCGUUUCUGCCUCAGGGAGCUUCCAGCAGGAAUAGGUAAAUUAAAAGCACUGCAACAACUCGAUCUACGGCAUACUCAAUCGCUUUCUGCAUUACCAGAUAGCAUAGGGUCUUUGGAGAAUCUAGAGAUUCUAGAUAUUUCUUGGAGCGGUAUAGAAGAAUUACCCAAUGGUAUUAGGAGUCUGAGAAAGCUUCGAGAGUUACGUGCUUACUGUUGCAUGAAAUUGGAAGGGAUAAUGGUAGAAAGCAUGUGUAAUCUUUCUUCCCUACGACGCCUUGAUUUUGCAUACUGUAGGAAGCUCCAUUCGUUGCCAGACCUUCCUUCUGGCUUAACAUAUUUGGGUGUCACUUGUCAAAGUCGCAAAUUGCCUUCGCUUUCCCACCUAGCCCAUCUCAAGGAACUACAACUUCGGGAGUGCGGAUCUAUCGAGUGCAUCCAGGAGCUUCCAUCAACGCAAUUAAAGAGUUCAAAAUGCUCCCAACCGACGGACAUUGAAGAAUUGGAAUCACCACAAUCCCUAAACACACCCUUCAAGUUGGAAUCCUUGCUAGUUUGGAGCUGUGGAUCUAUGAAAACGCUGGACGUUUCACAGUUUGUCCAUCUAAGGACAUUAGUUGUCUGCAAUUGCACGAAUCUACUUGAAAUUCGAGUUUUUGACAAAUUGAUAUAUUUGGAAAGCUUGGCUAUCACAUGGUGCAAUUCAAUCAAACGAUUGGACCUUCCAAAAUUCGAGGGUCUGAAGGAAUUGAAGGUUCACCGCUGCGACAAAUUAGCCAAAAUUCAAGGCCUUGAUAGCUUGGAGUAUUUGGAAAGGUUAGAUAUUGAAGAUUGCGUUUCAAUUGAAAGGCUAGACCUUCCAAAAUUUGGGAGGCUGAAGAAAUUAAAGGCUAAAGGAUGCGUAAACUUAGCCAAAAUUCAAGGCCUUGAUAGCUUGGAGUAUUUAGAAAGGCUAGAUAUCAAAGAUUGCGCUUCAAUUGAAAGGCUAGACCUUCCAAAAUCCGGGAGGCUGAAGGAAUUAGAAGCUAGAGGAUGCGUAAACUUAGCCGAAAUUCAAGGCCUUGAUAGGUUGGAGUAUUUGGAAAGGCUAGCUAUCGAAUUGUGCACUUCAAUGGAAAGGCUAGACCUUCCAAAAUCCGGGAGGCUGAAGAAAUUACAAGCUAGAGACUGCACAAACUUGGUUGAAAUUCAAGGACUUGAUAGGUUGGAGUAUUUGGAAAGAUUAGAUAUCUCUUGGUGCACUUCAAUGGAAAGGCUAGACCUUCCAAAAUUCGGCAGGCUGAAGAAAUUACAAACUAGAGACUGCACAAACUUGGUUGAAAUUCAAGGCCUUGAUAGGUUGGAGUAUUUGGAAAGGCUAGAUAUCUCUUGGUGCACUUCAAUGGAAAGGCUAGACUUUCCAAAAUCCAGGAGGCUAAAGAAAUUACAAGCUAGACACUGCACAAACUUGGUUGAAAUUCAAGGCCUUGAUAGGUUGGAGUAUUUGGAAAGGCUAGAUAUCGAAGGGUGCACUUCAAUGGAAAGGCUAGACCGGACGCUGAAGAAAUUACAAGCUAGAGGAUGUGUAAAAUUAGCUGAAAUUGAAGUUACGGGAACGGAAUAUCAUCGGAUGCAAGUCGCUCAAAACAAUUCCAGAAUUAUCUGGAACUCAAAUUUAUCGAUCAAAAAGCGAUGAAUCAGACUAUAAAUCAAACGAUACGGAUGACUCGAAUGAGUCAAUAUCAUGGAAAUAAUCCCCAUUUACUAUCAAAGGUACAUAGAGUAGGUAAGUUACCUUUGUUCUUUUGAGAUCUACUAUCCAAUUUUCAUUUGUAUUUCCUGCUCCCAAUAUCUUUCAAGAUUUAUGAUCUUCUCAUAUGUUGAAGAGACAAUUAUCUCACUUGCAAACAUAUGUGGGCGGGAAUAUUAUUUCCUAGCUGACAGUGUCAUCAUUGUCUCCUUACUUGAAUUCAAGGAAUUGAGGGGAGAUAUCCAUGGAAAUUGUUGUGUGCUUUGGCAACAAGAUUUUGCUUAUCAUGCCAGUAAGGGAAAUAGAUGGAAAAGGCUUUCUAAGUGCUUCAUUUGUCAUUAGUUUUCGGGUAAGAUCCUUCAUCCUAUGUAGAAAAUAAAGAUUCUCAACGUUUGAUUGAUUCUGGGAAUGUUGGAAGUAGUGCAUAAAAACUGAUGUAUACAGGUAUCUGAUAACAUGCCAAAGGUCAUUAUAUAGGUCGAGAAAUGAAAAAUGAAGGACCCAAUAGGGUGGUCCUCCUAAUUGAGGUUUUAGUUUGCUCUGCCCUUACCAUGUGGCUCAUGACUGCAUGUUUCUAAGUUAUGCUUAAGAGUUAAUUUACAGUGCAAAUGGAGCAUGUUGACAGGGCAUCCCUUGGCAUCAAUUUAUUGAGUUCCACACAUUUUAUUUCACAGAACUAUCUGCAUUGGCUGAUUAAAGUAACCGUAUCAGUUUAGAAAUGCUAAAUGCAAGAACAAGUUCUUCUUCUAGUGGUGUGGGCUUGAGUGAAUUAAUAAACAGGGAAGAAGCAAAAGCAUUGUGAAUUAUUUGGAUCGAUCUAGAAAAUUGCAAUUCGAAUUUUAUUGACUAUGGAUCCUUGUUCAUUUGGUUUGAAUCCAGAAUAUACCUACUCCAAGGCUAAUAAUAGAUUAUUCCAGAGAAUGCAUCUUGAUGUUUGUAGAGUUGGUAAAGCCAUCUGUCAUAUACUUGAACUUUUGAGCUAAGCAAGACAUUACUACAAUGUCCUUUGACAUAAUCAUCUGUACUAUAAAAUAAUUCCUUAUAUUGUGCAUAAGCUCUUGUUAGUUCAUUUACUUGCUGAAAAGUAAAAGAUAGGAGGCAUUUGUAUAAGUUUCCUGAGGAAACUUUUUGAUAUCCUAUAUGCCAUUUGAAAACUGCCUUGCAUUAAUUCUAAUGCAUGAAUAGCAUGUAAUGAUAAGGAAGAGAAUCAUACUAUGUCCCACAAAAGCAAGCAACUUGAGUUGAAUUAACUAUGUUAACUUGAUAGAUGCCUGGAUGAUGAUCUUGCAUACCAGUGACGUUCCAUUUAUGCAUAUUUCAGGAAACUCUUGUGCAAUUAACUGGGAGUUGGACCAAUUGAAGGUAACAUGUGGAUCUAGAGUUUGCAUAAUGAUUCCUUACUUGUGAGAAAUAUAGGAUGCUCCUGAGUUCUAUUUGUUCCUAUACAUGUCAAUUCCCAAUUUAAGACAUUGAUGGCAAAAAGGAAAAACUAGGAUAUUGUGCUGUUCUUUUGAGUUUGGUUUCACAGCGGAAAUAAUAGUGGUCAACAACUGGUGGUAUCCACCCUGUCGAACAAGUAACCAUGUGUACUUGUCAACUGGUAACCCAUCAAACCUGUCAACUAGUCUGGACCAAUUCUAGGCCUUCCAAAAACGUUAAGGAAGGGUGUUGAAAUUGGGUUGGGGUUUGGAACUCCAACCUCUUGUAACUAAAAGGCAUGCCAACCAUCUGCUUUGGUAUCUUCUUGCUUCAUUUUGUGGUGGAUAAUUUAUUUAUUGACCGUAUUGGCUUAGUCUAUUAAAAAUUUGAACGAUUCUAUCGAGAACAGGAACCUUGUCUUUUGUGCUUAAGCAGCUUUGCCGAGUGAACUGGGCUUCUUUUGUUUAGGAAAUUUGUAUUCUAUUAGACAACAUAACAUGCAAUUGGUUCAACUGGUCAAACUGUCAGAGCAUGGUUCUACUAGUUUGACUGGUUAAACCACUAGUCCGGUUUUAAAAAUGUUUAUUCUUUUGUUCUUCCUAUUAUGUAUCUGCUCUCCUCAUCAGCGUGAGAAGUGGCAGCUUAGUUUUUCCUCCUAUAUGCAUAUACAUCCUAUUUCAUGCCUGCAAUUUUAAAGGAUGUUGUACUUUCUGCCUUAAUAUAACUGCAAAAGUUGUGUUGACAGUUGGUGCCUUGUACUUGAAUGUUUGUUAAGGAAUGUGCAUUUGAUGACCCUAAUGGGUUAGUAGUGCCACUUUUGCUUCUAUUUUGUGAGAACACUUUUGCUUGGUUGUCUCAUUCUCACUUCCAAAACACUAACCCAGUGAAAAUACACAUCUUGGACUCUAUCUUACACCUAGAGAUGGAGAAUGAGAAGAUUUGCUGCAUUCCCCAUACUGUAGUUCCUCCUUGGUAGUGGUAAAAUUUCUUUACACCGCCAUACAAUUGAGCUAAGGAUCAACUCAUUGUAAUGCCAUCAAUUGCAUACUCUGAAAAUUAUUUUCCUUGAGCUUCUUACCAUGUCCAUUUGCAGUUUGGAUUUUUGGAAACUUCUUGUUGCCCAUAGUCUUUCCUUUCUGUAUCAUUUUUUUGAUAAACUCGCCAGUAUUAGUAACAAAUUUAUUUCAAUGACUAAGUGGUGGAGCUGUAGCUGGAAUUAUCCUGUCCAUGCUCCUUACUAAGUUUCCAUUUUUACAACCUACUCUUAAGUUUAAAUAUGACUGGCAUAGGUAUGUUGUGCCUCUUUAAUGGACAAUUCAUGCUUGUUCCGAUGGUUGAAAACGUGCAAAUUUAUGCUCCGAAGAAUAUCUUUUUCAUUUCAUGAAGUACAAUACUGAACUAUUAGGUUUUCCUGUAAAUUUUAGAUCAAUUGGGAGGUCAAAGUGCGAAAAAAAAUGAAUCUUUAGUGGCCAGACAAUACAGAAAGAAUAAUUAUCUUCUUAUGGUAGGUUCAUUGUAGUUUGAGUUACUGACUGAGAACUAGUGCAUACAUGUUCAUGAUGAUAGACACUAUCAGGGUCUUUAGUGUAGAAAGAUACUGUAGAGCAUUCAUGGUUCACAUGCAUACGAUAGCCUCUUCAGUACACAAGUAUUGCUUCCACCUAUGUUUUAGCGUGAUGCAAGUAUUGUACUUAUUACUUUUACCUAACAGAGGUAUUUAAACAUCACAUUAGUUAUGGCCAUAUUAUAGGAACAUCGGAGUGAAAUCAAGUUGAGUUAUUUGUUUUUGGCUACAGCAAGCAGGGGCGUGGCUUGUGUUUUGGUUGCAAGAAAGCUAGCCCCGGUCUACAUACUUGGAUGAGGAUGAAGAUGAAUUCUCAGAUUCAGAACGAAUGUCUACUGUGGGUGGACCUCUAUUGCUAGGGACAGUCUCACCUGGUAAUUGCUUCAAAUUGAGAAAGCUCUCUCUUUUUUCUAUUUAGUGUGUGAAGUGCUUGAAUGUCUUAAUUGAGAACAUGAUUUUGAAUUGAGGAGUGGUGUUUUACAGAAAAANNNNNNNNNNNNNNNNNNNNNNNNNNNNNNNNNNNNNNNNNNNNNNNNNNNNNNNNNNNNNNNNNNNNNNNNNNNNNNNNNNNNNNNNNNNNNNNNNNNNGGUUCCGAGUGGAAAUGGAAUCUAGAUCUAUCUAGUUUAUGUGUGUGAUGUACUGAUAUUACGAUUAUAUAUGGUGUUUAUGUGCACUGAUAUUUGUUUCGGCGGUAUCUAAUUUUGUUUGGUCAUAAGGAAAGUAAAACACGAGGUAACUCAGGAUAUUAUCAUCAUCCUUACAAAGAAAUGGAUAGUUAAGGUAGAGCAAUUUCGAGGCAGUUUUCUUAGAAAUAACUUUAGACUUUACGUUAUGGAAGAACUUCCCUGCUGAUAAUUUUUAAUGCUUGAAAAAAAAAAAGGAUUGCCAUCAACUGAACAACAUGAUGCCUCGUACUCGGAAGCCUAAAUUAUCUUGUUCAUGCUUCAGAUUUCUACUCAACCUGUAAGUAUCGUCUAUCUUUCAGUAAAAAGUCCCUAAAAAUCUAUGUAGUUCAGAUGUUGAAAGUUGUGAGGCAAAUUUGUUGCAAAAUUUUAAACAUUGUCGCAUGAGUCACUCGUCAUUUUUGUUCUCAACUGCUUAAGGCCUGCUUAGUUUUAGAGAACAGCUUUAGUUUCCAUUGUCAUAGAAACCGUUUUCGAUGUUUUGUUGACAAAAUAUUUGUUUAAUGAAAAUAAUGUCAUUAGGGAUGAAAAUUGUGAGAAUAUGCUCAGGUUACAUCACAUUCAAAAAACAGGCUUAUUUAUUCCAGAUCUGCAUGUUUGCAUUUAGAAUCGGAAUACAAAAAAGUCAUCUUUAGUUUGUGAUUUUGAUUCUGAGAAUAGUUUUCCUUUUAUUUGUCAACUGCUUUUGGAGUGUUACCAAACACAUUUUCUGGUCUGUUUUAAUUCUCAAAUUGAAAUCAGAACAAACUUUUGAGAAUCUUUAUCAGCCAAAUGCCUCCUUAGAUUAUCAAUCUCUUUCUGUCUGCAGAAAAAAUGGACUUCAUCAAGUUGCUUAACAGGCUUUGAACAUUGAAGAUUGCUUCAUGUCAUCCAGGCAUCAUUAUAUGUAAUGCAUAAGCAGUGGGCUGAUGCCAUUAACAUAUUUUGAGAGGAAGUUUGAUUUGCUGUCCAACCUUGUUAGUGACCAUGGCAAGUGAUACUUUUAAUUCAAAGCGGUAGAUGGCGUUUCUUUUUUCUUCAUUUAACUAUUUUCGUUUGCUUAUCUAGGUCUUGACUCUUUCCCUCAAGAGGAAUUUUCCAAUCUAUCAGUUUCGUGUUAAUUCUCUGGAUGAAGUGGUAUGGCUAAUUUUUUAAGCUCUGGUGCUGCUAUAGGACCUUGGCCUCUUUGGUUGGUUUUUAUGAUCUCAAUCUGCUAGUUUGUCCAGUGAUAGUGCAUGAAGUGUGUAUCACAAGUUGUUUGUGGUGCUGGAAAAGAACUUCUAUUGGUUGUCCUCAAUCAUCUGUGGUGUGCGUUAUUAUCUUUGCAUCUGGCCUUUUUCCUUCAUGCAUCUCAAUGAAUCUUGGAGGUGAUCGGAUAGAGAUAGGAAUUUGCUACAAGAAAUUAUUCUUCUACACAUCUUGAGAGAAGCCAUAUUUUUUAGAACAUCCUGAUGUCGAUUCUUCAAACAAUCAUAUUGUAUGCAAUGAUAUGAAUUAUUAAUAGUAAGUGACUGGAAAGGAUCAAGUAAAAUCUGAUUUGAGUUUGAUUCAAUAAGUUGGCAAUAUCUCCUAUAAGCGUAUAAUGGAAAUUGUAGGUCAUUAAUCAUUGGUUUGAACUUGAACUUGAUCUAAGUUUGAGCUUUGAGUGUACUGUACAUGGAGAUUUGGAUAUAGAAUGUUUAUACGUUCACAUUAUAAUUAGCGGGUGUAGAGAUAUGUUCUCAAUUUAAAAGGAAAGAGUUUAUUGCCCACUUCGAUCUUAGCAUAUAUCCCCUUACAAUUGCGAGAGUCAAUUUUUGUACCAAAUAAUCAUAUUCAAAGCUUUGUACCCAUCGAUAUUACUAUUAGAGCCUGGGGGAAAUUAGACUUAUUUAUAUUGCCAAAUUCCACCCAUUGAACUCAAUGUAGUUAGUUUCUUUCCUUUGUUAUGUUUAUGGUCAACAAGCUAAGGAUGAAAAUGAAAACUCAGAUCUUCAAAGAAAUGAGCAGAAAACUAACUGGUGGGUGCUCGGAUGACAGUGAAUCGAGCCUACAUGGAUCUAAUCUAUGAUGCUUAACCAUGGUUAUGAAAGCCUCUGUUCUUAAUCAUUUGUUUAGUACUUAGAUGUGAGAAUUGAUUAUUUUGUAUCAUUAUUUUUAUCUUUAGAUCACGAUUUUUGAUAUACCACCUCUUUUUUGGCAGACCAAUGUUGAGGAUGUCAACUCCUAGUAUUGAAAUUGGUUUUACUAAGUUGCAUGUCACAUAGAUUCAUAUUAGGUGUUUGAGACCUACUAAUGCAUUAUACUCGCAUUUUUCCUCUUCAAAUCAGUUUUGUAUGCUACUUUUAGUCCCUAGUAUUGCUUCUUUUCUGGUAGUAUGUUGGUAGCUCUUUGGAUCCAACGUUUCUUUUGAACUUUUUCGAUCUUGACUUUUAGUAGUAGCGGCACCCUUUUGUCAUGGUGACAUUACUCGCAAAAAAGUGAGAUGUUGAUGUUGGUACUUGAAAUUAUAUGAUGAGAUAACAUGUGUUAGAAUAAAGAGCAAUUGGAAUAACUUAAAAUCCUCAAAAAAGUGUGAAGUUUCUUUUUAUAGAUUAUAUAGUUCACCUGUAGGGCACCUAUGGGGUGCAACCCAUAUACCAAAGGAGCCCAAAAAACUAAAGCCAUAUACAAAACAACUCCCAAAGCCAAAAGGGAGCUCAAAUACCGGGUCAAUCAUCGACUAAUCAACCAAGGCAUUUACAUCCAUAUGCAAGUUUGCAUUAUACCAAAACUGUGUGACUUUAAGCCAAAUUUCCAUAAAAUGGAACAGACGAUUUCUCUCCAUCAGAAGCUCUCUUGCUCGACGCCUUCCAAAUCAGCCAAAAGAAACAGGGGAAUUGAGUUAAUCCCACUUGUUGUGCUGUAAAUGAAUGCCCUGCCAUGCCCAAAGUUCUUGCUCAAUAAAACCUCUGAUAACCCAAGAUAACAUGGCACAAGCAUAGGAAACUUUCCAAACCAUUCUUUCCAAGAACAAUGAAGGAGGGGCUGCCGUGCGGACUCUGCCUCCUUUUGAUGAGGAAACACCUAUUAACCAGUAUUUUGUCUCAUUUAUAAAGUAAGGAUUUGUUCCCAGGUUGCUUCCCAAGCAAAAAGAGACUAAUUGGAAUUCUCACUUUCCAAAUCGAUUUCUGAGGAAAAUCUGUUUUGCCACGAAUCUCCCUAUUGAGCAGCUUUUCCACCCUUCAAAUCUGGUCCUCGUUGAUGAUAUGAGCACCAAAUGUGAAAUUCUAGAUCUCUGUGUGUAACAGGAGUUUGAGUGUGAUACCUGGGCUCAAAAUUGGUUUUAUGUAAAUAUUGCAAUCCUUUAAUUAAAAGUUUGUGCUUUUGGUUUUAGCCGACUCAUCAAUUAUUUGGGCUGAAAUAUUCAUUUCUCGUUUAGCUAAUUCAGGACUUCUGUUAAUGGAUUUGUAGAUAUUUCUAUCCAAAUGCCUAUUACCAUAAAGUUUUCCUAUAUUUUUCAUUUCCUUGUCUUAGUGGCCAGAACCUUGAAACUAUAAUGAGAGAAGGAAAAGGAAACCCUUGGGGGUUAGGGGUUGUCUUCUGGAGGUUGUCCUUAAUAAUGGUUUUUCACUUACCCUUUGUCUAAUAAUCUAGUUUUUCGUAUUUGAUGUUUGAUUACCGUGAGAUUUUGUGGGACCACUAUCAACUAUUUUAAAAGCUUAAGCUGAUAGAUGAAGGCGUGGUUUAUUAUUUAAAUAUUAUAACACUCCCCCUCACGCUUAGUCUGGUCUUUUUGCCUAGUACUAAACGUGGAAAUUUAAUUGGGGAGACAAAUAGGGGCCUGGAAGAUUCGAAUUCAGGACCUAAACCAUGUGAUAUUUUGUGGAACCACUGCCAACUGUUAUAAAAGCUUAAGUUGAUAAAUGAAUGCGUGGUUUAUUAUUUAAAUAUUCUAACAAUUACUUAACAAUGUACAUGGAAGCUUUAGUUGGGCAAUUUUAUUUGCGCUCUCUGUUUAACUUAUGAUCCUUGUGUAUGGAAAUACUGUAUCUCAUGUUUCCUGAUUAGAAACUAAUUUGAUAAUCACAUUUUCAAGGAAGCUGCCCAUAUGCCUUCUCUUCUAUUUUGAAGAAGAUACUUUGUAAGAAUUUAUUGCUACAAUUCCCUCUUAUGUUAGUUUUAGCAUCCACCAAAUAUAUUCCCAAUUCACUGUCCUUCUAUAGGGUAUAUACCUUUAAUCUGAAACUACAAAUAUUAUCCAGAGAUCCACAUGUGCAGAGUCCAACUGUUUUUUCAUGCUAAUCAUUACUCUGUAUGGUAUUGCAGGAUGACUUCGAAUUUGCUUCAGAUUAUAUUUCCUUCCAAAUACAUGAAGUCUUUUUUAGAUGUAACAAAUUGUGUAGUGGUAGUGAGUGGACUUAUGAAUGAUUCAAGCAAUGUGAAGAAGGGAAGAUCUUCGGAAGGAUCUUGUUGUGCAUCCCUCUUGGUCACUGUUGUGUGGAUUAGACUCCAUCUGAGGUAAAAGCUUUGUAUAUCAUAUUUUGUGGCCCAAAUUUGCAAGUAUGGCUAAUAUGUUCUGUUGGAAGCAGGAACAUCAAAUUAUUACGUUGCUAAAUAAGAUGAAUGACACAGGUGAAAACUUGGGAGAUGCCUAGAUGACAAUCCUGCAGGCUAGUGACCUUCCAUUUGUGCAUAUUGCAGGAACCACGUGUGCAAAUAACUAGGAUUUGUACCAGUUGAAGGUUACUCAUGGAUCUGGAGCUUGCAUAUUGAUUACUUACUCAUGAUAUCUAGAGUUCUAUUCCAAUCAUGUCAAUUCACUACUUAAGACAUUGAUGGCAAAAGGGAAAAAGUAGCAUGUCGUGCUUUUCUGUCGACUCUUGUUCAUGUCAGAGUUUUAAGAAGUGGCCCUGGUUGGACUGGGAACCAGACCAGUCCAGUCUGGUUUCCCAGCAAAAAUAGUAUUGAUUAAGAACUGGUGGUAUUGACCAUGUUCAACCGGUAACCAGGUGUACCUGUCAACUGAUACCCAGCAAACCUGUCAACUAGUCUGGACCAGCUCUAGGCCAUAAAAAAGUUUAAAGGAGUAACGUUGGAAUUGGGUUGGGGAUUGGCACUCCAACCUCUUGUAACUAACAAGUGUGCCAACCAUUUGCUCUAGUGUCUUCUUGCUACAAUCGUGGUGGAUAAUUUAUUUAUUGACCAUAUUGGCCUAAUCUAAAAUUGAACAGGAUGCUAUUAAGAUGGCAUCAAGCAUGUGUAAUCUAUUAAGAUGCUACAAUGUUUGCCAACUCACUGGGCUUCUUUUGUUCUAAAAGUGUGUAAUCUAACAUAUGCAAAGUAUUCUAUCAGAUGACAUCACAUGCAAUUGGUUCAGUCGGUCGAACUGGAAGAGCUCGGUUCUACCACUUUGAUUGGUUGAACCACUGGUCUGGUUUUAAAACAUUUGUUCUUUUAUUGUUCCUAUUUAUUAGUUAUCUGCUCUUCUCAUCAGCACGAUUAGCAGCAGCUUAGUUUUUCCUCCUAUGUGCAUGAUGCAUACACAUGUCAUUACAUGCUUGCAAUUUCAAAGGAUGUUUUACUUUCUACCUUACUGUAACUGCAAAAAGUUCCAACAUGCCUUGACAGCUGGAGCCUUGUAUGUAGGUUAAGAAAUGUGUCUUUGAUGGCCCUAAUGGUUUAGUAGUGCCCUUUUUGCUUGUAUUUUGUUAGGAUAUUUUUGCUCGGUUGUAUUAUUCUCACUUCUGAAACACUAAUCCCGUGAAACUGCACAUCUAGGACCGUAUCUUAUGCCUGGAGAUGGAGAAUGAGAAGCUUCGCAGCAUUCCCUGUCCUGUAGUUCUCCCCUGUCAGUUGGUGGUAAGAAUAUUUUGACACUGUCAUACCAUCAAGCUAAGGAUCAAUUCAUUGCUAUGCCAUCAAUUGUGUAGUUCUGAAGGUUUUUUCUUUGGGCUUCUUGCCAUGUCCAUUUGCAGUUUUGGAUGUCUGGAAACUUAUUGUUGCCCAUACUCUUUCCUUAGUGAUCAAUGUUUGAUAAACUUGCCAGUAUCGGUAACAAAUUUAUCUCGUUGGCUGGAUAUUGGAAUUGAAUUAAUCAUGUCCAUGCUCCUUACUACAUUUCCACUUAGAACCUUCUAUUAAGUUCAAAUGUGACUGGCACAGGUACACUGUGCCUCUUUAACAGACCACUUCAUGUUUGUCCCUAUAGAUUGAAGAAGUGCAAAAAUAUGCUCCAAAGAAGAAUAUUUUUUGGUUGAAGAAGUAAAAAAAAAUGAAGUAUUAGUUUUCCCCUAAAUUUUAAAUCAAUUGAGAGGACAAAGUGCGGAAUGAUCUAAUAGUCACCAGACAAAUGCAAAAUGAAUAAUCAUUCUCUCAUGGUAGGUGCAUAGCAGUCUUGAGUUACUGACUGAGAACCACUAUUUACAAGUUCAUGACCAUAGAUACUAUCAUGGCAUCUAGUGUAGCAAGAUACUGUGGAGCAUUCAUAGUUACAUGCAUGCUGUAGCCUCCUUAGGCAAUUAAGGUUUGCUUCCUGCCUGUGUUUUAGCGUAAUGCAUGCGUUGUAAUUUUACUUUUACCCAACAAAGGUAUCUAAACAUCAUGUUAGUUAUGGCCAUACAUUCAAGGAACACUGGACUGAAAUCAAGUUGAUCUUUUUUUUGGCAAUGGGAGGUAGAGGUGUGGCUUGUGUUUUAGCUGCAAGAAAGGGGGCCCUAAUCUACAUACUGGACGAGUAUGAAGAAGAAAUCUCUGAUUCAAAAUGACUGUCUGUUCACAAGUUUGUGGUGGUUAUGCUUAUGUUGCUGUUGUAAUUGGACCUCUCAUACUUGGAGCUGCAGACAUUGUUGUGAGAAGCAAUGCAUGUGGGAUUUCUGAUUGAUGCUCUUCGACUUCACCCUUUCUGGAGAAGUCUUAAUCCAUACCUGCCAUGUGCCGUUUCUGCUAGGCAGGUAUUUGUCGAUAAAAAAAAGUGGAGUAAAAUGUAGCGAUUUAUCUAUCGAGUGGGAUAGAAUUGACCGAAAGAUGCUGAAUCAUGGCUUCUAUCUGUUGGUAACUGUCGUAAUGGUAUUGCUGUAAGCUUUGAGACCUGCUCGAUAGUGCCAAGCUUUUGCUUCAUCUGUAUAUGUUCACUAUUUUCAUGUGUAAGAGAACCAAUUGUUUGGUUUGGAUUAUCUACACUUUGGGCUGAAUGGUUUGUGUAGUGUACUCGACUAGCGAACUCUGCAUUUGAAUGUUGAGAUCUCUUACCCAAAAUUAACUUGCUCCUCUCCACGUGUCAUUGUUAAGUGACGCAUUCGAUCCGGUGUAGAUAAUGCAUUCUUGUGGGGAACAUGACUAGCCAGAUAUGUGGUUUUAGUUUGGCAAUAAAGAACGUAGCCCGUAUUCCAAUCUCAGAUAUUUGGAUCCCUCAAAUAGAUGGUAGGUUUAAGAUCAUGAGAUUCUGUCUACAGCAUCGUGAAUGGACUUUGUAUCCUUAAUAAAGGGCAUCAUGGAGUCUUUUAAUUAAAUGAUGUACAUCCAGGAAUCAAUAAUUUUUAAUUGUAGUAUUCUUUCUCUCGGAAUUAUUGCCAAUCUUUAGGAGAAAGUAUGCAUGAAUGUAACAUGUGCAUUUGUGAUACUUCUUUUCUUAUGUUUAUUAUGUCAUGAUGAUAGAUCUUUGGGAACUUCAGCUAAAUUGACUCUGAAAUUAAAUCCUCCUUUAUUUAUAGCCCUUCCAAAUCUUCACGUCUUCAAUGUAUUCUUCCUAAUGCAUGUGCAGAAAUAGUGACAUUUAACAUUAAUUAUAAGAUGGGACAAUAACAUUAUCAACAAAAUAAAUGAUUGUUAAUAGGUUCGCUGCCAGUGCAAAUCCCAUGUAAACUUUAAAUUCCAUGACCUGUUUUACACAAGCUUGUUUUGGAGAAAUUGUCCUUAAAAGUUUCGAGGACCAAGAAAAUAAGAAGAGAAGGCUAGGAAAAGAAGUAUGGCUAAGGUAGACGUUCUACUAUUAAUAGGAAAUGUCUAAGAAGAUAACUUGUGUCUAUCAUGCCAAACACUUUUGGCUAAACCUUCUAUUUAUAGCCACUGUAGGGCCUCAUAAAAUUUACUUCUGCCACUAUUCUUAGUAACAAUAGAACUAAUGAUCAUUUGUAACCCAACAUCAUUAUUAAACUAACCGUUUGAAUGAUUGGGGAAUAUCAAAGUAACUUAGCAUCAUGUCUUAACAGUGGGUGUUCCGAAAAAUAGCUUUAUUGCCUGUGGAUAGCAGCACAUUGGCAAGACUUAAUACAUGGGACUCUGAACAGAAAAUUAGCCACUUAAGAAGGCAACAAAGCUGAUCUAUACACAAACAAAUAACUUUAUUAAUGAUGAUGGGGCACCUAAAUGCCCUCAUAUUAGUUUAACCAACUAAUCUUCUUUUCUAAUUGGAUCUUCUAGUCAUCUAUUGAUAAAAAUACAUACAGAAGCAUGUCGCCGUGUGCUUAUUACAUCUUUUCUUAUCUAGUUAGUGGUAAAAAUAUCCUGUCAAUAUCCACUUCGCAUCACCUAAGUGAAAGUGAGUUUUAGCUAUUCAAGAGGGAAACACUUGACAUCCUUUCAAGCCAAAUGAGUUUUGGAUGUUUGGCACACAAUAUUAGGAGAAAUUACCAAGAAAGUCUUAAGCCUAUUAUGCUUCCACCAAUUCAGUCCUAAACUUUCAAAUUUGGCUAAUUGAAUUAUGAACUUUUUGAGGAUUUGCCAAUGUAAUUCAUCAAGUCAAAUUUUGAGCGGAAAUUACUUACGUGUAUAAUGUUUACAAUUUUUUCUUAUUUUUCUGACUUUUUUCUUCUUCUUUUUUCCCCUUUUCCUUUUGCUAGUGGAUGGUGAGGGCGAGUGACUUUGGCAAAUUCCAUGGUCUCUGUCCAUUCUAAUCCCCUUUGGAAUUGACUGCCAUCUAUACUCUUAUCUUAUAAUGUGUUUCAUCUCGAACUCAGAAUAGUUGCACAAGCAUAGUUUGCCUAUGAGAGAGAGGAAGGGGAAAAUUGUUCAAAAAGUCAUAAAUCUAUUGCACUUUUGCUAAUUCAGUCAUAAACAUUUUAAUCAUGCCAGCUGAGUCGUAAACAUUUAACAUUUUGUCAAUUGAGUCUAUCAAACUAAUUUUGGUUAGAAUUCACUAAUAUGGACGGCCGACACUGAAGUCACUUUUUAAAUAAUACUUUGAAUUUUUUUAUGGUUUUUUAUUUUAUUUUAUUUUCUUUUAUUUUUACUUUUUUUUGCUUUUUUUUUUUUUUUGGGGNNNNNNNNNNNNNNNNNNNNNNNNNNNNNNNNNNNNNNNNNNNNNNNNNNNNNNNNNNNNNNNNNNNNNNNNNNNNNNNNNNNNNNNNNNNNNNNNNNNNNNNNNNNNNNNNNNNNNNNNNNNNNNNNNNNNNNNNNNNNNNNNNNNNNNNNNNNNNNNNNNNNNNNNNNNNNNNNNNNNNNNNNNNNNNNNNNNNNNNNNNNNNNNNNNNNNNNNNNNNNNNNNNNNNNNNNNNNNNNNNNNNNNNNNNNNNNNNNNNNNNNNNNNNNNNNNNNNNNNNNNNNNNNNNNNNNNNNNNNNNNNNNNNNNNNNNNNNNNNNNNNNNNNNNNNNNNNNNNNNNNNNNNNNNNNNNNNNNNNNNNNNNNNNNNNNNNNNNNNNNNNNNNNNNNNNNNNNNNNNNNNNNNNNNNNNNNNNNNNNNNNNNNNNNNNNNNNNNNNNNNNNNNNNNNNNNNNNNNNNNNNNNNNNNNNNNNNNNNNNNNNNNNNNNNNNNNNNNNNNNNNNNNNNNNNNNNNNNNNNNNNNNNNNNNNNNNNNNNNNNNNNNNNNNNNNNNNNNNNNNNNNNNNNNNNNNNNNNNNNNNNNNNNNNNNNNNNNNNNNNNNNNNNNNNNNNNNNNNNNNNNNNNNNNNNNNNNNNNNNNNNNNNNNNNNNNNNNNNNNNNNNNNNNNNNNNNNNNNNNNNNNNNNNNNNNNNNNNNNNNNNNNNNNNNNNNNNNNNNNNNNNNNNNNNNNNNNNNNNNNNNNNNNNNNNNNNNNNNNNNNNNNNNNNNNNNNNNNNNNNNNNNUAGAUGAGCUCAUUGGUAAAGAUGAAAAUGUUUAGGAUUUAAUUGACAAAAUUGAAAAGUUUACGGCUAAAUUAGCAAAAAUGCAAUAGGUUUAGAACUUUUUGGAUAAUUUACCCGAGAGGGAGUAGUAAUGGAAGUCCCCAUUUUGAUUUGGUUAAACACAUAUACGCAACUCUCAUAUGUCGAACUCCCUUUGUUUGGGUUAUCAUGCUUGUAAAUUUGACGAUCUUGACCAGUAUCUCCGAUCCGUUCGGCAUCUUCCUAUCCAUCACCUCGGCCUACUUUGUAGAAUAUGAAGUACAUUGGGCGACUGCUAUUUGAUAUACUACCGCAGCACACGACAUGGGGAAUCAACUCUAAAAGCGUCUUCAACUCUUCAACUUUUCAUCUUGCGUCACAACAGCUACUAUUUUUACAAUUUGUCCCUUGAAAUCAAUUCUUUAAAAUCAUUAUAAGAGAUCUAGCCAUUUCCUUUAUGUACAAAAUGAACUGUGACACAUGUAUAUUGUAUUCUCCAUACCAUUAGAAAGAACGUGGAUAUCUUUCUCGAAAGUAAUUCCUUUAGAUGAGUUGCAGAUAUCUCUCUCGAGAAAAUGGGUUGGGGUUUGGAACUCCGACCUCUUGUUACUAACAGGCAUGCCACCCAUUUGCUCCGCAUGUCUUCUUGCUCCUUUUUGUGGGGGAUAAUUUAUUUAUUGGCUGUAUUGGCUUACUCUAUUAGAAAUUAAGACAAUGCUUUUGAGAACCGGAAUCUAGUCUUUUGUGCUCAAGCGGCUCUGCCGAGUGACCGGGGCUCCUUUUGUUCUGAACAUGCAUAUUCUAUCAGAUAACGUCACAUGCAAUCGGUUCAACUGGUUGAACUAGUAGAGUACAGUUCUCAAGUUUGACUGGUUGAACCACUAGUCUAGUUUUAUAAACUUUUGUUCUUUUGUUCUUCCUACUUAUUAUGUAUCUGCUCUCCUUGUCAACACGAGUACAAGAUUAUGAGAUUAUAUUUUGUAUUCUUGACAAGAGCAUCAUGUAGCCAAAAAACUUAAUGAUGUAUAGAUAUACAGGAAUCUAAAAUUGUUUAAUUUUAUCAUUCAUUCUCUAGGAUUUAUUGCCAAUCUAGAGAAGAAACUCUUAUAGACGUAGUAGCUUUGUGUUCGAUCAUAUGCACCAAGAUGGUAAUCGUAUAUAUGAUUGUAUGCAUGUAAAAUGUGCAUAUGUGAUAUUUCCAUUCUUAGCCGAAUCUACUGUGAGAUUAACCUACUUUAUUAAUUUAUUUCCAAAUCUUCAUGUCAUCAAUGUAUUCUUUCAUGAUGCAUAAUAAGUGCAGAAAUAAUGACAGCGACAAUUAAUAAUAUGACGAAACGAUAAAUAUUACCAACAAAAUAAAUUAUUGUGGUCCACUACCAGUGCAAACCACGUAUUAAAUCAAACAAUGCAUGAGCAAUCUUAGACGAGCUCGUUUUGAAGAGACUACAAUUAAAAUUUUCAAGGACCAAGAAAACAAGAAGAGAAGGUCGGGAUCACGAGUACUACUGGAAUAUGGAGAGACGCUAUACUAUUGAUAGGAAAGUAAUAGAAGGCGAUUUGUGUCUAUCACUCGUAACACCUUUGGCUAAACCCUUGUUGUGUAGUCUUAUAAAAUUUGCUUCUACUACUGUUUUAGUAAUUAUAGAACUAUGUUUGUAACUCAACAUCAUUAUUAAACUAACAAUCUGAACGAAUGGAGGAUAUUGAGGGAACUUAGUAUCAUAAUUUAACAGUGUAUGCGUUCCAAAAAGCAGCUGUAUUGCUUGUGGACGGCAGCAAACAGGCAAGACUCAAUACAUAGCACUCGAUCAACGUGGCUAUCAUGCUAAUGCAGAACAAGCACAUAAUCUGAGCCCGCUCUUUGAAUGAUAUACCUUGCGUUCCUUACAUGUGAAAAAUCAGAGAACCUUUUGAAGAAACAUGUUGAAAGAACUAGAGUAGAGAGGUACCAUCUAAUGAAAAAUUAGUAAACAAAGCUAUUCUAUCCACAUAUUAGAUGCUAAUUCGUGCAAGAAAUUAGCCGAAAUUCAAGGUCUCAAUAGGUUAGAGUAUUUGUAAUGGCUAUAUAUCAAAGACUGCACUUCAAUGGAAAGGCUAUACCUUCCAAAAUCCGGAAGUCUAAUGAUAUUAUUUGUUAAUUCGUGCAAUAAAUUAGCCAAAAUUCAAGGCCUCGAUAGGUUGGAGUUCUUGGAAAGACUAGAUAUCUCUAGGUGCAAUUCAAUUGAAAGGUUGCUCCUUCCAAAAUCCAAGAGUUUGAAGAUAUUGAAGGCUAAUGAAUGCAAAAAAUUGGUCGAAAUUCAAGGUCUCGAUAGGUUGGAGCUUUUGGAAUAUCUGAAUAUCAUUGGAUGCAAGUCACUCAAAACAAUUCCAAAAUUAUCUAGAACUCAGAUUUAUCAAUAAUAUGAGAUUGAAGAUACAAAAAUGAUACAAAUUGUAUUAGAGUAUACGGAUAACUCGGAUGAGUCAAUAGGAUGGAAAUGAUCCCCAUUUACUAUCAAAGGUACAUAGAACAGGUAAAUUACCUUUAUUCUUUUGAGAUCUACUGCCCAAUUUUCAUUUGUAUUUCCUGUUCGCAAUAUCUUUCAAGAUUUAUGAUCUCGCCAUUAUUAUUUCCUGGAUGACAGUUCCUCGUUGUUUUCUUACUUGAAUUCAAGGAAUUUGGUGGAGAUGUCAUGAAAGUUGAUGUGUGCUUUAGCAAAAUGAUUCAGCUUAUCAUGCUACAAAGGGGAAUAGAUGAAGAGGCUUUCUAAGUGCAUCAUUUGUCAUUAGUCUUUGGGUAAGAUCCUUCAUCCUAUGUAGGAAAUUAAAGAUUCUCGACGUUUGAUUGAUUUUAGAAUGCUGGAAUUACUGAAUUAAAAUAAAUGUGUACAAGUAUUUUGAUAGCAUGCCGAAGGCAUUGUAUAGGUCGAAGAAAAUCCUAAAUGAAGGACCCUAUAUGGCGAUCCUUCUAAUAUGAGGUUUUAGUUUGCUCUACGCUCACUAGGCAUUUCAUGACUGCAUGUUUCAAAGGUACACUUAAGGGUGAAUUUACAAUGCAAAAGGAGCAUGUUGAUAGGGCAUCCCUUACUAUGCAUAGUCUACCGACUUGGGAUAAGACUUGUUCAACCAUUGAAUUUUUUUUAUUUUUUUUGGUAAAGGUUUAGCCAUUGAGUUCAACACAAUUUAUCUCAUAAAUUUAUCUACAUUAGCUGAUUAAAGUACUUGUGUCAGUCUAGAAAUGCUAAAUCCAAUAACAAGCUCUUCUCCUAAUGGUGUGGUCGUGAGCAAACUAGUAAAUACGACAGAAGCAAAAGCAUCGUGAAUUAUUUGGUUCUAUUGAGAAAAUUGCAAUUCGAAUUUUUCGGACCAGGGAUCCAUUUUCAUUUCGUUUGAAUCCAAGAUAUACCUACUUCAAGGCUAAUUAUAGACUAUCCCAAAGAAUGCACCUUGAUGUUUGUACUAUUUGCUAAAGCCAUCUGUCAGAUACCUGAAUUUUUGGGCCAAGCAAGACAUUACUCGAAUGUCUUUUGACAUAAUUGGAUGUACUGUGAAAUAAUUCCUUAUAUAGUGCAUAAGCUCUUCUUAGUUCAUUUACUUGCUGAAAAAUAAAACACGGGAAGCAUUUGCAUAAGUUUCCUGGGGAAACUUUUAGUAUCCUAUAUGCCAUUUGAAAUCUGUCUUGCAUUAAUUCUAAUGCAUGAGUAGUACAUAAUGAUAAGGAAAAUAAUCAUCCUAUGUCCCCCAAAAGCAAGCAUCUUAAGCUGAAUGCACUAUGCUAAUUUGAUCAAAGCUUUUGUGGUUGAUGAUGUUAGCUGCCCCAUUAGUUAAAUCCAAAGAGUUCAAAAAGAAUAUCGAUUUUGACAAAUAGAGACCCGCAAAUGUCUUAGCAUUAUUAGUAGUUCAUUGAUGUUAGUUGGUGGAUUGAUUUCAUCUAACUCAUUGGCACGUUUUAGUUAUCAUGCCACUAGUUGAUGUAAGUGCUGAAAUGUCUGAGAGAGCUUUUGCAAGGCGCUUCUAAAAGGAAACAAAAUCAUCAAAGGAUGAGGAGCUCGUUGUUUCUUGAACUUCUCCAAACACUAUCAAUGCAUCCUUGGAAUGGUAAAGGGUGUGUGCAUGCUAUCAUCCUUAUGGGCCCACCAGUUUAAGUGUCCAUGAAAAUGAAGAAAUUGAAUUGGAAGGGAUGUCAUUUAUGCUAGAUAUACUAGCUAUGUCAAAUGCAAAAGCGCAUAGACUAAGAUCGUAGAGGUUGCUGUAUCCAAGUAUCUUAAGUUCUUACGUGACUUUAUCCAUUGGUAAUUCGAAUUUAUAAGAGCUUAGGAUUAGAUGGCUAGCCUUGGCAAUUCGUGCUAUCUAUUCUUAAUGGAAAAGUCUAGAAAAGAGGCAAUUUUUCUAGAAACAUAUCAAUGCUCCACGCCUCAUAUUGUCUUCUGGAUUUGGAGAACAUGUUGAGUGCACUAUAGUACUUGAGCCAACCCUUGAAUGGUUUAUGUUGAGAUUCUAAGUUGUAGAUACUAGUACACUUGUGAUCCUCACCUGAAGUAAGCUUAUAUGGAUACACUCCACCUUGGGGUUCCAAAGUGGACAAUAAGAUCUGUUUUUGGAUUGAGAUAAUGGAUUGGAGGCCACCAAAUAAGUAUAGAUUUCCAUCGCUUUUGAUGACCUACCAGCCAAAGAAAUCCCAUAUCAAACGACUGACUUCCCUCUCACAGUUAUCUUGUAUUGUUAUGACACUUCACCUCAAUUCAUUCACAUAUUUUGAUUACAUUUCCUGGUUACUGUGCAUUCUCUAUCUUUCCUCUUCUUCUAUUAAUUUUAUUGUGAAGAAAUUACUCUCUCUCUCUCUCUCUCUCUCUCUCUCUCUCUCUAAUUUGUUUGUGCUUUAUUUAUGCUUGUGGGUGAAAAGUUCAGUUAUGUCAUUAAGUUAUUGCUGUUUGGUCAAGAGUUUGAUGGCUGCGAAUUUGGUUGAUGCGGCUGUAUUUCUUUCUUUGAGACUUCUACAAAUUUAUUAAUCGCCAUCCAUUUCACGGACUACAUUUUGCUUGGAAGAGAGUUUGAUUUUACAUAAUACAUAAUGAAUGUUAUCUUACCAAUCUAGUUUUCUUUACUUAACAUGGAUACGUGGUGUGCUGCUUUUUAUAUGCUAGUGCUUGUAGCAGUUAUACAUGCUAUGCAUAAUAGUUUCUAACAUGGUAUAAAUAUUGGGCAGGAUGAAAAAUUGUUACGAGGCUUGAAGUCCCAUGCGGUAGCUGUGUUGUCUCAAUUGGGAGGAAGAUGCCCAAGUGAGUAGAGUACGCAUCUUUCAACUUAAAAGUUGAUAUGACUUCUUGAUCUUGAUUCUUAAUUCAUUCUUAAUGUCUUAUGUGUUUUUUUAAUGAUUUGUUCGCAAUUAAGUUUCAAACUAAGAAUCGGAUUGCACUGUCCAACAACUUUAAUAGUUUCUACCUCAAUAUAUCUUGUUAGGUCAAUAAGUGAAAUAGCUAGUACGAGUACCUAGAGGGGGGUGAAUAGGUAUACUAAAAUUUCUCGAAGCUUGCACGAUAUCAAUUAGAGUAUUUGCAACAAUUAAAAAUUCAAUUGCAAGACUGAGUAAGGGAAAGAGAGAAUUGAACACUCGGUUUAUAGUGGUUCGCCUUGAUUCAAGCCUACGUCCACUCUUCUGCACUGACAGCCGAUUGGCUGGAUUCCACUAUGAUCAAAGAGUUGUUACAGUGUUGAUCUUCCUUGAUUUCUAGGUGUAGAUGAUCUACCACACUCACUCAAGGCGUCACCAAGUAUAAACACUCUCUGUAUACAAUUUCGCUCAGUCUCAACUAACAAUCAAGGAUCUUCAGACUCUGGAAUUUUUCUAUCGAUCACACACUUAAAACAACUUGAACGUCUUCCUUUUAUACUCCUUCAUGCCAUCAUAGCCGUUGGCACUUACCAAAGGAAUUCCUCCAAUCUACCCGUUGGACGGAAUCAAUCAAGAAGAUCAUCCGAGCUAUUUAAGGAAUCUGAUGAUAGCCCAUCAAUCCUGUUCGCCCAUACAAUCAGGAUCUCGGUUCCAAGAAUAGAAUAAUCCAAAAUUAUUNNNNNNNNNNNNNNNNNNNNNNNNNNNNNNNNNNNNNNNNNNNNNNNNNNNNNNNNNNNNNNNNNNNNNNNNNNNNNNNNNNNNNNNNNNNNNNNNNNNNNNNNNNNNNNNNNNNNNNNNNNNNNNNNNNNNNNNNNNNNNNNNNNNNNNNNNNNNNNNNNNNNNNNNNNNNNNNNNNNNNNNNNNNNNNNNNNNNNNNNNNNNNNNNNNNNNNNNNNNNNNNNNNNNNNNNNNNNNNNNNNNNNNNNNNNNNNNNNNNNNNNNNNNNNNNNNNNNNNNNNNNNNNNNNNNNNNNNNNNNNNNNNNNNNNNNNNNNNNNNNNNNNNNNNNNNNNNNNNNNNNNNNNNNNNNNNNNNNNNNNNNNNNNNNNNNNNNNNNNNNNNNNNNNNNNNNNNNNNNNNNNNNNNNNNNNNNNNNNNNNNNNNNNNNNNNNNNNNNNNNNNNNNNNNNNNNNNNNNNNNNNNNNNNNNNNNNNNNNNNNNNNNNNNNNNNNNNNNNNNNNNNNNNNNNNNNNNNNNNNNNNNNNNNNNNNNNNNNNNNNNNNNNNNNNNNNNNNNNNNNNNNNNNNNNNNNNNNNNNNNNNNNNNNNNNNNNNNNNNNNNNNNNNNUCAUCCGAGCUAUUUAAGGAAUCUGAUGAUAGCCCAUCAUCCUGUUCCGCCCAUACAAUCAGGAUCUCGGUUUCCAAGAAUAGAAUAAUCCAAAAUUAUUUCGUCGACUAUCGGAUCUUCAAUCGAUCUUAGAUAAGAAUUAAAGAAUCCGAAAUGAUUAUCCAACCAAAGAAUCUAUUCCAGAGGAUAGGACCGAAUCCUCAACCAUAAACCUCGGCUUUGGAUUUCCUUCAACACUGGAUUAGAAAGACUGUCAGUGAGAAUAAAGUCUUGAGUCCUGAGUCUUAAGACUUGAGACUUGAGACUUAAGUCUUGAGUCUUGAGUCUUGAGUCUUGAGUCUUGAGACUUAAGUCUUGAGUCUUGAGUCUUGAGUCUUGGGUCUCGAGAGAACAAAGUCUUCAGACUUUAAACUGACGGUCUCCGAACAUGCAGACUUUAGACUGAAAGAAAUGUUUUGUCAGCUUCAAAAUAUUCUGGAAAGAUUUCUCCAACAAUCUCCCCCUUUUUGAUGGUGACAAAACUUUCUUGAAGAUUUGAACAACUUUGACCUGCAAAACAUUUCUCAAGCAAUAUGGCUAACUCAUAAAGAUUAAUAAAACAACCAGACUCUGCAUCCACAGAAAAUUGGUUAGUCUUUCAUGAGAAACACCAUAUAACAACACUUGAAUAAAUGCAACCAGUCAAGUUCAUAAUCCACAGCCAAUUCAGUCAAAUUCACACCCAAGUUCAAAAUCUCAAGUCAUACUCAAAACUAAACAUAACCACAAAGGUCAAAGUUAAAAAAAUGAAUGAUGAAAUGAAAGUUCAAAUUUGUUCUCCCCCUUUUUGUCAGCAUUGAAAAGGGUGAGAAAAGAGUCAUGUCUGCUUGGGAAUGCGCACGAUCUGGAAAUCCCCAAUGGACUGGACUACUCCUUCGAGCUUCUUCAGGUCUUCUCGCAGAUGAGCUACCUCUUCUCUCUUGGCAUUUGCUUGAAGUUGCAUAGCGAGGUCUUUGAAUUUAUCUUCCAGAGAGACUGAAGAUGCUUGUCCAGCAUGCUUCAAAGCUUGGAUUUCACAGUCCAGAACAUAUAUCUGGUUACGCAUUUCCAGAAGAAUAUUCAUGAUACUACGAAAAUCUGCAUAAUCAUCCGUCUGUGUACUGGCAUUAACUUUCUCAGAUGGUGUGUAUGCAGACGAUGGCGCUUCUGUUUGGUCUGGCAGAUUUGGAAUCGACGUAUCACCUUCUUCAGGUAAUUGAGAGACCUGAACUUCUUCUGGGUCUUUUGGAGACUGUCUUAGAUCUUCAGCAGCAUGAGGUGUAGACCUCUCUUGCUCGCUAACUCCCCCUGUCUCUAGGACAUCGAAAUGAGAAGAGUGAAGAUCAUUCUCUUUAUUUCCCUUCUCUCCAGAUUUAUCAGCAGACUGUUCUUUUUCUUCUUCUCCUUCUUCCUCAACUUCUUUCUCCUUCUUUCUCUGAUCUUCUUCUUCUCUGCUCUGCUGAAGUUCUGUCGGAUAAGACACAGAACGUCUUUUUCUUGUCAGUGCUGGUAUAGUGGGAUCUUCAUCAUCUUCAUCCUCAUCUUCUUCCUCCAGGAUAAGAGUUCUUUUCCUCUUUUUCGAUGAAGCACCAAUGGCCUCCUUUCCUUUCCUUUUUGAAACAGACUGGACUGGAGAUUUCACUUUGAAUUUCUCCAUUGCCUUAGAAAGUUCUUGCAGACGCAUCUUCAUUAACAUUUUCAACCCAACCACCAUCUUAUCACACGAUCGAACACAAAAAGUAUGUGGCAGUUCAAUAUUCAGAUGUCUGAAGAUCUUGGUCACCAGACCAGGAUAAGGCAAUUGUCCUUUGUCUUUUGACACUGCUCUGUACAUAUGGAAAAGAAUAGUGUGCGGGAGAGAAAACUUCCGUCCUGAGUUGAUCGCAUACAUCAACUUUGCUUCAGAAAGAGACACAGAAGUCUUUGACGUAGACUUUGGUCUGAGGCAAUUGAUCACAAUCUUGUGAAGCACAAUGUUGAUGGCAUUCAUCCUGGAAUAGAUAAUUUUCUUAUCUACAUCCCUAUCUUUGACAAGAUCCAGAGUGGCUCGAGCAGGUGAGACUUUGAUUGGGAGAUAGCAUCCCCGUUCAACUCCAAUUAUGUCCGCCAACAUACUCACAUCUACCACAUGGACUUGGUCUCGAACACUGAAUGAAAUUCUAUUCGCAUCCAAAAAGCUAAGAUUUGAAUAGAAAUAAGCGGUCAGUUGAUCAUACCCGUCUGUGGAGUCAGAGCAGAAAGUCUCAAGUUGAAGCAAAUUCAACUUCUCUCUUAAGUUCAAGUUGAUGGAAUCCAGGAAGUCAAAAUCGACACUUCUAGGAUUGAUUAUCCCUCUUUUCAACAGCCUGGAAUACACUUUUUCCUGAUCCUUGGAUUUAAACAAAUCCAUCUGAUUUCCUUUCACCUUUGCUGCCACACCCAUUCUGGGUUUAAAUUCAAGGAACAUUUUGUCAUCAUCGUUCCUGUCAAUCAGAUUUUGUCCUGGCAUACGAGGAUCACUUGGAAUGUUCGCAAGAGCCUGCUCUGCUCUUCCUUUCGGAGCAAUUCCCAACUCUUCCAUUUUCCGCAGAAAAAGAUACUCAUUUCCAUAAUUUUUGUCCUUUAGAAAGUCAUCUAUAUAUUUUAAUGAAGAACCGAUGCUUUUCAACGCACGAUAAAGCUUAUAGAUAACAGAAGGUCUUUGGACUCUUACUGAGUCAGCUUCCUCAAUUAUCUCUUCUUCCAGAUUUUGACUUGCACUUUGUGGCAGGAGAUGCUGAAUGACGUGGAGGAGAGCGAAUCGGACUUUGUCGCUGACUUGGUAAGUCUUCUUCCUCUGUGAGAUCGAAGUGAGUCGGUCCCUUCUCCAUUCUUUGUGGUCCCCUGUUUGCGAUUCUUGAUGAUUUCCUCGAAGACGACAUCUUUCUUUGUCUAUUGGAGGAUUCCUUCACUUGCUUUUCCCAAGAAAAGAUGACCACUUUCUCGACAAUGAACAAAGAGUAGAAACAGUAUCGAGAGGAGAGUGCUUUUUAGGGUUUUGAAAAUUGGGGGUAGAAUAACCGUAUAUAUAUAUACCUCGGAUUUGAAAAGGGAAGUUUAAACGGUACAAGGAAAGUGUACGAACAAUAUUUUUUUUAAAUCAAUAACUGCCAAAAUUAACUUUCUUUAAAAAAGACAAGUUUUCAAAAUUUCGCACGAAUUAUAUCUGAAUAAUAGAACGUACCUUUUGGAUAAAAUAAACGAGAAUUCGUACCUUUUAGAUAAAAUAGCUACUUACAGUCUUUAGCCAUGAAUGCUUGAGUCUCAAGAUUUAGAGUCUAAGACAUCAGAGUCUUAGAGUUGGUGAGUCUCUAGACUUUAACUUCUUCAAGCUUCAAAAUGUUGAGUCUCGAGCGGAUAAAGUCGAACUGAUUCUUCUCCAAAGGCUUUGUGAAUAUGUCCGCUAGUUGACUUUUUGAAUCAACAAAUUGAAUCGAGAUUUCUCCAUUUUGAAUAUGAUCUCUAAUAAAGUGAUGACGAAUCUCAAUAUGCUUUGCUCUUGAAUGAAGGAUUGGAUUUUUGGUGAGAUUGAUAGCGCUGGUAUUGUCACAUCUGAUUUCUGUGCAUGAGUCUUCAAUGCCAAAGUCUUGUAGCUGUUGUUUUAUCCAUAGAAUUUGCGAACAGCAGCUUCCAAGAGCUACAUACUCUGCUUCUGUUGUUGAGAGAGCUACAGUGCUUUGCUUCCUUGAAAACCAAGACACUGUCCUAUUUCCAAGCAGUUGACAAGUUCCAAAAGUGCUCUUUCUAUCGACUCUGCAACCGGCCAGAUCUGCAUCUGAGUAUCCUAGAAGAUUAAAGUCUCCCCUCUUUGGAUACCAAAGACCGAUGCUUGAAGAUGAAGCAACGUAUUUGAUAAUACGUUUCACGGCAAUGAGAUGUGAUUCUCUAGGAUCUGAUUGAAACCUAGCACAGAUACAAACACUAAACAAAAUAUCAGGUCUAGAAGCAGUAAGAUAAAGAAGUGAACCGAUCAUGCUCCUGUACAGCUUUUGAUCUACUUUCUUCCCUUCUUCAUCCUUGUCUAUCUCUGAGAACAUGACAUUGGUAUGUCGGUCUUUUGCACUUUUCCAAUCCAAACCUUUUGACAAGAUCAUUCGCAUAUUUUUCUUGAUGGAUGAAAGUUCCUUCCUUCAUUUGUUUUACUGGGAGUCCAAGAAAGAAUGUUAACUCUCCCAUCAUACUCAUUUCAAAUUCAUCCUGCAUAGACUUAGAAAAUUUCUUGCAAAGACUUUCAUUAGAGGAUCCAAAAAUAAUGUCAUCGACAUAUAUUUGAACAAGUAAAAAAUUUUUGUUUUCCUUUUUGAUAAACAAGGUAGUAUCUACUUUACCUUUGACAAAACCAUUCUGUAAUAAAAACUUACUUAGUCUGUCGUACCAAGCUCGAGGUGCUUGCUUUACACCAUACAGAGCCUUUUUCAGUCUGAAGACUGAGUUUGGCUUCUUUGGGUCUUCAAAUCCAGGCGGUUGUUCCACAUAAACUUCCUCAUGGAUAAAUCCAUUUAGGAAAGCACUUUUGACGUCCAUUUGGAAUAACCUGAAAUUUUUGUAACAAGCAAACGCAAGUAAUAGACGAAUAGCUUCUAACCUUGCAACUGGUGCGUAAGUCUCGUCAUAGUCUAUUCCUUCUUCUUGCGUAUAUCCUUUGGCCACGAGUCUUGCUUUGUUUCGUACGACUUUUCCUUUUUCGUUCAUCUUGUUCCUGAAUACCCAUUUGAUUCCAAUGACGGAUUUACCUUUUGGUUUAGAUGUCAAUUCCCAGACAUCAUUGAUGUUGAACUGUCUGAGCUCUUCUUGCAUAGCUUCGAUCCAGCUUUCAUCAGAUAAAGCUUCUUCUAUUGCUUUUUGGUUCAAUUUCAGAAAUGAGAGCCACAGCACUAGAUUCUUCAUGCCUUUUUGAUCUGGUGCGGAUUCCUUCAUUAAGUUCACCAAUAAUAAGAUCUUUGGGAUGACUGGAUUUGUGCUUCCAGUUACCAGGUUGAUGAUCUCUUUCUUUAUUUGAUUCUCCAUGAGCGUCUUGAUGAUGGACUUCCAGAAUCUGAGAUGCUUCUUGAGAUGUAGACAUUUGAAGAUCUAGAGUGGAUUCAGUCUCUUCGUACUGAGUCUGGCUGGAUUCAUCUUGCACUGAGUCUUGGAAUUUGACAUUCAUAGAUUCUUCCACAGACUGGCUUUUUUUGUUGUAGACUCUGUAGGCUUUGCUUGAUGUAGAAUAUCCAAGGAAGAUGCCUUCAUCUGAUCUUUCUUCAAGCUUACCAACUCGAUCAUUUGCAUUUUUCAAAAUAAAGCAUUUGCAACCGAACACAUGAAAGUAUGAAACAAUAGGCUUCUUACCUUUGAACAAUUCAUAGGGAGUUUUAUCAAGAAUAGGUCUUAGAAAGACUCUAUUUAUAAUAUAGCAAGCAGUUGAAAUAGCUUCAGCCCAAAAUCGUGAAGAAAUUUUACUUUCAAUUAAAAGUGUUCUAGCCAUUUCUUGAAGAGAUCUAUUCUUUCUUUCCACAACUCCAUUUUGCUCUGGAGUAUAAGGAGAGGAAAACAUGUGAUUAACACCAGAUUUCUCACAGAAUCUCAUAAAAUCUUGAUUUUCAAAUUCACUUCCAUGAUCUGUUCUUAUACUCGAAAUAGCACAUCAUUUUUCAUUUUGAACCUUUUUAGCAAACUUUUCAAAGUACGAAAAGGUUUCUGAUUUAUUUGCAAGAAAAUAUACCCAGGUAAAACGAGAGUAAUCAUCUACAAUUACUAGACAAUAUUUCUUACCUCCAAUGCUCUGGGUUCUUGUUGGUCCGAAGAGAUCCAUAUGUAGCAAUUGCAGUACAUGAUUAGUAGAUACAUGAUUUAUUUGCUUAAAUGAAUUUCUUACUUGCUUUCCCAGAAUGCAUGGAGUGCAUAAGUCAGACUUUUGGUAUGGCAAUUUAGGUAGACCUCGAACAAGCUGCUUUGAAGAGAUUUUGGCUAAUUGCUUCUUGUUGAUAUGGCCAAGUUUUCUGUGCCAUAGAACUGCUUCAUCUUGAAUUGAGAUUAAGCAUUGUUCUUCAUUUGGCUUUACAUCAAGGAGGUAGAUGUUUCCAUGCCUUCGACCCAUAAAAGACUGAGUCGAAUCUUUGCUAAUUCCAGAACAUAUGCCUUCUUGAAAGAAGAUCUUGUAACCAGUAUCACACAAUUGGCUAAUGCUGAGUAGAUUGUAGUUGAGUCCUUCCACUAGAGAAACAUUGCUUAUUGUGAGAUUUCCAAUUUUCACAGUUCCGAAUCCCACAAUACUUCCUUUGCUAUUUCCAUCGAAUGAAACUUUUCCACCAUUUACUUUAAUAAGCUUUAUGAAACUAUUUGAGUCUCCUGUCAUGUGUCUUGAGCAUCCGCUGUCAAGAUACCACUUUACCUUCUUUUUGACAGAGACCUGCAUUCAAAAGAGAGUCUCAAGCUUUCUUUGGUACCCAAAUUUUCUUGGGUCCUUUGGUGUUAGUAGGAUGAGCAUUAUUAGGCCAUACUCUCUUAACAGGCUUCUAGACCAUAGGACAUUCUUUUUCAAAAUGAUCCUGACUGUUACACUUAGAACACCUUAAAGCAUUUCGACCUACAGGUUUUACAAAAACUCUUUUGAAAUGAUUUUUAUAAGCCUCUCUUGAUGGUCUUUUCUUAAUUCUUUCUUUUACUUUCGGAAAAUCAAUCAAAGGGAUUGUUUCAGCUGUCAUACCUAGACCUGACUUAUUGAAGUAAGGUCUUUGGAUUGAAAGAACUUUUUCAAGUUUUUCGGACCCUAUUGAAAAUUUCUUUGAAAUAUUUGAUAAAUCAGUUUUCAAGAAAGCAUUUUCUUUUGAAAGAUUGUCUUCACUCUCUUUAAGAGUAGAAACGUUCAAGUCUAAAUUUUUUACCUUUUCUUCUAAAAUGUUUUCCUUUUGUUUUAAAACUGAGUUUUCCUUUUUAAGUUCGGAAAUCUUUUUAAGAGAAGUCUUAAGACUAAAACAUAACUCAUCAAUAUAUUUAGAGACUUUGACAGGGAUUUUAUAAUCACUUACUUCAAAUUCACUGUCUGAGUCUGAUCCAGAGUCUGAGUCUGAUUGCGCCAUUAGACAUAGGUUGGCAUAUUCCUCAUCACUCUCUUCACACUCUGUAUCGCUCCAGGUUUCGGCUUUAAGAGCUUUUCGAGAUUUCUCAGCUUUUCCUCUUUUCUUUUUCAGAAGAGGACAGUUGGGUCUGAUGUGUCCCUUCUUUUUACAUUCGAAGCAAACUACAUCUUUGUUUGGUUCCUCAUCAUCAACAGACUUGGUCUGCUGUCUCUGAAAACUUUGUUUCUUUGGGAUGAACCUUCUGCCUUUUCUAUUCAGUUUUCUGAAUCUUCUUAUCAUGAGAGCGAGCUCCUCAUCAUCCAUAUCAUCUUCAGAAUCUUCAUGGGAUCAGAAAUUUUUUGUCCUUGGUUCUCAAGACCAUUGACAAUAUCUGUAAAACGACUAAACAUGUCAGUUAUAGAUUCUCCUGGUUUCAUUUUGAAGGAUUCAUAUUGACCAAGAAGAAUGUUAAUUCUGGUCUCCUUCACUCGAUCUGUCCCUUCAUAAGUGAUAUGUAACCUGUCCCAAACUUCUUUUGCUGUAACACAAGAAGAUAUUCUGUUAUAUUCAGUUGGUGACAAGGCACAAUAUAAAGAAUAAAUUGCUUUAGCAUCGAGUGCUUGUCUCUUGUUUAUUUCUUCUUGAGACAUUCCGCUGACUUCAACAGUUUCUUUUCCUCUUUCAGAGAUUGAUGCAGCAGUAGGAGUGAUUCCUCUUUCCACAAUGUCCCAUUCCAGAGGAUCCUUUGAUCGUAGGAAAGCUUUCAUCUUGUUCUUCCAGAUGUUGUAAUCCUUUCCAUUGAAGUAGGGAGGUCUGGUAUUGCUUUGCCCCUCCAUCAGCCCUGGUGCUAGCAUACUAGCCAUGGAUCUUUUACUCUGAAGUAAAACACUUCAAACAAAGUAAGAACACGAGCUCUGAUACCAAUUGAAAUAGCUAGUACGAGUACCUAGAGGGGGGUGAAUAGGUAUACUAAAAUUUCUCGAAGCUUGCACGAUAUCAAUUAGAGUAUUCGCAACAAUUAAAAAUUCAAUCGCAAGACUGAGUAAGGGAAAGAGAGAAUUGAACACUCGGUUUAUAGUGGUUCGGCUUGAUUCAAGCCUACGUCCACUCUUCUGCACUGACAGCCGAUUGGCUGGAUUCCACUAUGAUCAAAGAGUUGUUACAGUGUUGAUCUUCCUUGAUUUCUAGGUGUAGAUGAUCUACCACACUCACUCAAGGCGUCACCAAGUAUAAACACUCUCUGUAUACAAUUUCGCUUAGUCUCAACUAACAAUCAAGGAUCUUCAGACUCUGGAAUUUUUCUAUCGAUCACACACUUAAAACAACUUGAACGUCUUCCUUUUAUACUCAUUCAUGCCAUCAUAGCCGUUGGCACUUACCAAAGGAAUUCCUCCAAUCUACCCGUUGGACGGAAUCAAUCAAGAAGAUCAUCCGAGCUAUUUAAGGAAUCUGAUGAUAGCCCAUCAAUCCUGUUCGCCCAUACAAUCAGGAUCUCGGUUUCCAAGAAUAGAAUAAUCCAAAAUUAUUUCAUCGACUAUCGGAUCUUCAAUCGAUCUUAGAUAAGAAUUAAAGAAUCCGAAAUGAUUAUCCAACCAAAGAAUCUAUUCCAGAGGAUAGGACCAAAUCCUCAACCAUAAAUCUCGGCUUUGGAUUUCCUUCAACACUGGAUUAGAAAGACUGUCAGUGAGAAUAAAGUCUUGAGUCCUGAGUCUUAAGACUUGAGACUUGAGACUUAAGUCUUGAGUCUUGAGUCUUGAGUCUUGAGACUUAAGUCUUGAGUCUUGAGUCUUGAGACUUAAGUCUUGAGUCUUGAGUCUUGGGUCUCGAGAGAACAAAGUCUUCAGACUUUAAACUGACGGUCUCCGAACAUGCAGACUUUAGACUGAAAGAAACGUUUUGUCAGCUUCAAAAUAUUCUGGAAAGAUUUCUCCAACAAUAAGAUGUCUUAUCCUCAUUAUUGUCUCAGAGAAACAAUGCAGAGAGUCAGAGAAUUACUGCAGUUUGGAGGAUUUGGGGGCACUGAAUAUUUGGGAAGGACACUUGCAAAGGAAUGUGAACAGAUGGAACGCCGGCUUUAGCAAAAGAAUUAGAAAGCCGAAAUGUAAUAGAAUAUUGUUCGUGUAUAGAAAUUCUUACUUGAAUGUCUUGUUUAUUGCUCUUUCAUUGUAAAUUCUUCACAUUAAUGCUAUAUCUACUUUUUCCAUUCAUAAAUGUUCUUAAACAUGCUACCUCAGUGGGAAAAAUAUGAACUAGGGGAUAAAUCAUUGUUGUCAUUUGUUGUUUGAAGUGAUUGCUCCCCCCUAACCUCCCCCUUCUUCAAGUUUGGUUGUCAUUGCUGAUAUGUGUACCAAAUGUGAAAUUUGGAUCUCUUUGUAUGCAUAAUAGGAUUUUGAGUAUGAUUAACAGGGCUCAAAAUUGGUUUCUGUGACCAUUGCAAUCCUUUAAUUGAAAGCUCGUGCUUUUGGUUUUACCCAACUCAUCAAUUAUUUGAGCUAAAAUAACCAUUUCUCAUUUGGCUGAUUCAGAACUUCUAUUAAUGGGUUUGUCUAUAAAUAUUUCUAUCCAUAAGCCCAUUACCAUGAAGUUUUACCGAUAUUUUUCAUUUCUUUGCCUGAGUGACUAGAACCUUGAGACUAUAAUGAGAGAAGAUGGAGAGAAAUAAAAGGAAAGCAUUCAAGGUUAGGGGUUUUCUUCUGGAGGUUGUCCUCAACAAUGGUUUUUCACCUACCCUCUAUCUAAUAAUCUAGUUUUCUGUAUUUGAUCUCAAGUUUGAUCACUUGAUAAUGUACAUGGAAGCUUUAGCUAGGUGAUCUUAUCAGACUUGGCUCUCUGUUUAGCUUACUAUCCUUGUGUAUAGAAAUACUGAUCUCAUGUUCCUGAUUAGGAAUUAAUUCAAUCAUCAUAUUUUCAAGGAAGCUGCCCAAAUGCAUUUCUCUUCCAUUUCGAAAAAGAUAUUUUGUUAGAAUUUAUUGCUACUAUUCCCUCCUACGUCUAUUUUGGCACCACCAGAUAUAUUCCCAAUUCAUUGUCCUUCCAUGGGAUAUAUACCUUUCAUAUGAAACUACAUAUGUUAUCAAGAGAUCCACAUGUGCAAAGUAAAAUUACUUUUUCAUGCUAAUCAUUUCUUUGUAUGGCUCUAUAGGAUGACUCUGAAAUUGCUUUCAUACGACUUCUUGAUCUUGAUUCUUUAACUGUCAAUGUUUUAUUCUUCAUAUCUUCCAAAUUAUUUCUAGUUUUUUGUUUGUAGUUAAGUUUCCAACUUGGAAUCUUAUUUUACAGUCCAGCAGCUUUAACACGAGUUUAUGGAAGAUUUUCGAGAUCUUUAAAGGACUGGGUGCUCUUUGUUUCUUGAACUUCUCCAAACUCUUGACAAUGAUCGCUUGGAAUGAGAAAGGACGUUUGCAUAUUGUCAUCCCACAUUGCCCUGAUUAUAUCUAACAAAAGCUUUGUGGAGCUAAAACUGUAUGCUAACUUGAGAGGUUUCUAAAAUACUGAAAGUCUAGCCAACUUGUUUGAUAUAAUGGCUAAUGAAUCGGACGGUUGUAUUUUAAGUGGGAAUCGUAGUUGACAUCGUAUGGAGGUCUAUCGGAGUUUAAAGAGAGCUGUUUGUGAUUCAAGUGUGGAUCUUCAUGCUAAAGUAGAAGCAAUUCGAUGCUUGCCUGCUAAAGUUUGUGGGGUUGAUAAAGAAAUUAGAGGUUCUUACAAUGGGAAGCUGUUGUUAGGUCGAAGGUCUCCGAAUCAAAGUCUUGUGAGACCGAGAUCUUAUUCCUAUUGAUUUUGCUAUUAGAGUGAUGGAGGAUUGUUGGCUGGCGCCGUCUCUUUGUGGGGUUUAGCGAACAUAACAUCAAAGAAAGAGAAAAAAAGUCAAAAAGACAAAAAAGAGGGGCCGUUUGUGGAGUGAAGGUAAGGAAGAGAGAGAGCUCCUCGAGAAGAGCGCAUUAGAAGACGAAAAAGGGGCAGCGAAUUGUCGGUCCAUAUUCGGAGGCCCAACGUAACUGGAAUUGGCUCAAUUUUAGAAUGUUGUUCGUGAGACUAGGCCUUUGAGUUGAUUAAUUUCGUUCGUUGAAAACCUUUUUCAAGUUGUCUCUCAUUUUCUACUAUCAUGGUUAAGGUUUCUUGCUCUAUUUGUAUUAAUCCACCCCAAUAAUGAUGAAAUAUCGUUGUAUUGUUGAUGUUACUAUUCUUAGUGAAAGCUUUUGAGCGGUUUGUGGUUUUUCCCCCAUUGAAUUUUCCACAUAAAAGUUUUAGUAUUAUUGUUGCCUUGUUUUUUUUAAACAUUUCAGCAUUAUAUUUAUUUAUUUUGAGAUCAUAGUGCUGGAAUACACAGCUAGUUGUUGCUAGUGUUGAGUCCAUUUUGGUUAGUUUAAUUUUGGGGAAGAAAUUGCUUGUGGAUUGGAUUAGUUCUUAGUGAAUUGUUACCUAAUAUACCCCAACAAGGUUGUUGGAAUAGGAGUAGAAAAUGUUUCUAGUGUGAAGAAGGUCUCCGGAGCCCAAUUGGUGCGCAUUUGAGACCGUGCUUCUAGUGGGAUAUUAAAGCUCAAUUGAUGUUGCUUUAGUUUUGUAAUAAAGAAUUAGCUCUAACAAAAGGAAAAAAAGGACAUAAAUAGUCCAGUAGUCAAGGGUGCAAUGUCAUCCGUAAACUUUUGAUUUACUUAAUGUUUAAUCGAAAGCCUAAGAUAUAUAAAAAUGUUCAAUAUCGUAUUUCCGUUAAUUUAAAUUUAACGAAAUUUGCUUAUAUGGUUCUCAAUUCAUUAUGAUUUUGAUCAAUUUGAUAACGGAUGCAUGAGAAAGGUGGCUACUAUGGUUACAAGUUAACCCAACACUUUGGUAACCUUGCUUGUUCCGAAAUCGCAUACUUUUCUUCAUGAUAAAUGAGCCUGGACAUCAAGUUCCAUCUGACAUAUGACACAAGCCGGCCCGACUCAGCCUGCCCAUCAAUCAAAAGAGUCUGCCUUCACUUUUGUAAUCAUGUCUGUCUCUCAUUUUUCUCUCUCGCCUGCUCCUCUUCAGCAAUUUUCUCUGCAUGAUUUUGGACUCUAGUGGACUUUCUUGCUCUCUUGAUCUUCCAUUCUUCGACUUGCUCUUUAGCUCUAUUCUUUCCUAACUAGCCUCGAGCCUUCCUCUGGGUUUGAGCUCUAUCCUUCGCAAGCUCUCUUUCACACACAUUUUCCAUCGACACUUCUAUACACUCCUUGCAAAUUGUCUAGCCCGCGCUACGUUUUCAAUUGCUCACGGAAGCUGCUCACGGAAGCUGUGGAGGUUUAUGAAGGACUGCAACACAUGCUUCCACUUCAGCUUUAGUUCAACAAACCAAUGGCUUCUCAAGUUCGGCUCCUAGUUGGCAUUCUUUCACGAGCUAAUGGGUAGUCGACUCGGUUUCCACUCGGUUUCAUGAAGUUUGCUCAAUUUGCUCAAUUUGAAAGGUUUGUCAUUGGUAGUAACAACCCUCUUCUUGAAAGAUAUCCUCUAGCUUCCGAAGAUGCUCAAGUAAAGUUAGCUUCGAGUUUCUUCAAGUUUCUCAAUUAAGUAUAGGUUCUCAAGAAUACAGCCACCCAUCAAAAUCUUCUUGUUCAGUUAUUGCUCACCUUGACCUGGUAGAUGGACAAGGACUCGAGCAAAGUCUAGUUGAUCCUUGACCGCCUAGCUUUGAUACCACUUAUUGAGGGAAAAAGUAUCGAAAAAGUCCUAAACAUAUUGCAUUGGUACUAAUUUAGUCCUAAACAUUUUGAUUGGACUAAUUUAGCCUUAAACCUUUUUUAUAUUGGCACAAACUCAGUUCAUCAGACCAAUUAACUAGAAAUUGCUGACAUGGACGCUGAUCAGCUGAUUAGCCCCGAGAUGGACAUUUUAAAAUAAUAUUUUAAUAUUUUUUUGAAUUUAUUGAUUUCUUUUUUCUUUUUUUCCUUUCCUUUUUCUUUUUGUCGGUGGCCAUUGCCAGUAACUGGCCAUAGCCAUAACCGGUAAGGGUCGGCCUUGUCAAACCAUGCCUGGGCGAGGGUGAGCAUUAGCUGUGCCUUGCUACGGCGAGGCCCCCUCACCAAAUUUGGCGAGGCUGACUGAAGCAUUUUGAGCAAGAAACUAUGGACAAUCAAAGACUCAUUUAUAACAUGUAAUGAAUUUUAGAAAAUGACGAUAAGUAUGCCUGACAUAUACAAAUAAAUAAACAUCUAUCCACAGCUCAAUUUUGUAGGAUGGACAAUUUUCAUCACAUUAUUGUCUAAGAUCAAUGUGACACAUGAGUAGCGGAACAUUGCCAUUUAUGGGAGACCUACAAGGGCAUACAAAUUGUUGUUUUAACGAGUCCUGCAAGGGCAUACACAAUUACUUUUGAAAACAUUCUUAGUAAAUACAUACACUCUCUUGCAUCUAAUUAAAUAAUUAAAAUAGAAUAUAAAAUAUAGUUGAUUAAUAAAAGCCCUCAACCUUCUACCCACAAGACUGCAUUGGUAACUAGCCCUAAUAUCCAUUGAAUCAUCCCCUUUAAAAGCAUUUCCUUCCACUUUCCAAUCCCAUAAAAGUGUCACACCAAUGCGUGAAGUCCAUGAGAGCAUGCAAUAUAAAAUAAAUAAGGCAUGAUAAACUAAACGCUGAAAUAGGCCAAAAGCAUGAACGUGGGUCCAGUAAUUUUUUGGUAAAUUUAGUCUAGAUUCUUUUUGUAUAACUUUAAGUUUAACAUGAUUACCAUCGUUCAAAAAGUGUCUCUUAAGGUUUAUUUGUGUUUUUCGUUUCCCAAUGCAUGGGGAAAAACUAAAGAAAAGACAAUUUACUGUAUUAUAAAGUUCGAAAUAUAUCGGAAGACUAAUUAGGAAGGAAAGUAAAAUUAGUCAUAGCAAAGCAAAAAAGGCCAACUAUCAUUAACCCAUUAGUUGAAGGAACAUGGAGGCUCUUGAGAGGCGACAAUAAUAAUAGUGUACCUUCUUAAUAGAAGCAUUCAUAAGCUGGCAAUUGGCAUCAGAGCCAUGCUUUUUAUACUAUAAAAUUGUAAGGUGCUAGAAUUUAUUAGAAGUAUUUUAUAUAAAAAAUAUAUUAAUCAUUAAAAAAGGGGAAAAUGGAAGAAAAAAAAGUGGAAGGGGCCGGGCCAGGGUUGGGCCUGCCUGGCCCCUCCUUUUCCUGUUUGCUUCCCCUUACGGGACGGCCCGUUCUUCUUUUUUCCCUAGCCCGGCCUUCUUCUUUUUCUCUUUUCCUCCAUUCCUUCUUUUCAGUGCUGAACCGGUUGAAGAGAGGACGGAGGUCCGCAACGCGAGGACACGGGGAGCGUCUCACUGGAGUUGGCCGUCGGAGGCAGACCAGCACCGACGGCUUGCGUGGCAGGAAGCCAUGCGCGCCGGCUAGAGAGCUUAAAAGGGAGGAUUGGCUAGAGAGCUUAAAAGGGAGGAUUUUUGGAGAGAAAUAGAGUGAGAAAGGGAGAGAGAGAGAAAGGGUGGAGAGACCGUGAGAGCAACCGAGAGAGAGCAAGAGUUUGAGAGCGAGGAGCCCUCCGGCAGUCCGGUCACGCCCGAGCCCCGUCUGACGACUCCUGGCCGCGCUCUCGAGCCGGGUAGGGACUCUCGGCCGACACCCCUGUUUGUGCCCCUGCCUCGCCCCGUUUCGGGCUCGCCGAACCAGGCUUCCUCGUCGUCCGGUUCGCGCGAGCACCGGCCCCAUUCGUCUGCGCGCUGCUGUUUUGGAUCACUACUGCUUGUUGAUUAUUAUUGCAAGUCCCGGCGCGAGUUGGUACUCGGUUUUUCCCCCCUUUAAGCCAGUGCGCUUCAAACGUUCGAUGAAAUGCCUGAACCAAACCCCGUUCGGUUUAACCUCUGCUCGAGUUAUUGAAAGUGGUCUGGACCGUUCGAGGCCGUAGCAGCCCGUUGGGUCAUCUCUUACGUUAUUUUUUGUAUGAUGAACGAGCUCGGAGCAGAAGUUAAGCCCGACUUAUGGCCCGAUCCGGCCCGGCUCGGCCCGUAUCCUCUCUCUUUUCUUCCUCAUCGUUUCUCUCCCGACCAUUCUUCCUCUCCCAAUCUUCUCUGCAAAAUUCUCAGGCUCCAGUGCACUUCGUUACUCUCUCGCUCUUCUCUUCCAACAGGCUUUCUUCUAGGGUUUUCGGGCUCCACCCUCUGCCAUUGGCUCUCCCUCUCAGUUCGCAUUUGCCACCAGAUGCUUUGGCUGCUCCCGGAUCUUUUUCAGCUAUGGAGACCGACGAAGGUUCGCGGCACGUGCUUCCCUUUCAGCUACAGUUCGACAAGCCUCUGGCUUCUCAGGUUCGGCUCCGGUCCGCCUUCUUUUGCGACCUAAUAAUGGGCGGGUCGAUUCGAUUGUUUUCCCAUUCGGUUUUGUGAGGUUUUUGCUCGAUUUCUUCCGAUUGGCAGGUGAAGAUGGCAGGAGUGGAAUCCAGAGAAGGAUUUACUGGCGAUGGUCACGGAGGACUCGAAGGUGGUGCUUCAUUGCUUCACUUGGCAGAGGGUCAUUGGCCUUAUUCCCCCCCCCCCCUUGCUUUUCCUUAAAUGUGCUACGAUCCUUUUCCUCAAAUAAACCACUUCAAUUGCCUACCCCGUUCAAAUUGCGUUUGAUGGAGAGUUGGUGAAUAUAGGGGUAAGGUGCUUGAAAGUCUAAAUGAGAACGUGACAUUGAACUAAGGAGUUGGUGUUUUACACAAAAGUGAAGAGUGAAUGAUGGUAAUGGGAGUGAAAUUUUGGAUAUGACAUAGUUACAAGUAAAGAAUCCUGAGUUGAUAUUACUUGAAUGAAGGGAUUUUUAUUUACAGGCACGAUAGAUUCCUAUAAACUUCUAGACAAGACCGGUGCCUUAGUAGAUUUCCAAAACAUAACUGACAAUCAUCUAGACCAACCGGAAGUGUACCGUACUCCUGUAUUGCCAUCUUGCUGCCCUUUUUUCGUACACCAGUCAAAGUGUUCUCGAAGAUAAAGAACUUGAAUUUGAGGGGAUGUCAUUUAUGUUAGAUAGACUAGCUAUGUCAGAUACAGAAAUGCUAGAUGCUCACAUGGAGUCGGCAGGUUUAACCCCUGCAAUACCAUCUCAAUGUCGUCAUGCAUCUAUAUAGUUUUCCUUCGAUUUCUGUUUGUGAUUCUCACAGUGUAAUAUUACUUCCAGCUACUCUUCUUGUACUGGUUGAGUGUUCCUUGCAAGGAGAGAUUUGAUAUAGGCUGGAAAGUUUCUCACAUUUUGUGCAUGUAUCCCUCAUAAUUGCAAGAGUCAAUCUUUGUAUCAAUGAAUCAUAUUAAACUUUUUUUACCUGUUAAUAGCACUAUUUGAGCCUAGGAGAAGUUAAGACUUAUUUAUACUACCAAUUCCACUCCUUGGACUCGAUGUAGUAAGUGAAACUCUGCUUUCCUAUGGUAUUAUUACUAUCAGCAAGCUAACAGAAUAAAAACUCAGUUAUCAGAAGAAAAUGAGCAAAUAAAAUGACUAGCGGGUGCUCGGAAGAUAGUGAAUUGAGCCAACGUUGAUCUCAUCUGUGAUGCUUUGCCUAGGUUAUGAAAGCCUCUGUUCACAACAAUUUGUUCACAUGCUUAGAUGUGGGAAUUCAUUAGUUUAUAUUUUUUUUACCAACUAUUUUUCCAUUUAGAUCACCAUUUUUUUAAGCUAAGCACCAUUUUUUGGUAGAGUAAUGCUGAAGAUGUUAAGUCCAAGUAAAUGAAAAUGGUUUACUAAGUCACAUGCGAAAUAUUUUUGUGUUAGGUGUCUGUGAUAUACUUGCCUAAAUACUUGGAUUUUGCCACUUCAAACGAGUUCUAUAAGCUAGUCUUUGUAUCCAUAGUAUUGUUUCUGUUUUGAAAAUGUGUUGGUCUCUCUUUGGAUCCAAAGUUUCCUUUUCUCUUCAACUUUUUAGAUCUUGACUUUAGGCUGUAGAGGCACCCUUCUGUCACAAUAAAGACAUGCUAUGUGGAUGAUGGUUAUGCCGAUUAGCACAAAAUCAUAUGUGAGAUCUUAGUUGGAAACUACACAAUUAGAUACAAUGUUGGGAUACAGGGUAAUUAGAGUAACUUAAAAAUCCUCAGAAAAGUAAGUUUCUUUUAACACAUCAGAAGUUCAACUAUAGUGUACCAAGGGAGUGCAAACGCAUAUAAGAAAAGAGCCCAAAAAUUAAAGCCAUGUACAGAAGAACAACUCCCAAAACCAAAAGCGAGCUCAAAUACAAGAUAAAUUAUCGACUAUAUUGACCAAAGCAUUUAUAUCCAUUUGCAGUCUCCACCAUACCAAAAGUGUACGACUUUAGGCUCUCUUGUUUAGCUCUUUCCAAAUAAGCCUAAAAACAGAGAGACAAAUUGAGUUAAUCCUUCUUUUCUUGCUCCAAAAAACCUCCAAUAACCCAAAGAUAAUUCGGUGCAAGCAUAGGAAACUGUCCAAACCAUUCUUGUCCAUGAACAGUGAAGGAGGAGAUGCCGCAUAGAUUCUGCCUCCUCCUUGCAGAGGAAACGCCUGUUAACCAAUAUUUUGCCCCUUUUUUGUAGGUUAUCUGAAGGAAGGAUUCGUUCCCAAGUUGCUUCCCAAGCAAAAAGAGAAACUCUAAUCUGAACCCUCACUUUACGGAUCACUUCCCAUGGAAAAUCCGUUCUGCCACUAACAACCUCCCUAUUGUGAGCAGCUUGUAGUGAGACUUCAUUGGAAAGAUUGCAUCUAGGGCAGAACCAGCGAUGGCAAAGACUUGAGAUUUCGAUUGGCAUCUUCCACUGCUCUCGACGUUAAUGACCAUCUUCUCUAGCAGAAGUGCGUCUCCUGGUAGAAGCAGCAUUGGCAGGGCAAGCUUGCAUCGGUCAUAGUUGAAAGAACGAGCUACAAACCUGGCAGUCUAUACGCUCUUCAGGUGCCGAGCCAAGCACGAGUGAAGGUCUGUAGCAGGAAGAAUUCUUGUGCCUCGCAAUAUGAAGAAUGGCCAGAUCAAACAUGGCAUGUACAUUUAUUGGUAACAAGACUUAGUGAUCUGUCCAGAAAGUGGAUGAGGAUAAGCAUAGACACGAAUAACAUUCGGAUUCUAUAUGUUCAAGUUCGAUAUGCAAUCGUCACAAAUUGGGAAAAAAAAAAUGGCACACAGAAAGGGGGUGGGUUUUAGGCGGUGAUGGCAAACAAUGAGGUCAGAGUAUUUCUAUCCGGCUGAGUGUUUGGAGCUUGGGUGGUGAUGGCAAAUGGCUUGGUCGAGUUCGGGCUUGGCCCGUCAUCUCAACAUUUAGCAUUCGUGAAUGUUCGCUCUCGUGACAUGCUGAUUUGAAUAAUUAACUAGCAUUUUUUUUAAUUCAAAAGUAAAUCAGGAUUAAUUAUCACAUUGCUUUUUUUCAAAUUACAAUUUCAAGAACUAAUCCACGAUCACGUUUGCAUCAAUGUGAUGUCCCAUGAGUCCUCCAACGCUUCCGUACUAGCAGCGAAAUCUCCUCUCGUCGAGCCACUUCGUUUUGUUGUGGUGUGCAACGAGAUUAUUUGUACAAUUGAAUGUAUGGACCCGAAUCAAACGAUAUCAUUUCUUAGACAAACUUGAACAUUAUGCCAUAUAUGACAUUAUUCGUAAAUUGACUUGAAUUAAGGCUCCAUUUGUUUCACCAAAAAAAAAAUGAAUGAUUUGAAAAAUAUCAUUUUAAAAAUUAUUGCUCGUAUUGCUUGAAAGAAUCCAUUAAUAAAAUAUAUUUCAUUCUUGACAAUAAUUUAUAUUCAAAUAUUUGCAUACUCAAUAAGAAUUUCUCGCAUUCGCUCAUUUUUGUAACUGUACCAGUGAUUUUUUUUUUGAAAAAUAAUUUUCCAUAUUGUUCGCUUUUCCGUGAAGGAUUUUAGCUAGCAAUUCAAUACAGAUCACAAUUCUGGAGUCAACCUUGGCUUCAUCCUUUUAAUAAAAUAAUCGAGACCAAUAGGCAUUUAUCACACUUGCCAGUAGAUAAAAGCACAAUGAUUUGAUCCGUGAUGCACCUCGUAUGAUCUCAACACACAAGCAUACAUGCGCACUUAACUUAUAGAUUUUCCUCAUUUCUUUUUAAUCAGCAACAACACACGCUAGUGUGUAAAAAGCGCAUCUUGUCUACAGUAGUAAAACCCACUUGAUCAAAAUUCUUUGCUCGCAACCAAAAAAAAAAAGAAGCUUAUAAAAAUCAAUAGGAUUUCGUAAAAGAAAAUUUAUGACUUUUUUUCAAUUCGCUGCUUUUCUCUUUCAUUUUUUCGUCUUCGCUUCUUUUUUUUUUCGUGUUAUUGUGUUGUUCUGGCUGGAGUUUUUUUUUUUUUAGUUCUUUUUUUCAUUUUGAGAAUUCUUGCUAAUUUAUUUCUGGAUAAUUUUUAGAGCAAUUAUCAAAAGUUCAUGUUGGGCAUAAGCAAUGCAAAAAAUGAAUGAACAUAAGGUAUCCGAAUACGUAUUCAUAGCAUAUGGUUUAGUCUCAUUGAAUCUUCAUUUGCUUAGCAAAAAGGAGACAAGGUAAAAUGAAACUCCUUGAUUCCUACCGUUCUUGUAACGAAUUUCGAAGAACGAAUUAUUAUGUACCCUUUGAAGAUUAUCAACCACCAAUCCGANNNNNNNNNNNNNNNNNNNNNNNNNNNNNNNNNNNNNNNNNNNNNNNNNNNNNNNNNNNNNNNNNNNNNNNNNNNNNNNNNNNNNNNNNNNNNNNNNNNNUCGAUAAAAAAAAUAAACAGAAGAUACAAAAUAAAAACAGAAUAAAUUGGAGAAAUGAAACGAAAUGGAAAGAGGAAUACAACCGAACAAGGGUCACCCUAUUAAUUCAGAAGAUUCAUAUUCCACUGUGGAACAUGUCCUUAAAAGAAGCAAGAGAGGAAAAAGGGGAAAAAAAAAUGGCAAGUACACUUGGGGUUUGAUAAAUAUUUCAAUUUUCAGGGAAAAAAAAAAAAGGAAGACCCGCCCCUUCCCCCCGCCUCCGACUAUCAAACCGAGUGUACCAGCUCUGUUCCAGUAAAGCUGGUGGCUGCGGUUCUCGGGCUACUUGAUGUAAACCGACGAAGGAGGGUGUCGACGCGUGCUUUCGUUUCAGCUUCGAGUUCCGACGAACUGCUUUGGUUUCUCAGGUUCAGCUUCCGUUCGGGCAUUCUUUCUAUGACAUAAUGGGUAGGUCUAAUCGAUUGUUUUCCUAUUUGGUUUUGUGAGGUUUUGGCCCGAUUUCUUCUUAUCGGAAGGCAAGGAUGGCAUGUGGAAUCCAGAGAAGGGUUUGCUAGGGAUGGUUGCGGAGGACUCGAAGGUUUUUUAAGAUGUCUAUCCUAGGUUUUGGCUCGAUUUCUCUCACUCAAGCCAAUGUAAUUUAAGAUGUGAUGAAAGUAAUUGUCUGUUAUUUUUAAGUUCAUGAGAUGCCUACUUGACUGGAGAGAAGCAGGACCUCUUGAAUUGACUUGGUUGACCUGAAGAAGAGGAAGCCGAAGCUCUCUUCCGCAAUUUUAUUUUCUUCUGAACCAAGUGUCUAAAUAUGCGAGUGUUUGGUGGCAGAAAUAAUGCAGCAGAGAAAAGAAUGACACCUUUUUGCAGUGUUUGUUAUCACGAAAUGUUCGUAGAAAUGCAACUUCAUGUACAUUUCCAGGAGACAUUAAAGGGUUUAAAUUCCUUCUUCUUCCUUUUUCACAUUUUUUCAGCCUCUUGCCUAUCAAAUAAUUAAGCUAUUUUCACCUUCAAUGUUGGUUUGGUAAAUCUUUUCAACCCAAUCUCAUAUCAACACACUACGUACUCAAAUGAUAUCACUUACAGUCCAUGUGUUGAUGGAUUAUUCGAGUAGUGUGUAUAGUAAAGUUAUCGUCUAUGUGUUGAUAGAUUAUUGGAGCAGUUUAUAUAGUGAUUUUGACACGUCAGUAACUCUAAAGGUAAUAGUAAGUGUACUCAAAUGGCAAUCAUAAUUUCCCAGCAACUUGAACAAGUUGAUAAGUUGUGCAAUGAAUGUUAUUAAAUUAUUAAAAUAAUCGGCAAUUUCGAUACAAUCAAGCAAACAUUCAUACUGAUUAAAACAAAAGUUGGUAAUAUCCUCUAAGAGUUAGUAAGUGCAUCUUAGUAACUUUAACAAAUAAAAAUGUUGGCAAGUUAUUGAAACAGGAUAGUGGACUAUUUCAAACAAUCAAAUAAUAUUGAUAUAAUGACUCAAAUAAGAGUUGACAAUUUCUUACAAGGGUUAGUAAAUUUAAUAUGCCGAAAACCACUGUAAAUAAAUGAUAGUAAAAAAUUAUUCAAACCCAUGAAAAUUUUGAAAAAAGAAAUCAAGUAAAUAGUUGGUAAUUUAGAACUUAGUAAAGCUAAAAUAAGUUAGUGACUUACCCCCUGAAAAGUUGCUAAUUUACCCAAAUCAAGAGUAGUAUUAUUCUAUAAAAGUUAGUAACUUUAACAAAUAAAUGUGGCUAACUCAAUGACGUAAUCGAUAAUAUUGAAACAAUCCAAUAAAUGCCGGUAAUUGGAUUGAAAUAGGAGCCUGUAAUUUUCUAUUAAAGUUAGAGAUGGGUUCGUACGCCCUGCAAACCCCACUCAAUCGCACCUCCGCACGUUAUUAAAAAAAGAAAAAAGAGAAAAGACAGGAACGAAGGAAAAAGAAAAAGGUAGAUGCAAGAUAAAGUGGGGCCCAAUCCCCAUUGCAAUUAGCAAUUGUCCCCAUGUGGGGCCUCACCCCACCGGACACGUCAACAUCAUUUUAGCCUUUUCUCGCCUUUUCACCCCUCAUCUCAUCUUCGAGGCCUAGCUCCCUAUUCCCAGAACUCCCAUCUUCAUGCUAUCUAAAGCUUCACCGAGCCAGGAGGAAACAUUCAAAAUCUCACGCUCAAAAGUACUCCUAUACCACUGUUACUCAUUCCCGCUCUUCGCCGAACCACUGUCUCCUACCAUCGGCUAACCAUUGCGCUGGCCAUUACAUCCACAAAAAGUAAAGAACAAAAGUGGAGAUAGAAUCGGAUAAACCAACCGGAAUAUUCAAGCUCAAAAAUUAACCCUCGGACCGUCAAGUUUUGAGUGGCUCCUCAUCGAUGACCAUCGUUGAAGGCAGCAGGAAAGCCUAGUUUAUCAAUGGUGUAAGUAGGCUACAAUGGGCACUCGCAACCAGCGAUUGGAACCUUUACAACUAUCUACGAACAGAACAACGACCAGCAAGGGAGUCUUCGAACGAGAUUUGGGCUCUUCGGUUUUCACGAUGGGAAGGCAGGGAGCAAUAGUGGUGCAGGAAAGGGCGGCUCGGGAAUAGUGAGGGCAACUGGCUUGGCAACUAAUGGAGUCGAGAGGAGUGAUGGAGAGGCUCAUCGAAGUGAUGGCGUGGGUUUCAAUCGUCGGAAUGGGCAGCGGCGACUAUUGCUCCAACCCCUCAAGAGAAUGAAGUCCAAGAACAAUGGAUGCAGCUUGCGGUGACGAGGAUGAGGUCGGAUGUGAUGGGGCGACGGUGAAGGUGUAUACACAGCGCUCAUGGAGAGUCAAUCCUCCUUAUUUUUCUCUCUUUUCUCCCUUUUUUUGAACUUGUGGCGCCUCCCUCUUGAACAUAAAAAGAAGCCAAAAGAAGAAGAAAAAAAAGGACCCCUUCCAAGAUGAGAAAAGAACAAAUUUUAUUCUCCAACAGAAUUUUGUGUAAUUGCGCCAUGUGACGCGAUCUUGAAAGGUGUGAGCUCAAAUUCCAUGAUAACAAAUAUGGUGUUCUAACUGGUUAAUCAAUUCUUGAAAUUGAUAUUUCUUUGAUUUGAUUGUAGGUACUUAAAAUUUCAUUAUUUCUAAAUCAAAUGUCUAAAAAGAAUUAAAGACUAUUGAAAUAAUUUUUUUUUUCAGUCAAAGGUAGAUUCUUUGAUUUGACCAAAAAAAAAAGGAUUUUAAGCCAUUUCUAUGAAAACUUGAAAUCUAAACGCCCAUUCCUACACGCUUAUGUUGAAUUAACACUUAUAUGCAAUUAAAGUACUACUGAUACAAAUCUAAUUUUUUUCAAGUUAAGAAAUGAGUGUCGCCACGAUCGGGAUCUUGAAUCUUGAAUUUUCUAACUUUAAUCAUUAGGAUUAUUUGGAUGUCAACAGUAAUAUAUAUUUUUUGAAUAUAUAUAUAUAUAUAUAUAUAUAUAUAUAUAUAUAUAAAGUUCUAAUAGUUGUUGAUAUUUUUUGAAAAAUUUUGGUAACUUACCAAAAUGCUACCAACCGAAUAAGUUAUCAUUCAAAAUUUAGUUGUCAACUAGUUUUGAUAUUUACCAAUGCUAUUUGUACUUUACCUGCACUGAACAAUGUUCGGAUUUUUGCUUAGUAGAAUCUUCCUGGACCUCUUUUCAUGGUAUCUUCCAAAGCCAAGCAAUUGCAAUUCUCAGCUUUGAUUCGAUUUGUUUUCCACUUUCAAAAUGUUACGAAUACCUCUAAUUUUUUCAAUAGGAAGGACAAAUCAACCUAUUCCACCCAAAUUAAAAAAUUCGAUAUUCAUGAAGAUCGAAUUUCCAAGUUUUGCAUUGGAGAACGUAUUUGGUUAGCAUUUUUUGUUUCGCGUAACAAACAAAAUGUCGGAUAUUGACUAUAUAAGUUAUUUAGGCAUCUAAAGGGACCUACUAAGAGCUCGGCCAAUACCUAAUGACUAUCGUGUGGUUAGCAGGCGGCACGGCCAGUCUCCCAGUCCUCUCCACAUAGCUCCACCAAAGAUCCACAAUACCUCCUAACGCGUCUCUAACUUAUUUUAAUUUUUGGGCUCCGACAUAAAUUCGAUUUGGCUAGAACUCGAGCCAUAAGCUCAAUAACCUUAAUUAGUAGAAUCAUGGAGUCGCCAUCUAAAUGGAGACACACAAUGUGGAUGCCAGUAGCCUUGCAUUUGGGAGGAUGGUGAGGCGAGGAAAGUUUCUUUGGUUGCAAUCUUUUCGGCCAAUUUGAAAAUAAGAGAAUAACAUGUCCAUGAGAGUGGUGAGAUUUAUGAAUUGAUCGGGUUGUCAUUUCUUGCAUUCAAGCCAAUGUAAUUCGAGAUAUUGAAGCAUUCAUCGACAAUUUUUCAAGCUCAUGAAAUAUCAUACUUGAUCAUGAAUGUAAUUUAAGCUAAAGAAUUAUCUCAUAAAAGUUAGUUAUGAUUAAUUUUUAUUUUAUCUGUUUCUUUUAUUGAUAUUUGUAAAGUUUCGCUAGUUAUUUAUAUCUAUUACUACAUAAGUGGAGCCCUCGAGCGUGAUAUCACAAAUCAAGCAGAAUCAAGUAAACAUUUCAUUUCACGGGCUCAAGCUCGCUUAUGUUCGCCUACUCGAUCUUGUUCAUACUCGAUAUUAUAUGAAUGACGAUUUCUACAUAUGUCGGACAAGCUUGGAUUAAAAAAAUCAAGGUUCGGUACUCGGCAACUCAAGCGUGCGAGGCCCAUCACCAUGGGCUCGUAGAUGUAUUAAAAGGCGCGGGAAAGUGGUUACCUCUCCAUCGAGCGACACGUGUCUCCAUACGGGAAGCCAGAAACUUAAGUCCCGAGUGAAAUGAACCCUCAAAUCGGAGGAGUCUCUCCUUCCGGUUCCUCCGUUCGAUCGUCGAUCCCCACAUGGCGAAGACGAAGCGAUCGCCGACCUCCUCCUCCUCCUCCUCUCGUCGAUGCGAAACCCUAGGCGACGGUGCCGAUCGCACCAGCCACCUUGCCCCCGACUCGGUGAUCCACCACAUCUUCUCGUCUCUCGACCUCGCACGCAUUGUCCGCGCGUGCGUUUUUGUCGAAGCGG
rnacentral:lncRNA from 1 species